UACUCGAGCACUAAAGCCUUGAAAUCAAGAUUGGAACAACUAGUAAUGACUUUAACGAGAUUCCUAUGGCGAAGUCGGCACAAAACUUCACAUUCCGUAUCAAAACUCUUGAAUGCCGCAUCCAGUUGCAGGUUGAACACUUUAACUGCAAUGGCAGUUCCACUUUUGAGUAUGCCUUUGUAAACAGAGCCAAAACUUCCAGAACCAAUCAAAUUACUCUCACUAAGACCAUCCGUUGCUUGGAGCAGUUCAUAGUAUGAAAUUCGUUUCUUUGUAGCCAAUGAAUCUGAUUGUUGAGGAGCUCUUUUACCUCUUCUAUACCUUAUCCAUACAAACACAAAUAUGACAGGAACAAAUAAAAUUGCAAGUCCUAGAAAAAGAUAUAGAAGUAGCAAUAUUUUCUUGUUUGAUUUGUGCUUUGAUGAAGAUGGGCAUGAUGGGACACUAAAUCUUGAAGAACCACACAAUGCUUCAUUGUCAAUGAAAAAUUGACUCGAGAGGUUCUUGAAAGGACCCCCCGAGGGUAUUUCACCAUACAAUUGGUUGUCUGAAACAUUGAAAUACUUGAGGUAUUGAAGUUUCUCCAGAAACAUGGGAAUCAUUCCCGAUAAAUUAUUGUGAGAAAGGUCUAGGAAUUCUAAACCUACCAUGUUGCUCAUUGAGUCAGGUAUAGAUCCUUGAAACUUGUUGUGUCUCAAAGAAAGGAUUGCCAGAUUUUGCAAUCUUCCAAUUUCUCUAGGAAUUUUAUUUGAGAAUUGGUUCAUUGAUAGAUCGAUCUCUGUUACAGCCUUUAGAUUUCCAAUUUCUGGAGGCAAAGAACCUACCAUGUUGUUUGAUGAUAAGUCAAGAAACACUAGAUCCUGAAGAUUCCCUAUGCUUGGUGGUAUAUUGGAACUCAAUUUAUUGGAACCCAGAUGUAUCUCCCUAAGGGAAGUAAUAUUCCCUAAACAAUUAGGAAGAGAUCCUGAAAGCUGAUUUUGACCCAAGUAAAUUUCACCCAAAUUCUGCAAUUUACAUAUAUGAUCACCAAUAAAUCUUGUAAGUUUGUUGUUACUCAAGUUGAAGCGCUGAAUGUUUCUCAAGUUUCCAAUUGUCGUGGGAAUCGAUCCAGCCAAGCUGUUCUCAGAAAGAUCAAGGUCUAAUAAACUGCUUAAGUUCCCAACUUCCUUUGGAAUUCGCCCUUUGAUUUUACAACUGCUGGCAUAAAAUUUUAUUAGAGAUGUGGAAAAGUUCCCAACAGAGACUGGAAGCAUGCUGUUUAGAGGGUUGGAAGAUAGAGAUAGAGUUGUUAAAUUUUUGCAAUUGGGUAAGGAAGUAAGGAAGCUUAACGAAGAGUCGCUGGUUAAAUUGUUUUCUCUCAUGUUUAGGAACCGUAGAUGAGUCAAAUAUCCAAGAGAGCUAGGAAUCAAGCCAGUGAGUUUGUUGUAAGAAAGAUCUAGAAUAGUAAGUUCUGAACAAUUGGAGAUAGAAUGAGGAAUCGUUCCAACAAGAUUGUCGAAUGACAUAUAAAUCUCUUCAAUGUUGGGUAAGAGCGAACCUAAGUUUGAUGGGAGGCUUCCUGAUAGAUUGUUGAAUGAAAGAUCAACUACUCUUAGCCCUGAUAUGUUGAAGAUCUCCAUUGUAAGUGGACCACUAAUAUCAUUAAGAUCAAGCAGAAUUUCCUCCAACUCAAUGAGAUUGCUCAUCUCUUUGGGUAUUUCUCCUGCCAACACAAGGACAAAAAGGAAUACUGGUGAGUUAACUAGCAUAAGUUGUACUUCUUGCUAUCACUUUGAUUACGUACCGGAAAACCUAUUUUGUUCAAGAUAUAAAAAUUGCAUCUUGGUUAAGUUGCCAAUCUCUAGUGGUAAGAAUCCAUUAAGAUUGUUCCUCGCCAGUGACAAAACUUGCAACACCGAGAUGUUGAAUACGGAGAUUGGGACUGAGCUGGUUAACUGGUUUACCUCCAUCCACAACUCCAUCAAAUUAACAAGAUUUCCAAUUUCUUGUGGAAUUAUUCCUGCAGUUAAUGUCUAAUUAAUUUUAUUUUUUUUGAAGUAAAUAGAUAAAAGGGAAAAUACCCAAUUACCCCCUGAAUUAUACCCAAAAAGGCUAUGAUACACCUCAACUUAAAAGGGUCCUAUUACCCCUAAACUAAUUAAAAGUGUAAUUUUGACAUGGUGCCUAAGUGACCCAUACGUGGCACACACGUAUGUCUAUGUGAACACUUCAGUGUGUUGUGACAUGUAUGUGCCACUUAGGCACUAAAAUUACACUUUUAAUUAGUUCAGGGUAAUAGGACCCCCUUUAAGUUGAGGUGUGUCAUAGCCUUUUUGGGUAUAGUUCAGGGGGUAAUUGGGUAUUAUCUCUAGAUAAAUUAUUACUAGCAUUCAUAAGAGAAAACAUACCUGUGAAAUGGUUAAUUCCGAGAUACAGUUGCUGCAAGUUACUCAAUCUUCCAAGUUCACUAUGUAUUGGUCCAUCAAACUCAUUUUCCGAUAAACCUAGUAGUUGAAGUUGUGAACAAUUUGACAAGCUCGUGGGAAUAUGACCAUCAAGCUUGUUUGUUGAUAGAUAAAGACCUUUGAGAUUUGGAAGACCAUUGCAUAAACCAUUGGGAAGACUUCCUGAUAAGCUAUUGCCAGUAAAUGAAAUGACUUCGAUUCUAGAAAUAUUGAAAACUGUCAAUGGUAUAGAACCCGUAAGUUGAUUAUAUUGUAUGGCCAACCAGUUCAGGUUGUGAAGAUUGCCGAUUUCGUUUGGAAUGCUUCCUUGAAGUAAAUUGCCAGAUAAUUCUAACCUCUCCAACCUUGAGGCAUUCGAGAGAGACACAGGGAUAUGACCUUCUACGGAAUUGAAUGCCAAAUUCAACAUUUCAAGCUUUGAAAUGUUAAAAAAUGAUGAGGGAAGGGGGCCGGUAAAACUAUUAUUCUUAAGGCUUAGAAAUUGAAGUUCGUGUAAGAACCCAAACCAAGAAGGAACCUCCCCUAUAAAGUUGUUGAAACUUAAAUCAAGAAACUUAAGCCGACGCAAGCGUGUCAUUUCUUGAGGCAAAUUUCCAUGGAAGUUGUUCCUUCCCAAGUCAAGAGAAGCAAGAAAUGAGAGGUUUCCAAAAUCUUGUGGAAUUCUGCCUGUAAGAGCCAUAUUAGAAAGAUUCAAGGACUUCACUCGUUGGUGACGAGAGCCACAAGUGACUCCGACCCAAUGACAAACAGACGUAGACGGAGACCAACUUUCAUCCAAGAAGUGAAAGUGGUCCGAAAUGAUUUGAGAUUUCAGGGAAAGAAGAGCUAAUUGAUCAGUGGAGAUGUUAAAUUGGGUCAUGGCUGAACUACUUAUAAUAUAGUACUGGAGCAACAAGAGAAAAGAGGUGAAAGAUUUCUCCAUAAUUGCAUAAAUUGGUAGAAAUAUGGAUAUGACUAGCAAUGAUGUGGUUUUGAGACUUUAAAUAGCAAAGAGGUCUCUUGCUCUUUCUGAUUUUAAAAUCUAUAUUUUUGAGAAUUUUCCAUUCAAACAUAUUUUAAGGAAAAAGGAAAUAACUUUAAUUUCCUUUAUUAAUUAAUUAAGUCAUCUAAAGACUAAUAAUACAACUAAAGAAAGUAUUUUUAAUUUGUUCAGGUGGAAGACCAAGAAAGAAGAAUCAAAAUGGAGUCUUCCACUAACUUAUAUAAAUAACCAAAUGUAAGAUGUGCAUUGAGCAAGAAUAAAUACGGAGUAUAUAUAGAUAUAUGUUGGUGUAUGUUGUGCAUUUUUAAUUUAAAAAUUAGAAUAUUAAAGUGUAUGAUAAUUAAUAGGCAUAAAGUGGAGAAAUUGUUGCUAUUGUAACUUAUAUAAACCACAAUGAAAUGUUCUAACUCGCAUUAUCUCCUACUAAUUGUCCCACUGCUCCUCAAAUGACUAUCCACCUUCUUGACAUGUAUUUGUGGAAGAAAUCCUACACCUACAUAACUAACGGGUGUUUUAUUCUUUAUGUUGUAAUAGAUGAGAAGUAUUAUAUUGUGUUCAUAUUAGAGAGUAGUGUAGUGAAACUGUGAAAGAGAGAGUAGAGAUAAAGAAAAAAAUAGACUAAUUAUAUGUUAGAAUGAAGGUGUUCUUUUGGUGUAGCGCUGGAUUCUUCAACUAAUCUGGAGUUAUUUGAGUUAUACGACGUUGUUGUGGUAUUGUAUCCUAGAGGGAAAAAGUCUAAGAGUGACACUGCUGGAUCAGUGUAGAUUAUGCCACAUUGAACUUGAAUCUGCUUAAAAAGAGCGAGAUAUUCAUGUUAGCCUCCUAUACUUAUGUUCUAUAUUUUAAUAAUGACAAAAUAAUGAGUAAACAUUUGCAAGAUAUUGAAGAUCUCUAAUGAUGGAAGAAGAAGAUAUUGAAGAUACACCAAAGAUGCAGAAUUUCUGGGGAAUCAACUAAAGAUAUCCAAGAAUAUCUUGCUAAAUGAAACAAACAUUCAAUAACAAGAUGCCCGACACUAAACUUGGAACAAUAUCAAUGAUAUGGAAUCAAUGCAAGACUUCCAAGAAAAUCUCGCAAAGAAAAGCAAAUUCCAACAACAGCCUGACUGGAGCAAAACCUGGGAAAGAACAUCACUCCCUAUAGUAGCAAAAGGAAAGAAGAUCAAGGACGUAUAUGAUACGGACGUGUAUACAGUACCGUGUAUGGACAUAUCUGAUAUAUACAUACUAUAUGGUGUUGGUUUAAAAUCGUUAAAGGGAAAUAACAUAGAAAUUCAAUUCAAAAGCUAACCGACUAAACAGAGACGAAGUUUGUAAAAGAGAAUAUGCAGAGAGGUUGAUUAUUUUCUUGUAAAAGCCAUGUCUCAUUAAUACGUAAAAAAAUUGGAGAGAAUAAAAGCAAAGAAAGACGUGCAUUGCUGAAGCAACUCUCAACACUCCUCCUUGCUUUAUGAAAUGCAAACUCCAAUUUCUGUCUGAGAAGCUCGAAUUUGUUGACUGGUAAGGCUUAGCAAAUAUAUCAGCCCAUUGUUCUUCCGUCUUGUAGUAGACAAGAAUCACAUCUCCAUCUUUUUGAACUUCUCUCUGGAAGAAAAACUUGAUAUCUAAGCUCUUAAAUUUUUCAUGAAACACAGGAUUGUGAGAAAUAGCUAUUGUUGCUUGGUUAUCAAGUAGGUGAUGUUCCCAUAAAAUGGACAAAGGAUGCAUUUUUAGACUUGACUCGCCUUUUCCUCGAUCUGUAACAAUCUUAUUAUUGUCCUAUAGAUACUGAUUACUUAUAUAGUUAUAGUAUACGCUAAGCAAAAUAUGCUAAAUUGUGCUAAAGUAUUAAUUUCUUGCUAAUGGAGUUUGACGCUUUAAGAACAAAACAAUGCAGUUGGAAAGGAGAAAUGAGAAAAUUCUUGAUGAUCAAUUAUGUAUGAAUCUUGAACUGAAUUUGAAAAGUGAUUGUUUUUUAUCUCACUAAAAUAAUUUUAAGUGGACUCUGAUUACUUAAAAUGUUCCUCCCAGCACUAGUGCUAAAUGGUCCAUCUUUCACUAACAUAAUAGGUAUAUUUCUUUGCACUAUUGGGACUGCAUGUACCAAGAGCGCUCGGAUAUGUUCCAACAUGAUAGCUUUCGAAAGCAAACUGUGAUACAUUAUUCGAACAGAAGGUGGAAGAUUAACAGGAGGCACACCCCUGGACCUAAUUUAACUAACUGUAUAUUAAAGAGAGAAGUAUACAUUACCCCUGAACUUGACGAAUUUUUUUCAUAGUAUACCUAAACUUGACUUGUCCUAAGUACCACGAACUUGCUGUUUUAGUAAGUUGCAAGGCCUUUUUUUCUGACUGUCCAGUGCAUGUACACCACGUGAGUACACGUGGAAAAAAGUGUUGAUGUAGCUUUCUAUGUGGAUAAAUACCAUCCAGUUCCCUUAUAUUUAUCCUAUAUUAAAAAAUAACUCACUUCUACCUUUAAUUAUCUGAUUUCUCUCUAAAAAAAUUAUAUUUCUCAGUUUUCCUCUACUCCAAAGUAGUGAAAGGUUGAAUUUUCGUCGAUCAAGUAAGUUAUUAUCUAAAAAUUUAUAUUUUUUGGUGUGCGUUAAAAAAAUAUGAAAUUAUUUUUUUCCAGUUAGUGUUUCAUAGUAGUGUACGAUUAGUAUUUCGAUUCAGAUUUUGAGGAGACUCACAUGCACAAAUAUGCUUCUUAUUAUAAUUAACGGGGUAGGAAAUUGCAAUUUAAGUUAGGGGCUUACAAAAAUCAAACCGAUAAAAAUGUUAUUGAUUUAUUGUUAUAGGGUUAACAAUUUUUUUAAUGAUUUUAUAAAAAAAAAUUAUUGGGUCAUUGAUUCGAUUUUGAUUUUUUUUAUUAGGUAAACCGAUAACCUAAUAAGAUUAUGCUAAAUUAUUAUUUUACAUCCCAUAUAUAUAUAUAUAUACUAGUUAAGUUGCACGUGCCUCGCACGUGUAACCUUUGAUUAUUUAAAAUUAGACAAUUUCAUCUAUUGGAAGAUUUUUAAUAAAGCGCAAAAAGUUUAAAUCACUUCUCAAAGAUCCUCUACACUUUAAUAUAAUAAUGCAAAAAUAACAUAUACUUUUAUUGAAAGCACAUAGAUAUUUUACCACUAAGAGUUUCAAGUGGUUAAUGAAUCAUCAAUUUUGUGUUUGUCAUGUGAUACCUCUUUUCUUUACUGCUAGAAGCUAAGAGAGACGCAUCAAUUUGAAUUAUAUUUGUAGUGUGAUUAUUUUAUUUUAUUUUUCCUAUAUUAAAAAUAUUUCCUUAUUUUGAGAGUUAAAUCUUUAAAAAAUCUUUGAUUACAUCUUCUAACACUUUCAUAUUUAUUUCUUGAUUAUUUGAAUCUUCUUAAAAGUUGAUUUAGAAUUCUUAAACUAAUUAAAAAGGUAUUCGUCGUCAUUAAUUCUAAUAACUUUUAAUAAGAAAAAGGUUUUACAAUAAAUAUUUAAUUAAUUUUUAAUUCUUAAAUAUUAGAAAAAUAGUGAAAAGACAAUUUUGUCUAAAGCAAAAACUUUUAAUGAGGCGCAAAAAAUUUAAAGCUCUUCACACUUGACCAUAAAAUGCAGUGGUUAUCGCUCUUGCAAUUCUUAUUUAUUGCAAAACUAAAAUCAAAAGCGUGAGGAGCUUAGGUUCUUUUUUAAGAAAAUGAAAAGUAGCUAUGAAAAUAGGAUCUUCAACGCUAAAAUUUUAUAAUUCAGAAAUAUCGUUAACUCAAAGUGCAAAUCUGACCCCAAUUGUCAUAUUUUAGGUAAUUUUGAAUCUUUUAUCAAAUGGGUCCUAUAAGUUGUGAACAGUGAUGUAAGCUAGAUAAAGUAGCCGAGCUUGUCCAUAAAAUGCAGUGGUCAGAGGCAGAUCUAGAAUUUAAACUCCCAACCUAUAAUUCACCGCACUUUGUACUCUACAUCCGCCGCUGACAGUGGUUACCGCUCUUGCAAUUCUUAGAUAUUCCUAAUGGAAUAUAUUUGGUUAAGUGUUCACGAAAGACCAAAGCCUUUCGUUAUCCUUGAUUCUGACCAUGACUAUUAUAUUUAAGUGUUGUGUUUUUAUGUUUGUAACGACAAAAAAAAAAGAGAAAAAUAAACCCAGAAACUGCAUCCUAAAAAAGAAACCUGAUAACUGGCAAUAUCUUGUGCAGCUGCUUUCAUCUCAUCUUCAGUUCCUUCUGAUGGCGCGGAGCUGGAAUUAAGAUCUGAAUCUUUGGAAUCCAUCGCAUGCUUCAAAUUCAUCGGAAGCUCCCCUAUAUCUCCAGGCCAACGAUAAAAUUCCCUGAUUCUCCUAACGAUGGAGACACAGUAAUCUUCCAACUACAGAAACAAUGAGCACUUGGCAAUGUGAUGAUUUGAACAGAAUCAAAGUUCUUGGUAUAUGAACUUUGUAAGUUGCAGAUUAGAGAAGAAGGAAGAAGGGAGAACAGAGAAGAAAUGGAAUGGAGAGCUUGAUCAUUGAUUGAAUCUUGUGUUUUCUUAGCUUUACAUGUAGUGAGUAGCGUGUAUAUAUAUUGUUACAUGGAAGGAUCUAGAAGCUAACUUCCUAACUAACUCUAUCAACUAUACUUCACAUAGUUAGUUAAAUAAUUAACUUCCUGAAACAGAUUAACUGUUACAUUGAACUUGUAGCUCUUUCUUCUUCUUUCAACACUCCCCCUCAAGCUAGGUGAUCCCAAAUAGAUUUAGGAUGCCUAGCUUUGACAUCAAAUGUUCAUGUUGAGCUCUGUUGAGGCCCUUAGUUAGCACAUCAGCUGGUUGAUCCCUGGUAGGAAUAUAGUUGACUGUAACUAGUCCUUGAGUGAUCUUCUCCCUUAUGAAGUGGCAUUCUAUUUCAAUGUGCUUGGUCCUUUCAUGAUAUGCAGGAUUGGAUGCAAUUUGUAUUGCUGAGUUACUAUUAGUGUGAAUUUUUCCAGGCUGCUUGACAUCAAUCCCAAUCUCCUGUAAUAGUCCCAGUAACUAGACAAGUUUAGCCACAGUUGCUGCAAUGCUUCUGUAUUCAGCUUCAGCUGAACUCCUGGAAAUUGUGUUUUGCUUCUUACAUUUCUUGGAAACAAUAGAUUCUCCUAACUUUACCAAGUAGCCAGAUCUUCUUGAGAAUGGACAUGAUGCCCAAUCUGCAUCACAGUAUGCAAAGACUUCUGUAUUUGCUUGACUGGACAUUAAUACUCCUUGUCCAAGUUUCUUCUUAAUGUGUUUGACUUGUCUGAUAGCAGCAUCCAUGUGAUAUUUUUUUGAUUGUUGUAGAAACUGACUGAGAGUCUGGACACUAUAAGCAAUAUCAGGUCUGGUCAUAGUGAGAUACAACAAUUUUCCUAUGAGUCUCUGAUAAGCAUGCAGAUUAGCUGGUGGAUCAGUGGGUCCUUGCUCAUUUUUAUAGAUAUGAUCAUCACACUCCUUAGUGUCAACUUAAUGUUUGUGUCUAUAGGUGUAGCAGCUGGUUUAGCAGCACCAAGUCCCAAUUCAGAUACAAGCUCUAAUGCAUAUUUUCUCUGGUGCAUCAGAAUACUUUCUUUUGAUCUUGGAAAUUCAAUACCUAUUGACACCUAAUUUUGUCCCUUCCAAAGUCUAAUUUUAUUCAUUUUUAGUUCACCUUACCAUGUGUCCAACCCCAUGAAAUUAUAUCCCACAAAAAUACAAAAAUAAACAAAAAAUAAUACCUCUAACUAAUUUAUCUUAUCCUAACAACCUACCCAAUCAAAAGUUUCGACCUCCCUACCCACUCAUAUUUUUAUCCUCACAAUAACAAACUAAAAGAAAUAAUAUAUGCGGGACCCACCAAAAUUCCCACAUCAUAACAAAUCCAUGCCAAUUAUAAAAGAAAAAUUCUAAGAGGGAAAAAGGGGAGGCUCAUUCUUUGAUCGUCAUCUUCUCCACAAUAACAACAAUCAAAAAAUAAUCUUCCUCACAAGAACAACAACAACAACAACAACAACAACAACAACAACAACAACAACAACAACAACAACAACAACAACAACAACAACAACAACAACAACAACAACAACAACAACAACAACAACAACAACAACAACAACAACAACAACAACAACAACAACAACAACAACAACAACAACAACAACAACAACAACAACAACAACAACAACAACAACAACAAAAUUUUAAAAAAAGGGCGCCGGUGAACAGUAAUCGGUGAAUAGUAUCGGUGAACAGUAACGGUGUGAAAAGUGACGGUGAACGGUUCAUUAUUUGUUGAGUUGGAUUGUUGGUGUUAAGGUUCGUCUCGAGGUUUCCAGGUGCGGACUCUCUUUAUUCGAAUAACAUUGAGUUUGAAAGCUUCAAAUUUAAGGUCCAAUUCUUUCUUCUCUUUUAUUUAAUUCUUAUGUGAUUGUGAUUGCAUGUGAUUCGAUACUGUGGUUUGUUUGUUGAUGUGAACUAUUGGUGACAUUUGGGUGUGUGAUGUGCUAAGCAUGAUUGGUGAAUUUUUGUUAUUCUCGAUUGGUGGAUUGUGUAUUGAAAUGGGUUAAUCACGUGGUUGAAAAUGAAUUAAGGUGGGGAUUAAAAAUGGAGGAAAAUGAAUAUUGAUUAAUUUUGAUGUAUUGAUAAUGUUGAACAUGAUAGAAUUGUGAUACGUUGAAAUUGGUAGGCAAACAUAGGCCGGGUAGGCAAAUUUAGGAAUAACAAUUUGUUGGAGUGUUUGAAUAUGUGCGUGAAUAGUACUUUCUACUUUAUUGCACGAAAAGUUUAAAUUGUACUUAUUUGGCCGGCGAAUGCCCCGAAGAAUUUGUAUUGAUUUAUCCGGGGAAUGCCCCAAAGUAGCAUGUACGCAAAGGAGGCUCGUGAUCAAGNNNNNNNNNNNNNNNNNNNNNNNNNNNNNNNNNNNNNNNNNNNNNNNNNNNNNNNNNNNNNNNNNNNNNNNNNNNNNNNNNNNNNNNNNNNNNNNNNNNNNNNNNNNNNNNNNNNNNNNNNNNNNNNNNNNNNNNNNNNNNNNNNNNNNNNNNNNNNNNNNNNNNNNNNNNNNNNNNNNNNNNNNNNNNNNNNNNNNNNNNNNNNNNNNNNNNNNNNNNNNNNNNNNNNNNNNNNNNNNNNNNNNNNNNNNNNNNNNNNNNUAUAUAUAUAUAUGUAUGUAUGUAUGUAUAUACAUAUAUAUGUAUGUAUGUAUGUAUGUAUAUAUAUAUGUAUGUAUGUAUAUAUAUAUAUAUGUAUAUACAUACAUACACACAUAUAUAUAUAUGUAUGUAUGUAUAUAUACACAUAUACAUACACGUGCCUCGCACGAGUAACCUUUGAUUAUUUAAAAUUACACAAUUUUGUCUAUUGCAAAGAUUUUUGAUAAAGUGCAAAAAGUUUAAAUCAUUUCUCAAAGAUCCUUCACACUUUAAUAUAAUAAUGUAAAAAUAACAUAUAUUUUUAUUGAAAGCACAUAUAUAUUUUACCACCAAAAUUUUCAAGUGGUUAAUGAAUCUUCAAUUUUGCAUUUGUCAUGUGAUACCUCUUUUCCUUACUGCUACUGGCUAAGAGAGACAUAUCAAUUUGAACUAUAUUAGUAGUACGAUUAUUUUUUUCCUAUAUUAAACAUAUUUCCUUAUUUUGAAAGUUAAAUCUUUGAUUACUUAUUCUAACACUUUCGUAUUUAUUUCUUGAUUUUUUGAAUCUUCUUAAAAGUUGAUUUAGAAUUCUUAAGUUAAUAAAAAAGGUAUUCGUUGUCAUUAAUUCUGAUGAAUUUUAAUAAGAAAAAGGUUUUACAAUAAAUAUUUAAUUAAUUUUCAACUCUUAAAUAUUAGAAAAAUAGUGAAAAGACAAUUUUGUCUAAAGCAAAAACUUUUAAUGAGGCGCAAAAAAUUUAAAGCUCUUCACACUUGACCAUAAAAUGCAGUGGUUAUCGCUCUUGCAAUUCUUAUUUAUUGCAAAACUAAAAUCAAAAGCGUGAGGAGCUUAGGUUCUUUUUUAAGAAAAUGAAAAGUAGCAAUGAAAAUAGGAUCUUCAACGCUAAAAUUUUAUAAUUCAGAAAUAUCGUUAACUCAAAGUGCAAAUCUGACCCCAAUUGUCAUAUUUUAGGUAAUUUUGAAUCUUUUAUCAAAUGGGUCCUAUAAGUUGUGAACAGUGAUGUAAGCUAGAUAAAGUAGCCGAGCUUGUCCAUAAAAUGCAGUGGUCAGAGGCAGAUCUAGAAUUUAAACUCCCAACCUAUAAUUCACCGCACUUUGUACUCUACAUCCGCCGCUGACAGUGGUUACCGCUCUUGCAAUUCUUAGAUAUUCCUAAUGGAAUAUAUUUGGUUAAGUGUUCACGAAAGACCAAAGCCUUUCGUUAUCCUUGAUUCUGACCAUGACUAUUAUAUUUAAGUGUUGUGUUUUUAUGUUUGUAACGACAAAAAAAAAAGAGAAAAAUAAACCCAGAAACUGCAUCCUAAAAAAGAAACCUGAUAACUGGCAAUAUCUUGUGCAGCUGCUUUCAUCUCAUCUUCAGUUCCUUCUGAUGGCGCGGAGCUGGAAUUAAGAUCUGAAUCUUUGGAAUCCAUCGCAUGCUUCAAAUUCAUCGGAAGCUCCCCUAUAUCUCCAGGCCAACGAUAAAAUUCCCUGAUUCUCCUAACGAUGGAGACACAGUAAUCUUCCAACUACAGAAACAACGAGCACUUGGCAAUGUGAUGAUUGAACAAUAUUACCUACUGAUAAAAAGACGCAGAACGCCUGGGGUAAAAUGAUAAUCAACUAAAAGAGCGUAAAAAAAAAUAAAAGUGGUCAAUAAUGCAAAGCAUGCGUCAUCCACUACAUGGUAACUUCUUAACACAGGAUACUUAUCUCCCCUCAUAUGAAGCAGCCAUUGAAGUAGGUACAGCAAUCUCUGAAAUCUGUUGCUGGUAGAAGAUGACUGGUAUCCCCACGGAUUUGUUGUAAAAAGAAAAAAAAGAACAAUCUUUUCUUCAUUUUUUCAUGUUGUUUCCACUUUAGGGCCCUUACAACAUAACAUAAAUUAUCUUUUCAUAAAAAGUUAAAAAAGAUACACCAUUUUCUUUGUCACUUUCUUGAAAAUUCUACUGCAAUAAAGCUGAAACUUCCACUAAUGCUUCAUACAAUACUUGACUCAAUACCCUUUACAGGGAAUCAGUUCACUACCACAAAUCCACUAACAAAAAAGUCAUAUUCUAUGUGAAGAUUAAAGCAACUCGUGAUAUGCAUGGAAGAUGUUUGAUGAAAUGACUGAAAGAGUAUUCAAUUAAAAAAGACUGCAGCAACAGAGUAGGGAUGUUACCUUCUUUCUUUUUCUCAAUAAACAAAGACCAUUAGCAAUGGAUUGUGGAAAAAUUUCAUCUUUUUUGAGUAAAGUGGCUUAUAGUGUCAAUGAAGUGGUCGAGAAUAUAAUUCGAGGUUUCAGGUUCAAGUCCCUGAACUAGAUGAACUAAUAAAAUUCAUACCUCACAAGAUUCCAUAGACUGAUGCUGAAUAGUGAUCAUGUCAGAUGAGUUGACUGGAUACUUUUCAAUGGGGAAAGGAGGAAGAUAACGUUGACCAAGAAUUCUUAUAGAAACAAGAAAAACUCCACUUGCAAGGACCAUGGAGAUUUGCCUUUGACAUAGAAAUGCUUCUCUACAAUCCAAAAGGAGAAAAUAUUGUUAUCCAUUUGGUUCCGGAAGACAACUUUUGUACUUAAAGUAGUCAAUUUAGAUAAAGAAAACUUGAAGUCAUAUUCGAUACUCACAAAAAUAUAGAGAAUGCAUGAAUGUGAAGGAAGGCAAGAUCAAAGAAGAUACCAACUAGCCAUUCAGUAAAACACAAACCACCUCCAAAAGGGAGUUCAAAUACUUCAAAUAGCAAACUAAUGAGAGUGCUUUAUUAAAAGGCAUAGUCAUAAACAGGACAACUUGACAUCAAAUUAUAAUUAUGGCCUGUACAAGUAGGUUCUUUACCUAUACAAAAAAUCUCAACAAAAAAAUGCUUCAAUCUUGCAACACAUAUGCGUGAAAAUCGAUCCUACAUGGACUAGUACUCCAACCAAAUGCUGCCACCUAAUUGAAAAGAUACACGUAGAUUUUAGAUAUUAAAAAAAAAAAAAAAUUUAAUAUAUCACCAUCACAAAUACAUGUACUUUUUAGACUUUUUUUCCUUAAAAAUAAUAAUAAAAAAUGCCAUUAUUAAAAUAACAUUCAAGUCCGAUGAAAAUUGAAAGGUUCAUUUAGAAGAAAAUGUUAAAUCCGAUGAAAACCCUACCAAAUUUCCAUCUCUUAUUCCCUUUUAAUUAAGGAAAACUUAUUGAAAUUAUCCAUUGGAGCUUCACAAAAUAAAAGCCAUUUAACAUGAAGUCUGCACAAUUCCUUUAAAACUGUUAGCUCUUCGGAUAUUCAAAUGAAGCAUACACCAUCGUCUAAAGGAGAAACUGAGAAGAGCAUUAGAUAAUUGAUCAUACUUUUCUUAAUUGGGUUACUUUUUUAUUUUUUAGAGUGGUUGGAGAAAAUAAAAAGUGAAAAUUUGAUUUGUAUAUAUAUAAAAAGGAUUCCUUAAGGGUAUAAUAGUCAUUUGAGCAUUAUUUUUACUAUUGGGGGCUCUAAUUUUUAUCACACGUGCGAUAUUUUGUGUGUAAUCACGCAUUUUGUCAGGUAGGAUUGGAGUAUUUUUUUAUUCAGCUAUUGUAUAGUUAAAGGACUUACUUAUGCAUGAGCAAAGUUACAGGUCAUAGUUAUAAUUUGAUGUCAAUUUAAAGGUCUUAUUUAUGUAUUAUGGCUUAUUAAAACUGUAUUUGUUUACCAAUUAAAAGCUUCAAAAGAAGACCGGCUACAGAAGAAAUUCUCAGUUCAUGGAUAAUAACAAAUAAAGCAGGUAUGAAAAGCGCUUACACGUCAUACCUUGAAAGAUUUUGCAACAACACCCGAUGAUAAUUGCUAGUAGUAAUAUAUAAAAACACCUAAUUGAUAUGUGUUAAAGCUAUAAUGAAUGUACUAUAAUUUGAUAGAAUCAUGAAAUCUUUUACACUUUAAUAGUGACCUAGUUUUAAUAAACAUAUAUAGGUGUCUAUAGAUAGAUAAAGUAAAUCUUGUAUGUAUAUAUAAAAGUGUAAUCUAAUUAUCUAAUGCUUAAUCACUUAUUUAAUACAAUGUGAUUUCAUGCUAGGUCGUUAACUACCUAAUUGUUAUAUAUAAAAAUAUACAAUAUGUGCUAAUGAAUGUACCUUAUCGAAAUUAACUAAAACUUAACUCAUGUAGAAAAAAAUAUCACGAGUAAUAAACGUACAUGAAUUGAUAGACAUAGUAAUUAAAUUUCGUUUGUCCAUACAUCUAUUAUGAACAUUAGCAUCAAGUUUGACGCAAAAUUUAAAAGUAAUUCUUUACAAGUAAAAUAAUACAUCUUCUUUAUUUUCUAAAAAUUCCAUUUGCUCUCAUUUUUUUAUUUUUUAUUUUUUUGAAGUUAUCAGCGAUAUAGUAAAAACAUAAUGUAUAAAUCCCGCCCACCCCCCACCCCCCACACCACGAAAAAAANNNNNNNNNNNNNNNNNNNNNNNNNNNNNNNNNNNNNNNNNNNNNNNNNNNNNNNNNNNNNNNNNNNNNNNNNNNNNNNNNUGUGGCAUUAAAAACUAAAUACAUAUUUAUAGAAAAGUUUGGUUAACUUCCACAAAUUUUAAUUACAACAAUUUCAUGUCUUUCUUGCAUCUUUUUAAACCUAUAUAGACUUCUUUAUAAUACAUAUUUAGAAUGUCAGUUAGACUAACCUGAAAAAGUAAAACUAUGUAAUUAUUAGGAAUAAUUACAAUGCCCAUCAAGUUCACUUUCUCCUCUCUUGUCGCCGCCUUCCCACUUUUUUGCUUCUUUGGCGCCAUUUUCACUAGUGAUAAGGAUAAAAGAAAGCGUAGGAGAGAAGAGCUGAUCAAAUAGCAAAGUGGUAGGAGAAGCAAACAGAAACACAUGUGAUGUGGCAUUGUCAUUUCCCUUUCUUGAUUAAAUAGGCGCUUAAUACUACCUAGAGACAACAUAAAACAAAAAUACUCAUCAUUGAUUUGUUUGCUGACCAUUAGGCUACCUCGGAUUCUUCCCUCUAGAUAUUAAUGAGGUGGCUGGGAAGGAUAGAUCCCAACUUAUUAUACACGGAUAAGGAUAUUUCUCGUCAAUCUAAUACUGAUAUAGUUCCUAUAGCCAUAUUCCUUGACUUUCCUAGACUUAUUAGUAUAUUCCUUCUAUUUUCUUACUGGAAUGGAUAUUCUAACAACAAAUGGCCUAGCUUAGGUAGUUGGCAGCACUUUAUCGUGAGCUGCAUCGGAAAGAGUAUCCAAUUUAUGCUUUAUGGAAAGGGUACUACUUAGUGUAUAUAACAUUUCUAAGUUGGUUCUCACAGGUAAACAAAGAGGUGGAUCAUCUGAUCAUAAAAUAGAUCAUCCCGUUCGUCCCAUUCUUUGAUUAUGAUCGUACUGGAUCGGACGAUUCUGAGCAUCCUGCUUUUAACAUUCAUUCUACAGAACGAAAAAAAACUUGUUUUAUUUUGCUUUUCUAUUUUUUUCCUUUUGUGUGUGAUUGUAUUCUAGUUAACCCACAUUCUUUCCGCAACAGCCAUAUAUCAAUUAUGUUGUGAAAGAUGGACCAUUUAGCACUAGUGUUGACUCUCACACCAUCAGCUCUACCAAAAACGGAUUGUUAGACAUUACUCGAACAAAAGGCAGAAGAUUAACAGGAGGCAUACCUGGAGCUAAUUUAGCUAACUGCUCAUUGUUAAAUAUACAGGGUCUGGUCGGUGUGGCCGCGACAAGGACUUGGUUUCAGAUGGGAAACUUAGUGAGUCAGCAUAAUGGGGAAUCCAGCGAAUCGUUGAAAAUAACAGAUCCUUUCUGCAGUGUAGGAACAAACAAAAUCCAUUUAUAUUACAUGCCUAUCUGUAUUCGUGCACUUAAUUCCUCUAAAAUAUUUUGGUUUUACUUAUUCAAUUUACAAGUUCCCCCCUGUUGCAACAAUAAUACUAAGAGGAAACAGUGAGAUGUAUUGCAACCAUCUAGCAUUUCUGAAAACAGAAUCAUGCACAAAUCAAUUGCUAAAACAAAACAAUACAAAACAACAAUCUUUACAUGAAUACAGCAAUUUAGAAAAAGUUGAAACAAACAAGUGAGUUGGAACAACAGAUUCCAAAAUCAUGUUCAAUAUGCAAGAAGUUGAAUCUUGAUCUUCUGCAGCAUCCCUACAACAUCUUUCAUGUUUGUCCUUCUUCCCAGAGAUUCAGCACAACAAUCUAAUGCAACUUUCAUGAUUGAAGCCACAACAUCUAGCUCCUUCUGAUUACCAGUUGCUGUUAUCAAGUUGGCAUCUACGACGUCCAUUAUUGCCUCUGGGAGUGAAUAGCUCACCCAUUGCUUCAAGCUAAGGUCACCCUUAAACUCAUUAGGCUUUCUCCUAGUAAAUGUUUCCAGCAACAUGACCCCAUAACUAUAGACAUCACACUUUGUUGACACUCGUCCUUCCAGACCAUACUCUACAGUCAAAUAAUUCAUUUAAAGAUGCAAUAUGCUUUCUACNNNNNNNNNNNNNNNNNNNNNNNNNNNNNNNNNNNNNNNNNNNNNNNNNNNNNNNNNNNNNNNNNNNNNNNNNNNNNNNNNNNNNNNNNNNNNNNNNNNNNNNNNNNNNNNNNNNNNNNNNNNNNNNNNNNNNNNNNNNNNNNNNNNNNNNNNNNNNNNNNNNNNNNNNNNNNNNNNNNNNNNNNNNNNNNNNNNNNNNNNNNNNNNNNNNNNNNNNNNNNNNNNNNNNNNNNNNNNNNNNNNNNNNNNNNNNNNNNNNNNNNNNNNNNNNNNNNNNNNNNNNNNNNNNNNNNNNNNNNNNNNNNNNNNNNNNNNNNNNNNNNNNNNNNNNNNNNNNNNNNNNNNNNNNNNNNNNNNNNNNNNNNNNNNNNNNNNNNNNNNNNNNNNNNNNNNNNNNNNNNNNNNNNNNNNNNNNNNNNNNNNNNNNNNNNNNNNNNNNNNNNNNNNNNNNNNNNNNNNNNNNNNNNNNNNNNNNNNNNNNNNNNNNNNNNNNNNNNNNNGCAUCAGUUGCUUGGAUCAAUUCAUAGUAUGAAAUUCUUUCUCUUGUUAUGGCAGACAAUGAAUCAGCUUGUUGAGGAGCUCUUUUACCUUUUCUAUACCUUAUCCAGAAAAAAAUAAUGGUGCUAGGAACAAUUCCCAGCAAAAGAGAAAGAACUAGCAAUUUUUUCCUAUUCAAUCUGUGCUUUGAAGAAGUGGGGCAUGGCGGGACACUAAAUCUUGAAGAACCACACAAUGCUUCAUUGUAGAUGAAAAAUUGACUCGACAGCUUCUUGAAAGGACCUCCCGAGGGUAUUUCACCGUGCAAUUUGUUGACAGAAAUAUUGAAAUAUUUCAAGUUUUGAAGUUUCUCCAAAGACUUAGGAAUGAUUCCAGAUAUAUUAUUAUGAGAAAGGUCUAGGAAUUCCAAGCCUACCAUGUUGCUCAUUGAGUCAGGUAUAGCUCCUUGUAACUUGUUGUGUCUCAAAGAAAGGUUUGCCAUAUUUUGCAAACCUCCAAUUUCUCUUGGAAUUUCAUUUGAGAAUUUAUUCAUCGAUAGAUCCAUCUUUAUUACAGCCUUUAGAUUUCCAAUUUCUAGAGGUAAAGAACCUACCAUGUUGUUUGACGAUAAGUCAAGAACCAUUAGAUCCUUAAGAUUCCAUAAGCUUGAUGGUAUAAUGGAACUCAAUUUAUUGGAAUCCAGAUGUAUCUCUCUAAGGGAAGUAACAUUCCCCAAACAAUUCGGAAGAGAUCCUGAAAGUUGAUUUUGACUGAAGUAAAUAGCACCCAAACGUUGUAAUUUACAAAAAUUAUCUCUAAUAAAUCCGGUAAAUUUGUUGUUACCCAAGUCAAAGUGCUGAAGGUUUUCCAUCUUGCCAAUUGAUGUGGGAAUCGAUCCAACUAAGUUAUUUCCAGAAAGAUCAAGGUCUAACACGCUGCUUAAGUUCCCAAUUUCAUCUGGAAUUGGCCCUCUGAUUUUGCAACUGUUGGCGUAAAAUUUUAUUAGAGAUGUGGAAAAGUUUCCUACAGAGACUGGAAGCAUUCCAUUUAGUGGAAUCAAAUUUAGAGAAAGGUUUGUUAAAUUUCUGCAAUUGGUUAAGGAAGUCAGGAAGCUUAAUGAUGAAUCGCUGGUUAAAUUGUUUUCCGCCAAGUUUAGGUACUGUAAGAGAAGUAGGAAUCAAGCCAGUGAGUUUGUUGGAUGGAAGAUCAAGAAAAGUUAGUUCUGAACAAUUUGAGAUAGAAUCAGGAAUAGUCCCAACUAGAUUGUUUAUGUUGGCCAGAUCAAGCUCUUCAAUGUUGGGUAAUAUAGAACCAAUGUUUGGUGGGAGGAUUCCUGAUAGAUUAUUGUUGUCUGUAAGUGAAAUUGCUCUCAGCCCUGAUAUGUUGAAGGUCUCCAUGUCAAGUCGACCACUAAAACUAUUAGCAGCAAGAUCAAGUUUCUCCAACUGAACGAGAUUGCUUAUCUCUUUGGGUAUUUCACCUGGCAACAUAUGAUGAAAGGUGUACUGAUGAGUUUAACUAGUUAGCUCAACAUAGUAUAAGUUGCAUUUUUAGCUACCAUUCUGAAUACGUACCAAUAAAUGUAUUAGUACUAAGAUGUAAAUGCUGCAUCUUUGUUAAGUUGCCAAUCUCCCUUGGUAAGGUACCCUUGAGAUUGUUGGCUGACAAUGACAAUAGUUGCAGAGAUGUGAUAUUGAAUAUGGAGAUUGGGACAGAGCCGGUAAUAUGGUUUUUCUCCACGCUUAACUUCACCAAAUUAAUAAGAUUUCCAGUUUCUUGUGGAAUUAUCCCUGUAAUUUAUGUGUAAUUCAAAAGUAUAUAUGUAAGAAAUAUAAUGCGAGAAAUAAUUAUCAACAUUAAAUUAGGCCUAUACAAGCUUUUCUUUAUAUAGUAAUACGGGGCAAAUGUACAACACUCGUUCCCAGAACUAAUAAGAUAAAACAUACCAGUGAAUUGGUUUGUUCCUAGAUACAAUUCCUGCAAGUUAUUCAAUCUUCCAAUUUCUUUACGUAUUGGUCCAUCAAACUCAUUAAAUGACAAAGACAAUACUUGAAGUUGUGAACAAUUUGACAAGCUUGUAGGCAUACAGCCGUGAAGAUUGUUUUUGGAUAGAUAAAGCCCUUUGAGUAUUGGGAGACCAUUGCAUAAACCAUUGGGAAGAUCUCCUGAGAAGCUAUUGCCAGUAAAUGAGAUGAGUUCGAUUCUAGAAAUAUUGAAAAUUGUUAAUGGUAUAGAACCCGUAAGUUGAUUAAAUUGCAUGGCCAACCAGUUCAUGUUGUGAAGAUUUCCGAUCCCUUCUGGAAUGUUUCCUUGAAGUGAAUUAUAAGAUAUUUUUAAAGUCUCCAACCUUGAGGCAUUAGAGAGUGACAAAGGAAUAGAACCUAUCAGUUUGUUUCCACUUAAUUCUAAAAUCCUCAAGUUUACAAGACUUCCAAUCACUUUUGGUAUUUGGCCCUCUAUGGAAUUGAAUUUCAGAUUCAAAGUCUCAAGUGUGGAAAUAUUAGAAAAUGAAGAAGGAAUAGAACCACUGAAACUAUUAUUCAUAAGACUUACAAAUUGAAGUUGGUGUAAAAAACCAAACCAAGAAGGAACCUUUCCUAUGAAGUUGUUAAAACUUAACCUAAGAAAUUUAAGCCGACGCAAGUGUGCCAUUUCUUGAGGCAAGUUGCCCUGGAAACUGUUGCUUUCCAAGUCAAGAGAAACAAGAAAUGUGAGGUUUCCAAAAUCGCGAGGGAUCCUGCCUGUAAGAGCCAUGUUGGAAAGAUUCAAAGACUUCACUUGCUGGUGGCGAGAACCACAAGUGACACCCACCCAAAGGCAUACAGAAAUAUCGGGAGACCAACUUUCAUCCAAGAAGUGAGAAGGGUCUGAAAUGAUUUGGGAUUUCAAAGAGAGAAGAGCCGAUUGAUCAGUGGUAAUGUUGAUUUGGGUCAUGGCUGAACUAGCCAUAACAUAUUGAAGCAACAAGAGUACUAUUAGGAGAAAAGAGGUGAAAGCUUUCUCCAUAAUUGCAUAAAUUGGUAGGAAUAUGGAUAUGACUGGCAAUAAUGUGAGUUUGAGACUUUAAAAAGCAAAGAGAUAUCUUGCUCUUUCUUUUAGAAUAUCUUUUCAUUCAAACAUCGGUUAAGGCAAAAGGAAAAGCUUGCUUUUUUUUAUGUCAUCUCAAGAGUAAUAAUACAACUAAAGAAAGAAAAAGAAACUGUCUUUAAAUUGUUAAAGUGGCAGACCAAGAAAGAAAUAUGUCGUAUUGACUUGAAAAGGAGUCUUCCACUAACUUUAAUACCCAAAGGUAAGAUGUUCAAUUGAAAGAAUGAAUUCUGUACAUAUUUAACAAACAAAAAUUAAAAAUAUUUGACAAAGACUAAAAAUGUUACUCCCACUUUACAAACUUAAAGGGCCAAAACUGUUAAAUACAUGCUUGAGAGACCAUCUUGAAUCCACCAUUAUACAUAAGAUCCCAUUAGUGUUAUUUUAUCCUAACUUUUACAACCAAAUGUAAGGAUGCAAUAACACAGCAAGAACGAAUUGGAUUAAUAUUAGAGAUAAGUAUUCAGUACCUCCGAACUAUGGCCAAAGUUACUACGACAUACUCCAACUUCACAGGGAUUCUAUUACCCCUUAACUCAAUUUUAGCUUAUUUUUUCACCCUAUUGUGCAAAUAUGACACCUUUAUUACAUAAAAUGAGGCUCACAUCAAAGGUACUACAUCAGCUAAAAAGGCUGACAAAAGGUGCCACAUCAUCUAAAAUGGUUGACAAAAAUAAGCUAAAAUUUAGUUCGCGGGUAAUAGGACCCCAUGAGAUUGGAAUGUGUCGUAGCAAAUUUAUUCUUAGUUCAGGGUUCUAGAUUCUUUACUCUUAAAAUUACAAUGAAUUUAUAAGAAAGAUGUUCAUGUUUUAAAUGACUCUUCCUUGCUAAAGUUACCAAUAAUUUCAAUAUUACAAUGACUUCAUAAGAAAGAUAUUCACGUUUAAAAUGAUUCUUUCUUUGAGGAAGUACCAAUAAUUUCCCUUCUUAGACCUGUACAGGGAACAAGAAAUAAAGUUGUGGGCUCCAAAGAAAAAUUAUAAAAAAGGAAACGUAAGGGACAGAUAUGAAAUUCACACUUCGAAUACCUUUUCUUGAUUGGAGUAUUAUUUUUGAUUUACAUCAUAACAAUAGUGACUUAGUUUUGGCAAACCAAAAUCUAACUAGUGUCAGCUAUGGGGUUCAUUGGGAUUUGUAUCUUUCGAUCCCAUAUCAACAUAUCAACAACUUUUUAUGUUUGAACCCAUAAUUUUGAUAUUUCAAUGUGUUCAAAUUGAAAGAACUACUGAUAUAACAGCCAAUGUUACAUACUUUUUUCAUUUUCCAGAAGAGAAUAUUACGGCUUCCGUAAUAUGUGGACACAUCCAAAGACCAUACGAACACGGGCUGUUACUUCGAGGUAUAUUACAAAAGCUAAAUCAGCAAACUUAAUCUUUCAUGAUAAUAUUUGGACUUUUCACAUUCAUACAGCACAUUUUCCUGUAUGAAGAAAAAACAGGUUCGUCUGUUCCGGCAUGUCAGAAGCAGACGUAGGGCAAUCUCUGUACGGACCUCCUGGAACGAAUAGGAUCUAGACCAUAGUGUUGAUGCAGUAGUUUCUGGUAUGAGGAGGGUAGUGUACAAGCAGACGUUACCUUUACCAUGUGGGGUAGAGAGGUUCCGAUGGAUCCUUGGAUCAAGUGAACAUAUUACAAAGCAGUUCUUAGAAGAGAAAUGGCGAGAGAGAAGAAGCCGAUACAAAAUGCUAAAGAAAGCAUGACAAUGCAUACAAAAAAAGGAACCGCGAGCAGCUGUAAAAAGAGGAAAGAAAUAGUGAAGACGGUGUGUGUGUGUGUGUGUGUGACUUUGAGGGUCAAUUUAUUCAUAAGACGUCUUAACAACUACUACUGAGUAAUAAAAACACAGAUUAGGAGACCUACCUUCUAUACCACCACCACCAUCACUACUAGUACUAUUUCUACUACUACUAAGGCUAGCACAACAACCCUUUUGCUUUCCCUUUUUCAUGAUCUGUUAGUCAAAGGAUGUCUCUCCUUGUAUUUGUUGUUUUUGUUGUUUAAUGUCACACAAGCUAUGUUAUGUUACAGAUCAUUAGUCUACCUUCUAGACAAUUUACUUCUACCACCUAGUUUCUUUACAAGUCAGAGAGUGAGGAGAAAUAGAGAUUUAACCACCCACCACACCAUUGUAAACUAUCUUUUAUCUAAUGCCUAACGAUGAAACACGAAGAUGCAGACUAUGGAAGGUGUACCCCCUUCUACGUCCUUCCAUAUCGAACAGUCUACUUUCAUCCAUUCGUAAUGUCCGGGAAGGGGCUUCCCAUUAACUGGAUCAAAGUUGUACCUUCAGAUGGUUCCAAACACUGAAAAAAUUAGACACGGUGUGCAAUGGAAAUAACAUGUACAAAGAUGUGUGAAAUGAAAAUUUCAUACUUCUCAAUGAAUUUUUUCAAUUCCUGCUCUUCUCCACUGGAGAAAAAUUCAUUCAUUUCACGAGCUGUUGGGAUAAUCGUUUGCCUCGAGUUUGCCUCAUUUGCAUCAAUACUCCUCGUACUGGAACCAGGGGUCUAAAUGUUGUCCAACUUCCUCAUUUCCCUCAUAGACCUGUACAGGGGACAGGAAAUAAAGUUGUGGGCUCCAAAAAAAAUUACAAAAAAGGAAAUUUAAUGGACAGCUAUGAAAUUCACACUUUGAUUCUUUGAAUAGAUUUUCUGCAUUAACUUUGGCUUUAUACCGGUGGACAACCUAAUAUUAACAUCAUAACAAAUAUUGACUUAGUUUUGGCAAACCAAAAUGUAACUAGUGUCAGCUAUGGAUUCACCGGGUUUUGUAACUUUCGAUAUAGAGUAUAUAUAUAUAUAUAUAUAUAUCAAAAAUGCUACUGAAAUAUCAACAACUAUUAUGUUUGAACCCAUAAUUUUAAUAUUUCAAUGUAUUCAAUAUUGAAAAAGCUACUAAUGUAACAGCCAAUGUUAUAUACCUUUUUCGUUUUCCAGAAGAGAAUAUUACGGCUUCUGUAAUAUGUUGACACAUCCAAAGACCAUAUGAACCCUGGCUGUUACUUUGAUGUAAUUACAAAAGCUAAAUCAGCCAACUUCAUCGUUCAUGGUAAUAUUCGGACUUUCCACAUUCGUAUCAGCAAUCAAAGUUUGUGUCUGUUUUCCUUCAUGAAUCUGCUCUACGCGCACAUUUUCCUGUAUGAAGAAACAACAGGUUUGCCUGUUCUGGCAUGUCAGAAGCAGACGUAGGACAAUCUCUGUACGAACCUCCUGGAAUGAAUAGGAUCUAGAGCAUAGUGUUGAUGGCAGUAGCUUCUGUUGCAAAAUGUGUCCUAAAAAAGUACUAACAUUAUUUUUUUCCAAAUCGUCAACGUCAUUUCCAUUUUCAUCAUCGUGAAGCUGCUGCGUACAUGGUUCUAUUUGGAGUUUCGUUGUUUCGCAAAUUUUGAUCUUCCGAUAAAAUGGUCAGCCGCCCCUCUGCUCCCAAUGGCUUUCUGAUUUCUGGAUGUGAACUCAUUGCUUUUUCCCACAUAGGGGUAGAGGGUAUAGGACACACAAAAUUUAAACUAACUAUCGACAACAUUAUGAACUUACGUGCACCUGAUUCUGAUUACUCAUCUGCAGCACUAUUGCUAAUUGGUUUACAGCUUUGCAGCAUUUGCUAUUUUUAUGACUGUAAAUAUCGUCUCGCACACAAUUACUCAAACAGAUAUAUAGCUUUGCAUUCAUAAAGUUAACUCUGCCUCGAUCACAAAAUACUGGUUGGUAUGAAAUGGUCAGCCACCCUUCUGCUACCAAUGGAUUUCCCAUAUAGGGGUAGAGGGUAUACCUAACUAUUGACAACAUUCUGAACUUGAGUGCACCUGAAAAGAAAUUGAACGAACUGGAUGUACUAAAACUAUAGUUCGACUAUUCCGCACUGGCGGAGCAACCUUGAAUCUAGGGGGUUCACCCCCUUCUAUGGAAAAUUAUAUUAUUUUGAUACAUUUUUACAUGGUCAAAAGUAUUUUUUGUAUAUAUAAUAGAUGUUGAACCCCCUUCGACUACUCCGUAUGUUUACUUCUGAACCUCCACAAUGAAAAUCCUAGCUCUGCCACUGCUGAUCAGUGCAUCUUCCUUUUGAUUAUUCUGAGGUACAAGAGUGUCGUGCAACCGAGGAUACAAACUGGAUAUACUAAAACUCGAGUUUGACUUGACUCGUUUCGUUUCUUCUGUAACAUUAUUCUUAUUAUUAUCUUUUUGACACACUGGUUUCCUCUAGAUUCUGAUUACUACUGCUAAUUGGUCUACGGAUUUGCAGCAGUGGCUAUUUUAUGACUCUAUAUAUUGUCUCGCAUACCAUUACUCGAACAUAUAUAUAGCUUUGUGUUCAUACAGUUAACUCUACCUCGAUCACAAACUAGUUGGUUGAAAUGAAUCUUAGGUCUCCAUUCCACUCUAUAACGAACACUUUAUUACACUAAAAAAAAUUGAGCUUUAAGAAAAAUUAAGUUCUCUAAAACUAGACGUCCUCUUUGUCAUCUACAGAAAUAAAAUUAUGCCAGUAAGACAACCAAUUGGAAACAACCAACACUUAACUAACAACUAAUCUAAAACAGUUAUAACUAACUGCACUGCUCUAAUAUGGAUUAGCAUACCCGCCACCCCCCACCCCAUCAAGCUGGAAUUUGGGAAUGAGUUUCCAAAUAUUGAGGUUGAAUCAUCCGUUAUUUGAUUUUCUCCCCGACGAAAUGGAAAUCUAUGUCGAUAUGAUUAGCCCUCACAUACAAAAUAGGAUUAGAGGCUAUCUGUAUAGAAGCCGUGUAAUCUCAUCGGAGCAUGAACUGGUAACCCUAAUUCUUGCAACAAACCAACCAGCUUUUAAAACAUUUGUAUUACUUGCCUAUUUGUAUUCAUAUAGCUGAUUCCUCUAUCGAAUUCGAAGAGCUCUAGCUAACUGUUUGCUGUUUCCUGGUCUUCCAUGAAAUAACGGAAUUGCGUAAACUUGAUGACAUAACUAACUUCCUAUUGAGUCACAAAAUUCUUCAAGCUGGUCCAUACCACCCAUGGAAAAGAAAACACCCAAUCCGAUAGAGCUUUUAACAUAUCUGAGAUUGUUUUGGAAAAGCACCUGUACUGCAAAAGCCUAUUUGUUUUAUAAUGAGGAAUGAAGAAUGUCUGCAAUCUCGAAAACACACAAAUGUACAAAGGAGAGGAAAUAAAAAAGUACAACACGACAAUUGAAUAUCCUUCCCAGGAAAUUACUGACUGAUUUGGUGUUUGCCUAGAAAACGAAAAGUAAUAAAAUCUUUUUUAUGAGAAUUUUCCAUUCACACAUAUUUUAAGGAAAAAAGGAGUAACUUUCCUUUAUUCAUUAAUUAAGUCAUCUACAGACUAAUAAUAAAAAAAAAGAAACAAAAAAAAAAAUGACUUUGAUUUGUUUAAGUGGCAGACCAAGAAAGAAGACUCAAAAAGGAGUCUUCUUAUACCAAAUGUAAGAUGCUCAUUGGAGGAGCAAGAAUGAAUUGAAUAGAUUUUCAUAAUUUGAGUUCACAACUUAAACAGUACUGACUAUAAUUUCAUAAUAAAUAGGAAUUUAGUUUUGGCAAACCAAAAUUUAACUAGUGUCAGCUAUGGCUUCACCGGGAUUCAUAUCUUUUGAUACGGAGUAUAGAUAUAUAUGGAAAAAGCUACUAAAACAUCAACAACUAUUAGGUUUGAACCUCUGAUUUUAAAGGAUUUCUCAGAGUAAACCCCGACAAAGUUUGUUAUUACUCAUGUGCAAGCCCUGAAGGUCUCUUAAGUAGCCAAUUGAUGUGGGAAUCGAUAGAUCCAAUUAAGUUGUUUAACAUGUGUAACGCCCUGUAAAAAAUUGGGCAAUGCGUUGUCUCUUAUUAGAAUAUGCAUGGAAUAAGAAACUUGAAAAUAUUCUAAGUGUCAAAAGGACUUAGUUACAUUUUGAGCUUUCAAUCGUCGGGAAUCUUAUUUUUGACCUUACAGACUUCUGAUUUUCUAUUUUUAAGUUGCAUUACGAUCGGGCAAGGUCGUAGUACAUCUCGGGUAAGUUUCGAAAUUUUUAGACGAGCUUAAGAUCAUGUUUGGGUUGGCAAAACAGUAGCAAAAGGCGUUAAGGGGGUGCCACCCAGGUCCCUCCCUCGCUCUAAGCGGGGCGCCGCCCUAGUCUUACCCCCGUUAUAAGCAGGGCGCCGCCCUGGAAACUCCUGUUGGGCUAAAUUUUAGCAUCUCCUCUCCGACUCUUUAAGGGUAAAUUGGGUAAUUCCCAAACCCUUAUUAACCUUAACACGAGAUUUAAUCCUAAACACACCAAAAUACAAUCAUAUUCAUCUAAAAUCCACGAAAACUCUCCUUAGGGUUUAAAACUAAUAACCCUAAUAGUUCAAGAUUCAACCAUGAGUUUUCAAAACAAAUAGAAGAUUUGGAAUCGCUGCAACGUAGGCUUCAAGAAGCACCCAUCACUUUCUGAAAUAGAGGUACGCGGCGAUCUCCUAAAAAUCUCAUGGGCUUAAAAAUUCAUGUUUUAAAAAUGGGGAUUUUGAAAUUAUGAAUAUAAUCAUGUUUUAAACAUCUCUAUGAUAUUGAUUUGGUCUUGAAGCCUAUCCCCGAAGUGAUUUGAUAUAUUAUAUAUGUAUAUGCAUGUGAUUCAAAAAGAUGUUAACUUGAGAGCAUGAAUUAUAUGAAAUCCCUCUCUUGAUAUAAUUUUGUUUUAAAUUAUCAUAUGAUGUGAAUUGUUUGAAAAUCAUCUUGAAAAUAAUGAUGUGAUACUGAUGACUUGCAAGUCGAGUAUGACGAUACCCUACAAAACAUGAUAUGUGAUUUUAUUAAAUGAAGUUGAAUGCAUUGAUUUUACAUGAGAUAUGUGGAUGCCCGAAGAAGGCGUUUGAGUGUAAGGGCUCAUCGCUGGAAACCGUGUUUGCCAACAUGGGAAUUUAGUACCCUGCUUUGUGAUCUUGCGUACCUGACUUUAUGUCAUCCUAAAUUGGGACUAUGGUUAGGAGCCUUGCUUUGUGAUCUUGUGCACUACCAUACUUUAUUGGGCCGAGACACCCUGCUGUGUGAUCUUUUAUGUCUUCCCCUCACUUAUACUCUAAUCUCGGAGGCAACCGAGGUUUGACAGUUGGUGUAAAUGUGAUAUUGUAAGGUAUGCCACCUAGCUCAGCUGCAUUGCAUUGUUGUAAAAAAAAAUUAUUACAUUAUGCCCAUGAAUGAUUUCAUAUGAAACUUCUUUAUAAUGGCUCUCACUUAUAAUUUGUAAAAAUAUUUUUUGAUUUUUGAUUUCUCUGCGUACCAGUACAUCUGUUUUGACCCCCUUCCCUCUCAGGUUCGGAGGCACAGUCUAGGGGUCCAGAAAAUCAGUAGAUUCUCAGGCAGAUUUGCAGAGUCACUUGGUGAGCCUUCUAUAUUCUGGAAGCCCUGAUUGUUUGGCAGUUUUAGUUACCACUUAGUAGUUUUGGGUAUACUGGGGGCCUUGUCCCAGUUUUCGGAAAGUUGUUUAUUUCAGUCAUGUAGUAGAGAUUUCGCUGAUGGUAUAGAGAUUGUGGGACAUUAUUACCCAUUAUAGUUUCCAUAUGAUUCUUGGCCAUGUUUUUAAAUAUUAUUUAUCUUCCGCAUUUGUUUUUUCAUAUGAGUUAUGUGCAUGAUUACCAGACAGAUAGGGGUGUUUCGAGCCUUUAUGAUUCGGAAUACUUGUCACGGCUAGGGCCCCGGUUCGGAUCGUGACAAACUUAGUAUCAAAGCAUGUUUCAUGAUCCCAGGGUGUCUGCGAAAUCGCGUCAAGUAGAGUCUUAUUUAUGGGUGUGUAGCGCGCCACAGUUAUAAGCAGGAGGCUACUAGGCAUUUAGGAAUGUCUCUCUUUCUUCAUGUUCUAGUUCGUGCAAUAGAGUCAAAGUGUUCCUCUUUCAUACUCUCAUUAGUGCUAUGGUGUCGCCCAUAUGAAAGUAAAGUCAUUCCAAAAUUCUUUCCUUACUCUGAUGUUCUCAGACAUGUCCCAUUAUUAGGGUGAUUCAAGUGCAAGAACUUUAUAAUCUACAUGAUAUAGUCCUUUUCAAUUGAGUCAUAUAAGAUUUUAAAAAUUGUGCAAAGACUCGAGAGGAGUCUGUUGGUGCUUCAAUAUGAGUUGAUUCUGAUGUAAACAUUGAUCCUGAUGAAAUCAUGCUUUCCAGAUUAAGGUAUUAAGUGCAUCUAGUCCCUCUCAAAAUCUUGUUACAGAUGUGGACAAUGUAUAGCAGAAUGUUGGAACUAUAUUUCCACCUGAAUAGUAGCAUAAUUUAAAGUGUUGUUGCCAUGACCUAUUAGUAGUGAUAUUGGAUCAAGAAGUUGGUGAUGUAAAGUCACAAAAUUAGAAGUCAGAGUGAGGUUGAUUUUUAUGUAAAUAAAUAUUUCUAUCGAAUAACCGAUGUUUGAGGAUGAUUUACCCCUUUAUAGAGAUAAACUAAUGUGGUAGCUAGUAGCACCUGUGGAUGGUAUGGUAGUCCAUGGGGGAAGUGUUUUACUCAUAUUUUAUUUAUAUAGAGUAAGAUGUGUAUUCUUAGACCAUUAAAUAUUAUGUGCCAAUUUUCUAUCUCUUGUAAUAUGUAAUCUUGUUAUCAUGGUGUUUAUGAAAAAAAAAAUUAAAGUCUAGUGAAGCCGUGUGGGGCUCUUUCGAUUCACUAGCAUAGUUUCCUUGUCAUUCAUCUUUUCCUGUUCAAAAUACAAGAUCAAAGUCUAGUGAAGUCGUGUUAGGCCUAUUUCGAUUCACUAGCAACUUAUUGUCCAACUUGUUGUUCUUGUGUUGGUUUAAUAUAUGUGUAGCUAAAUCUGUUUUCAUGAGAUGAAAUUGGUAAAGAGGUGAUUCGUCCUUGUGGGUUAGUUUAUUAGUAUGUAGAGAAGGAGUUGUUAGUCAGGCUUAUUUGUCAGUUGCUUGAAGUGUGAAAAUGGCAAUAUUAGCCAGUAAGUUAUAAUUAUAGACUCAUGGUUGCUAUAGAAAUUGAAGGUAGUCUAAAUGUAUGAUUGAGUGAGUAAGAAUGAGGUGAGAAAUCCGUAUAAAUAGAAAAGAUUGUAUGGGGCUAUAAUAUAAGAUUAAGGUUGAUCAUGUCUAUUAUGUAACUUUACCCCUUGACCUUCUUUUUGUUGGUAGUUGUAAACUAGUACAACUUGUGAGAAGAUAUGUAGUGGAUUUUGAGGUGUUUGAAUAGAAUAUGUCAAUUUUAUGGACUAGCAUAUUAUGUUGCACUCGUCAUUUGUGAUAGAUGAUGCUAAACUAUAGGAUUGAAUUUAAGUGUAGAAUGUGGUGGUAAAAAUAGUGGCAUGAGAUCGAUGAUGCAUGUUUUGUGGGAUUAAAUUAAUAGGCUUGAUGUGUUAAAAUAGUACGUGCUAAUGGAUUAUGAUAAGGAAAACCGUAAGGUCAAGAUCGAUUAUUGUUGUUAUGAAGUUCUAGUGUACUAGUGUUUUUUGAUGUUUAUUUCAUGGUUUCCAAGUGAGAAUCAUGUGUAAGGUUGGGUUGUAAAAAUUAUGUUUAGCACUAGACAUUAAGUUUGAACAGUUGAAGUCCAUGAAGGUGGAUGUGAUGAUUUCUUGGUUAAUGAUGCUAGUUAUAUGGAAGUGAUCUAAUAGGCUUGAACGGUGUAUGAAAUGGCUUUAAGUUUAAGUUGAUUCAUAAUGAAGUAUAAUGUUGUAGGUAUGGUGUGUAAGUAUGCCCAAGGUGAUAUGGAGUUGUGGAAUUUCUCUAAGACUAUUGCAUGUUUCGUGUGGCUAGUAGUACCAUUGAGUUGCUAGAUGGAGAAAGACUAGUAGAUGUUAUAUGGGUUCUAAGUAGCCAGGUUAAAGAGUUUUGAUUGAUAGUGUUGAGCCUUUUUAUAUGAUCUAGAUUCUCACAGUAAUGAGACAUAAGUUUGGAGUCGCAAUAUUGGUACGCUAUGUCGAAAGUGUUUUGGUUCAUCAAAGGCUUGGUGAUAUCCAUGUUAAGUGUUAGAAUCUAAGUUUGAGUUUUGAAGGUUGAACCGAUAGAAAUAAGUGUGCAAGCAUUAUACUAUGACUAUUGGGGAUAUCAAAAUUUAGAGUGUAUCUCAGAAGGUAGUAUUAGCAGUGGGCUUUCCACUUUCAUGUGUGGGUUUUCGGGUUAAGUUCUAUUAAUUUUGCGUGUUGUCAUAUUUUAGACCCCAGAGUGUAGUGAGUGCGGUUAAUUUUAAAGUCUAGCAAGGGAUCUCCUAAACUUAAGAUGAUGGCUUGAAGCCAAGGAGGAGAUGAUAGAACAAGUAACCAAGUCAGGUUCUCAGAUCCUAGUAGUGGUGUCAUGAUGAUAUAGAACGUUAGAAGGGAAGGGUGAGGCUCGACCCCUUCCUGUCUCAGUAUUUUUCAGUUAUCCUAAUACCUACUCAUACCUCACAUUUCUGUUCUAUGAUCAUAGUUUAUGUUCAUGUAUAUGAUAGAGAAUAACGUGCUCCUGCAGAUUCCUAAAUGAGGAACUUUGGUUCAUUUAACAGUCGGAAUCAUAUUCCAUAUGUUAUGAACUCUAAAUUGAGGUCAUGCAGCUCAUGACUCAUGUAUUCACACUUUAUAUUGUGCUCAGUUCCCAUAAUUCAUGCUAUACUCUUUAUGAUGGGCGAAAUAUAGUUCAUAUCCAUGUGUGCCCCAAUUCAGAUUUUUCUUUGAUAAAUCUCGGAUGUUGAUUUGCUAAUCCUCAGGCUUCAGUUAUGUGUCAGGUUUCAUAUAAUAUCCUUCCAUGCUUCAAGAUCUUAUGUUCUAGCCUUUUGUGACUCCUUCUUAUGUGAGGAUGGUUGUGAGGAGUAAAUGUUUCUUGUUGAUGGAAGAUCAUAGUAUGCUUGUUUUAGAUAAGGCCAUAAGUGUGAAGUAAGAUUGGGGCCAAAUCAUUGAUAUAUGUGAUGGUUAGUGGGAAUCUGUGUGUGUAUGCUCUGGGGGUAGCGCGUGGGAGUUAUAUUGAUAGUGGUUUAGAGAAUGUGUGUAGUAUGUAUUUAUGAAUGUUACCUUGAAGUUCACAUGUAGUUAUGAAAUAGGCUCGAGUGAUAUGUUGGGAUGGUAGUGGAGGAAUGCAAUAUGCGCUAGUGAAUUCAUAGUAAUAGUUCAGAGUUAGCCUUUGAAGUGGUAAGGCAUGAUAUGCUUAGGGUGUGAUCUUUUAAGAGAUAUAGAAAGUGGAAUCUUAUGGCUUAGACUUGUAUCGUUGUAACACCCUGCAUUUCGGGCUAGAAAAAAAACCAUGACUCUGACACAUUGAUAAUCCCAGAGCCUUAAAUCCUAUGCCAAUUUGGCAUGUUAAUCAAUUAUGUAGUAUGUGAAUCCAUUUUAGCAUGAAUUUAGACCAUAAAGGUCCUUCAAAUCAAGGACGAGUUGAAACUAUUUCGAUCGAUUAAGUUUUAGUAGACGUUGUAAUUUGUGUCAUCUUCCAUCGACCAUAACUCUCUUUAUAUGUCGAAUUAGAGAUCCUACUAUGUUUCAAAUGAUAGGUCUUCGAGUUAACUUUCCAACGAUACCAAUUUUGCUAAAAUCCGACACCCGAGCAAAAAGUUAUGGCCUUUCAAAGUAUUAUGCAUCGCCUAACCAAUCGCACAUGGCCACUGAAAAGCAUAUGUGGCGCCUAUGUAAAUAUAGGCGAUAGUAUGUGCGGCGCCUAUGUAAAUAUAGGAGAUAGCAUAUGCGACGCCUAUGUAAAUAUAGGUGAUAGCAUAUGUGGCGCCUAUCUUAUGAUUUCAAGUGACUUAAUUACUCCAUUUUGGGGCAAAAUGGUCCUUUUCCCACCCUUAUUCACCCAUAAACAUGAAAUUCAGUCCCCAAUUCUCCAAAAUAUAUCCAUAUUCAUAUAAAAAUUCUCAAGAACACUCCCAAGGGUUUCUAACUAAAAACCCAAAUAAAUCAAGAUUCAACCGUGGAUUUUCAAAAUUGAUUAGAAAUUCAGAAUUCCCAAUCCACAGGCUUCAAAAAGCACCCAUUAUUUUCCAAAAUAGAGGUACGCGGGGUUUUCCUAAAUUCUCAUGGGCAUAGAAAAAAAUCAUGUUUUAGUAUGGGGUUUUUGAAUCUAUGUAUAUAUUCAUGUACUAAAUGUUUUAACAUCAUUGUUUUGGUCUUUUGACCUGUCCCAAAGUGAUUUGAGAAUAUGAAUGUAUGAAACCAUGUAUUUAAGAAUGAAUUCUUGUUGAGAGCGUGAUUUUCGGUGAAUUUCCUCUUAUUAUGAAUUUUUCAGAUUUCUUAUAGCAUAUGAAUUGUUUUGCAAUGCAUCCUUGAAAAACACUAUAUGAAAUCAUUGAACUCUUGUUAUGAUUUAAAGGUGGUUUUACAUCACUAAAGAGGAAAUCUAGCAUGAAUGUUUAAUGUUCAUAAUGCAUGUAAUGAAAGAGUGCAUGGAUUUGCUAAAGGCACUAGACCACCAUAUGUUGAUGAAGUUUUUGCAUGAUUUUGACUUGAGUUUCAAAACACGAAAUCUUCUAUAUUAGUUGCAUGUUUUUGGUGGUCUAAAUUAUGCUUUAAAUGAAAGAUUUAGCUUAUUGUAUUAUGAAUCAGAAAUCAUGACUUGCAAGUCUUGGUAUGACAAUACCAAUUCAGACCAAUGACAUAUCAGACUCAGACUAAUAAACAUUUUAGACUAUCAUGAUCUUACAUGUUCAGAAUGUUGCAUGUACAGAAAAGGUUAAAAAUGGGCAUACAGAGAUGUUAGGUGGUUCCCUGAAGAGGGCUUGAGUUCAUGCAACUCAUUGCCUAAAAUUGUGAUUUGCCGACUCGGGUAUAUUAUCAUACACAGACUUAAGUGUCGUGUGGCAUAUCAGAUUCACGAACUCCAACCCUUGCGGCAUACUCUAGUUGGGGGCUUCCCGCUGAGUCAAUGACGAAUUUCAUAUCGCUUGUGGAAUAUCAGAUUUGUAGGGGAUGCCACCUAACUCAGAAGUAAUACACAGAUUAGAGUUUGAGAUUUAUAGACAGGUUACAUGUUUUCAGAAGGUGCCCAUGUGUUUUUAGAAACUGUUUUAUGCAUAAUGUUUGAUGAACAUUUGCUCUCAUAUAUUAUAUUAUGCAUAAUUUUUGAUGAACAUUUGCUUAUUAUAUAUAUAUAUAUAUAUAUAUAUAUAUGUUCAAUUACUCUAUUUUGGAUUGCUUCGCGUGCCAGUACAAUUGUAUUGACCCCCCUUCCUCCCAGGUACUGAGGCACAGUCUAGGGGCCCAGAUCCUCAGUAGAGUCUACAGACAAGGUUGUCUCAGAGUUCCGUUUGUGAGCCUUCUUUGCUUCGGAAGGCCUAGUAAUUUAGGUCUUUAUUUUAGUAUGGUUUUUGGUCUGCUGGGGGCCUUGUCCCAGUCAUUCAGAUAGUAUGUCAGUAGAGAUUUUGCAGACUAUUACAGAUGUUUAUUAAAUAUUGUUGGCAUGUUUUCAGGCCUUUAACUAUUUUAAAUGGUUGACCAUGUUUCCAUAUUAUUAUGCCUAUUCCAUAUUACUAUGAUCAUAUGAAUUAUGUGCAUGAUUACCAGAUAGACAGAGGGCGUUCUGGGUCUUUGGGUUUAAGAAUGCUCGUCACGGCCAGGACCCCGGUUCGGGUCAUGACAAACUUGAUAUCAAAGCAUGGUUCAUGGUCCCAGGGUGUCUGCUAAAUCUCGUCGGGUAGAGUCUUGUUUAUGGGUGUGUAGCGCACCACACAUAUAAGCAGGAGGCUAAAAGGGAUUUAGAAAUGUCUGUCUUUCUUCAUAUUCUAGUUCGUGCUAUAGAGUCAGAAUGUUCCUCCUUCAUACUCUAAUUCGUGCUAUGGUGUCACCCAUACGAAAAGAAAAGUUAUCCUAAUUUCUUCCUCACUCUGGUGUUCUAGAUAUUCUCCGAUUAUCUAGCAGAAAUUUCAGAAGUCCCACAAAGGACGGGAGAGUAGUUCCCUAGUGUAAAAUUGUGUCCUCGUUCUUAUGAGGCGUUCAGUUAAGGCAAGAGUAAGAUGUGUAUUCUUGAGUCAUUGAAUAUUGUGUAUCAAGCUUCUAUCUCUUGUAAUCUUGAUAUCAUUGUGUUGUUGAAAACAAAAGUCUAGUGAAGCCGUGUGAGGCCUAUUUCGAUUCACUAGCAUAGUUUCCUUGUCAUUUAUCUUAUUCUUCUUCAAAACACAAAAAUCAAAGUCCAAUGAAGAUGUGUGAGGCCUAUUUUAAUUCACUAGCAACUUGCGGUUCAUCUUGUUGUUCUUGUGUUUGUUGGAACUGUAUUUCCACCCGAGUAGUAGUAUAAGUUAGAGUGUCGGUGUCAUGAUCUAUUGGUAGUGAAUUAGACCAAGAAUUUUGUGAUCUGAAGUCACAAGGUUAAAGGUCAGAGUAAGGGUGACUUUUGUGAUUAAAUAUUUAUAGUUGAAUAACCAUUGAUUGAGAAUGAUUUACCCUUUCGUGUUGGUACCAUUUAUGGAUUGUAUGGUCCAUGGAGGAAGUGUUGACUUAUAAUGUUAUUUGUUUUCUUCCUUUCAAAAUAGAGAAAGAGCCCAGAGUGGAUAUUUAAGGUGGUUAUAGAAACCCCUUAUAGGCUAUGAAUAAAAAUGGCUAGAUUAGCCAGUAGGUUGUAAGUAUAGACUCAUUGUCAUAUGGGGUAUUUGAAGGUAGUCUAAAUNNNNNNNNNNNNNNNNNNNNNNNNNNNNNNNNNNNNNNNNNNNNNNNNNNNNNNNNNNNNNNNNNNNNNNNNNNNNNNNNNNNNNNNNNNNNNNNNNNNNNNNNNNNNNNNNNNNNNNNNNNNNNNNNNNNNNNNNNNNUACUUGUGAGAAAGUAUGUAGUAUAUUUUUGAAGUAUUUGGGUAGAAUAUCCCAAUUUGAAGGAUUAGUAUAUUUAUAUUAUGUUGCACUCUUCAUUGGUUGUAAAUGAUUGAUGCUAGACUAUAGGAUUGAAUUUAAAUGGUGUGGUGGUGAAUGGUGGCAAGAGAUUGAUGAUACAUGUUUCGUGGGAUUAGAUUUGUAAGCUUGAUGUGUUGAAAUAGUACGUGCUAAUGGAUUAUGACAAGGAAAACCGUAAGGUCAUGAUCAAUUAUUGUGGUUAUGAAUUUCUAGUGUACUAGUGUUUCUUGAUGUUUAUUUCAUAGUUUCUAAGUGAGGAUUGCGUGUAAGGUUGGUUGUAAAUCAUGUUUAGCACUAGACAUUAAGUUUGAAACAAUUGAUGGCAUGGAGAUGGAUGUGAUGAUUUCUUGGUUAAUGAUACUAGUUAUAUGUAAGUGAUUUAUAGGCUUGAACAGUGUAUGCAAGUGCCUAAGUUUAUUUGAUUCGUAAUGAAGUAUAACAUUGUAUAUGUGAUGUAGAAGUAUGCCCAAGGUGGUAUGAAGCUGUAGUAUUUUUCUAAGGCUUAUACAUGUUAUGCAUGGGUACUAGUACCGUUGAGUUGCUAGGUGGAAAAAGACUUGCUAGAUGGUAUAUGGUGUUCUAAAUAGCCAAGUUAAGGACCUUCGAUUGAUAGCGUUGAGCCUUUUGAUAUGAACUUGAUUCUCAUGGUAGAGGAAAAUAAGUUUGAAUUUGCUAUGUUGGUAGACUACAAUAGAAAUAGAGUGGCUCAUUGAAGACUUGGUGAUACCCAUGUUAGGUGUUAUCGAGUCCUUCAAAGUCGUGCUAAUAGAAAUAAGAGUAGAGGUACUAGAGGGUGUGCACUUCAACUUUGGGGAUACUCAUGAAGAUUCAAAGUUAGUAAGUGUUCAAGUAAUAGAUGAUGACUAUUGGGGUUACAAAAUGAUAGAGUGUGCUUCAUGAGGUAGUAUUAGCAGUGGGCGUUCCACUCUCAUAUGUGGUCUUUCGGGUUAAGUUUUAUUAAUUUUGUGUAUUGUCAUAUUUCAAAACCUAGAGUGCAGUGAGUGCAGUUAAGUUUAAAGUCUAGUAGGCUUGAAGCUAAGGGGGAGAUGACUAAACGAAUAACCAAGUAAGACUCUUAGAUUCAUGUAGUGAUGUCAUGAUGAUAUAGAACAUCAAAAAGUAAGGGUGAAUCUCAACCCAUUCCUAUCUCAGUAUUUCUCAGUGAUCNNNNNNNNNNNNNNNNNNNNNNNNNNNNNNNNNNNNNNNNNNNNNNNNNNNNNNNNNNNNNNNNNNNNNNNNNNNNNNNNNNNNNNNNNNNNNNNNNNNNNNNNNNNNNNNNNNNNNNNNNNNNNNNNNNNNNNNNNNNNNNNNNNNNNNNNNNNNNNNNNNNNNNNNNNNNNNNNNNNNNNNNNNNNNNNNNNNNNNNNNNNNNNNNNNNNNNNNNNNNNNNNNNNNNNNNNNNNNNNNNNNNNNNNNNNNNNNNNNNNNNNNNNNNNNNNNNNNNNNNNNNNNNNNNNNNNNNNNNNNNNNNNNNNNNNNNNNNNNNNNNNNNNNNNNNNNNNNNNNNNNNNNNNNNNNNNNNNNNNNNNNNNNNNNNNNNNNNNNNNNNNNNNNNNNNNNNNNNNNNNNNNNNNNNNNNNNNNNNNNNNNNNNNNNNNNNNNNNNNNNNNNNNNNNNNNNNNNNNNNNNNNNNNNNNNNNNNNNNNNNNNNNNNNNNNNNNNNNNNNNNNNNNNNNNNNNNNNNNNNNNNNNNNNNNNNNNNNNNNNNNNNNNNNNNNNNNNNNNNNNNNNNNNNNNNNNNNNNNNNNNNNNNNNNNNNNNNNNNNNNNNNNNNNNNNNNNNNNNNNNNNNNNNNNNNNNNNNNNNNNNNNNNNNNNNNNNNNNNNNNNNNNNNNNNNNNNNNNNNNNNNNNNNNNNNNNNNNNNNNNNNNNNNNNNNNNNNNNNNNNNNNNNNNNNNNNNNNNNNNNNNNNNNNNNNNNNNNNNNNNNNNNNNNNNNNNNNNNNNNNNNNNNNNNNNNNNNNNNNNNNNNNNNNNNNNNNNNNNNNNNNNNNNNNNNNNNNNNNNNNNNNNNNNNNNNNNNNNNNNNNNNNNNNNNNNNNNNNNNNNNNNNNNNNNNNNNNNNNNNNNNNNNNNNNNNNNNNNNNCAGAGUAGUGUCAAUGUGGUGAUUCCUCAGUUGGGUGUCUUGUGUAAUCCAUACCCAAGAUUCAUGGCUCCCUAUUACUGCUAGAAUUUCUUUAGAGAAUGGUGAUGAAAAAAUACUCCAGUUAAGUAUGAGGGUGUAGUAUAAUUCAGUCUAUAUGGCCAAUAAGUCAGUUUAGCAGUUAGAUUCGCAUGACUUGCUUUCUCGUCUUUGCACUUAUUCAUGUUACUCGAAAUCUCAGACAUAAUACUAUUCCAAGAUAGAGUAUACCAGUAGUUACGAGUAUAGCCCAUUUCAUGCAUCAUACAUUAAAUUCAGAUUCCAGAUGUUUAGUUAUGAUUCAAUUCGUAGGUGCCCUGUGCAUCGCCUUAGUUUUUCGAGUAUCUUAGUGAAUUGAGCAUUCAUAGAGGGACAUAGGGUACCAAGCGGGAGAUACCACAUUCAGUUGCAUGCAUAGAUUCUUAUUACAAGCUUCACAUCAGUUAUUCUUGCGUAUUUAGCCAUACGUUCAUACGUUAGUUCAGUCAGAUAUGCAUGCAUUAGAAAUGCAUGUUCAAUAGAAAAACUUAGCUUAUCAGUGUAUUCAGUCCUGCAUUCAUGAGAACAACUCGGUCACAGAUCCAUGCAUAAGAUAUGCAUGAUUCAUUAUGAGAAUUCAGCCUAUGAGUAGCUUCAGUUGUUUAUUCCAUGCCUCGGAUAUGCAUGCCCAACAUAAGCAUUCAAAACAUCAGUAGUUCCAAUCUUAUAGUCAUGUUUCCGUUCAGCGUAUUCUUUCUUAGGGAACAUAUCAUGUCCAUGUUAUCCCAUACCCUCAAGACUUCGACAUUCUAUCCAUCAUUCGGGGAUGAAUGAUCCCAAGGGGGAGAUAAUGUAACACCCCACAUUUCAGGCUAGAAUAAAAACCAUGACUCUGACGUGUUGAUAAUCCCAGAGCCUUAAAUCCUAUGCUAAUUUGGCAUGUUAAUCAAUUAUGAGGUAUGUGAAUCCAUUUGGGCAUGAAUUUAGACCAUAGAGGUCCUUCAACUCAAGGACGAGUUGAAACUAUUUCGAUCGAUUAAGUUUUAGUGGACGUUGUAAUUUAUGUAAGCUUCCAUCGACUAUAACUUUCUAUAUAUGUCGAAUUAGAGAGCCUACUAUGUGUCAAAUGAUAGGUCUUCGAGUUAACUUUCCAACGAUACCAAUUUUUCUAUAAUCCGACACUCGAGCAAGAAGUUAUGGCCUUUCAAAGUAGUAUACGUCACCUAACCAAUCGCACAUGGCCACCGGAAAGCAUAUGCGAUAGCAUAUGCAACGCCUAUGUAAAUAUAGGCGAUAGCAUAUGUGGCACCUAUGUAAAUAUAGGCGAUAGCAUAUGCAGCGCCUAUGUAAAUAUCGGCGAUAGCAUAUGCGGUGCCUAUGUAAAUAUAGGGCAUACCAUAUGCAGCGCCUAUCUUAUGGUUUCAAGUGAUUUAAAUGCUUCGUUUUUGGGGCAAAAUGGUCCUUUUCCCACCUUUAUUCAGCCAUAAACACGAAAUUCAGUCCCCAAUUCUCCAAAAUACAUCCACAUUCAUUUAAAAAUUCUCAAAAACAUUCCUAAGGGUUUCAAACUAAAAACCCAAAUAAAUCAAGAUUCAACCGUGGGUAUUCAAAAUUGAUUAGAGAUUCGGAAUCUCCAAUCCACAGGCUUCAAGAAGCACCCAUUAUUUUCCGAAAUAGAGGUACGCAGGGUUUUCCUAAAUUCUCAUGGGCAUAGAAAAAAUCAUGUUUUAGAAUGGGGUUUUUGAAUCUAUGUAUAUAUUCAUGUACUAAAUGUUUUAACAUCAUUGUUUUGGUCCUUUUACCUUCCCCAAAGUGAUUUGAGAAUAUGAAUGUAUGAAACCAUGUAUUUAAGAAUGAAUUCUUGUUGAGAGCAUGAUUUUUGGUGAAUUCCCUCAUAUUAUGAAUUUUUCAGAUUUUUCUCAUAGCAUAUGAAUUGUUUUAUAAUGCAUCCUUGAAAAGCACUAUAUGAAAUGAUUGAACUCUUGUUAUGACUUAAAGGUGGUUUUACAUCACUAAAAAGGGAAUCUAGCAUAAUGUUUAAUGUUCAUAAUGCAUGUAAUGAAAGAGUGCAUGGAUUUGCUAAAGGCACUAGACCACCAUAUGUUGAUGAAUUUAUUGCAUGAUUUUGACUUGAUUUUUGAAACACGAAAUCUUCUAUAUCAGUUGCAUGUUUUUGGUGGCCUAAAUUAUGCUUUAAAUAAAAUAUUUAUCUUAAUGUAUUAUGGCUCAGAAAUCAUGACUUGCACGUCUUGGUAUGACGAUACCAAUUCAGACCAAUGACAUAUCAGACUCAGACUAAUAAACAUUUCAGACUAUCAUGAUUUUAGACAUUCAGAAUGUUACAUGUACAGAAAAGGUUAAAAAUGGGCAUAUAGAGAUGUUAGGUGGUUCCUUGAAGAGGUCUUGAGUUCAAGCAACUCAUUGCCUAAAAUCGUGGUUUGCCGACCCAGGUAUAUUAUUAUAUGCUGACUUAAGUAUCGUGUGGCGUAUCGGAUUCAGGAACUCCAACCCUUGCGGCAUACUCGAGUUGGAGGAUUCCCCGCUGAGUCAAUGGAGGAUUCCAUAUCGCCCAUGGAAUAUCAGACUUGUAAGGGAUACCACCUAACUCAGAAGUAAUACACAUAUCAGAGUUUGAGAUUUACAGACAGGCUACAUGUUUUCAGAAGGUGCCUAUGUGUUUUUCAGAAAUUGUUUUAUGCAUAAUGUUUGAUGAACAUUUUCUCUCACAUAUUCUAUAUAUAUAUAUAUGUUCAAUUACUCUAUUUUGGAUUGCUUCGCGUGCCAGUACAAUUGUGCUGACCCCCUUCCUCCCAGGUACUGAGGCACAGUCUAGGGGUCCAGAUCCUCAGUAGAGUCUACAGACAAGGUUGUCUCAGAGUUAGUUUGUGAGCCUUCUUUGCUUCGGAAGGCCUAGUAAUUUAGGUCUUUAUUUUAGUAUGGUUUUUGGUCUGCUGGGGGCCUUGUCCCAGUUAUUCAGAUAGUAUGUCAGUAGAGAUUUCACAGACUAUUGCAGAUAUUUAUUAAAUAUUGUUGGGUAUUUUUUCAGGCCUUUAACUAUUUUUAAUUGUUGACCAUGUUUUAGUAUUAUUGUGUCUAUUCCGUUUUACUAUGAUCAUAUGAAUUAUGUGCAUGAUUACCAGAUAGACAGAGGGCGUUUCGUUUUACUAUGAUCAUAUUCCAUUUUAAUUGCUUCGGGAAUGCUCAUCACGGCCAGGGCCCCGGUUUGGGUCAUGACAAUCGUGGAGUGGCAUGUAGUAUUUUGUGAGGUGGAGUUAGGCUUGAUCACGGUGAAGAUGAUUUAAGUUACUAUAGACAUUAGUAGAAAGAUUUUUGAAUCGAAUGAAUGUGGUAUCUAUGGGAAAUAGUAAAGUUAAGGGAGUAAUCGAAGAGUAUGCUAAUCUUGAAAGUAAGAAGUCGUAUUGACUAAGGCCUAGCAAUUCUAUCCUGAUUUAUGAGUUAUAUGUCUAUAUUCCAUGCUGUAGAGUAAUGUCAAUGUUGGGGUCCUAUAGUCGGAUGUCUUGUGUGACUCAUGCCCAUGAUCUUUUGCUACCUAAUUCUACUAGGACUUCGUUAUGAGGAGCAUUGAUAAGAUACUCCAGAUUGAGUAUAAGUUUCUAGUAUAGUUUAGUCAUGUGGCUAGCAAAUCAGUUUAGCAGUCAGAUUCACAUGACUUAUUUUCUCGUAUUUUCAUUUAAUCAUGCUACCCAAAAAUCUUAGAUAUUUUACUAUUCCAAGAUAGAGUAUACCAGUAAUUGCAAAUAUAACUCAGUUCAUGAGUCAUGUACUAGAUUCAGAUUCCAGAUGUUCGGUUAUGACUCAAUUCGUAGGUGCCUAGUGCAUAGCCUCAAUUUUUUGUGUAUCUUAGUGAUUUAAGCAUUCAUAGAAAGACAUAGUGUCCCAAGAGGGAGAUACCCCAUUCGGUUGCAUGCAUAUAUUCUAUUUACAAACUUUGCAUCAGUUAUUACUGCGUAUUUAGUCGUACGUUCAUACGUCAGUUCAGUCAGAUAUGCAUGCAUUAGAAAUGCAUGUUCAAUAGAAAAAAAAUGUUCAUCUUAUCAGGUAUUCAGUCCUGCGUUCAUGAGAACGACUCAGCCGCAUAUUCCAUGCAACAGAGAUACAUGUCUGGUAUAAGAAUUCUGAAUAUCAGUAGUUCCAGUCAUAUAGUCAUGUUUCAAAUCAGUGUAUCCUUAUUAGAGGACGCAUCAUGCCCGUGUUAUUCAAUACCUUUAAGGCUUCAGCAAGUUCCUACCCAUCAUUCGAGGACAAAUGAUCCCAAGGGUGAGAUAAUGUAAUGCCCCAUAAAAAUUUGUGCAAUGCGUUGUCUCUUAUUACCAUGUGCAUGGAAUAAAAAACUUGAAAAUAUUCUAAGUGUCAAAAGGGCUUAGUUAUAUUUUGAGCUUUCAAUCAUCGGGAAUCUUAUUUUUGAACUUACUGACUUUUGAUUUUUAAGUUGCGUUACGAUCGGGCAAGAUCGUAGUACAUCUCGGGUAAGUUUCGAAAUUUUUAGAUGAGCUUAAGGUUAUGUUUGGGUUGGCAAAAUAUUAGCAAAAGGCGUUAAGGAGGCGCCGCCCAGGUCCCUCCCCCACUCUAAGCGGGGCGUCACCCCAGUCUUACCCCCUUAUAAGCAGGGCGCCGCCCUGGGUUCCCCCUGGGUCCAGGCAGGGCACCGCCAUGGCAACUCUUGUUGGGCUAAAUUUCAGCAUCUCCUCUCCGACUCUUUAAGGGCAAAUUGGGUAAUUCCCAACCACUUAUUAACCUGAACACGGAAUUUAAUCCCAAGAACAUCAAAAUACAAUCAUAUUCAUCUAAAAUCCACAAGAACUCUCCUUAGGGUUUUAAACUAAUAACCCUAAGAGCUCAAGAUUCAACCGUGAGUUUUCAAAACAAAUAGAAGAUUUGGAAUCCCCGCAGUGUAGGCUUCAAGAAGCACUCAUCACUUUCUGAAAUAGAGGUACGUGGGGCUAUCCUAAAAAUCUCAUGGGCUUAAAAAUUCAUGUUUUAAAAAUGGGGGUAGUUUUCAACUCGUCCUUGAGUCAAAGAACAUCUAUGGUCUAAAUUCAAGCUUGAAUGGAUUCACAUACUAUACAAAUAAUUAACAUGCCAUAUUGGCAUAGGAUUUAUGGCUUCGGGAUUAUCAACGCAUCAGAAUCAUGGUCAUAUUGUAGCCCAAAAUGCGGGGCGUUACAUUAUCCCCCUUAGGAUCAUUCAUCCCCGAAUGAUGAUGCGGGACACAGAUAAACAUGAUUUCAAGCAUAAUAAGGACUAGGAAAGAUAAGAUAGAAAUAGUACCUUCUGUCUAUCAUCCAUCGAAGCAAACAAAUUGGGAUAUCUAAUUCUCAUGUCAUCUUCUGACUCCUAAGUUGCUUCUUCAACUUUCUGAUUCAUCUACAAUACCUUCACUGAGGCUAUCUCUUUGCUCCACAAAUUUUGAACUUGGCAAUCUAAAUUUUCAACGGGCUCUUCAUUGUAAGACAAGGAAUCUGUCACUUUGAUAUCCUCUACUGGAAAUACCAAAGAAUGAUCUCCUAUGCAUUUCUUCAACAUGGAUACAUGGAAUACCGGAUGAACGAAACACAAACUUGUAGGCAAUUCUAGCUCAUAGCAACUGCACCAAUCUUUCUCAGAAUCUGAUAUGGCCCUAUAUAGCGAGGGCUCAAUUUACCCUUUUUUCCAAACUGCAUAACUCCUUUCAUAGGAUAAACCUUGAGAAACACCCAAUCACUAACUUCAAACUUUAAUUCUCUUCUCCAAACAUUGGCAUAGGACUUCUGACGACUCUGAGCUGUCUUGAGUCAUUCUCUAAUGAUCUUUACUUUCUACAUCGCCUGAUGAACAAGAUCAGGACCAUACAACUGACUCUCACCCACUUCAUACCAUCCUAUCGGAGACCUACAUCUCCUCCCAUACAAAGCCUCAAAAGGAGCCAUCUUGAUGCUGGCAUGGUAACUAUUAUUGUAAGCGAAUUCAAUCAGUGGCAGGUGAUCUACCCAACAACCUUUGAAAUCAAUGACACAUUCCCUCAACAUAUCCUCAAGGGUCUGAAUGGUACGCUCAUCUUACCCAUCCGUCUGAGGGUGGAAAGCUGUGCUCAAAUUCACUUGUGUACCUAAACCCUUCUGAAAAGAUCUCUAGAACUGAGAUGAAAACUGUGUACCUCUAUCGGAUAUAAUGGACAUUGGUGACCCAUGCAACUAAACUAUCUCCUCAAUGUAAAUCUUAGCAUAACCCUCUCCCGAAUAAUUAGUCCUUAUAGGCAAAAAGUGGGCUGACUUUGUCAACCGAUCUACAAUCACCCAUAUAGAAUCAUACUGGUUUCGGGAUCUCGGAAUUCCUGUAAUGAGGUCCAUUUUUAUCAUCUCCCACUUCCAUAAAGGCAGGGAUAUCUCUUGGUAAGUACCACCUAGGCUCAUGUGUUCUACCUUCACUUGUUGAUAGUUCAAACACUUGGACAUGAAAUCAGCUACACCACGUUUCAUUUUAUUCCAUCAAUACAAGGUUUUCAGAUCAUGGUAGAUCUUAGUAGAGACUAGGUGAAUGACAUACCUCAAAGUGCGUGCCUCAUCAAGGAUUCUUUCCUGCAGUCCAUCAACAUUCGGAAUGCACAACCUACCCUGAAAUUUCAGAAUACCAUCACCACCAAUUUCAAACGACAUAACAUUUUGUCGACCCACAUCUUUCUUGAUUUGUACCAAUAUGGGAUAUUUAAACCUGCUUCUCCUUAACUUUAUCGCAAAGGGAUGAACUAGCUAACUCAUGAAUAAUUACCCUUCCAUCUUCGGAAUCUAAGAGUUGCACUCCCAGAUUUGCAAGGCGGUGAAUAUCCAUCACCAUCUCUUUCUUUCCUUCUCCUACAUGAGAAAGGAUACCCAUUGACAACCUGCUGAGGGCGUCGGCUACAAUAUUUUCCUUGCCCGGAUGGUAAUGCAGGCUCAUAUCAUAGUCUUUCAGAAGCUCCAUCUAGUUCCUCUACCUGAGGUUCAAUUCUUUCUGCGAGAAAAUAUACUGCAAACUCUUGUGGUCAGUGAAGAUAUCAACGUGAACACCAUACAAGUAGUGCUGCCAAAUCUUAAGUGCAAUCACCACAACCGCUAACUCCAAAUCAUGGGUGCGGUAGUUUCGCUCGUGCACCUUCAACUGCCUAGAUGCAUAAGCCACUACCUUACUGUGAUGCAUCAAUACAUAACUAAGUCCCACACGGGAUGCAUCACAGUAUACCACAAAGCCAUCUACACCUCCAGGAAGGGUCAAAACAGGAGCAGUGGUCAGUUUGUCUUUCAACUUCUCAAAACUAUUCUCACACAAAUCAGACCACACAAACUUCACCUUUUUCUGAGUCAAUUUUAUGAGUGGAGCAGCUAUGGAGGAAAAAAUCUCUACGAACCUUCUGUAAUACCCCGCCAAACCUAAGAAGCUCUGAAUAUCGGUUAGAGUUGUGGGUAUGGACCAUUUUCUCACUGCUUCAACUUUCUGGGGAUCCACUAUUAUCCCGUCACUAGACACAAUAUGCCCCAAGAAGGCAAUAACAUCUAACUAGAAUUCAGACUGAUGAUCCUUAAGGGUCUAAAGAAUAAUUCGAAGGUGAUUGGUGUGAUCCUCUUUACUCUUGGAAUAGAUCAGGAUAUCAUCAAUAAAUAUAAUGACGAACAAGUCAUGAAACUGACGUAAUACUCUAUUCAUAAGAUGUAUGAAGGCUGCAGGGGUGUUAGUCAAUUCGAAGGACAUGACUAGAAAUUUGUAGUGACCAUAUCAGGUUCAGAAGGUUGUCUUGGGUAUGUCUGACUCCCUAACUUUCAACUGAUGAUAACCCGAAUGAAGGUCAAUUUUUGAAAAACACUUGGCACCCUGAAGAUGGUCAAAAAGGUCGUCAAUCCUAGGAAGUGGAUAUUUAUUUUUAAUCAUGACCUUAAUCAACUGACGAUAGUCUAUGUACAUAUGAAGGGAACCAUCUUUCUUUCGCACGAAAAGUGUAGGCGUGCCCCAAGGAGACACACUGGGGGGUAUAAAAUCCUUAUUUAGGAGAUCUGCUAACUGUUCUUUCAACUCUUUUAGUUCUGCAUGAGCCAUUCUAUAUGGAUAAAUAGAAAUAGGACGAGUGUUUGGCAGCACAUCAAUACCAAACUCAAUCUCCCUAUCAGGUGGUAUUCCUGGGAGAUCAUUUGGAAAGACUUCUUGGAAUUCUUUUACUACGGGAAAAGAUUGAAGAGGAAGACUCUCGAAAUUAGAGUCCUUAACUCGAAUAAGGUGGUACAAUCAAACUUUAGAAAUGAGUUUGCGGGCUCUGAGAUAGGAUAAAGUGCCCUCUGGGUGCUAAAGAAUGUCCUUCCCACUCUAUCACUGGUUGAUUCGGGAAAUAAAAAGUGACCCUUCAAGUCCUACAAUCUAAUGUGGCAUAGCACGAAUGGAGCCAAUCCUUUCCCAAGAUAGCAUAGAAAACAACCAUAUCAAACUCUAUGAGAUUUGCUAACGUAUCCCGGCUACCAUUAGUCACAACACAACCCUUGUACACCCUCCUAGCAAUAAUAAAAUCCCCCACCGGGGUGGAAACAAAAAAGGGUUCAAAAAUCACACUGGGCUCAAACCCGAAACCAACAGUCAUAUAAGGGGUCACAUAGGAUAAGGUAGACUCGGGAUCAAGUAACACAUAAACAUCACGGGAAAAGAUUUGUAACGUACCGAUAAUAAUAUCUGGGAAGUUUUCGUCUCCUGGCGGCUGGUCAAAGCAUAUAACCGGUUGUGACUGUUCCCAGAAGCUGAUGUGGCACCCUUAACAGGUGGGGGUAGUGCCGAAGAAUUUACCUGAGACUUUGCACCACCAAUAUUCUUUCUAGCAGAUGGAUAUUCCCUCUAAAAGUGACCCGACUAAACACAUGAAUAACACACUAUCGAGCCUAACUGACACCUUCCCAGAUGAUUUCUACCACAAGUUUCACAUCGUGGAAAAAUACGAUGCUGCUGAGCCACACUACCCUGUGACCGAGUAUCCUAAGCUCUGGUUCCAUGGUUAGUCUGAAAACUCUGAGAUCAUCUGUCUACUGGUGGUUGGGGUACUGGGGCACUGGUAGUAGACUGCACAUUCCAAUUCUUCUUUUUCUGCCAUUUAUUUCCCCACUUAACACCCUGAGGUUGACCGUGACUCUGGUCGGCUGAUCUGUCUCUUUUCGCUUGUCUUUCCACCUCCCUAGCUUCAGAGAUCUUCUUCUUUUUCUCUUCUGCCUGCUAUAUAUGAACAGUCAGCCUAGAAAAGUCUAACUCCUUAUUUAAUAUUUCCCCCUGGCACUCAAGCACCAGGUUAUCAGAAAGGCCGGAUGCAAAUUUCCUUAUCUGGGCUCUUAUAUUACUAGUCAACUCUGGUGCAUAGCGGGCUAGUUUAUUAAACUUCAAAAUGUACUCCUGGACACUCAUACUGCCCUACUUCAGAUUCAAAAACUCUUCUAUGGCCUCCCUUAAUUCCAAAGGAAAGAAUUGAUCAAAGAAAGCUUUCAUAAAUUGACCCCAAACUGUGGACUCAGCACUCUCACCUUUUGCAUCCUCCCAGUCGGCAUGCCACUGAUUCGCAACAUCCUUAAGCUGAUAAGUUACUAGUUCCACCCCUUCAACCUCAUCCACAUGCAUUACCUUAAAGAUUUUUUCCAUCUCAUCCACGAACUCCUGUGGAUCUUCCUCCACCUUAGUGCCAGUGAACUUAGGUGGGUUUAUUUUCAUGAAAUGUCUAACCCUGGUAGCCUCAGAUGUAAUAGAUAUAGACCCAAUAUCUUUUGAUCGUUGAGCCUGGUUAGCUACCAAAUAUGUCAUCAUAUGAAUAGACCGUCUGAAUUUUGCAUUUGAAAUAUCUCUUUGAGCAGUCAUGGGAUGGUUGUCAUCAGUCCAUGGAGCUCGAGGUGGAAUGGUUGGGACUGGAGGGAAUCCCAAAGUAGGGACAGGUUCUGGAGUGUGAUCUCUAUUAUGGGUCCGCAUCUCAUGGGUGGGACGGACCUCAUCUGCCUGAGCAUUUUGAUCGAUGAUACGAUGUGGAGGCAUAACUGUGUUUUUGAAAUACAAGAGAUCAUUGAUUAGGGGAUAGUUCAGACUCUGAAGCAUGAACUAAAUCACAAAGAAUGGAAACAUUUCCUAAACGCCUAGUAGCCUCUGGCUUAUAAGUAUGGCAUGCUACACACCCAUAACCAAGACUCUACCCGACGCGAUUUUGCAGAAACACUGGGAUCAUGAACCGUGCUUUGAUACCAAGUUUGUCACGACCUGAGCCAGGGCCCUAGCCGUGAUGAGCAUCCCAAACCAUGAAGGCCUGGAACACCCUUCUCUAUCUAUCUGGUAAUCAUGCACCUAAUUCAUAUGAUAAAAGGUAAUGCGGAAAGAGAAAUCUAAUACGAAAACAUGGUCAAUCUAAAUAUGAUCAUACUACUGAAAACUGAAAUCCAAAAUAUAUCUGAAUAAUAAUGUCUGACUCGGUCUGUGAAAUCUCUACCAUGAACUAAUCAAAGUUGUCUGAAAGCUAGGACAAGGCCCCCAGUAGACCAAAACCUAACUAAUAGUAGUACUAUGAAAUAACCAAACCUUCUGAAUCAUAGAAGGCUCACCAUGGCAAACUCCGGUCUGUGAUCUGAAAUCUCUACUAUUUAUCUGGACCCCUAAACUGUGCCUCAGAACCUGCAAGAAGGGGGGUCAGCACAAUUAUAUUGGCACGCGAAGCAAUCCAAAAUAGAGUAAUUGAACAUAUAUAUAUAUAUAUAUAUAUAUAUAUAAUAUGUGAGAGCAAAUUUUCAUCAAACAUUAUGCAUAAAACAGUUUCUGAAAACACAUGGGCAUCUUCUGAAAAUAUGUAACCUGUCUGUAAUUCUCAAACUUUGAUCUGUAUAUUACUUCUGAGUUAGGUGGUAUCAACUACAAGUCUGAUAGUCCACGGGCGAUAUGGAAUCCGCCAUUGACUCGGCGGGGAAGCCUCCAACCCGAGUAUGCCGUAAGGGUUGGAGUUCCUGAAUCUAAUAUGCCACACAACACUUAAGUCAAUGUAUAAUAAUAAACCCGGGUCGACAAACUACAGUUUUAGGCAAUGAGUUGCUUGAACUCAAGCCCUCUUUAGGGAACCACCUAACAUCUCUGUAUCCCCAUUUUUAACCUUUUCUGUAUAUGCAACAUUCUGAAUGUCUAAAAUCAUGAUUGUCUGAAAUGUCUAUUAGUCUGAGUCUGUACCAAGACUUGCAAGUCAUGAUUUCUGAGCCAUAAUACAUUAAGCUAAAUCUUUCAUUUAAAGCAUAAUUUAGACCACCAAAAACAUGCAGCUGAUAUAGAAGAUUUCGUGUUUUGAAACUCAAGUCAAAAUCAUGCAAAAACUUCAUCAACAUAUGGUGGUCUAGUGCCUUUAGCAAAUCCAUGCACUCUUUCAUUACAUGCAUUAUGAACAUUAAACAUUCAUGCUAGAUUCCCUCUUUAGUGAUUUAAAACCACCUUUAAAUCAUAACAAGAGUUCAAUCAUUUCAUAUAGUGCUUUUCAAGGAUGCAUUGCAAAAUAAUUCAUAUGCUAUGAGAAAUCUGAAAAAUUCAUAAUAAGAGGGAAUUCACCGAAAAUCAUGCUCUNNNNNNNNNNNNNNNNNNNNNNNNNNNNNNNNNNNNNNNNNNNNNNNNNNNNNNNNNNNNNNNNNNNNNNNNNNNNNNNNNNNNNNNNNNNNNNNNNNNNNNNNNNNNNNNNNNNNNNNNNNNNNNNNNNNNNNNNNNNNNNNNNNNNNNNNNNNNNNNNNNNNNNNNNNNNNNNNNNNNNNNNNNNNNNNNNNNNNNNNNNNNNNNNNNNNNNNNNNNNNNNNNNNNNNNNNNNNNNNCACAGUUGAAUCUUGAUUUAUUUGGGUUUUUAGUUUGAAACCCUUGGGAGUGUUCUUGAGAAUUUUUAGAUGAAUGUGGAUGUAUUUUGGAGAAUUGGGUAUUGAAUUUCGUGUUUAUGGCUGAAUAAGGGUGGGAAAAGGAUAAUUUUUCCCUAAAAACGGAGUGUUUAAGUCACUUGAAAUCAUUACAUAGGCGCCGCAUAUGAUAUCGCCUAUGUUUACAUAGGCGCCGCCUAUGCUAUCGCCUAUGUUUACAUCGGCACCGCCUAUGCUAUCACCUAUGUUUACAUAGGCGCCACAUAUGCUAUCGCAUAUGCUUUCCAGUGGCCAUGUGCUAUUGGUUCCACGACGCAUACUACUUUGAAAGGCCAUAACUUCUUGCUCGGGUGCCGAAUUUUAGCAAAAUUAGUAUCGUUGGAAAUAUAACUCAAAUUUUACACAUAGUAGGCUCUCUAAUUCGACAUAAACAAAGAGUCAUGGUCGAUAGAAGUUGACACAAGUUAUAAUGACCACUUAAACUUAAUCUAUCGAAGUAGUUUUCAACUCAUCCUUGAGUCAAAGGACCUCUAUGGUCUAAAUUCAUACACAAAUAAUUAACAUGCCAUAUUGGCAUAGGAUUUAUAGCUUCGAGAUUAUCAACGCAUUGGAAUCAUGGUCAUAUUGUAGCCUGAAAUGCGGGGCGUUACAGGUCAACAAUAUUUCAUUAACUUUAUAGAUGACUACUCUCGUUACGGAUAUCUCUAUUUAAUUCAUGAGAAGUCACAGUCUUUGGAUGUUUUUAAAAUUUUCAAGGGUGAGUUGAAAAUCAAUUAGGCAAGAAAAUUAAGGCAGUCAAAUCUGACCGUGGAGGAGAAUAUUAUGGAAGAUACGAUGGAUCAGGUGAACAACAUCCAGGACCUUUUGCAAAGUAUUUGACAGAGUGUGGAAUUGUACCUCAAUACACUAUGCCAGGGACUCCAAGUCAAAAUGGUGUAGCUGAGAGGUGAAACCAAACUCUUAAGGAUAUGGUAAGAAGUAUGAUUAGUCAUUCUUCUUUACCUGAGUCUCUCUGGGGAGAAGCAUUAAAGACUACAGUUUAUAUACUAAAUAGAGUUCCUAGCAAAGCCGUAGCUAAGACCCUAUACGAGUUGUGGAUUGGUAAGAAGCCUAGUAUUAGGAACUUGCAUGUAUGGGGAUGUCCAGCUGAAGAAAGGCCUUAUAAGCCUAAUGAAAAUAAGUUGGAUUCAAGAACUAUUAAUUGCUACUUCAUAGGUUACUCAAAAAGAUCAAGAGGUUUUAAGUUUUAUGACUCCUCGAAUAGAUCCUUUUUCAAAACAGGGAAUGGCAAAUUUAUUGAGGAUGUUGAUUAUAGUGGGAGUAAUCAAAAUAAACAAAUUGUGUUUGAAGAGGAAUUUGAUAAUAUCGAUUCUAAUGAAAAUGAUCAAAUUACUUUACCAAAUGUGUUUCAACCUAUAAAUUAGGAUUAUAGAGAAAACGCAAUGAUAUUACCUCACCUUCAACAACCUCAAGUUGAAGUGCCUAAAAGAAGAUCUAGCAGAGAAAGAAGAAAUACAAUUUCGGAUGAUUAUGUUAUUUGUCUUCAAGAACGUGUUUUUGACAUGGGAUUGGAAGAUGAUCCUAUAAGCGUUAGCCAAGAAAAAUCAUGUGGAAAUUCUGCUAAAUGGAUUGAAGCCAUUAAAGAUGAGUUGAACUCUAUGAAAGACAAUGGCGUUUGGAAUCUUGUUGAGUUACCACGAGGAUCAAAACAAAUUGGUUGUAAGUGGAUUUUUAAAACCAAACGUGAUUCAAAAGGUAACAUCGAAAGAUAUAAAGCACUCCUAGUUGAUAAAGGAUUCACUCAAAAAGAAGGCAUAAAUUUUAAAGAGACAUUUUCACCAGUUUCAUCGAAAGACUCCUUUAGAAUCAUUAUGGCACUUGUAGCUCAUUAUGACUUAGAGCGAUAUCAAAUGGAAGUAAAGAUUGCCUUUCUCAAUGGAGACAUUGAAGAAACAAUAUAGAUGGUGCAACCAAAAAUCUUUGAGUCUUAAUAUUCAAAGCACCUUGUAUGUAAACUUAAGAAGUCCAUAUAUGGUUUGAAACAGGCAUCCCGUCAAUGGUACUAGAAGUUUGAUCAGGUGAUAACCUCUUUUGGCUUUAAGGAAAAUACUGUUGAUCAGUGCAUAUAUCUCAAGUUCAGUGGGAGCAAAUUUGUUGUCGUUAUGCUAUAUGUAGAUGAUAUUUUCAACUGGCCAAUAAUGAUAUAGGUUUAUUGCAUUAAACCAAGAAAUUUCUUUCAAGUAAAUUUGAAAUGAAAGAUCUUGGUGAGGCAUCCUUUGUUCUAGGUAUAGAGAUCCAUAGGGAUCGUACUAGAAGUAUUCUUGGGUUGUCGCAAAAGACUUAUAUUGAUAAGGUGCUAAGUAGAUUUGGCAUGCAAAAUUGUGCACCAGGAGAUACACUAGUGGCAAAAGGUGAUACAUUAAGUUUGCGCCAAUGUCCAUAUUUGGAUAUAGAGAAGAAAGAGAAGGAUAAAAUUCCAUACGCAUCAGCAGUGGGAAGUCUCAUGUAUGCACAAGUUUGUACGCGUCUAGAUAUUGCAUACAUAGUAGGAAUGUUGGGGCGAUAUUUAAGUAAUUCGGGAAUAGAUCAUUGGAAAGCUGCAAAACGGGUUAUGAGGUAUCUUCAAAGAACUAAAGAUUACAUGCUCACUUAUCGGAGGUCGGAUCACUUAGAGAUCGUAGGGUAUUUCGAUUUAGAUUUUGUUGGAUGUCUUGAUAGUAGGAGAUCUACAUCAGGUUAUAUUUUUAUGAUGGAUGGUGGAGCGGUAUUUUGGAAAAGUGUGAAACAAACAUUAAUAGCUUCUUCUACAAUGGAAGCCAAAUUUGUUGCCUGCUAUGAAGCAUCAAAUCAGGGAAUAUGACUGAGAAAUUCUAUCACUGAAAUGCAAAUAGUCGAUGGCAUAGAAAGACCAUUAAAAAUUCAUUGUGAUAAUAAGUCUGCUGAGUUAUAUUCGAAGAACAACCGAAGUUCGUCAAAGUCAAAGCAUAUAGAAAUUAAGUAUUUGAUUGUGAAAGAAAGGGUUCAGAGUCGUCUCGUGUCGAUUGAGCAUACUAGUACAAACUUGAUGAUUGCGGGUCCGCUCAUGAAGGGUUUACCACCUAAAGUGUUUCAUGGGCAUGUUGUUCAUAUGGGUGUUGUCAAAUUUGAUAAUGAGCCAUUUUAGUAGGAGUUUGUUAUUUUAUUUAUGCUAUUGAUAGGUUAAAGUUUAUUUUCUGUACAAACUCAAGUUUUAUGAAAUCCAUGAAUUUUGUAUGAUUAUUGAUAACUCUGAAAAAUAAAGAUAUUAACUUUCUAUUGUAGUAUUGCAUAAGGUAUAAGAAUGUGAUUUUGGACUAUUAAAGUCAUAAGGUAGGACCAUUUGGAAAUAGGCAUGACUUAGAUCAUUUUCAAUGUAAUUUUCGUAUCUGAUCUAUGUCAUUGAUAUUGCUGAUAUUUAUGAUCAUUGAUGGGUUUAGUUUCGAAUAUAUAUUACGAAGACCGCUUUGAUCCUAUAUUAAUAGUAUCGAUGGACCAGAUUGUUUUGAGAUAUUUAAAUCAAGAUAGCAAAAGUUUGUGCGCACUAAAGUUUCAACUGUGAAUAAUUAUUCAGAAAUAUAUGUGGUUCAAGUGGGAGAUUGUUAGUAAUUUUCUAUUUUGUGGACUCACAUAUUAAUAUAUUAUUCAUAGAUAUGCUAUCUUUAAAGAAACCCAAAUUUUGAUCUAAUAUAGUAUUAAAUGAUUUGAGCUUAAAAUGUAAAUAUCUAUUUAAUAUAAGUUUAUUUUGAUAAGUUAAACCUCAAGAACCUUUUCAUAACUGCAAUGGAAACUUAAUUUAAAAAGUACCUCUUCUAAAGAGGUAUAAUUGAAAAGGUACCUCUUCUAAAGAGGUAUAACUAAAAGGUGCCUGUCGGAAGAGUCAGAUAUAAAUAUCAUGUUCCCUAAGUUUAUAUGUAACUUUUCUCUUUCUCUACCCCAUCUAAGAAAAGAAUACAGAAAGCGUAUUAAAACUUAGAAGAUCAUAAAACUUACAUAAAACAAGAAUUCAAAAUCAAGUUAUUUACAAUGGAACAAGGUUAGUGUUCUUAUUGUUCUUCUAGUUUUGAAUCUCUGUCUAAUGAUUUAUUUGAUCUUGGGUGUAGUUCUUUAAAGUUUUCUAACACCUAGACCUUUCUCAUAUAAUAUAUAUGAAAAUAUCACUAAGUCUUUGGAGAAGCUUCAAAACUUGAAGUUUUUCAAUACUUCUGUCAACAAAUUGUAUGGUGAAAUACCCUCGGGGGGUCCUUUCAAGAACCUUUCGAGUCAGUUCUUCAUCUCCAAUGACGCAUUGUAUGGUUCCUUAAGAUUUAUUGUCCAGCCAUGCCCUACUUCAUCAAAGAACAGAUCAAAUAGGAAAAAACUGCCAAUUAUUUUUCUUUUGCUAGCAAUUGCAGUUGUAUUUGUUACUAUGGCCUUUGUGCUCCUAUGGAUAAGGUAUAGAAGAGGUAAAAGUGCUCCUCAACAAGCUGAGUCAUUGUCAUGACCCGAUCUGGGGCCCUAGCCAUGACGAGCAUCCCGGAUCAUGAAGGCCCGGAACACCUUUCUUUAUCUGGUAAUCAUGCACAACAUUCAUAAAACAAAAGAUAAUGCAGAAAUAGAAAUCUAAUACGAAACAUGGUCAAUCUGAAUGUAAUCAUAAUACUGAAAGCUGUAAUCCAAAAUAUAUUUGAAUAAUGUCUGACUCAGUCUGCGAAAUCUCUACUAUGAACUAAACAAAGUUGUCUGAAAACUGGGACCAAAACAUAACCAAUGAUAAUUAUCUGAAAUAAUCAUUCCUUCUAGAUCAUAGAAGGCUCACCACUGCACAAUCGGAUCUGUGAUCUGAAAUAUCUACUGUUUAUCUGGAUCCCUAAACUGUGCCUCAGAAGAACCUGGAGGGAGGAGGGGGGUCAGCACAAAAGUACUGCCACGCGAAGCAAUCCAAAAUAGAGUACUUGAACAUAUAUAUAUAUAUAUAUAUAUAUAUAUAAUAGAUGAGAGAAAAUUUUCAUCAAACAUCAUGCAUAAAAUAGUUUCUGGAAACACAUGAGCAUCAUUCGAAAAUCAUAAGUCAUUCUUGUCAAAAUAGUUCUGAUCUUUGUAUUACUUCUGAGUUAGGUGGCACUCCCCUACAAGUCUGAUAUUCCACAGUCUAUAUGGAAUCCGCCAUUGACUCGGUGGGGAAGCCCCCAACCCAAGUGUGCCGCAAGGGUUAGAGUGUCUGAGUCUGAUACACCACACGACACUAGGCCAGUGUAAUAUAAUAUACCCGGAUUGGCAAAUCACGGUUUUGGUCAAUGAUUUAUCUGGACUCAUGCCUUCUUCGGGGAACCACCUAAGAUCUCUUUAAGCCCUAUUUUAGCCUUUUAUGAACAUGCAUCAUUCUAAGGUUUUAAAACUUGCAAAUCUGAUAAAGUUUGAUUUCUGUAUUAGUCUGUGUUUGUUAUGGCAUUUUCUGAGUUUGGUAUCGUCAUACCAAGACUUGCAAGUCCUAUUUCUGAGCCAUAAUGUCAUAAGCAUGAUCUUUCAUAAACAUAUAGUUUCAGACCACCCAAACAUAUAAUUUGUAUAAGAGAUUUCAUGUUCUAAAACCCAAGUCAAAACCAUGCAAAAACUUUCAUCAAACAUUUGGUGGUCAUGUGCUUUUGGCGAAACCAUGCACUCUUUCAUUUCAUGUAUAUUCAACAUUCACAUCCUUCUCUUUCGUAUUCAAAAGUCAUAUUCAAAACAUAGCAAUAGCCCAAAAUAUUUCAUACCAUGCUUUUCAGAAUGCAUUCAAAACAAUUCAUAUUAUACGAAGAUGGGAAAACUCAUAACAAGAGAGGGAUUCAUUAUAAUUCAUUCUCUCAAUUGAAUAAUCAUUCUUGAACACAUACAUACAUAUAUACAUAAUUUCAAAUCAAUUUGGGGGAGAGGUCUAAAGACCAAAACAAUACCGUCAAAACUUCUAAAACAUGAUUAUAUUCAUAAGUUUCAAAACUCCAUUCUUAAAACAUGAAUUAUAUGCCCAUGAGAUUUUAGGAAAAUCCCGCGUACCUCGAAUUAGGAAGACAAUAGGUGAUUAUUGAAGCCUACGACCUGGGGAUUCCAAAUAUGGGAUCAACUUCGAAAACCUACGGUUGAAUCUUGAACUACUUGAAUUUUUAUUUUGAAACCCUAGAGAGUGUUCUAGAUAAUUUUUGAUAAAAAUAUCAAUGAUAUGGGUAUUUGGGAGUUAAAUCCCGUGUUAGAGGUGAUAGGGGUUGGAAAAAUACCCUUUUACCCUUAAUGAGACUGAACUUAAAUGCUGAAAAACUCCCAGGCGUGCACCAGACCAUGCGUCGCAUGCUAUUUCCCACCGCACUGGAGCAUGCGACGCAUGCUAUAUCGCAUGCUGCCACCAUGCGUUGGACCAUGCGACGCAUGCAUAUUGCAUGAUGCCACUAUUUUGGGCAUCCAAACAUGCCCUAAACGACGUCCAAAAAUUCCAAAACUCACCCAAUACGUAUUAUGACCUUGCCCCAUCGCAACGCAACAAGAAAAUUUAAAAACGGGGGUCGGGAAGGUUGAAAAUAAAAUCCUUGAAGAUUAUGAGCUAAAAAUGAGUCUAAGUCUUUUAACACUUAGAAUAUUUCCAAGUUUCUCAUUCCAUGCCCAUGCUAAUAAGAGACAAUGUAUUGUACGAAUUUUAUGGGGCGUUACAGUCAUUGUCUACCAUAACACGAGAAAUAAUUUCAUACUAUGAACUACUCCAAGCAACGGAUGACCUUAGUGAGAGUAAUCUGAUUGGUUUUGGAAGUUUUGGCUCUGUUUACAAAGGUGUUCUCUGACGUGGAACUGCCAUUGCAGUUAAAGUGUUCAACCUGCAACUGGAUGUGGCAUUCAAGAGCUUUGAUACGGAAUGUGAAGUUCUGCGCAACCUUCGCCAUAGGAAUCUCGCAAAAGUCGUUACUACUUGUUCCAACCUUGAUUUUAAGUCUUUAGUGCUUGAGUAUAUGCCAAAUGGAAGUCUUGAUAAGUAUUUGUAUUCACACAACUACUUCCUCGACAUCAGGCAGAGGCUAAGCAUAAUGCUAGAUGUGGCAUGUGCAUUGGAAUAUCUUCACCAUGGGUGCUUGUCGGCUGUGAUCCACUGUCAUCUGAAGCCUAGUAACGUUUUGCUGGAUGAGGAUAUGGUUGCCCACCUUAGCAACUUUGGCAUUUCAAAACUGCUUGGUGAAGAUCAGGGUGAUUUGUACACUAAAACCUUAGCAACAUUGGGGUAUAUUGCGCCAGGUACGUCUCUUAGUUUUACUGAUUAUCCCUUUCUUUUUUUUUCCCAUCUAUAAAGCAUAUUGCAUGUUUAAAUGAAUUGUUUUGACCGUAGAGUAUGGACUGGAAGGACUAGUGUCAACAAAGUGUGACGUCUAUAGUUAUGGGGUCAUGUUGCUGGAAAUAUUUACUAGGAGAAAGCCUAAUGAGUUUGAUGGAGAUCUUAGCUUGAAGCAAUGGGUGAGUUAUUCACUUCUUAGAGCAUUAAUGGAGGUCGUAGAUGCCAACUUGGUAACCCAAACAGGUAGUCACUUACAGAUGGAGCUAGAUGUUGUGGCAUCAAUAAUGAAAGUGGCAUUAGAUUGUUGUGCUGAAUCUCCGGUAAGAAGAAAUAACAUGAAAGAUGUUGUAGGAAUACUACAGAAGAUCAAUAUUCAACUUCUUGCAUGCUAAGCAUAUUCUCGGAAUCUCUCCUUCCAGAUUAGUUGUUUGUCGCAAAAGUUUGCUAAAUUGUUGGAUUUACGUGAAGAUCGUUAUUUUUUUUUUUGGUUUUAGUACUUGGUUUCUGGAUGAUUCCUUUUUUCAAAAAUGUUAGCUGGCUACUAUGAACCUUAGAUCCUUUUUCAGAAAUGCUAGCCGGUUACUAUGAAUCUUACUUUUUCGUCUUUAAAUUGAAUAACUAAAACCAAAUUGAUCCUCUUGAAAAUCUUGAAGCGGAAUGAACUUAUUUUAAAUUGUUAGAGGAAUCAACUCUAUGUAUACAGAUAGGCAAUUAAUAUAAAUGUCUUACAUUGGAAACACUAUCAGGACAUAUAACAUCAUGACAACAAGCAUAACGGGCAAUGACAAAAAAUGCAAUAUAUCAUCAUGCUAUACGAUAAAAAAUGGCAGCUCAGUGCACGAAGCAUCUUGCAUUCAUGCAGGAUACGGAGAAGGAUCGCCCCCAGGGAUAGUAACACAGCCAACCUACCCAACACAAAUAGCAAUGACUGAUUCCACGACUCAAACUCGUGACCUAUGGUCAUGCUGCCCCAUCAGCUUACAUGACGAUAAGUGAAGAAAAGAGAUAAUUUGCAUUAUCUUUUUACAUUCUUUUUUCAAUACAGUACAUUCUUCAAGAUUUUCCAAAUCAACCAAUUAAGACUAGAAAAAAGUUAAUUAGACCCCUCAAUGUUAAGUUCUAAUUUCUUAAGUUAUGAUUACAAGAAUUCAUGUACUUUGCACUGUAUCCGAGUCCUUUUCGCGGCCAUACCAAGCCCAUAAAUUUAACAAUGGACUGUUAGUUAAAUUAGCUCCAGGUAUGCCUCCUGUUCUGUUCGACUAGUGUCUCACAGUCCCUUUUUGGUACACGUUGAUGGUGUGAGAGACGAGUCUAAAAAUGCAUUCUUUGCUCUCCGGGUCUCUUUGCCAUAUUAUCAGUCUAACUCUAGUCUGAUUCCCUUUGCUCACUUUUUUGGAAGAUCAUCUACUACUACUUCAUUUUCUGGAGGUAAACUCCUCGAAACAAUGAUGUUGAUGAAGAAACUUGAAAUGACGUUGAUGAUUUGGAAGAUCAGUCUCUUGCAGAAAGUGACUCAGAGGAGAAAAUGCCGAAUUAUUUUGUCAAUUGAAUCAUUUCUUAUUACUCCACAAGUCUCAUAAUUUUGUUUUUCAUUUGAGUCAAGUAACAAGUAAUACUCUUUAUGAUGCAUUAUUGGUCCUCCCAACACUAGUGCUAAAUGGUCCAACUUUCACAACAUAUUUGGUAUAUGGCUGUUGCGGAAAGAAUGUGUGUUAACUAGAAUACAAUCGCACAAAAAGCAAAUAGAGAAGAAAAAUAACACAAAGCUUUCUUUUCAACUAAUAGGGAAAGGUCUCGUUUUGGUUUCGUAGAAUGAAUGUUAAAGCAGGAUGCUCAGAAUCGUAUGAUUCAGCAAUACCUGACGAAAUGAUCAUAUUAAAGAUUGGGAUGAACGGGAUGACCUAUUUCAAGAUCAAAUGAUCCACCUCUUUGUUUACCUCUGAGAUCCAAUUUUGAAAUGUUAGAUACGAGGGAAACAACACAUAAAGGAGAAAUUGAAUACUAUUUCCGAUGCAGUUCACGAUAAAUAGCUGCCAACUACCUAACUAGGUCGUUUCUUGUUAGAAUAUCUAUCCUAGUAGGAAAAUGGAAGGAAUAUACUAAUACACUAUAGGAGAGUCAAAAAAUGUGUAUUGGAACUAUAUCAGGAUUAGAUUGACGAGAAAUAUCCUUCUCCAUUCCCGGCCACCUCAUUAAUAUCUGGGGGGAAGAAUCCGAGGUAGCCUAAUGAUCAGCAAACAAAUCAAAGACAAGUACUUUUGUUUUAUGUUAGUCUCUAAGUAGUACUAAGCACCUAUUUAAUCGAGAAAGGGAACUAACAUAUUUUUCAUUCAAAACGUAUAUCAAUUACACAUAGUGUUAUCAGAGUAUUUUAUUAUUACUAAGAGAAUAUUUUGAGAAUAAUAAAAAAGGUAAUGUUAAAUAAUAACCUUUAAUUAUGUCCUCUAAUAUUUUUUUUCUCUCAACUGUAUGACUGUAUGUCAUACCCUAAAAUUCACUUCAUAUGGACUAGUAAUAUAUCUUUUUUUUAUUACUUAAUAAAAUCAUUGGGGGUGGGGGUGGGGGGUGGGGAUGGAAAAAAAUAUAUUUUUAAAAAUUUUUAAAGAUAUUUUUAAAAUAAUUUUUUGAUUUUUAAAAAUAUUUUAAAAUUAUUUUUAAAUUAUUGGGGGAUUGCUACAUGUCUACUGAUUUCCAGCUUGACGGGGGGGGGGUGGGUGGGUGGGGCGUAUGCUAAUCCAUAUUGGAGCAGUGCAAUUACUUAUGCUGUUUUGGAUUAGUUGUUAGUUAGUUAUGUGUUGGUUAUAAUCACAGUUUGAACAUGAGUAAUAACAAACUAGGCCGGGGGUUUACUCCGAUAAAUCCUUUAAAAUCACGGGUUUAACUUCUAUGAUUUUCAAUAUUAAUUUCAUUGUAAUAUCAAAAUUACUGGUUCAAACCUAAUAAUAGUGGUUGAUAUUUAAAUAGAUUUUUCCAUAUAUAUAUAUCUAUACUCCGUAUCAAAUGAUAUAAAUCCCUGUAAAUCUAUAGCUGACACGAGUUAAAUUUUGAUUUGCCAAAACUAAAUCCCUAUUCAUUAUGAUAUUGCAGUCAGUACUGUUUAAGUUGUUAACUCAAAUUAUGAAUUUCACCUGUAUCUAACAAAGAUAAUAAUAAAAAAAAAUCUAUUCAAUUCAUUCUUGCUCCUCUAAUGAACAUCUUACAUUUGGUAUAAAACUUGUGGAAGACUCCUGUUUUAGUCUUCUUUCUUGGUCUGCCGUUAAAACGAAUUAAAGUUACUUUAUUGUUUCUUUAGAUAACUUAAUUAAUGAGUAAAGGAAAGAUAUUCCUUUUUUCUUAAAGAAUGUAUGGAAAAUUAUUAUAAAAAAGAUUUUUGUAGAUUUUGAAAUCAGAAAGAGAAAGAGACCUCUUUACUAUUUAAAGUCUCAAAACCACAUCAUUACUAUCCAUAUCAAUAUUCUUACCAAUAUAAGCAAUUAUGGAGAAACUUGUUGCUUUCACCUCUUUUCUCUUGUUGCUUCAGUACUAUGUUAUAUGUAGUUCAGCCAUGAACCAAUUUAAUAUCUCCACUGAUCAAUUAGCUCUUCUUUCCCUGAAAUCACAAAUCAUUUCGGACCCCUUUCAUUUCUUCGAUGAAAGUUGGUCUCCAGCUGCGUCGGUUUGCCAUUGGGUUGGAGUCACUUGUGGCUCUCGUCACAAGAGAGUGAAGUCCUUGAAUCUUUCUGACAUGGCUCUUACUGGCAGAAUUCCACGUGAUUUUGGAAACCUCACAUUUCUUGUUUCUCUCGACUUGGGUAGCAACAGUUUCCGUGGAAAUUUGCCUCAAGAAAUGGCACACUUGCGUCGGCUUAAGUUUCUUGAUUUAAGUUUUAACAGCUUCAGAGGGGAAGUUCCUUCUUGGUUUGGGUUCUUACACCAACUUCAAUUUCUUAAUCUUAGGAAUAAUAGUUUCACCGGCUCCCUUCCCUCUUCAUUUUCUAACAUUACAAAUCUUGAAAUGUUGAAUUUGGCAUUCAAUUCCUUAGAAGGUCAUAUCCCGGUUUCUCUCUUGAAUGCCUCAAGGUUGGAGACGUUAGAAUUAUCUUAUAAUUCACUUCAAGGAAACAUUCCAAAAUGGAUCGGCAAUCUUCACAACAUGAACUGGUUGGGCAUAGAAUUUAAUCAACUUAUGGGUUCUAUACCAUUUACAAUUUUCAAUAUUUCUGGGAUCGAAUUCAUUUCAUUUAGUGGCAAUAGCUUAUCAGGAAUUCUUCCCAAUGGUUUAUGCAAUGGUCUCCCAAUUCUCAAAGGGCUUUAUCUCUACAAAAACAAGCUUCGCGGUCAUAUGCCUACAAACUUAUCAAAUUGUUCACAACUUCAACUGUUGGGGUUAUCGGAAAAUGAGUUUGAUGGACCAAUACAUAGUGAAAUAGGAAGAUUGAGUAACCUGCAGAUAUUGGAUCUCGGAACGAACCAUUUCACUGGUACGUUCCAUAUUAUGAAUAAUAGCACUAUUGUAUCUUAUUACUUCAGAAUUUCAUUUUAUUAUACAUUCAUUUCAGGGAUAAUUCCACAAGAAAUUGGAAAUCUUGUUAAUUUGGUAGAGUUAGCCAUGGAGGAUAAUCAUAUUACUGGCUCUGUCCCGAUCUCCAUAUUCAAUAUCUCAUCGCUGCAACUUUUGUCACUGUGGAGGAACAAUCUUAGUGGAUUCUUACCACGGGAGAUUGGCAACUUAACCAACAUGCAACAUGUUGAGAUUGGUGGAAAUAAGCUUAUAGGUACAUAUAUAUAUAUAUAUAUAUAUAUAUUUUUUAAUGAUUUUUUGGUUUUUAUUAAUGAAACGAAAAUUAUACAAAGAGUCAAAGGCCAAAAUAGGUACAUAUAUAUUCUAAUGGUGUCUCAUGUUAAAUUUUACAGAUCCAUUAGAACUAUUAAAAUUCUAUGAAUUUAUGUAUGUAAUGAGUACUAAAAUGUAACAAUUAUAAAUAAAUCUUCAAGUAUAUGACAAGAAACACCAUAUAAGGAGCGUCUUUUAAUGUUUAAAAUUAAUCUAUUUUGAGAAAUAACCAGUAAAUUUGAACUACUAUUGGUAGUUAGCUAACAUCUAAUAAAGUAUCAUUUUAUAUAUUUGAGUCCAUAUAAGAAUACAAACCUGCACAAUCAGAAUUCAUAGAAAAUUAAAUUAAGAACUUUAAUGGAGAAAAAAAUAUAUAAUAUGUACAUCCUUAGUAAAACUUUGAUCAAUAACAAUAGGAAAAAGAACUAUAUAGUUAUUACAUAAUUUUCUGAGUUCUUGCCGACACCUUCUUCCGUAACCAAUUAAAAUUCAAGAGUCUUCUUAUAGAUAAGCAUUGAGUUAAAUAGUUCAUCUCACUUGUAUUCAUUUUUUCUUCAUGUGUUGACAGGUGAAAUACCCAAAGAGAUACGCAAUCUCAUUGAGUUGGAGGUACUUAAUCUUGGGUUUAAUAGUUUUAGUGGUUCGCUUGAUAUGGAGAUCUUCAACAUAUCAGGGCUGAGAAUAAUUCAGCUUUCACACAAUAAUCUAUCAGGAAGCCUCCCACCAAACAUGUGUUCUAUCUUACCCAACAUUGAACAACUUUUUCUGGGCAACUUAACCAAUCUUGUUGGGACUAUUCCCCAUUCCAUCUCCAAUUGUUCAAAACAUACUAUUCUAGAGCUUUCUAACAACCAACUCACAGGCUUGAUUCCCAAUUCUCUUGGAUAUUUGACUCAUCUACAAAUCGUAAACUUGGGGGGAAACAAUUUAACCAGCGACUCAUUGUUAAGCUUUCUGACUUCCUUAAUCAAUUGCAGAAAUUUAACAUAUCUUGAUAUAUCUUUCAACCCUCUAUAUGGCAUGCUUCCAGCCUCCACAGGGAACCUUUCCACAUCUCUUAGAACAUUUUUUGCCAUCAGUUGUAAAAUCCAAGGGCGUAUUCCAGAUGAAGUUGGGAACUUAAGCAGCUUAUUAGACCUUGAUCUUUCUGGAAAUAACUUGGUCGGAUCUACUCCAACAUCAAUUGGCAACUUGAGAAAGCUUCAGCGCUUCAACUUGAGUAACAACAAACUUACAGGAUUUGUUGGUGAUCAUAUAUGUAAAUUGCAGCAUCUGGGUGAUAUUUUCUUGGAUCAAAAUAAACUUUCAGGAUCUCUUCCUAAUUGUUUAGGGAAUAUUACUUCCCUCAGGGAGAUACAUCUCGGUUCCAACAAAUUGAGUUCCAAUAUACCACCAAGCUUAGGGAACCUUCAUGAUCUAGUGGUUCUUGACUUAUCGUCAAACAACAUAGUAGGUUCUUUACCUCCAGAAAUUGGAAAUCUAAAGGCUGUGACACUGAUAGAUCUGUCAAUGAAUCAAUUUUCAAAUAGAAUUCCAAGAGAAAUUGGAGGAUUGCAGAAUCUGGCACGACUUUCUUUGAGACACAACAAGUUGCAAGGAGCUAUACCUGACUCAAUGAGCAACAUGGUAGGUUUGGAAUUCCUAGACCUUUCUCAUAACAAUAUAUCUGGAAUCAUUCCUAAGUCUUUGGAGAAACUUCAAUACUUGAAGUAUUUCAAUGUUUCUUUCAACAAAUUGUAUGGUGAAAUACCCUCGGGAGGUCCUUUCAAGAACCUCUCGAGUCAGUUUUUCAUCCACAAUGAAGCAUUGUGUACUUCUUCAAGAUUUAGUGUCCCGCCAUGCCCCACUCCAUCUAAGCACAAAUCAAAUAGGAACAAAUUGCUAGUUCUUUUUCUUUUGCUAGGACUAGCAUUUUUAUUUGUUCCUAUCACUUUUGUGUUUGUAUGGAUAGGGUAUAGAAGAGGUAAAAGAGCUCCUCAACAAACUGAUGCAUUGUCUGCCAUUACAAGAGAAAGAAUUUCAUACUAUGAAUUGCUCCAAGCAACUGAUGCGCUUAGCGAGAGUAAUUUGAUUGGUUCCGGAAGUUUUGGCUCUGUUUACAAAGGUGUUCUCAGAAGUGGAACUGCCAUUGCAGUUAAAGUGUACAACCUACAAAUUGAUGCGGCAUUCAAGAGUUUUGAUAGGGAAUGUGAAGUUCUGCACAGCCUUCGCCAUAGGAAUCUUGUAAAAGUCAUCACUAGUUGUUCCAACCUUGAUUUUAAGGCUUUAGUGCUCGAGUAUAUGCCAAAUGGAAGUCUUGAGAAGUAUUUGUAUUCGCACAACUACUUCCUCGACAUCAAGCAGAGACUAAGCAUAAUGAUAGAUGUGGCAUGUGCUUUGGAAUAUCUUCACCAUGGGUGCUCGUUGCCUGUGAUUCACUGUGACAUAAACCCUAGUAACGUCUUGCUGGAUGAGGAUAUGAUUGCACAUCUAAGCGACUUUGGCAUUUCAAAACUUCUUGGUGAAGAUGAGAGUGAUUUAUACACAAAAACAUUAGCAACAUUGGGUUAUAUUGCACCAGGCACGUCUCUUGAUUUUGCUUUGCACAUUUCUUUCCUCGUUCUCUUUUUCCACCAAGUUAUCAUGUUACAUCUUUUAAUAAUUGUUUGAUUGUAGAGUAUGGACAAGAUGGAUUGGUGUCUACUAAAUGUGACGUGUAUAGUUAUGGAAUCAUGUUGCUGGAAUGAAGGAGAUCUUAGCUUGAAGAAAUGGGUGAGUUAUUCACUUCCAGAUGCAGUAAUGGACGUCGUGGAUGCCAACUUGGUAACAACAACAGGUAAAGGCUUACAGAAGGAGCUAGAUGUUAUGGAAUCAAUCAUGAAAGUAGCAUUAGAUUGUUGUGUUGAAUCUCCGGCAAGAAGGACUAACAUAAAAGAUGUUGUAGGAAUGCUGCAGAAGAUCAAGAUUCAACUUCUUGCAUGCUGAGCAUGUUCUCGGAAUCUCUCGUUCCAAAUUACUUGUUUGUUGCAAAUGUUUGCUAAAUUGUUAGAUUUAUGUGAAGAUUGUUACUUUUUUUAUAUGUUUUAGUAAUUGAUUUGUGGAUGAUUCUGUUUUCAAAAAUGCUAGCUGGUUGCAAUAAAUUUCAUUAUUUCCAACGUAAUAACUAAAACCAAAUUGAUCCUCUAAAAAAUCUGGAAGCAGAAUAAUCUUUUUUUAAAAUAGUUAAGAGGAAUUAAGUACAUGAAUACAAAUAGGCAAGUAAUAUAUUUGUAAAUGUUUUACAUGUGAAUCACUAAGAUGACACAUAACAUCAAGACAACAAACAAAAAGAGCAAUGACAAAAAUUGUUGCGAUCAUAAAGCCUAUAUAUAUAAAUAUAUAUUUUAUUUUAUUUUAUUUUUUUCUUUUUUUUGGCAAUAAAUCUGAAAUAUUACCANNNNNNNNNNNNNNNNNNNNNNNNNNNNNNNNNNNNNNNNNNNNNNNNNNNNUUUUCUUUUUUUUGGCAAUAACUGUGAAAUAUUACCAUUACUAACACAAUGCAUACAAACAAAGAGUAUCCAGUGGUUUCCUUCUGCCUACAAAGGAGCCAUGAGUUAACCAAUUAGACCUGAACUAACAACACUUACUAACUAAUAAACCAAACAGCUAUGUACACAAUCUAUCACACCAAUUUUGACACUUCAGGGCCCUUUUUGAUUCCUUAAGUAUAUUCAUUCUCUCCCUUAGUUCAUGUUGUAUCUGUGAGAUAUCUAUACUAGUAGGAGUAGUUAUAUGUUGAAAAAUCUUCUUGUUCCUAACUUGCCAAGUGUGUUAUAUCAAUGGUCCCCACAUUCCUGCAACUAUAUGCUUCUUAAACCACUGCCAGUUGCUUCUAUUUAUCCACUGUACAGUGGUCUUUACAUCCCUCUUCCUUACGUGUAUACCAAGCCAAUUGAGAAGAGUUAUGCUCACCUCCAUUAUCCAUUGGCAUUCUCCAAACAGAUGCUCUUGUGUUUCCUCAACAUCAUCAUCACAUAGGCAACAUUUAGUAUCCUCUACUGAAAUAUUCAACCUUUGCAAUCUUGUCUUUGUCAAUAACUUAUUCUGAAACGCCAACCAUAAUAUGAAUCGGUGUCUCGGCAUCAUAAUGGUACUCCAUAUCAACUCACUUUCCCUUUGUCGAGGGUGCAUACCCACCAAGGCCUUGUAACUCCUAUUAACCGAGUAGUCACCAGUGUGUGUUAGUAUGUACUGCCCCUGUAAUACCAUCCUAACAUUUGCACUUUAAUGGAAUUCAACUUCCUCCAGUACCAACUACUAGUAGGGGCAGGUUUGUGUGCCCAUAUGUCGGCAUCAUUCUUCAUAUAUACUUCAUGCACCCACUUCGCCCACAACACAUCUUUUUUCCUUGCCAAUUGCCAAAUCAACUUUCCCACUGAAGCUAUAUUCCAGUUCUUGCAUCCCUUUACAUUUAAUCCUCCAUAUUUUCUUGGCAAACACACUGUAUUCCAUGCCACCAACGAUAUCUUCUUUUUCUCAUUGCUACUUCCCCACAAAUAUUCUCUACACCUUUUAUCCACCUCCUUUAGAACCUUUUGAGGUAGAAUAAAUAUUGCUCCCCAGAAGUUAAAUAUGGAAAAUAAUACAGAGUUGAUAAUCUGUAAUCUGCCAGGGUAUGAAAGUUGUUUUGCAUUCCCUUUGUUGAUCUUGUUAGUAAUCUUCUCCACCAACUGAUGACAUUCCAUGCUAUUCCAUUUUUUCGAUGACAAAGGAACCCCUAAAUACCUAAUAGACAGGGUACCUAGCUUGAAACCCGUCCUACUCAAAAUUGUAGCUCUUGUCUCAUGGUCCAUACCUGCCAAGAAGAUAUUGGAUUUAUCACUAUUCGCUUCCAAACCAGUAACCUUGCUGAAGUGAUCUAAAGCUUCCAUGACCCGAGACACUGAGUUGGCAGUCCCUUUGCAAAAGAUCAUUAAAUCAUCCGCAAACACCAGAUGGGAAAGCUUAGUCCUUUUACAUAUAGGGUGGAACCUGAAAUCACGGAGUUCACUCAUCUUUAUCAAUGUCCUGGACAGAUAUUCCAUCACCAGUACAAAAAGUAGCGGAGACAUAGUGAUACAAGACAAACAAGAGGAACACGAAACAGCCGCAAAACAGUCCAAUACACCCUCCAAAACAGUCCACAAAUCACAACAAAUCAUGGACCAAAUGGAGACUUCACUCGGAUUCGACAAAUACAACAAGAAUACAAGAAACAAAGGUGUAUUUGACACCCAAAACAGCCACAAAUUGUGAAGAACAAGAUGACGACAAGAACACAAAUUUUCGGAUUCAACAAGACACAAGAAUAGUCCACUACAAACAAUAACAAGAUUACAAGAAUAAAAGGAUAGAUAGUGAGAUAUAGAUUUGUUACAAGACUUAGGAACAAAGUGUGAUUCAAACAAUAAACCCCUAAUUAAUGUAACAACACCACACUCUUACGGUGACCGCCAAGGGAAUCACUUACCUCAAGAUCCACCAUUUCCAAACAAAGAACAAUAUUGGCUUUUCCAAGCGCUAUGCUAAGGAUGACUUUUCCAAGCCCUAACUAAGAACUAUACUAAGGUUUUGCACUCUCCAAAGAGAUAAUAAGUCUUUCAAAUGUUCAUCAUUCAUUCACUAAAGAGAAAUGACCUAAAAUAGACUAUAUAUAGUAUAUUACAAAAGAAAGAUAAAAUGACUCCAAUGCCCUUAAUGAGGUGGGUUGCAUUGGAGUGUCAUUUAGACAAGGCUAAAAGACCAAAAUGACCUUGAGGCUAAGUGACCAAAAUGACCUUAAUAAAAGGGGCCAAAACCGUGAACCAUCAAAUGUGGUCCAAACCCAUGAGUCCUCUAGUCUUCAAGGCUCCAAGCAAUCUUCCACACACGGGUUUGUUUGAUGGCAUGCUCAAAAUAACCCCUACAAGUAUGAUCUCGUGCCCUCCAUGGGACCAAAUCUUGAUUUUUCACGUAGUGACUUUGAAUGAUGUCAUUGAAAGCUAAGGCGGCCAUUUCACUUGUAUCAUCCUCCCCUUCUUGAAAAGGAUUAGACCUCAAAUCCGUACCUUGCAAAAAAAGAGAAAGGACAAAGAAGCACAACAUCCUCAUGGCGUGAGGGUUAGGGUUAGCACAGUAAUAAACAUCGUCACGCCAAGGAGGUACAUACUUGAAGUAUAACCAAGAAUCCUUUGAAGUGAGUAUUAAAAACUCAAUGAAAGAUGUACAAAGGAUUUGGUUAUGGGAUACACCAAGAGUGAUACUUUUCUCGUCAUGUAGACCAAGCAACAAGUUGGGUGCACCAAAAAUCACCAUUUCUACAUUUGGCACCGGGGUCAAAUGGGAAAAGUUUCCACAGACACGGGUCUAGACAACACUCCCUUUUCCCAUGGUCUACACCCAAAAUAAACGACAUACUCUCUAUAAUAGCAUACAUAUCAUCCAAAGAAAAUAGAGAGUAGAGAAAGAUAUCACUCAAAUCGACUUCUACCAAGGUGCCCUCAUGUGUGUACUCCCUACUAGUUUCCCAAUAAUAACUAUGAGUACUCUCAACAAUAAAGUCACACAAAGUAAAAUAAGAAGUAACUUCCGCAACUACACAUUCCUUACCCCUAAGAGUACUCUCAUCUUCCAAGAAGAGAUUUCCAUCUUUAGGAGGAAUGUUGUCACACCAAAGUGGGUUAGCAUAUAGGCUAUAGCUUCCAAGGCAAGGUAUACCAUCAUUUUCACCACAAGCUUUAUUAGAAGUGUUUAAAUCAUCUUCAAACAAGAUAUUACACCUAAAGAGAGUGUGAUCUACCUCACGGACAGAUUUGGAAUAAGCAAGUUCCUCACACUCUAAAUGAUCAAUAUCAAGUUUCAAGGAUGUUCCAAACACAAGAUUACCCCAAGAAGAGAUCUCGGGUUCACUCCCACUUUGUUGACCAACAUUUUCAAAUACUUCACUUACUUGAGUUCUAUUAAGCACAUCACACACAUACUCAAGUGGGGGACAAUUUUCACAAACAAGUUGAUCAACACCAAUUACACAAGACAAUGUACUUUCGUUCAACAUAUAGGCUUCAAAACUAGGUGGACAUAAAUUAAUCUUACAAGAAGAGUCAAUUUCGUCAUCAAUAGGAUCAACUAGUGUAUCCAAACUCACAAUAUGUACAUCAUCAACAAGAGGUAAGGAAUCAUUAGACUCAUAAAUAAGUAAGCUACUACUCACACUCAAUGGCUUACUAGCCACACAAUUGUCAUUCACAUGCACUAAAGUGUAAGAGUUAGCUAUUUUACCUUUAAGAUCUUGAGUAGACUCUUCCCUGCCGUGAGGUAAGCAACUUUCUUUUGGCAUUGUUCGCCUUCGCUUGCCAUGUUGGUACCUACACAAAUGUCCUUAGAAAUGGAAGGAUAACCAAUGUUAGCACGGUUUGGUGGCAAUCCCCUCACUUCGCUCCACAUAUCCUCUCUUUUUUCCAUUCUUGGAUUACCACCUUGCACUCUCUUAAUCCUCUCAAUAUGUUGUCUCUCAUCAUAAAUCGGAUUGGAGUAGGUAAGCAUUUGUCUUUGCGGUUUGGGUAGAAAGUAUGUUAUGAGGCAAUUUCCCCAUUGGUCUCUUACAACAUUAGGCCAAUUUUUCACGUUAGGAACUUGAUGUCGUGCAAACCAAUCGGCACCCAAGCUUAUAUUACCGUAGGUUAAGAAAAAAACAUCGUAUCACACCUCCUCAUGGUAAUCAAAUUGGGAGAAGAUAACUUUUACCCCCUCGGUAACCUUGAACUCGCCCAAGUAGUAUGGAACAAGUAAAGGCUCUUGAAAUAAUCCCAAGUAGUCAACCAUGGAUGGAAGAAUGUAGUUUCCAUAGUACCUAUCAUUCAACACUAUAAGGCAGCCCGGUAUCCCACAAAUAGUCACCUUUCCGGAGUGUACACUCCUCCUUGGAUCAACAUUGUAAGGCACACAAGUACCCGUCGGUUUUGGAGAUGCUUUCCCUCUUCUUCUCAUGGGACAACCUCUACUAUAGCUAGUAUAACCAAUCACACCAUGUCGACCUUGAUAAGAAGUACUACAAGGUGAAGAAUAUGAUCUUUCACACUCCGCACGCGUACUCUCAUCAUAGCUCUCAUAAUCUUUGCGAAUGAAAGGGUUAUACCUAACACCAAAUGUAGGUUCAAAGUGGGAAGUAUAAGACUCCUUACAUGCCCCAACUUCAUCAUAAGAACCAUCACGAGUUCCUACAUCAUCUCCAAAUUCACCAUAAGCACUAGGCACAUCAUUCCCCUUAUUUUCUCCCCUAAACCCGAGACCCUCAAAUCUGCCCAACUUUUGAUCAUGGCUAUUUUCAUAGCCCCCACAAUCUCCCUCAACUUCAUAGCCAUAAAACCCCUCACUACAAUCAUAGUCUCCCAUGUUGUAGUCACAAUAAUCCCCGGCUAUCAAAGACAUGUUCCUCUUAUAUCACCCUUUGUACCUACAGAAUGAACAAACAAGAUUAGUAGUACUGCUUCUUACUAACACUCGUAUACACUCACCUUUGUGAUUUUCACAAUUGGAGCAGCGAAUAUUGAAAGUUGUUUAUACUCCGGCAGUCAAUAGGAUGCCAAUUCUAUUUGGUAGUUGGAAUAGAUUCUUGUUUGAUCGACUCAAAAUACAAAAAUAAAAUUUACUUACUAACUUGAAACAAAGAAGUUACUAUGAGUUAAAAAUGAGAAAAAGCACACAAAUAACGAAGACACGAAAGGAACGAAUUCAACAAUUAAUCUACAACUAAGUAGGUGAUUACUAGUUAAUUAAUUCUAGAAUCAAGAUAGGAAACUAAGGAAACAAUAAAGUGAAACUAAUAAUCUAAAAUUUGAGCCAAAAUUCGAUGCGUGAACAGUAACUUGAUGAUGUGGCAGCCACGUAUUGGUUGCGGUUUCUACAAUUUUUAUUUUUCAAAGCCCAAGUCUUGACCAAUUUUAAUUUGGAUGAGUGAAAUUUGUUUUAAGGAAGGAAGAAUAAGUCUUGAGCCUUUUUUUUUUUUUAAGUUUCAAAUUUCAAGACUUGACUUUUGUAGUACUUUCCUUAAAACAUGGACCCUUGUUUUUUGGAAAAGUGAUUGAGAUGUGAUUGACUUGUUGGUGAGUGAUGGUAAGUCUUUCAAGACUAACAAAGUUCUCACACUUUUUCCUUCACCUUUUUGGAUCUAACUUUCACUUUAUGUUAACAAGGUAUGAAGGUUUGGAAGAACAUCAAGAACACUUCAACAAUCACUAAGAAAAUAAACAACAAUCUCCAAAGAACAACAACAAUUCCGCAACAAAAAGGUCAACUACAAACUUCCAACAAACGGCCAAGUCCUUUAGUGCGGUGUUUUGGUAUUAACAAGGGGUGAAGAUUGGGAUGAACAACAAGAACACAACAACUUCUCAAGAACAAUAACAACACCAAAAACGUCCAGCCCAAGUCCACAAGAAAGGUCACCACACGGCCAAGAACAACAACAUCAAUACACGGCCAUUAACUUGUUCACAACAACCAUCUCAACAAUUCAAGCUCAACUUUAGAUCUAGACUCAAGAGUGUUAGGGAAGAAGAAAGUUAACACUAGAAACAAAAAAUCAAACAAAAUAACACCUAGAUCUAGAAUCAACUUUUCAGCCAAGACAACAACAACAAGAAUCCAACUUCUCGGCCAAGGACACAAUCUUUUUUUUUUUUUUGUAUUUUUUAACUACCAAGCCCAAGAUUGAUCUUGUAGGAACAAGAUCAAGCCAUGCUUUGAUACCAAAUGAUACAAGACAAAAAAGAGGAACACGAAACAGCCACAAAACAGUCCAAUACGCCCUCCAAAAUAGUCCACAAAUCAUAAUAAAUCGUGGACCAAAUUGAGACCUCACUCGGAUUCGACAAAUACAACAAGAAUACAAGAAACAAAGGUGUGUUUGACAUCCAAAACAACCACAAAUCGUGAAGAACAAGAUGAAAAUAAGAACACAAAUUUUUGAAUUCAACAAGACACAAGAAUAGUCCACUACAAACAAUAACAAGAUUACAAGAAUAAAAGGAUAGAUAGUGAGAUAUAGAUUUGUUACAAGACUUAGGAACAAAGUAUGAUUCAAACACUAAACCCCUAAUUAAUAUAACAAAAAUGCCAUACUCUUAUGGUGACCGCCAAGGGAAUCACUCACCUCAAGAUCUACCGUUUCCAAGCAAAGAACAAUAUUGGCUUUUCCAAACCCUAUGCUAAGGAUGACUUUUCCAAGCCCUAUGCUAAGGAUGACUUUUACAAGCCCUAACUAAGAACUAUACUAAGGUUUUGCACUCUCCAAAGAGAUAAUAAGUCUUUCAAAUGUUCAUCAUUCAUUCACUAAAGAGAAAUGACCUAAAAUAGACUAUAUAUAGUAUAUUACAAAAGAAAGAUAAAAUGACUCCAAUGCCCUUAAUGAGGUGGGUGGCAAUGGAGUGUCAUUUAGACAAGGCUAAAAGAUCAAAAUGACAUUGAGGCUAAGUGAUCAAAAUGACCUUAAAAAAGGGGGCCAAAACCGUGAACCAUCAAAUGUGGUCCAAACCCGUGAGUCCUCUAGUCUUCAAGGCUCCAAGCAAUCUUCCACACACGGGUUUGUUUGAUGGCAUGCUCAAAAUAACCCCUAUAAGUAUGAUCCCAUUCCCUCCAUGGGACCAAAACUUGAUUCUUCACGUAGUGACUUUGAAUGAUGCCAUCGAAAGCUAAGGCGGCCAUUUCACUUGUAUCACAUAGGAUCUCCUUGCCUCAACCCCAUCCUUCCCUCAAAGAAUCCAUGGCCAAAUCCAUUAACUUUGAUUGAGAAUUUGGUGUUUGUGACACAACUCAUCACCAUUUGCGUAAAAGUUAGAGGAAAUCCAAAGGCUAUUAGUGCUUCCUCAAGGAAUUCCCAGCUCACCAUAGCAUAGGCUUUCUUUAAAUCGAUCUUCAUCAAACACCUUGCAGAUUUUUUCCUUGUAUAAUGCCUUAGCAAGUCAUUACAUAUCAAUACAUUAUGUAUCAAACUUCUCCCUUUCACAAACGCUGCCUGAUUUUCAGCAACUAGACUACUGAGAGCUUCCCUUAGUCUCAAACAUAUCACCUUGGAAAUGCACUUGUACAAUACAUUGCAACAUGAGAUUGGUCUAAACUGACUGGCACUUUGGGGCGUUGGAACUUUAGGUAUUAGUGAGAUCAUCAUACAAUUAAUUUGCCUAAGUAGCUUGCCAUUAUCUAGAAAGUCCAACACAGCUUUAAUAAUAUCUUUCCCUGUAAUGUUCCAAGUGUCCUGGAAAAACCCACUGCCAUAUCCGUCCGGGCCUGGGCUUUUAUUUCUAUUGAUGCUGAACAUUGCAUCUUUCACCUCUUUUGCAGUGUAUGGUUGCAGCAAUACAAGUUUCUCAUCGAUAGUUAACACAUGCCCACACCUGAAGACCUUAGAAUAUGCCUGGGUCCUUCUUGUAACUUUUGUGCCCAAUAACUCUUUAUAAUAAUCAACAAAAAUGUUUGCAAUUGCUUCAUGUUCGGUCUGUAUCACAUUCUACCUAUCCAUCAGUUAUAGUACGGCUUGCUGUAGUUGCCUGUGUUUAAUAACUGAAAAGAAAUAGCUAGUGUUAUCAUCUCCAAGUGUAAUCCAGUUAGCCUUGCUCCUUUGUUGUAGUAACAUCUCCGCAAGGUAAGAAGAUUUCUUAAACUUCAGGUAUCGUGGUCUUUCUUCCUGCUGCAACUCAUAAUUUGAUUGAUCGGCAUGUAGUGCCAUUUGUACUGUAUACAAAGCUAGCCUGUCUUCCUCUGCUUCUGUAAUUAUAUUGUUGAAAUGUUCACGAUGUAAUGCCUUAAGCUCUUCUUUUAGCAUCUUCAUUUUUUUAACUACUUGUAACAUACUCCACCCUUCUACUAUGACCAUCCAACCUUCUUUCACCUUAUCCAAAAAUCUAGGGUGUUUAACCCAGAGAUUACAAUACUUAAAUGGUUGCUUUGCCCUUGUUGGUUCAUUUAGCAUUUGAACCUUCACAGGACAAUGAUCGCUAAUCCCUUCUGGUAGAAAGUGAGCAUUAAAAGCUGGCAUGUUAUCCAGCCAAUUAGUAUUCACAAAAACCCAGUCAAUUUUGGAGCAAACUCUGUGAUCUGCUUGUCUGUCACUCCAUGUAUACCUGCUCCCAACAUGAGGCAAAGUUAUCAGUCCACAAUUACACACAGUCUUGAAAUUCUAGUACUUCAGCCAUACUAACAGGAGUACCCCCAAUUCUAUCCUCCCUUCCUAAAACCGCAUUAAAAUCCCCCAUGAGCAACUAGGGCUGGUUAGUAGCGCUGCUCACCGUUUCCAAAUACCCCCAUAAAGGCAAUCUCUCCUCCUUAGUAUUGAAAGCGUACACCAGCGUCAGGAAGAAAGUAGUUUGAAAAGCAAUGCGCACAACUUGACACGUCACAGCUUGUGCCCCACUGCUUACUUGUGUAAUUUGAAACAUGUCUGGUCUCCAAAUUACUAAAAUCCGACCAUUAUAGUGAUGGUCCAAGUUUGUGAUAUAGUUCCACCCUCCAAAUAACCUAUCAACCACCUUAUCAAUUUUUUCCUUUUUUAUUUUUGUUUCAAUUAGUCCAACUAAACCAACUGAUUCCUUAUUACGUAGGAGUUUAACCUCCUUUUGUUUGUUAGGGGCAUUCAAGCCCCUAACAUUCCUACACAAGAACUUAUCCACGAUUAGUCAAGGGCAGUGUACCACCCCCUUUCACUACAUCACUCGUAUUUGGCUGUUCUGGAACAUCAUUAGUUAAUACCUGAAAAGCAUUCUGAGUACUCCCUCCUAUUUUCACUGUACUUUAGCUCUGCCCCUGUUUCUGGUUUGCUUUUGGACCCUCUCCUGGUGAUCUAGCUCUAGGAGUAACCCACUCAGAGGAGUUUGUGCUUGAUUUAUGAUUCAAGUCCUUCCCCAUCUGGCAGUUGCUCCUUCCUACCUCUUCCUCUUGCUCUACCUGUUUCAUUUUCAUUCCCUUAUCAACUUGUAUUUCCUUCCCCUUUGGAUGCUGCACCUGAACUGGUGCUUUCUUCUUUCGACACUCUUCUUCACUAUGCCCAUAUUUUUGGCAAUGCUCACAAAGAGUCGGUUUCCAGUCAUACUGGAGUUUUUGCUCUACCAAAUUACCCUUCUCAUUCCUAAAGUAGACCUUAUCCGGUAGCUUAGCAUUCAUGUCCACCUCAAUUAAUAGCCUUGCAAUGGUCAAUCCGAUCUUCUUCUCGGUAUGGUUAUCCACCAUGAGAGGUUUGCCAAUCAAGCUCCCUAUUUUACUUAGGCCUUUUUGACUCCAAUACUUGAAUUCCAACCCCGGCAACUUCACCCAUAUAGGCACAGUAUAUAAUUCGUCUCUACUGAAUUCCAUGUAGAGAUUCCAAGCCUUUACUAUAAACGGUUUGUUAUCAAAGUGAUAAAUCCCCCCUUGUAACACAUCAUUCUUCCCUACUUCCGAGUCAAACCGCACCAAAACCACCCCAUUUUUUAACAUGGAUACUUUAUUUAUCCCUAAUUUCCCCCACUGUCUUUGGAUAUACCCAUUUCGUACAGAGAAGGGAGGAUAUGCGCCCAACACAUAACACACAAUACCAUUUCUCCAAUACGCUAAUUCGGAGCUUAUAUCAUCCAACUCAAUUUCACAUAUAGGAGCUUCGCCAUGCAUAGCAGGAGAAACAUAGUCCAAUUUAGAUCCAGCAUUAGCUAUUUUCGCAAUAUCAAAAUUAUCCCAUACCGAUGGUUCGUUUGCUCUACCUCGGCUUCGACCUCAUCAGCCCAAGACGUCUUAUUGUUGCUUAUCAUCCCUUCUUCCCAUUCUUGAAGUUUUUCUCUUCUACUUUCCCUUUGAAGCUCUGCCCUACUACUUUCCUCUUUUCCAUAGACCAGCCCUACUGGCUUGCUGGGUGGCCCAGCUGAUUGAUUUUUCGUCAUCAUAUCCUCCACCGUUUCAAGUGGAGUCCUCGCUGAUUUCAAUUCCGUCCUUGGAGUAGGAUUUAUUAAGCUAACUGACCCACUAUUAGCUAGUGGAGACAUAGCUUCUCUCAAAUUAGGUUGUUUGUUUUCAACUACUACCCUCCCCCCGAUUCCCCCGAGCAUUUGCCGUCGAUGUUUGUGCAGCCAAUGCAUUCUGUGAUGGACGCCUUGCUCUCUUCCCCAUGGGCGUGCAUGUUAGUUAACGUGCUCCGAGAGAACUUAGCAACCUUUUUUUAUUUUUUUUAAUCAUAAAGACUAUAUAGUUUUUUUCAAAAAAAAGAAAAAGGUAGCUCCAUGCACGUAGUAUCUUGCAUUCAUGGAAGAUAUGGAGAAGGGUCACAACCAAGGAUUGUAAUGCAAGCAACCUAUCCGACGCAAAAAUCGUUGAAUGAAUUCAUGACUUGAACUCGUGACCUAUAUGUCCCAUGCAAAAAGGCAACUUUAUCUUUGCUCCAAAGCUUACAAGGUAAUAAAUACAGAAAUGGGAUAAUCUGCUUAUCAUUUUGCUCUCUCUUUCAAUGCAGUACAUAUAUGAUACAUCUCUAUUCUGAUUAAGCUCUGAUCUAUAUCUAUAUAUUAUUAAAAAAAGGAUGCAGUCUCCUCAUUAACCCAAGCGGCAACAUAUAAAAUUGACACGUGUAGCAUUUAAAGAUGAAUUAGUUAAUAAGGUAGAAGUUACUUACAACUUACCUUUUAAUUUGAAUUUUUAAAUAUAAAAAGAUAUAUUUUUUUAAAUAUAUCAUAUUUCAAAAUUGUGAAGUUACAACAGUUAACAUUACUCUUCUUUAUCCAAUUUGUUUUUUUUUUUUAAAAAUCAAAUUUUGUUUAGUUCUGCCAAUAGACGUUUAUGGCCCCUUUUAAAACGUUUAAAUUUUUUUUAUAUCUUAUAUUUAAUUAAAAAUGUUUAUGUUGUUUUGAUGUCUUAAUAUUUAAUUAUUGUCUAUCUUUAACUUUUAGAGCUUUUUAAAACGUUAAAAAAUUUAUACUUUAACUCUUUUUAAAAGAUUUCACGAUGUAAAUUACGAUAAUAAAUAUUAACCUUUGAUUCGGGGAAAUAGGUUAGUCUUCUUCUUUUCUCCUUUUCUGGACAAAUAUUUGUUACUCUAUUUUAAUUUUUAAAUUUGGGAAGUUACCAACAGUAGAUAUAACUCUUUUCCCACUUUCACAUUCUCCAAAAAAGAAUCUAUAUCUAUAAUUAUCUAUAUGUAAUAGGAGAAGCACAACAGGAGAAGCACAACUUUCAUGUGCUGACAAUAAUCGACACCACAAAAAUUCUAUUUGAAAAAUAAAUAGUAAUAAUUCAAUUUAAUGUUUAAAAAUAUUAUAAUUAAACAAUUCAAAAAAAAAAAAACUGACAAUAUAGUUAGUUUUAAAUUCAAAUUUUUACAAUAAUAGUAACAAAAUUAAUUCAAUUUAACUCCAAUUUCUCCGUAAUGUUUAGUAGUUUUUAAACUGUCUCCCUAAAAUCCGCUUUGAGCCAACCCCUCACGGAUUUGUUUUUGAGCACCUCCAAAAGGCCUCAUACUUGUCACGACCUAAACCGAGGCCCUAGUCGUGACGAGCAUCCCGAACUAUGAAGGCCUGGACAUCCUUCUACAUCUGGUAAUCAUGCACAACAUUCAUAUAAUAAAAGUAAAUGUGGAAAUUUAGUCUGUUACGGAAACAUGGUCAUAUUCUAGAUUAAGUGUAACAACAAGGAACGAAAUCCUAAAUCAACUAAAUAGUAUCUGAAACAGUCUGCGAAAUCUCUACUAUAUGAUAAACUGACAAUUGUCUGAAGGCUGGGACAUGGCUCCAAGUAGACCAAAACUAUAGCAGAGGAUAUAAUUUGAAAGAACAGGCCUUCUGGAAUAGAGAAGGCUCACCACUGCACAACCUGAUCAGCUGUCUGAAUUUUCUACCGCUUAUUUAGACCCCUAGACUGAGCCUCAGAACCUGGAGGGAGGGAGGGGGGGGGGGGGCCAAUCAAGAGGUACGGUCCAAAAUAAAUCUUUUACAUAAGUAAAAUAAUAGAGAGAAAUUUGUCAAAACAUCAUACAUAAAAUAGUUUUCAAAACACAUGGACACCUUUCUGAAAAAUCAUAAAUCAUUCUUGACAAUGCAGCUUCUAAUCUUCGUAUUAAUUCUGAGUUAGGUGGUACACCGCUACAAUUCUAAAUCCCACGGGCUGUAUGGAAUCCGCCAUUGACUCAGCGGGGAAGCCCCCAACCCGAGUGUGCCGCAAGGGUUGGAGUUUCUAAUUCUGAUACGCCACACAACACUAGGCCAACGUAAUAUAAUAUACCCGGAUCGACAAAUCACGAUUUUGGGAAAUGAGUUUUCUGAACUCAUGCCUUCUUCGGAAAACUACUUAAUUAUGCCCAAUUUUAUACUGUUCUGAAGCAUGCAUUUUUCUAGUUUCAACAUCUGAAAAUUCUGAUUUCAAAUAUGCAUUCUAUUCUUUUCUGAAUUAUCAUGGCAUAAUCUGAAUUGGUGUCGUCACACCAAGACUUGCAAGUCCUAUUUCUGAGCCAUAAUGCAUCAUGUAUAAUUCUUUCAUUAAAAAACAAUUCAGACCACCCAAGCAUGCAAUUUAUCAAAGGAAUUCAUGUUCCGAAAACAUAAGUCAAAACUAUGCAAAAUUCUCAUUCUUUCAAUAAACAAGUUGUGGUCAUGUAAUCUUUAGCAAACCAUGCAACUCUUCUCACUAUUUGAUUAUGUUCAGCACUCUCUUUUUUGAAAUUAAAAUCAUAAUUCAAAUAUAACAUUAUUCAAGACAUUUCAUAACAUGCUUUUCAAGGUGCAUUCAAACGAUUUCAUAGUAUAUCAUAAGUAAAUAAAAAUCAUCACAAGAGAGGGAUUUUUAAUGAAUCAUAUUCUCAAUUUAAUCAUCAACCUUAAAACACAUGCUUACAUAUAUAUAUAUAAUAUUUCAAAUCCAUUUGGGGAAAGGCCUAAAGACCAAAAAAAUAUCAUCAACGCUUCUAAAACAUGAAUAUAUUCAUAAAUUCGAAACCCCUUUCUUAAAAUCAUAAUUUCUAUGCCCAUGAGAUUUUAGGAAAACCCCGCGUACCUUAAAUUAAAAGCUUUUGAAUGAACUCUAGCUUUUGGGAUGCUAUACAUAUGAUCGAAGGGUGCCUCUUGUAGCCCUCACAAUGGGGAUACCAAAUCUUGAAGAAUUAAGGAAAACUCACGGUUGAAUCUUGAGUUAUUUGGGUUUUUAGUUAGAAAACCUAGGGUGAGUUCUUGAUGAAUUUGAGAGGAAAGAAUCAUAUUUUGGUGUUUUGGGAGUUUAAUCUCGUGUUAUAGCUAGAUAAGGGAUGGAGAUACCCAUUUUGCCCUUAAGAAUGUGGAAACAUAACCUGAAAUUUUGGUGCGUGUGUCGCACGCUUAUCACAUGAUGAUGCCUCAUUCAUGAAAAUAGCCAUAACUUUUCACUUGGGUAUCGUAUUUAUGCAAAAUUGGUAUCAUUAGAAAUAUAAUUCGAAGACCUUUCAUUUGAUAUAUAGUAGGCCACCCAGUUCAUCAUAUACAAGGAGUUAUGGUCAAUUGAAAUUGACUCAAGUUUCAACGCUCACUAAAACUCAACGAUAGGAAAGCUUUCAACUUGACCUUGAGUUAGGGGACCUCUAUGAUCUCAAUUCAUGUUCAAAUAGGUUCCCACACCACAUAAUUGAUUAACAUACCAAAUUUGCAUAGGAUUUAUGGCUUUUGGAACAUCUACAUGUAGAAAUGACAAUUUUCGUUCUAGCCCGAAAUGUGGGGUGUUACAUUAUCUCCCCCUUAGGAUCAUUCAUCCCCGAAUGAUGGUAGGAAUUUGGUGAAGCAUAAAGGUAUGGAAUAAUGUGGACAUGAUUUACCUUCUAAGAAAGGACAUAACUGAUCUGAAACAUUUAAACUUCUAUCAUGAAACUGAAUUCUGAGCUGACUUGAUUUUUUUUCUUCAAGAAGCUUGUUCGUGCUGAAAGUUUAGGAUUCUCUUGAAAUAUUCAUGAUCCAAUCAUACAUAUUGAAAUUGGGAAGUGAUAACUUAUGAAAGUAUGAAUCUUGAGGCAAUAAGAUUUAGAUCGUACAAAGGUAUUAAACUGAGCUAAAAUACAUAGAAAGACUUAAGACUAUGAGUUGAACUUUUAUGAACUGAGUCAUGACUAAAUAGCUGAAUUUGAAACAUAAUGUUCGGAAUGAACUGAAUUCGCAAUUUACAUGGAUGGAAUAGAUUAUCUCUUGGUAUGGUCAUACACAUGGAACUUCGGAUAGCAGAACUGGGUGUAAAGGUGGAAACCACAGUAACUUGCCUGCCUGACUGUUAAACUGAACUGCUGGUUAUACUGACUGAGUUAUACUGGAGUAUCUCUUCAAUAAUUUUUCUAAAUAAGUUCUAGUAGCAUUCGGGAGCAAAGAUCUUGGGCAUGAGUUACACAAGACACCCAACUAAGGAAUCACAACAAUGACACUACUCUAUAGCAUGGAAUAUAGACAUAUAACUCAUAAACAAGGAUAGAAUUACCAGGCCUUAGGUAAUGCAACUUCUUACUUUCAAGCAUAGCACACUUCUCGAAUACUCCCUUAACUAUAUUAUUCCCUUUAAAUACAAUACUCAUUUGAUUCAACUUAGAAUUCUUAUAUGGGCAUUGAUAAAUCUUUCUACUAAUGCCUAAAGUAACAUAAGUCCUCUCGCCAUCAUCAAGCCUAACGUCAAAUCACAAAAUACGACAUGCCACACCACGAUACUAGCCUAAACCAUAUGAUUCAAUCUUUUAUACCUUUUUAAGAUCACACCCUAGGCAUAAUGUGCCUUACCACUUCAAUGACUAAUUCUGAACUGUUACUAUGGAUUUAGAAGCUCAUAUUGCGUUCCUCCACUAAAAUUCCAGCAUGUCAUUCAAGCCUAUAUUUAUGACCAUAUAUGAACUUCAAGGCAAACACCCAUAAAGGUAUACUUCAUAAGUUCUCUAAACCACUCCCACGCGCAAUACCAAGAACAUACGCACACAAUUUCCACUAACCAUCACAUGUAAUUAAGUCUUGGCCCCAAAUCUUACUUCACACUUAUGGUCUUAUCUAAGACAAGCAUACAAUGAUCUUUCAUCAACAAGAAAUAUCUACUUAUCACCUCUAUCAUUACAUAAAGAAGAGUUACUAAGAGGUUAGAACAUAAGACCUUGAAGAAUGGAAGGAUAUUAUACGAGACUUGACACUUAACUGAGGACAAAGGAAUAGCAAAUCAACAUCAGGGAUUCAUCAAAGUGAUCUAAAUUGGGGCAUACAUGACUAUAAGCUGAAUCUCGUCAAUCAUAAGGAGUAUAGCAAGAAUUAUGGGAACUGAGCACACUAUAAAGCAUGAGUACAUAAGUCAUGAGCUGCAUGACCUCAAUUUGAAGUUCAUAACAUAAGGAAUAGGAUCCCGACUACUGAAUGAACUGGAAUUCCUCAUUUAGGAACUGGAAGUGCACAUGAUUCUCCAUCAUAUACAUGAACAUGAACUAUGAUCAUGGAGCUAAAACGUAAGGCAUGAGUAAGUAUUGGGAUAACUGAAAAAUACUAAGAUAAGAAUGGGUUGAGCCUCACCCUCACUUCCUAAUGUUUCAUGUCAUACUGACAUCAUUACUAGAAUCUGAGAGCCUGUCUUGGUUACUUGUUUUAUGAUCUCCCCCUUAGUUUUAAGCCAUUAUCUUAAGUUUGAGAGAUCUCUUACUAGAAUCUAAACUGAACUACACUCACUGCACUCUGGGGUUUGGAGUACGAUAAUACAUGUAAUUAAUAGAACUUAACCCAAAUAGCUACACCUGGAAGGGGAAAACCCACUGUUAAUCCUACCUUAUGAGACACAUUCUAUCUUUCUAUAGCCCCAAUAGUCAAUCACAUAAUACUUGAACACUUACUAACUUCGAAUCCUUGUGAGUAUUCCCAUAGUCGGAGUGCACACCCGAUAGCGCUUCAACUCUUAUUUCUGUCAGUUCAACCUUCAAAAAUUUAAACUUAGAUUAUAACUCUUAAUAUGUAUAUCACCAAACCUUUGAUGAAUCAUACUACUAGUCUUUCUCCACCUAGCAACUCAACGGUACUACUAUGUCUACUAGCCACACGCAACAUGUAAUAGUCUUAGAAAAUACUCCAACUUUAUAUCAUCUUGGGCAUACUUCUACCUUAUACAUACAACAUCAUGCUUUGUUAGUAAUCAAAUAAACAUAAUCUAUUGCAUACACCAUUCAAGCCUAUUAGAUCACUUUCAUAUAACGAGUAUUAUUAACCAAGAAAUCGUCACAUCCACCUUUAUGAACAUCAACUGUUCAAACUUAAUAUCUAGUGCUAAGCAUGAUUUGCAACCCAACCUGACACACAAUUCUCACAAAACAUUCAUCAUUAAUCUUAAUCCAUUAUUCUUACAUCCAUAUCCUACAUUAAAUUCAAGCCAAUAGUCUAGCAUCAAUCAUCUACCACCAAUGAAGAAGGAAACAUAAUAUACUAGUCCAUCCAAUUGGGACAUUUUAUCCAAAUACCAUAAAAAUCUACUACAUACCUUCUCACAAGUAAUACUAGUUUACAACUACCAAUGAAAAGAAGGUCGAGGGAGGGGGAGGGGGGAGUCACAUAAUAGACAUGGUCAGCCUUAAUUUAUAUUAUAACCCAUACAAUCUUGUCUACUUAUAUGGCUUUCUCACAUCACACUUACUUACUCAAGAAUACAUUUAGACUACCUUCAAAUUCCACAAACCACCAUGAGUCUAUAAUUAUAACUUACUGGCUCAUCUAGCCAUUUUCAUACUUCAAGUAGACAAUAAUUUAUCUUAACUAAUGACUCCUUUUCUACCUUCUACUAAACUAACACACAAGGACAUAUCGGUUCAUUACCAACACAAUCUUAUGCGAAAAGAUUCUACUAUACAUAUAUUCAACCAACACAAGAACAAUAAGUUGAACAACAUGUUGCUAGUGAAUCAAAAUAGGCCCCACACGGCUUCACUAGACAUUGAUUUUUAUAUUUUUAACAAGAAAAUGAAAUGAAUAACAAAGCAACUAUGCUAGUGAAUCGAAAGAGCCCCAUACGGCUUCACUAGAUUUUGAUUUGUUUUUUUCAAAAAUACCAUGAUAACAAGUUUACAUAUUACAAGAGAUAGAAAAUUGACACACAAUAUUCAAUGAUCUAAGGAUACACAUCUUACUAUGUAUAAAUAAAAAUUUGAGUCAAACACUCCCCCCAUGGACUAUCAUACAAUCCACACAUGCUACUAGCUACCAUAUUAAUCUAUCAUUACAAAGGGGUAAAUCAUCCUCAAACAUCGGUUAUUCAACUAAAAUGUUUAUUUACAUAAAAGUCACCCUCAAUCUGACUUCUAACUUUGUGACUUCACAUCACUAGCUUCUUGGUCUAAUCUCACUACCAAUAGGUCAUGACACCGACACUUUAACUUAUACUCCUAUCGGGUGGAAAUACAGUUCCAAUAAUUCUGCUACACAUCAUUCCCUCUUAAGAAAGACAUCUGCCAAAUAAAUUUUUGAACAGGACUGAAUACACUUAAUACCGCAGGCUGUAAAGCAUGAUUUCAUCAGAACCAAAGUUCACAUAGGAGUCAAUACACCUUGAAGUACUAACGGACUCUUCUCAAGUCCUUGCAUAAUUUUUUUUUAAAAUCUUAUAUGGCUCAAUCAGAAAGGACCAUACCAUUUUUACUCUAAACUUCUGCACUUGAAUCACCCUAAUAAUGAGACAUGUCUGAGAAUAUCAGAGUGGGAAAGAAUUGGUAUGACUUUACUUUCGUAUAGGCAACACCAUAGCAUAAAUUAGAGUAUGGAAGAGGGACAUUUUGACUCCAUAUCAUGAAAUAGAACAUGAAGAAAGAGAGACAUUCCUAAACGCCUAGUAGCCUCCUGCUUAUAAGUGUGGUGCGCGACACACACAUAAAUAAGACUCUACCCGCUGCGAUUUUGCAGACACCCUGGGACCAUGAACCGUACUUUGAUACCAAGUUCGUCACGACCUAAACCGAGGCCCUGGCUGUGACGAGUAUCCCAAACCAUGAAGGCCUGGAUACCCUUCUACAUUUGGUAAUCAUGCACAACAUUCAUAUAAUAAAAGUAAAUGCAGAAAUUUAGUCUGUUACAAAAACAUGGUCAUAUUCUAGAUUAAGUGCAACAACAAAGAACGAAAUCCAAAAUCAACUAAACAGUAUCUGAAACAGUCUACAAAAUCUAUACUACAUGAUAAACUGACAACUUUCUGAAGACUAGGACAAGGCCCCCAGUAGACCCAAACUAUAAUAGAGGAAAUAAUUUAAAAGAACAAGCCUUAUGGAAUAGAGAAGGCUCACCACUACAUAACUUGAUAUGCUGUCUGAAUUUUCUACCACUUAUUUGGACCCCUAGACUGAGCCUCAGAACUUGGAGGGAGGGGGGGUCAAUACAGAUGUACUGGUAUACAAAGUAAUCCAAAUUAAAGCUUUUGUAUAGGCAAAAUAAUGGAGAGCAAUUUGUCAAAACACCAUACAUAAAAUAGUUUUCAAAACACAUGGGCACCUUUCUGAAAAAUCAUAAAUCAUUCUUGACAAUACAAUUUCUGAUCUUCGUAUUAAUUCUGAGUUAGGUGGUACACCCCUACAAUUCUAAAAUCCCAUGGGAUGUAUGGAAUCCACCAUUGACUUGGUGGGAAAGCCCCCAACCCGAGUGUGCCUCAAGGGUUGAAGUUUCUAAUUCUGAUACACCACACGGCACUAGGCCAGCAUAAUAUAAUAUACCCAAAUCAACAAAUCACGGUUUUGGGAAGUGAGUUGUCAGAACUCAUGACAUCUUCGGGGAACCACCUAAGCUAUCUUUAUGCCUAAUUUUAUCCUGUUUUGAAUUAUGCAUUUUUCUAGUUUCAACAUCUGAAAAGUCUGAUUUCAAAAAUGCAUUCUAUUCUGUUCUGAAUUAUCAUGGCAUAAUCUAAAUUGGUGUCGUCACAGCAAAACUUGCAAGUCCUAUUUCUGAGCCAUAAUGCAUCAUGCAUAAUUCUUUCAUUAAAACACAGUUCAGACCACCCAAGCAUGCAAUUUAACAAAGGAAUUCAUGUUCCGAAAACAUAAGUCAAAACUAUGCAAAAUUUCCAUCCUUUCAAUAAACAAGUGGUGGUUAUGUAAUCUUUAGCAAACCAUGCAACUCUUCUCAUUAUUUGAUUAUGUUCAACAUUCAUCAACAUAAGCAAUCAUCUCUCUUUUGAAAUCAAAAUCAUAAUUCAAAUAUAACAUUAUUCAAGACAUUUCAUAACAUGCUUUUCAAGAUGCAUUCAAAUAAUUUCAUAGUAUAUCAUAAGUAAAUGAAAAUCAUCACAAGAGAGGAAUUUUUCAUGGAUUAUGUUCUCAAUUCAAUCAUCGACCUUAAAACACAUGCUUACAUAUUUGUGUGUGUGUAUAUAUAUAUAUAUAUAUAUAAUUUCAAAUCAAUUUGGAGGAAGGCCCAAAGACCAAAUGAAUAUCAUCAAUGCUUCUAAAACAUGAAUAUAUUCAUAAAUUCGAAACCACUUUCUUAAAAUCAUGAUUUCUAUGCCCAUGAGAUUUUAGGAAAACCUCGCGUACCUUAAUUUAGAAGCUUUUGAAUGAACUCUAGCUUUUGGGAUGCUAUACAUAUGAUUGAAGGGUGACUCUUGUAUCCCUUGCAAUGGAGAUUCAGAAUCUUGAAUAGUUAAAAAAAAACCACGGUUGAAUCUGUUGGGAAAGACGGGUACACAAUUAAAGAGCCUGACUGGUUAGCAGCGGAAAAUACCUAAGACUAAAAUUUUCCUUCCAACUUGAAGUAACAGGAGACAAACAAACCCAAGCAAAAUAGAGUAAUAUACAACAAACAAAUCAACCAAAUGAAACAAGACAAGAAUAAAGGAAAUCACACGAGACACAAGAUUUACGUGGAAAACCCUUCAGUGUGAAGAGUAAAAAAUCACAGGACCCAAACCUCCACUAUAAUCACCAAAGAUUUAAAAUGUUGUCCUCCAAAAUGGCCACCAAAAAAGUACCAAAUAACAAGAAACAAUACAUAAACCACAACACCAAACACUAGAGAAAUAAAGGAGUGAAAGCACCAAAAACGUAGCUACUAUUAGGAAAUGAAAAACAGGAGCUAGAGGCUACCAAAUCAAGUUCCAUCAGUUCCCAAUCAAAUAUUUAGAUGAGAGGAACAAGAAUUACAAAAAUCAGCUGAAUUGGACAAUAAACGAAGCGGAAAUCGCAAUUUGAAGUUGACAGUUGUGGCUGAAAUUUAGGUGCGAAAAUCAGCUUUGGUUUUCUCUCUUUGCUGCUGAAAACUCUCUUUUUUGUGAUGGUGAAUAAGACCUAAAAAGAUCAAUAUAUAUUUUUCAUAGUAAUGGGCCUAUGGAAAAAAGUGGGUUGGUCCAAAUUGGGCUUCAUUUUAUCCACAUAGGAAGGGACAAGGGCCCAUGUCCCAACAAUUCUCCCCCUCCCGACUAUGUGGAGGAGACCGCCAUCCCGGCGAUCAUACAACAAUCUUCAAACUUCCCUCUUGGCAAAGCUUUAGUCAUCAUGUCGGAACCAUUAUCAUCCGUAUGAAUUUUCUCAAGUUCAAGCAACUUAGAAUCCAACACAUCUCGAAUCCAAUGGUAUCUCACAUCAAUGUGUUUAGACCGACCAUGAAAUGUAGAAUUCUCGCCAAGAUGUGUGGCACUUUGACUGUCACAAUAAAGCACAUACCUCUCUUGAUCACAACCAAGUUCUCCCAAGAAUCUCUUCAUCCAAAGCAAUUCUUUAGAAGCUUCAACGGCAGCAAUAAGCUCAGCUUCUGUAGUAGAUAGAGAAACACAUUUUUGCAACCUAGAUUGCUAAGACACAGCUCCCCCUGUAAAAGUAACCAAAUACCUUGAAGUAGACUUGUGAGUAUCAAUAUCACUGGCCAUAUCUGAAUCAGUAUAACCAUAAAGAAUAGGCUUUCCUGUACCAAAAUACAAACUCAGACUAGAAGUGCCACAAAGAUAUCUCAUAAUUCACUUCAAAGCAUUCCAAUGUUCUCUUCCCGGAUUUAAAAUAAAAAUGACUAACAACACCAAAAGCAUGAGCAAUAUCCAUUCUUGUACAAACCAUUGCAUAUAUCAAACUACCAACAGCUGAAGCAUAAGGAACUUUCUUCAUAUCUUCCUUCUCAUUAUCACUGGAAGGACACUGCUUCGCGCUCAACUUGAAGUGCAUAGCUAAAGGUGUACUAAAACCUUAGCCUUGUCCAUAUUAAACCUUCAAAGUAGUUUUUGAAUGUACUUCUCUUGUGAUAACCACAACUUCUUGGCAUUUCUGUCACAGACAAUCUGUAUGCCAAGAAUCUGCUUUGCUGGUCCUAAGUCUUUCAUAGAAAAAGACUUACUCAACUCUUGAUUCAACUUUUGAAUCUUGUAAGUAUUCUUACCAACAACAAGCAUGUCAUCAACAUAAAGCAACACAAUAAUAAAGUCACCAUCAAAGAAUUUUUGCACAAAAACACAAUGGUCUGAAGUAGUCUUCUUGAAGUCCUGCUGACUCAUAAAGGAACCAAACUUCCUGUACCACUGCCUAGGAGCUUGUCUCAAACCAUACAAACUCUUUUUCAAUUUUCAAACAUAAUUAUCUUUUCCCUUGACUUCAAAACCAUCGGGCUGCUCCAUAUAAAUUUCUUCAUCUAAGUUACCAUAGAGAAAAGCAGUUUUAACAUCUAUUUACUCAACCUCUAAAUCUAGACUCCUAGCUAAUCCUAGAACCACACAAAUGGAUGACAUCUUCACAACUGGAGAGAAUAUCUCAUCAAAAUCAACUCUUUUUUCUAGUUAAAUCCCUUCACAACCAAUCUAGCCUUGUACCGUGGAACUGGAUUACCAUCUUCAUGCUUCACCCGAAAAACCCACCUGUUUUUCAAAACUUUUCUGUCUUUAGGAAGCUUAACCAAAUCAAAGGUAUGAUUAUCAUGCAAAAAUUUAAUUUCAUCUUCCAUAGCAUCAAACCACUUUUCUUUUUCUUCACUUUCCAUGGCCUCAUCAAGACUCUCAGGUUCUCCCUCAUCAGUCAAGAGUACAUACUCAUUGGAAUAAUAACGAGAUGAAGGUAUUCUCUCUCUAGUAGAUCUUCUGAGAGAACUCUCUGGAACAUCAACAACUAGUUCCUGAUCAACUAUAUCAACUUGCACUAGAGCAUCAACAACAUCAUACUGGUCAUUCUGAACAUGAUCAGCAUCUUCAUUAUCAACUUGAUUUUCAUCAUCUUGAAGAUUUUCUUCGGGAGUAGUAGUCAAAGGAAUUGGAUCAACAUCAACUACACUUUCACUACUCUGAGAAUCAACCUUCUCAGCUUUGUCAAAAUCUUCAAUUGUUUGGUCUUCAAAGAACACAACAUCAUGGCUUCUAACAAGUUUCUUCUCAACUGGAUACAAAUGAUAGCCAAAUUCAUCUUGGCCAUAACCAAUGAAGAUACACUGACUAGUUUUAAGAUCCAACUUUGAUCUUUCAUCCUUAGGAACAUGCACAAAAGCUUUACACCCAAAGACUCUAAGAUGAUCAUAAGAAACAAUCUUACCAGACCAAACUUCAGGAAGUCUUAUUGUUGCUUAUCAUCCCUUCUUCCCAUUCUUGAUGUUUUUCUCUUCUACUUUCCCUUUGAAGCUCUGCCCUACUACUUUCCCCUUUUCCAUAGACCAGCCCUACUGGCUUGCUGGGUGGCCCAGCUGAUUGAUUUUUCGUCAUCAUAUCCUCCACCGUUUCAAGUGGAGUCCUCGUUGAUUUCAAUUCCGUCCUUGGAGUAGGAUUUAUUAAGCUAACUGACCCACUAUUAGCUAAUGGAGACAUAGCUUCUCUCAAAUUAGGUUGUUUGUUUUCAACUACUACCCUCCCCCCGAUUCCCCCGAGCAUUUGCCGUCGAUGCUUGUGCUGCCAAUGCCUUCUGUGAUGGAUGCCUUGCUCUCUUCCCCAUGGGCGCGCACGUUAGUUAACGUGCGCCGAGAGAACUUAGCAACCUUUUUUUAUUUUUUUUUAAUCAUAAAGACUAUAUAGUUUUUUUCAAAAAAAUAAAAAGGUAGCUCCAUGCAUGUAGUAUCUUGCAUUCAUGGAAGAUAUAGAGAAGGGUCACAACUAAGGAUUGUAAUGCAAGCAACCUAUCCGACGCAAACAUAGAUGAAUGAAUUCAUGACUCGAACUCGUGACCUAUAUGUCCCAUGCAAAGAGGCAACUUUAUCUUUGCUCCAAAGCUAACAAGGUAAUAAAUACAGAAAUGGGAUAAUGUGCUUAUCAUUUUGCUCUCUUCUUUCAAUGCAGUACAUAUAUGAUAUAUAUCUAUUCUAAUUAAGCUCCUAUCUAUAUCUAUAUAUUAUUAAAAAGAGAGGAUGCAGUCUCCUCAUUAACCCAAGCGGCAACAUAUAAAAUUGACACGUGUAGCAUUUAAAGAUGAAUUAGUUAAUAAGGUAGAAGUUACUUACAACUUACCUUUUAAUUUGAAUUUUUAAAUAUAAAAAGAUAUAUUUUUUUAAAUAUAUCAUAUUUCAAAAUUGUGAAGUUACAACAGUUAACAUUACUCUUCUUUAUCCAAUUUGUUUUUUUUUUUUAAAAUCAAAUUUUGUUUAGUUCUGCCAGUAGACGUUUAUGGCCCCUUUUAAAACGUUUAAAUUGUUUUUAUAUCUUAUAUUUAAUUAAAAAUGUUUAUGUUGUUUUUAUGUCUUAAUAUUUAAUUAUUGUCUAUCUUUAACUUUUAGAGAUUUUUAAAACGUUAAAAAAUUUAUACUUUAACUCUUUUUAAAAGAUUUCACGAUGUAAAUUACGAUAAUAAAUAUUAACCUUUGAUUCGGGGAAAUAGUUUAGUCUUCUUCUUUUCUCCUUUUCUGGACAGAUAUUUGUUACUCUAUUUUAAUUUUUAAAAUUUGGAAAGUUAUCAACACUAGAUAUAACUCUUUUCCCACUUUCACAUUCUCCACAAAAGAAUCUAUAUCAAUAAUUAUCUAUAUGUAAUAGGAGAAGUAGGUAAUAGGAGAAGUAAAACAUUCAUGUGUUGACAAUUAUCGACACCACAAAAAUUCUAUUUGAAAAAUAAAUAGCAAUAAUUCAAUUUAAUAUUUAAAAAUAUGAUAAUUAAAAAAUUCAAAAAAAAAAAAAAACUGACAAUAUAAUUAGUUUUAAAUUCAAAUUUUGACAAUAAUAGUAACAAAAUUAAUUCAAUUUAACUCCUUCCAUUUCUCCGGAAUGUCUAAUAGUUUUUAAACUGUCUCCCUAAAAGUUCUCUUUGCUUAAAAUCCUUAUUUAACCACACUGAAUGAUGAGCUUAUGACUUUUUAAUUAUUAAUUGAAUAGUUAAUUUCUUAAUUAUUCUUUCAAUUGUGCAUUCAUUUUCAUUUGACUUGAUUUUUCUAGAAUGAACAGUUGAGUUGACAUUUGGUUUCAAAUUUGUGAGGAUGCACUAAAUUUCACAAGAGAUGUAACCUCAGAAGAAAGCCUUCCAAUAGUGAAUACAUAUAGUUUGAUUUGCUAUUGAUGUUUUAAAAAAAUACGAAUGUUUAAACAAAAUUAUUCUGUUUUUAAUAAAAUAUUAUUGUAAUUUCUUAAAAUAAUAAGUAUGAAACAUGGACGAAAUUAUACGAUGAACUUCAUUGAUUAACCUAAAGUUAUUUACCUUCUUAUUUUAUUUGUUUAAUUAUAUGGUGGAUACUAACAUAUAGAAUCUAUAGAUGAGAUAUAGAUUUGGUAUCAAAUGUAUGUUGAAGAGUGAAUAUUAUUGUGUCACAAUGGAAGAACCACACAGAAAAUCGAGGAGGAUAAUAAUGAAGAAUAUAUGAAAGAAUUUGUCGAUAGUAUUUAACACCUACUAUUAUACUAAGGUUUUUGCUCAUGGCAAUAUUAAAUAUCCUGAAUUAAUUUAUUUUGAUCAAUUUUCAAAUUGUGAAAGUUGAAAAAUUAAGAUUGGGUAUAUAGUGUCAUCUCUUAUAUUGCAAAUGAAAUUUUACAUUUUAAUAAGAUGUUCUAAGUGAAGUUGUUAGGACCGUGUGUAACUUCACGCGAACUCUGCACUAGUAUGAUAUUGUCCGCUUUGGGUCAAGCCCUCAAGGAUUUAUUUUUGAACACCUCCCAAAAGGCCUCAUACUAGUGGAGUUGGGUCACACUUUAAAUAUUGGAUAUGCUUCCUCUAUUUUUCCGAUGUGGGGUUGUUUUGCUUCUCAACAGAAGAAGUUGUAGUCAUUAUAUUAACAAAUACCUUCUGUUAGUGUACUUUAUUUUAGAUAAGGUAGUUUAUUAACAAAUACCUUUUGUUAGUAUACUUUAUUUUAGAUAAGGUAGAGUUAAUAUGUUAUGUUAUCAGUAAUAAGGGAUGAUUAAUAACACUAAGGAAUUUGAACCAAUAAAACAUGAUUAGUUGAAAUACUGAACAGCAAAGUAAAUUUUGAACAAAUAGAAUUUUAAAUGUAAAAAGUAUAUUUUGCUUUAUUGUUUGUAACAAAUUUUGUUUCACCUUCAGAUUUUUUUUUGUGUGUGUGAGUUUUGUUACUUCAAGGACUUAAAAUUAGUAUAACCAAGACAAUAAAUCCUAAUUUUUUAGAUGAAUGAAAUGAUAAUGAUUUUUAAUUGUUCACGAAAUUCAUUGAAAGUUAUAAAUUUCAUUAAUGAAUAGUAAAAUUUAAAAGUAGUGAUGGAUUCUUUUAAUUUGAAUCAUUGAUAAAAUGAUAUAAAUUCACAAUCGAUUAAAUAAUAGCAACUUUCGCGCAUUGCGCGGGUACUAUACUAGUUAAUACUGUAAUAAAGCAGAAAAUCAGGCUCCAUUCUUCAAGAUUUUCCAAAUUAACCAAUUAAGAAAAGAAUAAUUUCCUUCUCAAGUGAGAAACUUUACCCCACAACACUUUGUUUUCAUACUUUUACCUCUGUGUUUCAUUUUCUUGAUUUUCCAUUUGUUGUUUCUCAUUGCUCUUCCAUGUCCAAACUAUAUCUUUUAAUGAAGGCUUUAAGCCUUGAUCACAAAACUUCCUGUAUACUGCAGUAUCUCUCCAUUGCUCAUUGCUAAUUGCCCUUUUCUCCCUUCUUUGCUUCCUUGCAUUUUCACCUUCUGAAGACAUAACGAAGUAAAUAAAGUUUGUUCGCUCUAAAAAUAUUAAACAUUUAACUAAGAUGCUCGCAAAAUCUCUGAAAUAAUAGGCGUGUUUGGAACAUGACACUUAUUCUGUUCUGCGAGUUAUCAUUACAGUUUGAAAUAUUCUUAUGGUGUGGAUGACAUGGACGUUCUGUGUGUAGUUUUAGAGUACUUCUAUUUUUUCUUAAAACUCAAAUAUUCUUUAGUGGGAUAAAAUAUCUCAAAUAGAGCGGAAUGGAGAUAGAAGUUUCAUUUGAUAGAAUGAUUAAUGGAAGGAUUUUGUACAGACAUUGCAUCUCUGUAGUGAUGAAUCACUAUGCUUAUAAUCUGACUUGAUGUUUGUCAAAAACAGAGUCCUGUUAAUCGUUCACCGUAAACCAAUUACGUUGUGAAAGAUGGAUCAUUUAGGAGUAAUGCUGGGAGGAACAACAUAAAUAAUCAGAAUACGAGUCAAGUCUUACUCUAGUUUUAGUACAUCCAGGUUGUGUCCUCUGUUCCACGGCACUUUAGUACCUCAGAAUAAUCAAAAGGAAAGUGCACUUAUCAGUCAAUAGUAGCUUAAAUGUUGCAUGUUGUAUACCCUCUACUUCUAUGGGAAGAAGCAAUGAGGUUAGACUCAAUCAAGCAUGACUUUUGGAUUGUGCCUUAGGCAAGUUUACUGCAUCAACACUAAGCUCCAUUGUCUUGUAGAUGUUCAUUUAGGCCCGUUGAGGUUUAGGUAGUUACAAAACAUUUUUCUACAAUGUUGAUAUGACUAUUUUACUCUACUGCUCAUAUUAAUUGAUGUUUAGAAUCAUGUCUUGAAAGUGAUUUAAACAACAAACAACUAAUGUUAAGGGUAAAAUAGAAUUAAUUUUUUUUUGUCUUUUUUUUUUUUUUUUUUUUUAUCAAAGUAACAAGUAAAAGUAAAAAUCUAAUUAGAGAAAUACUGACCCUAAAAAAUUAAUGGAGAGAAUAUUUCAUAAAUUGAAGUAUAAUUGCACUCUUGGUGCCUCUAUUAUAAAAACAAUGUCAACAAUAGGGAUAAGGGAUUUCGAGAUUCAUUUUAGAAUGAGUUUAUUUCAUGCUUGGUUGAGAUAAAAAACAUGGAAUAACUCAUCCGUAGAUUAAUUAUCUUCAGUAUUAUAGUGUUAUUUUUAUCCCUCCUGAAUGUAAGAUAACUAAUCCCAAAAUAAUUAAUUUUAAAAAUAUUAUUUUCGAUAUAUCCCAACUCAAAUAAACAUAUCACAAUCAAUAAAACAGAAAAAUAUAGUAGUGAAAAAGCUCUUGAUUUAUGUGAUAUGUAGAAUAGUAUGGAAUAUUUAAAUAUCUUUGAGAUCGAAAAAUAGGCAGCACGGUGCACGAAAGUUACCGCUAUGCGCGGGGAAAUGGCCCCCCACAAUUGUGUAUUGUACGCACCCCUACCUUGCAUUUCUGCAGAGGCUGUUUCCAAGGCUUGAACCCAUGACCUCCUGGUCACAUGACAACAACUUUACCAGUUACUCCAAGUUUCCCCUUCAGCUUUGAGACCAUUUUCAUUAUUUUAAUAGAAAAGGUUUUUAUCAAGUACAUUCACUGUUUAUCAUCAGUUUCAAUGCUUCUAUCCAAACACACUAUUAUUUAUUUAUAAAAUCAGUUUCAACACCAAAAAAUCUUAGCACUCUUUAUUAAAAUCAUAUUUAUUGCCCCUAAUAACUUUUAUCUUGUAGUGUCUCCGGUCCAAAUGUCUGGGGGAUAGAGAUUCUCAAGUCCCACAUUUUCCUUAUGCGAAAUCAAUCCUUAUUCUGCACUUCCUCCCACCUCCUGAAAUAUACAUAAAUCGUGAAUUCUUCAGAGCGGUCUGGCAGGCGUAUAACACUACAACAUUUUUGUCCUAAGGCCACACUAAAUCGGGAGAACACUUAUAAAGUGUCACAUUAGCAUCAAAGAUUUUGGCUAAGAAAAGCUUUAUAUGCUGCAACUCAAGCUCGUAGACUACAAAAUCUUUUGAGUUAACUUCUUUGAGGUGAUUAAAUGUUACAUUUGUGAAACGUUUCACUUGAAGAGAUUUUGGGAUAGGAACAUAAUCGUAAAAGGUUGCCACCUAAAACAUUAACAAUGAACAACUUUUUGACUUUAUUAAGUAUAAAAAUGUGUAAGACAUACAAAGUCCACUAAUUAACUUCACAAAAUGUUUUGUCUAACAAGAAAACAGUGAUGACCUCCUAUGCCUAAACAAUAAGCAUUAUACUAACAGAAAGUUGCAAUUUAGUCUGAGCAGAUGGAAUCAACUCGAAUGGAUCAAUUUAGGGAGAUUCUUAUCAAGAAAAGAGCAUAUGAAAUCAACUCGAAUGGAUCAAAAUACAUACCAGAUAUGCAAAGACGUUUGACAGAAUGAAGAGCAAAAGAACUCGUUUCUAAAAAUGAGGACGUUUGAUAGAAUGAAGAGUGAAAGGACUAGGAAUAGAGAAUAAAAGAAGUCAGGACAUGUAUAAAUCAAAAGAUGUUCCCUCAAUACACUUGGAUAUUGAGCACAGGUUGGUGGGAAGGUCACGUACCAAUAAAUCCAGAUGUUAUUUUAUGGUUUGCAUUUUAUGUUGUUGCUUGAUAGCUGACUUUAUUUACAUCAACAGGUGGUUACUGAUGGAUUAAUUAAUGAUAUUUUACUUUCGUUUCAGUUGCUUGCUCUGUCGUUAACGUAUUAUUUUUGGAUCGCAACUAUCUUGCGGAGUGAAGCCACUGAAACUGCUCAAGUUAUGAGUUAUCAACUCUGGCAAGCUAAUGUUAGUAAUUGCUUCCUUAUACUGCUUAUGGUGUGCAACCCAAAUAUACUUGGUUCGUCCUCGUCGGCCAGCUGUUGCUGAAGAGGCUGAUCUCGGAGUUCUUGUGUUUAUUGGAAUAUAUUUUUUUUCUCUCUCAUUGGUUGUGCAUUCAGUCCAUGAACACAAGAGAUCCCCAAGAACUUAUGCCCUUAUGACUAAAUUAUAGUGACUAGUGGCACAAAAAAUCUCAAGACUCAAACAAAUUCAAGCCCUUGUCAGCAACAUUUUGCAAGUGAGAUUUUUUGGAGGGAAAAAAUAGUGUGAUAGAAAGGUGUUUGACUGCUAUUAAAAAAAUUAAUGGUGUUAGGGUGAUGACUAAAAAUGCACCAAUUAACUAAAUAAAAAGGACUAUUAGUGUUCUAGUUGAAAGAAUAUGUAUUAUUUUGUGCCUGAGGCAAAGAUAAUGUAUGAUUUUGGGCCUUUACUCCAAAAUUUCAUAUUCCCUCCAAUAUUUUUAACACAAAAAUAUUAUAUUGCCUCCAAUUUCUAAUUACCCCAAAAAAAAAAAUCAUAAAACAUUUGUCAAAAAAUAAUAAAACAUUUUUUUUUAGCAAAAUAAGCUUUUGAAUAACUCUGGUUGUGUUUCCAGUACCCGAUAUUGCUAUUGUUUCUGAAGGGCGAUACAAAGCCAGUUCAUUCCAUCUGCUGAAGGGCUAACCAAAACCAAGAUAAUAUUGUUAUUGUUUCCAGUACCCGGUGUGCAUCACAUCUGUUAGUGAACUCUAUCAGCGUUCGACGAGCUAGGCUUAAUAUGGGCAAAAAAUUUUAGGGUUGAGACUGCGGCCGGCGAGAAGGGUAAAAAACAGAAGGGUCGGUGCUUAUCGUUCAGAUUUGGAUCCAUUUUUAUUGAAUUCAUCUUUUUGAUUAUUUAGUUUUUGUUAGUAUCGGAGUUUUAAUUCAAUGUUCGAAUUCAGAAAUGAGUAGUAACUGUAUCGGUGAUGAUUUUCGACUGGACGCAAGUGUGUGAAAAUUGAAAAUCAAUUUUAUCAAACUUGUACUUAAUUGAUAUUGCGUAGUGUAGUUUAGUGUGAUUUGAUCUGAUUUGGGUAGUACAUUUGUUUGUUUUGAUCUUUCUGACGAAAAUUCAGCUUGUUGAUUAUCUUGCUUUGAGUCCUCGGUGAGUUCUUGUGACGAAUUAUGAUUAAAUUGUUUCCCUUACAUAUUUUAAUGGCAUCACUUUUGUUUAUUUACCGUCGGCGAAUUCCGAUUGAUUUCGUCUGACCUCUCAUCUGGGAAAAUGCCUAAAGAUUUCAACGUAUGUCCUUUUGGCAACCUCCUUCGAUACGAGCUUUAUGAAGUAGAUCCUGAUCAUCUUAGAACUGUUAUUGCAACUACCCCAGCCGGUCCGUACAUUGAUCCUGCUUCGAUCAAACUUAAACAUAGGAUCGGGCGUGGAUGCUUUGGUGAUGUUUGGUCAGCCACACAUUAGAAGUAUUAAGAGGACUUUCAAGAUUUCCUUUUUAUUGUGGUCAGAAUUCAGAUUUUAUUAUAGUCAGGCUUCAUGGUAUAAGUUUUACUGAGCUUAGUAAAUCUCAAUUUUCGGAACAUUGGCCUUCGGAUGCUUCACAAAUGAGACUGAUUUACACCUUGCUUGAGGUUCUUAAUCAUGUAAAAUGAGGUCAUUGUAAUGUGAUUCACACUUAGAGUUAAAAUUUCAGUCUUAGGGAAGUUCUUUAUCACUCUUUGAGUUAAAGUUCUUUAAAUAAGGUGGUAGAUGGGGCUUUUGGAGAGAGGGUAGUGUUCAUGUCUUGGAGGAACAUUAAGGACAGGCUCAUGUGGCCAUUGUUGAUUGAUCUGUGCGAGAAGUCCGGUUUGGUGCUUUCACUGUGCUUUACGUGACUUCUGACUGACCUUAAGUUGAAUAUUAAUAGAAGAGUAGUUUUUUGUGUUUGGACGACUUUCAUCUGAGGUAGUGGUAUGGAUUGCGUACACAUUAUCCUCCCUAGACCCCACUAUGUAGGAAUACUUUGGGUAUGUUAUUGUUGGUGUUUGGACGACUCUUAGGUGGUUGUGUGUGUUCUAUUUCCUUUUUCUGUUUCUGCAGAAACAGUCAAUAUAAUCUUCUGGCUAUCUCAGUUUACUGAUUUUUGUAGCAAAUUACUAGUUUACUGAAUUUAGUGUAUUUCCAGUUUGUUUCUGAGAAAUGUAGUCACAAUGCAGAGAUUGAAUGACUUGCUUUAAAUUUGUGAAGGACUCGAGUCUAUUGAGGGUGUGAUAUACAACAUUCUGGAUAAGUGUCAGGACUUCUAUGUUGACAUUGUGUUCUCUAGGACUCGAAGAUACAUCUCGGCAGUCUCGCAGUCAAGUUGUCGGAGUCAUAAACACGAUGCAUUUCUUUGUUAACUUAAAGAAGUAAUCCAUUUAGUUCAAUUGAUUUCUUCCACACUGUAUCAAGAUCUUGCAUUUAUUUCAUCGUUUUAUGACAGUAUGUUUGAGAAACUUUUGGCAUAUUAUGUUGUUAGCAGAAGAGGAUGUCUGUUGAAGUAUACUUUUGUGAAGAUAUUUCACAGUAAUAAUAAGUGACAGAGCACCGGAAAGUUGAGGUUAGGAGGUUGUCUAAAAUGUCAUUUGAAUGUAAACAAUGAUUUUGAUCGAUAAAUGCUACUAUGGUUUAAUGCUUUGUUUUUAGGAAUUUAAAAGAUUCUAGCUUUGAGAGCAAUAAGUCCAAUGGAGUUGUGCUUCAAUGUAUUAGGAUUACACUAUUUCCAAAUAACUAGUAUGUUGUAUAUUUUUUGAGCCUCUUUCGAAAUGACUGCAGAUUUUACGACGAACGGCGUAUCCUCUUUAUUAGCUAAUUAUUUGAAAAGAAAGGAUAGAAAGCUAAUUUGACAUGAGAAAGUAUACCUUAGCUGUUCCUUUUUUGCACAUAGUUCUUCUUGGGAAUCUUAUGAUUUCAAAGUUUGUAUUUGUGCAUGCAGAAAACCAGAAAAGAUCCUAUCUGCUUAAGCCCUUUCCCAACUGAAUAUAUGGAGUUGUGCUUCAAUGUAUUGGGAUUAAAAUUUUUCCAAAUAAUUAGUUCGUUGUAUACUUUGAGUAUUUUUCGGUAUGACUGCAGAGUUUAAGACAAACAAGGUAUCCUCUUGAUUAAAUAAAUAUUUGAAAAGAAAAUAUUCAAAGCUAAUGUAACUGGUUAAAGGGCGAUUAUCUUGUUGACCGCCUAUUUUAAGAUUACCUUACUGGUUCAUUUGUCGCACAUAGUUCUUCUUGGGAAUCUUCUUAUGAUUUUAAAUAUUUUAUCUGUGCGUAUAGCGAACGAGAAAAGAUCCUAAAGUAGGCAUAUUUUCCUCUUUUUCAUGUACUCCAAAAUUAAGAGGUCAGUGAUUUGAGAAUUUAGGCCCCAAAACCUACACUUGAAUAGUAGGAAACUAUAAUACUUAUUCAGCGCUUUCAAUUGCCCUAUCUAUCCUACUAUAGGUACGGUUAUCUUGUGGUUGUAUUGUUUUUGUUGUAUUAGCUAGCAGGGUGUUAUCCUUUUUUGUUGUGUGCUUUUGUGUUUGAUUUUAGUUAUACUAUUAUUUAUACUGAGUCGAAGGUCUAUCGAAAACCACCUCUUUACUUCAUUUGUGGUAGUGGUAUGGUCUGCGCACACAUUAGCCUCCCAGACCCCACUAUAUGGGAAUACACUGGGUAUGUCGCUGUUGUUGUUUUAAUAUGUUAACUCAUUGCAAAUUGUCUUUGUCACUUAUUAAUUUUACUUACAUUUUGUUAGGACAUUUAGAAAGAUAGCCGAUUUAAACUUGGGUUCAGCUUAGCACAGGUGCCAUGACUAGGUAAGAAAUUUUUAUCAUCAACUAACACAUAAUUCUAAUAACUUACUCAUGGCUUUUAGAAUUUACUAGUAAUUAAUUAAUGUUUUGUAUAUUACAAGAUCUAAUUUUAAUAGCAUCUUUCUUUAGGAAUACAAAUGUUCCGUCCAAGGAUUGGAUGGAUUUUCCUAGGUAUAGCGAUGAGUAUGACAAAAAGUGUUAAAUCUUUCUUGAAUUUUGCUUACAUUUAUGGAGAUCCUCAAGGCGAAGAAAUUCAGUGCCCAUGUGAUAAAUGUUGUAAUGUCCGUUGGACUCGAAGGGAUGUAGUGUAUAAUCAUCUAAUAGCCCGUAGAUUUGUUGAUGGUUAUAAAAGAUGGAUCAAUCACGAGGAAUGGGAAAUCAAUUUGAAUGGUGACGAUCAUAUGGAUGACUCGAAUGAUGAUAUUGAGGGGUUGUUGAAUGAUCAAUUUAGACAUGUUGCACAAGCUGAAGGACUUUAUGAAGGUCCAGAUGAAGAUACCAAGUAGUUCUAUAACUUAAUGGAUGAGGCAAGCCAAGAGCUAUAUCCUGGUUGUAAAGGAUUCUCUAGAUUAUCAUUCACAAUCCGUUUAUAUUUAUUGAAUUGUCUACAUGGAUGGAGAAAUGAAUCGUUCACUUCUCUUUUAGAAUUAUUAAAGAGGCAAUGCCAGAGUUGGACAUUCCUCCAUCCUACAAUAAAGCCAAGUCUAUGGUCAAGGAUCUCGGUCUUUACAAUGAGAAAAUUCAUGCUUGUCCUAAUGAUUGUAUGCUAUUUAGAAAUGACCAUAAGGAUGAUGAAUCAUGUCAUGUUUGCGGAGCUUCUCGAUAUAUUAAACCUCCUGAAGUAAAUUGUGAGGUUGUUGAGCCUUCUAAAAAACCUCAUCGUGUUCCAGCAAAAGUUUUGAGAUAUUUUCCAAUAGUUCCUAGAAUCAAAAGGCUAUUUAUGUGCUCAAAGACAGCAGAUUCAUUGAGGUGGCAUGACGAUGAGCAUUCUAAAGAUGGAAAGUUAAGGCACCCCGUUGAUGGACAAGCAUGGAAACAUUUUGAUAGCUUGUAUCCAGAUUUUGCACUAGAUUCUCGUAAUCUAAGACUUGGCUUAUCUACUAAUGGAUUCAAUCCAUUUCGGACCAUGAGUAUAUCUCAUAGCAUAUGGCCAGUUAUGAUGAAGGUGUAUAAUUUUCCGCCUUGGAUGUGCAUGAAACCAAAGUAUUCUAUGCUUUCCUUACUCAUUCCCGGGCCUCGUUCAUUAAAGUAUAAUUGCACUCUUGGUGCCUCUAUUAUAAAAACAAUGUCAACAAUAGGGAUAAGGGAUUUCGAGAUUCAUUUUAGGAUGAGUUUAUUUCAUGCUUGGUUGAGAUAAAAAAACAUGGAAUAACUCAUCCGUAGAUUAGUUAUCUUCAGGAUUGUAGUGUUAUUUUUAUCCCUCCUGAAUUUAAGAUAAAUAAUCUCAAAAUAAUUAAUUUUAAAAAUGUUAUUUUCGAUAUAUCCCAACUCAAAUAAGCAUAUCAAAACCAAUAAAACAAAAAAUAUAGUAGUGAAAAAGCUCUUGAUUUAUGUGAUACGUAGAGUAUGGAAUAUUUAAAUAGCUUUGAAACCAAAAAAAUAGGGCAGUCCGGUGCACGAAAGCUACCACUAUGUGCGGGGGAAGAGCCCCACCACAACGGUGUAUCGUACGCAGCCUUACCUUGUAUUUUUGCUAGAGGUUGUUUCCAAGGCUUGAACCCAUGACCUCCUGGUCACAUGGCAGCAACUUUACCAGUUACUCCAAGGCUUCCCUUCAGCUUUGAGACCAUUUUCAUUAUUUUAAUAGAAAGGUAUUUAUCAAGUACAUUAACUGUUUAUCAUCACUUUCAAUGCUUCUAUCCAAACACAUUAUUAAUUAUUUAUAAAUCAGUUUCAACACCAAAAAUUUUUAGCACUCUUCAUUAAAAUCAUAUUUAUUGCCCCUAAUAACUUGUAUCUUGUAGUGUUUCCGGUUCAAAUGUCUACGGGAUAGAGAUUCUCAAGUCCCACUUUUUCCUUAUGCGAAAUCAAUCCUUAUUCUGCACUUCCUCCCACCGUCCUUAAAUAUACAUAAAUCAUGAAUUCUUCAGAGCGGUCGUAUAAGGACUAUUAAAGAAAUGCCUUAAAGUGUUGCAGCCAUUACCUUAAGUCCUUUUACGCAAUUAUGAACUCCACGAAACUUUAUCAACUUCAAUGCAACUUAUCCUUUUGGAGCUGACAUAACAAACUACACGAGCCGAAAAAGUUCCUCAAGGAUGCCACCUUUUUUCUUCACAAGUAGUUUAGAUAUCAAGAUAUUUAAAGGGAAAGUUGUUGUUGAGGCUAAUAAAAGUUUAGUCCGGUGCCUUAAGUUCCUACUAUGCUUGGGGUCUAGGAAAGGACUGAACUGUAAGGAUCUAUCGUACGUAGACAUACCCUAUAUUUUUUACAAGAGACUGUUUCCAUAGCUCGAACUAGUGACCAUCUGGUGACAUGACAACAACUUUACCAGUUACGCCAAUGAUUGUAGACACCUAAUGUUGUCCCUCCCAAGUCCAAUUUUAUUCAUUUUUUUACCUCACUUUAUCAUACACCCACGUGAUUAUACCCUCCAUAAAAUGACAAAAAUAACAAAAUCCCUAACAAACUUUUAUUCUUUUUAACAUCCUAACAACCUACCCAAUUAAAAUAAACCACAUCAUCCCUUCCCCCUCCCCCUACCCCUACCCCCACCUCACUACCCCACCUACCCUUCCCCACUACCACAUAAUUCUCAUUCUCACCAGAAACCUCACUCUCCAUCACUAUAUUCACAUAUCACACACAAUAACACAAUAACUAGAGAAUAUAGACACACGCACAAACACUUCACCGGAAAAGGAGAGGGUCAUCGGAAAAUGUACUACGCAUACAUCAAACACACAUACACCAGAUCGGAGGAAAAAAUGGGAUAGAAAAGAGCUUGAGGGAGAGAACAGUGAGAGAAGUGUGAAAUCAGAAAUUGGGGGUUUUGAUUAGAGAGAUUUUAGAGAGGGAUAGAGAUGAGGGAGAGCUGAUCGGAGAUUGAGGGUGAGUGAAGAGAAAAUAUUAGAAUCGAGAGAGGUGAGUGAGGGAGAGAAACAGUGAAGGUCAUUCCGGUGACCAGAUCUCGCCGGAGAUCGAAUUAACAUCUAAAAUCGACCAAAAUCGACGAGUAACACACUUUUGCCGACGGGCUCUCGCUAGAAACUAUGCUUCCACCAGAUCGGUUCCUGGAGUUCAUCACCACCAAGGUCAUAGGAGCUUCGGCGAGUUCGAAUCUCGCCGGAAACAGUGAAAUCGGUGAGUAGCAGCGAGCAGGUAGAUACGAACACGGAAAAUACUCCUUUUUCGGAGAGUUUUUUUUUGGAAAACUCAAUUACUGCAUCACUUACUGUUUGUCUUGGUCUCUAUCGAGUCUUUCAAGCUCCGGUGAAGCCAAAUCUUAAACCCCAAACACGACUCUGUCGUGGAGAACCCGUUAUUCUAGCCAAUUAUGAACAGAAAAUCAGUCGUUUGUGUCAAUCCCUGUCGGCAGUUCAACAUCGAAUUUUUGUCUAUCAUCGAAUUAUUUCGAUCUGGGCUUAUUUUUUUUUUUACUCUUGGGUUGUGAGAUUGAAAUUUUGUCUUUGGGAUUUCUGUUCGGGAUUAGUUGUUUCUAUUUGAGAUUGUCGAUUCCGAAUUCAAAUUUAUUUGAAGAAUUUGUGAUAUCGAGUUGGAUCUUUGUUGGGGUUGAGGUUCUAUUCGAGGCUAUCGGGAGCAGGCUUCUUUAUUUUUAUCAACCAAUAUUCUUCGAAAGUUCCAAGUUGAGGUCCAAUUCUAAUCUUCCCCUCUUUUAUUUCAUUAUUUAUUAUAUUCGAUGCAUCGAAUUGAAUGUUUGUGUGAUUGGUUGAUCUUUGUUCUUGGUGAAUUAUUUCUCGUGUUUGUUCCUUGAUUAGGGAUUGUAUGGUGAAAUGAGGUUUUGUUCUAGGAUUAAAAUUAGUUAUUUGGCGAAUGGGACUCAAAAAUUGAUAAAAGUAAAUUUGGAAAAUUUUUGAUUCGUUGAUGAUGUUGAAAUGUGAUAAGAAUCAUGAUAGGUCGAGUUUGAUAGGAAAAUAGAAGGUUCGGGUAGACAAAUUUAGAACUUUUGGAUCGUUGAAUGUUGAAAAUGUUUGUUGAAUGGUUUUAUUUUAUGAAUUUGGAUCGAUUGUAUUCAUUCGCCGGGGAAUGCUCCAAGGUCAUAUUUGUAUUUAUUCACCGGGGAAUGCCCAGACGUAUCAUGUACUCGGAGGAUGCCCGUGAUGAAGGCCCGAAGCAUCGGGUAAGGCAUUGGAGCGUAGUUUAGAAUUAGUGUAGGUUAGCGUAGGUUUACUUUUCAGUACCUUUUUCAUUUCGGGUUGUAAUAAUUGGACUGGACACUAUAUUUUUGGACUGGUUUUGUUUGUUUGAUUGAUCGCUUUUGUGUGUUUUUUUGUGGUUUGUACAUUCAUAGUGUCAAAAUUAGCUGAUACGCUCCACCAGCGACCGUGUUCGAACCACGAGAUCGAGGAGUGCCUAACAACUUCUCCUCAGUCAACAGAAUUUCUUAGCUGAAUCUCUAUUCACAAACCAGUUUAAAGAGUCAAAUGAUUUUUGAAAAGGAUUUUUCAAUGGUGACUUGGCACACCAUAUUAUGCCAAGUGGCGACUCUGAUUUCAAAUGUAAAAACAAUCCUUCUUCGAAACAAAUCGUUUUCUUUUGUCACUUAAUAAUAAAAACUCUUUUGAACCUUAAAAUCCAAUCCUUUGGAUGUCGAAAAAGGAGUGUAACAGCUCUGGCGACUCUGCUGAGGAAUCUGUUCAGAAUUCAAGCUUAUUUUGGAGUCGUAUCGGCUUUGUUUGGCAUUAUAGGUAUAUAAAUAUUUUUUUUGUUGUUUUGUGUUAUUGUUUUAUCAUUAUGGAAUGUUUUCGUGAUCUUUGUGUACAUUAUUUAUCCUAUGUGUUACCGCUUUUAUAUCUGGCAUCAUGUGUCUACUCCUGGCCUUCUUUCUGCAACAAGUCCAUCGUACACGUGUUGUACACGACCUCUAGUUGAGUCACCCUUAUUUUAGGGGGAGAGCCAUUGGUGUUAUGGAGUAGGUAGAAAGCUGUCGCAGCCACUAUCGACCAUACGCUCCCCCGAACAACCUUGUUAGUGAACUCCAACGUAGGUCAGCUUUUAGGUCAUGCUUAUGUGCAUCAUAUUGAGACCUAGUGGGGCCCACUUGGUCCUUUGUAGGAGACUCACGUCUAAAGCAUCCCUACGUGCUAAAUGUUGCAUCUUUGAGGAUAACGUGGUUAUUUGACGGUCUGAUUUGGAAAAAACAUGUGUUAGAAGUAAAGUGUGUGGGUAAUGAAAAAAUAGAGAGAGAGAAAAAACAAAACAAGAACAAAAAAAAAGAGUUUCGUAGUUUUUAGAGUUUCUAUGGCUUUUAUUUUUCACAAUUCCAAAAUUCAAAAGGACUUUUUUUUACCUUUCACACUCAUUUUCUCAAAAACAUCAAAAAUAUUUUCCUUUGUCUCGUUUAGCAUGCAUUCACAAUUUGAAAACUUCAAAAAUGAUUUUUUUCAUUCAUAGGAUGUGUUUAUAAAAGAAAAUGCAAAACAAAAAAGAGGUGUUAGAAAUUUUUUACAUUUCGUAUAACGAAAAUACCAAAAAGAUUUUUCUUUCAUAGUUGUUGAUGUCAUUUUUCUGUGAAGUAUCAAAAUGAAAACUCAAAAGAUUUUAUUAACAUGGUUCAUCAUCUGUCUUUGGUCGUAUCUCUUAAGUCAGGGUCUAGCCUAUUAUUUAAUCAUUAAUUGUCCAAUUUGGAUGAACUACGCGUACCUGAUUUCCGUCCUUUGGGGUGGGAUACGUAGGCAACCCUCGGUGGGUCCGAUAAUUUUAAUUUUUAUUUUUUGGCCUUUGUCUUAGUCUUAGCUUGGGUUUUCCUCCUCGUAAUCUAGUGUUGUCAAUUAAUUCUUGCCAAGUAGGCUGAUUUUAUUCGGCGGUACUGUUCGGUGAAUUUGAGUUAUAUGUCGGUCUGUCCCUCUAUGUCACAAGAUAUUUUUUCUAAGAUAAAAUCCCGAGAGUCGGGAAUUUCUUGUCUUGUUUUGAAUUUUUGAGUUGUAAGUUUGGCUUGUUAUUACAGGAUAAAGCCUACAGGGUCUAGAGUCUUGAUGGUUUCCAAAGUGCCCUAAAAGUUAAUAAAGUGGUGGAGCACGUUCAACUAAACUGACCACAAGAGCUAUUUAAGAUAUUAGGUGAUCUUACGGAACUUCUGCAUGUCCCACCCCGUCCAGACCUAAUAGAUGCUGUGCUGACCUUUUGGUAUCCAAGUAAUUUGGUGUUUAGGUUUGGAAAGUGUGAAAUGACGCCUACGUUGGCAGAAUUAUCUGGUCUUCUUCAUUUGCCUUAUAUUGACAAAAGUAUGAUCCAAGCUUGGAAUCACUCGGGCAAUAGGUUUCUACAAGGGUGUGGUUUGAAGAGUAAUAACGGACAUUUGGGUUGUCUGAAUCAAUCAUGGAUUUCUUUAGACUUUCUAUUCGCUAGAUUUGGGUCCUCGGAAGGUUUUAAUUGCUUUUAGGAUGAAUUUCAUAUGAUUAAGGAGAAGUGGGAGAGAAAGCGUCUUGAAGUCUUCACCCUCGCUUUGUUAGGUAUUUUAGUGUUUCCACUAGAAGAAAGACGUAUUAAUACCAGUUUGCAAUUUGUGGUGAUGGCUCUAUUUCAUAAGGAUCAAAAUGACAAGGACACUAUUCAAAAGGGGAAGGUCAUUGAUCAAAAGGGCAGGUUCACUCUCAUACCCAUGAUCUUAACAGAAAUAUAUAAGGCUUUAACCGAAGUGAAGGGGGGAUGAGAUUUUUUGAGGGCAGUAACCUGAUAUUGAAGUUAUGGAUGAUGGAGCAUAUGCAUGCCCCUUCUUUAGUUAGACUAGACGUGGUUGAUCGUUGUAUUCCCAAUCGAGUGAAAUCCAUGGACUUCAGGUUGCGUUUGGAUAAAUUCUCGCUACCCAUGGGAGUCGAUAGUUGGAUUGAAUUUCUUGAGUCAAGAACCGGGGAUAACAUUUUGUGGACUUAUCUGUGGCUUCGACCAAAGAUAAUCUUAUUUGGUUGUCAGACAUAACUCCUUUUAGUUAUGUUAGGGCUCAAUUGCACUAGACCAUACAGUCCAUCUAGGGUAAUGCGCCAAUUGGGUAGGCUAUAGGACGUGCCACCAGCAUUGGAUCUUCUGAAGGAUAUUGAGUACUUCAAGGACCAAGCCUUAGGUGAGAGCAAGUACGAGCAGUUUUGAAAGCAUGCAACAAAGCUAGGUGUGGACACACUCAAAGAAAGUUUGGAUAAUCCAGGGUACACUCAGGGAUAUGGGGUUUGGCUUCAAUCUAUCCCUCGGGGUAUCAGUCAACCCUUACCAGUGCAGCUUAGAGGGAGAAUACAGGAAGAAUUCAUAGUUGACGAUCAUCUGGUCAAGAUUGUAGAAAGGUGUCAGAACAAUCUUUCUAAUUGCAUUCCUCAUGAGGCAGGAAUACGAGCCCGAAGCUUCUUCCCCAAUAUCAGGGUGUCUUUGCAGGACAUGCUACAAAGUUUGAAUGGGAGAAAUAGAACUUUAUAGGCAGGUCCAUCUCAGCCAGGGUCAUCACGCAGAGCACCAGUCUGAAAGAGCAUUUCUUAUUUUUAUUCAAUUUGAGUCUUUUAUGUUUCUGGCAUUGUAGGGUGGCGUCUGUUUUAAGCCAGAGUCAAGUUGUUUUUGGUAUUAGGGUCUUUAUCAGUAAUUUCACGUAUGUCGUCUUCGGGGUCUAGAAUGUUAUUUUGUAUUUGUUGUUUAGUUUUUAAAGCGGUCCUAAAUUCAUUGCAUGUUUUGUUUCUUUCUUUCAUCAAAAUGUUAUGUGGUUACGUCUUUCUUUUGUUUGUUUGUUUUCAUUUUCGCGAAAAAAAAGAAAAAAAAAACUUCAAUUAUGUGAUGUUUAUGCAUAUGUUUCCCGAACUACGCAAGAUCUGAUUCAUGUAUAACAUGAUACAUAGGCAACCUACUUUUGGGUUCGAUCUAAUCAUUUUGUUUCGUUGUUUUUUAUUUUUUAAAAAAGAAAAGCAAAAGCCAUAAAGAAUGAUAAAAUGAAGGUAGAUAGNNNNNNNNNNNNNNNNNNNNNNNNNNNNNNNNNNNNNNNNNNNNNNNNNNNNNNNNNNNNNNNNNNNNNNNNNNNNNNNNNNNNNNNNNNNNNNNNNNNNNNNNNNNNNNNNNNNNNNNNNNNNNNNNNNNNNNNNNNNNNNNNNNNNNNNNNNNNNNNNNNNNNNNNNNNNNNNNNNNNNNNNNNNNNNNNNNNNNNNNNNNNNNNNNNNNNNNNNNNNNNNNNNNNNNNNNNNNNNNNNNNNNNNNNNNNNNNNNNNNNNNNNNNNNNNNNNNNNNNNNNNNNNNNNNNNNNNNNNNNNNNNNNNNNNNNNNNNNNNNNNNNNNNNNNNNNNNNNNNNNNNNNNNNNUGGUAGGUUUGCAGCACUCUGGCUAGUCACCCAUACUUCACUAGAUCCAAAGCAAAGCUCGUCAUGGCUAGCAGGGAGAUUGAAAAUUCGCUUAUUGACCCGGAUCAUGAUCACAGGGAAGAAAGUUCAGAACACAAUGAUGAGGUAGUAAGGCUCAGGCAACAAUUGAUAGAUUUUCACUGGGCAUGGGCCAGUGGAAUGCCUCCUCCUCCGCUCCCUGAAAGUCUUGGGAAUAUCUCUAAUUGACCACCGCUCUCUCAGGCGCAAUUCUCUACUCUUACUGAGUCACCUGAACACGCGUCAGGAUUCACUCCGCGACAUGAUUAUCCUGGCAGUUCUGGUGUGCCCUUGGCAGCUCCCCAAUCAAAAACCACUGCUCAACCAAUGCCACCGAUCACACCGGUAUUCGUGGCUCCCCCACCACCAGAAGGUCCUACAUAUGUUGUGCAUCCGACAAUGGGGAUUCCUAGGUCUGCCAGUAAGCCAGUAUUGAAGGUUCCAGAUAGUCAGUAUUAUGCCCCGGAGCCUACUUUGAGAAUGAAUGAAUAGUAUGGGUACACUCAACCACCUUCAUUUCCAUUUGAUACGGACAAACCUAUCACAACAGAGGAAUAGGAAGUCAUAGAACGAAAGUUGAAAAGUUUAGAAUAGGCCAUGAGGAAUUUGCAGGGAAUCGGAGGUUAUAAGAGUGUUUCCUAUAAAGAUCUUUGCAUGUUCCCAGACAUCAACCUUCCCCUCAGUUUUAAAAUGCCCAAGUUCAAGAAGUAUGCAGGGCACGGUGAUCUCAUGGCACACUUGAGACGUUAUUCCAACCAAUUGAGGACUGCAGGAGGAAGAGAAGAGCUGCUCAUGGCUUUCUUUGGCGAGAGUCUUUCUGAUCUGGCUUCAGAAUGGUUUAUUGAUCAAGAUAUCAACAAGUGGAACAACUGGGAUAACUUAGCUUCUGAGUUUGUGUAGCAUUUUUAGUAUAACAUCGACCUGAUUUCGAACGAAAAAUCCUUGGUCAACAUGAAGAAGAAAAACACUGAAGGGUUUAGGAAAUACGCGAUAAGGUGGCGUGAACAGGCCGCCAGGGUAACGCCUCCAAUGAAAGAAAGUAAGUUGGGAGAGGUUUUCAUUCAGGCACAGGAUGAGACCUAUUUUCAACAUUUACUUCCGACAAUGGGAAAGUCUUUUAUUGAAGUCCUCAAAAUGGGGGAGAUGAUAGAGGACGGAAUCAAGACCGACCGAAUAGUGAGUUUUGCUGCAUUGAAAGCCACCACACAAGCGAUUCAAGGUGGAUCUAGCGCAUUCGGAGGUAAAAAGAAGAAAGAGGAUGUGGCGACUGUCGUAGCUGGAACCCAUUCCUAUCCCAAAAGACCACCUCGCCCCUAUCCCCAAUCCCAAGCCCAAGUCUAUGCCCAAGCUCUAUAUAUUCUUCCCCACCAUUACUACCCUCCACAAAACCCUUUAUAUUCUACUCCACCACCCCUGUACCCAUUAUAUAGCGAGUAGCCAUAUGCCCAAACCCCUUCUUACCCGCAAUGGCACAUGUAAGCCCCACAAAAUUGACCAUUCGCUCCACCGAAUUACCAAAACCCCUCCAGACCUGGUUUUCAACCUAGGCUCGAGUAUAAGAAAGAGAAGGCGGUGAAAAAUCAAUUCAUACCUCUUGGCAAGUCAUAUGCUAGCUUGUUUGAUAGGCUAAGAAAGUUGAAGGUCUUAAGCCCAAUUCAAGGAAGGUUUUUAAAUCCACCACCGAGGAAUCUCAAUUAUUCUUUAAGGUGUGUGUACUAUUCUGACAUACCAGGCCAUGAUAUCGAGAAAUGCUGGCAUUUAAAGAGAGCUGUCCAAGAUUUAAUUAACAUAAAUCAGAUGCUGGUCCAGGCCCCGAAGGGUCCAAACAUUAACCAGAAUCCACUGCCAACCCAUGCUGAAACCAAUAUGUUAGAAUUGAUANNNNNNNNNNGGGGUUUGACUAGGUCAGGAAGAUGCUUUGUGCCUAAAACCUUAAGAAAGUCCAAGCCAAUGGUGAGUGGACCGUCAUCUAUCAAAAAUCCUAUCACCAAAGAAGAAGUCGAAGAAUUUUGGAAAAAGAUGAAAUUGCCAGAGUAUUCAAUAAUAGACCAGUUGAAGAAAACCCCUGCUCAAAUUUCCCUCUUAUCUUUGUUGUUGCACUCCAAGGAGCAUCGUGAUAUUUUACUAAAGGUAUUAAAUGACGCAUAUGUUCCUAGGGAGAUUACUAUAAAUCAGCUUGAGAAAAUGGUCGAAAAAAUCUUGAGGUCAAUCGGAUCAGCUUUUCUGACGAUGAAUUGCUUGUUGAAGGUAUAGGGCAUAACCGAGGCCUUUACAUAGUUUGACUAGGUCAGGAAGGUGCUUUAUGCCUGAAAGUUUAAGAAAGUCCAAGUCAAUUGUGAGUGGACCAUCAUCUAUCAAAAAGCCUAUCACCGAAGAAGAAGCCAAAGAAUUUUUGAAAAAGAUGAAAUUGCCAGAGUAUUCAAUAAUAGACCAGUUGAAGAAAACCCCUGCUCAAAUUUCCCUCUUAUCUUUGUUGUUGCACUCCAAGGAGCAUCGUGAUAUUUUACUGAAGGUAUUAAAUGAAGCAUAUGUUCCUAGGGAGAUUACAAUAAAUNNNNNNNNNNNNNNNNNNNNNNNNNNNNNNNNNNNNNNNNNNNNNNNNNNNNNNNNNNNNNGGGCCUUUACAUUACAGUGAAGUGCGAAGAUUUCUACGUCACUCAUGUUAUGAUUGACGGAGGUUUAGGUGCAAAUAUCUGCCCUAUUUCUACUUUGCAAAAGUUGAAUAUUGGUGCUGAGAGGAUCAGGGCCAACAAUGUAUGUAUCAGGGCUUUUGAUGGUGCAAAAUCAAACUCCAUUGGUGAAAUAGAACUAAUAUUGAUCAUAAGGCCUGUUGAAUUCGCCAUAGAGUUUCAAGUAUUAAAUAUAGACUCCUCUUACAAUCUGUUGUUGGGAAGGCCGUGGAUCCACAAGGCCAAGGCGGUUGCAUCUAUACUACACCAAAUGAUUAGGUUUGAGCAUGAUAGGCAAGAAGUGGUUAUUCACGGUGAAGGAGAUUUGUCUGCCUACGAAGAUUCUCCCUUGUCUCUUAUUGAAGCAAAUAAUGUAGAGGAGACUUUUGUCUAUCAAAUUUUUGAUACAGUACCAGUGAAUUGUAUCUUUGAAUGGCAGGUUAUACCGGGACCGCAAUUGUCUUCUGCUUCUAUCAUAAUGGUGAGUGAACUUUGGAAAUAUGAAUUUUAGCUAGGAAAGGGUUUGGGAGUAUCUCUGCACGGUAUAGUUUGUCCCAUAUUUCCGAGUGAGAAUGUGGGCACGUUUGUUCUGGGAUUUGAGCCUACGGCUGAAGAUCUGAAGAAAUCCAAGGGAAGGAAAAAGGAAAAAUGGUCACUCCCUUGCCCAAUGCCACUACUCAGUGAAUCAUUUGUUAAGAGCGGUGUCACGAAGCAUGUGAUAUUUGAAGUUGAAUUGGUUGAUAACUGCCAGAACCUUUUUAUUGAAGUAGAUAUGGUCAAAGCAGGAGAAGGCACCAGUAUGGCAGACGUGAAAUUCAUAGAUCCAUCCGUCCGACUCAAUAAUUGGGAAGUCACUUCUCUCCCCGUCAGGAGGGAGUUUUGGUAGUUUAUUUUGUUUUUCUUUCUAUUUAUUUGAGUUAUAUUAGGGUUGUAAUUCGGAUUUUAGUUUGUUUAUGUUAUAUUGGCAUCUAUACUUAAACCCUUCUAUCUUUUUAUUUAAUGAAAUGCAAUGUCCCUUUUAUUUCAUGUCUAAUAUAUUUUGUUUUUCUUUUUUUUUAUAUACAGUUUUCUUUAUGCUGAUUCUAAUGACAUGACAUGCAUGCAAAAUUUUUAGCCUGAUCUUAAAAUCCAAACUAAUCAAGAUGUAAUGAAGCAGAAUGGGGAAUAUGAUGAAGAAGAAGCAGUAGAAGAAAUAAGCAAAGAGUUGGAACAGUUUGAAGACAAACCGAAUCCUAAUUUGAAUGAGACUAAGCCAAUAAAUCUAGGGAAUCAAGAAGAUGUUAGGGAAACUAAAAUCAGUGUACAUGCUUUACCACAGCUAAAAGAUGGAAUGAUUCAAGAAUUAAUUGAUUAUAAGGAUGUUUUUGCAUGGUCUUAUGAUGAUAUGCCUAGUUUAAGCACUGAAUAAGUGGCUCACAAAUUGCCAACUGAUCCCGCAUUCCCUCCUUUCAAUCAGAAGUUGAGGAAGUUUAAAACUGAUGUAAGUAUUAAAAUCAAAGAGGAAAUCAUGAAACAAUUUAAAGCCAAAGUAAUUCAAGUGGCUCGUUUUCCCAUGUGGUUGUCCAAUGUUGUUCUCGUACCAAAGAAAGAUGGCAAAAUUCGAGUAUGUGUUGAUUACCGUGAUUUGAACAGAGCAAGUCUGAAAGAUGAUUUUCCACUACCCAACAUCCAUAUUUUGCUAGACAACUAUGCUAAACACGAGGUUGCCUCUUUUGUGGAUUGCUAUGUCGGAUAUCACCAGAUCAUUAUGGAUGAUGAAGAAGCGGAGAAGACGUCUUUUAUCACACCAUGGGGGACCUAUUAUUAUCGAGUGAUGCUGUUCGAUUUGAAGAAUGCUAGAGCAACAUACAUGAGAGCCAUGACCACUAUGUUUCUUGCAUGAUGCAUAAGGAGAUUGAGGUAUACAUGGAUGAUGUGAUUAUUAAGUCAAAAAGUCGGGCUGACCAUGUUAAAGAUUUAAGAAAGUUCUUUGAAAGGCUUCGCAGGUAUAAUCUCAAGCUCAACCUGGCAAAAUGUAUAUUUGGAGUUCUAUCUGGAAAGCUGUUGGGGUUUGUAGUCAGCCGUCGGGGGAUUGAAUUGGAUCCCUCAAAAAUCAAAGCCAUUUAGGAUUCGCCCCCACCCAAAAAUAGAAUGGAGGUGAUGAGUUUGCUUGGUAGACUGAACUACAUUAGCAGGUUUAUUGCUCAACUCACAACCACUUGUGAGCCCAUAUUCAAGUUGCUGAAAAAAGAGUGCUGUGGUAGAAUGGACUGAAGAAUGUCAGGAAGCGUUCGAUAGAAUCAAAAGAUAUUUGUCAACUUCGCCCGGUCUGGUACCACCAGAGCCUGGUAGGCCUUUGAUAUUAUAUUUAUCAGUCAUGGACAAUUCUUUUGGUUGUUUCCUGGGUCAAUAUGAUGUCAUAAGCAAAAAGGAGUAGGCUAUUUAUUAUCUUAGCAAGAAGUUCACUGCAUAUGAGGCCAGGUAUACUCUUCUUGAAAGGACGUGUUGUGCCCUAACUUGGGUAGCACAGAAGUUGAAGCAUUAUCUCUCAUCCUAUACUAUUUAUCUCAUCUCCCGCAUGGAUCUUUUGAAGUAUAUCUUUCAGAAGCCUAUGCUGACAGGUCGAUUGGCAAAAUGGCAAAUAUUGCUUACCGAGUUCGACAUUGUAUAUGUGACUCGAACCACCAUGAAAGACCAAGCCUUGGCAGAUCAUGUUGCUGAGAAUCCCAUCAAUGAAGAGUACGGGCCAUUAAAGACAUAUUUUCCUGAUGAAGAAGUGUCGUGUGUCGAUGAAGUCGUUAUAGAUGUUGAUCCAGGUUGAAAGUUGUUCUUUGAUAGAGCUAUCAAUAUGAAAGGAGUCAAAAUAGGUGCGGUUCUUAUCUCUGAAUUGGGACAAUAUUUCCCGGUAACAGCACAACUUCGAUUUUACUGUACUAACAACAUGGCAGAGUAUGAAGCUUGCAUUCUUGGUUUGAGGUUAGCUGUUGAUAUGGGAGUCCAGGAAUUAUUGUUCUGGGGGAUUCGGAUUUGCUCUUCCAUCAAAUUCAAGGAGAUUGGGAGACGUGAGAUUUGAAGCUCAUCCCGUAUUGACAAUGCUUGCAGAAGUUAUGUCAACGGUUUGUGUUAGUAAAAUUUAGGCAUAUUCCAAGGAUCCAUAAUAAAAUUGCUGAUGCUUUAGCCACUCUGUCUUCAAUGCUCCAACAUCCUGAUAAAGCCUACAUCGAUCCUGUGCAUAUACAGAGUAGUGAUCAGAAUGCUUACUGUAAUGCGGUUGAAGAAGAGCUCGAUGGAGAACACUAGUUCUUGGAUAUCAAGCGAUACAUGCAGUCAGGAGAAUACCCAAAAUAUGCCACCAACGAUUAAAAGAGGACUAUUAGGCGUUUGGCUAGUGGAUUUUUCUUAAGUGGGGGAAUCUUAUUAAAGAGAACCCCAGAUCUGGGACUUCUGAGAUGUGUAGAUGCAAGAGAAGCCUCGGCAAUCAUGGUUGAAAUACACUCUAGAGUAUGCGGGUCGCAUAUGAACGGUCAUGUGUUGUCAAAGAAGAUUCUUCAAGCAGGUUAUUACUGGCUUACUAUGGAGAGGGAUUCUAUUCGAUUUGUUUGAACGUGUCAUCAAUGUUAGGUACACGGUGAUCUGAUACGUUCUCCUCCUACUGAAUUACAUGCAAUGGCCGCUCCAUGGCCGUUUGUGUCUUGGGGAAUGGAUGUGAUUGGACCGAUUGAGCCGAAGGCAUCAAAUGGACAUAGAUUUAUUUUGGUAGCCAUUGAUUACUUCACAAAGUGGGUAGAAGCAGUAACUUUCAAGUCAGUGACAAAGAAGGAUGUGGUAGAUUUUGUUCAUGCCAACAUCAUUUGUAGGUUUGGAAUUCCUAAGAUGAUCAUUACAGACAAUGCUGNNNNNNNNNNNNNNNNNNNNNNNNNNNNNNNNNNNNNNNNNNNNNNNNNNNNNNNNNNNNNNNNNNNNNNNNNNNNNNNNNNNNNNNNNNNNNNNNNNNNNNNNNNNNNNNNNNNNNNNNNNNNNNNNNNNNNNNNNNNNNNNNNNNNNNNNNNNNNNNNNNNNNNNNNNNNNNNNNNNNNNNNNNNNNNNNNNNNNNNNNNNNNNNNNNNNNNNNNNNNNNNNNNNNNNNNNNNNNNNNNNNNNNNNNNNNNNNNNNNNNNNNNNNNNNNNNNNNNNNNNNNNNNNNNNNNNNNNNNNNNNNNNNNNNNNNNNNNNNNNNNNNNNNNNNNNNNNNNNNNNNNNNNNNNNNNNNNNNNNNNNNNNNNNNNNNNNNNNNNNNNNNNNNNNNNNNNNNNNNNNNNNNNNNNNNNNNNNNNNNNAAAAAUGGUACAAGGGUCUAGACAGUGGCAUGAAAAGUUGCCAUUUGCAUUGCUAGGUUAUCGCACCACUGUUCGUACUUCAACAGGGGCAACUCCAUAUUUAUUGGUGUAUGGGAAAGAAGCAGUCAUCCCUGCAGAAGUUGAAAUUCCUGAUCUUUGAGUCAUUGCAGAAGCAGAGAUUGAUGAUGACGAAUGGGUAAAAACCUAACUGGAGCAUUUGAGUUUGAUUGAGGAAAAAAGGCUAACAUCUGCGUGUCAUGGCCAAUUGUAUCAGAGGAGGAUGGCUCGACCGUAUAACAAAAAGGUCCAUCCCAGGAAUUUUGAAGUUGGUCAAUUGGUAUUGAAACGUAUCCUUCCUCACCAGGUUGAAGCGAAAGGCAAGUUCUCCCCUAAUUGGCAAGGUCNNNNNNNNNNNNNNNNNNNNNNNNNNNNNNNNNNNNNNNNNNNNNNNNNNNNNNNNNNNNNNNNNNNNNNNNNNNNNNNNNNNNNNNNNNNNNNNNNNNNNNNNNNNNNNNNNNNNNNNNNNNNNNNNNNNNNNNNGCAGUUUUAAGAUUGUUAGGAUGAAGUCAUUUGAUUCUUCUAUCCAAACAUUGUGUCAUCCUUUGUUUACCCGUUUGAGCUUCAUUUUAUUUUUUUUAUUUUCUUUCAUAUCCCUCUUUUGGAAUCAAAAUAGAGUCAAAAAUAAAUGUAAGAAAAUAAGAAUAAAAGAAAGAGUUCGAAAAAAAAUAAAAUCAAAUCAAAACAAAGAAAAAGCUUAUGGAACUACGUGCGACCUGAUUCUCCUUUCUCUGGAGUGAGAUACAUAGGCUGCCCUAUUUCGGGCUCGGUCCAACCAAAUAAAGAUUUUAGAGUCACCCCGUCAAAGUGAAAAGUGAAAAGAAAGAGAUUUGUUGUCAAUUGAAUGUGAUGUAUGAGUCCAAUGGAUUUGAAGAAGCAGCUCAGCGGCAAAGGAACGAACUCAACAACAAAUGGGGAGUUUGGAUAGGAAGAUCAGGCAGCUUAAUCCAAAAUGUAUGUCAUACUCAUUGGAGUGGGUUGCCGUAUUCAGAUAAGUAUACUUUUUUGAAUAGGGGACAUUUCCCUUUUCUUUCAUUUACAUAUUCAAGAUUUUUGUCUUUUUAUGUCAUUUAUCAAAACAAAAGUCACCAUCGUUUCUUUACAUUUUAAGUCAAGUCUGUGUCAAAACAAGCAAGAAAGGAUUUCAAAAUUUAUGACCAGUCUUUCCAAUUAUAUGAGUAAAAGCCAAGGACCAGCACAUGAAAGAAAUAUGAUCGUAAUUCAAUGCGAAGCAAAGAAAGUCUAUCAACCGACAGGCUGUGGGAUUCAUGGAAGCAUUCAGAUUUGGGAAAAGGGUCCACCUCAGAGGCAUGGUAAAAUGGAAACCCAUUGUUCGAGUCAGAACUCAUUUCCCUUAAUCUAGAUCCGGGUUAAUGAUGCGGUAAGACAGGGCAAGUGUCAGCGAUUUGGAACAAAGAUGAAAGGAACAAGUGUUGGAGCAGAUACUUGAGAAGCCAAGAGCUACAAGCCACCACUAAGUUUUUAACUGACAAAUUUUCUUUGUUGAAAUAGGGGCAAAUUCGCUUCACUUAAUUCAGCUACCAUUGGAAAUGCACAUCCGUGAGAUUUUACAUUCUGUUCAGGACCAUCCUGAAAAUGAGACUUUACUUUCUGUCCAGGACCCUCCUGAAAAAUAGGACUUUACCUUCUGUUCAGAACCUUCUUGAAAAAUGGGACUUUACUUUCUAUUCAGGACCCUCCUGAAAAAUGGGAUUCUACUUUCUGUUCAGGACCCUCCUGAAAAAUGGGAUUCUACUUUCUGUUCAGGACCCUCCUGAAAAAUGGGAUUCUACUUUCUGCACAGGACCCUCCUAAAAAAUGAGACUUUACUUUCUGUUCAGGAUCCUCCUGAAAAAUGGGACUUUACUUUUAAUUCAGGACCUUCCUGAAAAAUGAGAUUUUACUUUCAGUUUAGGACCCUCCUUAAAAAUGAAAUUUUACUUUCAAUUCAGGACCCUCCUAAAAAAUGGGAUUUUACUUUCAGAUCAGGACCCUCCUGAAAAAUGGAACUUUACUUUCAAUUCAGGACACUCCUGAAAAAUAGGGAUUUACUUUCUGUUCAGGACCCUUCUGAAAAAUGGGAUUUUGCUUUUUGUUCAGGACCCUCCUGAAAAUGGGAUUUUACUUUCAGUUCAGGACCCUCCUGAAAAAUGGAAUUUUACUUUUAGUUCAGGAUCCUCUUGAAAAAUAGGAUUUUUCUUUCAAUUCAGGACUCUCCUGAAAAAUGAGAUUUUACUUUCAGUUCAGGACCCUCAUAAAAAAUGGGACUUUACUUUCAAUUCAGGACCCUCCUAAAAAGUGGGAUUUUACUUUCAGUUCAGGACCCUCCUGAAAAAUGGGACUUUACUUUCAAUUUAGGACCCUCCUGAAAAAUGGGACUUUACUUUCAAUUCAGGACCUUCCUGAAAAAUGGGACUUUACUUUCUGUUCAGGACCCUUUUGAAAAAUAGGAUUUCACUUUAUGUUCAGGACCCUCCUGAAAAAUGGGAUUUUACCUUCUGUUCAGGACUCUUCUGAAAACUGGAAUUUUACUAUUUGUUUAGGACCCUCCUGAAAAAUUGAAUUUUACUUUUUGUUCAGGACCCUCCUGGGAAAUGGGAUUUUACUUUCUGUUCAGGACCUUCCUGGAAAAUAGGAUUUUACUUUAUAUUCAGGACCCUCCUGAAAAAUGGGACUUCACUUUAUGUUCAGGACCCUCCUGAAAAAUGGGAUUUUACUUUCUCUUCAGGACCCUCCUGAAAAAUGGAAUUUUACUUUAUGUUCAGGAGCCUCUUGAAAAAUGGGAUUUUACUAUCUGUUCAGGACCCUCCUGAAGAAUGGGAAUUUAAUUACAGUUCAGGACCCUCCUGGAAAAUGGGACAACGCUUUCAAAAAUGAAAUACUACUUUACUAUAAUUUUUGUUUGGGGUAAUUUUUGCUGUAGUUUUAAUUUUGUGUUUCAGGGGCCCGCCUAAAGAACAAGGUGAUGAAAUAUCAAGUCAGGGGUCCGCCUGAAGAACAGGGUGAUGAAAUAGCAUGUCAGGAGCCCGCCUAGAGAACUGAGUGAAGAAAUGAAAAGUCAAGCAACAAAGUGAUGAAAUAGCUAGUCAGGAGCCCACCUGGAGAACAGGGUGAAGAAAUUGAAAGGCAAGCAACAAGUUGAAGAAAUUGCAAGUCAGGAGUCCGCCUGAAGAAUAGGGUGAUGAAACUGGAGUCAAGAACCAACAGAAGCUGUAUAGAUAGGAUUUUUUAAUUUCAUUUAUGAUUUAACUUGUAAUUUUUAUUUUUGAUGUAAUGACAGAGCCGCUGACCGGAACCUCAAUGGAACCUCACUCGACUCUCCAACUCGGUAUAGUCCACUUCUCUUCCAACCCUUUGAGAUACUUGUGACUUCUUCAUGACUUGGGUAGAUAGGGUGUCCGACAGGAUUCGAUUUUCUUUCUUCCUUCUAUUUCUUUCUUUGAAUAAUGGUCGGGUAAAAAUUUGGUCUCGUUGUCUACUUCUUUGUCUGAAAACACUUUAUGUUUACAUUCAAAGGAGGCAUGCUGUAGACAUCUAAUUUUGUCCUUCCCAAGUCCAAUUUUAUUCAUUUUUUUACCUCACUGUAUCAUACACCUUUACCCACGUGGUUAUACACUUCAUAAAAUGACAAAAAUAAUAAAAUCCCUAACAAACUUGUAUUCUUUUUAACAUCCUAACAACCUACUCAAUUAAAAUAAACCACAUCAUACCCUACCCCUACCCCUACCCCCACCUCACUACCCCACCUACCCUUCCCUACUACUAUAUAAUUCUCAUUCUCACCAGAAACCUCACUCUCCAUCACCAUAUUUGUAUAUCACACACAAUAACUAGAGAAUAUAGAUACACACACAAUUGGGAGAGAACAUAGAUACACGCACAAUUGGGAUAGAAGAGAGCUUGAGGGAGAGAACAGUGAGAGAAGUGUGAAAUCAAAAAUUGGGGGUUUUGAUUAGAGAGAUUUGAGAGAGGGAUAGAGAUGAGGGAGAGCUGAUCAAAGAUUGAGGGAGAGUGAAGAGUAAAUAGUAGAAUCGAGAGAGGUGAGUGAGGGAGAGAAACAGUGAAGGUCAGUCCGGUGACCAGAUCUCGCCGGGGAUCGAAUUAGCAUCUAAAAAUGACCAAAACCGGAGAGUAACACCCUUUUGCCAGUGGGCUCUCGCCGGAAACAGUGCUUCCACAAGAUCGGUACCUAGAGCUCAUCACCACCAAGUCCAUAGGAGCUCCGGCAAGUUCGAAUCUCCACGAAAACAGUGAAAUCGGCGAGUAGCAGCGAGCAGGUAGAUACGAACACGGAAAAUACUCCUUUUCUGGUGAGUUUUUUGUCGGAAAACUCAGUUACUGCAUCACUUACUUUUCGUCUUGGUCUCUAUCGAGUCUUUCAAGCUCCGGUGAAGCCAAAUCUUAAACCCCAAACACGACUCUGUCGUGGAGAACCCGUUAUUCCAGCCAAUUUUGAACAAAAAAUUAGUCGUUUGUGUCAAUCCCUGUCGGCAGUUCAGCAUCGAAUUUUCAUCUUUCAUCGAAUUAUUUCGAUCUGGGCUUAUUAUUUUUUUUACUCUUGGGUUGUGAGAUUAAAAUUUUAUCUUUGGGAUUUCUGUUUGGGAUUAGUUGUUUCUAUUUGAGAUUGUCAAUUCCGGAUUCAAAUUUGUUCGAAGAAUUUGUGAUAUCAAGUUGGAUCUUUGUUGGGGUUGAGGUUCGAUUCGAGGCUAUCGGGAGCAGGCUUCUUUAUUUUUAUCAACCAAUAUUCUUUAAAAUUUCCAAGUUGAGGUCCAAUUCUAAUCUUCCCCUCUUUUAUUUCAUUAUUUAUUAUAUUCGAUGCAUCGAAUUGAAUGUUUGUGUGAUUGGUUGAUCUUUGUUCUUGGUGAAUUAUUGCUCGUGUUUGUUCCUUGAUUAUGGAUUGUAUGGUGAAAUGAGGUCUUGUUCGAGGAUUAAAAUUAUUUAUUUGGGGAAUGGGACUCGAAAAUUGAUAAAAGUAAAUUUGGAUAAUUUUUGAUUCGUUGAUGAUGUUGAAAUGUGAUAAGAAUCAUGAUAGGUCGAGUUUGAUAGGAAAAUAGAAGAUUUGGGUAGGCAAAUUUAGAACUUUUGGAUUGUUGAAUGUUGAAAAUGUUUGUUGAAUGGUUUUAUUUUAUGAAUUUGGAUCGAUUGUAUUCAUUCGCCGGGGAAUGCCCUGAGGUCAUAUUUGUAUUUAUUCACCGGGAAAUGCCCCGACGUAUCAUGUACUCGGAGGAUGCCCGUGAUGAAGGCUCGAAGCAUCGGGUAAGGAAUUGGAGCGUAGUUUAGGAUUAGUGUAGGUUAACAUAGGUUUACUUUUCAGUACCUUUUUCAUUUCGGGUUGUAAUAAUUGGACUGGACACUAUAUUUUUGGACUGGUUUUGUUUGUUUGAUUGAUCGUUUUUGUGUGUUUUUUUGUGGUUUGUACAUUCAUAGUGUCAAAAUUAGCCGAUACGCUCCACCAAGCGACCGUGGUCAAACCACGGGAUCGAGGGGUGCCUAACACCUUCCCCCGAUCAACAGAAUUCCUUAGCUAGAAUCUCUGUUCACAAACCAGUUAAAGAGUCAAAUGGUUUUUGAAAAGGAUUUUCCAAUGGUGACUUGGCACACCAGAUUAUGCCAAGUGGCGACUCUGAUUUCAAAUGUAAAAACAAUCCUUCUUCGCGACAAAUCGUUUUCUUUUGUCACUUAAUAAUAAAAACUCUUUCGAACCUUAAAAUUGAAUCCUUUGGAUGUCGAAAAAGGGGUGUGACAAUGAUCAUUGGUUUAAUUCCUCACUUCUAUCAGCAUUAGACAUCAGUAUUUGGAGCAACCAAAUAACAAGAUUUAUUCAUGUUCACUAGUUGGUCAGAGAUGUGUUCAUAACAUAAGAGCUAGAUAAUAUAAUCAGCCAUCAGCAUGGUAUAAGUGAGUGAUAAAAGGGCAUUUUCUUAUGAAUAAAAUAUUUUUUGAAUGAAUUAUUCAUUUCAUCAUAUAGAAAGUAAUUCAUUGGACAAAACUUGACUAUUUAGUUAGGCUCUCAUUGUUCCACUAUAGUAUUAGUUAGUAAGUGUGGCACUACUCUUCACCACACAAUUCUACAGUAUCUAUGAAAGCAAGACUAUUUGACUUGCCAAGUCUUUGGCUGAAUAGAGGACUUUUCUGCCACCACAUUUAUAAUUCUGAUUGAGAUGUGAAAGAUUUGGUUGAUUUGGUGGUAUUAGUAUUGAUCGAUAUGACCAAAAGGGAGACCUCAUUUCUAUUUAAAGUCUCAAAACCACAUGUAUUAGAGUAUACCUACUAAUUUUUACAAUAAUGGAGAAAGCCUUCACAUUUUUUCUCUCAACACUCUUCUUGCUUAUGGCUAGUUCAGUCAUGACCAAAACCAACAUUACUACAGAUCAAUUAGCUCUUCUGUCUUUAAAAUCACAAACCAUUUCCAACCGUUUUCACUUCUUCAAAGAAAGUUGGUCUCUCGCUACGUCCGUUUGUCAUUGGGUGGGAGUCACUUGUGGUUCUCACCACUAGCGAGUGAAGUACUUGAAUCUUUCCAACAUGGCUCUUAUAGGAUUCCGCGUGAAUUUGGAAACCUCACAUUUCUUGUUUCUCUUGACUUGGAAAGCAACAAUUUCCAGGGAAAUUUGCCUCAAGAAAUGGCACGCUUGCGCCGACUUAAGUUUCUUGGGUUAGGUUUCAACGACUUCAGCGGGGAGGUUCCUUCUUGGUUUGGAUUGUUACAUCAACUUCGAGCUCUAAAUCUUAGAAAUAAUAGUUUCACAGGUUCACUCCCAUCUUCUUUUUUUAAUAUUACAACGCUGGAAACUUUGGAUUUGACAUUCAAUUCCUUAGAGGGUCAAUUUCCAAAAGAGAUUAAAGGUGUUGAAAACAUGAGAUACUUAAGCUUGUAUGGAAACAAUCUCAUAGGCUCCAUUCCUCCAUCAAUCUCGAAUGCCUAAAGGUUGGAGACUUUAGGUAUAUCUAGAAAUUUACUUCAAGGAAAUAUUCCAGAAGGAAUUGGCAAUCUUCACAACAUGAACUGGUUGGCCAUAGAGUAUAAUCAACUUAAGGGUUCUACAGCAUUAACAAUUUUCAAUAUUUCUAGGCUCGAAGUCAUUGCAUUUACCGGCAAUAGCUUAUCAGGAAGUCUUUCCAAUGGUUUAUGCAAUGGUCUCCCAAUACUCAAAGCCUCCCACCAAACAUGUGUUCGUUCUUACCCAACAUUGAAAAGCUUUAUCUGGGAAACUUAACCAAUCUUGUUGGGAUUAUUCCUCAUUCCAUCUCCAAUUGUUCAAAACUUACUCUUCUAGAGCUUUCAUACAACAAAAUCACUGGCUUGAUUUCCAAUUCUCUUGGAUAUUUGACUCAUCUACAAAUCCUAAACUUGGGGGAAAACAAUUUAACCAGCAACUCAUCGUUAAGCUUCUUGACUUCCUUAACCAAUUGCAGAAAUUUAACAUUUCUUGUUAUAUCUUUCAACCCUCUUAAUAACAUGCUUCCGGCCUCCACAGGGAACCUUUCCACCUCUCUUAGAAAAUUUUACGCCAGCAAUUGCAAAAUCAACGGGCGAAUUCCACAUGAAGUUGGGAACUUAAGCAGCUUAUUAGACCUUGAUCUUCCUAGAAAUAACUUUGUCGGAUCGAUUCCCACAUCAAUUGGCAACUUGGAAAACCUUCAGCGCUUAAGAUUGUUUGACAACACUCUUACAGGAUUUAUUGGAGAUCAUAUAUGUAAAUUGCAGCAUUUGGGUGACAUUCACUUGGGUCAAAAUCAAAUUUCAGGACAGUUUCCUAAUUGUUUAGGGAAUAUUACUUCCCUUAGGGAGAUACAUCAGGUUUCCAGAAACCGUCCCUAUAGCUCUACCUAGGGCGACGGUUUAGACAACCGUUGCAGAAACCGUUGCAAUAGAUCGAUGUUCUUGACUUAUCGUUAAACAAAAUGGUAGGUUCUUUACCUGCAGAAAUUGGAAAUCUAAAGACUGCAUCACUGAUAGAUCUGUCAAUGAAUCAAUUUUCAAAUAGAAUUCCAAGAGAAAUUGGAGGAUUGCAGAAUCUGGCACACCUUUAUUUGAGACACAACAAGUUGCAAGGAGCUGUACCUGACUCAAUGAGCAACAUGGUAGGUUUGAAAUUCCUAGACCUUUCUCAUAACAAUGUAUCUGGAAUCAUUCCUAAGUCUUUGGAGAAAAUUCAAAACCUGAAGUAUUUCAAUGUUUCUUUCAACAAAUUGUGUGGUGAAAUACCCUCGGGAGGUCCUUUCAAGAACCUCUUGAGUCAGUUUUUCAUUUGCAAUGAAGCAUUGUGUGGUUCUUCAAGAUUUAGAGUCCCGCCAUGCCCCACUUCAUCAAAGCACAAAUCAAAUAGGAAAAAAUUGCUAGUACUUUUUCUUUUGCUCGCAAUUGCAGUUGUAUUUGUUCCUUUCACCUUUGUGCUCCUAUGGAUAAGGUAUAGAAGAAGUCAAAGUGCCCCUCAGCAAGCUGAUUCAUUGUCUACCAUAGCAAGAGAAAGGAUUUCAUACUAUGAACUUCUACGAGCAACUAAUGCUCUUAGUGAGAGUAAUCUGAUUGGUUCUGGAAGUUUUGGCUCUGUUUACAAAGGCGUUCUCAGAAGUGGAACUGUCAUUGCAGUUAAAGUGUUCAACCUGCAACUGGAUGCGGCAUUCAAGAGUUUUGAUACGGAAUGUGAAGUUUAGCGUAGCCUUCGCCAUAGGAAUCUCGUAAAAGUCAUUACUAGCUGUUCCAACCUUGAUUUUAAGGCUUUAGUGCACGAGUAUAUGCCUAAUGGAAGUCUUGAGAAAUAUAUGUAUUCGCACAACUACUUCCUCAAUACCAGGCAAAGACUAAGCAUAAUGAUAGAUGUGGCAUGUGCUUUGGAAUAUCUUCACCAUGGGUGUUCGUCGCCUGUGAUCCACUGUGAUCUGAAACCUAGUAACGUCUUGCUGGAUGAGAAUAUGGUUGCCCACCUCAGCGACUUUGGCAUUUCAAAACUGCUUGGUGAAGAUCAGAGUGAUUUGUAUACUAAAACCUUAGCAACAUUGGGGUAUAUUGCCCCAGGUACGUCUAUUAGUUUUGCUAAUUAUUCCUUUCCUUUUUUCCCACGUUGAAAGUAUAUUGCAUCUUUAAGUGGAUUGUUUGACUGUUGAGUAUGGACUGGAAGGACAAGUGUCAACAAAGUGUGACGUCUAUAGUUAUGGGGUCAUGUUGCUGGAAAUGUUUACUAGGAGAAAGCCUAAUGAGAUUGAAGGAGAAAGCCUAAUGAGAUUGAAGGAGAUCUUAGCUUGACGCAAUGGGUGAGUUAUUCACUUCCAGAUGCUGUAAUGGACGUCGUAGAUACCAACUUGGUAACACCAGUGGGUAAAGGCUUUCAGAAGGAUCUAGAUGUUGUGGCAUCAAUCAUGAAAGUAGCAUUAGAUUGUUGUGCUGAAUCUCCGGCAAGAAGGACAAACAUGAAAGAUGUUGUAGGAAUGCUACAGAAGAUCAAGAUUCAACUUCUUGCAUAUUGAACACUUUUAUAAUGGUUUUCUUUCAUCUUUUAGCACUUGAUUGCUAGUUAGCACUUGAUUGCUAGUUAGCACUUGAUUCUGUUUCCAGAAAUUCUAGCUGGUUGCCAUAAAUCUGACUAAGAUUGCUAGUUAGCUCAGUGCUUCUGCCCUUUGUUUAAUCCUGCCCUGUAUCGCCAAACACCACCCCCUUUGCGGUAGCCUUUCUACCUCAUGAGGUAGUGGUAAGGUUUGCAUACACUCUACCUCUGCAGACAUCACUUGUGAGAUUUCACUGGGUAUGUUGUUGUAAAGUUAGUUGAACUAAUCUGUCUUUGUAACCAAGACCUCUUAUUACCUGUUUCAAAUUCUUACCUAUGUUACUCUAUUCUUGCAUUUAUUGCUACUCCACUAUUAGAAUUUUCAAAAAUGUCGCCGCACACUUGCAAAAUGUAUUAUUUUUUGAAGGAAAAAGGCUCAAAUAUGCCACUGAACUAUCAGAAAUGGCUCAUUUAUGCGAUCCAUUAAAAGUUGGGCUCAUUCAUGCCAUCGCCAUUAUAAAAUCGGUCCAUCUAUGCCAUUACUUUUUAACGGUGGUUUUCUAAAAAACUGCUUUGCCAUGUGGCCUCUUAUUAGAGGUACAGAUCAUUUUUUAUUUUUUUAUUUUUAGUUUUGAUCCUUUAAAGAAGAAUUCACCCACACCCAAUCUAUCACCUUAACCCACUUUAAUACUACUCUUAAUUUUAACCCUAGAUUUAAACAUAUAUAUAAUCAUUUAGUCUUCGAACAUGAAAUUUACACACAUGAAUAUUUCGUUUAAAAUAAUAUAGGUUAGAAUAAUUAAUAAUUUAAAAUGGCAAAUGAAUAAAUUAUGAUUAAAAAAUAAUUUAUUUUGACUCUUAAAAUCCGUACAUAUCACAUAAUUUAGUACGAAGAGAAUACCACAUACAUGAAGGACCACAACUUUUAAUUAUGAAGAAUACCUAAAAAUCACUUCUAAAUUUGAAUUAUAAGUUGUAUAAUUGAAUUAUUGGUAGUCUUAAUUAUUUCGUGGACUUGGCUAUUUGGUAGCCUUUAUUAUCUUUAACGUGGACGAGACGUAGAGCAUAAUUUAUUUCUAGGCGUGUUAGAGUUUAAAAAAAUAUAAAAUAAAUAAAAGACCACCAUCCAGGUACGUAGGAUGUUUUCAGUCCACAUAUUAUUUAGUGUUGUUUGGUACCUACUCACGCAGACACUAUUUAUGUGUAUAUUAAUGGAUGUAUAUUAAAGAAUCCACCCACGCAUAAAAAAGUAAUGCUCUAAGUCUCGUUCACGUUAAAGAAUAUAAAGGCUACCAAAUAGCCAAAUUCACGAAAUAAUUAAGACUACCAAUAAUUCAAUUAUACAACUUAUAAUCCAAAUUUAGAAGGAAUUUUUAGUUAUUCUUCCUAAUUAAAAGUUGUGGUCCUUCAUUUAUAUGGUAUUCUCUACGUCCUAAAUUAUGUGAUGAUGCUCGGAUUUUGAGAGUCAAAACAAAUUAUUUUUUAAUCACAAUUUAUUCAUUUGCCAUUUUAAAUUAUUAAUUAUUCUAACCUAUAUUAUUUUAAACGUAGUAUUCAAGUGUGUAAAUUUCAUGUUCCAAGACUAAAUUAUUAUAUAUAUGUUUAAAUCUAGGAUCACAAUUAAGAGUAAUAUUAAAGUGGGUUAAGGUGAUAGGUUGGGUGUGGGUGAAUUCUUCUUAAUGGAUCAAAACUAAAAAAAAAAAAAAAAAUUUAAAAAGUGACGUGGACCUCUAAUAAGAGGCCACGUGGCAAAACAGUAAUUUAGAAAACCACUGUUAAAAAGUAAUGGCAUGAAUGGACCAGUUUUAUAACGGCGAUGUCAUGAAUGAGCCCAACUUUUAACGGAUGGCAUAAAUAAGUCAUUUCUGAUAGUUCAGUGGCAUAUUUGAGCCUUUUCCCCUUUUUGAAGGAUCCCACAUACACUCGAUAACAAUUUCGAGCAACAUAAGUUCCUACUCACUCGAAAAGGAACUCUUAAGGGAUUUGUUUCGCACGCAGCAUCCUGUUUAAUGCUGAAAUAUCAACUCUUACAAAAGAUGCAACUUUAGUAGGUUAAAUAAAUUGCUUUUACUUAUUAAGUGGAGUUCUUAAUCAAAUACAAGGUUUUGGGGUCAAAGCUAUUGAAUUUUGCUGAACUCGUAAUUCUCCGCCCGCUUGACAUAGAUGAAGAUAAGAGAAAAUGCAAAAUGCAACCUCUUGUAAAAUUGAGCUUACGUUGCUUGGACUCUGCAAAAAUGUUGUCGCACUUGUAUCGAAUCCUUAAAAAAUACAUUACUUUUGGAGGAUCAAACACGCAUCCAUCGACAUUUUUGAAGAGUCUGAGCAACAUGGACAUUCAGUCUAUUGCAAGUAUUUUGGGGCAACAAGAAAGUUUUCUUAGAUGAAAUUCCCCGUUUUAUAAAUCAAUUACCCAGAUGAGCUAUGAGUCAUGUUGUAUUAUCAAAAAGGAGCAGAGGGGGCUAGGCUCGACCUCAAUACAACACACAAUCAUAAGUGAUAUCAAUCAUAAGUGAUAUCACCCCAUCAGAUGGCUUACACAAUUAUUAUGUUGCCUUAUGGUACCUACACAAAUAUAUACUAGCUAACAAAAAAGUUGAAUUUGUCAUAUUUACAUCUAUGACUAGGCAUCAUCCACCUAUCUAAUUGAAUGCAACCUCUAGCCUGUCUAGGAAGAUGAGAAAGGGACUGAGUAAUAAGAUUCUGCGUAUAGGUGGAAGCCAAUUUAGCUAAACUGUCAGCAACUUGAUUGCCUUCCCGGAAACAGUGAUUUGCUUGAAUCCCAAUUCUAUUCUUGAUACUUUUGAUGUUGUCCACCACUUGUUUCAGCUUCAUAUUAGUGACAAGAUUAUUGUUCAGCAUGUUGGUUAUGAUUGUGGAGUCUAGUUCGAGAGUGAAAUCAGUGUAACCUUGACAUUUACACCAUUUCACUCCAAACUCGGCUGCCAAAGCCUCUGCCAUAUUACUGCUACUACAACUAACAGAAAUGGAAAAUGCCAUAACCAUAUCGCCUAGAUUAUUCCUUACAAUUCCACCAAUACCAGCCUUACCACUUUCAUGUAAGUAACUACCGUCUGUAUUGAUUUUAAUACAUCAAGCUUGAGGAAAACUCCAAGUAAUCUGAUAUAACUUUUGAAAUGGCCUGAGCUUCUUUAUUCUGAGACACAGAGUUGGCCAGUGAUUGAUAUCUUGCAAGUCUUUAAAAUGUUUCAUCAUAUUACAGAUUUGAUAAGACCAAAAGCUUGAUAAAUCAUCUUACUGUAGCAAAAGUGUCUUUGGCCUCCAAAUUUACAAGAACACCAUUGUUUCCAAAUUUUCCAACAAAUGAUACAAGCAGUGAUCUUCAACAAAAUUUUAUGGAUAUCAUUCUCCGGUCUUAUACUCCACCAAGUGUUAAAGAUGCCGACAAUUGAUUGAUUUACAUGUUGAAUUCCAAGGGGAUUUCCCAUGGUAUUCGAUAUGUGCUUUGUUGCAUCCCCUUCACCAAAAACAUGAUGCAUAGUAUCAUUUUGUACAAUCCUACAACAGAAACAACCAUUAAUAUUGAAUUUAAUGAUAGGCAUAAUACAUAAAUAUGACCCUAAACUUGACACCAAAUUAUAACUUUGAUAUUAAACUUUGAUAGUGCACAAAUAUGACCUUUAAUUAUUCAAAACUGCACAAAUAUGACCUCCAAUCCUAUGUGGCAAAACGUGUGUUCAACAUGCAAAACUGGGCGCGUCCAGCUUAAAAUCAAAGUGUUUCAACAGUUAAAAGCUGGUAAAAUGACUAUAAUGCCCUUACUAAUUCCUUUCUAUAUAUUUAAAUGACUUUUCACUAUUAUUUUUUCAUUAUUUUCGGCUCAAAGAUGAAAAUGACAUCUAAUUUCUUUUGUCAUUGCAGAAAAAGAGCAAUAUUGAAUAUUUAUUAAUUAGGUAGGUCAACCUCAUAUGAAAAAACCGCGCGGGUAUCUAUAUAUAUUACAAAAUAGAGGGCGAAUUUAAGUUAUAUAAUAUAUCUAAAUAUAAUUUAUUUAAAUAUUAAAUUAAAGAUGAAACUAUACUAAUAAUAAAAAAAAAUAUAAUUUUAAUAAAACCUUAUUAAAUUAACGCUAUUAAGGAUAGUAGUAGUAGUAUAUUAAAUUAAUGUUAUCAAAUUAACGUUAUUAAAAUGUUAUUAAAUUAACGUUAUUCAAAUGUUAUUAAAUUAACGUAGGGGCGGACCUACGUGGUUGCCAUGGGGUUCACCUGAGCCCCCUCGAUAAAAACUUACGUUGUAUAUAUAAUAUAGAAAAUCUAUAUUUAUGUAUGUAUAUUAAUGUUGAACAACAUGAAACAAGGCACUUAGAUAGCCCAGUGGUGUUAUUUGCUCUUCGUGGGCGCUUCCUUCAGCUUACUGUGCGGGUUCGAUCCCUGCUAGUGGUUGUGCUUUUUUUUUAAUAAAAAAAAGUUAGGUGUUGCUACUAUAGAAAUAAAUAAUUAAAUAAUAAUAAUAAUAAAAAAAACGACGUCGUUUUAACACAAAAAGCAAUACGGCAGAAAUAAAUAAAAACAAUUAUAGUAAUAAUAAUAAUAGUAAUAAUAAUCAUAAUAAUAAUAAUGACGCCGUUUUAACAGAAAAAGCAAAACGACGUCGUUUCAGAUGAAAGACAAAUGUGACCUUUAACUAUUUAAAACUGCACAAAUAUGACAUCCGAUCAAAAGUCCCUCCAAGUUAGCCCUUUUAAUGACAUGGCAUCGUGUGAUUGGAUUACCUUUCCACGCAAGCGCAAGUGAAACUCAAGCAUGGGGGGUGCAAAAUCGGAGGUCAUAUUUGUGCACUAUUAAAGUUUAAGGUCAAAGUUACUAUGAAUCUUAUUGUUUCCUCUUUAAAUUGAAUAACUAAAACCAAAUUGAUUCUCUUGAAAAUCUUGAAGCGGAAUGAAUUUGUUUUAAAUUGUUAGAGGAAUCAACUGUACGAAUACAGAUAGGCAAGUAAUAUAAAUGUCUUACAUUGGAAACACUAUCAGGACAUAUAACAUCAUGACAACAAGCAUAACGGGCAAUGACAAAAAAUUCUAUAUAUCAUAAAGCUAAACGAUAAAAAGGCAGCUCAGUGCAUGAAGAUCUUGCAGCCAACCUACCCGACACAAAUAACAAUGACUGACUCCACGACUCAAACUCUUGACCUAUAGGUCAUGCUGUCCCAAAAGCUUACAUGACGAUAAGUGAAGAAAAAAGAUAAUUUUCAUUAUCUUUUUACAUUCUUUUUUUAAUACAGUACCUAUAUGAAACUCUAAUGAAGCAGAAAAUCAGGCAACAUUCUUCAAGAUUUUCCAAAUCAACCAAUUAAGACUAGAAAAAAAUUUAUUAGACCCCUCAUUGUUAAGUUCUAAUUUCUUAAGUUAUGAUUACAAAACAUCAUGUAUUUUGCACUGUAUCCGAGUCUCUAAGUAGUAUUAAGCGCCUGUUUUUAAUCCACAUCACAUGUGCUUUUGUUUGCUUUGCCUACCACUUUCCUAUUUGAGCAGCUCUUCUCUCCUACAUUUUCUCUCAUCCUUAUCACUAGUGAAAAUGGCGCCGAACAAGCAAAAAACUGGGAAGGCAUCGACGUGGGAGGAGAAAGUGAACUUGAUGGGCACCAAUAAGUUUUGUUUUAAUAUCUAAAAUCUACGUGUAUCUUCAUGAUUAUAAUUUGAUGUCAAGUUGUCCUGUUUAUGUAUUAUGCCUUCGACAUAUGAAGCCCUGAAUGGCUAGUUGGUAUCUUCUUUGAUCUUGCCUUCCUUCACAUUCAUGCAUUCUCUAUAUUUUUGGGAGUAACGAAUAUGAAUUCAAGUUUUCUCUAUGUAAAUGACUACUUUAAGUACAAAAGAUGUCUUCCGGAACCAAGUGGAGUUUUUCUUGUUGCAAUAAGAAUUCUUGGUCAACGGUAUCUUCCUCCUUUCCCCAUUGAAAAGUAUCCAGUCAACUCAUCUGACAUGAUCUCUAUUCAGCAUCAGUCUAUGGAAUCUAGCGAGGUAUGAAUUCUAUUAGUUCAUCUAGUCUUGUCACUUCAAAGUUCAUUUUUGACUGUACUCUGCUUGCUGUACCUACUGUAAUAAUCCAGAUUUUAAUGAAGGGUAAGUGGGUAAUUAGCCAUUAUUAUUAUUAUUAAUUAAUAUAAUUAAAGUGGACAAGCCAAAAGACAAAAAUCCUCCAAAAGACAAAAACCUUCUCCUCUUAUAUUUGUGGCUGCACAUUCUAAUGAGGGAGUAAAGGGUGGGGUAAACAGUUUCUUAAGUUUUCAAAAGCAGCAACUUCUUCAAAGGAGUAGAAAAGAAAAGAAUUAGGGUAAUUGAUCUCUUUACUCUUGGAAGAGAGCGAGCCAACGAUGUAGAAGAACAUUAGCCAGUAACACUCACCUGCGAAACUUCAUAUUUAUAAGGUACUCGUCUUGUUCCUAAUUCUUUAGCAUGAAAACUGUGCACACAAAGAGUAUUUCAGAAGAUUGCUACUGAUUAGUUAAUGAUUGUUUUUGAUGAUAUAAUGAUUGAGCAAUGAGUAGAGAGAGAAAAGGGAUCAUAUUCAUGUUGUGGGACUCCUGAUUUUGUAUUGAUAUUAAUUGAUUUUAGAUAUGUUAACUUCCUGAACAUGAAAACAAAAGUACUUGCUUACAACUUUGCAAAUUCUUUGCAUUGGUGGUGUUUUGAAUACGCAUUUAAGAGUUUCUUAUAAUGUUUGUGGCUAAUGAGAUCAAAUGGUUAGGUAACUAAUUUGUAUGAGAUUAUUAUUGAGAAAUUAGGUUGGAUAGAGAUAAUUUUUAAUUCAUAGCUUAAGGUAUGAGAUACUAAGUUUUAACUUUAAACUAGAAGGUUAGGAGUAUUGAGACUUGACAUCGGCUAGCACAAUUGAUAUCGUUAAGUAAUAUUUUUAUUAGAUUGAAAUCAUUGGAGGCUGUUUGUUUGGUGUACUACGCAUUGCAAGAUUGAGGAACUUGUCAUUCGCGAGGUAAGUGAGACUUUAAACUUUGGGUGCUUGCUUUACAAAUUUGUUUAUAAGAUAUAUUUAUAUUUGCCCAGUCCAUGUGUUGGGACGAGUGUAUGCUUGGCAGAAUCGACGGUCUUCAAGGCCAGACACAUAUACUUCAUGCUUAAGAAUACUAAUACUCCUUUUAUAAAUGAUUUUGUGAUGUGAUAUGGUUGUGUACUGUGAGAUUGGGGCAUUGUGUAUGCUUCCUAAUUUCGUUGGGGCAUUGUGUAUGCUUCCUUUAAGCAUUGUGUAUGCCUUACUUAGCAUUGUGUAUGCUUUUUGAUUUGAUACGGGACAUUGUGUAUGUUUCCCGAGUAUUGUGUAUACUCUUUAUAUUUGGCACAUUGUGUAUGUGGCCCAGAACUUCUGGUGUUGGGUAAUUACUUUGAUUUCAAAUGGUGAUAAGUAAUUGACAUAAAUUGUGUUGAGAUAUAUAAUUUUUGAGGAAUGAUUGUUUGUCUCGUUGGACAUCUUAUUAUGAUAUACUUCCUGUGUGUAAUAAAUAUAUGUUCUUGGUGUUGUUGUAUUUUCUAAUACUUGUCCCAGGAGUACUUAAAGUAGCGAGCCGAGGAUCUUACUGGGUUUUAGUUAUAUAGCUCACUCCUUACUUGCAUACCUGCAGAUACGGUUGCGGAGAGAGAGACUUGUGGCUGACGAUCUUUACGUGUGGAUUUUGUUGCUAAGGUGAACCUUCGCAUUGUUCGUGGAGGCUGUAAUCCAGCUUUAGUUAUUUUUAGCUUAUAUUUCUUUUUGUUGGGUUGCAUGCCCGAAAGCUGAACUCAUGUAACUUUAUUUAGAUGCUCCAUGGUCUAGUGUGGGGUUUGGGUUAGAGAUUUAUUACCUAAACUACUAUUGUUUUCGUAAAUCGUUUCGCGAUAUCUUGCUGGAUCAUUACUUUGCGUUUAAUGAUUAUUUCAUGCAUUUGAAGUUGUACACAUUUUUAUCUCAGUAUUGUAUACAUUGAGAAUGCAUGGAAAGUUGGUUCUCCCGACAAGUGCUGUUAGCGGGAGCCAGUCACGCCCAUGAGGUUUUUGGGAUGUGACACCUACUUCAUUGGCUGCUUCAUAUGAGGGGAGAUAAGUAUCUUGUGUUAAGAAGUUACCAUGUUGUGGAUGACACAUGCUUUGCAUUACUGGCCACUUUUAGUGGUUUUUACGCUUUUUUAGUUGAUUAUCAUGUUACCCUAGGCGUUCUGUCUCUUUUUAUCAGUAGGUAAUAUUGUUCAAUCAUCACAUAGCCAAGGGCUCGUUGUUUCUGUAGUUGGAAGAUUACUGUGUCUCCAUCGUUAGGAGAAUCAAGGAAUUUUGUCGUUUGCCUGGAGAUAUAGGGGAGCUCCCGAUGUAUCUGAAGCAUGCGAUGGAUUCCAAAGAUUCAGAUCUUAAUUCCAGCUCCACGCAAUCAGAAGGAAUUGAAGAUGAGAUGAAAGCAGCUGCACAAGAUAUUGCCAGUUAUCAGGUUUCUUUUUUAGGAUGCAGUUUCUGGGUUUAUUUCUCUUUUUUUUGUCGUUAUAAACAUAAAAACACAACACUUAAAUAUAAUAGUCAUGGUCAGAAUCAAAGAUAACGAAAGGCUUUGGUCUAUUGUGAACAUUUAACCAAAUAAAUUCCAUUGGGAAUAACUAAGAAUUGCAAGAGCGGUAAGCACUGUAUAUUAUGGACAAGCUCGGCUACUUUAUCUAGCUUACAUCACUGUUCACAACUUAUAGGACCCCUUUGAUAAAAGAUUCAAAAUCGUAUCUACUUACUGCUUUCUCACAUCACAACUGCUUACCUAAGCGUACAUUUACACUACUUUCAAAGUCCACAACAACCAUGAGUCUAUACUUAUAACCUACUGGCUAAUCUGGCCAUUUUCAUACUUCAAGCAAGGACACAAUUCACCUCGCCUAAUAACUCCUUCACUAUCUUCUACUAAUAAACUAACACACAAGGACGAAUCGCUUUAUUACCAACUCCAUCUCAUGCAAAAAGAUUCAGCUAUACAUAUAUUCAACCACCACAAGAACAACACGUUGAACGAUAAAUUGCUAGUGAAUCGAAAUAGGCCUCACACGGCUUUACUAGACUUUGAUUUUUUUGUGGUUUGAACAAGAAAAUGAGAUGAAUGACAAGGCAACUAUGCUAAUGAAUUGAAAGAGCCCCACACGGCUUCACUAGACUUUUUAGUUUCAUCAACACAAUGAUAAAAUAUUUUCAAGAGAUAGAAACUUGUCACACAAUAUUCCAUAAUCUGACAAUAAACAUCUUACUUUGGAUAGAUACAAAUCUGAGUCAAAUAUUUCCCCCACAGAUUAUCAUACAAUCCACACACGUUACUAGCUACCAAUAGGUCAUGACACUGACACUUUAACGUAUACUAUUAUUUGAGUGGAAAUACAAUUCCAACACUUCUACUAUACAUCUUUUCCCUUAAUCAUGACAUCUGCAACAUAAAUUUCUGAAAAGGGCCGAAUAUACUCAAUACAGAAGGAUGAAAAGCACGAUUUUGUCAAGAUCAAGGUUCACACUAGAACCUAUACACUCUGAAGCAAUAACGGACUCUUCUCAAGUCCUUGCACAAUUUUAUGAUCUUAUAUGACGCGAUUCGAAGGGAUAAUACCAUUUAGACUCUAAACUUCUGCACUUGAAUCACCCCAGUAAUGUGACGGGUCUGAGAACAUUAGAGUAAGGAAAGAAUUUAGGAUGAUUUUACUUUCAUAUGGACGUCACCAUAGCACGAAUUAGAGUAUGAAGGAGGAACAUUCUGACUCUGUUCCAUGAACUAGAACAUGAAGAAAGAGAGACAUUUCUAAAUGCAUUGUAGCCUCCUGCUUAUAAGUGUGGCGCGCUACACACCCAUAAACAAGACUCUAUCUGAAGAGAUUUCACAGACACCCUGGGACCAUGAACUGUGCUCUAAUACCAAGUUUGUCAUGAUCCGAAACAGGGCCCUGGCCGUGACGAGUAUCCCGAACUAUGAAGGCCCGAAACACCCCUAUUUAUCUGGUAAUCAUGCACAUAAUUCAUAUGAUAAAAGAAUUGAGAAAGAUACACAAUAUUACGGAAACAUGGUCAUAAGUCUAAUAAAAUCAAUAAUGGAAAAUAAAGUCCCACAACAUCUAUCAACAUCUGAAAUUCGUCUGCGAAAAUCUCCACUACAUGACUAAUAGCAACUAUCUGAAAUCUGGGACAAGGCCCCCAGUAGACCAAAACAUGACAUAAAGAUAAGUAUCUGAAAGUUAACAGGCCUUCUGGGAUAUAGAAGGCUCACCCCUGCACAAUCUGCUCUGCAAUCUAAAAUAUCUACUAUUUAUCUGGACCCCUAGACUGUGUCUCAAAACCUGAAAGGAGGGGGGGUCAGUACAAAAGUACUGGCACGCGAAGCAAUUCAAAAUAGACUAAUUGAACAUAUAUAUAUAUAUAUAAUAUACGUGAGAGAAAUUUUCAUCAAAACAUCAUGCAUAAAACAGUUUCUGAAAAACACAUGGGCACUUUCUGAAAAUAUAUAACCUGUCUGUAAAUUUCAAAUUCUGAUCUGUGUAUUACUUCUGAGUUUGGUGGUAUCCCCUACAAGUAUGAUAUUCCACGGGCGAUAUAGAAUCCGCCAUUGACUCGGCGGGGAAGCCUCCAACCCAAGUGUGCCACAAGGGUUGGAGUUCCUGAAUCUGAUAUGUCACACAACACCUAAGUCAGCAUAUAAUAAUAUACCCAGGUCGGCAAAUCACGGUUUUGGACAAAGAGUUGUCUGAAGUCACGCCUUCUUCGGAGAACCACCUAAGCUCUCUUUAUGCCAUAUUUUAGCCUUUUUUGAACAUGCAUCAUUCUGAAGUUCUAAAACGCAAAUUUGAUAAAUUCUGAUUUCUGUAUUUGUCUGUGUUUGUUAUGGCAUUUUCAUAGUUUGGUUUCGUCAUACCAAGACUUGCAAGUCAUGAUUUAUGAGCCAUAAUACAUUAAGAUAAAUAUUUCAUUUAAAGCAAAGCUUAGACCACCCAAGAACAUGCAACUGAUAUAGAAGAUUUCGUGUUCCGAAACUCAAGUCAAAAUCAUGCAAAAACUUCAUCAAACAUAUGGUGGUCCAGUGCCUUUAACAAUAGUUCAACCAUUUCAUAUAGUUCUUUUCAAGAAUGCAUUGCAAAACAAUUCAUAUGCUAUGAAAAAUCUAAAAAUUCAUACAUGUUUUUAUACAUAAAUAUUCUCGAAUCACUUUGGGGAAGGUCAAAAGACCAAAACAAUGAUGUUAAAACAUCUAAUACAUGAAUAUAUACAUAGUUCAAAAACCCCAUUCUAAAACAUGAUUUUUCUAUGCCCAUGAGAAUUUAGGAAAACCCCGCGUACCUUGAUUACGAAGAAUAAUGGAUGAUUCUUGAAGCUUGUGGAUUGGGGAUUCCGAAUCUCUAAUUUGUUUUGAAAUUCCAUGGUUGAAUCUUGAACUACUUGCGUUUUUAUUUUGAAACCCUAAGGGAUGUUCUUGAGAGAAAAUUUGAGAAAAGAAUUAUAUUUUGAUGAAUUGAGGGCUAAAUCUGGUGUCAAAGUCGAAACUGUCCCUCAGUUGACAAGCUGACAGGCUGAAGUAAAACGGGUAUAACUCAUUACUCAGAUAUUGGAUUUGGAUGAAACCAGUUGUAUUGGAAAUAAGACUCAAAGAGAUUUCAUUUGAUAGGUAGCAGCUCUUCCAUUUCAUUAUAUUCAGAUAGUUAUGAUCGUUUGAAGUUGACCCUGAAAUGCUGAAAACUGGGCAAAAGGCUAUAUGUUUUGCUACUGUUUUGAAAUCCAAACGUAGCCUUAUGCGUUCCAAAAAAUUCCGAAACUUAUUCGAGAUAUACUAUGAGCUUGUCCGAUCGUAACGCAACUUGAAAAUCUAAAAACAGAUGGUUAAAAAGUUGCAUUCCGAAAAUUGCAAGCUAAAAUGACUCUAAGCACUUAGAAAAAUUUUCAAGUUUUUAGUCUAAGGGCUCUCUAUGAAAGGCUAAUCCAUGCACGACUUUUAUGGGGUGUUACAGCUGUUUUAUUGCCAUUGCCUACAUAGAUGUAUCUUUCAACAUCAUUUGACGCUCGGCUCCUUAGGCAAUCCGGCAUAGUAGCACUUACGUGAGUAGUUGCACCCGUAUCUAUCCUCCAAGUGUCACUAGGUACCAUAGCGAAAUUAACUUCUGAGAAAACGAAGUUGAGAAGUUUACCUUUCUUUUUAUGCCAGCUAGCGUACUUGGAACAUUCUUUCUUUAUGUGACCAAUUUUCUUGCAAAAGAAACAAGUCUUUGGAUUCUUGGACUUUGAUGUUCCUUCAUCUGCAGUUUCCUUAGUCUUACUCCAUUUUCGCUUAUUUGAAGCGGUUUUAGUUUCAGAGUUAGAUGCCAAAUGAGCACUUUCAAUCUUCUCUUGUUUCAGUCUAUCCUCUUCUUGCACACAUUGAGCUAUAAGCUCAUUCAAAUUCCAUUUCUCUUUUUGAGUAUUAUAUGAAACUUUGAAUUGAAUGAAUUGUGUUGGAAGGGAGAUGAAAACUAGAUGCACAAGUAUGUCGUCAGACAAUUCAAGCUUAAAGGCCCUGAGUUUUGUCACAAGAUUACACAUUUCCAUAAUGUACUCUCUUAUGUUUCCUUUUCCUUUAUAUCGCAUGAAACUAUCUUAUUAAGAAUAGUACUUGUUUCAACCUUUUCGUUAGUAGCGAAUCGGUCUGCGAUUUCCUUUAAGAAACCUUUGGCAUCUGUGUUCUCUGUUAUACCGCCUCUUAAGGAUUCCGGAAUCGAGUGUUGCAUCAUCAUCAAGCUCAUACGAUUUGAUUGCUCCCACUUCUCGUAUGCAGACUUUUGUUCAUUCGAACUAGUUUCAUUCAAGUCCGCAGGGUGAUCAAAUCUCAAUGCAUAAUCAAGAUCCAUGCAACCAAGAACAAUCAUAAUGUGUUCUUUCCAUUUCUUGAAGUUUGUGCCGUUGAGCACAGCAAUGUUAUUCAUGUUUGUAGAUAUAGAAGAUACUACAAGAUAAAUAAAUAAUGCUCACAAUUAACCAUCAAAUAAAUCAUGUAUAUGUGAAGAUAAUCAAAUUAAAAAAAAUUGAAAGAAACUAUAACAAAUAAACUCAAAACUUCACAUUUAUCAAACACAUAUACACAAAAGUGGCCCCAUCUCAAGACACCUAACACAACAUUAUCAUUUAGUCUUUGGACAGAAAUAAUAAUUUGUAAUUGAUACUCUUAUACACAGUUUAUAAACAUUGAUUACUUAAACGGCCUAAUAAUAUGCCUUUCUUUGGACCAACACAUUAUCAGCAUGUGUUAUAAAUAUAUCACAUGUUCAUAACUAUCCGUAAUAUGACCAAAAUAAUCUCCUUUGGGAUACUUAUUUCGCAUAGAUAAAACAUACUUACAUGUUCAAAGUAAAUAAAUCUAAGCAAUAGAAGUUAUUUGGUAAGAUAUUGAUUUAAUUCAUUCAUUUUGUUCCAGAAGUACAAAUGAUAGCAAUUUAAAAAUAAGCUAUAACAGGAAUGGACAAAAAAUUCUCCAAAUUAAAAUAAAAGCCAAAACACUUAUACUAUGUUUUUCCAGAAAGUUUCUGUGCCAAACACUUUCAAUAUAUUUAAAAAGAAAAAAAGAAAAAAAAAAUUGACUCUUGCCAAUCUUAGAAUCGAAGAAACAAUAAGAUUCUGUCAUAAUUAUUUCAAAAGAAAUAACAACACCGUAACAUAACAAAACUGAAAAUUAAGGAUGUUGCUGUAUCUCCUAUAUUAUUCAUUAAAUAAUUUUAGUCCAUAUGGCAAUUUCUCAAGCGACAUCACUUUCGUCUUGAAAAUUUAUGAUAACAAAAUUACGUUCCAAAAUCUAGUUUCAACGGAAUUGGAAAACAACGUAAUACUUGCCUAUUGAUCGCCAAGAAAUUAUCCAAAAACUUGUUUACAAAUAGACAAAAAACGAGUGUCAUAUCACAACAAAAUUAAAAUAGACACUUUGAAGUUGUACAACCACUAAACCAAGAAGCUAAAUUUGAUUUCCGAAAAAUUAAAUAUCACGUCUAAUGAUCUGACAAGACCUCGCUCCGAUACCACUUGUUAGAAAACUUUAAAGAACUUCACCCAAGAUCACAUGUAAAUCAUUAGACAGAAAUUCAAAACUAGAAGAACAAUAAGAACACUAACCUUGUUCCAUUGUAAAUAACUUGAUUUUGAAUUCUUGUUUUAUGUAAGUUGUAUGAUCUUCUAAGUUUUAAUACGCUUUCUAUAUUCUUUUCUUAGAUGGGGUAGAGAAAGAGAAAAGUUAGUAUAAAUUUAGGGACCAUGAUAUUUAUAUCUGACUCUUCCAAAAGGCACCUUUUAGUUAUUCCUCUUUAGAAGAGGUACCUUUUCAAUUAAGUUUCCAUCACAAUUAUGAAAAGGUUCUUGAGGUUUAACUUAUCAAAAUAAACUUAUAUUAAAUAGAUAUUUACAUUUUAAGCCCAAAUAAUUUAAUACUAUAUUAGAUCAAAAUUUGGGUUUCUUUAAAGAUAGCAUAUCUAUGAAUAAUAUAUUAAUAUGUGAAUCCACAAAAUAGAAAAUUACUAAAACUACGAACUCCAAACCUACGAUGUUGCUCAUUGCGUCAGAUAUAGAUCCUUGCAACUUGUUGUGUCUUAGAGAAAGGUGUGCCAAAUUUUACAAGCGUCCAAUUUCUCUAAGAAUUUCAUUUGAGAAUUGAUUCUUUGACAGGUCCAUCUUUGUUACAGCCUUUAUAUUUCUAAUUUCUUGAGGUAAAGAACCUACCAUGUUGUUUGACGACAAGUCAAGAACCACUAGAUCUUGAAGGUUCCCUAAGCUUGGUGGUAUAUUGGAACUCAAUUUGUUGGAACCCAGAUUUAUCUCCCUAAGGGAAGUAAGAUUCCCUAAACAAUAAGGAAGAGAUCCUGAAAGUUGAUUUUGACCCAAGUAAAUAUCACCCAAAUGCUGCAAUUUACAUAUAUGAUCUCCAAUAAAUCCUGUAAGUUUGUUGUUGGUCAAGUUGAAGCGCUGACGGUUUCUCAAGUUACCAAUUGACGUUGGAAUCGAUCCAACCAAAUUGUUUCCAGAAAAAUCUAGGAAUAAUAAGUUGCUUAAGUUCCCAACUUCAUUUGAAAUUCGCCCUUUGAUUUUACAACUGUUGGCAAAAAAAUUUCUAAGAGAUGUGGAAAGGUUCCUCAUGGAGGCUGGAAGCAUGCCAUUUAGCGGGUUGAGAGAUAUAUCAAGAAAUGUUAAAUUUCUGCUAUUGGUUAAGUAAGUCAAGAAGCUUAAUGAUGAGUCACUAGUUAAAUUAUUUUCCUCUAAAUUUAGUAACUAUAGAUGAGUCAAAUAUCCAAGAGAAUUGGGAAUCAAUCCAGUGAGUUUGUUGCCUGCAAGAUCAAGAAUAGUAAGUUUUGAACAAUUUGAGAUGGAAAGAGGAAUAGUCCCCACAAAAUUGGUUAAGCUGUCUAGAUAAAGGUGUUCAAUGUUGGGUAAGAUAGAAUCUAUGUUUGAUGAGAGGCUUCCUGAUAGACUAUUUGAUGAACGAUCAAUUAUUCUCAGCCCUGAUAUGUUGAAGAUCUCCGUAUCAAGUUGACCACUAAAACUAUUAUCCGCAAGAUCAAGUUCCUCCAACUCAAUGAGAUUGCUUAUCUCUUUAGGUAUUUCACCUAUCAACACAUGAAGAAAAAAUAAAAACAGGUCAGAUGAACUAUUUAGCUCAAUCAUUAUCUAUGCGAUUCAUGCUUUCGUUUGACUUGAUGAGAAGACUCUUGAAUUUUAAUUGAUUAUGGGAGAAGGUGUCGACAAGAACUCAGAAAAUUAUGUAAUAGCUAUAUACUUCUUUUUCCUAUUGUUAUUGAUCAAAGUCUUAAGAAGGAUGUACACAUUAUAUAUUUUUUUCUCCAUUAAAGUUCUUAAUUUAAUUUUCUGCAGGUUUGUAUUUUUAUAUGGACUCAAAUAUACAAAACUGAUACUUUAUUAGAAGUUAGCUAACUACCUAACAGGAGUUCAAAUUUACUGGUUAUUUCUUAAAACAAAUUAAUUUUAAAUAUUAAAAAACUCUCCUUUCUUGUCAUACGCUUGAAGAUUUAUUUAUAAUUAUUAUAUUUUAUGACUCAUUACAUGCAUAAAUUCAUAGAAUUUUAAUAGUUCUAAGGGAUUUAUAAAAAUUAACAUGAGACAACAUUAGAAUAUAUAUGUACCUAUUUUCUUAUUUCCACUAAUCUGUAGGCGUUGCAUCUUGGUUAAGUUGCCAAUCCCCCGUGGUAAGAAUCCCCUAAGAUUGUGCUGCCACAGUGACAAAAUUUGCAGCGAUGAGAUAUGGAAUAUGGAGAUUGGGACAGAGCCGGUAAUCUGGUUUUUCUACAUCCAGAACUCCAUCAAAUUAAUAAGAUUUUCAAUUUCUUGUGAAAUUAUUCCUGCAGUUAAUGUGUAUAAAUAUUUUUUUUUGAAGUAAUUGAAUGUAAUAUUACUAGCAUUCAUAAGAUAAAACAUACCUGUGAAAUGGUUAGUUCCGAGAUACAAUAUCUGCAAGUUACUCAAUAUUCCAAUUUCACUAUGUAUUGGUCCAUCAAACUCAUUAUAAGAUAAAGACAAAAUUUGAAGUUGUGAACAAUUUGAUAAGCUUGUAGGCAUAUGACCGCGAAGCUUGUUUGUGGAUAGAUAAAGCCCUUUUAGUAUUGGGAGACCAUUGCAUAAACCAUUGGGAAGAUAUCCUGAUAAGCUAUUGCCUGUAAAUGCAGUGACUUUGAUCCUAGAAAUAUUGAAAAUUGUGAAUGGUAUGGAACCCGUAAGUUGAUUAUAUUGUAUGGACAACCGGUUCAUGUUGUGAAGAUUCCGAUCCCUUCUGGAAUCUUUCCUUGAAGUGAAUUAUAAGAUAUCUCAAAAGUCUCCAACCUCGAGGCAUUCGAGAGUGACAGAGGAAUAAUGCAAUGCACUAUGUUUUACAUGGCACUUACAUAAAGAAGUCCGGGGACCAUUAUUUUCCCCUUUGUUUCUUCUAUCCUUUCUGUUCCCAUUUCAAUACAGUAAAUGCCUUUCUGUUUGUUGAUCCAAUUGUGAACUUGCCUCAACUAUUGUCUGUUUCUAUUAUUUCUUACACUGCACGGGGCAAAAUAGACACUCAUGAAGCAAUUAGUACAUGGUCGAAAGUUUUGAAAUUUUGCUACAGAUGAUGAAUGGCAGGAUGAAACUUUCCUGCAUAAGAUAGCUGAUGAGGUCAAGUUGAUGACGAUCAGGUUUAUUCCACUUCUUUGAUAGGAAAUGUACCAACAUCAAAACCAGUCUUUGCAAGCAACGACUCCUUUGUGGGAUCGUCUACUCUGGCCAUGACAAUACCAGCCUUCUCCAUGUUCACACUUAGACCAGUGACUACUGAAUUGAUUCAGUGCUUCCAUAACUCUGGAAGGAAAUCCAUAACCAAUUCCCUGCUGACCGUUUCGUACGCUUUUCACAAAUCAAUCUUCAUUAAACACCUGGGAGAAGUUUUCCACUAAUAGUGUUCGAGCAUAUCAUGGAAGAUCAGGAUAUUGUGCAUCAUGGACCUUCCUGGAACAAUUUCAGCUUGAUUUCCUGCUACUAUAUGCUUUAAAGUCCUUUAAGCCUAGUACAUAAUCUUAGAGAUGCAUUUAUAUAAAACAUUACAACACGAUAUAGGCCUGCAUUGGAUCGUAAAUUUAUGGGCAUUUACCUUAGGUAGGAAAGCAAUCCACGUGAGUCAACAGCUUGCCGUUAUGAAAGAAGUCCAUCACUGCAUUUGUGACAUCUUUACCCACUAUAUCCCAUGAUGCUUUGAAGAAGCCACUUCCAAAACCAUCGGGGCCCGGGCUCUUAUUGCUUUCAAUCUGAAAUAUUUCAUCAUAAGGAUGCAACUACUCAAUUUGUUGUUCAAUUCUAAGCAACGGACCAAAAAUCUUUGAUUCUGUCCUCCAUUUUCCUCCCCAAUAAAUCUUGAUAAUAGUUCACAAAAAUUCCAUAGGAUCAGACUUCCACUCCCCCCUUUCAUCCUUCAGUUGUGUUGUGGCAUGAUGCAAUCAGUUGUACUUAAUAACAAAGAAGAAAUAGUUAGUGUUAUAUUCUCCUAGUCUUGUCCAAUUUACUUUACUUCUUUGUUGCAGAUACACCUCAGCCAUAUAGAAUGAACUUCUAAAUUUUUGAAACUUCUCCCUUUCAUAAGCUUGUAACGCUAAGUUUUGAGGGUCAGACUGUAAUUGUUUUUGGGCUUGAAACAGUGUGUCUCUAUCUUCAUUUUCUUCCUUAAGUGACUUUUUCAUGAGUUUUAAUAUUGUGUGUGAGAGAGAGAGAUCGUCUUUUAACUAGAUUUAGCUUAAAAGUUUACUUGUUUUAGAUUUUCAUGUGUAAUUUACUCCGACUCUUCAAAAAUGUCGAUGGGUGUCUGUCUGAUCCUCCAAAAGUAGUGUAUUUUUGAGGGAUCCGAUACGAGUGCAGCAGCCUUUUCGGAUAGUCCAAGCAACAUAGCUCAAUGUCACAAGAAGUUGCAUUUUGCUUCACCAACGAAAAAAAGAAGUGGAGGCAUUUUUUUUCUGGAUGAACAAAAAAAUGCACUCUUAAAUAGGACAGACGCUGUGCUUUAUCUUCUAAAGCAUUAAAUAGGACAGACGCUGUGCUCGAAACAAAUCCACAAGUGUUCUUUUUUGGGUGAGUAGGAACCUAUGUUGCUCAAAAUUGUUGUCGAGUGUAUGUUGGAUACUUCAAAAAGAAAUACGGUUUUGCAAGUGUGGGGCGACAUUUUUGAAAAGCUCGAGUAACAUAGGUAGGAAUUUGAAACAGGUAAUAAGAGGUCUUGGGUACAAACACAGAUUAGUUCAACUAACUUUACUACAACAUACCCAGUAAAAUCUCACAAGUGAUGUCUGGGGAGGUAGCGUGCAUGCAAACCUUACCACUACCUCGUGAGGUAGAAAGACUACCACCAAGAGGGUGGCUUUUGCAGGAUUAAACAAAGGGCAGAAGCACUGAGCUAACUAGCAAUCUCAGUGCUGUUUCAAGAUUUUCAAGUUCCACCCUUAUGCAAUAUACAAAUCAAAAGGAAACAGCCAGAUUUAUUGCAACCAGCUAGAAUUUCUGAAAACAGAAUCAUGCACAAAUCAAGUGCUAAAAGAUAAAAGAGAACCAUUAUAAAAAUAUUCAACAUGCAAGAAAUUGAAUCUUGAUCUUCUGCAGCAUCGCUACAUCUUUAAUGUUAGUCCUUCUUGCCGGUGAUUCAGCACAACAAUCUAAUGCUACUUUGAGGAUUGAUGCCACAACAUGUAGCUCCUUCUGUGAGCCUUUACCUGUUGCUGUUACCAAGUUGGCAUCUACGGCAUCCAUUACUGCCUUUGGGAGCGAAUAACUCACCCAUUGUUUCAAGCUAAGAUCUCCCUCAAACUCAUUAGGUUUUCUCCUUGUAAACGUUUCCAGCAACAUGAUCCCGUAACUGUAUACGUCACACUUUGUUGACACUAGUGCAUUCAGUCCAUACUCUACAGUCAAACAAUUAAUUAAAAGAUGCAAUACACUUUCUAGCUGGAAUAAAAAAGGGAAAAUCAGAAAAAAUAAGAGACGUACCCGGUGCAAUAUAACCCAGUCUUGCUAAGGUUUUAGUGUACAAAUCACCCUGAUCUUCACCAAGCAGUUUUGAAAUGCCAAAGUCGCUGAGGUGGGCAACCAUAUCCUCAUUCAGCAAGACGUUACCAGGCUUCAGAUCACAAUGGAUCACAGGCGACGAGCACCGAGGGUGAAGAUAUUCCAAAGCACAUGCCACAUCUAUCAUUAUACUUAGUCUCUGCCUGAUGUCGAGGAAGUAGUUGUGCGAAUACAAAUAUUUUUCAAGGCUCCCAUUAGGCAUAUACUCGAGAACUAAAGCCUUGAAAUCAAGAUUAGAACAACUAGUAAUGACUUUUACGAGAUUCCUAUGGCGAAGGCUACGGAAAACUUCACAUUCCGUAUCAAAACUCUUGAAUGCCACAUCCAGUUGCAGGUUGAACACUUUAACUGCAAUGACAGUUCCACUACUGAGAACGGCUUUGUAAACUGAGCCAAAACUUCCAGAACCAAUCAUAUUACUCUCACUAAGCACAUUAGUUGCUUGGAGAAGUUCAUAGUAUGAAAUCCUUUCUCUUGCCACGGUAGACAAUGAAUCAGCUUGCUGAGGAGCACUUUUUCCUCUUCUAUACCUUAUCCAUAGGAGCACAAUGGUCAAAGGAACAAAUACAACUACAAUUGCGAGCAAAAGAAAAAGAACUAGCAAUAUUUUCCUAUUUGAUCUGUGCUUUGAUGAAGUGGGGCAUGGCAGGACACUAAAUCUUGAAGACCCACACAAUGCUUCAUUGUAAAUGAAAAACUGACUCGAGAGGUUCUUGAAAGGACCCCCCGAGGGUAUUUCACCAUACAAUUGGUUGUUUGAAACAUCGAAAUACUUGAGGUAUUGAAAUUUCUCAAAAGACAUGGGAAUGAUUCCCGAUAUAUUAUUGUGAGACUAGGAAUUCCAAACCUACCAUGUUGCUCAUUGAGUCAGGUAUAGCCCCUUGCAACUUGUUGUGUCUCAAAGAAAGGUACGCCAAAGUUUGCAAGCCUCCAAUUUCUCUCGGAAUUUCAUUUGAGAAUUGAUUCAUCGACAGAUCCAUCUUUGUUACAGCCUUUAGAUUUCCAAUUUCUUGAGGUAAAGAACCUACCAUGUUGUUUGACGAUAAGUCAAUAACCACCAGAUCUUGAAGGUUCCCUAAGCUUGGUGGUAUAUUAGAACUGAAUUUGUUGGAACCGAGAUGUAUCUCCCUAAGGGAAGUAAUAUUCCCUAAACAAUAAGGAAGAGAUCCUGAAAAUUGAUUUUGACCGAAGUAAAUAGCACCCAAAUGCUGCAAUUUACAUAAAUGAUCUCCAAUAAAUCCUGUAAAUUUAUUGCUACUCAAGUUGAACCGCUGAAGGUCUCUCAAGUUGCCAAUUGAUGUCGGAAUCGAUCCGACCAUGUUAUUUCCAGAAAGAUCAAGGUCUAAUAAGCUGCUUAAGUUCCCAACUUCAUUUGAAAUUCGCCCUAUGAUUUUGCAAUUUUUGGCAUAAAAGUUUCUAAGAGAGGUGGAAAGGUUUCCCAUGGCGACUGGAAGCAUGCCAUUUAGAGGGUUGAAAGAUAUAUCAAGAAAUGUUAAAUUUUUGUUAUUGGUUAAGGAAGUCAGGAAGCUUAAUGAUGAGUCACUGGUUAAAUUAUUUUCCUCAAUGUUUAGAUACUGUAGAUGAGUCAAAUAUCCAAGUGAGCUGGGAAUCAAGCCACUGAGUUUGUUGCCUGAAAGAUCUAGAAUAGUAAGUUUUGAACAAUUGGAGAUGGAAUGAGGAAUAGUCCCAACAAGAUUGGUUAAGCUGUCUAGAUAAAGCUCUUCAAUGUUGGAUAAGAUAGAACCUAUGUUCGAUGGGAGGGUUCCUGAUAGAUUAUUGUUGAAAAGAGAAACUAAUUUCAGUCCUGAUAUGUUGAAGGUCUCCAUUUCAAGUGAACCACUAAAACUAUUAUAUGCAAGACUAAGUAUCUCCAAAUCAACGAGAUUCCUCAUCUGUUUGGUAUUUCAUUUGUCAACACAUGAAGAAAGACUAGUGAGCUUAACUAGUAACAGUUGUAUUUUUCUCUACAAUUAAACCUAUUUUCAUGAAGAAAUAAAAAUUGCAUAUUGGUUAAGCUGCCAAUGUCUGGUGGUAAGGUUCCCUUGAGAUUGUUUUCCCCAUAUUUAACAACAUUUCCCAGUUCUAAUGGAAUUAUCCCUGCAAUUGGAUUCAAUACUACUAACAGUCAUAAAAUAAUUAAUAAAACAGGAACAUACCUAUGAAAUGGUUAUAUCCGAGAUGCAAUAACUGCAGGUUACUCAAUCUUCCAAAUUCACUAUGUAUAUGUCCAUCAAACUCAUUAUAUGAUAAGGACAAUAGUUGAAGUUGUGAACAAUUCGACAAACUUGUUGGCAUAUGACCGUGAAGCUUGUUAUCGGAAAGAUAAAGGCUGUUUGAGUAUUGGGAGACAAUUGCAUAAACCAUUGGGAAGAAUUCCUGAUAAGCUAUUGCCACUAAAUUCAAUGACUUCGAUCCUAGAAAUAUUGAAAAUUGUGAAAGGUAUAGAACCCGUAAGUUGAUUAUGCUAUAAUCCCAACCAGUUUACAUUGUGUAGAUUGCCAAUUCCUUCUGGAAUAUUUCCUUGAAGUAAAUUGAAAGACAAAUCUUAAGUCUCUAACCUUGAGGCAUUCAUGAGUGACGGAGGAAUGGAGCCUAUGAGAUUGUUUCCGUACAAGCUUAAAUAUCUCAUGUUUUCAACACCUUUAAUCUCUUUUGGGAAUUGACCAUCAAAGGAAUUGAAUGUUAAAUCCAAAGAUUCAAGCUUUGUAAUAUUAAAAAAAGAAUAUGGGAGAGAGCCAGUGAAACUAUUAUUCCUAAGAUUUAGAACUUGAAGAUGGUGUAAAAAUCCAAGCCAAGAAGGAACCUCCCCGCUGAAGCUGUUGAAACUUAAAUCAAGAACCUUCAGUCGAUGCAAAUGAAUACAUAAGGAUUAUUUUUGACGAGACAAAAUUACAUGUCGAAAAUAUAUAUUUGACCAAUCUUCUAGGUAUUUAGUUAUACAUGAACCCAAAAUAUUCAAACCUGAAAUUAUAGUUCAUCAUAACCAUUGCUAGUCCUUAUAUGCAAUGAUAAUAAAGGACGGAACCGUAUUCUUAUUAUAUUUUGCCAAAUAAAAAAGGUGACCAUAUUAAAAUGAUCAAUUCAAAGACCUUAAAUGGUUAAUCCUUCUUUAACACUUUGAAAAGUACAUGAUAGAGAAAGAAAAAGAAUGAAAAAAUGUGAACAAUUUCUUCUAUUGGUGCAUUCUCUUUUCCUUACUUUUCUCUCCCUCUUUGUGUGUAUGCAUGCAAAAUGUAUGUAGUAAAGUAUUGUGUGUGGAUGUGUAUGUUAUCAUUUAUUCUUUUUUGAUAAUCAUUAUAUUCAUGCAUGCAUGGAUCAUAUAUUAUAUCAAAUCUCACUUCAAAUUUAAUCAUAACAAAGAUUUGAAUACUCUAGUAUUACAACAACAAAUGUAAAAUAAGAUUAACUCCACUUCAUAAUAUUGAAAUUGAAUUUCGCAUAAUCGUGAUAUUGUAUUAUUCAAAUAAAGGUAAAGGGUUACCUUUUGGAAAAAUAGUUGCCAACAAAAGAAAGAAGAAGUUGUGAACUCGAAACCACGAACCAAACCUCAAACUCCAACUUGUUGUCUACCUGUUUAUGUUAUUUGCUUUUUGUUUCUGUCAAAUGUUACUCCCUUUUCUUCUUAACUCUUCUCUUUUCUUGUUUUUCUAUCCCAAUCCGUAUUUUUUUUUUCAAGAUUCCUCUUCCUUUUUUCCUAUUUUUGUCCGUUUUAUUUCCCUAAUCCUCUCUAUUCGUUCCCCUUAUCUUUGUGUUUUUCUAUGUCCCCUUUGUGUCUGUGUGGGUGUACUAUAUAAUGUAUAAGGUUGGGAAGUUGAGGGAGUUGAGGAAAAGGUGGGGAUGAUUGGGGUAGUUUUCUUUAGGAUAAAAUUUUUUUUAUAAAUAUAUAAUGUAUAAGGUUGGGAAGUUGAGGGAUUUUUUUAAUUUUUUUUUUUUAAAUAUUUAUAAAAAAAAUAUUAUAAUAAUUUUUUUAAAUUAAAUUUAAAAAAAAAAAAAGAUUUAAGACAUGACGUGGACCUCUAAUUAGCUGCCACGUGGUAAAGCUGUUUUCUAAAAACCGGCUGUUAAAAGUAAUGGCAUGGAUGAACCAAUUUUGUAACGGUGAUGGCAUUAAUGAGCCCAACUUUUAAUGGAUGACAUAAAUGAGUCAUUUCUAAUAGUUCAGUGGCAUAUUUGAGCCUUUUCCCUAAUUAUAAAUAUGAUUACAAAAAGUCCUCUAAUUAGCCAAAGAAUUGGCAAGUCAACCAAGUCUUGCUUUAUUUUUUGUGGCAAAAAGCCCUCUUUUGCAAAUAGUUUUGCUUUCAUAUUCUGUAGAAUUGUGUGGUGAAGAGUAGUGCCACACUAACUAAUACUAUAGUAUUUAGUCAAAUAGUUUUGCUUUCAUAUUCUGUAGAAUUGUGUGGUGAAGAGUAGUGCCACACUAACUAAUACUAUAGUAUUUAGUCAACCUAGCACUAGUGGAGCAAUGAGAGCCUUCCUAAAUAGUCAAGUUUUGUCCAAUGAAUUACUUUCUAUAAUGAUGAAAUGAACAAUUCAAUCAAAAAAUAUUUUAUUCAUAAAAGAAAUGGCCUUUUGUCACUUAAUUAUAUCAUGCUGAUGGCUGAUUAUACUAUCUAGACCUUAUGCUAUGCAUACAUCUCUGGCCAACUUUUGUCCGCUUAAUUCUUUGGAAAUAGUCUUGCUUUCAUAAUUUGUAGAAUUGUGUGGUGAAGAGUAGUGCCAAUAAUUGCCAAAUCUUGUUAUUUGGUUUCUCCAAGCACUAAUGUCUAAUGCUGAUAGAAUUGAGGAAUUAAACCAAUUCAUUGGUGUAAGUGGUGAAGUUGUUGUCAUGUGAUCACAAGGUCAAUGACUAGUUCGAGCUGUGCAAACAGCCUCUUGUAAAAAUGUGGGGUAUGGCUAUGUACGACAGAUCCUUAUGGUCUAAGCCUUUCCCAACCCUAGCCAUAGCAGGAGCUUAGUGCACCGGGCUGCCCUUUAUUGGCCUCAACAACAACUUUUCUUUUAAAUAUCUUGAUAUCCAAACUACUUGUGAAGAAAAAAGGUGGCAUCCUUCAGUGGCCAAGAUCACUGCAGGAACAUUACAAGGAUGGCAAGGCAAAUUAUUGUCUUAUAGGGGCAGAGGUGUUCUUAUUAAGCAAUUUUACAAGCCAUCUAAUUGAUCCCCCCUAAAACAGUGAAGAAGCAAAUUGUGAGUUGCAUUGCUAACUUUUCCGGCUCGCGCAGUUUGUUAUCUCAGCUCCAAAAUGAUUUGUUGCAAAGAAAUUGAUAGAUUUCUGUGGAGUUCAUAAAUGCAUAAAAGGAAUAAAAGUAAUGGCUGCGGCUCACUGAGGCACUUCUUUUACGGUCCUUGUAGGCCUGUCUGCCGGUCUGCUCUGAAGAAUUCAUGAUUUAUAUAUGUUUCAGGGCAGUGAGAGAAAGUGCGGAAUAAGGACUGAUUUCUCAUAAGGGAAAGGUGUGAAUAAAUACAUCUAAUGAAAGGUGGGACUUGACAAUUGGACUGGAGAAGGACCUCUGCUAAAUUUAUACCUACUGGAAGCCCUUAUUGUUUUUUCAAGUGUCAUCAUCUUUUGGUUAUUAUAUUUCUACAAUUGCAUUUAUAGUUCAUUUAGGAUAAUUAAAUGUCCGAAAAGUAAUUUUAGGUGUUAAAAACUGACUUUAUAAACUUACUAGGUAUUGAGGAAAUAGGAUAUCCGGGGACGGCCCUUAUUUCCCCUUCUUUUCUUCUGUGAUCAUUACUCAGGUAUGAAGUCUUCCUUUCAAGGUCUCAAUACCAGCGGUUCGUUGAUCCAAUUGUGAACUUGUCUUUAAGUGUCAUGUUUUCUAGACAACUUCUGCUUCUUUUAUUUUUUAGACUGCACUGGGGAAAAAUCGACACUAAUAAAGCAAAAGAUUUGGGGAGAAUCCGUUUGAAAUGAAUAUGCAGCUGACCACAUGAUUUCUUGCCCACAAAGUGUUCAGACGUUUUGCCUCGAUGAAUUUCUAGAAAUUAUUUGUGUUUUCAACUAUGUCUCAGGUGUUACAAGUGUGUGCAUGAGUGCUGAUUCAGUAAAGAUGGUUUCCCAGCCGAUUUGCUUCUCUAAGUGAUACGAUAAAAAUUUGCAAGACACGAAAUCACUCAAAAAAUAGUCCACAAACACACUCCAAAAUAGUCCACAAAUUAUUAAGUUCCUUGGACCGAUUGGAGACCUCUCUCGGAUUCACAAAUACAACAAGAAUACAAGGUGAACAAGGUUUAUUUCACACCAAAACAGCAAUAAUACAUGAAGAACAAGAUGAACACAAAGGCACAAGAUUCGGAUUUAACAAUAACAACAAGAACACAAGAUUACAACACAAAUACUAAACACGAUUACAAGAAAGUAAAGGGAUAGAUAGAUAGACCACAUGAAGGUAUAAACUUAAGAGCCCAAGAAUGGACACUCUUGGACCCUUAACACUACACACAAUAAUAAACCUAUCUCUUACAUGACACAAGACCGGAUUGCACCUCUCUAGCAUCAAUGUUUCCAAGCAAGCAACAACAAAAGAGAAUCCACCCUAUUGUUGUAUCCUAGUUUCGGUUUUGGUGCCUCAAGGAGAGAGGAAUUGUGUUCUUUGGUCUUUCAAGACUCACAAAUAUCAUCAAAAACUAAAUCUAAAAACCUUACAAUGUUCCUUUUAUAACUAUUACAAAAUAUAAGUUAAAAUAAUCAAAAGGCCCUUAAAAGAGUGGGCACCUAUCUAGUAUAAUUUAUGGGCUGAUUUGGAUGUAUUUUGGGCCUCUUUUACCCUUCAAUUGCAAAUGCCAAGGCUCGGGUCCAACAUGCACUCUCCUAAGUCCAUAUCCGAGAUUAUUCCUGUAUCAUCCUCUCCAUCUUGAGAAGAAUUUGUCCACAAAUUCAGGGCUUCACCUCGUUCAAUGGGUCACUUCAAAGGAAACCUACUCAAAACAAUCCGUAAACAAGUCACAAAAACAAGUCAAAAACAGUCCACAAAAUCAUGCAGAAUCCGAGGGUUCAAUAACAACAAGUCUUGGCCAACAUCUUCAUUUUGAACCUCGGCUUCCUCUCCAUCUUAAUUCUUGUCUUCAAUCUCAUCCGAAACAAGUCUCCUACCAUCAUACAAGUAUUGUAGUAGUCUCCAUAUCCUUCAUUUUCCUUUCUACCAUACUCCUCUACAUGGAUAUAUCAGUUUUGGUGAAGUAGAGUUUCGGUUGAGAGGAAUGAUUUGGUAAGGGGGAGCUUCGGUUGUGGAGCUUGGAUGGGAGGAAAUUGGCUUUCAAGUCCCUCAUGUUGGACUUGAUCAAAUUGAGGGGGAAGUGACUCAUUUAGGUCUCGGGUUUGAGGACAUUUGUUGGAUUGACUUAUGUCUAUGUCAUUUAGUGGUGGUCUUGGAGGGUUGAUCGUUUGAGGUAAAUCUUCGGAAGUAGAAACAUGAGAGUUCCUUUGACUUUUCACUCGAUCUAACCUCUCAAGUAUAGUAGACAUAUCCGAGCCCAAUUUAUCAAGACCCGCAUUCGCCUUAGCUAUUUCUCGGGCAAUGACAUCAAGGUGGGCCAAAAUUGUGUCCAUUAUGGCAAAGGAGUUACCUACAAAACAGAAAAUACGUUAGUUGUACAAAAACAUCCUCACUCUAUCUUUUAUUUCUUGUCUCUUGGAUCCCUCACACUCAAUCUCACAAGUGUUGUAAGCUUGAUUGUACUCCGAGAGGUGUUGAUAGGUGGAUCAAGUGUGUACAACGACACAAAAGAAUAAAACACACAAAGAAACGUAAACACACACACAAAAAAAAAUGCGGUUUCAAACCAACUCACAAUCUAGUAAUUGGUCACUAGCUUGUAAGUUAGUAUGGGAAUCAACAAACGAAACUAAAGACACAAAAUGAAACUAAAAGAUCAAAAAUUGAGCAUAAAAUUUGGUGAACAGUAAUUGGCGAUGUGGCAGUCUUUGAUUGGCCUCGGUCAACAAUUUUAUUUUCCAAAUUUGAAAGUUUUGAUCAAUUCUACAAUUUGAACUUUGAUGAAAAUUGUUCAAUGGAGGAAAAUACAAACUAGUCUUUAGAAUUCAAAUUUGAACACUCAAAAGUCUUUGACUAAACUUGUACUCCUUAAAACAUGGAUCCUUGUUUCAUGGAAAAGUGGUUGAAAAGUGAUGUAAAGUCUUUUGGUGGUUGGGGGUCUUUUAAGACUAACAAUUACUUACACUUCUUUCCUUCACCUUUUAGGAUCUAUCAUUCACUUUAUGUUAACAAGGUGAAGAACUUCAAGAACAAAACAACCACAACAAGAACAACCAACAAAAAUCUCCCAAGAACAACAAGUUCCAACGCCCAAUUCCACAACAACAAGAUCAACAAUAAAACCACCAACAAACGUCCAAGCUUCUUUGGUGUUGUAUUUUCGGCUUUAACACUAGAUGAAGGUUGUGAUGAACAACAAGAACACAACAACAACUACCAAGAUCAACCAAAACACCAACCAACGCCCAACAACAAGGUCACCACACGGCCAAGUUAAAACAACAACUUCAACUCACGGCCACUUCUUGUUCACAACAACAACAUAAAUUUUUAAAGCUCAAAUCUAGAUAUACACUCAAUGCGUUAGUGAGAAACAAAACUAACACUUAGUGACAACAAAUACGAGUAAAAAUCUCGGCCAAGACACAACAAGAACACACUUUUCGGCCAAGAAUACAACACGGACAGAUUGCUAUUUUUUCUUGAAUUUUCAGUUUUGAACACUUUUUUUUUUCACUAACAAGCCCAAGUUCGAUCUUGUGGGAACAAGAUCAAACCAUGCUCUGAUACCAAAUGAUACGAUAAAAACUUGGAAGACACGAAAUCACUCAAAAAAUAGUCCACAAACACACUCCAAAACAGUGCACAAAUCACUAAGAUCCUUGGACCGAUUGUCGACCUCUCUCGGGUUCACAAAUACAACAAGAAUACAAGGUGAACAAGGUGUAUUUCACACCAAAAUAGCAAAAAUACGUGAAGAACAAGAUGAACACAAAGGCACAGGAUUCGGAUUUAACAAUAACAACAAGAACACAAGAUUACAACACAAACACUAAACACGAUUACAAGAAAGUAAAGGGAUAGAUAGAUAAGAAGGUAUAAACUUAAGAGCCCAAGAAUGGACACUCGUGGUCCCUUAACAAUACACACAACAAUAAACCUAUCUCUCACGUGACACAAGAUCGGAUUGCACCUCUCUAGCAUCAAUGUUUCCAAGCAAGCAACAACAAAAGAGAAUCCACCCUAUUGUUGUAUCCUAGUUUCGAUUUUGGUGCCUCAAGGAGAGAGGAAUUGUGUUCUUUGGUCUUUCAAGACUCACAAAUAUCAUCAAAAACUAAAUCUAAAAACCUUACAAUGUUCCUUUUAUAACUAUUACAAAAUAUUAGUUAAAAUGACCAAAAGGCCCUUCAAAGAGUGGGCACCUAUCUAGUGUAAUUUAUGGGCUGAUUUGGGUGCAUUUUGGGCCUCUUUUACACUUCAAUUUCACAUGCCAAGGCUCGGGUCUAACAUGCACUCUCCUAAGUCCAUAUCCGAGAUUAUUCCUGUAUCACUAAGGCCACCCUCCGUAAUCUGUCUAAUCUACUUAACAAUGUCAUGAAACUAGCCACAUGACAUUAUUUUGUAUAUUUCCAGAAUUUCCAUCUCAACAAGAUACUUCCUGCACUCUCAUUCAUCGUUGGCAUUUCCAUCACUGGACAAAAUCCUUGAAAGUAAUAGUCACUUGUUGGGUUUUAAAGUCUGUAUUCUCUAUAUCUAAGAAGUUGUUCUUAUAUUUGUUGUUGAUUGUGUUCCAUCAUUUUGUAACAUUAAUAUUAAGAGGAAAUAGUAAAGAUUUAUUGCAACCAACUAGCAUUUUUGAAAACAGAAUCAUGCAAAAAGCAAGUGCUAAAAAAAUAAAAAGAAGCAAUCUUUACAUGAAUCGAUCAAUUUAGCAAACAUUUGCAACAAACAGAGUGAUUUGAAACAACAGAUUCCGAGAACAUGCUCAGCAUGCAAGAAGUUGAAACUUGAUUUUCUGUAGCAUCCCAACAACAUCUUUCAUGUUUGUCCUUCUUGCCGGAGUUUCAACACAACAAUCUAAUGCAACAUUCAUGAUUGAAGCCACAACAUCAAGCUCCUUCUGUAAGUUUGGAAAUGACCUUCUAAGGAAUUGAAUUUCAGAUUCAAAGACUCAAGUUUGGAAAUAUUAGAAAAUAAAGAAGGGAUGGAACCAGUGAAACUAUUAUUCCCAAGAUUUAGAAAUUGAAGUUGGUGCAAAAAUCCAAACAAAGAAGGAACCUCCCCGCUGAAGCUGUUGUAACUUAACCAAAGAAACUUAAGCCGACACAAGUGUGCCGUGGAAAACCAAAGUCAAGCUUCAAAGUUGUCGAAAUACGGCUAGGAUGAAGAUUGCUGCUUUGAUACCAUGUCAAAAAUACAAAAUACUAGCUAAUUAUAGUAAGAAUAUCAAAGAACUAAGCAACUGGUAGCAUUCAUUUAGAGAGAGAAUAAUUGCAAUUCUCAUUGAUUCAUAUUUUGUUAGCUUACAAUGAAAGCAAAUGGGAGUAUUUAUAGACUCCAAGUCUCAACUCACUAUCACUCAACAUGUGCACAACAUGUGUUUGUUAUAACUAACUCUAACCAACCCCUCACUCCUUUUAGCUUUAUUUUCUUUGGCUAGAUAUUUCCAACACUGUUGUAACUUAACCAAAGAAACUUAAGCCGACGCAAGCGUGCCAUUUCUUGAGGCAAAUUACCCUGGAAAUUGUUGCUUUCCAAGUCAAGAGAAACAAGAAAUGUGAGGUUUCCAAAUUCCCUGGGAAUCUUGCCCGUAAGAUCCAUGUUGGAAAGAUUCAAGGACUUCACUCGCCGGUAACGAGAACCACAAGUGACUCCAACCCAAUGACAAACGGACGUAGUGGGAGACCAACUUUCACCCAAGAAGUGAAAGGGGUCCGAAAUAAUUUGGGAUUUCAAAGAGAGAAGAGCCAAUUGAUCAGUGGUAAUGUUGGUUUUGGUCAUGGCCGAACUAGCCAUAACAUAGUGAAGCAGCAAGAGUACUAUUAAGAGAAAAGAACUGAAGGUUUUCUCCAUUGGUCCAAAAAUUAGUAGGAAAAUGGUAUGGCUUAUAACAUGUGGUUUUGAGACUUAAAAUAGCAAUGAAAUCUCCCUUUUGGUCUUUGAAAAAAUUACUUUUCUUCAUUCAUUCUGUCAUAUUCAGCACGGCGUUAAAAUUUUCAUUUAGGGGUUUCAAAAUAAAAAAAAAGUAAAUUCACGAAAAAGUCAAAGAGUGUCAAUACAUAAUAUAUACAUUAAAAAAAUAGUUUUACCAAGUCUUGCAAGUUUCAGUUAGAAUUGUAAAUAUGGUUCAUAAAUUCCCCUAAUCAGAUAAAGACUUGUCCAUGUUCCUUUAAUAAGUUAAUUUUACUAAAUUAUGUUAUACGCUUGAGAUUUUUCUUUUUUACAUGAUUAUGAUAGUUUAGGGAGAAAAGUGUGAAAUAUACUUGAACUUUGGCGAAAUUUGAUGUAGCACGUCUCAACUUUGAGGGGUUUGAAGUGGUCCAACUAAGCAAAUAUAUGUCACGGAAAUAUGGUAAAGAAUAAUGGGAAAAGGACACCACGUGGCUCUUUUGAAAAGUAAUGGACAAUAAUGGUCCACGUUUCACUUUUUGGACAAAACUGACACUUCGGCUGUUUUAAAUGUCAUUUAUUAGCCCUUCAUUUAAUAAGACACACGCUAAAGGAAAAAGGUUUAAAGUUGUACACUUUCCUUUUGAAGUUGGUUUCCGAAUAGGGUUUUGUGACUUUUUAUUCUUUCCAUAACCACUCUUCUUACUUCUUUCCAUGACCAAUCUUCUUUCUUCUUGCUCUUCUUUCUCCAACUAUGAUAGUUAAGAACCCAACAAAACUCAUAUCUCUUUUCUUCUAGUUUUUAAUUUUUUUUAUUAAGAACCCAACAAAACUCAUAUUUUUAUUAUUCUAAUUCUUAUUUUUUUCUAUUUAGGUUAUCUAAAUCGAAUUGAGUUUUUGAAUUAUGUGGGUGGAUGAAAAAUGAGAUAGAGGAAUAAAAGAAGAAAAAAUAUGCAAAAUCUAGAAGUUGAUCGGCAUGGAAGAAAAGGGCUAUUGUGUUGAAGCUAAAGUAAUAGUGGAUAGGUAUGUGACGAAGAAAUUUGAAGGAAAUGGAUUAUUUUUGAAAAAAAAAUGUGUUUUAUGAUUCGAGAUUACAUAAUAUUGAUUAUCUAAGGAGAUUUCAAAGAAAUGAAGGUUUGUAUAUGAUGUGUAUAAAAAUUGUAUGUUUAAGAUUUGUAUAUGAUGUGUAUAAAAACUGUAUAUUUCAGGUUUGAAUAUGAUGUGUAUAAAAACUGUAUAAGAACUGUAUAUUUAAGAUUUGUAUAUUAUGUGUAUUAGAACUAUAUAUUUAAGGUUUGUAUAUGAUGUGUAUAAAAACUGUAUAUUUAAGGUAUAUGAUAUGUAUAAAAAUUGUAUUAUAUAGAAUAUAUUUUCUAUAUAUUAUCUGUAUAGAAUUUGUAUCAUUGUUGUAAAGAAUAUGUAUAUCUAUAGGAUGUACAUAAACUGCAUAAAUAUUGUAUAGAAUAUGUAUCUAAAUAAUUAUUGUACCUAAAUAGUGUACAGAAUGUGUAUAGCCUCUUGGCAAAAAUAAAAGAUACGAAAAUAGUUUUAAAACAUGUAUAUGAGUCAUUAAAAUAUGCUAUUUUAAAAAAAUUGUUAUUCAAAAAAUACAAAAUUUUAUUUGGUUACGACAUUAUAAAUUAGUAUUUGAUUAUUUUAAAGAACUACAAAAAUUUAUUUGAUUGUUUUGAUUAUUGAUAGAAUUAAAAAAAAUAUAUAGAAACAUGAGUGUUUUUUAAAAAAAAAUGAGCACAACCAAAAUAAAAGGGAAAGGGAAGAAAACACAAUUACCAUUAAAAAAAAAAAAACAACGAAAAAACAAUAAAAAAUAAAUACAAUUUUUACACUUUAUAUAAUAAUAAUAAAAGAAGCAAAAGGAGCAACAACAAAAGUAAAAUAAAAAAGACAAAAUAAGCAAUAUCAAAAAAAAAGUCAAAGAAAGCGGCUUAGCUAGUGAAAUGACCAAAAAAUAGUAUUUUGAAACAUGAGUUAUUUUCGUGUCUUUUAUUUUGGCUAAGAGACUAUUUUUGUCCUUCUCCCAAUAAUAAUCUAGGGGGAUCAUAGGACCCCCGUUAAGUUGAGGCGUGUUAAUGCAAAUUUCAUCAAAGUUUAAGUAUAUUUCGAACCUUUUUCCCGAUAGUUUAUAUAGUUGAUCAUGACAUGUUUAUAAUCUGUAGACUUUUACAUUCUAGUUACUUUUUGUAGAAGUUAAUUUAACUCUUUUUUAUAUCGGAUGGUAGUGUAAAAGGUGCUUUUAAUUAUUGUUUAUAACUUAUUUGCAGUUUCGACUUGUUUGAUGGUAUGUUUUUGUGAGUUUUUUUUUUAAUAAAAGAAUACAUAACAUUAAUUUGUAUUUCCUGGCAUCAUUUUAGAGAAUUUUUCAGGUUAUCUGGGCCUCAAAGACUUGACAAAAUUGGAGAAGAUAAAAAAUACACCAAGUCUGUAUAUACGUACAUUUGGUGGCAAAGUUAUUCCUCUAAUCAGUCCAAACACUCUCCAAGUUGCCUUCUACUUGGCGUCGUACGUGGCCAAUUCUUGUCCUACAUGGCGUCCUAUGUGUAUUAUAUAACAUAGAACGUGUGUGUCUGCUUGUUCAAAGGUUUCAAAACACUCCCUAAUUUGCCUUCUAAUAAAGUUAUGUGCACUAGCUAAGUAUAUGGGGAAUUUUUAUGUAAUUAGCAGUCCCUAAUUGAUUCUAGUUACUAAUAUGUAGGUAAUAUAUAUGACAACAUGAAAAACUAUUUACAUUCUCGAUCAAAUAUAACACAGUUAGCAAAUUAUUCUAGCGCAGUAUAAUAUCUUGAUGGGACUAUUUACUUUUAAUUUUUAGGAUGUUUUUAUAUUUUUUAAAAAUUCUAAAAAAGUACACAACAUGUACAGCAUGUUUGGAUUGUCUUACUUUAAAUGUUUUUAAGAUAAAAUAGCUUUUAAACACUUUAUUUGUAAUCUUUUCUUAUGUGUCGUGUUUUCUAGACAUGUUCUGUCUCUUUUAUUUUAAAUGUUUUUAGUUAGUUUAAAAUGGAGGAUUCUCUUGUUAUCUCGAUAUUAUAUUUUUCUCUACAAGUUUUCCAAAUGGCAUAAUUAUUGUUAUUUCAGCAUUGUCGGCCUAUGGUGUCUACUGGUUAAUCUGAAACGCCAUACUCCUUCUAUCAUUUACUUUUCAAUCAGAAUUAUAAUAUGGUGCAAGAAUUCCCCUAAUCAGCCAAUUACUUUUGCAAGUCAAGUAGUCAAACAAGUCUUGUUUCAUUUUCUCAAGAAUUGUGUGGUGCAAAAAAGGUAUGUCAUGCUCCUCUAAUAAGUUACAUUUGUUAAAUUAUACUAUACGUUCAAGAAAUAUUUUUACAUGAUAAGCAUAAUUUUAUAUAGUUGAUCAUGACAUGUUUAUUAAUUAUUAUCCUUUUAUCUCUAGGAUAGAAUUUGCAGACGUUUACAUUCUAGUUAAUUUUUGUAAAAGUUAAUUUAGCACUUCUACAUGAUAUGGCAAUAUAAAGAGAGUUUGUUUGAGACUUUGAGUCAUGUUUUUGAAAAGAGAGAAGUAUCAAUUACUCUCCUGAAGUUGUCAUGGUACACCUAAAUUUCAAGUUGUCUUAAAUACCUUCCCCCCUAAAAUUGUUGAUUUAGUAAGUCAGGGGGCCUUUUUUGGCCCGCGUGGCACAAUAUCUGGUUUCAAACUCCAUCAGGCGCGUGAUGGAGUAAAUUUUUUGUCAAAUGAUCAGUUUUCAACAGUCAAAUAUGGAAAAAAAAAAAACAUUUUUCUUUAUUUUUUUCAAAAACUUCAAAGCGUCCUUUCUCUGCUCUUCCUAUGUAAGAGAUUGUUCCUGAUUGUUGUGCGUAGGGGUUGUGCCAAAAAGAAGUUGAAUAUUACUGACUUUUCUUAGUGUAUUAUUGGACGGAAUAAACUUUUGGAUAGUUUUUCUUUUGAUCCGGGUCCAAUUUGCUAUUGUUAAAAAGGAGUUGGUGACAGAGAGAAAUGUGUUGUAGAGUGAUAAGACGGUCAACAACUAGUUAUCAAAUGUAAUGACAUUCUACCUCUAUAUGCUUUGUGUUUUCAUGUUGAUAGGGUUUGUGGCUAUUUUAAUCGCACUAGUGUUAUCAGCAUGUAACACGUAGGGGAUAUAAUAGCAACACCAAGCUCAGAUAAUAGACAUCGCGGCCAAAGAAUUUUCGAAAUUGCUGCUGACAUAGCUCGAUAUUGAGCCUCCGUAGAUGAUUUAGACGUACGAUAUUGUUUCUUACAUUUUCAAGAUAUCAAGGAUGUGCCUAGAAACAUGCACUACCGUAAUGGAACGACGCGAAUCAGGUCAAUCAGCCCAAUCUGCAUCAUUAUAUUCCUUAAGAUGUAUAGGAGAAUCAGAACGGAAGAGAACAUCUUGAUUCAUAGAACCACGGACAUACAGGAUGACACGAAGUAACGCAAUUUGAUGUAUACUAUACACUCGAGAAAUAUUUUUACAUGAUUAGCAUAUUUUAUAUAGUUGAUCAUAACAUAUUUAUAAUCCUUUUAUCUCUAAGUUUGGACAAAAUCCGGGGCAUUUACAAUCAAGUUACUUUUUACAGAUAAUUUAGCACAUUUAUAUGGGAUGGUAAUAAAAGGAGUUUGUUUGAGUCAUUACUGAAGUUACUUAAAAUUAUUGUUUAUAUUUUACAUGAAAUUUUAAGAAUAUUCUUGUAUGAACUUUUUUUUUAUAAAAGAUUACAUAAAAAUAAUUUGUAUUGAUUGUUAUCAUUUUAGGGAAUUUUCCUGAUUAUGAGACCUCAAAGACUUUACAAAAUUGUAGAAGAUCAAAAAUACACAAAGUCUUGCAACUGUAAAUGUGGUGUCAAAUUUAUUUCUCUAAUCAAUCCAAAAAACUUUUCAAGUUGCCUUCUACAAAAGUAAUGUAUAUUAAUUAUAUGGAGAAUUUUAUGUGAUAGUAUAAUUAAUUAAUUAUAUUUUCUUUUUAGGUAAUAUAAAACUCGAUCAAUUUUAUUUUUAUAAAAAAUUAAAAUAUUGGGAUUAAACCGAUUGAGUUGGUCGGCUUUUGCUACUUCCAUAGAUAGAAUGGAAUUUUUUUUCUAAAAACUCUGAAUUUAUACGUACACUAGCUAUAUCGAGAAUUUUAGAUGUUUAGUUACUUAAUAUAGUUUAUAAUUGAUUCUAGUUACAUUUUAAGUACUACGAAGCAGUUAAAUCAUAAUGGAUGAGAAGUAAUCCCAAACUCUAAAGUUAUACGUACACUAGCUAUAUUCAUUAUUGGAAAAACAGCACAAUAGCAGUUAUCCAGAUGACAAAUUCAACUAAAACUCAUAAUUUGACUUAACAAGGUCUCCUAUGAAGUAAUCCCAAAGUGGAAAGUGGUGAUGUUCGAAACAAAAUUUGACCUAAGAAAUUGGUCAAAUAGCAACAGUAGCCGUAACAACAACAACAACAAUAAAUGGUCAACAAGAAGAAGAUGAAGAUAAUAAUGAAGUAAAAGAUGAUUAAUAAAGCAACAACAAUAAUUGACAACAUAAAACGCUAAGAGAGAGAAAACAAUAAUGGAUGAGAAGAGCGAGAAAGACGCCUUUUUUGCCUCCGUUUCCCGUUAUAUUAGGUAAACAUUUGGAUCAAAGUAUAUAUUUUAAAACUUUAUGGGUUAUUUUCAAAUUUUAUCAAUUUUCUUAAUCUAUAAUAAAGUAAUUAUCACCUCCAUCUAAUAAUUAAUACUUGUGUGACCUACACCUCAUUUUAAAACUCUUUUAUCAGCUAAAGCUCAAAGCCGCUAGUUACUUAGUAUAGUUUAUAAUUGAUUCUAGUUACUUUUUAAGUACCACGAUAGUGUGGAAAAUAUUUACCCUCUUGAUCAAGGUAAUGAAAUGACCAAAAGAAUUUUUGUUAUUGUAAUAUAGGAUUGAAUAAGGUGGGUUCGUUAAUCUAGGCAUUAAAAAUAAAUUCAUGAUUAAAAUAAAAAUAUAUAGUGUAAUCGAAUAUUUUACAAAAAAGAAAAAAAAAAAUCUGCACUUGUGCGUGGAGUUUGUGCCAAAAUGUACAUUUUGAUCAAAUCUAGACAGGCUCAAGAUGAAAUCACAAAAGCAAGAAUGUGCGGAAUGUAAUUUAUUUGUUUUUCCUAUUUUUACUAUGAGUUAUUUUCCUAAUUUUAACAAACUUGUUUUUCCAUAGAUCACUGAUUAUAGAGGGAGGAAUCAUGUUCUUCCACAACGACCCUUAACUCUAAAUUUUACUUUCUUUUAGAGAGAUUUUUAUAAAUUUUUGUUCUUAAAUAGUACUCAACAUUUCUUUGUAACGACUGAUGCCAUUUGACUCUUUAGUUACUUGGUUCCCUAACUCAUAUAGUUUAGGCGAACAAAAUUGUAACACCCCGUAUUUUCGGACUACAAUAUAGACCAUGAUUUCGAUGAGUUGAUAAUCCCGAAGCAAUAAAUCCUAUGCCUAUAUGGCAUGUUAAUUAUUUGCGUAGUAUGUGAAUCCAUUCAAGCUUGAAUUUAGAUCAUAGAGGUCCUUCAACUCAAGGACGAGUUGAAACUAUUUCGAUCGAUUAAGUUUUAGUGGACGUUGUAAAUUGUGUCAGCUUCCAUCGACCAUAACUCUCUGUAUAUGUCGAAUUAGAGAGCCUACUAUGUGUAAAAUGAUAGGUUUCCGAGUUAGCUUUCCAACGAUACCAAUUUUGCUAAAAUCCGGCACCCGAGCAAGAAGUUAUGGCCUUUUAAAGUAAUAUGUGUCGCCUAACCAAUCGCACAUGGCCACUGGAAAGCAUAGGCGAUAGCCUAGGCGGCGCCUAUGUAAACAUAGGCAAUGGCAUAGGCGAUGGCAUAGGCGGUGCCUAUGUAAAGGUUUCAAGUGACUUAAACACUCCGUUUUUGUGGAAAAAUGGUCCUUUUCCACCCUUUGUUAGCCCUAAACACGAUAUUCAGUUCCAAAGACCCCAAAAUACACCUUCAUUCAUCAAAAGUGCUCAAGGAUUCUCCUUAGGGUUUCAAAAUAAAAAUUCAAGCAACUCAAGAUUCAACCGGGGGUUUUAGAAACUAAUUGCAUAUUUGGAAUCCNNNNNNNNNNNNNNNNNNNNNNNNNNNNNNNNNNNNNNNNNNNNNNNNNNNNNNNNNNNNNNNNNNNNNNNNNNNNNNNNNNNNNNNNNNNNNNNNNNNNNNNNNNNNNNNNNNNNNNNNNNNNNNNNNNNNNNNNNNNNNNNNNNNNNNNNNNNNNNNNNNNNNNNNNNNNNNNNNNNNNNNNNNNNNNNNNNNNNNNNNNNNNNNNNNNNNNNNNNNNNNNNNNNNNNNNNNNNNNNNNNNNNNNNNNNNNNNNNNNNNNNNNNNNNNNNNNNNNNNNNNNNNNNNNNNNNNNNNNNNNNNNNNNNNNNNNNNNNNNNNNNNNNNNNNNNNNNNNNNNNNNNNNNNNNNNNNNNNNNNNNNNNNNNNNNNNNNNNNNNNNNNNNNNNNNNNNNNNNNNNNNNNNNNNNNNNNNNNNNNNNNNNNNNNNNNNNNNNNNNNNNNNNNNNNNNNNNNNNNNNNNNNNNNNNNNNNNNNNNNNNNNNNNNNNNNNNNNNNNNNNNNNNNNNNNNNNNNNNNNNNNNNNNNNNNNNNNNNNNNNNNNNNNNNNNNNNNNNNNNNNNNNNNNNNNNNNNNNNNNNNNNNNNNNNNNNNNNNNNNNNNNNNNNNNNNNNNNNNNNNNGGCCGCCGAGCACUAGAGGCGGAUUCCACAUAGCCGUGGAAUUAUGAUUGUAGGGUAUUCCACCUAGUUCAAUCGCAUUACAUUGGUAUUGAAAACUAUUACAUUAUGCCCAUGUGUUUCCAAAUAAUUUGAUAUGAAACUGCUUUAUAAUGGCUCUCACCUAUAUUGUAGAAAAAUAUUAUAUUUCUGUUUUGAUUUCUCUACAUACCAAUACUUUUGUAUUGACCCCCUCUCCUCCCAGGUUCGAAGGCACAGUUUAGGGGUCCAGACAACCAGUAGUUUCCCUCCGACAGAUCGCAAAAUCAAGUGGUGAGCCUUCUAUAUUUCGGAAGGCCUGAUGUCUGCAGUUUAAUUUAUCAUUUAUUAGUUUUGGGUCUACUGGGGCCCUUGUCCCAGUUUUUAGAUAGACAUUUGUUUUAGUCAUGUAGUAGAGAUUUCGCAGACGUUAUAGAGAUGUUGUGUUGAGAUUGUGGGACAUUAUUCCCCAUUAAUACCUUCGCAUGAUUCUUGACCAUGUUUCCGUUAUAUUGUGUAUCUUCCGCAUUUCUUUUAUCAUAUGAAUUGUGUGCAUGAUUACCAGACAGAUAGGGAUGUUUCGGGCCUCAUGGUUCGGAAUACCCGUCACGACCAGGGCCCCGGUUCGGAUGGUGACAAAAAUACUCCUUGCACAAGUUUCUGGGUGCACAAUGUGUCUGGGUGCACUAUUUGUCCUUAAGUACUAACAACAUUCUAUGUAUCAUAACAUUAUUACUUAGGCACUGAUGAAAAACAUACUAUGCAUCAUAACAUGUGAUGGGAGGGUACUAAAUUUGUUUGAUGGGAGAAAAUGUUAGAGGUGGUGAAGUGAAUGGGCCAUUAACUUCAACAGGUGAAGACGAAAGACGGGUCGUUUUUUGAGACUUGUGCAAAUCAACCAAGUCUUGCUUUAUUUUAUCUGGACUAGAAUUGUGUGGUGCAAAAAUGGUAUGUCAUGUUCUUCUAAUCAGCUAAUUUUACCAACUUAUAUUAUACGCUUGAGAAUUAUUUUUACAUGAUUAAGAUAGUUUAGGAAGAAAAGUCCAAAAUAUACUUAAACUUUAGCAAAAUUUAUUGUAACGUAUUUCAACUUUGUGGGGGUUCCUAUCAACCCUUAAAUUAUUUUUUACCGUAUUUCUGUGACAUAUAUAUGCUAGCUGAAUCAGUGCAUGAAUACACACUAUACGCAUAAGGGUUUGAAGUAUAAAAGGGGCUUUUAAUUAUUGUUUAUAAUUUAUUUGCAAUUUUGAUUUGUUUGAGGGUAUUUUUUUUGUGAAUUUUUUUUUAAUAAAAGAAUACAUAACAUUAAAUAAAUCAAGUCUUUAUAAACGUACAUUCAAUAACAAAGUUAUUCGUCUAAUCAAUCCAAACACCCCCUAAGUUGCCUUCUACUAAAGUUAUGUACACUAGCAUAGUCUACAAUUGAUUCUAGUCAUUAAUUUUUAGGAUGUUUUUCCUUUUUUUUUCUAAAUUCUAAAAAAGUAAACAACAUGUAAAGCAUGUUUGGAUUGUCUUAUUUUAAAUGUUUUUAAAUUAAAAUAGCUUUUAAACACAUUAUUUUGUGAAAUUUUCGUAAGUUUCGUGUUUUCUAGACAUGUUCUAUCUCUUUUAUUUUAAAUGUAUUUUUAUUUAGUUUAAAAUGGAGGAUUCUCUUGUUAUCUCGACGUUGUAUUUUUCUCUACCGAUUUUUCAAAUGGAAAAGUUAUUAUUAUUUCAGCAUUGUCGGCCUCUGAUGUCUACUGGUUAAUCUGAAAUGUCAUAGUCCUAUCAUUUACUUUUGGGAAAAGGCUCAAAUAUGCCACUGAACUAUCAGAAAUGACUCAUUUAUGUCAUCCGUUAAAAGUUGAGCUCAUUUAUGCCAUCGUCGUUACAAAACUGGCUCAUCCAUGCCAUUACUUUUAACACCCGAUUUUUAAAAAACUGUUUUGCCACGUGAUAGCAUAUUAGAGGUUCACAUCUUUUUUUUUUAUUUUUCUAUUUUUUAAAAAAAAAAUAUAAAACCUUUUUUAUAAUUUUUUAUUUAAUUUUUUAAAAAAAUGGUGUUGGUUACGAAGUUUAUAGAUUACAUAUUUCUGUGCCUUUAUUUAUCAAAUAACGAAUAAUAAAUUUUGCAUAUAACUAAUGUUCAUGUUUUUUUUUCGAUUCUUAUUUUUAAAAAUAAUUAUAUAUAUAUAUAUAUAUAUUUGACCAAUCUUCUAGGUAUUUAUUUAUACAUGAACCCAAAAUAUUCAAACCUGAAAUUCUAGUUCAUCAUAACCAUUGCUAGUCCUUAUAUGCAAUGAUAAUAAAGGACGGAACCGUAUUCUUGUCAUAUUUUGCAAAAUGAAAAAGGUGACCAUAUUAAAAUGAUUAAUUCAAAGACCUUAAAUGGUUAAUCCUUCUUAACACUUUGAUCGUAGGUGUAUUUGACACAAAAAACAGCAACAACAACAAGAGAUAGUCAACAAUAUGAUAGGAAGAAACAACACUUUGAUAACAAGAACCAACGGUUACAAGAUUACAAGAACAACAAUAACCAAUGGUUCACUAGACAGCACAAAGUCACAAACUAAAACAUGACAUAUAAAGAUAGAAAGUGAGACAUACACUACAAUAAGAUCCAAGAACCCAUAGACAUAUUCCAUCUAAGGACCCCUAGAACUUACAAUAGCAACACUACACUCUUACGAAGACACGAGAGGGAUUCCACCGCUCAAGCAUCAAUGUUUCCAAGCAAUACACAUUCACAAGUGUUUCCACACUUGUCAUGCCCUAGUUUUCGUCCUACAGAGCCUUCUCUCAAGUGUUCUUACAAUAAUAAGCAAAAUGACAAAAGUGCCCCUUAGUAUUAAAUGAACAAAAUGGCUCCCAUGGAGUGCAAUAGAGGGACGACUUUUGAGCCCUUUUCACACUCCAACUCGUACACUCCAUAGGUUGCAUUCAACAUGAUACGGGUACAACUACGAGGAUGCAUGUUUGUGAGAUUUAUUGAACCCGAGACUUGGAGUGUGAAGGUGAUGUGCAAAUGAGGACUUAAAAAGGGUCCAAAACCGUCCAUAUAAUGCUCUCCAAGGGGCACCCACUUGAAGACUUGAGACUAACGGGUCAUUUUGGACAUUUCACACCUUGUCUGUAAACUACUAUAUAAGGAACCUUUUAGGUCAUUUGUUAGGAUACUUUACUGAAUAUGGAUGUUGUAUAACACUUAGAAAAAUUUCCUCUCUAAGGAGAUAAGACCACAAAUCUGAAACUUGUAACUAGGGAAAUCAACUUUAGUGUGGAAUCACUCGUGUUGGAUUCAAGCUUGGAAACGUUGGAUGCUUAGGAGAUCAAAGUCACUCUUGUACCAACAUAAGAUAUAGUUUUGUGUUGUGUGUUGUAUUAAAGGUCCAAGAGUGUAACAAGUCUUGGGUUGUUAAUAUUAUUCCCUCAUUUGGUCUAUCUACCUAUCUUUAUCUUAUUGCACUUUGUAGAUUCAUAGUAGACUGUUUUUGUGGCUUGUUGAAUCUAAAUUUUGUAACCAUUGUGUUCAUCUUGUUCAUCUUAUAUUGUGUCUGUUUUGAUGUUGAAAACAUACCUCUUUAUCUUGUUAUUGUGUUGUUGAUAGCGAAUUCGAGAGUGGUCUUCAAAAGGGUCCUCAAAUCCUUAAGAUUAGAGGACUAUUUUGGAGUUGUUUUCUAUUCUCUUGUCUUUCUCGUAUCAUUUGGUAUCAGAUCAUGGCUUGAUAUUGUUCCUACAAGAUCAAUCUUGGGCUUGCUUGAUAGAAAAAAAGUGUUAGAAAACUGAAAAAUUAAAAAGAAGCAAAUCUGUCCAUUUUGUGUUCUUGGCCAAAAUAGUGUUGUUGUUGUAUAUUGGCCGAGAUUUUUACUUGUUUUGUUGUUUAUAGUGUUAGUUUUAUUCAUAUAUAAUACUCUUGUGUCUAAAUCUAAUUUUGAGCUUACAUUGUUGGUGUUGUUUUCGUGAACUUGAACUUGGCCGAUUUGUUGUUGAACAUUGCUGUGGUGGACUGUUUUGGCCUUGUGGCCUUCAUCAACACGUGAUAUUGUUGUUCAUUGGUGGCCUAAGAACUAUUUUGUUGAAGUUGUAGUUGUCUUGUCCAAGUAUUGAAGAUAGUGUAUUGUGAAAAUUGGAAGUUGGCCGUGUGAAAUUGUUGGUGUUCUUGGAGAAUUGUUGUUGGUUGUUCUUGGUGAUUGUUGAUUUUGUACUUGAAGUUCUUCACAACCUUCAUAUCUUGUUAAAAUAAAGUGAACCUUAGAUCUAUAAAGGUGAAGGAAAAAAGGUGAAUCUUUGUUAGCCUUGAUAGACUUACCAUCACUCAUCAACUAGUCAAUCACAUCUCAACCACUUUCCAAUAACUUUCCAUGAUUCAAGGACCCAUGUUUUAAGGAGAAGUACAAGUAAUGUCAAAGUUUUGAAACUUGCAAUUGAAAAGGGCUCCAUGACUUGUUUGAAUUUCCCUCUUUAAACAAAUUCCACCAAUUCCUAAAUUGUAAAUUGACCAAAAAUUGAAAUUGGACAACAAAAAUUGUUAGAAACCGCAACCAAUUACGUACUGCCACGUUAUCCUUGUCACUGUUCACACAACAAUUUUGGCUCAAAUUUCAGAUUUUCUUAGUUUCUUUUUACUGUUCUGUAGUUUCGUUUGAUUGGUACGAACGCUAAUUGACAAGCUAGUAAACUCCUACUAGAUAUUAAAUUAGUUUGUGUUCGUUUGUUCGUGUUUACGUUUGUUGUGUACUUUUAUCUUUUUGAAUUCGUUGUUAGUUCUUGACUCAAUUCCAACAAGAUUUCGUUUGAGUUUCAAACAAAAAUCCAUUUCGGGACAAGAGUAGACUCGACACUCAAUCACUCACGAAGUAUAAGUCGGAUUUCAACACUUGUGAAACCAAGUGUGAAGUAAAACCGAGAGUGAGAGUGUGGUGAGGCAUUUUUGAUCUAACAAGUUUGUUUAUUUUCUUUGUUUGUUGAGUUUUUUUGUUAGGUACAAUGACUGCCCAUAAUUUCAAUGCCACAUGUGAUCGUAUCAAUGACAAUAUUGAAGAUAUGAAACAGCACAUUGAAAUUAUACGCCAAUUGCUACCCAAACUCUACUCACAAAAUCCAAUUGUCCAAGCACCUUGCGUUGAGAGCUUCCUGGAGGAAGUUGCUGCUCAAAUUGUGAGUAAAACUUGCCCACCACUUGAGGAUAUGUGUGAUGUGAUUAAUAAAUCUCAAGUGAGUGAAGGAUUUAAAGAUGUUGGCCAAGAAAAAAGGAGUGAACCUAUCAGCUUAUGUUGUUGUAAAGAUGCUAAUGUUUGUUUGGCUCAUAGGGUUAAUCAUGUGCUUGACAUAUCUUUGAAACUUGAUAAUGAUUCCUUAAAGAGUGAAAGUUCCAAAUCUAUCCGCGGAUUAGAUCAUUCACUCUUUAGGCACAAUGUCUUGUUUGAAGAUAGUUUAUUUACUCCUAAUGAACCUAGUGGUGCUAGUGAUGUUGACGGCAUGGCUUGUCUUGAAAGCUAUAGCCUAUAUUAGGGCUGUCAAGUGGGCCGGGCUGGGCCAACCCGGAACCGGCCCGUGUUAUUUAACCGGGUUGAGGGCUGGGACGGGGCCGGGUUGGGGUCUAAGUCGGUUGGACCGGGCCGGGCACAAUAGUAAAAAAAUCAAAAACCACCCUAACCCAGCCGACUUAACCCAACCCGGUCAAACCCAUCUAAACCCGGUCAAACCCGUUUAAAAAAUCGGUCAAACCCGGUCAAAAAUAUAAGAAAAAACAUUUUUUCAAUAUACAUUAUAUAUACCCACCUAUAUACAUUAUAAAUACGUUAAACAAUAUAUAUACACUAUAUAUAUAGUAUAUACUACAGUAGAAUUUAAAAAAUAUAUACACAUAUACAUAAUUACACAUAUAUACGCACCAUCCAAAUAUAUAUGUACUACUUUAAACUUUAAAGUUCAAAUAAAAUNNNNNNNNNNNNNNNNNNNNNNNNNNNNNNNNNNNNNNNNNNNNNNNNNNNNNNNNNNNNNNNNNNNNNNNNNNNNNNNNNNNNNNNNNNNNNNNNNNNNNNNNNNNNNNNNNNNNNNNNNNNNNNNNNNNNNNNNNNNNNNNNNNNNNNNNNNNNNNNNNNNNNNNNNNNNNNNNNNNNNNNNNNNNNNNNNNNNNNNNNNNNNNNNNNNNNNNNNNNNNNNNNNNNNNNNNNNNNNNNNNNNNNNNNNNNNNNNNNNNNNNNNNNNNNNNNNNNNNNNNNNNNNNNNNNNNNNNNNNNNNNNNNNNNNNNNNNNNNNNNNNNNNNNNNNNNNNNNNNNNNNNNNNNNNNNNNNNNNNNNNNNNNNNNNNNNNNNNNNNNNNNNNNNNNNNNNNNNNNNNNNNNNNNNNNNNNNNNNNNNNNNNNNNNNNNNNNNNNNNNNNNNNNNNNNNNNNNNNNNNNNNNNNNNNNNNNNNNNNNNNNNNNNNNNNNNNNNNNNNNNNNNNNNNNNNNNNNNNNNNNNNNNNNNNNNNNNNNNNNNNNNNNNNNNNNNNNNNNNNNNNNNNNNNNNNNNNNNNNNNNNNNNNNNNNNNNNNNNNNNNNNNNNNNNNNNNNNNNNNNNNNNNNNNNNNNNNNNNNNNNNNNNNNNNNNNNNNNNNNNNNNNNNNNNNNNNNNNNNNNNNNNNNNNNNNNNNNNNNNNNNNNNNNNNNNNNNNNNNNNNNNNNNNNNNNNNNNNNNNNNNNNNNNNNNNNNNNNNNNNNNNNNNNNNNNNNNNNNNNNNNNNNNNNNNNNNNNNNNNNNNNNNNNNNNNNNNNNNNNNNNNNNNNNNNNNNNNNNNNNNNNNNNNNNNNNNNNNNNNNNNNNNNNNNNNNNNNNNNNNNNNNNNNNNNNNNNNNNNNNNNNNNNNNNNNNNNNNNNNNNNNNNNNNNNNNNNNNNNNNNNNNNNNNNNNNNNNNNNNNNNNNNNNNNNNNNNNNNNNNNNNNNNNNNNNNNNNNNNNNNNNNNNNNNNNNNNNNNNNNNNNNNNNNNNNNNNNNNNNNNNNNNNNNNNNNNNNNNNNNNNNNNNNNNNNNNNNNNNNNNNNNNNNNNNNNNNNNNNNNNNNNNNNNNNNNNNNNNNNNNNNNNNNNNNNNNNNNNNNNNNNNNNNNNNNNNNNNNNNNNNNNNNNNNNNNNNNNNNNNNNNNNNNNNNNNNNNNNNNNNNNNNNNNNNNNNNNNNNNNNNNNNNNNNNNNNNNNNNNNNNNNNNNNNNNNNNNNNNNNNNNNNNNNNNNNNNNNNNNNNNNNNNNNNNNNNNNNNNNNNNNNNNNNNNNNNNNNNNNNNNNNNNNNNNNNNNNNNNNNNNNNNNNNNNNNNNNNNNNNNNNNNNNNNNNNNNNNNNNNNNNNNNNNNNNNNNNNNNNNNNNNNNNNNNNNNNNNNNNNNNNNNNNNNNNNNNNNNNNNNNNNNNNNNNNNNNNNNNNNNNNNNNNNNNNNNNNNNNNNNNNNNNNNNNNNNNNNNNNNNNNNNNNNNNNNNNNNNNNNNNNNNNNNNNNNNNNNNNNNNNNNNNNNNNNNNNNNNNNNNNNNNNNNNNNNNNNNNNNNNNNNNNNNNNNNNNNNNNNNNNNNNNNNNNNNNNNNNNNNNNNNNNNNNNNNNNNNNNNNNNNNNNNNNNNNNNNNNNNNNNNNNNNNNNNNNNNNNNNNNNNNNNNNNNNNNNNNNNNNNNNNNNNNNNNNNNNNNNNNNNNNNNNNNNNNNNNNNNNNNNNNNNNNNNNNNNNNNNNNNNNNNNNNNNNNNNNNNNNNNNNNNNNNNNNNNNNNNNNNNNNNNNNNNNNNNNNNNNNNNNNNNNNNNNNNNNNNNNNNNNNNNNNNNNNNNNNNNNNNNNNNNNNNNNNNNNNNNNNNNNNNNNNNNNNNNNNNNNNNNNNNNNNNNNNNNNNNNNNNNNNNNNNNNNNNNNNNNNNNNNNNNNNNNNNNNNNNNNNNNNNNNNNNNNNNNNNNNNNNNNNNNNNNNNNNNNNNNNNNNNNNNNNNNNNNNNNNNNNNNNNNNNNNNNNNNNNNNNNNNNNNNNNNNNNNNNNNNNNNNNNNNNNNNNNNNNNNNNNNNNNNNNNNNNNNNNNNNNNNNNNNNNNNNNNNNNNNNNNNNNNNNNNNNNNNNNNNNNNNNNNNNNNNNNNNNNNNNNNNNNNNNNNNNNNNNNNNNNNNNNNNNNNNNNNNNNNNNNNNNNNNNNNNNNNNNNNNNNNNNNNNNNNNNNNNNNNNNNNNNNNNNNNNNNNNNNNNNNNNNNNNNNNNNNNNNNNNNNNNNNNNNNNNNNNNNNNNNNNNNNNNNNNNNNNNNNNNNNNNNNNNNNNNNNNNNNNNNNNNNNNNNNNNNNNNNNNNNNNNNNNNNNNNNNNNNNNNNNNNNNNNNNNNNNNNNNNNNNNNNNNNNNNNNNNNNNNNNNNNNNNNNNNNNNNNNNNNNNNNNNNNNNNNNNNNNNNNNNNNNNNNNNNNNNNNNNNNNNNNNNNNNNNNNNNNNNNNNNNNNNNNNNNNNNNNNNNNNNNNNNNNNNNNNNNNNNNNNNNNNNNNNNNNNNNNNNNNNNNNNNNNNNNNNNNNNNNNNNNNNNNNNNNNNNNNNNNNNNNNNNNNNNNNNNNNNNNNNNNNNNNNNNNNNNNNNNNNNNNNNNNNNNNNNNNNNNNNNNNNNNNNNNNNNNNNNNNNNNNNNNNNNNNNNNNNNNNNNNNNNNNNNNNNNNNNNNNNNNNNNNNNNNNNNNNNNNNNNNNNNNNNNNNNNNNNNNNNNNNNNNNNNNNNNNNNNNNNNNNNNNNNNNNNNNNNNNNNNNNNNNNNNNNNNNNNNNNNNNNNNNNNNNNNNNNNNNNNNNNNNNNNNNNNNNNNNNNNNNNNNNNNNNNNNNNNNNNNNNNNNNNNNNNNNNNNNNNNNNNNNNNNNNNNNNNNNNNNNNNNNNNNNNNNNNNNNNNNNNNNNNNNNNNNNNNNNNNNNNNNNNNNNNNNNNNNNNNNNNNNNNNNNNNNNNNNNNNNNNNNNNNNNNNNNNNNNNNNNNNNNNNNNNNNNNNNNNNNNNNNNNNNNNNNNNNNNNNNNNNNNNNNNNNNNNNNNNNNNNNNNNNNNNNNNNNNNNNNNNNNNNNNNNNNNNNNNNNNNNNNNNNNNNNNNNNNNNNNNNNNNNNNNNNNNNNNNNNNNNNNNNNNNNNNNNNNNNNNNNNNNNNNNNNNNNNNNNNNNNNNNNNNNNNNNNNNNNNNNNNNNNNNNNNNNNNNNNNNNNNNNNNNNNNNNNNNNNNNNNNNNNNNNNNNNNNNNNNNNNNNNNNNNNNNNNNNNNNNNNNNNNNNNNNNNNNNNNNNNNNNNNNNNNNNNNNNNNNNNNNNNNNNNNNNNNNNNNNNNNNNNNNNNNNNNNNNNNNNNNNNNNNNNNNNNNNNNNNNNNNNNNNNNNNNNNNNNNNNNNNNNNNNNNNNNNNNNNNNNNNNNNNNNNNNNNNNNNNNNNNNNNNNNNNNNNNNNNNNNNNNNNNNNNNNNNNNNNNNNNNNNNNNNNNNNNNNNNNNNNNNNNNNNNNNNNNNNNNNNNNNNNNNNNNNNNNNNNNNNNNNNNNNNNNNNNNNNNNNNNNNNNNNNNNNNNNNNNNNNNNNNNNNNNNNNNNNNNNNNNNNNNNNNNNNNNNNNNNNNNNNNNNNNNNNNNNNNNNNNNNNNNNNNNNNNNNNNNNNNUUUCUUUUUUUUUUUUAAUUUUUUCAGGCCGGGCCGGUUAACCGACGGGCCUGGACCAAGGGUUAGCCGAUUUUAACAAAAUAAUCGGCCUGGGACCCGGAACCCUAAAGCCCUAGGGCUUACCGGGCCGGGGCAAACCGGGCCUAGUUAGUUAAUUUUUUCAGGCCGGGCCGGUUAACCGACGGGCCUGGACCAAGGGUUAGCCGAUUUUAACAAAAUAAUCGGCCUGGGACCCGGAACCCUAAAGCCCUAGGGCUUACCGGGCCGGGUCAAACCGGGCCUAGUUAGGUACGAGGGCCGGGUCGGCCGGCCCACUUGACACCCCUAGCCUAUAUGCUAACCCAAUAUGGUGUGACAAUAUUCCUCCUCAAGAUGGAAAUCUCUUCUUGAAAGAUGAGAGUACUCUUAAGGGUAGGGAAUGUGUAGUCUUGAAAAGGAAUAGUCAAUCGGGUGAAGAUGACCAUGAUUUUCUUGAUUACUUGGGAAACCCGAAAUGUGAUUGUUCUUGUAAAAAUGUUUUUAUGAAUGAUUCAUUUUCUGCCCAUGGUGAUUUAUAUCUAUGUGGGGAUUAUUCUCUUGAAAUAAAAGGUGGUGCAUGCUUAGAAAUUCCAUCUACUUCUUCUUUAUGUGUUCCCUAUGUUAAGCAUACUAGUGGUGAUGGGCUUGAAGCUAGUGAGUACAUGCAUAAGGACACCCCUAUAAUGCCGAAGAAAGCAAUCAAGUUGAUAGAGGCCACUUGUAGAUGCUAUUUGUGGUCUGGGGAAGCUACAAUAACAAGGAAUUCUACGGUGGCAUUAGAGAAAAUCUGCCUAUAGAACUAUGGAACCUAGCUGCAAUCUGUAAGUUGCUUUGGGCUGUGAGUCUACACACAGAGAAGCUAUGGAUUGCUAGGGUUGACACGCUAUAUAAAGAGGCAAAAUAUAAACACUGGAAUGCACUGGGGGACAUCAGCAAGCUAGUUCAUAAGAACAAACAAGUGUAGGAGUGAUUCAUAAAAUUCCUUUUAUAGCCAAAAAAAAAAAAAAUACAUUCUUCUCAUCAAUACAAUUAUUUAUCAAACAUUUUCAGCAAAAGAAGUUAUUCUGAACAAGAAUUGCCAAGAGCAUGUUCAACAUGCGAGAAGUUGAAUUCUGAUCUUUUGUAGCAUCCCUACAACAUCUUUCAUGUUUGUCCGUCUUGCUGGAGAUUCAGCACAGCAAUCUAGUGCCACUUUCAUGAUUGAUGUUACACAAUCUAACUUCUUCUUCAUGUGAUUAUCCAUCGCUGAAACCAAGUUGGAAUCCGCAACAUCCAUUACUGAAUCAGGAAGUGAAUAACUCACCCAGUGCUUCAAGCUAAGAUCUCCCUCAAACUCACUAGGCUUUCUCCUAGUAAACGCUUCCAGCAACAUGAUUACAUAACUAUACACGUCACAUUUAGUAGACACCAAUCCAUCUUGUCCAUACUCUACAAUCAAAAAAUUAUUAAAAGAUGUAACAUGAUAACUUGGUGGAAAAAGAGAAAGAGGAAAGAAAUGUGCAAAGCAAAAUCAAGAGACGUGCCUGGUGCAAUAUAACCCAAUGUUGCUAAUGUUUUUGUGUAUAAAUCACUCUCAUCUUCACCAAGAAGUUUUGAAAUGCCAAAGUCGCUUAGAUGUGCAACCAUAUCCUCAUCCAGCAAAACGUUACUAGGCUUUACGUCACAGUGAAUCACAGGCGAUGAGCACCCAUGGUGAAGAUAUUCCAAAGCACAUGCCACAUCUAUCAUUAUGCUUAGUCUCUGCUUGAUGUCGAGGAUGUAUUUGUGCUAAUACAAAUACUUCUCAAGACUCCCAUUAGGCAUAUAAUCGAGAACUAAAGCCUUGAAAUCAAGAUUGGAACAACUACUAAUGACUUUUACGAGAUUUCUAUGACGAAGGCUGCGCAAAACUUCACAUUCCGUAUCAAAACUCUUGAAUGCCGCAUCUAAUUGCAAAUUGAACACUUUAACUGCAAUGGCAGUUCCACUUCUGAGAACGCCUUUGUAAACAGAGCCAAAACUUCCAGAACCAAUCAAAUUACACUCGCUAAGCGCAUCAGUUGCUUCGAGCAAUUCAUAGUAUGAAAUUCUUUCUGCUUCAUUUUCAAUGAAAAACAGACUCGAGAGGUUCUUGAAAGGACCCCCUGAGGGUAUUUCACCAUACAAUUUGUUGAUAGAAACAUUGAAAUACUUCAGGUUUUGAAGUUUCUCCAAAGACUUGGGAAUAGUUCCUGAUUUGUUAUUAUGAGAAAGGUCUAGGAAUUCCAAACCUACCAAGUUGCUGACUGAGUCAGGUAUAGAUCCUUGCAACUUGUUGUGUCUCAAAGAAAGGUACACCAAAUUUUGCAAUCCUCCAAUUUCUCUAGGAAUUCCAUUUGAGAAUUGAUUCAUCGAUAGAUCCAUCUUUGUUACAACCUUUAGAUUUCCAAUUUCUGGAGGUAAAGAACCCACCAUGNNNNNNNNNNNNNNNNNNNNNNNNNNNNNNNNNNNNNNNNNNNNNNNNNNNNNNNNNNNNNNNNNNNNNNNNNNNNNNNNNNNNNNNNNNNNNNNNNNNNNNNNNNNNNNNNNNNNNNNNNNNNNNNNNNNNNNNNNNNNNNNNNNNNNNNNNNNNNNNNNNNNNNNNNNNNNNNNNNNNNNNNNNNNNNNNNNNNNNNNNNNNNNNNNNNNNNNNNNNNNNNNNNNNNNNNNNNNNNNNNAAGGUUUCUCAAUUUUCCAACUGCUGUGGGAAUCGAUCCAACCAAAUUGUUUUCAGAAAUAUCAAGGAACAAUAAGCUGCUUAGGUUCCCAAUUUCAUUUGGAAUUCGCCCUUUGAUUUUACAACUUUUGGCGUGAAACUUUAAAAGAGAUGUGGAAAGGUUCCCCAUGGAGGCAGGAAGCAUGCCGUUUAGAGGGUUGAAAGAUAGAGAAAGAACUGUUAAAUUUCUGCAAUUGUUUAAGGAAGUCAGAAAGCUUAACAAUGAGUCGCUGGUUAAAUUAUUUCCCACCAAGUUUAGGAUUUGUAGAUGAGUCAAAUAUCCAAGAGAAUUGGGAAUCAAGCCAGUGAGUUGGUUGUUACCAAGCUCUAGAAUAGUAAGUUUUGAACAAUUGGAGAUGGAAUGAGGAAUAGUCCCAACAAGAUUGGUUAAGUUCCACAGAUAAAGCUUUUCAAUGUUGAGUAAGAUAGAACACAUGAUUGGUGGGAGGCUUCCUGAUAUAUUGUUCAUUGAAAGCUCAAUUGUUCUCAGCCCGGAUAUGUUGAAGACCUCCAUUGGGAGUGAACCACUAAAACUAUUAAACUCAAGAGCAAGUACCUCCAACUCAAUGAGAUUGCUUAUCUCUUUGGGUAUUUCACCUGGAAACACAUAGUGGAUUACUAGUGAGUUUAAAUAGUUGGUUCAAUCUAUUUUUGCUAAUAUAUAAGAAUUUCGUCUUGUUUAAGUUGUCUCAAUCUCUCGUGGUAAGAAUCCACUAAGAUUUUAACUUUUAUGUUGUUGGUUAUACGAAAGUAUUAAGAGAAAAAAGAAAAAAAAGAAGUAUAGAAGAGAGCCAUUAAUUUGGCUUCUCUCCAUGCCUAAUACCACCAAACUUAGAUACCUCAAUUAAUGCAAUUACUGUGGAAUAAGAUAAUUCUGAAGUGUGAUAAUCUCAAUUAUCUUAGAAGAAGAAGAGGAAUUUUAUAACUGCUUCUAGUCUUUACAAAGAGGAAUUGUAGGAAUAACUAACUUGUUCUAGAACAUUCUUGUGUGCCAGCUCACUACACACUAACAACCAACUAACUAUCAAUCUGCCAGCUCAUCUAACUAACUGAGCAACAACUUGCUGCAGUGGAUUAAUAAAACAAAAAAAAUAGAAUGAAUGGAGCUGUAGAUAGACAUAAUGAAAUAUAAUCCUCAAGAACAUGAAGCAAUUAGAUAAAAACAUACCUGUUGAAUCAUUUUCUGAUAAAGACAAUACUUGAAGUUGUGAACAAUUUGAUAAGCUUGCAGGCAUAUGACCGUGAAACUUGUUUUUGGACAAAUAAAGCCCUUUGAGUAUUGGGAUACCAUUGCAUAAACCAUUGGGAAGAUUUCCUGAUAAGCUAUUGCCUGUAAAUGCAAUGACUUCGAUUCUUGAGAUAUUGAAAAUUGUGAAUGGUAUAGACCCCGUAAGUUGAUUAGCUUGUAUGACCAACAACUUCAUGUUGUGAAGAUUGCCGAUCCCUUCUGGAAUAUUCCCUUGAAGUGAAUUAAAAGAUAUAUCUAAAGUCUCCAAUCUCGAGGCAUUCAUGAGUGACAGAGGAAUAGAACCUAUGAGCUUGUUACCUCGCAACCUUAAUUCUCUAAGGUUUAUAAGACUUCCAAUCACUUUUGGUAUUUGUCCCUCAAUGGAAUUGAAAUUCAGAUUCAAAGUCUCAAGUGUGGACAUGUUAGAAAAUGAAGAAGGGAUGGAACCAGUGAAACUAUUAUUUCUAAUAUUAAUAACUUGAAGUUGAUGUAAAAAUCCAAACCAAGAAGGAAUCGCCCCUCUGAAGUUGUUGAAACUUAAAUCAAGAAACUUAAGCCGACGCAAGAGUGCCAUUUAUUGAGGCAAAUUUCCCUGGAAAUUGUUGCUUUCCAAGUCAAGAGAAACAAGAAAUGUGAGGUUUCCAAAUUCUCCGGUAAUCCUACCUGUAAGAGCCACGUUAGAAAGAUUCAAGGACUUCACUCGCUGAUGGCGAGAACCACAAGUGACUCCCACCCAAUGACAAAGAGAUGUAGCGGGAGACCAACUUUCAUCCAAGAAGUGAGAGGGGUCUGAAACGAUUUGGGAUUUCAAAGCGAGAAGAGCCAAUUGAUCAGUGGUAAUGUUGGUUUGGGUCAUGGCCGAACUAGCCAUAACAUAAUGAAACAGCGAGAGUACUAUUAAGAGAAAAGAACUGAAAGUUUUCUCCAUAAUGGCAUAAAUUGGUAGGAAUAUGGAUAUGGCUAGUAAUGAUGUUGGUUUGAAACUUUAAAUAGUAAAGAGAACUCUUGCUCUUUCUUUUCAUUCAAACAUCUUUUAAAAGAAAAAGGAAAAGUUUUCCUUUCUUUAUGUCAUCUCAAGAAUAAUAAUACAACUAAAGAAAGAAAUAUAACUCGCAUUGACUCGAAAAGGAGUCUUCCGCUAACUUUUAUAACAGUAGGUAAGAUGUUCAAUAACACAGAAAGAAUGAAUUCUGUACAUAUUUAACAAACAAAAUUUAAAUAUUUGACAAAGACUAUAAAUGUUACCAUUUUACAAACUUAAAGGACCAAAGCUAUUAAAUACAUGCUUAAGAGACCAUAUUGAAUCUACCACUAAACAUUAGAUACCAUUUGCGUUAUUUUAUCCGAACUUAUAUAACAAAUGUGAGGAUGCAAUAACACAGCAAGAAUGAAUUGAAUUAAUAUUAGAGAUAAAGCAUCCAGUACCUCCGAACUAUGGUCAAAGUUUCUACGACACACUUCAACUUCACAGUCACAGGGUCCUAUUACCCCUGAAAUUAGUUUUAGCUUAUUUUUGUCACCCUUUUGUGCUGACGUGACACCUUUAUUACAUAAAAUGAGACUAACGUCAAAGGUGCCACAUCAGCUAAAAAGGCUGAAAAAAGGUGCCACGUCAGUUAAAAUGAUUGACAAAAAUACGCUAAAAUUUAGUUUGCGGGGUAAUAGGACCCCGUAAAGUUGGAAUGUGUCGUAGCAAAUUUGUUCGUAGUUCAGGGUUACUAGAUGCUUUACUCUUAAUAUUACAAUGAAUUUGUAAGAAAGAUGUUCAUGUUUUAAAUGUCUCUUCCUUGCUAAAGUUACCAAUAAUUUCAAUAUUACAAUGACUUUAUAAGAAAGAUAUUCACGUUUAAAAUGAUUCUUUCUUUGAUGAAGUACCAAUAAUUUCCCUUCUUACACCUGUACUGGGGACAAGAAAUAAAAUUGUUGGCUCCAAAGAAAAAUUAUAAAAAGGAAACGUAAGGGACAGAUAUGAAAUUCACACUUUGAAUACAUUUUCUUGAUUGGAGUAUUAUUUUUGAUUUACAUCAUAACAAUAGUGACUUAGUUUUUGGCAAACAAAAAUCUAACAAGUGUCAGCUAUGGGGUUCAUUGGGAUUUGUAUCUUUCGAUCCCAUAUCAACAUAUCAACAACUUUUUAUGUUUGAAACCAUAAUUUGAUAUUUCAAUGUGUUCAAAUUGAAAAAGCUACUAAUAUAACAGCCAAUGUUACAUACUUUUUUCAUUUUCCAGAAGAGAACCCUGGCUGUUACUUCGAGGUAAUUACCAUCAGCCAACUUGACCUUUCAUGGUAAUAUUCGGACUUCCCACAUUCGUAUCAGCAAUCGAAGACUAUCGGUUUUCCUUCAUGAAUCUGCCUACGGGCACAUUUUCCUGUAUGAAGAAACAACAGGUUCGCCUGUUCUGGCAUGUCAGAAGCAGACGUAGGGUAUGGACCUCCUAGAACGAAUAGGAUCUAGAGCAUAGUACUAUUAAUGUAGCUUGGUGGAAAAAGAGAAAGAGGAAAGAAAUGUGCAAAGCAAAAUCAAGAGACGUGCCUGGUGCAAUAUAAUCAAGAGGUAGCUUCUGUUGUAAAAUGUGUCCUAAAAAAGUACUAACGUUAUUUUUUUCCAAAUCGUCAAGGUCAUUUCCAGUUUCAUCAUCACGGUGCUGCUUCAUACAUGGUUCUAUUGUUUUGCAAAUUUUGAUCUUCCCAUAAAAUGGUCAGCCACCCUUCUUCUAGAAAUGGACCUUGGGCCUAACUCAACCUCAAAAGCUAGCUCAUGAGGGAAGGAUUGCCCAAGACCAUAUAAGGAGACCAAGGAACCUUUAACCCACCGAUGUGGGACUCCAACACCAAUGGCUUUCUGUUUUCUCUGGAUGCGAAACUCAUUGCAUUUCCCAUACAGGGGUAGAGGUUAUAGAACAUGCAACAUUUAAACUAACUAUCGAUCGACAACAUUCUGAACUUGAGUGCACCUGAAAAGAAAUUGAAUGAACUGGAUGAACUAACACUAUAGUUCGACUGUUCCGCACUAGUGGGCCACCUUGAAUCUAGAGGGUUCACCCCCUUCAACGGAAAAUUAUACUAUUUUGAUACAUUUUUUUUUUAUACAAGAAAGACAAGGAACACACGAAAACACACUCCAAAAACAGUCCACUAGUUCAAGAACUGAGGACCCUUUUGAAGACCCUCUCAGAUUCAACAAACAACAACAAGAACACAAUAUAUUGUGGUGUUUAACACCUAAAAACAACCAACCAACAUACUAACAAGAUGGAUAACAAGAUGGAACAACAACAAGAAGAAGUUACGGGUUCACUAGAAACAAGAGGAACGAUUACAAGUUACAAACACUAACAAGAUUACAAUAAAAGAAACAAGGGAUAGAUAGAUCGACUACACGAAGAUGUAAUCUUAAAAACCUAAAAGCCCAUUCCACUCUUGGACCUUUAACAAUACACGCAACGAUUCACCUAUCUCUUACAUGACACGAGAUAAGAUUCCACCUCUCAAGCGCCAACAUUUUCAUACAAGAAUUUUUAAGGGAAAAGGUUCAAAUAUGUCAUCAAACUUUGAGAAAAAACUCAUUUAUACUAUCCGUUUAAAGUUUGGCUCAUUCAUGCCAUUGUCAUUACAAAAAAACUCAUUCAUGACAUUUUUUCUAACAGUCUAGUUUAAUGAUUUUUGGCAAUAUCAUUUUGUACACGUGGCCAGUAAAAAAAUUUUCACGUCAUUUACGAGUCAAAAAAAAUUUAAGGAAAAAGACUCAAAUAUGUCAUUGAACUAUCUGAAAUGACUCAUUUAUGCCAUUAGUUAAAAGUUCGGCUCAUUCAUGUCAUCGCUGUUACAAAAUCAGCUCGGUGAUGUCAUUACUUUUUAACAAUGGGUUUUCAAAAACAUCUUUGUCACGUGUCCUUUUAUUAGAGGUCCACUUCAUUAAUUAAAAUAAAUCAAUAUUAAUUUCAAAAUUAAAAAGAGCUGGUCUAUUUUAACAUAACGCGACCCAUACCAAUUCUACAACAACAAUAAUUUUUUCGGUAAGAAAAAUAGUGAUUAAUGUAUAUUCUUUGGUUGUUUCUUAUUGAUUCUAAAUCAUUAUAAAUGUUAUGCUUAACAGAAGCCUCAAAAGUUCUAUCCUACAAUAACUUUUUUUUUAUCCAACAGUAACUGAUUAUUUGACAUUCAAGUAACUCUAAUACAUACUUCGGAGUUGCAAAAAAAGAAGCUAAUGAACGAUUAUGUCAAGCAAGAAAAAGAAUGAGACAUACCAAUAGAACUUUUCCAUUUUGCCAUCACAAAUUAGGGGAGCAUAUAUUGUUGAAAAAUCAUUUUCAAAUAACAGCUUAGAAAAAGUCCGCCAUCCUAAUUAUUCCAUCAUGUACAUAAGAUAACUUAUCUCAUCACUAUGGUAUAAAUGGUGGGAUAAAUAAUUCCGAUACUAACUAAUUUCAGAUAUUUUGAAAUUAAUAUUAAUUUAUUUUAAUUAAUGACGUGGACCUCUAAUAAAAGAUCCCGUGACAAAACUGUUUUUAAAAAUACACCGUUAAAAGUAAUUGCAUGAAUGAAUUGGUUUUAUAACGGCGAUGACAUGAAUGAACCGAUCUUUCAACUGAUGAUAUAAAUGAGUCAUUUCUGAUAGAUCAAUGGUAUAUUUUAACCUUUUACCCUAUUUUAAUUAAUGACAUGGACCUCUAAUAAAAGGCCACGUGGAAAAGCUGUUUCUGAAAAUCCACCAUUAAAAAGUAAUGGCAUGGAUGAGCUGGUUUUUAAUGGCGAUGCCAUGAAUGUGUCACGACCCGAACCAGGGCCGGGCCGUGACGAGCAUUUUGAACCUUUGAGGCCCGAAACACCCCUAUCUGUCUGGUAAUCAUGCAUCUAAUUCAUAUGAUCAAAGUAAUGCGGAAGAAACACAAUAUGACGGAAACAUGGUCAAGAAUCAUAUGAAAAUAAUAAUCGGGAAUAAUGUCCCACAAUCUCAAUCAACAUUUCAAAAAUCGUCUGCGAAAUCUCUACUACAUGACUGAAAUAAGUAACUAUCUGAAAACUGGGACAAGGCCCCCAGUAGACCCAAAAAAAAACUUAAUAUAAGAUAAAAGGACUGCAGGACUUAAGACCUUCCGAAACAUAGAAGGCUCACCACUUGUCUCUACAGCUCUGUCUGAAAGUUCUACUGAUUCUCUUGACCCUUAGAUUGGGCCUCUGAACCUGAGAGGUUGGAGAGGGGAGGGGGUCAGCACAAAAGUACUGGCACGCAGAGAUAUCACAACAAAACAUAAUAUUGUUACAAAGUAUAGUUGAGAGCCAUUAUAAAGCAAUUUCGUAUCAAAUCACUUGAAAGCACAUGGGUGUAAUGCAAUAGGUUUUCUCAACAAUAAUGAAAUGCAACUGAGCUAGGUGGAAUACCCUAUAUAAUUUACACCAACUGUCAAACCUCAGUUGCCUUCGAGAUUAGAGUAUAAGUGAGGGAGAUACACACAAGAUCACAAAGCAUGGUGUCUCGACCCAAAUCAAAUAUGGUAGUGCACAAGACCACAAAGCAUGGCUCCUAACCAUAAUCCCAAUUUAGGAUAAUAUAAUAUCAGGUACGCAAGACCACAAAGCAUGGUACCGAUAUUCUAUGCUGGCAAGCACGUUCUUUCAGUGAUGAGCCGCUUGUGUCUCAAAUGCCUUCUUCGAGCAUCCACCUUUCUCAUGUAAAAUCAAUGCAUUCAAAUUUCAUCUUAUUCAAUCGCAUAUCGUAUUUUGAAGGGUAUCGUCAUACCCGACUUGCAAGUCAUCAAUAUCACAUCCACAUAUGCAUAAUCAUGUAAAAACCAAGGCGCUUCAUCAUUUACAAGUGGUGAACACAAUAUUUAUCAAAUUCAUGCUCUCUUUUGUUAAUCAUAAUAUAAUAUGGAGUAUCAAAACAUUAUCAUGGGAAUUUGAAAACAAUUUAUCAUUCAUAUUUAUCAACUUCCAUGGAAAAUCUCAAAUCACCUAUGCAUGAUUUCAACCAUUAAAGUAUAUAGGCAAACAAUUCCCAUGACAUUAAGAAAACAACUUAGAAAUCAUAUUGAAAGCAAGAUAUUAGCAUUUGAUUAAAAAUCCCCAUUUAAAAGCAUGCAUGUUCAUAAAACUACACCUAUGAGAUUUUUGGAUAACCCCACGUACCUCGAUUACUAUUAAUAUUAGGUGCUUCUUGAAGCCAACGUUGAGAGGAUUCCAAAUAUGCAAUUUGUUUCUAAAACCCACGGUUGAAUCUUGAGUAGCUUGGGUUUUUAUUUUGAAACCCUAAGGAGAAUCUUGAGCACUUUUGAUGAAAGAAUAUGUAUUUUGGGGUCCUUGGAACUAAAAUUCGUGUUUUAGGGCUAAGUAAGGGUGGAAAAGGACCACUUUGUCCUCAACACAGAGUGUUUAAAUUACCAGAAUUCCUUACAUAGGCGCCGCCCAUCCCAUCGCCUAUCUUCACAUAGGCGCCACCUAGGGUAUUGACUAUGUUCGCAUAGGCGCCGCCUAGGCUAUUGCCUUUGCUUUCUAGUGGCCAUGGGAGAUUGGUUAGGCGUCGCUUAUCGCUUUGAAAGGCCAUAACUUCUUGCUCGGGUGUCAGAUUUUAGCCAACUUGGUAUCGUUGGAAAGCUAACUCGAAUACCUAUCAUUUGAAACAUAGUAGGUUCCCUAAUUCGACAUAUACAGAGAGUUAUGGUCGAAGGAAGCUGACACACUUUACAACAUUUACUAAAACUUAGUCGAUCAAAAUAGUUCCAACUUGUCCUUUAGUUGAGGGACCUCUAUGGUCUAAAUUCAAGCUUGAGUGGAUUUCACAUGCUACACGAUAAUUAACAUGCCAUGUUGGCAUAGAAUUUUAUGGCUUCGGGAUUAACAACGCAUCAAAAUCAUGGUCUAUACUGUAGCCCGAAUUGCGGGGCGUUACAUUAUCCCCCCCUUAGGAUCAUUCAUCCCCGAAUGAUGAUGCGAGACACAGGCAGACACGAUUUUAAGCAUAAAAAAAGGACUAGGAAAGAUAAGAUAGGAAUAGUACCUUCUGUCUCCUCCUCCAUCGAAGCAAACAAAUUGGGAUAUCUAAUUCUCAUGUCAUCUUCUGACUCCCAAGUUGCUUCUUCAACUUUUUGAUUCCUCCACCGUACCUUUACUGAGGCUCUCUCUUUGCUCCUCAACUUUUGAACUUAGCGAUCUAAAAUUUCAACGAGCUCUUCUUCGUAAGACAAGGAGUCUGUCACUUUGAUACCCUCUACUAGCAAUACCAUAGAAUGAUCUCCAAUGUAUUUCUUCAACAUGGAUACAUGGAAUACCGGAUGAACGAAACCCAAACUUGCAGGCAAUUCUAACUCAUACGCAACUGUAUCAAUCCUUUUCAAAAUCUGAUAUGGCCUUACAUAACAAGGGCUCAAUUUACCCCUUUUUCCAAACCGCAUAACUUCUUUCAUAGGAGAAACCUUGAUAAACAACCAAUCACCAAUUUCAAACUCUAGUUCUCUUCUCCGAAUAUCGCCAUAGGACUUCUGACGACUCUAAGCUGUCUUGAGUCGUUCUCUAAUGAUCUUCACUUUCACCAUCGCCUGAUGAACAAGAUCAGGCCCAUACAAAUGAGUCUCACCUACUUCAUACCAUCCUAUCGGAGACCUACAUCUCCUCCCAUACAAAGCCUCCCAUCUUGAUACUGGCAUGGUAACUAUUAUUGUAAGCAAAUUCAACAAGUGGCAGGUGAUCUACCCAACUACCUUUGAAAUCAAUAACGCAUGCCCUCAACAUAUCUUCGAGGGUCUGAAUAGUAUGCUCAGCUUGCCCAUCCAUCUGAGGGUGGAAAGCUAUGCUCAAAUUCACUUGUGUACCUAAACCCUUCUGAAAAGAUCUCCAAAAUUGAGAUGAAAACUGCGUACCUCUAUUGGAUAUAAUGGACACUGGUGACCCAUGCAAUUGAACUAUCUCCUCAAUGUAAAUCUUAGCAUAAACCGCUCCCGAAUAAUUAGUCCUCAUAGGCAAAAAGUGGGCUGACUUGGUCAACCGAUCUACAAUCACCCAUAUAGAAUUAUACUAUUUUCGAGAUCUUGGAAGUCCUAUAAUGAAGUCCAUGUUUAUCAUCUCCCACUUCCAUAAAGGCAGGGCUAUCUCUUGGGAAGUACCACCUGGCCUCAUGUGUUCUACCUUCACUUGUUGACAGUUCAAACACUUGGACACAAAAUCAGCUACAUCACGUUUCAUGUUAUUCCACCAAUACAAGGUUUUCAAAUCAUGGUACAUCUUAGUAGAGCCUGGGUGAAUGAUAUAACUAGAAGUGUACACCUCAUUAAGGAUUCUUUCCCGUAUCCCAUCGACAUUCGGAACACAAAACCUACCCUGAAAUCUCAGAAUACCAUCGCCACUAAUUUCAAACGACAUAACCUUUUGUUGACCCACAUCUUUCUUGAUUUGCAUCAAGAUGGGAUCUUUAACCUGCUUUUCCUUAACUUCAGCACAAAGAGAUGACUUAGCCAACUCAUGAACAAUCACCCCUCCAUCUUCGAAAUCUAAGAGUCGCACUCCCAAAUUUGCAAGGCAGUAAAUAUCCUUCACCAUUUCUUUCUUUCUUUCUUCUACAUGAGAAAGGCUGCCCAUAGAAAACCUGCUGAGGGCGUUGGCUACAACAUUUGCCUUGCCCGGAGGGUAAUGCAGACUCAUAUCAUAGUCUUUCAAAAGCUCCAUCCAACGCCUCUGCCUGAGGUUCAAUUCUUUCUGUGAGAAAACAUACUGUAAAGUCUUAUGGUCGAUAUAAAUAUCGACAUGCACUCCAUAGAGAUAGUGCCUCCAGAUUCUAAGUGAAAACACCACGGCUGCUAACUCCAAGUCAUGAGUGGGGUAAUUGCGCUCAUGCACCUUUAGCUGCCUAGAUGCAUAAGCAAUCACCUUACCACACUGCAUCAAUACACAACCAAGUCCCACAUGGGACGUAUCACAAUAAACCACAAAAUCAUCUAUACCCUCGGGAAGGGUCAAAACAGGAGCAGUAGUCAGCUUGUCCUUCAAUUUCUCAAAACUAUUUUCACACAAGUCAGACCAUACAAACUUCAUCUUUUUCUGAGUUAGUUUAGUAAGCGGAGCGGCUAUGGAAGAAAAACUCUCUACAAACCAUCUGUAAUACCCCGCCAAACCCAAGAAGCUCUGAAUAGCGGUUGGAGUCGUGGGCCUGGGCCAUUUUCUCACUGCUUCAACUUUAUGGGGAUCCCCUCUUAUCCCGUCACUGGACACAAUAUGCCCUAGGAAGGCAAUAGCGUCUAACCAGAAUUCACACUUAGAAAAUUUGACAUACAACUGAUGAUUCUUAAGGGUCUGAAGGAUAAUUUUGAGGUGAUUGGCGUGAUCCUCAUUAUUCAUAGAAUAGAUCAGAAUCUCAUCAAUAAAUACAAUGACGAACAAGUCAAGAAAUUGAUGGAACACUCUAUUCAUAAGAUCCAUGAAGGCUGCAGGGGCGUUAGUCAACCCGAAGGACAUGACUAGAAAUUCGUAGUGACCAUAUCGUGUUCGGAAGGCUGUCUUGGGUAUGUCUGACUCCCUAACUUUCAACUGAUGAUAACCCGAACGAAGGUCUAUUUUUGAAAAACACUUGGCAUCGCAUGAAGAGCACGGGUGCACCCCAUGGGGAAACACUAGGACGAAUAAAACCUUUGUCUAGGAGGUCUGCAAGCUGUUCCUUUAGCUCCUUUAGUUCUGCUGGAGCCAUUCUAUAUGUCGGAAUAUAAAUAGGACGAGUGUCUAGCAACACAUCAAUGCUAAAAUUUAUCUUCCUACCAGGGGGUAUCCCUGGGAGAUCUUCGGGAAAGACUUCUGGGAAUUCAUUCACUACAGGGAGUGACUGCAGAGGAAGGUUUCCAACUUUUGAAUCUGUUACUUGGAUUAGAUGAUACGUACAAACUUUAGAGAUAAGCUUUUGGGCUCUAAGAUAAGAGAUAAAGUGACCUCUAGGUUCCACAGAACUCCCUGCCCAAGCAACUGGUGUCUCAUUCGGGAAAGAAAAAGUGACCUUUCGAGUUCUGCAAUCAAGGGUGGCAUAACAUGAAUGGAGCCAGUCCAUCCCAAGGAUGGCAUCAAAGUCUAUCAUAUUCAGUUCUAUAAGGUCUGCCACAGUUUCCCUACCGUGACUAGAGACGACAUAAUUUCUAUAUACCCUUUUAGCAACAAUAGAAUCACCUACAGGAGUAGAAAUAGAGAAGGGUUCUAUAAUAACUUCAGGCUCAAACCUGAAACCAAUAGCUACAUAAUGGGUCACAUAAGAUAAAGUGGACUCGGGAUCAAGAAAUACAUAAACAUCACGAGAAAAGAUUCGUAACAUACCGGUGACAACAUCUGGAGAAGCUUCCGCCUCCUGGCGGUUAGUCAAAGAAAAUAACCGGUUGCGACCUCUUCCGAAAGCUGAAGGGGCACCCUUAGGAAAAGGAGCUGUGGAGGUAGCUUGGGACUUAACCCCCCCCCCCCCCCAUAUUUACUCCAGCACAAGGAUAAUCUCUCUGAAGGUGACCCAUUUUGCCAUAAGUAUAGCAGUUUCUUCCCUCAAACCAGCACUUCCCUAGAUGAUUUGUUCCGCAAACCUCACACCGCGGAUGAGUACGAUGCUGUUGGGCCACACUGCCCUGAGACUAUGUACCUAGAGCUUUGGACCCAUGAGGAGUCUGAAAACUCUGAGUUUGUCUGUCUGUCGGUGAUCUGGUUGCUGGGGCGCUGCCUGCUGACUGUUCAUUAUUCCAAAACUUCUUCUUCUUCGACCACUUAAUACCCCAGUUACCACUCUGUGGUUGACUCUGGCACUGGUCCGCAGAUCUAGCAUUCUUCGCCUGUCUUUCUUUCUCUCUAGAUUCAGAAACCUUUUUCUUCUUCUCUUCCACUUGAUGUAUAUGAACGGUCAGUCGAAAAAAGUCUAACUCCUUAUUCAAGAUAGCCCCCUGGCACUCAAGUACUAGGUCAUCAGCAAGGCCAGAUGCAAAUUUCCUCAUUCGGGCCCUCAUAUUACUAGUCAACUCUGGUGCAUAGCGGGCUAGUUUAUUAAACUUCAAAGUGUACUCCUGGACACUCAUACUGCCCUGCUUUAGAUUCAUAAACUCUUCUGCUUUGGCCUCUCUCAACUCUAGAGGAAAGAAUCGAUCAAGGAAGGCUUCCACAAAUUCACCCCAAACUGUGGGCUCAGCACUUUUACCUUUUUCAUCUUCCUAGUCGGCAUACCAUUGACUCACAACGUCCUUGAGACGAUAGGUUGCUAACUCCACCCCUUCAACCUCAUCCACAUGCAUCACCUUAAAGAUCUUUUCCGUCUCAUCCACGAACUCCUAUGGAUAUUUCUCUACCUUGGUGCUAGUGAACUUAGGUGGGUUUAUCUUCAUGAAAUGUUUGACUCUAGUAGCCUCAGAUGUAACAGAUGCAGAUGCAACAUCUUUCGAUUGUUGAGCUUGGUUGGCUACCAACUACGUCAGCAUAUGAAUAGACUGUCUGAAUUCUGUAUUUGAAAUAUCUCCCUGAGCAGUUGAGGGACGGUUGACAUUAGUCCACAGAGCCCGAGGUGGACUGGUCAGGACUGGAGGGACUCCCGGAGUAGGGACAAAUUAUGGAGUGUGAGCCCUAUUACGGGUCCACAUCCCAUGGGUGGGACGGAACUCAUCUGCCUAUGCAUUUUGAUCGACGAUAUGACGUGGAGGCAUAACAGUUUAGAAUAUGAAGCACGAACUAAAUCACAAAGAAGGGAAACAUUUCCUAAACGCCUAGUAGCCUCCUGCUUAUAAGUGUGGCACACUACACACCCAUAGCACACUACACACCCAUAAAAAAGACUCUACCCGAUGCAUUUUUGCAGACAGCCUAGGACCAUGAACCGCGCUUUGAUACCAAGUUUGUCACGACCCAAACCAGGGCCUGGCCGUGAUGAGCAUUUCAAACCUUUGAGGCCCGAAACACACCUAUCUGUUUGGUAAUCAUGCACCUAAUUCAUAUUAUCAAAGUAAUGCGGAAGAAACACAAUAUGAUGGAAACAUGGUCAAGAAUCACAUGAAAACAAUAAUGGAGAAUAAUGUCCCACAAUCUUAAUCAACAUUUCAAAAAUCGUCUGCGAAAUCUCUACUACAUAACUGAAACAAGUAACUAUCUGAAAACUGGGACAAGGCCUCUAGUAGACCCAAAAAAAACUGAAUAUAAGAUAAAAGAACUGCAGGACUUAAGACCUUCCGAAACAUAGAAGGCUCACCACUUGUCUUUAUAGCUCUAUCUAAAAGUUCUACUGAUUCUCUUGACCCCUAGACUGGGCCUCUGAACUUGAGAGGUUGGAGAGGGGAGGGGGUCAGCACAAAAGUACUGGCACGCAAAGAUAUAAAAAAAACAUAAUAUUUUUACAAAGUAUAGUUAAGAGCCGUUAUAAAGAAAUUUCGUAUCAAAUCAUUUGAAAGCACAUGGGUGUAAUGCAAUAGUGUUUCUCAAUAAUAAUGAAAUGCAAUUGAGCUAGGUGGAAUACCUUACAUAAUUUACACCAACUGUCAAACCUCGGUUGCCGCCGAGAUUAGAGUAUAAGUGAGGGAGAGACACACAAGACCACAAAGCAUGGUGUCUUGACCCAAAUCAAAUAUGGUAGUGCACAAGACCACAAAGCAUGGCUCCUAACCAUAAUCCCAAUUUGGGAUAGUAUAAUAUCAGGUACGCAAGAUCACAAAGCAUGGUACCGAUAUUCCAUGUUGGCAAACACGUUCUUCCAGCGAUGAGCCGCUUGUGUCCCAAAUGCCUUCUUCUGGCAUCCACCUUUCUCAUGUAAAAUCAAUGCAUUCAAAUUUCAUCUUAUUCAAUCACAUAUCAUAUUUUGAAGGGUCUCGUCAUACCCGACUUACAAGUCAUCAAUAUCACAUCCACAUAUGCAUAAUCAUGCAAAAAUCAAGGUGCUUCAUUAUUUACAAGUGGUGAACAAUAUUUAUUUCAAAUUCAUGCUCUCUUUUGUUAAUCACAAUAUAAUAUGGAGUUUCAAAACAUUAUCAUGGAAAUUUGAAAACAAUUUAUCAUUCAUAUUUAUCAACUUUCAUGGAAAAUCUCAAAUCACAUAUGCAUGGUUUCAACCAUUGAAGUAUAUAGGCAAACAAUUCCCAUGACAUAAAGAAAAUGACUUAGAAAUCAUAUUGAAAGCAAGAUAUUAGCAUUUGAUUGAAAACCCCCAUUUAAAAGCUUACAUGUUCAUAAAACUACACCCAUGAGAUUUUUGGAAAACCCCACGUACCUCGAUUACUAUGAAUAUUAGGUGCUUCUUGAAGCCUACGUUGAGAGGAUUCCAAAUAUGCAAUUUGUUUCUAAAACCCACGGUUGAAUCUUUAGUAGCUUGGAUUUUUAUUUCGAAACACUAAGGAGAAUCUUGAGCAUUUUUGAUGAAAGAAUAUGUAUUUUGGGGUCCUUGGAACUAAAAUUCGUGUUUUAGGGCUAAGUAAGGGUGGAAAAGGACCACUUUGUCCUCAACACGGGGUGUUUAAAUCACUAGAAUUCCUUACAUAGGAGCCUCCCAUCCCACCGCCUAUCUUCACAUAGGCGCCUCCUAGGCUAUCGCCUAUGUUCGCAUAGGCGCCGCCUAGGCUAUCUUCUAUGUUCGCAUAGGCGCCGCAUAGGCUAUCGCCUAUGUUCGCAUAGGAGCCGCCUAGGCUAUCGCCUAUGUUCGCAUAGGCGCCGCCUAGGCUAUCGCCUAUGUUCACAUAGGCACCGCCUAGGCUAUUGCCUAUGCUUUCCAAUGGCCAUGGGCGAUUGGUUAGGCAUUGCUUAUCACUUUGAAAGGCCAUACAUCUUGCUCGAGUGUCAGAUUUUGGCCAACUUGGUAUAGUUGGAAAGCUAACUCGAAUACCUAUCAUUUGACACAUAGUAGGUUCCUUAAUUCGACAUAUACAGAGAGUUAUGAUCGAAGGAAGCUGACACACUUUACAACAUCCACUAAAACUUAGUCGAUCAAAAUAUUUUCAACUCGUCCUUGAGUUGAGGGACCUCUAUGGUCUAAAUUCAAGCUUGAGUGGAUUUCACAUGCUACGCGAUAAUUAACAUGUCGUGUUGGCAUAGGAUUUUAUGGCUUCGGGAUUAACAACGCAUCAAAAUCAUAGUCUAUAUUGUAGCCCGAAUUGUGGGGUGUUAUAGAAUGAGUCAAACUUUUAACUGGUUUUUUAAGCCUUUUUCCUAUUUCUAAAAAAAUUUUACCAAGCCAACAUGAAAAAUUGAAAUACUAAUUAUCGAGACAAUAAUUCCUAGAUGACUAGACGCUACGAAUUGUUUUCUAAAUAUGUGGGGCCUUGGCUACAAAUUUAUAGUGUAAGUGGUUAACAAGCUAGGAGAUUCUUUUUGCAAUGAAUGGCCACUUGUCUAUGUUGUCUUUAUUUUGAAGCUUAUGUCUAAUGUUAGAGUUUGUGACCCCAAUUUUGUUGAUUCGACCCUGAAAAAAUCGUGUUGCGAUCCAUGUUUGAGACUUUUUGGAGUUUGUUUUUGGGCUUAGCAUUUAUUUGUACACACGUAUUAUAUAAGUGCGAUUUAGUGGGUUUUUUUGGAAGUUUUAUAUAUGUCAUUGAGAUGUUCGUCUCGUCAUUAUAUUCCUCUCCAUUAUAGUGAAUUUUCUCCUCCUUUGCCUGUGAUUUUUUCCAUCAAGAGUUUCCAAAUAAAAUCUAUAUGUUCUUGUUUUCUUUUGUUUUGUGGUAUUGCUUAUUCCUGUUCGUUUCAAUAACAACAAAUUUAACCUUAACUUUCUAAUGAAUAUUCUUCUCCCACAUUUUAUUUUCAAACUAGGUACACUCUCAUCCCUAAUCCGAAUUCCUAUCGCGUAAGACUCGUUAAACCAGAAGCACUUUCUACCAAGAUUAUUUUAAAAUUCAAGGUGCAAAUCCGAGAUCUUUGAUUAUAGGGGGAGGAUUCAUGUUCAGCCACAACGACCCUUAACGCUAAAUUUUACUCUCAUAGAGAUAUUUUUAUUAAUUUAUAUUCUUAAAUAGUACGCAAUAUUUCUUUGUAACGGCUGAUGUCAUUUGACUCUUCAGUUACUUGGUUCCCUAACUCAGCGAGCAAAAUACUCCUUGCGCCGCUAGAGCCAUGUUGGAGACAAGUAUAUAGCUUAGUUUGUGUUGAUGUCAACUGUUAUGAUCGGGUAGAAUAAGCAAUACCACAAAGCAAAAGAAAUUAAGAAGAAGACACGGAUUUACAUGGAAACUCUUGCAGGAAAAAACCACGGGCAAAGGCAGAGGAAUUUCACUAUGAUGGAUGGAGAAUAUAAUGAGGAAAAUGCCGUAUUUAAAAACAUCCAAAAACGACCCACUAAAUCACACUUAUAAUAUGUGCAAUACAAAAUAAAUCGUAGGCCCAAUCCCUACGCUACCACCACAGACCCCACAAAAAAUCAUAAAAAUGGGUCGCACCGUGAACUUUUCAGGGCCAGAUUAACGAAAUACAGGUCACAAACUCUAACAUCAACCAUAAUAAUGGUAGCAAAAGAAAUCCUCUACUCAUUUUUUUAGGAUAAUUUUUUUUUGUUGACGAGAAGAUAGAGAAUGAAGCUCAUUAUACUUGAGUGUUGAUGCAGUAGUACAAGCAAUAUACAAUGCAUCAUAAUAUUACUACUUAGGCACUGAUGAAAAACAUACUACGCAUCAUAACAUUAUACUUUAGUGUUGAUGCACGAGUUGCAUUGUUUCGAGGAUUUUUAUCUCCAGAAUUAGUAGGUGAUAUUCCCAUAAAUGGGCAAAGGAUGCUUUUUUAGACUCGAAUCGCCUUUUCCUCGAUCUAUAGCAAUCUUAUAAUUAUUAUUGUCCUGUAGAUACUGAUACUUAUAUAGUUAUAGUAUAUGCUAAGCUCAAUAUGCUGAAUUGUGCUAAAGUAUUAAUUUCUUGCUAAUGGAGUUUGACGCUCUAAGAACAAAACGAUGCAGUUGGAAAGAAGAAAGGAGAAAAUUCUUGAUGAUCAAUUAUGUAUGAAUCUUAAACUGAAUUUGAAAAGUUUUUUUUUUUUUUUAUGGAACUAAAAUAAUUUUGCGUGGACUCUUAUUACUUAUAAUGUUCCUCCCAGCACUAGUGCUAAAUGGUCCAUCUUUCACAACAUAAUUGGUAUAUUUCUUAUCACUAUUGGGAUUGCAUGUAUUGUCGCUCACACCAUAACCUGUACCAAGAGCGCGCGGAUAUGUUCCAACAUGAUAGCUUUCGAAAGCAAAUGUAGAUUAGUUAAAUGACCAUACCAAAAGCAGUAUCAUAGCUCUGCUUGGCUAUGAGUGUGGUGAGCUUCCUCUCAAGUAUACAUUAAAAGAGUCACUGUUCUGCAACGCAAACCCCUACUGGCAAAGAUUACUGCCAAGAUCAAUACAAGGAUGGUCAAAUGUUUAUAAUGCCGAAGAAAGCUAUCAAGUUAAUAGAGGCUACUCGUAGAAGCUAUUUGUGGUCUGGGGAAGCUACAAUAACAAGGAAUUCUAUGGUGGCAUGGGAGAAAAUCUGCCUAUAGACUAUGGAACCAAGCUGCAAUCUGUAAGUUGCUUUGGGCUUUAAGUCUACACAGAGAGAAACUAUGGAUUGCUUGGGUUGACACGUUAUAAAGAGGCAGAAUAUAAACACAGGAACAAAUUCUUUGCUAGAGCAGACAAAAUGAUAAGAGGAGAUGUAGAAAAUGCGGCAUGGAGCCUAAGUGUGUUUUUAUCUUAUGUCUUUACUUUCAUGGGAGUUCGAUAAUGGACUAAAGAUGUUUUUAUCAGCUGAUAUAUGAAUGUAGAUCCUAUGUCUGUGUUUCGUAAAAGCGAGUCAAAAGAGCAUUUGUUCGUUGAAUGUAAGGCGAGUCUGUUAGUUCCAUUCUGAGAAGGGAAGUGUAUAGAAGUACCAUUCCUUGGUAAUUCAUGCAAUUCAUUUAAUUGGCAGAAGAAAAAAACAUUCUUCUCAGCAAUACAAUUAUUUAGCAAACAUUUUCAGCAAAAGAAGUUAUUUGGAACAAGAGUUGCCAAGAGCAUGCUCAACAUGUGAGAAGUUAUUCUGAUCUUUUGUAGCAUCCCUACAACAUCUUUCAUGUUUGUCCGUCUAGCUGGAGACUCAGCACAGCAAUCUAGUGCUACUUUAAUGAUUGAUGCCACACAAUCCAACUUCUUCAUGACGUGAUUAUCUGUUGGUGGAACCAAGUUGGCAUCAGCAACAUCUAUUACUACAUCAGGAAGUGAAUAACUCACCCAUUGUUUCAAGCUAAGAUCUUCCGCAAACUCACUAGGCUUUCUCCUGGUAAAGGUUUCCAGCAACAUGAUUCCAUAACUAUACACGUCACAUUUAGUAGACACCAAUCCAUCUCGUCCAUACUCUAGAAUAAAACAAUUAUUUAAAGAUGUAACAUGAUAACUUGGUGGAAAAAGAAAGGGAAAAGAAAUGUUCAAAGCAAAAUCAAGAGAAGUACCUGGCGCAAUAUAACCCAAUGAUGCUAAGGUUUUAGUGUAUAAUUCACUUUCAUCGUCACCAAGCAGUUUUGGGUUACCAAAGUCGCUUAGGUGGUCAACCAUAUCCUCAUCCAGCAAGACAUUACUCGGCUUCAGAUCACAGUGAAUCACAGGCGACGAGCAACCAUGGUGCAGAUAUUCCAAUGCACAUGCCACAUCUAUCAUUAUGCUUAGCCUUUGCAUGAUGUCUAAGAAGUAGUUGUGCGAAUACAAAUACUUCUCAAGGCUCCCAUUAGGCAUAUACUCGAGCACUAAAGCCUUAAAAUCAAGGUUGGAACAGCUAGUAAUGACUUUUACGAGAUUCCUAUUGCGAAGGCUGCGCAGAACUUCACAUUCUGUAUCAAAGCUCUUGAAUGCUGCAUCUAGUUGCAGAUUGAACACUUUAACUACAAUGGCAGUUCCACUUCUGAGAACACCUUUGUAAACAGAGCCAAAACUUCCAGAACCAAUCAGAUUACUCUCGCUAAGCGCAUCAGUUGCUUGUAUCAAUUCAUAGUAUGAAAUUCUUUCUCUUGUUAUUGCAGACAAUGAAUCAGCUUGUUGAGGAGCUCUUUUACCUUUUCUAUACCAUAUCCAGAAAAAAAUAAAGGUGCAAGGAACAACUACUAGUGCAAUUCCCAGCAAAAGAAAAAGAACUAGUAUUUUUUUCCUGUUUGAUUUGUGCGUUGAUGAAGUGGGGCAUGGAGGGACACUAAAUCUUGAAGAACCACACAAUGCUUCAUUGUAGAUGAAAAACUGGCUCGAGAGGUUCUUGAAAGGACCUCCCGACGGUAUUUCACCGUACAAUUUGUUUACAGAAACAUUGAAAUAUUUCAAGUUUUGAAGUUUCUCCAAAGACUUGGGAAUUAUUCCAGAUAUAUUGUUAUGAGAAAGGUCUAGGAUCCUUGCAACUUGUUGUGUUUCAAAGAAAGGUGUGCCAGAUUUUGCAAUCCUCCAAUUUCUCUUGGAAUUCUAUUUGAAAAUUUAUUCAUCGAUAGAUACAUCUUUGUUACAGCCAUUAGAUUUCCAAUUUCUGGAGGUAAAGAACCUACCAUAUUUUUUGACGAUAAGUCAAGAACCACUAGAUCGUGAAGGUUCCCUAAACUUGGUGAUAUAUUGGAACUCAAUUUGUUGGAAAUGAGACGUAUCUCCUAAGGGAAUUAAUAUUCCAUAAAAAAUUAGGAAGAGAUCCUGAAAGUUGAUUUUGAUCCAAGUAAAUAUCACCCAGAUGCUGCAAUUUACAUAUAUGAUCACCAACAAAUCCUGUAAGUUUGUUGUUACUCAAGUCGAAGCGCUGAAGGUUUCUUAAGUUGCCAAUUGCUGUGUGAAUUGAUCCAGCCAAGUUGUUUCCAGAAAGAUCAAGGAAUAAUAAGUUGUUUCCUUGGUCAAGUCGCUAAAACCUGGUUUUGCAUAAACACCAAAAUAUUCCUAAAAUCAUUUGUCUUUUCAAAAAUAAACUUUUUCAAGGUUUAUCAAAAGACGUUUUUAAACAGGUCAGAUAACCGUAAGUUAGCGGACGUUUUAGGUGCCUAACACCUUCCUAAAACGUUAAUAGGAAUCGCUUACUUAGAAUCUCUUAACUUAAAAUGAUUUUCUUGUUUUGAAUCGUUUUAAGUAACUCUCUAAAGGUUUCUUAAUUCCUUUUCAAAAUUAAGUGGCGACUUUCUUCAAAAGUCAAAAUUUCUCUGCAAAACAAUAACUACUGGUGAUAAAUUUUCUAAGAGAUGUGGAAAGGUUCCCCAUGGAGGCCGGAAGCAUGCCAUUUAGCGGGUUGAGAGAUAUAUCAAGAAAUGUUAAAUUUCUACAUUUGGUUAAGGAAGUCAGGAAGCUUAAUGAUGAGUCACUGGUCAAAUUGUUUCCCCCUAAACUUAGAUAUUGUAGAUGAGUCAAAUAUCCAAGGGAAUUGGGAACAAGCUAGUGAGUUGGUUGUUACUAAGGUCUAGAAUAGUAAGUUUUGAAUAAUUGGAGAUAGAAUGAGGAAUUGUCCCAACAAGAUUGGUUAAGCUACUCAGAUAAAGCUCUUCAAUGUUGGGUAUGAAAGAACACAUGUUUGGUGGGAGGCUUCCUGAUAGAUUGUUUUCUAAAAGAUCAAUUUCUCUCAGCCCGGAUAUGUUGAAGAUCUCCAUUGGGAGUGAACCACAUGAAACACCCCGUAUUUUUGGGCUAGAGUUUAGACCGUCGUUCCUACGUAUAUAGACUCGAACUGAAUUAUUCUUUAUUAACAUACGUGUGGUAAACACUCCUAUCGUAAUGCCCCGUAAAAUUCUCAAGUCGAUUUCAUUUUUAGUGUUAUGUUUGAGGGGCUAACAACUAGAAUAUUUUUCUAAGUGUAAUGAGGACUUAGAGUCAUUUUAGCUGGCAAUCUUCGGGAGACAACUUUUCAACCAUCCCGACAUCCGUUUUUAGAUUUUCUAGUUGAGUUACGAUCCAGAAAGCUCAUAGUAAAUCUCGGAUAGGUUUCGGAAUUUUUCGGAACGCAUAAGGCUGUGUUUGGAUUUCAAAACAGUAGCAAACCGCAUAGCCUAUUGCCCAGUUUUCAGAAUUUCAGGGUCAACUUCAAACGAUCAUAACUCUCUGAAUAUAAUAAAUUGAGAAAGAAGCUACCUAUCAAAUGAAAGAUCUUUGAGUCUUCUUUCCAAUGCAACUGGUUUCAUCCAAAUCAAACAUCUGAGUAAGGAGUUAUACCCAUUUUACUUCAGUUUAUCAGCUUAUCAACUGAGGGACAGUUUCAAAUUUGUUUGUUUUCUUAGGGGCAUUUUAGUGAUUUCACCACACCAGAUUUAGCCCCCAAUUCAUCAAACUAUAAUCCUUUUCUCAAAUUUUCUCUCAAAAACACCCCUUAGGAUUUCAAAAUAAAAAUCCCAAUAACUCAAGAUUCAACCAUGGGUUUUCAAAAUAAAUUGAAGAUUUGGAAUCCCCGUAACAUAGGCUUCAAGAAGCACGUAUCACAUUUGCAUAUAGAGGUAUGUGCGGUUAUCUCAAAAAUCUCAUGGGCUUAAAAAUUCAUGUUUUAAAAAUGGGAUUUUUGAAAUUAUGAAUAUAAACAUGUUUCAAGCAUCUUUAUGAUAUUGAUUUGAUCUUUAGGCCUAUUUCCGAAGUGAUUUGAUAUAUUAUAUAUGCAUAUUCUUGUGAUUCAAAAGAUGUUAACUUGAGAGCAUGCAUUAUAUAAAACCCCUCUCUUAAUAUGAAAUUGUUUGAAAUUUUCAUAUGAUGUGAAUUGUUUGAAAUCAUCUUGAUAAGCAUGACAUGAACUAUUUUGAAAGUGGAUAUGAUUUUCGACUUGCAAGGAGAGGGUUAUUAUGUUGAAAUAUGAUGAAUAUAAUGGUUGCAUGAAAGAAUAAUGUGAUAUUGAUGGCUUGCAAGUCGGGUAUGACGAUACUCUACAGAAUAUGAUAUGUGAUUGAAUCAGAUGAAAUUUGAAUGUAUUGAUUUUUCACGAGAUAGGUGGAUACUCAAAGAAGGCAUUUGAGUGUAAGGGCUUAUUGCUGGAAACCGUGUUUUCCGACAUGGGAACUUGGUACUAUGCUUUGUGAUCUUGCAUACCUGACUUUAUGUCAUUCCCAAAUUGGGACUAUGGUUAGGAGCCUUGCUUUGUUGUCUUGUGCACUACCAUUGGGUCGGGACACCCUGUUGUGUGAUCUUGUGUGUCUUCCCCUCACUUAUAGUCUAAUAUCCGCGGCAACUAAGGUUUGAUAGUUGGUGUAAAUGUGAUAUGUAGGGUAUUCCACCUAGCUCAGCUACAUUGCAUUAUUGUUGAAAACAAUUACAUUACACCCAUGUGUUUUCAAAUGAUUUUAUAUGAAACUGCUUUAUAAUGACUUUCAACUAUAUUUUGUAAAAAUAUUAUGUUUUGUUUUGAUAUCUCUGUGUACCAGUACUUUUGUAUUGACCCCUUUCCCUCCCACGUUCGGAGGCACAGUCUAGGGGUAAAGAAAAUCAGUAGAUUUCCUCAGACAGAUUCGCAGAGUCACUUGGUGAGCCUUCUAUAUUUUGAUAGUCCUUUCCGAUUGAGUCCUAUAAGAUUUUAAAAAUUGUGCAAAGACUCGAUAGGAGUCUGUUAGUGCAUCAAUAUGUGUUGAUUCUGAUGUAAAUAUUGAUCCUGAUGGAAUCGUGCAUUCCAGCUUAAGGUAUUAAGUGUAUGUAGUCCCUCUCAAAAUCUUAUUACAAAUGUGGACAAUGUAUAGCAGAAUGUUGGAACUGUAUUUCUACCCGAAUAGUAGCUUAAGUUAAAGUGUUGUUGUCAUGACCUAUUGGUAGUGAUAUUGGACCAAGAAGUUGGUAAUUUAAAGUCACAAAGUUAGAAGUUAGAAGUCAGAGUAAGGGUGAUUUUGUGUAAAUGAAUAUUUCAGUUGAAUAACCGAUGUUUGAGGAUGAUUUACCCCUUUAUAGUGAUAAACUAAUGUGGUAGCUAGCAGCAUGUGUGGACGGUAUGGUUGUCCAUGGAGGAAGUGUUUUACUCAUAUUUUUACUUAUACGGAAUAAUAUGUAUAUUCUUAGACCAUUAAAUAUUAUGUGUCAAUUUUCUAUCCCUUGUAAUAUGUAAUCUUGUUUUCAUGGUGUUUUUGAAAAAAAUUAAAAAAAAAUUUAAAGUCUAGUGAAGCCGUGUGGGGAUCUUUUGAUUCACUAGCAUAAUUGUCUUGUCAUCCAUCUCAUUUUCUUGUUCAAAAUACAAAACCAAAGUCUAGUGAAGCAGUGUGAGGCCUGUUUCGAUUCACUAGCAACUUGUUGUUCUUUCGUUGGUUUAAUAUAUGUAUGGCUGAAUCUGUUUGCAUGAGAUUGAGUUGGUAAAGAGGUAAUUCGUCCUUGUGAGUUAGUUUAGUAAGGUAGAGAAGGAGUUGUUAGUCAGGGUGAUUUGUUGGUUGCUUGAAUGUGAAAUGGCUAUAUUAGUGAGUAAGUUAUGAUUAUAAACUCAAGGUUGUUUGAAGAAUUUGAAGGCAGUCUAAAUGUAUGAUUGAGUGAGUAAAUAUGAGGUGAGAAAUCCGUAUAAGUAGAAAAGAUUAUAUAGGGUUAUAAUAUAAUAUUAAGGUUUAUUGUGUCUAUUAUGUGACCUUACCCCUUGACCUUUUUUUGUUGAUAGUUGUAAACUAGUACUACUUAUGAGAAGGUAUGUAGCAGAUUUUGAAGUAUUUGGAAUAGAAUGUUCCAAUUUGAUGGAUUAGUAUAUUAUGCUGCACUUGUCAUUGGUGGUAGAUGAUUGAUGCUAGACCAUUGUCUUGAAUUUAAUGUAGGAUGUGGAUGUAAGAAUAGUGGCAUGAGAUUAAUGAUGUAUAUUUGUGGGAAUAAAUAUUAGUAGGCUUGAUGUGUUGAAAUAGUACGUGCUAAUGAGUUAUGAUAAGGAAGACCAUAAGGUCAAGGUCGAUUAUUGUUGUUAUAAAGUUCUAGUGUACUAGUAUUCCUUGAUGUUUACUUCAUGGUUUACAAGUGAGAAUCAUGCGUAAGGUUGGGUUGUAAAAUCAUGUUUAGCACUAGACAUUAAGUUUGAACAGUUGAAGUUCAUAAAGGUGGAUAUGAUGAUUUCUUGAUCAAUGAUGUUAGUUAUAUGAAAGUGAUCUAAUAGGCUUGAACGGUAUAUGAAAUGGCUUAAGUUUAAAUUGAUUUGUAAUGAAGUAUAAUAUUGUAGGUAUGGUGUAGAAGUAUGCCAAGGUGAUAUGAGGUUGCGGUAUAUUUUUCUAAGACUAUUACAUAAUUUGUGUGGCUAGUGGUACCAUUGAAUNNNNNNNNNNNNNNNNNNNNNNNNNNNNNNNNNNNNNNNNNNNNNNNNNNNNNNNNNNNNNNNNNNNNNNNNNNNNNNNNNNNNNNNNNNNNNNNNNNNNNNNNNNNNNNNNNNNNNNNNNNNNNNNNNNNNNNNNNNNNNNNNNNNNNNNNNNNNNNNNNNNNNNNNNNNNNNNNNNNNNNNNNNNNNNNNNNNNNNNNNNNNNNNNNNAGUAAGUGUAGUUCAGUUAGAAUCUGGUAAGGUAUCUCCCAAACUCUAGAUGAUGACUUGAAGCUAAGGGAGAGAUGAUAGAAUGAAUGACCAAGUAAGGCUCUUAGAUUCUAGCAGUGAUGUAGUAUGAUUUAGAACAUCAGAAAGUGAGGGUGAAUCUCAACCUAUUCCUACCUCAGUAUGUUUUUUUUAGUUAUUCAGAUGCUUACUCAUGCCUUACGAUCUAGUUCCGUGAUCGUAGUUCAUGAUUCCUGUAUAUGAUAGAGAGUCACAUACCCUUCCAAUUCCAAGAUAAUGAGUUCUAGUUCGUUCAAGUAGUCGGAAUCACAUUCCUUAUGUUAUGAACUCUAGUUGAGGUCAUGCAACUCAUGACGCAUGUACUCACUCUUUAUAGUGUGCUUAGUCCCGUAUAAAAAUCUUUUCAUGCUUCAGGAUCUUAUGUUUAACCUUUUAGUGACCGUCCCUAUACAAUGAUAGUGGUGAUGAUGUAAAUAUUCUUGUUGAUGGAAGAUCAUAGUAUGCUUGCUUAGAUAAGGCCAUAAGUAUGAAGUAAGAGUUGGGGCUAAGUCUUUGAUACACGUGAUGGUUAGUGGAAAAGUUUGUGUGUGUUUGUGUUGGGGUAGCGCGUGGGAGUUAUAUUGACAAUAGUUUAAAAACUAUGUGAAGUAUGUAUUUAUGAGUGGUUUCCUUGAAGUCAACAUGUGGUUAUAAAAUAGGCUUGAAUGAUGUUUUGGGAUUGUAGUGGAAGGUCUCAAUAUGCAUUAGCGACUUCAUAUUAAGAGUUUAGAGUAGUCAUUAAAGUGGUAAGGCAUGUUAUGCUUAGGAUGUGAUCUUUAAAAGAGGUAUAGAAGGAGGCAUCAUAUGGUUUAGAAUAAUAGCGUGGUACAGCAUGUUGUAUUUUUGUGACUUAGAGUUAGGCUUGAUCGCGGUGUAAGGAUUAAGCUAUUUUAGACAUUAGUAGAAAAAAAAAUUUGUCAAUGCUCAUAUGAGAAUUUUAAGCUGAAUUGAAUGAAUAUGAUAUUUAUNNNNNNNNNNNNNNNNNNNNNNNNNNNNNNNNNNNNNNNNNNNNNNNNNNNNNNNNNNNNNNNNNNNNNNNNNNNNNNNNNNNNNNNNNNNNNNNNNNNNNNNNNNNNNNNNNNNNNNNNNNNNNNNNNNNNNNNNNNNNNNNNNNNNNNNNNNNNNNNNNNNNNNNNNNNNNNNNNNNNNNNNNNNNNNNNNNNNNNNNNNNNNNNNUAUACUAGUAAUUGCAAGUAUAGAUCAGUUCAUGCGUCAUGCAUUAGAUUCAGAUUCCAGAGAUUCAGUUAUGAUUCAAUUCGUAGGUGCCCUGUGCAUCGCCUCAGUUCCCCGAGUAUCUUAGUGAAUUGAGUAUUCAUAGAGGGACAUAGGAUCCCAAGGGGGAGAUACCUCAUUCAGUUGCAUGCAUAGAUUCUUAUUACAAGCCUCGCACCAGCUAUCAUUGGUAUUCAGUCAUACAUUCAUACGUCAGUUAAGUCAGAUAUGCAUGCGCUAGAAAUGCAUGUUCAAUAGAAAAAGUUCAGCUUAUCAGUGUAUUUAGUCCUGCGUUCAUGAGAACAACUCAGUCAUAGAUCCAUGCAUCAGAUAUGCAUGUUCAUUAGGAGAAUUCAGCUUAUGAAUAGCUUCAGUUGUGUAUUCCAUGCAUCAGAUAUACACAUUCGGUAUAAGAAUUUAGAACAUCAGUAGUUCCAGCCUUAUAGUCAUGUUUCAGAUCAGUGUAUUCUUUCUUAGAGAAAAAUAUCAUGUCCGCAUUAUUCCAUACCUCUAAGCUUCAAUAUGUUCAUGUAACAUCCCGUAUUUUCGGGCUAGAGUUUAGACCGUCGUUCCUACGUAUAUAGACCCGAACUAAAUUAUUCUUUAUUAACAUACGUGUGGUAAACACUCCUAUAGCAAUGCCCCAUAAAAUUCUCGAUUCGAUUUCAUUUUUAGUGUUAUGUUUGAGGAGCUAACAACUAGAAUAUUUUUCUAAGUGUAACGAGGACUUAGAGUAAAUUUAGCUGGCAAUCUUCGGGAGACAACUUUUCAACCUUUCCGACAUUCAUUUUUACAUUUUCAAGUUGCUUUACAAUCUGGAAAGAUCAUAGUACAUCUCAGAUAAGUUUUGAAAUUUUUCGGAAUGCAUAAGGCUGCGUUUGAAUUUCAAAAAGUAGCAAAACGCAUAGCCUAUUGCCCAGUUUUCAGCAUUUCAGGGUCAACUUCAAACGAUCAUAACUUUCUGAAUAUAAUGAACUGGGAGAGCUUCUACCUAUCAAAUGAAAUUUCUUUGAGUCUUAUUUCCAAUACAACUGGUUUCAUCCAAAUUUAACAUCUGAGUAAGGAUUUAUACCCAUUUUACUUCAGCCUGUCAGCUUGUCAACUGAGGGACAGUUUUGAAUUUGUUUGUUUUCUUAGGGGCAUUUUAGUCAUUUCACCUCACCCAAAUUUCGUUUAUAACACCAGAUUUAGCUCCUAAUUCAUCAAAAUAUAAUCCUUUUCUCAAAUUUUGUCUCAAAACACCCCUUAGGGUUUCAAAAUAAAAAUCUCAAUAACUCAAGAUUCAACCAUGGGUUUUCAAAACAAAUAGAAGAUUUGAAAUCCCCGCAACGUAGGCUUCAAGAAGCACCUAUCACAUUCGCAUAUAGAGGUACGUGGGUUAUCUAAAAAAUCUCAUGGGCUUAAAAAUUCAUAUUUUAAAAAUGGGGGUUUUGAAAUUAUGAAUAUAAACAUGUUUCAAGCAUCUUUAUGGUAUUGAUUUGGUCUUUACGCCUAUUUCCGAAGUGAUUUGAUAUAUUAUAUAUGCAUAUUCUUGUGAUUCAAAAGAUGUUAACUUGAGAGCAUGCAUUAUAUGAAACCCCUCUCUUGAUAUGAAAUUGUUUGAAAUUUUCAUAUGAUGUGAAUUGUUUGAAAUCAUCUUGACAAGCAUGACAUGAACUAUUUUGAAAGUGGAUAUGAUUUUUGACUUGCAAGGAGAGGGUUAUUAUGUUGAAAUAUGAUGAAUAUAAUAGUUGCAUGAAAGAAUAAUGUGAUAUUGAUGACUUGCAAGUCGGGUAUGAUGAUACCCUACAGAAUAUGAUAUGUGAUUGAAUUAGAUGAAAUUUGAAUGCAUUGAUUUUACAUGAGAUAGGUGGAUGCCCGAAGAAGGCGUUUGAGUGUAAGGGCUCAUCGUUGGAAACCGUGUUUGCCGACAUGGAAACUUGGUACCAUGCUUUGUGAUCUUGCGUACCUAACUUUAUGUCAUUACCAAAAUGAGACUAUGGUUAGGAGCCCUGGUUUGUGAUCUUGUGCACUACCAUUGGGUCGUGUGAUCUUGUGUGUCUUCCCCUCACUUAUACUCUAAUCUCGGCAGUAACCGAUAUUUGACAGUUGGUGUAAAUGUGAUAUGUAGGGUAUUCCACCUAGCUCUGCUGCAUUGCGUUGUUGUUGUAAACAAUUACAUUACGCCCAUGUGUUUUCAAAUGAUUUUAUAUGAAACUACUUUAUAAUGACUUUCAACAAUAUUUUGUAAAAAUAUUAUGUUUUGUUUUGAUAUCUCUAUGUACCAGUACUUUUGUAUUGACCCCCUUCCCUCCCAGGUUUUAGAGGCACAGUCUAGGGGUCUAGAAAAUCAGUAGAUUUCCUCAGAUAGAUUCGCAGAGUCACUUGGUGAACCUUCUAUAUUUUUGAAGGCCUGAUAUCUGGCAGUUUCAUUUAUCAUUUAUUAGUUUUGGGUCUACUGUGGGCCUUGUCCCAGUUUUCAGAUAGAUAUUUAUUUUAGUCAUGUAGUAGAGAUUUCGCAGACGUAAUAGAGAUGUUGAUUGAGAUUGUGGGACAUUAUUCCCCAUUAUUGUUUUCAUAUAAUUCUUGACCAUGUUUCCGUUAUAUAGUGUAUCUUCCGCAUUUUUUUUCAUAUAAGUCAUGUGCAUGAUUACCAGAUAGAUAAGGGGUGUUUCGACCUUGAUGGUUCGGAAUACUCGUCACGGCCAGGUCCUCGAUUCGGGUCGUGACACCACUAAACCUAUUAAACUCAAGAGCAAGUACCUCGAACUCAAUGAGGUUGCUUAUCUCUUUGGGUAUUUCACCUGGAAACACAUAUAGUGGAUUACUGGUGAGUUUAAAUAGUUGGUUCCAUCUAUUUUUUGCUAAGAUAUAAGAAUUGCUUCUUGUUUAUGUUGUCAAUCUCCCAUGAUAUAAUCCACUAAGAUAUUAACUUUUAUAUUGUUGGUCAUACGAAAGUAUUAAAAGAAAAAAGAAAAAAAAAAUAUGUAUAGAAGAUAAAUAUAUCUGAACAGAGCCAUUAAUCUGGCUUCGCUCUCCAUGCCUAAUACCCCCAAACUUAGAUACCUCAAUUAAUUCAAUAACUGAAAUUACCCCUGCAGUUACUGUGUAGUCAAAUAAAAUACCGAAGCAAUUAGAUACAAGCAUUCAUAAGAUAAAACAUACCUGUGAAAUGGUCAGUUCCGAGAAACAAUUGCUGCAAGUUACUAAAUCUUCCAAUUUCACUAUGUAUUGGUCCAUCAAACUCAUUUUCCGAUAAACCUAGUAGUUGAAGUUGUGAGCAAUUUGACAAGCUCGUCGGCAUAUGACCAUGACGCUUGUUAUCGGAUAGAUAAAGCCCUUUGAGUAUUGGGAGACCAUUGCAUAAACCAUUGGGCAGAUAUCCGAUAAGCUAUUGCCUGUAAAUGCAAUGACUUCGAUUCUUGAGAUAUUGAAAAUUGUGAAUGGUAUAGACCCCGUAAGUUGAUUAGCUUGUAUGCCCAACAACUUCAUGUUGUGAAGAUUGCCGAUCCCUUCUGGAAUAUUCCCUUGAAGUGAAUUAAAAGAUAUAUCUAAAGUCUCCAACCUCGAGACAUUUGAGAGUGAUAGAGGAAUAGAAGCUAUGAGCUUGUUACCUCGCAACCUUAAUUCUCCAAGGUUUAUAAGACUUCCAAUCACUUUUUGUAUUUGUCCCUCAAUUGAAUUUAAAUUCAGAUUCAAAAUCUCAAGUGUGGACACAUUAGAAAAUGUAGAAGGGAUGGAACCAGUGAAACUAUUAUUUCUAAUAUUAAUAACUUGAAGUUGGUGUAAAAACCCAAAACAACAAGGAAUCGCCCCUCUGAAGUUGUUGAAACUUAAAUCAAGAAACUUAAGCCGACGUAAGCGUGCCAUUUCAUGAGGCAAAUUUCCAUGGAAAUUGUUGCUUCCCAAGUCAAGAGAAACAAGAAAUGAGAGGUUUCCAAAUUCACAAGGAAUCUUGCCAGUAAGAGCCAUGUUAGAAAGAUUCAAGGAUUUCACUCAUUGGUGACGAGAACAACAAGUGACUCCAACCCAAUGACAAACAAAAACAGCGGGAGACCAGUUUUCAUCCAAGAAGUUGGAGGGGUUGGAAAUGAUUUGAGAUUUUAAGGACAAAAGAGCUAAUUGAUCAGUGGUAAUGUUGGUUUGAGUCAUGGCUGAACUAGCCAUAAGCAACAAGAGUGUUGAAGAGAAAAAAUGUGAAGAUUUUCUCCAUUAUUGCAUAAAUUUGUAGGUAGGCUCCAUAACAUGUGAUUUUGAGACUUUAAAUAGCAAUGAGGUCUCCCUUUUGGUCUUCAUGAUUUUAAAAAAAAUACUUUUCCUCAUUCAUUCUCUUAUAUUUAGUGGCUGAAUCAAAAUUUUCAACAAAAAAAUUCAAAAUAUAAAGAAGUAAAUUCAUCAAAAAAUCAAAGAGUAUCAUUAUGUAAUAUAUACAUAAAAAAUAUUUUUACAUACCUACACAAUGUAUUUUUUAGACUAACAUGUGGCUCCGCCAUUGGUCAUAUCAAUUUUAAUUUCACCAAGUUUUGCACGUUUCAAUCAGCCCAAGACUUGUGCAAGUCAUCAACCAAGUCUUGCUUUAUCUUUUCUGGACUAGACUUUAUGUUCCUCUAAUAGAUUAGUAAAAUUAACUUAUACUAUACGCUCGAGAAAUAUUUUUACAAGAUUUGCAUAGUUUACAUCUUUAUAAUCCUUUUAUCUCUAGCUAAGAAAGAAUAUGUUGUUAAUUUAGAUCAUUUUUGUAUACAAUGGUAAUAAAAGGAGCUUUUAAUUAUAGUUUAUAAUGUUAGAAUUUUUUUCCUGAUUUUCUUACCAAGUUUAAGUUUUUCUUUUCUUGAAAAAAAAAAAUAAUACCAUAAUUACUUUUACUUUUCCUAAAAAGAAAAUAUAAAUCUUUUUCAUAUUUGGCAAACGUCUUUCUUGGAGGAAAGGUUUUGAAUUUGAACAUGUGGUAGUUCAUUACUAUAACACAAUAACCUCCACAAGGUAGUUCAUUAAAUAAUUUUGUUUAGAGGGAUAUUUUCUCCUAAUAGGUUUUAAAUUUUUCAUUAUUAUUUUAAUAUGUAGGUCAUUUGACCAAAUCAUAUUAAUAAUAUAUUUUUAGUAUUUGUUUUUAAUUUAGUAUCAUCUUAUUUAUCAUUUCUAUAGUUUGCAACUAUUAGCUUCCGCAUGAUUCCCUCUCGAUUUCGAACCCAACAUAUAAUUUGUUUGAAAUUUUGAUUUGUUUUAUAAUAAAUUUGUAUGAACUUUUUUUUUAUAAAAGAAUUCACAACAUUAAGAGCCCAUUUGAAUAGGAUUAAAAUCAGGUCAAAUUAAUUUUUAAACUUUUAUUUUUAGUUUUUUUUUAAAAAAUAUUUGAUAAAAUUAAAAAGUGCUAAAAAAAUGAAAAAACUAUUUUUUUUUUAAAUAAAAAUAAAAAAGUGGGAAGCUGUGUACCCUCACCUUUUUAUUUUUUGGAUUAAAAUUCUUGGAGGUUUUGAUAAAAAUAUUUAUCUUUUUAUCCCUUAUAUUUUCCUUUAAUUCCAAUGAUACCAUGAACUUGUAGCCCAUGAAUAUGUGAUUUUUCUUUCUUUUUUUCCCUGGUUCUUUUUGUCUCUUUCCUUCAAUUUUCUCUUCAUCUUUCUCCUUUGUUUUGAGAAAAUUCAUCAUUACAUCGGAGGUUUGUUCAUGAACUUUUCUUAAGUGUCGUAUUUUCUAGACAUGUUCUAUCUCUUUUAUUUUAAAUAUUUUUUAGUUAGUUUAAAAUGAAGGAUUCUCUUGUUAUCUCGACAUUGUAUUUUUCUCCACAAAUUUUUCAAAUGGAAUAAGUCAAAAGAAACAAGAAAUGUGAGGCUUCCAAAUUCACUGGAAAUCUUGCAAGAGUUAUGUUGGAAAGAUUUAAGGAUCUCACUCUCUGGUGAUGAGAAUCACAAGUAACUCCUACCCAAUGGUAAACAAAAGUACCAGAAGACCAACUCUUUUUUUAUAAAUAUAAAUAUACAUGUCAAGCAAGUCUAGAAGAUAUAUAUAUAUAUAUAUAUAAAGACUUGUACAAAUCAACCAAGUCAUGUUUUAUUUCACAUUGGGCUUAAAUUCUUUGUAAAUAGUCUCGCUUUCGCAUUCUCUAGAAUACUUACUACUCUCUUAGUCCUAUAAUAAGUUUGACCUUAAUAAACAAAAACUAUUAUUACCUAAGGAAUUCUAGAAAAAAAAUCUUAUGUUUUUCCAAUUAUACUCUUGUACUCCAUCUUCUUGACAGUGUCCAAUUUUCAAGAGAAAUUUAUUAAAUUGGGGUAAUUUAGUAAAUUAAAUAUCUUUUUUGUCUUGAUUUCUUGAAGGGAGUGAUUUUUGCUAUGAUAACAUUUUUUCUUUUUGGGGCGGCUGUUACCACUAUUAAACAAUAAAUCAAUAAUUAUUGUUUAGUUGGCUUGGAAAAAAAAACAGUUAGACGGUUUCCUAUUGGAUGGUUUUAAAAAUAUUUCUCCAUAUUACCAACUUUCAGCAAGCAAAGAAGAAAAUUUGCUUUCACGUUCUACAAUUGGUGUUGAAUUUGGUACAAGAACUAUUCAUGUUGAUGACAAAAUUGUCAAAGUUCAAAUUUGGGAUACUGCUGGUCAAGAAAUGUGCCAUUUCCUUUUCCUUUAUUCUAUUAUUAAAUCGUGAUGGAUCUAGAAUUUUAAGUUGAUAUGUAAUUGUGAUUAAUGCGCGCACACACAUAUAUAAUGUUUGACCAUAUUUUGGUGUUCGCAGGUAGGUAUUUAAACUUGUAUACAAUUGAACAAGUAGAAAUACACAUCAUAUGUGACAACUACGUCGCAUCUACAUGGCAAUCUCAUACGAAUUACCACAUAGAUGACACAUAGGGCGUGUGUGUUUACUUGUUCAAUCUAACACAAAUUUAAGUGUCUAUUUGUGCACAUCCAAAGUUGGAGGACAUAGAUGCGAGCUGAAGUCAAGUUAAAGGGCAUACUUACGUAUGAUGCCAAAUUUGUAUGUUGAAAGAAUUCGAUGGUGAAAUAUAUGCUACGAAAGAAGUGGUUAUGUUGACCUUAUGCUACGAUUCUUCGUUCUCUUAAUAAAUUUCUAGUUAGAUGAUCACUGUGUCCACUAAUUUUACAAUAUCCGCGCCUCUCCCUGAAUUAUAUCUGAUCGUUUUUCAUGUCUCAUAAAAAGGUAUCGAUCCAUCACUAGUGGAAAUUAUCGCGGAACAGUGGGUGCCUUACUGGUUUACGACAUAACACGCCAUGUUACAUUUGAGAAUGUAGCAAGAUGGCUCAAAGAAUUGAGAGACCACACAGACCAAAACAUCGUUUUAAUGCUCGUGGGGAAUAAGGCGGAUCUUCGCCACCUCAGAGCUUUCCCCACGGGCGAAUCAAGUGGUUUUGCAGAAAGAGAGAACACUUUCUUCAUGGAAACAUCUGCACUUGAGGCACUCAAUGUAGAAAACUCCUUCACAGAAGUACUCACUCAGAUUUAUCAAGUGGUUAGUCGUAAAGCUCUUGAUAUAGGAGAUGAUCCUGCAUCUAUACCAAGAGGACAGACAAUUAACAUCGGAAAAGAUGAUGUAUCUGCUGAUAAGAAAGGUGGAUGUUGUUCAGAAUGAGUAUGAUCCCUUUUUCCGUAUACACAAAGGUGGACUCUCCCUAGAUCUGCCUCUGGAUGAAAGCAUAUAAUACUCAAAACUAAUCUCAUUUUCAACAAAUGUAAGUUGGACAAAAGAACUAAUAGCACAGUAUAUUGUUGAGGAAACUAAAGGGGGAUGGAAUUUGUAAAAGGGGAAUUUCAGCUAAGCAAAACUUCUUGUUUCCAUAAGAUACUUGCAAUAGACUGAAUGUCUAUGUUGCUCGGACUCUUCAAAAAUGUAGAUGUGUGCGUGUUUGAAUCUUCUAAAGUAGUGUAUUUUUUAAGUAUUCUGUCAUAAGGCUGCAACAGUCAGAUUUAUUGCAACCAGCUAGAACUGUUGAAAACAGAAUCAUGCCCAAAUCAAGUGCUAAAAGAUAAAAGCGAACCACUAUAAAAAUUUGCAACAUUGUUCAACAUGCAAGAAGUUGAACAUUGAUCUUCUGUAGCAUUCCUAUAACAUCGCUCAUGUUAGUCCUUCUUGCCGGAUUUUCAGCACAACAAUCCAAUGCUACAAUCAUGAUUGAUGCCACAACAUCUAGUUUCAUUUGUAAGCGACUACCCAUUUGGGUUACCAAGUUGGCAUCUACGACGUCCAUUACAGCAUCUGGAAGUGAAAAACUCACCCAUUGCUUCAAGCUAAGAUCUCCCUCAAACUCAUUGGGCUUUCUCCUAGUAAACGUUUCCAGCAACAUGACCCCAUAACUAUAGACGUCGCACUUUGCUGACACUAGUCCAUUCAGUCCAUACUCUACAGUCAAACAAUUCAUUUAAAGAUACAAUAAACUUUCUUGGUAGGAAAAAAGGAAAGGAGUAAUCAGCAAAACUAAGAGAUGUACCUGGAGCAAUAUAACCUAAUGUUGCUAAGGUUUUAGUGUAUAAAUCACCCUGAUCUUCACCAAGCAGUUUUGAAAUGCCAAAGUUGCUUAGGUGGGCAACCAUAUCUUCAUCCAGCAAGACGUUACUAGGCUUCACGUCACAGUGAAUCACAGGCAACGAGCACCCAUGGUGAAGAUAUUCCAAAGCACAUGCCACAUCUAUCAUUAUGCUUAGUCUCUGCUUGAUGUCGAGGAAGUAGUUGUGUGAAUACAAAUACUUCUCAAGAUUCCCAUUAGGCAUAUAAUCAAGAACUAAAGCCUUGAAAUCAUGAUUGGAACAACUAGUAAUGACUUUUACGAUAUUCCUAUGGCCAAGGCUACGCAAAAUUUCACGUUCCGUAUCAAAACUCUUGAAUGCCGCAUCCAGUUUCAGGUUGAACACUUUAACUGCAAUGACAGUUCCACUUCUGAGAACGCCUUUGUAAACAGAGCUAAAACCUCCAGAACCAAUCAGAUUACUCUCACUAAGCGCAUUAGUUGCUCGGAGAAGUUCAUAGUAUGAAAUCCUUUCACUUGCUUCGGUAGACAAUGAAUUAGCUUGUUGAGGAGCACUUUUACCUCUUCUAUACCUUAUCCAUAGGAAAACAAAGGUCAUAGGAACAAAUACAACUGCAGUUGCGAGCAAAAGAAUAAGUACUAGCAAUUUUUUUCUAUUUGAUCUGAGCUUUGAUGAAGUGGGGCAUGGUGGGACACUAAAUCUUGAAGAACCACACAAUGCUUCAUUAUAGAUGAAAAACUGACUCGAGAGGUUCUUGAAAGGACCCCUCGAGGGUAUUUCACCGUACAAUUGGUUGUGUGAAACAUUGAAAUACUUGAGGUAUUGAGGUUUCUCCAAAGACAUGGGAAUGAUUCCCGAUAAAUUAUUGUGAGAAAGGUCUAGGAAUUCCAAACCUACCAUGUUGAUCAUUGAGUCAGGUAUAGCUCCUUGCAACUUGUUGUGUCUCAAAGAAAGGUACGCUAAAUUUUGCAAGCCUCCAAUUUCUCUAGGAAUUUCAUUUGAGAAAUGAUUUAUCGACAGAUCCAUCUUUGUUAUGGCCUUUAGAUUUCCAAUUUCUGGAGGUAAUGAGCCUACCAUGUUGUUUGACGAUAAGUCAAGAACCACUAGGUCAUGAAGGUUCCCUAAGCUUGGUGGUAUAUUAGAACUCAAUUUGUUGGAACCGAGAUGCAUCUCCCUAAGGGAAGUAAUAUUCCCUAAACAAUAAGGAAGAGAUCCUGAUAAUUGAUUUCGACCCGAGUAAAUAUCACCCAAAUGCUGCAAUUUACAUAUAUGAUCUCCAAUAAAUCCUGUCAAUUUGUUGCUAUUCAAGUUGAACCGCUGAAGGUCUCUCAAGUUUCCAAUUGAUGUUGGAAUCGAUCCGACCAAGUUAUUCCCAGAAAGAUCAAGGUCUAAUAAGAUGCUUAAGUUCCCAACUUCAUUUGGAAUUCGCCCUUUGAUUUUGCCAUUGUUGGCAUAAAAAUUUCUAAGGGAUGUGGAAAGGUUCCCUGUGGAGGCCGGAAGCAUAUCAUUUAGAGGGUUGGAAGAUAUAUCAAGAAAUGUUAAAUUUUUACAAUUGGUUAAGGAAGUCAGGAAGCUUAAUGAUGAGUCGCUAGUCAAAUUGUUUCCCCCUAAAUUUAGUAACUGUAGAUGAGUCAAAUAUCCAAGAGAAUUGGGAAUCAAGCCAGUGAGUUGGUUGAUAGAAAGCUCUAGAUGAGUAAGUUUUGAACAAUUGGAAAUGGAAUAAGGAAUAGUCCCAACAAGAUUGGUUAAGUUGUUCAUAUAAAGCUCUUCAAUGUUGGGUAAGAUAGAACACAUGUUUGGGGGGAGGUUUCCUGAUAGAUUGUUGUCUGAAAGAGAAAUCAGUUUCAGCCCUGAUAUGUUGAAGAUCUCCAUUGGGAUUGAACCACUAAAUCUAUUAUUGCUAAGACUAAGUAGCUCCAACUCAAUGAGAUUGCUUAUCUCUUUGGGUAUUUCACCUGGAAACAUAUAUAGUGGAUUACUAGUGAGUUCAAAAAGUUGGUUCAAUCUAUUUUUGCUAAGAUAUAAGAAUUGCAUCUUGUUUAAGUUGUCAAUCUCCCGUGGUGAGAAUCCACUAAGAUAAAAACAUACCUGUGAAAUGGUUAUAUCCGAGAUACAAUCGUUGCAAGCUACUCAAUCUUCCAAUUUCACCAUGUAUUGGUCCAUCAAACUCAUUUUUUGAUAAAGACAAUACUUGAAGUUGUGAACAAUUUGACAAGCUUGUAGGCAUACGACCGUGAAGCUUGUUAUAAGACAGAUAAAGCCCUUUGAGUAUUGGGAGACCAUAGCAUAAACCAUUGGGAAGACUUCCUGAUAAGCUAUUGCCAGUAAAUGAAACGAUUUCGAUCCUAGAAAAAUUGAAAAUUGUGAAUGGUAUAGAACCCGUAAGUUGAUUAUAUUGUAUGGACAACCAGUUCAUGUUGUGAAGAUUGCCAAUUCCUUCUGGGAUGUUUCCUUGAAGUGAAUUAAAAGAUAAAUCUAAAGUCUCCAACCAUGAGGCAUUCGAGAGUGACAGAGGAAUAAAGCCUAAGAGAUUAUUACCCCUCAAGUUUAAUUCUCUAAGGUUUCCAAUCAUUUUUGGUAUCUGACCCUCUAUGGAAUUGAAAUUCAGAUUCAAAGUACCUAGUGUGGAUAUAUUAGAAAAUGAAGAAGGGAUGGACCCAGUGAAACUAUUAUUCCUAAGAUUUAGAACUUGAAGUUGGUGUAAAAAUCCAAACCAUGAAGGAACCUCCCCGCCAAAGUUGUAGACACUUAGAUCAAGAAACUUAAGCCGGCGCAACUGUGCCAUUUCUUGAGGCAAAUUUCCAUGGAAAUUGUUGCUUCCCAAGUCAAGAGAAACAAGAAAUGUAAGGUUCCCUAUUUCACGGGGUAUUACACCCAUAAGAUUCAUGUUGGAAAGAUUCAAGAAUCUCACUCUUUGGUGACGAGAGCCACAAGUGACUCCAUCCCAAUGGCAAACCGACGUAGCUGGAGACCAACUUUCAUCAAAGAGGUGAAGGGGUCUGACAGGAUUUGAGAUUUCAGGGAAAGAAGAGCUAAUUGAUCAGUGGAGAUAUUAAAUUGGGUCAUGGCUGAGCUACUUAUAACAAAGUACUGAAGCAACAAGAGAAAACAGGUGAAAGGAACAAGUUUCUCCAUAAUUGCAUAUAUUGGUAAGAAUGUGGAUAUGGAUUGUAAUGAUGUGGUUUUGAGACUUUAAAUAGGAAAGAGGCCUCUUUCUCUUUCUGAUUUUAAAAUCUACAAAAAUCUCUUUUAUGAGAAUUUUCCAUACAUACAUAUUUUAAGGAAAGAAGGAACAGCUUUCCUUUAUUCAUUAUUUUAGUCAUUUGAAGACUAAUAAUACAACUAAAGAAACAAAAAAAAAAGUAACUUUAAUUUGUUUAAGUAGCAGAUCAAGAAAGAAGACUCAAAAAGGAGUCUUCCACGAAGUUUGUCACCUCUACUGCAAAAGCAAUAUAAUAUCAAAAGUUUAUUUAACUAACUGCCCAUUGUCAGAUAAUAUCAAAAGCUUAUUUAACUAACUGCCCAUUGUCAGAUGAUAAGCAUACUGUUUCUUAUCAAAAUUAAGUUUACUUUUCUUAUAAGAAAAAUAAAAGUAAUACCAUAAUAACUUUUAAUUUUCCUGAAAGGAAAAGAUAAAACUUUUUCAUAUUUGGUAAACCUCUUUGUAAUAUGAAAGGUUUUGGACCUCUAUAAAUAGAAACCCUUCUUAUACCUUAACAACACAGUAACAUCCAUAAUGUAGUCUUUAAAGAAUUCAGUUUAUUGGGAGAUUUCUCCCAAUAAAUUGAAUAUUUUUUUAUAUUAGAUUUUUAAUAUGUAGGUCUCUUGACCAAAACAUAUCAAUAAUAUUAUGUUUUUAAUUUAGUUUUCUUUUGCGUUGAUUUAUCAUCUCAUGGAUUGCAAACUUUAAGCUUACGCAUGACGCCUUCUUGAUUUCGAUCCCAACAAGUGCUAUCAAAGUUUAUGGUUCAAUGAUCCGGUGGUUCAGAUUGAGGACAUAUUAAGAUCAAAGUUGCAAUCAGUUUGAUGAUGAUGAAGAUCUUUGUCUAGCUACAUGUGGAGAAGUAGUUUAAAACAUAUUUUCAACAUUUCUGCUGCUGCAUCUUUAAAAAUAAAAAUAAGAUAUUUUUUAAAUAAUUUUUAAACUUUAUUUUUAACUAUGGCAAGCAACAAUUAUGAAGAUUAUAUCAAGAACGAAGUUUAUGCCUGUGAUGUGAAGAAGACAGAUCAAGUGAAGAAAAUAAUGUCAAAAAGAGGAAAUUUGUUAGGGGUUUUUGCUCUGAUUUUCUUACCAAAAUUAUGUUUUAAGAAAAAUAAAAGUAAUACCAUAAUUAAUUUUAUUUUUCCUAAAAGGAAAAUAUAAAAAUUUUCCUUCGCAAACCUCUUUCUAUGAGGAAAGGUUUUGGAACUCUAUAAAUAGAAGGACCCCCUUCUUAUACCAUAAUAUAGAAGCAUCCACAAUGUAGUCUUUAAAGAACCUUUGUUUAGGGGGAGAUUUCUCCCAAUAAAUUUAAUGUUUUUCGAUAUUAGAUUUUCAAUAUGUAGGUUUCUUGACCAAAACAUAUUAAUAAUAUUAUGUUUUUAGUUUAGUUUUCUUUGUUGUCUGAUUUAUCAUCUCAUGGUUUGCAAACUUUAAGUUUUCGCAUGACGCCGUCUCAAUUUUGAGUCCAACACAUAGUGAGUCAACAUAAUGGGCAAUGAAGAAUGUCUGCAAUCUCAAAAACACACACAUGAACACUGUUAAAGAACAUAAAAUAAUAAACCAUUAAAUCCAUAUUAAAAAUAGCAUUUCCCAUUUAUUAACCUUUUCUUUUUUUCUUUUGGUGAAAUAUGCACGUGGCAAUAGGAAAUGAAAAAUUGACAAAUAUUUAUGCAGACACUCAAAAUAAAAUAUAAUAAUAAUGUCACAUUAUAUGUGGCCCCCCCAAUUACAUCAGUCAAGUCAAACUCUCCCUCACUUGACAGUGGUUUUGUUUGCCUCCCCUCUCACUGCUCUUCCCCUAUGCUUUCUCUCAUCCUUAUUACUUCUGAAAGCAGCACCAAAGAGGCAAAAAAGUAGGAAGGGGGCGACAAGGGUACAGAAUGUGAAUGGAGGAGUUGCAAAGGCGGCAGCAAGGGUGAUGAAAGGGAGUGUAGGAGUUGUGAAAGCGGAGGAGAAAGUGAAGGGGGUUGCGGAGGAGAUGCAAUACCGGGGAGAUGCAAUACUGGGGAUUACGGAAGAGGCCGUCGGGGAAAUACACUGCAACCACUAGAGAUCCGAGGAAAAUAUGCAACUAUUUUUAUAGAUUCGUUAAAACAAUUAAAUUUCUAUUAAAAUAGGUGUGUAAUGAAUAAUAAAAGGCAACAAUUACAAAUAAAUCUAUAUAAGUAUGACAAGAAGCAAUAAUUCAGGGUGUAUUUUAAUAUGACAAGAAGAAAUAAUUCGGGGUAUAUUUUAUGUUUAAAAUUAAUUUUUAAUUUUAAGCAAUGAACUGUAAAUUGUGAACUUUAAUUAGUAGUUGGCAAAUUUUAAAUAAAGUCACAAAUAACUAUUUUGAGCCCAAAUAAAAAUAGAGACUUUCUAUAGAAAUUCAAAGAAAAUUAAAUUUAAGAAGCGUAAUAGACAGAAAAAAUAAAACAGAGAAGGAAAAAUACAAUAUUCACAUCCUUCUUAAGACUUUAUUCAUAACAAUAUAAAUGGAAAAAGAAAUAUAGAAUCGGUACAUGGUUGAUUGAGCUCUUGUCGGCACUAUCUCACAUAAUCAAUCAAAUUUCAAGAGUCUUCUUCAACGAGUCAAACUAAAACAAGAAUCAAGUAGUACAAUAAAAAAAAUGUCUUUCGCUACUAUAACUAUUGAAUGAAAAAGUUAAUUUUGUGGGGAAGGAGUCUCAUGAAAUAAAAAAGAUGAAUUUAUAUAGAUAAAGUUUUGAAUUAAAUAUUUAUAUCAAUACUAAUACCACCAAAUCAACCAAGUCUUUUACAUCCCAAUCAGAAUUAUAAAUAUGGUGGCAAAAUUCCUCUAAUUAGCCAAAGACUUGGCAAGUCAACCAAGUCUUUCUUUAUUUUUUGUGUGCUUAAUUCUUUGUAAAUAGUCUUGCUUUCAUAUUCUCUAGAGUUGUGCGGUGAAAAGUAAUGUCAGUUUACUAACUUAUACUAUAAUGUCUUCUUAAUAUUAAUCAAGUUUAAUCCAUUUGGCACUACUGGAUUUAUCCCAGGCAAUGAGAGCCUUUCAAGAUAGUCAAGUUUUGUCUAGUGAAUUACCUUAUAUAAUGAUGAAUAAUUCCAUUCACUAUCAUCACUCACUUAAUUAUACUAUUAUUUUUCUAGGUAAAGGCAACUCUCUAGAUCUUAUGCUAUGAACACAUCUCUGGCCAAAUAGUGAACAUGAACAAAACUUGCUAUAUGGUGGCUCCAAACAUGUCACGGUCCGAACAGGGGCCCUCACCGUGACAAGCAUUCCGAAUCAUGAAGGCCCAAAACACCCCUAUCUAUCUGGUAAUCAUGCACAUAAUUCAUGCGAUAAAAUGAAAUGCGGAAGAUACACAAUAUCACAGAAACAUGGUCAUGAAAUCUAAUGAAAUCAAUAAGGGGAAAUAACGUCCCACAACAUCUAUCGACAUCCGAAAACCGUUUGCGAAAUCUCUACUAAUGACUAAAACAAACAACUAUCUGAAAACAGGGACAAGGUCCCCAGUAGACCCAAAACUAUUAAAUGAUAAAUAAACUGCCAGACAUCAGGCCUUCAAGAAUAUAGAAGGCUCACCACUCGACUCUGCAAAUCUGUCUGAAGAAUCUACUAAUUAUCUGAACUGCAAGACUGUGCCUCCGAACCUGGGAGGGAAGGUGUAAUGCCCUGCAAUUCGGACUACAAUAUAGACCAUGAUUUCGAUGCGUUGUUAAUUCUGAAGCCAUAAAAUUCUAUGCCAAUACGGCAUGUUAAUUAUCGUGUAGCAUAUGAAAUCCACUCAAGCUUCAAUUUAGAUCAUAGAGGUCCUACAAUUCAAGGACGAGUCAAAACUAUUUUGAUCGACUAAGUUUUAGUGGACGUUGUAAAGUGUGUCAUCUUCCUUCAACCAUAACUCUCUGUAUAUGUCGAAUUAGGAAACCUACUAUGUGUCAAAUGAUAGGUAUUCGAGUUAGCUUUCCAACGACACCUAUUUGGCUAAAAUCCGACACCUGAGCAAGAAGUUAUAACCUUUUAAAGUGAUAAGCGAUGCCUAACCAAUCGCCCAUGGCCACUGGAAAGCAUAGACGAUAGCCUAGGCGGCACCUAUGUGAUAUCAGGCGAUAGCCUAGGCGGCACCUAUGUGAACAUAGGCGAUAGCCUAGGCGACGCCUAUGUGAAAAUAGGCAAUGAGAUGGGCGGCGCCUAUGUAAGGAAUUCUAAUGAUUUAAACACUCCGUGUUGAGGAUAAAGUGGUCCUUUUCCACCCUUACUUAGCCCUAAAACACGAGAUUUAGUUCCAAGGAUCCCAAAAUACAUAUUCUUUCAUCAAAAGUGCUUAAGAUUCUCCUUAGGGUUUUAAAAAUAAAAACCCAAAUAGUUCAAGAUUUGACCUUAGGUUUUCAAAGAUAACUACAUAUUCGGAAUCACCAAUCUGCAAUCUUCACGAAGCAUUUAUUAUCCUUGGAAAUAGAGGUACAUGGGGUUAUCCAAAAAUAUCAUGGGUGUAGUUUUAUGAACAUGCAUGCUUUUAAAUGGGGUUUUCAAUCAAAUGCUAAUAUCUUGCUUUCAAUAUGAUUUCUAAGUCAUUUUCUUUAUGUUAUGGGAAUUGUUUGCCUAUAUACUUCAAUGGUUGAAAUCAUGCACAUGUGAUUUGAGAUUUUCCAUGGAAGUUGAUAAAUAUGAAUGAUAAAUUAUUUUAAAAUUCCCAUGAUAAUGUUUCGAUACUCCAUAUUAUAUUGUGAUCAACAAAAGAGAGCAUGAAUUUGAAAUAAAUAUUGUUCACCACUCGUAAAUGAUGAAGCACCUUGGUUUUUACAUGGUUAUGCAUAUGUGGAUGUGACAUUGGUGACUUGCAAAUAGGGUAUGAUGAUACCCUUCAAAAUACAAUAUGUGAUUGAAAAAAAAUUUAAAUUUGAAUGCAUUGAUUUUACAUGAGAAAAGUGGAUGCCCGAAGAAGGUGAUUGAGACACAAGGGCUCAUCGCUAGAAUAACGUGUUUGCCGACACGAAAUAUUGGUACCAGGCUAAGCGAUCUAUGUACUUGACUUCAUGUUGGGACUAUAGGUAGGAGCCUGAGCCAAGUGAUCUUGGGCACUAUCAUAGGGUUGAGACACCAUGCUGUGUCGUCUUGAGUGUCUCUCCCUAACUUAUACUCUAAUCUCGGCGGCAAUCGAGGUUUGACAGUUGGUGUAAAUUAUGUAGGGUAUUCCACCUAGCUCAGUUGCAUUUCAUUACUGUUGAGAAAAAUUAUUGUAUUACACCCAUGUAUUUUCAAAUUAUACGAAAUUGCUUUAUAAUGGCUCUCAUCUAUGUUUUGUAAAAAUAUUAUGUUUUGCUUUGAUAUCUCUGCGUGCCAGGACUUUUAUGCUGACCCCCUCCCCUCUCCAACCUCUUAGGUUCAUAGGCCCAGUCUAGGGGUCAAGAGAACCAGUAGAUCUUUCAGACAGAGUUGCAGAGACAAGUGGUGAGCCUUCUAUGUUUUUGAAGGUCUUAUGUCCUGUAGUCCUUUUAUCUUAUAUUAGUUUUGGGUCUGCUGGGGGCCUUAUCCCAGUUUUUAGAUAGUUAUUUGUUUCAGUCAUAUAGUAGAGAUUUCGUAGACGAUUUUCGAGAUGUUGAUUUAGAUUGUGGGAUAUUAUUCCCCAUUAUUGUUUUCAUAUGAUUCUUGACCAUGUUUUCGUUAUAUUGUGUUUCUUCCACAUUACUUUGAUCAUAUAAAUUAGGUGCAUGAUUACCAGACAGAUAGGGGUGUUUUGGGCCUCCAUGGUUCGAAAUGCUCGUCAUGUCCAGGCCCUAGUUUGGGUCGUGAUAAACUUGGUAUCAAAGCACGGUUCAUGGUCCCAGGGUGUCUGCAAAAUCAUGUCGAGUAGAGUCUUAUUUAUGGGUGUAUAGCGCACCACACUUAUAAGCAGGAGGCUGCUAGGUGUUUAGGAAAUAUUUUCCUUCUUUGUGAUUUAGUUCAUGCUUCAGAGUCUGAACUGUCCCCUAAUCAAUGAUCACUUGUGUUUCAGAAACACAGUUAUGCCUCCGUGUCGUAUCGUCGAUCAGAAUGCUCAGGCGGAUGAGGUUCGUCCCACCUAUGGGAUGCAAACCCAUAAUAGGGCUCACACUCUAGAAUUUAUCCCUACUCCGGGGUUCCCUCUAGUCCCAACUAGUCCACCUCGGGCUCCGCGGACUAAUGUCAACCAUCCCUCAACUGCGCUAGGAGAUAUUUCAAAUGUAGAAUUCAAAUGGUUUAUUCAUGUGCUAACACAGUUGGUAGCCAACCAAGCUCAACGAUCGUAUGAUGUUGGGUCUGCAUCUAUUACAUCUGAGGCUACUAGAGUCGGACAUUUUAUGAAGAUGAACCCACCUAAGUUCACUGGCACCAAGCUGGAGGAAGAUCCACAGGAGUUCGUGGAUGAGAUGGAAAAGAUCUUCAAGGUGAUGCAUAUGGAUGAGGUUGAAGGGGUGGAGUUAGCAACCUAUCAGCUCAAAGACGUUGCGAGUCAGUGGUAUGUCGAAUAGGAAGAUGAAAAAGGUGAAAGUGCUGAGUCCGCAGUUUGGGGUGAAUUUUUGGAAGCCUUCCUUGAUCGAUUCUUUCCUCUGGAGUUGAGGGAGGCCAAAGUGGAAGAGUUUAUGAAUCUGAAGCAGGGCAGUAUGAGUGUCCAGGAGUACACUUUGAAGUUUAAUAAACUGGCCUUCUAUGCACCAGAGUUGACUAGUAAUAUGAGGGCCCGAUUGAGGAAAUUUGCAUCUGGCCUUGCUGAUAACCUGGUACUUGAGUGCCAGGGGGAUAUGUUGAAUAAGGAGUUAGACUUUGAUUGACUGACCGCUCAUAUACAUUAAGUGGAAGAGAAGAAGAAAAAGAUUGUUGAAUUUAGAGAGAAAGAUAGACAGGCUAAGAGAGCUAGAUCUGCGGACCAGCACCAGAGUCAGCCGCAGAGUGGUAAAUAGGGUAUUAAGUGGUCGAAGAAGAAGAAGUUUUGGAAUAAUGCACUGUCAGCAGCCAGCGCCCCAACAACCAGACCACCGACAGACAGACAAACUCAGAGUUUUCAGACUCCUCAUGGGUCCAAAGCUCUAGGUACACAUUCUUAAGGCAGUGUGGCCCAGCAACGUUAUACUCGUUUGCAGUGUGAGGUUUGCGGAAGGAAUCAUCUAAGAAAGUGCUGGUUUGAGGGGAAAAACUACUAUACUUGUGGCUAAGUGGGUCACCUUCAAAGAGAUUGUCCAUUUGCUGGAGUAAAUGCGGGGGGAGGGGGGCUAAGUCCCAAGUCGCCUCCACAGCCCCUUUCCCUAAGGGUGCCCCUUCAGCUACCGGAAGUGGUCUUCUUUGACUAACCGCUAGGAGGCGGAAGCUUCACCAGAUGUUGUCACUGGUAUGUUACAAAUGUUUUCUUGUGAUGUUUAUGUUUUUCUUGAUCCCGGGUCUACUUUAUCUUAUGUGACCCUUUAUGUGGCUGUUGGUUUCGGGUUUGAGCCCGAAGUUAUUGUAGAAACCUUUUCUGUUUCUACUCCAAUAGGUGAUUUUGUUGUUGCUAGAAGGGUAUAUAGAAAUUGUGUCAUGUCUACUCAUAUUAGGAAAACUGUGGCAGACCUUAUAGAACUUGAUAUGAUAGAUUUUGAUGCCAUCCUUGGGAUGGACUGGCUCUAUUCAUGUUAUGCCACCCUUGAUUGCAGAACCCAAAAGGUCACUUUUUCUUUCCCGAAUGAGACACCAGUUGUUUGGGUUGGGAGUUCUGUGGAACCUAAAGGUCAUUUUAUCUCUUAUCUUAGAGCCUAAAAACUUAUCUCAAAAGGUUGUAUGUAUUAUCUAAUCCGAGUAAAGAUUCAAAAGUUGGAAACCUUCCUCUGCAGUCAGUCCCUGUAGUGAAUGAAUUCCUAGAAGUCUUUUCCGAAGAUCUCCCAGGGAUACCCCCUGAUAGGGAGAUAAAUUUUGGCAUUGAUGUGUUGCCAGACACUCGUUCUAUUUCUAUUCCGCCAUGUAGAAUGGCUCCCGCAGAACUAAAGGAGUUAAAGGAACAGCUUGCAGACCUCCUAGACAAAGGUUUUAUUUGUCCUAGUGUUUCCCCAUGGGGUGCACCCAUGCUCUUCGUGCAAAAGAAGGCUGGGUCCCUUCGGAUGUGCAUAGAUUACCGUCAGCUGAAUAAGGUCACCAUUAAAAAUAAAUAUCCUCUUCCUAGGAUUGAAGACCUUUUUGACCAGCUUCAGGGUGCCAAGUGUUUUUCCAAAAUAGACCUUUGUUUGGGUUAUCAUCGGUUAAAAGUUAGGGAGUCAGACAUACCCAAGAUAGCCUUCCGAACCCGAUAUGGUCACUACGAAUUUCUAGUCAUGUCCUUCGGGUUGACUAACGUCCCUGCAGCCUUCAUGGAUCUUAUGAAUAGAGUGUUUCAUCAGUUUCUUGACUCGUUCGUCAUUGUAUUUAUUGAUGAUAUUCUAAUCUAUUCUAAGAAUAAAGAGGAUCACGCCAAUCACCUCUGAAUUAUCCUUCAGACCCAUAAGGAUCAUCAACUGUAUGCCCAAUUUUCUAAGUGUGAAUUCUGGUUAGAUGCUAUUGCCUUCCUGGGGAGUAUUGUGUCCAGUGAGGGGAUAAGAGUGGAUCCCCAGAAAGUUGAAGCAGUGAGAAAAUGGCCCAGACCCACGACUCCAACCGAUAUUCAGAGCUUCUUGGGUUUGGCGGGGUUUUACAGAAGGUUCGUAGAGAGUUUUUCUUUCAUAGCUUCUCCGCUUACUAAACCGACUUAGAAAAAGAUGAAUUUUGUGUGUUCUGACUUGUGUGAAAAUAGUUUUGAGAAAUUGAAGGACAAGAUGGCUACUGCUUCUGUUUUGACCCUUCCCGAGGGUGUAGAUAUUUUAUGGUUUAUUGUGAUGCGUCCCAUGUGGGACUUGGUUGUGUAUUGAUGCAGCGUGGUAAGGUGAUAGCUUAAGCAUCUAGGCAGCUAAAGGUGCAUGAGCACAAUUACCCCACUCAUGACUUGGAGUUAGCAGCCGUGGUGUUUUCACUUAGAAUUUGGAGGCACUAUCUCUAUGGAGUACAUGUUGAUAUUUAUACUAACCAUAAGAGUUUACAGUAUGUUUUCUCACAGAAAGAAUUAACCCUCAAGCAUAGGCGUUGGAUGGAACUUUUGAAAGUCUAUGAUAUGAGUCUGCAUUACCCUCCGGGUAAGGCAAAUGUUGUAGCCGACGCCCUCAGCAGAUUGUCUAUGGGCAGCCUUUCUCAUGUAGAAGAAAGAAAGAAAGAUAUGGUGAAGGAUAUUCACUGCCUUGUAAAUCUGGGAGUACAACUCUUAGAUUCCGAAGAUGGAGGGGUGAUUGUUCAUGAGUUAGCUAAGUCAUCUCUUUGUGCUGAAGAUAAGAAGAAGCAGGUUGAAGAUCCCAUCUUGAUGCAAAUAAAGAAAGAUGUGGGUCAACAAAAGGUUAUGUCAUUUGAAAUUGGUUGCGGUGGUAUUAUGAGAUUUCAGGGUAGGUUGUGCAUUCCAAAUAAGGCACACACUUUGAGGUAUGUCGUUCACCCAGGAUCUAAUAAGAUGUACCAUGAUCUGAAAACCUUGUAUUGGUGGAAUAACAUAAAACAUGAUGUAGCUGAUUUGUGUCCAAGUGUUUGAAUUGUCAGCAAGUGAAGGUGGAACACAUGAGGCCGAGUGGUACUUGCCAAGAGAUAGCCCUGCCUUUAUGGAAGUGGAGAUGAUAAAUAUGGACUUCAUUACAGGACUUUCGAGAUCCCGAAACCAGUAUGAUUCUAUAUGGUUGAUUGUAGAACGGUUGACCAAGUCAGCACACUUUUUGCCUGUGAGUACUAGUUAUUCGAGAGAGGUUUAUGCUAAGAUUUACAUUGAGGAGAUAGUUCGAUUGCAUGGGGCACCAGUGUCCAUUAUAUCCGAUAGAGGUACGCAGUUUUCAUCUUAGUUUUGGAGAUCUUUUCAGAAGGGUUUAGGUACACAAGUGAAUUUGAGCACAACUUUCCACCCUCAGACGGAUAGGCAAGAUGAGCGUACCAUUCAGACCCUCGAAUAUAUGUUGAGGAAAUGCGUCUUUGAUUUCAAAGGUAGUUAGGUAGAUCACCUUACACUGGUUGAAUUUGCUUACAAUAAUAGUUACCAUCCUAGCAUCAAGAUGGACCCUUUUGAGGCUUUGUAUGGGAGGAGAUGUAGGUCUCUAAUAGGAUGGUAUGAAGUGGGUGAGACUCAGUUUUAUGGAACUGAUCUUGCUCAUCAGGCGAUGGAGAAAGUCAAGAUCAUUAGAGAACGACUUAAGACUGCUCAGAGUCAUCAGAAGUCCUAUGUCGAUGUUUGGAGAAGAGAACUAGAGUUUGAAAUUGGUGAUUUGGUGUUUCUCAAGGUUUCUCCUAUGAAAGGAGUUAUGAGGUUUAGAAAAAGGGGUAAAUUGAGCCCUUGUUAUAUAGGACCAUAUCAGAUUUUGAAAAGGAUUGGUACAUUUGCGUAUGAGUUUGAAUUGCCUACAAGUUUGGGUUCCAUUCAUCCGGUAUUCCAUGUAUCCAUGUUGAAGAAAUGCAUUGGAGAUCAUUCUAUGGUAUUGCCAGUAAAGGGUAUCAAAGUGAUAGAUUUCUUGUCUUAUGAAGAAGAGCCCGUUGAAACUUUAGAUCGCCAAGUUCGAAAGCUGAAGAGCAAAGAGAUAGCCUCAGUAAAGGUACUAUAGAGGAAUCAGAAAGUCGAAGAAGCAGCUUGGGAGUCCGAAGAUGACAUGAGAAUUAGAUAUCCCAAUUUGUUUGCUUCGAUGGAGGACAAGACAGAAGGUACUAUUCUUAUCUUAUCUUUCCUAGUCCUUUAUUAUUCUUAAAAUCGUGUCUGUCUGUGUCCCGCAUCAUCAUUCGGGGAUGAAUGAUCCUAAGGAGGGGAUAAUGUAACGCCCCGCAAUUCGGACUACAAUAUAGACCAUGAUUUUGAUGCGUUGUUAAUUCCGAAGCCAUAAAAUCCUACGCCAAUAUGGCAUGUUAAUUAUCGUGUAGCAUGUGAAAUUCACUCAAGCUUGAAUUUAGACCAUACAGGUCCUACAACUCAAGGACGAGUCGAAACUAUUUUGAUCGACUAAGUUUUAGUGGACGUUGUAAAGUGUGUCAUCUUCCUUCAACCAUAACUCUCUGUAUAUGUCGAAUUAGGAAACCUACUAUGUGUCAAAUGAUAGGUAUUCGAGUUAGCUUUCCAACGACACCUAUUUGGCUAAAAUCCGACACCCGAGCAAGAAGUGACCUUUCAAAGUGAUAAGCGACGCCUAACCAAUCACCCAUGGCCACUGGAAAGCAUAGGCGAUAGCCUAGACGGCGCCUAUGUGAACAUAGGCAAUAGCCUAGGUGGAGCCUAUGUAAACAUAGGCUAUAUCCUAGGCGGUGCCUAUAUAAACAUAGGCGAUAACCUAGGCGGCGCCUAUAUGAACAUAGGCAAUGAGAUGGGCGGCGCCUAUGUAAGGAAUUCUAGUGAUUUAAACACUCCGUGUUGAGGACAAAGUGGUCCUUUUCCUCCCUUACUUAGCCCUAAAACAGGAGAUUUAGUUCCAUGGACCCCAAAAUACAUAUUCUUUCAUCAAAAGUGCUCAAGAUUCUCCUUAGGAUUACAAAAAUAAAAACCCAAAUAGUUCAAGAUUUGACCGUAGGUUUUCAAAGAUAAUUACAUAUUCGGAAUCACCAAUCCGCAAUCUUCAAGAAAAAUCUAUUAUCCUUGGAAAUAGAGGUACAUGGGGUUAUCCAAAAAUCUCAUGGGUGUAGUUUUAUGAACAUUCAUGCUUUUAAAUGGGGGUUUUCAAUCAAAUGCUAAUAUCUUGCUUUCAAUAUGAUUUCUAAGUCAUUUUCUUUAUGUCAUGGAAAUUGUUUGCCUAUAUACUUCAAUAGUUGAAACCAUGCAUAUGUGAUUUGAGAUUUUCCAUGGAAGUUGAUAAAUAUGAAUCAUAAAUUAUUUUCAAAUUCCCAGGAUAAUGUUUCAAUACUCCAUAUUAUAUUGUGAUCAACAAAAGAGAACAUGAAUUUGAAAUAAAUAUUGUUCACCACUUGUAAAUGAUGAAGCACCUUAUUUUUUACAUGAUUAUGCAUAUGUGGAUGUGACAUUGAUGACUUACAAGUCGGGUAUGACGAUACCCUUUAAAAUACAAUAUGUGAUUGAAACAAAAAUGAAAUUUGAAUGCGUUGAUUUUACAUGAGAAAGGUGGAUUCCCGAAGAAGGCGUUUGAGACACAAGGGCUCAUCGCUGGAAUAACGUGUUUACUGACACGGAAUAUUGGUACCAGGCUAAGCGAUCUGUGUACUUGAUGAGCCAAGUGAUCUUGGGCACUAUCAUUGGGUCGAGACACCAUGUUGUGUGGUCUUGAGUGUCUCUCCCUCACUUAUACUCUAAUCUCGAUGGAAACCGUGGUUUGACAGUUGGUGUAAAUUACAUAGGAUAUUCCACCUAGCUCAGUUGCAUUUCAUUACUGUUGAUAAAAACUAUUGCAUUACACCCAUGUGUUUUCAAAUGAUUUGAUACGAAAUUGCUUUAUACUGGCUCUCAACUAUGUUUUGUAAAAAUAUUAUGUUUUGCUUUAAUAUCUCUGCGUUCCAGUACUUUUGUGCUGACCCCCUCCCCUCUCUAACCUCUCAGGUUCAGAGGCCCAAUCUAGGGUUCAAGAGAACCAGUAGAUCUUUCAGACAGAGUUGCAGAGACAAGUGGCGAGCCUUCUAUGUUUCGGAAGGUCUUAUGUCCUGCAGUCCUUUUAUCUUAUAUUAGUUUUGGUUCUGCUGGGGGCCUUGUCCCAGUUUUCAGAUAGUUACUUGUUUCAGUCAUGUAGUAGAGAUUUCAUAGAUGAUUUUUGAGAUGUUGAUUUAGAUUGUGGGACAUUAUUCCCCAUUAUUGUUUUCAUAUGAUUCUUGACCAUGUUUCCAUUAUAUUGUGUUUCUUCUGCAUUACUUUGAUCAUAUGAAUUAGGUGCAUGAUUACCAGAUAGAUAGGGGUGUUUUGGGCCUCCAUGGUUCAAAAUGCUCGUCAUGGCCAGGCCCUGGUUCGGGUCGUGGCAGAAGGGGAUCAAUACAAAGUACUGGUCCGUAGAGAAAUCCAAAACAAAGUGGAGAAUUUUUUAUAAAAUAAAUGAGAGCUGUUAUAAAUCACAUUGUUGCAAAAUGAUUUCGAAAAUACAUGGGCAUAGUAUAACGAUUUUUCAACGACAAUGCAACACAUCUGAGCUAGGUGGUACACCCUACAAUUUUAUAUUUUCACCAACUGUCAAAUCUCGGUUGCCGCCAAGAUUAGAAUAUAAGUGAGGGAAAGACACACAAGAUCACACAGCAGGGUGUCUCGAUCCAAUCAAGUAUGGUAGUGCACAAGAACACAAUGCAGGGCUCCUAACCAUAGUCCCAAUUUGGGAUGACAUAAUGUCAGGUACACAAGAUCAACAACAGGGUACCAAGCUCCCGAGUCGGCAAACACGAUUUCCAGCGUAGAGUCAUUUGACUCAUUCUUUCUUUGGGUAACCACCUAUCUUACAAAAUCAAUGCAUGAAAACUCAUUUUUAAUCAAUCGCAUGUUAUUCUCUGCAGGAUAUCGUCAUACCCGACUUGCAAGUCAUUAAUAUCACAUCAACUUCUCAUACCAUUUACAACAUGCAUAUAUGAAUGACUUUCACACCAUUAAAACAUAUACACCAUGGUCCUCAACAUGCAAUCAUUCAAGAAGUUUAAUCAUUUAUGAGUAAUGUCAUAUCAAUUGUAAAACUCAUGCUCUCAAUGGUUUUAACACAAGUAUAAUAUGGGAUAUAAAAAUUAUCACGGGGAAUUUAGAAAAUUCACAACUCAUGUACAUCGCAUCCUUUUGAAAUUUCAGGUCACAUGUUCACAAUUUAACCAUUAAAAUACAUUCAAACAAACAACCUCAUGAUAUCUCAAUAUUUCUUUCAAAAUCAUAUAUCAAAAGAUGUUAUUCGUAUCAAUUGAAAACCACCAUUUGUAAAAAAUAUAUAUAUACUUAUAUAAAUUUAAAGUCUUGCGUAAAUUCCUUUUCGAAAACAUGCCCAUGAAAUUUAGGACAACCCCACGUACCUCUAUUUACGAAAUUAGCGGGUGCUUCUUGAAGCCUACGUUGCGGGGAUUCCAAUUCUCCAAUUUGUUUCGAAAACCCACGGUUAAAUCUUGAACUACUUGGGUUUUUAGUUUGAAACGUUAAGGUGAGUUCUUGAAUAAAAUUUGAUGAAAGUGAUGAUAUUUUGGUGCUUUAGGGAUUAAAUCCUGUGUUAGAGAGGAUAAAGGUUUCGAAAAUUACCAUUAUGCCAUUAAUGAGACAGCACUUAAAUGCUGAAAAAUUCUCAGGCGUGCAACAGACCAUGCGGCGCAUGCUAUUUUCCACCGCACUGGAGCAUGCGACGCAUGCUGCCACCAUGCGUUGGACCAUGCGAUGCAUGCAUAUCACAUGAGGCCACUAUUUUGGGCAUCCAAGCAUGCCCUAAACGACGUCCGAAAAUUUCGUAACUCACCCAAUAUGUACUACGACCUUUCCCCAUCAUAACGCAAAAAGAAAAUCUAAAAUUGGACGUCGGGAAGAUCGAAAAUAAAAUCUCCGAAGAUCAACAGCUAAAAAUGAUACUAAGUCUCUUUGAAACUUAGAAAAUUUUCAACCUUUCAAGUCUAAGAGUACGCUACUAGGAGCUAAUACAUGCACGACUUUUACGGGGCGUUACAAAACACUAAGCUGAUAGAAUAGAAGAAUUAAACCAACUCAUUGACGUAACUGGUAAAGGUUCUUCCAUGUGAUCAGGAGGUCACGGGUUCGAGCCAUGGAAACAGUCUUGCAAAGGGUGAUUGUGUCAUUAACAUGUUUUACACAAAUUCACCGGAAAUCAAGUAAAGCUGUCAAUAAAAAUGUAACACUGAACCUUGAGCAGUGGGGAGUCAGAACUUGAAUUUUAUGGGUUAAAAUUCAAAAAUAUUGACAUGUGUUAGGCAUUGAUAGCCUGGUUCUGAAUUAAAAUUUUUACAUAUUUAGAGAAUAUUAUUAAUUAAAAUAUUUAAUCUACACUAAAGCUACUGAGUUUAGUCGAACCUGUAGGCAAAGUUCUACCUCCGUUCCGGCACAUGCUAUAGUGUGGACACAAAUGUGCGUUUUUACUUGCUUGUGUGGGCACAUCAAGAAUUCAACUUUCUUGACAUUCUUUUGGUGUGUGUCUCACAUUGUUGAAAAUGAGAAUGCAUCAGUCCAUUAGUUCAAACCAUAAAAAAGGCAUUAUAGUUUACAUAUAACUGCAUGCAUUAGAAAUUACUGACCUGCCUGACAAUUUUAUUAUACUUAAAGAAUAUUUGACCUUUAAGAAAAAUAGGCAGUUCUGUAAAACUAGAAAACCUCUAAACUUCACACAAAAAUCUAUGUCAUCUACAGGAAUAAAAUUACGCUGGAGAAUUAACAGUUGUAAGCAAAAGUAUUACAAACUGUAAUGAAUUUUCUUCCAUUCAAAUUAUUCGUUCGUGUUCUCCCGCCAGAUAACACAGAGAACAGAACAUCCCUCAUGUUCCAAACAGUCGUAUUUAUUUCUAUAUAUUUAGCAAUGUACAGACAUUCUCAGCGUAGCUAAAAUGUAAUUCUGAUAGGUCCCUCUUAGACGGGGCGGGUUGUUUAAGCAAACUUGUUGGACUCAGCUAUAUAAAUCCUCCACAUUCCAAUCAAAUAGUGGAAAAUUGCCAUCUAUUAUUGAGAACUAAAUAAGGACCAACACAACAUGUGGGUCCAAACACACAGACUACAUAGGGCAAGGAAUAACUUUUAAAGGGAGCAAUGCAGAAGUCGGAAAUUUCACUAAGAUAGUUCAAGGGUUAAUUUAUGUGAUACUAAUUGACCUCUGCACACUAUAAUUUUUGCUUCACUUGCAGGUUCAUCUCAUCUAAUAGUUUAAUUUGAGCACCUGUACUUUAUGUGGCUUCUCCUUUGUGACCAUCUUAGCUAAAAGUUCAAUAUUUUUGUGGCAUAAUACAUAGACGUCCUUUUAACUUGGCCUAAUCUAGCAUCUAUAUAUGCCCUCCAACUUCUGGUGUACACAAGUAGACAUUUAAACUUGUAUAAAGUUGAACAAGAACAAACAUACUAUAUAAAUAGGGAUGUAUCUAGAAGAAUUUCUAGAACCAUCCAUAAACUAGUAUAAAUAGGGAUGGGUCGUGUACAUUUGUAACCAUCCCAAAUAAACAAAUCCAAUACAAGCAAAUUCAAGUAGUCUUCUUCCAAAUCUAAGUUCUUCCUUUCAAUAGCUUCCUCUUCUUAGUUAAAUCUUGCGAUCAUAGUAAUCCAUCUUGGGCUAGCAGAAGGUCUCCUCAAUUACACCUUUCUUCUGCUAAUUCUCUAUACAUAAAAUAGAGACCUAAACUCCUUUUUGAUCACAAAACAGAGACCCAAAUUCGGCAACAAAAGAAAUGGAAACACAAUCGAUUUGCUUUUCUAAACUUCCAUGAUCGAUUACUCUGAUACCAAAUUAAAACUACAAAAACAUAUUACACAUUCAUUCCAUACAAAAGACCUACAGAAGCAAAGCUUCAUUCGAGGGAGAAAAAGAAAACUGCAUUUUUAUUGAAUGAAAAAACUCUUACAAUAAGGAUCCUAGGAUGGAUAUUUAUAGACUCACAUGAGCAUCGCAUGACCUUCUAGAAUCUUCUUAACUACCUCUAACAACUUGAUCAAGUACCCUACUAAUUGACUAACUAUUUCAACUAACUGAACAGUAAAUCAAUCAAACAGUAAAUCAACAGUGAUCUAAACUAAUACAUUUUAACAAAGUCUACACAGAGAGAAACUAUGGAUUGCUUGGGUUGACACGUUAUAUAAAGAGGCAGAAUAUAAACACUGGAAUGCACUGGGGGACAUCAGCAAGCUAGUUCUGCUAGUUCAUAAGAACUAAUUCUUUACUAGAGCAUAAAAAGUGAUAAGAGAUGUAGCAAAUGCGGCAUGGAGCCUAAGUGUGUUUUUAUCUUAUGGCUUUACUUUCAUGGGAGAUCGAUAAUGGACUAAAGAUGUUUUUAUCAGCUGACAUAUGAAUGCAGAUCCUAUGUCUGUGUUACGUAAAAGCGAGCCAGAGUCAAAAGAGCAUUUGUUCGUUGAAUGUAAGGCGAUUCUGUUAGUUCUAUUCUGAGAAGGGAAGUCCAGGGGCACUAUUCCUUGGUAAUUCAUAAAAUUCCUUUAAUAGCCAAAAAAGAAAAAAAUCGCCUCAUCAAUAAAAUUAUUUAGCAAACAUUUGCAAUAAAACAAGUUAUUUGGAACAAUAGCUUCCAGGAGCAUGUUAACAUGCGAGAAGAUGAAUUCUGGUUGUCCGUCUUGCAGGAGAUGCAUCACAGCAAUCUAAUGCUACUUUCAUGAUUGAUGCCACAAAAUCCAACUUCUUCAUGACGUGAUUAUCGGUUGGUGGAACCAAGUUGGCAUCUGCAACAUCUAUUACUGCAUCAGGAAGUGAAUAACUCACCCAUUGUUUCAAGCUAAGAACUUCCUCAAACUCACUAGGCUUUCUCCUAGUAAAGGUUUCCAGCAACAUGAUUCCAUAACUAUACACGUCACAUUUAGUAGACACCAAUCCAUCUUGUCCAUACUCUACAAUCAAACAAUUAUUUAAAGAUGUAACAUGAUAACUUGGUGGAAAAAAAGAAAGGGGAAAGAAAUGUUCAAAGCAAAAUCAAGAGACGUACCUGGCGCAAUAUAACCCAAUGAUGCUAAGGUUUUAGUGUAUAAUUCACUUUCAUCACCACCAAGCAGUUUCGAAAUACCAAAGUCGCUUAGGUGGGCAACCAUAUCCUCAUCCAGCAAGACAUUACUCGGCUUCAGAUCAGAGUGAAUCACAGGCGCCGAGCACCCAUGGUGCAGAUAUUCCAAUGCACAUGCCACAUCUAUUGUUAUGCUUAGCCUUUGCAUGUUGUCUAGGAUGUAGUUGUGCGAAUACAAAUACUUCUCAAAACUUCCAUUUGGCAUAUACUCGAGCACUAAAGCCUUAAAAUCAAGGUUGGAACAACUAGUAAUGACUUUUACGAGAUUCCUAUGGCGAAGGAUGCGCAAAACUUCACAUUCCGUAUCAAAACUCUUGAAUGCCGCAUCCAGCUGCAGAUUGAACACUUUAACUGCAAUAUCCGUUCCACUUUUGAGAACGCCUUUGUAGACAGAGCCAAAACUUGCAGAACCAAUCAGAUUACUCUCACUAAGCGCAUCAGUUGCUUGGAGCACUUCAUAGUAUGAAAUUCUUUCUCGUGUUAUGGUAGACGUUGACUCUGCUGAUUGAGGGGCUCUUUUACCUCCUCGAUACCUUAUCCAUACAAACACAAAUGUAGGACCAAAUAACAGUGUGAUUCCCAGCAAAAGAAAGGAAAGUAGCAACUUUUUCCUAUUUGAUCUGUGUUCUGAUGAAUUGGGGCAGGGCGGGACAUUAAAUCUUGAAGAACCACACAAUGCUUCACUGUCGACGAAAAACUCACUCGAGAGGUUCUUGAAAGGACCCCCCGUGGGUAUUUCGCCAUACAAUUUGUUGUCAGUAAUGUUGAAAUACUUCAAGCUUUGAAGUUUCUCCAAAGACUUAGAAAUGAUUCCUGAUAUAUUGUUAUGAGAAAGGUCUAGGAAUUCCAAACCUACCAUGUUGCUCAUUGAGUCAGGUAUAGCUCCUUGCAAAUUGUUGUGUCUCAAAGAAAGCUGCACCAGAGUUAGCAAUCCUCCAAUUUCUCUAGGAAUUUUAUCUGAGAAUUGAUUCAUUGACAGAUCUAUCAGGGUCGCAGCCUUUAAAUUUCCUAUUUCUGGGGGUAAAGAACCAACCAUGUUGUUUGACGAUAGGUCAAGAACCACUAAAUCUUUAAGGUUCCCUAAGCUUUGUAGUGUAUUGGAACUCAAUCUAUUUGAACCCAUACGUAUCUCUCUAAGGGAAGCAACCUUUCCUAAACAAUAAGGAAGAGAACCCGAAAGUUGGUUUUUGAGUCGAGUCGAUGACAUCUAAGCACUGUAAGUUACAUAGAUUAUCACCGAUAGAUCCUGAAAGUCUGUUAUUACUCAAGAACAAGCCCUGCAGGUUUCUCAAGUUGCUAAUUGAUGUGGGAAUCGAUCCAGCCAAGUUGUUUCCAGAAAGUUCAAGGUCUAAUAAGCUGCUUAAGUACCCAACUUCAUUUGGAAUUCGCCCUUUAAUCUUGCAAUUGUUGGCGUAAAAUUUUCUAAGAGAGGUAGAAAGGUUCCCCAUGGAGGCUGGAAGCAUGCCAUUUAGAGGGUUAAGAUAUAGAGUAAGAAAUUCUAAAUUUCUACAAUUGGUUAAGGAAGUCAAGAAGCUUAGCGAUGAGUCACUCAUUAAAUCGUUUGCCCCCAAGUCUAGGAUUUGUUGAUGAGUCAAACAUCCAAGAGAAUUGGGAAUCAAGCCUGUGAGCUGAUUGAAUGAAAGCUCUAGAAUAGUAAGUUUUGAAAAAUUGGAGAUUGAAUGAGGAAUAGUCCCAAAAAGAUUGGUUAAGUUGUGCAGAUAAAAUCUUUCAAUGUUGGGUAAGAUAGAACAUAUGUUAGAUGGGAGCGAUCCAGAUAGAUUGUUGAAUGAAAGUUGAAUUAUUCUCAGACCUGAUAUGUUGAAGAUCUCCAUAUCUAGUGAACCACUAAAUCUAUUAUAAGUUGUAUUGUUAACUGCAACUUCUACUACAUACCAGUAAACCUAUUAUCGUCAAGAUGUAAAAAUUGCAUCUUGGUUAAGUUGCCGAUUUCACGUGGAGAAUAUCCACUAAGAUAGUUCCUCGACAGUGACAAAAUUUGCAGUGACGAGAUAUUGAAUAUGGAGAUUGGGACAGAGCCGGUAAUCUGGUUUUUAUUCAUCCAUAACUCCACCAAAUUAACAAGAUUUCCAAUUUCUUGAGGCCUCAGUUAAUGUAUAAUAAAAUGCAAUUCUAAAGUAAUUAGAUACAAUAGUAGUAGCAUUCAUAAGAUAAAGCAUACCGGUGAAAUGGUAAUCUCCGACAAUCAAUUACUGCAAGUUGCUCAAUCUUCCAAUUUCACUAUGUAUAGGUCCAUUAAUCUCAUUUUCCAAUAAAGACAAAAUUUGAAGUUGUGAACAAUUCGAUAAGCUUGUAGGCAUAUGGCCGCGAAGAUUGUUACCUCACAACCUUAAUUCUCUUAGGCUUGUAAGACUCCCAAUUACUUUUGGUAUUUGAUCCUCUAUAGAAUUGAAUUUUAGAUUCAAAAUCUCAAGUGUGGACAUAUUAGAAAAUGAUGAAGGGAUGGAACCAGUGAAACUAUUGUUUCUAAUAUUACGAAGUUGAAGUCGGUGUAAAAACCAAACAAAGAAGGAAUCUCCCCUCCGAAGUAGUUGAAACUUAAAUCAAGAAACUUAAGCCGACGCAAGCGUGUCAUUUCUAGAGGCAAAUUUCCAUGGAAAUUGUUGCUUUCCAAGUCGAGAGAAACAAGAAAUGAGAGGUUUCCAAGAUCACAGGGAAUCUUGCCAGUAAGAGUCAUAUUGGAAAGAUUCAAGAAUUUCACUCUCUCGUGGCGAGAGCCACAAGUGACUCCUACCCAAUGGCAAACGGACCUAGCGGGAGGCCAACUUUAAUCCAAUAAAUGAAAGGGAUCUGAAAUAAUUUGAGAUUUCAAAGAAAAGAGAGACAAUUGAUCAGUGGAAAUGUUGGUUUUGGUCAUGGCUAAACUAGCCCUAACAUAGUGAAGGAACAAGAAUGUUAUUAAGAGAAAAGAGCUGAGUGUUUUCUCCAUACUUGCAUAAAUCAGAAGGAAUUUAUUGUGGCCAAUAACUUGUUAUUUUGAGACUUUAAAUAACAACGGGAUCUCCAUUUUAGAAUAUUUUUCAUUCAAAACUUUGUUAUGGAAAAAAGUAAAAAUGUGACUUUGUUUAACCACAUAACAUUUUUUUCCACAAUUGUUUACAAAUUACUUUCUGAAACCUCCAUUAGUUGCAAAGAUGUUUUUAUGAACUUUUAUUACGAAAAAGAGGGAAAAAUUAAUUUGUAUUGGCCGUUAUCAUUUGAUUUAAAAAUGCAUCAAGAUAUAAAUUUUUUGUUUGAAAUUCUAGGAUAUUGAUAGUAACUGAGAUCGAAAUUAAUUAUUCUACACCGUUAAAGAAUUUUUAACUCAUAUAGAGUUUGAGCUAAAAUUGUUGAAUCAAGCCCCCUAAUUUUACAUGUGUGGAGCAAGGGAUGGGGUGAGUUAAUUAGGUAAUAAUCACAACUUUCGCAAAAGUCAAUCGUGCGCAUUUUUAUUAAAAUUCUGAUAUCAAGUUCAUUUGAAUUUAGUAUUUUUAAUGUAAAGAUAAAUUUAUGUAUAAAAUUUUAUUAAAAUUACACCAAAGAGUAAAUCUAAACUCAUAAUUUUAUAAAUACAAUAGGGUUAAUACUAAAACAUUUAAAAGAUUAAACUCAUCAAAUUUUAACCCGGAAUCCACCUAUGUCAUUAAAUGUAAGGAUCACAUAUAGUUAGUGUUUGACUAGGAAAAAAAAAUUUAAGUGGCAGACCAGUUAGUAAAUAUAGCUAGUGCUUGACUUGGAAAGAAAACUCAAAAUAUAGUGUUCAAUUUCUUAUAAGUUUUCCAAUUGGUUGAACAUUUCUUACUGAUGGUUUUUAAAAUGAUGCUUCAUAUUACUGUUCUCAUCAAGGUAAGAAGAAUAUUCAAGUAGUUAAUUAUUUUUGUAUUGAUAAAUGUAAGGGUGUCAAAUAUGACUCAAAAAUUGAUGACCGGUCCCAUUCACCCAAAAUUUUAGGGGUUAAACAAAAUAUAAUUUCAUAUUAUCUGAUUUUAGCUCAACCCAACAUAAGCCUUAUCAAAGAAGUUAUUUGCACAAAUGUAUUAUUUUGGGUGAUAUUCAAAUUUUUGCCCUUUAGCACUUGAAAUAAUAUUAAUGUACCUGAAAAUGCCCUUGAAAGCGACCCCCCCACCUCCCAAGAAACCAUAGCAAGGCCAAAAAUUUGCGAGGCAUAAGUUUAGUGGCACAAGCUAUGCCCUAAGGCAAAGUUCUCUAAAAGUUCUUCCCUGCGAAUUUGAUAUCACUCCCUCCAUUCAUGUAUACUUAUCCAGUUUUGACUUUUCACUACCCUUAAGAAACAACGACUAAUACGAGUUUUUUUUUUCUUUUUACCACAAUACCCAUAUUAUUGAUGUAUAGUCUUAAGUCCAUGAAAAUGAUUAGGAAAGUAUGUAAUUCAUGUUGAGGUUAAAAUAACAAAAAAAAUAAUUGUCUUUUCUUUGAUAUUUUAAAAGUGACAAGUAAAAGUGAAACUCCAUUUUUGAAAUAUUAGACAAGUAAAAGUGAAAGAAGGGAUUAUUGAACAAACACUCACAAUAAACAUUCUGUAAAGAAUUCUGCCUUUGUGAAACUAAGUCAUAGUUAAAUGUAUUUGAACCACAUUUUUUCCUUAAAUUGCCCACUUUUUAAGCAAUUAGUAGAUGGUAGAAAGGUUUGAAAUUUUGCUAUCUCUUUGAAUGCAUACCAGUACAAAUUUUGGAAAUAACAAAUUUUCAUUUCAAUGUAUAAACCUCAUAAUAUUUUGGAAGUUCAUCUGGAAUCUGAUUAACAAUACUUGCUAUACGAUCCUUGGUUAACACCCACCGAAAGUAGUAGAAACCUGAAAUUCCUCAUGUUUCUCUCUACUACACACACACACACCCCAUGUGAUUAUAUGUGUACCUAUAAGCUUAUAAUAACUAAGCUGUAGAAUCUGCAUCAUAGUUAAGCCAAUCUCCCAUGGUAAGAAUCCACUAAGAUUGUUCUGCCAUGCUGACAAAAUUUGCAGCGGCGAGAUCGGGACAGAGCCAGUAAUCUGAUUAUCCUCCAUGCCUAAAUCUACCAAAUUAACAAGAUUUCCAAUUUCUUGUGGAAUUAUCCCUGCAAUUAAUGUGUAAUAAAAUAAAAUUCUGAAGUAAUAAGAUGAAACGUACCAGUGAAAUGGUUAGUUCCGAGCUCUAAUAUCUGCAAGUUACUCAAUCUUCCAAUUUCACUAUGUAUUGGUCCAUCAAACUCAUUUUCCGAUAAAGACGAAGUUUGAAGUUGUGAACAAUUUGAUAAGCUUGUUUAUGGAUAAAUAAAGCCUUUUGAGUAUUGGGAGACCACUGCAUAAACCAUUGGGAAGACUUCCUGAUAAGCUAUUGCCAGUAAAUGCAAUGAACUCAAUUCUUGAGAUAUUGAAAAUUGUGAAUGGUAUAGAACCCGUUAGCUGAUUAUGUUGUAUGGUCAACAGCUUCAUGUUGUGAAGAUUGCUGAUCUCUUAUGAAAUGUUUCCUUGAAGUGAAUUAUAAGAUAUUCUUAAAGUAUCCAACCUUGAGGUAUUAGAGAGGGAUGGAGGAAUGUGACCCAUAAUAUUGUUCCCGGCCAAAUUUAAAUAUCUCAGGUUUGUAAGACUCCCAAUCAAUUUUGGGAUUUGACCCUCUAUGGAAUUGAAUUUCAGAUUCAAAGUCUCAAGGGAUGGAACCAGUGAAACUAUUAUUUCCAAGAUUUAGAGCUUGAAGUUGGUGUAAAAACCCAAACCAAGAGGGAAGCUCCCUGCUGAAGUUGUUGACACUUACAUCAAGAAACUUUAGCCGACUCGAGCGUGUCAUUUCUUGAGGCAUAUUUCCAUGGAAAUUAUUGCUUCCCAAGUCCAGAGAAACAAGGAAUGAGAGGUUUCCAAAUUCACGGGGAAUCUUGCCUGUAAGAGCUAUGUUAGAAAGAUUCAAGGAAUUCACUCGUUGGUGACGAGAACCACAAGUGACUCCAACCCAAUGACAAACACAAACGACGGGAGACCAGUUUUCAUUCAAGAGGUGAGAACGGUCGGAAAUAAUUUGGGAUUUUAAGGAUAGAAGAGACAAUUGAUCAGUAGUAAUAUUGGUUUGGGUCAUGAAUGAACUAGCCAUAAGCAAGAAGAGUGUGAAGAGAAUAAAUGUGAAGGCUUUCUCCAUUACUGCAAAAAUUAGUAGGUAUGCUCUAUAACAUGUGGUUUUGAGAUUUUAAAUAGCAAUGAGGUCUCCCUUUUGGUCUUCAUGAUUUUGGAAAAAAAAUUACUUUUCUUCAUUCAUUCUGUUAUAUUUAGUUGCAGAGUUAAAAUUUUUAUCAAGAGAUUUCAAAAUAUAAAGAAGUAAAUUCAUGAAAAAAAUUAAGGAGUGUCAAUACGUAAAAUAUAUUUUUACCUACAUACACAAUGUAUUGUUUCGACGAACAUGUGGCUCCGCCAUGGUCAUCUCAAUUUUAAUUCCACCAAGUCUUGAACGUUUUAAUCAGCCAAAGACUGGUGCAAGUCAACCAAGUCUUGCUUUAUUUUCAGCAAGCCCAUCACUACAUCAGAGGUUUGCUCAAAAAUUUAUUUUGAGUAAAGCAUUUAGUUCCCUGAACUAUGACUGAAUUUUUCAUAAUACACUCCAACUUCACGGGGUCCUAUUACCCCCUGAACUAUAUUUUAGCGAGUUUUGGUGUAACACUCCGCAUUUCGGGCUAGAAUAAAAACCAUCAUUUCUAUGCAUAGAUGAUCCAAAAGCCAUAAAUCCUAUACAAAUUUUUUCAUGUUAAUCAAUUAUGUAGUGUGUGAACCUAUUUAAGCAUAAAUUGAGAUCAUAGAGGUCCCCAAACUCAAGGACGAGUUGAAAGCUUUUCUAUCGUUCGAUUUUGAGUGAGCGUCAAAACUUGGGUCAGAUUCAAUCAACCAUAACUCCUUGAAUAUGACGAACUGGGUAACCUACUAUAUAUGAAAUGAAAUAUCUUCGAAUUAUCUUUCGAACAAUAUCAAUUUCGCCAAAAUCCGAUACUCGAGCAAAGAGUUAUAGCAGUUUUCGUGAGAGGCAGUAAGCCAAGGCGAUAAAUUCCUGCCAGUGUAAUUUCCUGCAGUCAAGCUCCGCGUCCAAGAGGGGUAUUUGGGUUAUUUCCCACCCUUAAAUAGCUCCAAUAACACAAGAUUUAGCCUCUAAUAACCACAUUAUACCCUCAUUCUCUCACAUUCUCUCGAGAACACUUCUUAGGGUUUCAACCCAAAGAUCAUAAUAACUCAAGAUUCAACCGUGAGUUUUCAAAAUCGAUUAGAGAUUCGAAACUCCAAACCGCAAGCUUCAAGAAUCAUCCAUUAUUCUUUGUAAUCGAGGUACGCGGGGUUUUUCUAAAAUCUCAUGGACAUAGAAAUCAUGUUUUAAGAAUGGGGUUUUGAAGUUUAUGAAUAUAAUCAUGUUUUAGAAGUUUUGACGGUAUUGUUUUGGUUUUUAGACCUUUCCCCCAAAUUGAUUUGAAAUUAUAUAUAUAUAUGUACGUAUGUAUUCAAGAAUGAUUAUUAAAUUGAGAGCAUGAAUAAUAAUGAAUCCCUCUCUAGUUAUGAGUUUUCCCAUCUUCGUAUGAUAUGAAUUGUUUUGAAUGCAUUUUGAAAAGCAUGAUAUGAAAUACUUUGUCUUGUGCUAUUGUUUGAAUAUGAUUUUUGAAUACGAAAGAGAGGGUUGUGAAUGUUGAAUAUACAUAUAAUGAAAGAGUGCAUGGUUUUGCCAAAAUCAUAUGACCACCAUAUAUUUGAUGAAAGUUUUUGCAUGGUUUUGACUUGAGCUUCGGAACAUGAAAUCCUUUAUGCAAAUUACAUGUUUGGGUGGUCUGAAACCAUAUUUUUAUGAAAGAUCGUGCUUAUGACACUAUGGCCCAGAAAUAGGAUUUGCAAGUCUUGGUGUGGCGACACCAACUCAGAUAAUGCCAUGAUAAAUUCAGAAUAGAAUAGAAUGUUUUUUUUGAAAUCAGACUUUAUCAGAUUUUUAUGUCUUAGAACUUCAGAGUAAUGCAUGUUCAGAAAAGGAUAAAAUAGGGCAUAAAGACAUGUUAGGUGGUUCCCCGAAGAAGGCAUGAGUUCAAACAACUCAUUGCCCAAAACCGUGAUUCGCUGAUCCGGGUAUAUAUAUUAUGCUGGCCUAGAGCCAUGUGGCGUAUCAGAAUCAGAGACUCCAACCCUUGUGGCACACUCGGGUUGGGGGAUUUUCUGCCUAGUCAAUGGUGGAUUCCAUAUAGCCCGUAGAAUAUCGGACUUGUAGGGGAGCGCCACCUAACUCAGAAGUAAUACAAAGAUCAGAAACGGUUUUGACAAAAAUGUCCUAGAAUGUUCAAAAUGAUGCCCAUGUGUUUUGGAAACUAUUUUAUGUAAGGUGUUUUGUUAAAUUUCCCUUAUCUACUUUAUACAUAUACAAAUACACUAUUUUGGAUUGCUUCGCGUACCAGUAUAUUUGUGCUGACCCCCCCUCCUUCCAGGUUCUGAGGCUCAGCCUAGGGGUCCAAGUAAAUAGUAGAUAUUUCAGAUCGCAGAUCAGAUUGUGAAGUGAUGAGCCUUGUUUAUUACAGAAGGUAUGUUUACUUUCAGACGACUAUUAUUAGACAUGAUUUUUGGUCUACUGGAGGUCUUGUCCCAGUUUUCAGAUUAUGUUAGAAAUCAUAUAGUAGAGAUUUCGCAGACUGAGUCAGAUAUUUUUUUGGAUAUUGUUGGAGUUUUCCUUCAUUGUUAAACUAAUUUCAGAGUAUGACCAUGUUUCCGUAUUUGAUUAAUAAUUCUGCAUUUUUCUUUUAUUAUAUGAAUGUUGUGCAUGAUUACCAGAUAGAGUAGGACGUUCAUACCUUCAUGGGUCGGAUGUCCGUCACAGCCAGGGCCCCAGUUCGGGUCAUGACAAACUUGGUAUCAGAACACAGUUCAUGGUCCCAGGGUGUCUGCAAAAUCACGUUGGGUAGAGUCUUGUUUAUGGGUGUGUAGCGUGCCUCACUUAUAAGGAGGAGGCUACUAGACAUUCAGCAUUUAGGAAUUUCACUCUUUCUUCAUGUUAUAGUUCGUGCAAUAGAGUCAGAAUGUUCCUUUUUCAUACUCGAAUUCGUGCUACGGUGUUGCCCAUACGAAAGUAAAAGUCAUCCCAAAUUCUUUCCUUACUCUGAUAUUCUUAGACAUGUCCUAUUAUUGGGGUGAUUCAAGUGCAAAGAGUUUAGAAUCUACAUGAUAUAGCCCUUUCCGAUUGAGUUAUAUAAGAUUUUAAAUAUUGUGCAAGGACUUGAGAAUCCGUUUGCUUCAAAGAGUAUUGAUGCGAGUGUGAACCUUGAUAUUGAUGAAAUCAUGCUUUUUAGCCUAUGGUAUUGAGUGUAUUCAGUCUCUUUUUAAAAAAAUUUAUGUUACGGAUGUCAUGCUUCAGGGGAUUGAUGUGUAACAAAAUGUUGGAACUGUAUUUCUACCCGAAUAGUAGUAUGAGUUAAAGUGUUGUUUUCAUGACCUAUUGGUAAUAAAAUUAGACCAAGAAGUUGGUGAUGUGAAGUCACAAGGUUAGAACUCAGAGUGAGGGUGACUUUUGUGUAAAUAAAUAUUUCAAUUGAAUAACCGAUGUUUGAGGAUGAUUUACCCCUUUAUAGUGAUAAACUAAUGUGGUAGCUAUAGCAUGUGUGGAUGGUAUGGUAGUCUAUGGAGGAAGUGUUUGACUCUAAUUUUAUUUAUACAGAGUAAGAUGUGUAUUCUUAGUUCAUUGGAUAUUGCGUAUUAAAUUUCUAUCUCAUGUAAUCUUGUCAUCAAGGUGUUGUUGAAAAAUAAAGUCUAGUGGGGCUCUUUCGAUUCACUAGAAUAGUUGCCUUGUCAUUCAUCUCGUUUUCUUGUUCAAAAAUACAAAAUCAAAGUCUAGUGAAGCCGUGUGAGGUCUAUUUCGAUUCACUGGCAACUUGUUGUCCAACUUGUUGUUCUUGUGUUGGUUUAGUAUAUGUAUAGCUGAAUGUGUUUGCAUGAGAUUGAGUUGGUAAAGAGAUGAUUCGUCCUUGUGGGUUAGUUUAGUAGAAGGUAGAGAAGGAGUUGUUAGUCAGGGUGAUUUGUCGGUUGUCUGAAGUGUGAUAAUAGCUAUAUUAGCCAGUAAGUUAUAAUCAUAGACUCAUGGUUGUUGUGGACAUUGAAGGUAGUCUAAAUGUAUGAUUGAGUAAGUAAGUAUAAGGUGAGAAAUCCAUAUAAGUAGAUAAGAUUGUAUGGGGCUAUAAUAUCAUAUUUAGGUUGAUCAUGUCUAUUAUGUGACUUUACCCCUUGACCUUUUUUUCGUUGGCAGUUGUAAACUAGUACUACUUAUGAGAAGGUAUGUAACAAGUUUUGAGGUAUUUGGAUAGAAUAUUCUAAUUUGAUGGAUUAGUAUAUUAUGUUGCACUCGUCAUUGGUGGUAGAUGAUUGAUGCUAAACUAUAGGCUUGAAUUUAAGUGUAGAAUGUGAUGGUAAAAAUAGUGGCAUGAGAUUAAUAAGGAAUGUUUUGUGGAAAAAAAAUAUAUUAGUAGGCUUGAUGUGUUGAAAUAGUACGUGCUAAUGAGUUAUGAUAAGGAAGACCGUAAGGUCAAGAUCGAUUAUUGUUGUUAUGAAGUUCUAGUGUAUUAGUGUUUCUUGAUGUUUAUUUCAUGGUUCCAAAGUGAGAAUUGUGUGUAAGGUUGGGUUGUAAAAUCAUGUUUAGCACUAGACAUUAAGUGUUGAACAGUUGAAGUCCAUGAAGGUAGAUGUGAUGGUUUCUUGGUUAAUGAUGCAAGUUAUAUGGAAGUGAUCUAAUAGGCUUGAACGGUUUAUGAAAUGGCUUAAUUUUAAGUUGAUUCGUAAUGAAGUAUAAUGUUGUAGGUAUGGUGUGUAAGUAUGCCCAAGGUGAUAUGGGGUUGUGGCAUUUCUCUAAGAUUAUUACAUGUUGCGUGUGGCUAGUAGUACCGUUGAGUUGCUAGAUGGAGAAAGACUAGUAGAUGUUAUAUGGGUUCUAAAUAGCCAGGUUGAAGAGUUUUGAUUGAUAGUGUUGAGCCUUUUUAUAUGAUCUUGAUUCUCAUAGUAAUGAGACAUAAGUUUGGAGUCGCGAUAUUAGUACGCUAUGUCGAAAGUAGUAUGAUUCAUCAAAGACUUGGUGAUAUCGAUAUUAUGUGUUAGAAUCUAAGUUUGAGUUUUGAAGGUUGAACCGAUAGAAAUAAGUGUGCAAGCAUUAUACUAUGACCGUUGGGGCUAUCAAAAUAUAAAGUGUAUCUCAGAAAGUAGUAUUAGCAGUGGGCUUUCCACUUUCAUGUGUGGUCUUUCGGGUUAAGUUCUAUUAAUUUUGCAUAUUGUCAUAUUUCAUACCCUGGAGUGUAGUGAGUGUAGUUAAGUUUAAAGUCUAGUAAGGGAUCUCCCAAACUUAAGACGAUGUCUUAAAGCCAAGGGGGAGAUGAUAGAACAAGUAACCAAGUCCGGCCCUCAGAUUUUAGUAAUGAUUCCAGUAUGACAUAGAACAUCAGAAGGGAAGGGUGAGGCUCAAUCCAUUCCUGUCUCAGUAUUUUUCAGUUAUCCUAAUACCUACUCAUACCUCACGUUUUAGUUCCAUGAUCAUAGUUCAUGUUCAUGUAUAUGAUAGAAAAUCACGUGCUCUUCCAGAUUCCUAAAUAAGGAACUUCAGUUCAUUCAGCAGUCGGAAUCACAUUCCAUAUGUUAUGAACUCUAAAUUGAGGUCAUGCAGCUUAUGACUCAUGUAUUCACACUUUAUAGUGUGUUCAGUUCCCAUAAUUCAUGCUAUACUCUUUAUGAUGGGCGAAAUAUAGUUCAUAGCCAUGUAUGCCCCAAUUCAGAUUUUUCUUUGAUAAAUUCCGGAUUUUGAUUUUCUAUUCCUCAGGCCUCAGUUAAGUGUCAAGUUUCAUAUAAUAUCCUUCCAUGCUUCAAGAUCUUUUUUUCUAAUCUUUAGUGACUCCUCUUUAUGUGAUGGUAGUAGUGAUGAGUAAAUGUUUCUUUUUGAUAGAAGCUCAUAGUAUGCUUGUUUUAGUUAAAGCCAUAAGUGCAAGUAAGGUUGGGGCUAAGUCUUUGAUGCAUGUGAUGGUUAGCUGAAAGGUGUGUGUAUAUUUUCUUAGGGUAGCAUGUGGGAGCUAUAUCGAUAGAUGCUUAGUAGAAUAUGUUAAGUAUAUCUUUAUGAGUGUUUGCUUUGAAGUUCAUAUGUGGUUAUAAAGAUAGACUUGAAUGACAUGUUGGAAUUUUUGUAAAGGAACGCGAUAUGCGUUAGCGACUUCAUAGUAAUAGUUCAGAGUUAGCCAUUGAAGUAGUAGGACAUGAUAGGCUUAGGGUGUGAUCUUCUAAGAGAUAUAGAAGGUUGAAUCUUAUGGUUUUGACUUGUAUCGUGGAGUGGAAUGUAGUAUUUUGUAAGUUGGAGUUAGGCCUGAUCCCGGUGAAGAGGAUUUAAGUUGCUAUAGACAUUAGUAGAAAGAUUUAUAAAUGCCAAUGCGAGAACAAAUAAGUUGAAUCGAAUGAAUGUAGUAUCUACGAGAAAUAGUAUAGUUAAGGGAGUAUUCAAGGAGUGUGCUAAUCUUGAAAGUAAGAAGUCGCAUUGACUAAGGCCUGGUAAUUCUAUCGUGAUUUAUGAGUUAUAUGUCUAUAUUUCAGGCUGCAAAGUAAUGUCAAUGUUGGGAUCCUAUAGUCGGAUGUCUUGUGUGACUCAUGCCCAAGAUUCUUUUCUCCCGAAUGAUACUAGAACUUCUUUAGAAAGAGUGNNNNNNNNNNNNNNNNNNNNNNNNNNNNNNNNNNNNNNNNNNNNNNNNNNNNNNNNNNNNNNNNNNNNNNNNNNNNNNNNNNNNNNNNNNNNNNNNNNNNNNNNNNNNNNNNNNNNNNNNNNNNNNNNNNNNNNNGACUCAUGCGCAAGGUUCUUUGCUCCCGAAUGCUACUAGAAAUUCUUUAGGAAGAGUGUUGAAGAGAAACUCCAGUUAAGUAUAAGUUUCCAGAAUAAUUUAGACAGUAUAACCACCAGUUUAGUUCAACAGUCAGGUAGACAAGUUACUGUGGUUUUCCACCUUUACACCCAGUCCUGCUAUCCGAAGUCCCAAUGUGUAUGACUUCCAAGAGAUAAUCUAUUCCAUCCAUGUAAAUUGCGAAUUCAGUUCAGUCCGAACAUCAUGUUUCAGAUUCAGCUAUUUAGUCAUGACUCAGUUCAUAAGAGUUCAGUGCAUAGUCUCAAAUCUCUCUAGGCAUUUUAGCUCAGACAGUGUAAUACCUUUGUACGAUCUAAAUAUUGUUGUCUCCAGAUUCGUACUUACAUAAGUUACCACUUCCAAAUUCAAUAUGUAUGAUUGGAUCAUGAACAUUUCAAGGAAAUCCUAAACUUUCAUCACGAAUCAGCUUCUUGAAGCAAGGAAAUUCAAGCUCAGAAUUCAAUUUCAUGAUAGAAGUUUAAAAUGUUUCAAAUCAGUUAUAUCCUCUCUUAGAAGACACAUCAUAUCCACGCUAUUCUAUAACUUUAAGACCACAGCAUUCUUAUCCAUCAUUCGGGGACGAAUGAUCCCAAGGGGGAGAUAAUGUAAUACCCCGCAUUUUGGGCUAGAAUAAAAACCAUCAUUUCUAUGUAUAGAUGAUCCAAAAGCCAUAAAUCCUAUGAAAAUUUGGCAUGUUAAUCAAUUAUGUAGUAUGUGAACCUAUUUAAGCAAAAAUUGAGAUCAUAGAGGUCCCCAAACUCAAGGACGAGUUGAAAGCUUUCCUAUCGUUCGAGUUCGAGUGAGCAUCGAAACUUGGUUCAGAUUCAAUCGACCAUAACUCCUUGUAUAUAACAAACAGGGUGACCUACUAUAAUCAAAUGAAAUAUCUUCGAAUUAUCUUUCCAACGAUACCAAUUUUGUCAAAAUUCUAUACCCGAGCAAAGAGUUAUAGCAGUUUUCGUGAGAGGCAGUAAGCCAAGGCGAUAAAUUCCUGCCAGCAUAAUUUCCUGAAGUCAAGCUCCGCGUCCAAGAACACUUCUUAGGGUUUCAACCCAAAGAUCAUAAUAACUCAAGAUUCAACCUUGAGUUUUCAAAAUUGAUUAGAGAUUCAGAAUCCCCAAUCUGCGAGCCUCAAGAAUCAUCCAUUAUUCUUCAUAAUUGAGGUACGCGAGAUUUUCCAAAAAUCUCAUGGACAUAGAAAUCAUGUUUUAAGAAUGGGGUUUUGAAGUUUAUGAAUAUAAUCAUGUUUUAGAAGUUUUGAUGGUAUUAUUUUGGUCUUUAGACCUUUCCCCCAAAUUUAUUUGAAAUUGUAUAUAUAUGUACGUAUGUAUUCAAGAAUGAUUAUUCAAUUGAGAGUAUGAAUAAUAAUGAAUUCCUCUCUAGUUAUGAGUUUUCCCAUCUUCGUAUGAUAUGAAUUGUUUUGAAUGCGUUUUGAAAAGCAUGAUAUGAAAUACUUUGGCUUUUGCUAUGUUUUGAAUAUUAUUUUUGAAUACGAAAGAGAGGGUUGUGAAAGUUGAAUAUACAUAUAAUGAAAGAGUGCAUGGUUUUGCCAAAAGCACAUGACCACCAUAUGUUUGAUGAAUGUUGUUGCAUGGUUUUGACUUGAGCUUCGGAACAUAAAAUCCUUUAUGCAAAUUACAUAUUUGGGUGGUCUGAAAUUAUAUUUUUAUGAAAGAUCAUUCUUAUGACACUAUGGCUCAGAAAUAAGACUUGCAAGUCUUGGUGUGACGACACUAACUCAGAUAAUGCCAUGAUAAAUUCAGAACAGAAUAGAAUGUUUGCUUGAAAUCAGACUUUAUCAUAUUUUCAUGUUUUAAAACUUCAGAGUAAUGCAUGUUCAGAAAAAACUAAAAUAGGGAACAAAGAGAUGUUAGGUGGUUCCCCGAAGAAGGCAUGAGUUCAGACAACUCAUUGCCCAAAACCGUGAUUCGCUGAUCCGGGUUUAUAUAUUAUGCUGGCCUAGAGCCAUGUGGCGUAUCAUAAUCAGAGACUCCAACCCUUGUGGCACACUCGGGUUGGGGGCUUUUCCGCCUAGUCAAUGGAGGAUUCCAUAUAGCCCGUAGAAUAUCGGACUUUUAGGGGAGCGCCACCUAACUCAGAAGUAAUACAAAGAUCAGAAAUGAUUUUGACAAGAAUAUCUUAGAAUGUUCAAAAUGAUGCCCAUGUGUUUUGUUAAAUUGCUCUCAUCUACUUUAUACAUAUACAAAUAUACUAUUUUGGAUUGCUUCGGUGCCAGUACAUUUUUGUUGACCCCCCCUCCUUCUAGGUUCUGAGGCUCAGUCUAGGGAUCUAAGUAAACAGUACAUAUUUCAGAUCGCCGAUCAGAUUGUGUAGUGGUGAGCCUUGUUUAUUCUAGAAGGUCUGUUUACUUUCAGACGACUAUUAUUAGACAUGAUUUUUGAUCUACUGGGAGCCUUGUCCUAGUUUUCAGAUUGUGUUAGAAAUAAUAUAGUAGAGAUUUCGCAGACUGAGUCAGAUGUUGUUUGGAUAUUGUUGGAGUUUUCCUUCAUUGUUAAACUAAUUUCAGAGUAUGACCAUGUUUCCGUAUUCGAUUUAUAAUUCUGCAUUUUCCUUUUAUUAUAUGAAUGUUGUACAUGAUUACCAGAUAGAGUAGGACAUUCGGGCCUUUAUGGGUCGGAUGUCCAUCACGGCCAGGGCCCCAGUUCGGAUCGUGACAUUUGGUCAACCUUUUUAGCUGAUGUGUCAUCUUUGGUCCCAAUCACUUGUUUACUGAACAAAUCAACAACUUUUUUUCAGUUUCAACACUUCUAUUCAAACACUUAUAUGCUUAAUCACUUAUUUUAAGCUUUUAAUUAUAUAAGCUAAAAAAAAUUAUUUUAUAAAAGUACAUUUGGUGAAAAAGUUAUUCCUCUAAUCAUUCCAAACAAUCUCCAGGUUGCCUUCUACUAAAGUUAUGUACAUUAGCUGGUACAUAAUUAUAGUUGAUUCUAGUCACUAAUGUUUAGGUAAUAUAUAUGUCACAACAUGAAAAACUAUUUACAUUCUCAAUCAAAGACAACGCAGUUAGCAAUUAUUCAGUGUAGUUUAAUAUCUUUACUUUUAAUUUUUAGGAUGUUUUUACAUAUUGUUUUUAUAAAUUCUAACAAAGUAAACAACAUUCAGAGCAUGUUUAGAUUGUCUUAUUUUAAAUGUUUUUAUGUCAAAAUAUCUUUUAAGUACUUUCUUUGUGAACUUUUCAUAAGUGUCGUGUUUAUUAGAAAUGUUUUAUCUCUUUUAUUUUAAAUGUUCUUUAGUUAGUUUAAAAUGGAGGAUUCUCUUGUUAUCUUGAAAUUAUUAUUGAUUUAUUUUAAUUAAUGAUGUAAACCUCAAAUAAAAGGUCACCUGACAAAGCUAUUUUUGCAAAUUCACCAUUAAAAAGUAAUUGCAUGAAUGAGCUAGUUUUGUAACAGUGACGACAUGAAUGAGACGAACUUUUAACUGAUAGCAUAAAUGAGACAUUCUGAUAGUUCAAUGAAAUAUCUGAGUCUUUCUUCUUACUUUAAUUAAUGAUGUGGACCUCUAAUAAAAAGCCACGUGGUAAAGCUGUUUUUGAAAAAUCACCGUUAAAAAAAAUGAUAUGGAUGAGAUAAUUUUGUAAUGGUGAUGGCAUGAAUGAGACGAGCUUUUAAUUGAUGGCAUAAGUGAGCAAUUUUUGAUAGUUCAAUGGUAUAUUUGAGACUUUACCCUUAUUUUUGUCACUUCAUUUAAGCAUAUAUAACUUUUAUAUUGUAAAAUGUUUAAAAGUUAUCUUUGUUUUAAUUGAUAUAUAAAAUUUAAAUUUUUAAGUGACAAAAGACUAUUUAAUUAAAAAUAUGUAAUUAAGUAGUGGAGUCAAUAUUUUUAUAAAAAAAAUAAAAUUAUAACUAAACAUAAGCAUUAGGCAACAAAUUCAACGUAUAAUAUAUUCAUAAAUAAAAAUUAUACUUAUAGAAUAAUUUAUUAAUAGAAAAAUAUAUUACCAAAAAAUAACGAGUAGCGAAGAAAAUAGUAUUAAAAACUAUGGGAAUAUAUAUGGAUGUGAAAAGUGAUAUAUAAAAGCGGGUUUAAGGAGGGUAUUUUUGUUAGGGAAAAGGCUCAAAUAUGACAUUGAACUAUCAGAAAUGACUCAUUGAUGCCAUCAGUUAAAAGUUUAGCUCAUUCAUGCCAUCGCCAUUACAAAAUCGGCUCAUCCAUGCCAUUAAUUUUUAAGGGUGGUUUUAAAAAACAGCUUUGCCACGUGGCCUUUUAUUAAAGGUCCACGUCAUUAAUUAAAAUAAGGAAAAAGACUCAAAUAUGCCAUUAAAUUAUCAGAAAUGGCUCAUUUAUGCCAUCAGUUAAAAGUUCAGCUCAUUCAUGCCAUCGUCAUUAUAAAAUCAGCUCACCCAUAUCAUUACUUUUUAAUAGUGGGUUUUCCAAAACAGUUUUGUCAUGUGGCCUUUUAUUAGAGGUCCGCGAUAUAAAUUAAAAUAAAUCAAUAUUAAUUUCAAAAUAUCUUAUACCCAUUAAAAACAGCCGAUUCAUUUAAUAUAACCCGACCCACACCCAUUAAAAUAUUUUUUCCUACAACAACAACUAUUUUUCUUAUCAGAAAAAAUAGUGAUUAAUGUAUAUCCUUUGGCUAUUUCUAGUUCAUUCUAAAUCAUUAUAAAUGCUAUGCUUAACAGAAACCUAAAAAAUUCUAUCUUACAGUAAUUAAUUAGUUUUAAUUCCAGUGACUACAAUAUAUACUCUGAAGUUGCAAGAAAAGAAAGCAAUGAACGAUGAGGGCAAGCAAGAAAAAGAAAGAGGCGUACCAAUAGAACUUCUCAACUCUCCCAUCACGAAUUACGGGAGUAUACAUUAUUGAAAAAAUUAUUUUCAAAUAACAACUUAAAAGAAGUCUGUUAUCCCAAUUAUCCCGCUAUGCAUACAGAAUAACUUGUCCCAUCAUGAAUUAGUGGAGCAUACAUUGUGGAAAAAUUAUUUUCAAAUAACUGCUUAAAAGAAGUCUGCUAAUCCAAUUAUCCCGCCAUCUAUAUGGGAUAACUUCUCCCAUCUUUAUGGUAUAAAUGUUGGAAUAAAUAAUCCUGAUACUAACUAAUUUCACAUAUUUUGAAAUUAAUAUUGAUUUAUUUUAAUUAAUGGCGUGAAUUUCUAAUAAAAGACCAUGUGGAAAAACUAUUUUUAAAAACCCAUCAUUAAAAAGUAAUGGCAUGAGUGAGUUGAUUUUAUAACGGUGAUGGCAUGAAUGAGCCAAACUUUUAACUGAUGGCAUAAAUGAGUCAUUUCUAAUAGUUCAAUGGCAUAUUUGAACCUUUUUGCUUAUUUUAAUUAAUGACGUGGACCUCUAAUAAAAAACCAUGUGGCAAAGUUGCUUUGAAAACCACCGUUAAAAAGAAAUGACAUGGAUGAGCUGGUUUUGUAACAACGAUGGCAUGAUUGAGCUCAACUUUUAACCGAUGGCAUAAAUGAGUCAUUUUUGAUAGUUCAAUGGCAUAUUUGAUCUUUUUCCCUUUUUGUUAUUUUACACAUUUUAUCCCAGUAUAAGUUAUCUCAGUACUACUAUACCACCCUAAGAUAGGGAUAACUUAUCCCAGUACUAACUAUUAAUCCUUGGAUAAGUUAUUUCACACUUCUAUAACUAACAAAGGAUUAAGGGGUACUAAAAAGUUAUCCCGAAAUUAUUUUUCCUUAUCCCUCGUGCCAAACGAUCCCUUAAACAUUAAAUUCACAAAAUUUUAAUCUGGUAUCCGCCUAUGUCAUUGUAAGAAUGACAUAUAGUUGGUGUUUGACUUGGUAAAAAAAUUAAGUGGCAGACCAAGAAAGAAAUAUAGUUAUUGCUUGACUGGGAAAAGGAGUCAUCCAAUAAUUUUACAAUCAAAUGUACAGUUAGUGCUCAUGAUAUGGUGUACAAUUUCUUGAAAGUUUAUAUUUGAAAAUGGUUGAACUUUUUCCUAUUGGUUAAUUUUUCUAAUGUUGUUCUCAUCAAGCUAAGAAGAAAAUUUUAGUUGCAAACCAAGUAGUUAAUAAUUUGCUAGGGAUAAGUUAAGUGAAACAAGUUAUGAUCUAAGGCAUAGAUUCAGUGACAAAAGUUAUGCCCCAAAAUAAAGUUCUCUACAAGUCUUGCCUUGCGAAAUAGAUAUUACUCCCUCCAUAAAUUUUUACUUGUCCAAUUUAGACUUUCCACUUCCCUUAAGAAACAAUGAUUAAUAUGAGGUUUUUUUUUUAUUACCACAAUAUACAUAUUUAUUCAUGUAUGUGGUGGAAAGGUUUGAAAUUUUGCUAGUGAUCGAUGAUGAAUCUGUGUGAAAUGAAUGUGCAGCUGACCACAUGAUUUACUGACCAAAUGAAUUUGGUGCAAAUUGUUAGUGUCUCUGCUAUGUCUCAUGGGUUCAACGUCUGUAGUGCACAAGUAAUUUGGGAAGAUUAUUUUGUUUUACUGUCCAUAUAAUGUCUCGUGCUCGAGUAAAUAGGUGUUUAGUCUACUUUGAGACAACAUAAAUGAAAAUAUAUUUGAUGAUCAUCAGGCUACCCUCCGAUUCUUCCCAAUAGAUAUCAUGAGGUGGACAGAAAUGACUGUAAUUAUCCUCAGUACUAAUAACCAACACAGUAAUAACUAGUAGUUCCACAGCCUAUGAUGAGCACCACAGUUUGUAAUGAGUUCCACAGCCUAUAAUGAUACGCAUAGUGAGAGCACAAUGGGGAAUAUAAUGAAGAAUGUCUGCAAUCUCGAAAACGAACACAUGAACAAAGGAGCAGAAAAAAAGAGUACAACACAAGCCAAUGAAUAUCCUUCCCUGGAAAUUAUGCCGAGAACACUCGCAGAGAAAUUUCUAUCUCAAGGCUUCAAAUUUCUAGCUGAAACUUUGCAACCAACUCAGCUAAAAGCUUUGUGUGUUGUAUACAUAACAGCAAUCAAACAUUUGAUACAGGUCUAAAUUUAAUUUCCAUGUUCGUAUCAGCAAUCAAAUCAUUUGAUAGUCUGCUCUCACCAGAUAACUCAUGAACUAUCUUUUAAAACAUUUGUAUUACUUUCCUAUAUGUUUUAUUAAAAUUCUCCACCAUGAAAAGCAAAAAUGAUUUCCAUUGUUAGUGAUGGAUACAUCACAGAGAUAUCAAGUUUAUCUGAAUUCAAUAUUUUUAAUGUAAAGACAAAUUUAUGUAUAAAAAUUUAUUAAAUUUACACCAAAAUUAAGUUCUAACUCAUAAUUUUACAAAUACAAUAGAUUCAAUACUAAAACCCUUAAAGAUUAAGUUCAUAAAAUUUUAAUUUGAAAUCUGUCUAUGUCAUUAAAUGUAAGGAUGACAUAUAGUUGGUAUUUGACUUGGCAAAGAAAAAAAAAUUAAGUGGCUGACCAAGAAAUAUAGUUAGUGCUUGACUUGUAAAGGAGCCGUCCAGUAAUUUUACAAUCAAAUGUACAGUUAGUGCUCGUGAUAUGGCGUACAAUUUCUUGGUAGUAGAUAUUUCAAAAUGGCUAAACAUUUUCCUAUUGGUUGAUUUUUCCCAUGUUGAUGAUCCAUCCAAUUUGCCCAAAAUUUGAAGGAUUGAGCACAAUAUAUUUUCAUAUUGACUGAUUAUAGUUCAACCCAACAUAACCCUCAUCCAAGGGGUCAUUUGCACAUGAAUUAUUUUGGGGUAAUAUUUAAUUUGUUUUUCCUUUAGCACUUUAAGUUUUAAAAAAAUGGCUGAAAUGCCCUUGACCGCGAAAAAAGAAAAAAAAAAAACUCAAGGCAAAAUGAUUUGCUAGACAUAAGUUCAGUGGCACAAGUUAUGCCCCAAGACAAAGUUCUCGUCUUGCCAUGCAAAAUAGAUAUUACUCCCUCCAUUAAUUUUUACUUGUCCACUUUAGACUUUCCACACCCUUAAGAAACAGUGAUUAAUGUGAGUUUUUUUUUUUACGACAAUAUACAUAUUAAUUCAUGUAUAUGGUGGAAAGGUUUGAAAUUUUGCUACCAAUCAACGAUGAAUCUGUGUGAAAUGAAUAUGCCUAGUAGUAGUAGGUGAUCUUCCAAUAAAGUGAGCUAAGGGGAUCAGCCUAGAGUUAGACCGAUAAUAUGGCAAAGGGCCCCGAAGAGCAAAGAAUACGUUUUUAGACUUGUCUCUCACACCAUCAGCUGUACCAAAAACGGACUGUGAGACAUUACUCGAACAGAAGGUAGAAGAUUAACAGGAGGCAUACCUGGAGCUAAUUUAACGAACUGCUUAGUGUUAAAUUUGCGGGGUCAGGUUGGUAUGGCCGCGACAAAGACUCGGUUUCAGAUGGGAAACUUAGUGAGUCAGCAUAGUGGGGAAUCCAGCGAAUCGUUGAAAAUAACAGAUCCCUUCUGCAGUGUAGGAACAAACAAAAUCCAUUCCUCUCUAAUCAGGAUAUUUUGUUAUACUAACCAUUUAUAUUACAUGCCUAUCCGUAUUCAUACAGUUAAUUCCUCUAAAAUAUUUUGGUUUUACUUAUUCAAUUUACAAGUUCCCCCCUGUUGCAACAAUAAUACUAAGAGGAAACAGUGAGAUUUAUUGCAACCAUCUAGCAUUUCUGAAAACAGAAUCAUGCAAAUCAAUUGCUAAAACAAAACAAUACAAAACAAUACAAAACAAUAAUCUUUACAUGAAUACAACAAUUUAGAAAAAUUUGAAACAAACAAGUGACUCAGAUUCCAAAAACAUGCUCAACAUGCAAGAAGUUGAAUCUUGAUCUUCUGCAGCAUCCCUACAACAUCUUUCAUGUUAGUCCUUCUUGCCGGAGAUUCAGCACAACAAUCUAAUGCUACUUUCAUGAUUGAUGCCACAACAUUUAACUCCUUCUGUAAGUGAUUACCAGUUGAUGUUACCAAGUUGGCAUCCAUGACGUCCUUUAUUGCCUCUGGGAAUGAAUAACUCACCCAUUGCUUCAAGCUAAGGUCACCCUCAAACUCAUUAGGCUUUCUCCUAGUAAACGUUUCCAUCAACAUGAUUCCGUAACUGUAUACGUCGCACUUUGUUGAGACUAGUCCAUCCAGUCCAUACUCUACAGUCAAACAAUUCAUUUAAAGAUGCAAUAUACUUUCUUGGUGGGAAAAAAAGAAUGGAGUAAUCAGCAGAACAAAGAGACGUACCCGGAGCAAUAUAACCCAGUGUUGCUAAGGUUUCAGUGUAUAAAUCACUCUCAUCGUCACCAAGUAGUUUUGAAAUGCCAAAGUCGCUUAGGUGGGCAACCAUAUCCGCAUCCAGUAAGACAUUACUAGGCUUUAGAUCACAGUGAAUCACAACCGACGAACACCCGUGAUGGAGAUAUUCCAAUGCACAUGCCACAUCUAUCAUUAUGCUUAGUCUUUUCCUGAUGUCGAGGAAGUAGUUGUGCGAAUACAAAUACUUCUCAAGACUCCCGUUAGGCAUAUACUCGAGAACUAAAGCCUUGAAAUCAAGAUUGGAACAACUAGUAAUGACUUUUACGAGAUUCCUAUGGCGAAGGCUACACAAAACUUCACAUUCCGUAUCAAAACUCUUGAAUGCUGCAUCUAGUUGCAGGUUGAACACUUUAACUGCAAUGGCAGUUCCAUUUCUGAGAAUGCCUUUGUAAACAGAGCCAAAACUUCCAGAACCAAUCAGAUUACUCUCGCUAAGUGCAUUAGUUGCUCGGAGAAGUUCAUAGUAUGAAAUCCUUUCUCUUGCUAUGGUAGACAAUAAGUCAGCUUGCUGAGGAACACUUUUACCUCUUCUAUACCUUAUCCAUAGGAGCACAAAGGUCAUAGGAGCAAAUACAACUGCAAUUGCGAGCAAAAUAAAAAUAACUAGCAAUUUUUUCCUAUUUGAUCUGUGCCUUGAUGAUGUGGGGCAUGGCGGGACACUAAAUCUUGAAGAACCACACAAUGCUUCAUUGUAGAUGAAAAACUGACUCGAGAGGUUCUUGAAAGGACCUCCUGUGGGUAUUUCACCAUACAAUUUAUUGACAGAAAUAUUGAAAUAUUUCAAGUUUUGAAGUUUCUCCAAAGACUUAGGAAUGAUUCCAGAUAUAUUGUUAUUAGAAAGGUCUAAGAAUUCCAAACCUACCAUGGUUCUCAUUGAGUCAGGUAUAGACCCUUGCAACUUGUUGUGUCUCAAAGAAAGGUGUGCCAGAUUUUGCAAUCCUCCAAUUUCUCUUGGAAUUCCAUUUGAGAAUUGAUUCAUCGAUAGAUCCAUCUUUGUUAUAGCCUUUAGAUUCCCAAUUUCUGGAGGUAACAAACCUACCAUGUUGUUUGACGAUAAGUCAAGAACCACUAGAUCUUGAAGGUUCCCUAAGCUUGGUGGUAUAUUGGAACUCAAUUUGUUGGAACCCAGAUGUAUCUCCCUAAGGGAAGUAAUAUUCCCUAAACAAUUAGGAAGAGAUCCUGAAAGUCGAUUUUGAUCCAAGUAAAUAUCACCCAGACGCUGCAAUUUACAUAUAUGAUCACCAACAAAUCCUGUAAGUUUGUUGUUACUCAAGUUGAAGCGCUGAAGGUUUCUCAAGUUGCCAAUUGUUGUGGGAAUUGAUCCAACCAAGUUGUUUCCAGAAAGAUCAAGGAAUAAUAAGUUGCUUAAGUUCCCAACUUCAUUUGGAAUUAGCCCUUGGAUUUUACAACUGUUGGCGAUAAAUUUUCUAAGAUACGUCGAAAGGUUCCCCAUGGAGGCUGGAAGCAUGCCAUUUAGAGGGUUUAAAGAUAUAUCAAGAACUGUAAAAUUUCUGCUAUUGGUUAAGGAAGUCAGGAAGCUUAAUGAUAAAUCGCUGGUUAAAUUGUUUCCCCCUAAAUUUAGAUACUGUAGAUGAGUCAAAUAUCCAAGUGAGUUGGGAAUCAGGCCAGUAAGUUUGUUGUAUGAAAGCUCUAGAAUAGUAAGUUUUGAACAUUUGGAGAUGGAAUAAGGAAUAGUCCCAACAAGAUUGGUAAAGGACAUAUAAAAUCUUUCAAUGUUGGGUAAGAUAGAACACAUGUUUGGUGGGAGGUUUCCUGAUAAAGUAUUGUUUGUAAGAGAAACUACUCUCAGCCCUGACAUGUUGAAGAUAUCCAUAUCAAGUCGACCAUUAAAACUAUUAUCCGCAAGAUCAAGUUCCUCCAACUCAAUGAGAUGGCUUAUCUCUUUGGGUAUUUCACCUGUAAACACAUAUAGUGGAUAAUUAGUGAGUUUAAAUAAUUGGUUCAAUCUAGUAAACCUAUUUUUGCUAAGAUAUAAGAAUUGCAUCUUAUUUAAGUUGUCAAUCUCCCAUGAUAGAAUCCACUAAAAUUUUAACCUUUAUAUUGUUGGUGAUAUGAAAGUAUUAAAAGUAGGCACAAUAGAUAAAAAUGCACUUUAACUUGGCCUCAGAUCACAUCUAUGACCUCCAACUUUGGGUGUGCACAAGUAGGCACUUGAACAAAUAGACACAUAUGUCAUUUGUGGCAUCCUACGUGGCCAAUUCUUGUCUUAGAUUAUGCCACAUAGGACGUGUGUGUUUACUUGUUCAACGUUUUACUAGUUUAAGUGUUUACUUAUGCACACCCAAAAUUGGAGGUCAUAGAUGUGAUUUGACGUCUAGUUAAAGGGCAUAUUUAUGUAUUAAAGGGAAAAAAUACGUAUAGGAGAUAAAUAUAUUUGAACAGAACCAUUAAUCUGCCUUCUCUCCAUGCCUAAUACCACAAAACUUAGAUACCUCAAUUAGUUCAAUAACUCAAAUUAUACCAGCAGUUACAAGCAUUCAUAAGAUAAAAAAUAUACCAAUGAAAUGGUUAUAUCUGAGAUGCAAUAACUGCAAGUUAAUCAAUCUUUCAAUUUCACUAUGCAUUGGUCCAUCAAACUCAUUAUAUGAUAAACCCAAUAAUUGAAGUUAUGAACAAUUUGACAAGCUUGUAGGCAUACGACUGUGAAGCUUGUUAUAAGACAGAUAAAGCCGUUUGAGACCAUUGCAUAAACUAUUGGGGAGAUUUCCUGAUUAUGUUAUAUGGAUUGCACUUUCAUGUUGUGAAGAUUUCCAAUCCCUUCUGGAAUGUUUCCUUGAAGUGAAAUAUAAAACAAAUUAAUUUUAAACAUUAAAAGGCACUCCUUAUAUGGUGUUUCUUGUCAUACGCUUGAAGAUUAAUUUAUAAUUGUUACAUUUUAUUACUCAUUACAUGCAUAAAUUCAUAGAAUGUUAAUAGUUCUAAUGGAUCUAUAAAAAUUAACAUGAGACACCAUUAGAAUAUAUAUGUACCUAUAAGCUUAUUUCCAUUAAUCCGUAGAUGUCGCAUUUUGGUUAAGUUGCCAAUCUCCCGUGGUAAGAAUCCACUAAGAUUGUUAAACGACAGUGACAAAAUUUGCAGCAAUGAGAUAUUGAAUAUGGAGAUUGGGAGAGAGCCAGUAAUCUGGUUUUUCUCCAUCCAUAACUCCCCCAAAUUAACAAGAUUUCCAAUUUCCUGUGGAAUUAUCCCUGCAGUUAAUGUAUAAUAAAAUGCAAUUCUUAAGUAAUUAGAUACAAUAGUACUAGCAUUCAUAAGAUAAAGCAUACCAGUGAAAUGGUUUUCUCCGACAAACAAUAACUGCAAGUUGCUCAAUCUUCCAAUUUCACUAUGUAUUGGUCCAUCAAAUUCAUUUUCCGAUAAAGACAGAAUUUGAAGAUGUGAACAAUUCGAUAAGCUUGUAGGCAUAUGACCGCGAAGCUUGUUUGUGGAUAGAUAAAUCCCUUUGAGUAUUGGGAGACCAUUGCAUAAACCAUUGGGAAGAUAUCCUGAUAAGCUAUUGUCUGUAAAGGCAAUGACUUCGAUCCUAGAAAUAUUGAAAACCGUGAAUGGUAUAGAACCCGUAAGUUGGUUGACUUGUAUGGAUAGAAUUUUCAUGUUGUGAAGAUUGCCGAUCCCAUCAGGAAUGUUUCCUUGAAGAGAAUUGUAAGAUACAUCUAAAACCUCCAACCUUGAGGCAUUCGAGAGUGACAGAGGAAUAGAGCCUAUGAGCUUGUUACCUUUCAACCUUUAUUCUCUAAGGUUUAUAAGGCUUCCAAUCACUUUUGAAAUUCAGAUUCAAAAUCUCAAGUGUGGACAUAUUAAAAAAUGAAAAAGGGAUGGAACCAGUGAAAUUAUUAUUUCCAAGAUUUAGAACUUGAAGAUGGUGUAAGAAUCCAAACCAAGAGGGAACCUUCCCUCUGAAGUUGUUGACACUUAAAUCAAGAAACUUAAGCCGAUGCAAGUGUGCAAUUUCUUGAGGCAAAUGUCCAUGGAAAUUGUUGCUUCCCAAGUCAAGAGAAACAAGAAAUGAGAGGUUUCCAAGUUCACCGGGAAUCCUGCCUGUAAGAGACAUGUUAGAAAGAUUCAAGAACUUCACUCGCUGGUGGCGAGAACCACAAGUGACUCCCACCCAACGGCAAACAGAAAUUGUGGGAGACCAACUUUCAUCCAAGAAGUGAGAAGGUUCUAAAAUGAUUUGGGAUUUCAAAGAGAGAAGAGCCAACUGAUCAGUGGUAAUGUUGGAUUGGGUCAUAGCUAAACCAACCAUAGCAUAAUGAAGCAACAAAAGUACUAUUAAGAGAAAAGAGGUGAAAGAUUUCUCCAUAAUUGCAUAAAUUGGUAGGAAUAUGAAUAUGGCUUGCAAUAAUGUGAAUUUGGGACGUAAAUAGCAAAUAGAUCUCUUGCCCUUUCUUUUAGAAUAUCUUUUCAUUCAUACAUCUUUUAUGGCAAAAGAAAAAGCUUCCUUUCUUUAUGUCAUCUCAAGAGUAAUAAUACAACUAAAGAAAGAAAAAGAAAGUAACUUUAAUUUGUUCAAGUGAAAGACCAAGAAAGAAAUAUAACUCAUAUGGACUCGAAAAGGAGUCUUCCACUAACUUUUAUAACCAAAUGUAAGAUGUGAAAUAGCACAGAAAGAAUGAAUUCCGUAAAAUAUUUAACAAACAAAAUUUUAGUAUUUGAAAAAUGUUAAAAAGUUGCUUUAACGAAUAAUGCACUGAUUUAUUUUUUAUUUUUCUCCAACUUUUUUUACAAACAACUCUUAGUCAAAUUGAGAUUUCUAUUUUUGGUAGGAAACUGAUUAGUCUUUUCUGUCAUUUUUGGUAGAAAAUAUGUUGUUUUUUAUGGUAAGUUUAAUCUAUUUUUGGUUUUAAUAGCGACUCUUUAAGAAGGAGUUGAUGAUCAAUAAAAUAUGCAGCUUUAUCAGAAAAGAAAAACAAACUUCUCUGCAUCUCUUCUCUUCUAACUCAUCUCUAUUUUCUACUGCUAAGUUUUUGGCUCUCCUUGCUAUGUUAUUUUAACAGUAUUAGUAUUGAAGCCAACAGUUGGUAUCUAGAGCUAUUUUUAUUGAAGGACCUGUGAGUGAAGAGAUAGAUUCUGAAAAUAGUUUUUCACGAAUAGCUCCACUCGUUUUUUAUGGUGAAAAUUAUCAAUUAUGGGUUGUGAGAAUUAUAACUUACUUGAAGGUUCUUGAUCUAUGGGAAACUAUGGAAACGGAUUAUGAAAUUAAUCUGCUGCCAAAUAAUUCCACCAUAGCCCAAAUUAAAACUCACAAGGAAAAGAAAACCAUGAAAUCUAAAACAAAGACAACUCUAUUUUGCUUCUAUUUCAAUAACUAUUUUUUCAAGAAUUAUGUCUCUCACAUCACCAAAAGAAAUUUGGAAUUAUCUGAAGAAAGAAUAUGUUGGAGAUGAAAGAAUCUGAGUAAUGUAAGUUCUAAAUUUAAUAAGAGAGAUCGAGUUGCAGAGAAUGAAAGACUCUAAGAUAGUUAAAGAGUACUCGAACAAAUUAUUUGGCAUUGUUAACUAGGUAAGAUUACUAGGCAGUGAAUUUAAAGAUUCAAGAAUUUUUGAGAAGUGAGAAGGUUCUAAAAUGAUUUGGGAUUUCAAAGAGAGAAGAGCCAACUGAUCAGUGGUAAUGUUGGAUUGGGUCAUAGCUAAACCAACCAUAGCAUAAUGAAGCAACAAAAGUACUAUUAAGAGAAAAGAGGUGAAAGAUUUCUCCAUAAUUGCAUAAAUUGGUAGGAAUAUGAAUAUGGCUUGCAAUAAUGUGAAUUUGGGACGUAAAUAGCAAAUAGAUCUCUUGCCCUUUCUUUUAGAAUAUCUUUUCAUUCAUACAUCUUUUAUGGCAAAAGAAAAAGCUUCCUUUCUUUAUGUCAUCUCAAGAGUAAUAAUACAACUAAAGAAAGAAAAAGAAAGUAACUUUAAUUUGUUCAAGUGAAAGACCAAGAAAGAAAUAUAACUCAUAUGGACUCGAAAAGGAGUCUUCCACUAACUUUUAUAACCAAAUGUAAGAUGUGAAAUAGCACAGAAAGAAUGAAUUCCGUAAAAUAUUUAACAAACAAAAUUUUAGUAUUUGAAAAAUGUUAAAAAGUUGCUUUAACGAAUAAUGCACUGAUUUAUUUUUUAUUUUUCUCCAACUUUUUUUACAAACAACUCUUAGUCAAAUUGAGAUUUCUAUUUUUGGUAGGAAACUGAUUAGUCUUUUCUGUCAUUUUUGGUAGAAAAUAUGUUGUUUUUUAUGGUAAGUUUAAUCUAUUUUUGGUUUUAAUAGCGACUCUUUAAGAAGGAGUUGAUGAUCAAUAAAAUAUGCAGCUUUAUCAGAAAAGAAAAACAAACUUCUCUGCAUCUCUUCUCUUCUAACUCAUCUCUAUUUUCUACUGCUAAGUUUUUGGCUCUCCUUGCUAUGUUAUUUUAACAGUAUUAGUAUUGAAGCCAACAGUUGGUAUCUAGAGCUAUUUUUAUUGAAGGACCUGUGAGUGAAGAGAUAGAUUCUGAAAAUAGUUUUUCACGAAUAGCUCCACUCGUUUUUUAUGGUGAAAAUUAUCAAUUAUGGGUUGUGAGAAUUAUAACUUACUUGAAGGUUCUUGAUCUAUGGGAAACUAUGGAAACGGAUUAUGAAAUUAAUCUGCUGCCAAAUAAUUCCACCAUAGCCCAAAUUAAAACUCACAAGGAAAAGAAAACCAUGAAAUCUAAAACAAAGACAACUCUAUUUUGCUUCUAUUUCAAUAACUAUUUUUUCAAGAAUUAUGUCUCUCACAUCACCAAAAGAAAUUUGGAAUUAUCUGAAGAAAGAAUAUGUUGGAGAUGAAAGAAUCUGAGUAAUGUAAGUUCUAAAUUUAAUAAGAGAGAUCGAGUUGCAGAGAAUGAAAGACUCUAAGAUAGUUAAAGAGUACUCGAACAAAUUAUUUGGCAUUGUUAACUAGGUAAGAUUACUAGGCAGUGAAUUUAAAGAUUCAAGAAUUUUUGAUAAAAUUCUUCUUACAGUGCCCAAAAGAUAUGAAGCAUGUAUAACUACCUUGAAACAUACACAAGAUCUGUCCAAGAUUUCCUUGGCAGAGUUGUUAAAUUCAUUUCAGGCACUGGAAUAAACAAAACCUAUGAUGCAAGAUGAGCCUUAGUAGCCAACCACAAAAUUCAGAGAAAUAGGUAAAAAUUUUAAAAAUUAUCCACCUUGUGAGCACUGUGGAAAAAUGCAUCAUCCACCAUACAGAUGUUGGAAAACACCAGAAGCAAAGUGCAUUAAGUGCAAUCAACUUGGCCAUGAAGCAGUGAUUUUAAAAAACAAAUUUGAGAACCAUGAAGCAGAUGCACGUAUGGUCAAUAAAGAAGAAGAAGAUCAUCUUUUUAUUGCAACAUGUAUCUUAAUUGAUGUUUUGUUGAAAAGAAGAAGAAGAUCAUUUUUUUAUUGCAACAUGUAUCUUAAUUGAGGUUUUAACAAAAUUUUUGGUUGAUUGAUAGCAGUUACACCAACCACAUGACUUAUAACAAGAGUUAGUUUAAAGGAUUAAAGUCUACUGAAAUAUCCAAAGUUAGGAUCGGAAAUGGGGACCAGGUUAUUGUUGAAGGAAAAUGAAUUGUUGUCAUCAAAAUAAGUUCAGGUAAUAAAGCAAUUUCAAAUGUUCUUUGUGUACCUGUUACUGAUCAAAACUUGUUGAGUAUUUGUCAGUUGGUAAAACGAUACAAAGUAUCCUUUGAGGAUAAGUAUUACUUCAUCAAUGAUGGUGUUCGAAAAAAAGUUCUAAACAUCAAGAUGAGAGGUAAACAUUUCUCAUUUGAUCCAAUGGGAGAUAUUUCUGUAGAACAUGAAAAAGAUCAUAGGCUGAAAAAAUUAGAAGAUGGUCCUCUAAUUGAAAAAGCACAAGAAAUAUAUGAACCUUCUAGGUUUAAAGGAGAUUUCAAUGUUCCUAAAGGAAUUGAAGCAAUGUAGGAGUUACCAAUGUUUCAAAAAAUAAAGCGGAUACAUUUAAAUUCAACAUGCAAAUGAAGCAGGAAGACAUACUAAAAAAAUUUAAUAGUCAAAGGUUGCAUUCAAGAUGAGAAGUGAAUUAAUUAGUUCACUACAAAACAAAAGAUGAAUCUGCAAUUUAUUCACAAGGUCACUUUCGGUGUGGAGAUCCCAAUACAGAAAACCAAAACUUUACAGUUCCUAAAGCAAGGAGGAGUGUUAAAGUUUUUUUAAAGAAUAAUUCACGUGAUUUAUUUUUCAUUUUUCUCCAACUUUUUUAACAUACAACUCCUAGUCAAAUUGGAAUUUUUAUUUUUGGUAGAAAACUUAUUAGUUGUUUCUGUCAUUUUUGAUAGCAAAUAGGUUAUUUUUAUGGCAUGUUUAACCUAUUUUUGGUUGUAAUAGCAAUUAUUUAAGGAGGAAUUGAUGAUUAAUACAGCAAGAAUGAAAUAAUUUAUAAGAAAGAUGUUCAUGUUUAAUGUCUCUUCCUUGCAUAAAGUUGCCAAUAAUUUCAAUAUUAUAAGAAAGAUUUUCACGUUUAAAAUGUUUCUUUCUUUCAUGAAGCACCAAUAAUUUCCCUCAUAGACCUUUAUAGGGAAUAGGAAAUAAAGCUGUGGGCUCCAUAACAACAUUACGAAAAAGGAAACUUAAGGGACAGAUAUGAAAUUCACACUUUGAAUACAUUUUCUUGGUUGGAGUAUUAUUUUUGAUUUACAUCAUAGCACUACUGACUUAGUUUUGGCAAACCAAAAUCUAACUAGUGUCAGCUAUGGGUUCAUUCGGGAUUUGUAACUUUCGAUACAGAGUGUCAUGCCAUGUUUUUGCCAAAGGCUAAAUAAAACAUGACUCAUUGGACUUUAAAAGAAUUGAAAUUUUGUACAGAGUUGCCACCCAAUUUUUAAGGGAAAUAAGGAAACAUAAAUGAUUAAUAUUUUUUUUAGUCUAUGAAAACCAAUUUAAGAUUCUUGGUAAGGGUUCAAGUUAUCCCAAAGGGAAGGGAUUAGUCACCUUUCAAGAUCCACAAAUGUGGCACCCGACUAAACAAAAUUUAUCAACGAGAGAGGAAGUAUAUUUAAAAUAAUGUAAAAGAUAUAUUAAGUGUAAAAUAAUUCUUUUGAAAAAAAUCUAAAUGUUUAAAAUUAUGUAAAUUAUGAAUAUAAAUAAAAAUAAAUUUAUUGUUAUAAAAAAAUGUAAAAGUAUGUAUAAAAAUGUACAAAUUUCAUGUGAAAAGUAAAUGUAUUUUGUGAUGGGUGAAAAGAAAGUAUCUUUAUGUACUAAAAAGAAAUGGAAAAGGCUAAAAUAUGCCACUGAACUAUCAGAAAUGACUCAUUUAUGCCAUCCAUUAAAAGUUGGGCUCAUUCAUGCCAUCGUCGUUAUAAAACUGGCUCAUCCAUGCCAUUACUUUUAAUAGCCAAUUUUUAGAAAACAGCUUUGCCACGUGGCAGCAUAUUAGAGGUCCACGUCAUUUUUUAUAAUUUUUAAUUUUUUUAAAAAAAAUUAUAAAUUUUUUUUUAAAAUUUUUUAUUUAAUUUUUUUAAAAAAUGGUGUUGGUUACAAAGUUUAGAGAUUACAUAUUUCUAUGCUUUUAUUUAUCAAAUAAAGAAUAAUAAAUUUUGCAUAUAACUAAUGUUCAUGUUUUUUCUGGAUUCUUAUUUUUAAAAAUAAUUAUAUAUAUAUUUGACCAAUCUUCUAGGUAUUUGUUUAUACAUGAACCCAAAACAUUCAAACCUGAAAUUAUAGUUCAUCAUAACCAUUGCUAGUCCUUAUAUGCAAUGAUAAUAAAGGACGAAAUCCUAUUCUUGUCAUAUUUUGCCAAAUGAAAAAGGUGACCACAUUAAAAUGAUCAAUUAAAGACCUAAAUGGUUAAUCCUUCUUAACACUUUGAAAAGUACAUGAUAGAGAAAGAAAAAGAAUGCAAAAAUGUGAACAAUUUCUUCUGUUGGUGCAUUCUCUUUUCCUUACUUUUCUCUCCCUCUUUGUGUGUGCAUGCAAAAUGUAAGUAGUAAAGUAUUGUGUGUAGAUGUGUACAUUAUCAUUUAUUCUUUUUUGAUAAUCAUUUAUAUGCAUGCAUGCAUGGAUCAUAUAUUAUAUCAAAUCUCACUUCAAAUUUAAUCAUAACAAAGAUUUGAAUACUCUAGUAUUACAACAACAAAUGUAAAAUAAGAGCAACUCCACUUCAUAAUAUUGGAAUUGAAUUUCACAUAAUUGUGAUAUUAUAUUAUUUAUAGAAAGGUAAAGGGUUACCUUUUGGAAAAAUAGUUGCCAACAAAAGAAAGAAGAAGCAGCGAACUCGAAACCAUGAACCAAACCUCAAACUCCAACUCGUUGUCUACCCGUUUAUAUAUGUUAUUUGCUUUUUGUUUCUGUCAAAUGUUACUCCCUUUUCUUGUUAACUCUUCUCUUUUCUUGUUUUUCUCUCUCAAUCCAUGUUUUUUUUUCAAGGUUCCUCUCCCUUUCUUCUUGCUUUUGUCCUUUUUAUUUCCCUAAUUCUCCCUAUUCGUUCCCCUUAUCUUUGUGUUUUUCUAUGUUCCCAUUUGUGUCUGUGUGGGUGUACCAUAUAAUGUAUAAGGUUGGGAAGUUGAGGGAGUUGAGGGGGUUGAGGAAAAGGUGGGGAUGAUUGGGAUAGUUUUCUUUAGGAUAAGAUUUUUUUUAUAAAUAUACAAUGUAUAAGGUUGAAAAGUUGAGGGAUUUUUUUUUUUUAAAUAUUUAUAAAAAAAAUAUUUAUAAUAAUUUUUUUUAAUAAUUUUUUUAAAUUAAAUUUAAAAAAAAAUUAAAAAAUAAUGUGGACCUCUAAUUAGUUGCCACGUGGCAAAGUUAUUUUCUAAAAACUGGCUGCUAAAAGUAAUGGUAUGGAUGAGCCAGUUUUGUAACGGCGAUGGCAUGAAUGAGCCCAACUUUUAACGGAUGAUAUAAAUGAGCCAUUUCUGAUAGUUCAAUGACAUAUUUGAGCCUUUUCCCAAAAGAAAAUGUAUUUUCAAAUAAUAUUUUUGAACUUGAUCAAAAUCAUGGAGAAAAAUAAAAAUUCAUUUGAAAAGAAGAGACUACAUAAUGUGCAAAUUAAUUGUGUAAUUAAAUUUCUUUAUGUGAAUAUUAACGGCCUAAAUCUUGCCUAACGUGCGACGAGAAUUAUGUAAAUAGAGAAUAUCUCCGUCCGACGCCCCAAAAGUAAAAUUUUAACUAUACUUUAUCUUUAUGUAUAAUUAUACAGAUGAAAAUAAACAUCAACCUCGAGAUUUUCUUUCAAGCAGUACUUUGGAAUGCAUUACCGAAACAUGUAUAGUUGCUUGAUAGAAGUAAUAAAAAUGAACAAAUAAUCAUGAAAUUAUGUGUACACAUAUGUGUAUAUAAAAUAGAAUUUUGUUAUAAAGUGGGCUCAAAUUAAGAUUUGGACGCGCUGUAGCUACAAAAUGGUUGCUUGAUUUAUUGAUCAUCCUAAAUCACCUUACCAAGAUAUGAAUCAUAAGACCCUUUGUGUUGCCGCAAAAUUAAAAAGAUUUCAUCAUCGUCCAAAUUAAUUUAUUUUUGUUAUGUAUUUGUAUAUGUAAUGCCCGUCUUUUAUUUGGGAAGGCCUUAAAAAUCGACGGAGAAUUUCUUCAUCGUCCAUGUAUUAGUACUUGAUAGAAAUAAGUAAAUUUGAGAUAAUAAAGCCCAUCUUUUGAAAUGGGGUGGCAUCCGAUGGGAAAGAUAUUUUCAUCGGCCAAAGUAUUUAUUUUUGAUGUAAUAGAUAAAAUUGAAAAAUAAAAAUCCGUCUUUUAUUGUGGGGUGGCCUCAAAAAUCUGACGGAGAGAUAAUUUCAUCGGCCGAAGUAUUUAUUUUUGAUAUAAAAUAAUACAUUUGAGAAAGUAAAGUUUGUCCUUUAUAAUGUGAUGGUCUCAAAUAUCUGACGGUGAGAUAAUAUCAUUGGUCGUGUCUUUAUUUUGAGUAUAUGUGUGUGUUCCUGAGAAAAAAAAAAAAGAUGAACAAAAUUUGUGUAUGAUAAAAAUAUAUGUGUGGUGAAGAAUAUGUGUGUGUAGUGAAAAAAUGUUUCUUUGAGAGAGAAAAAAAAUAUGUGGGGAUGAAAAAUGUGUGUAUGCAUUAUAAAAAAAUGUAUUGUGUGUUUUUAUAAGAAAAAUGUAUGUGUGUAUUUGUGCAUUCGAGAGGGAUGAGAAAGAAGAAAAGUAUUUUUAUGAAUGGUUAAAAUGUGUUUUGUUUUUUUGUGAAUUUGUGUAUUUUAGAAAACGAGGAGUAGGAAAAAUAUGUGUAUUUUUUGUGUUAUUUUGUAAGAGAAAAAUAUGAAAAUGAGGAAAUAUUUUUGUGUCUUUGAGAGAAAAAUAUGAACAAGACUUUUUUUCAUUUUUGUAUAUGUAUUUGAGAGAGAAAAAAAUAUAUGUUUUGGGAGAAAGGAUGAAUAUGUGUGGGUGGUAAAAAUGUGUCAUUUGUCUUCCACCCUCCACUAUUUAUAAUGAAAAUUGACACCCCUUAUUAUCCAAUGGAUAAAGGGGUGUCCGUACUCAUUCUUAAUAGAACAACUUUGGUCCUUAGGAUAUUGACCAAAGGAUUUUCAUCCUUUUAAUCAAUGGAUAAAGUUGUUGUCCAAAGGAUAGUGUCACUGAGUUGUCAUUGUCAAAAGUGACAAGACAUUACAUGUAGUCAUUGUCGGAUUUGAGACCUCAUUGUGUAGUCAUUGUCGGAUGUGACAAGACAUAAUUGUGUAGUCAUUCUCGGAUGCGACAAGACAUUAAUGUGCGGUCGUUGUCGGAUACAAAAAGACAUAAAAUUAUUAUACUGUGUAAAAAUAAUUCAUCCGACUUAUCAUUUGUGGAUCAUAAAAUAUAUAUACAAAAUGCAGGUAUUGAUUUAUAAUUACGAAAAAUGUAAAGAACGUUGAAAAUGUAUAAACAAUAUAAUUAAUAUAAAAAAUAUUGUAAAAUAUAAUAUCAUGUCGUGUACGGGUGCAGAUGAUUGUAAAAUAUUAAAAACGAUAAUGAAUUGAUAAAAAUACUAAUACAAGAAAAAUUAUUAAUAAAUCAUGAAAAAUAAAAAUAUGACAACAAAUUGAUAAAACACCCAAAGUAAGGAUUAUCAACAAUUGUAAAAAGAUAUGAAAAUUAUACUUUGUUCCCUUUAAUGGUCAGUAAGCCUGAAAAUAUUAAUUUUCAGCACGAAGAGUGAAAAUUGGGUGUCAAAAGUUGCCCCUUUUCGUUUGACGAUGAUGUAGAAGUCUUCAAACGAAAAAGUUGACGUGUAAUCAAUUUUGGUCGAUAAAAAAUAAUUUAUUCAUUUAUUAUUUUAUUAUUUUUUUGAAGAAAAUUUGACCGAACUUCAAUUUAAAAUUUCCUACAUACCUCGAGUUAUGUAAGGAUCAGGUUGGAUUUAGUUCAAAAAAAUAGGCAGAUUGUCUCUUGCCUUGUUAUUGGGGCGAGUGACUAUGUAGAAUGACUGUUGAGAGAUGAAUCAUUUGGGAAUGAAUGUAUUUACAUAUUUCUGAUGACGCUUUUGAAAUUUCUCAAGUAUCGAGCUGUGAGAUGCUGGGGAUGCAAGAUUGUGUACUUGUUAGGAGAAAGAGUGAUUAUGUUGUUGUGAUGAUCUAAUUCUGCAUAGAGCUUCCUAUAUAUCUCGAGUGUCAUGAGAAUUAGAUCGAUAUAGUUCGAAAUGAGUAAAUAGAAAAAUUUUAGGGCGAUUCUCAAAAUUUUCCCUAGUGUAUGUUUUUGACUCUUUGAAUGAAAUUUGAAAAAUGUUAUGUUGUUUUGAAAUCUAUUUUGAUUGAAAAGAUGCAUGGUGCCUCCGAUUUUGUACGGAGACUUGAGGAUGAAUGACGUUACCGAUUGUUUAUAGGGACGUGAAGAUGAAUGACAUCUUCGAUUGUUUAUGGGGACUUAUAUGAUGAAUGAAAGAUGUCUUUAAUUAUCUAUGAAGACAUAAUGCAUAGCAUCUCCAAUUAUCUAUGGAGACUGAUGUUGAUUAUUGUCUUCGAUUGUCUACGAAGAUUGAUAUUGAAUAAUGAUGUCUUCGAUUGUCUGCGAAAACUUGAUGACAUCUCCAAUUGUCUAUAGAUAUCGAUGUUGAUUGUCUUCAAUGAUUGUUCAAUGUAACGUACUGAUUUUCUGAACCGAAAUGCUGCACGGCGCCCAUGACCCCAAAGGAACACAAGCUAACCCAUGACUUAUAUCUGUACCUGAGCACUGAAUAACCAUACUGUAAAAUAUGCGAAAACAUAAUACUGUAAGGCCAUAAGGUUCAAAUCGAAAUAAACAUCUGAUAAAAUAAUAUCUAAAAAUGGUAUAACAAUACCAACAUAAAUCUGAAAUAAUUGUUUGAAAUGCUGUAGUCUGAAAACCUCUAAACUGAACUGAAUAAGGGGUUGAGGGAAUAUGUUCCCAACUAACUCCGUCUACUGAAAUAAACUAAUAACUGAAAUAGUGAUAUGAAUAAUAACAUAAUUGUCCUCGAAGGAUGAGGACUUACUGUUAAUUACUGCUGCUGGCUGACUCUGAAAUUGCUAAGGGAGCUCUGGAUCCCGUGUGUCCAAACCUAUGGUAUAAGACACCAUAGCAUGAGAAAAAUAUGCGUCAGUACUUUGAAUGUACUGGUAUGUAAGUGAGGUAGGCUGAAUGUAUGGGGUUCAUAUGUAUAAACAAUACUGACUAACAUGAACGUGAGAAUACAUGCAUGAAUACAUAAUAGCUAUAACUGAAACUAUACUAGUACUAGAUACUAAAUUCUGUGUACUGAUUUACUGACAUCUGAGUUUACUGAAUAAAGAGGAACUGAUGUUAUAUUACUGAUAAAGAAAAUGAUUGUUUCUGAUAGUUCUGAUUAUGAAGAACUGAUCUGAUUGACCGUAUAUAACAGUCCUGAAACUGAGUUCGUGAUAACAUGACUACUGAGUAUGAAUACUGAUGACAUCUAUUUACUGAUAACAUAUCAUUACUGAUAACUUAAUUGUGAUAAUUGAUACAUCUGAUAACAUGAGUUCUGAUAACUGAUAGCAUGAACGACUGUAUCUGACAGUCCUGAAUCUGAUGGAACUAGCUGAGUUCCAUACUGUAUCUGAGUUGACUGUAUCUGUCAGUCCUGAUAUCUUGAAGAACUAUCUGAGUUCUUUUACUGAGACUGAUACUGAAACUGUGCGAAGUAGUUAUAUAACCGACAUGCCCCAAAUACGCUAUAAUAGUUAAGCUAGGGUCCAAUCUCUUCCUGUAACGCCCCAAAAAAUGGGUCUCGGAGCCUCACACGGUGCUUGAGACUAUGAGUAGCCCCAAGCUAACCCUUUGAGACAUUUUCAUUCAGUUCAACACAAAUCAAUGGGGUUUCCAUAAAUAACUCUCAAAUAUCAACAGAGUAAUCAUCAUCCAAGAAUAAAAGAAUUUUAGAAAGAUAACAAAAUAUGACUUAUUAGUCAACUCCAAACAUCUAUACUAGUCUGACAAGCCUCUAAGUCAAAAAAGCCAACGAGCCAUUGAGACAUGCCCCAACUGACUCAUAGUCAGUAAUCAAAUGUAAAUAAUUCCGUGAAACCAACAUCAGACAUCACAUCCUCGGAACAUGAGGACUCACCACAAUAGAGGAUUUAGAACAACGUGCCCGAAGAAUCACUGUCAAACCUGGAACUGAGUACCUGAACCUACAUUUCGAGAAAAUACAGCCCACAUCUGAAGAUGUGACUCAUUACCAUGAAAAGGAACCGAGUAUAUGGGGGUGUAUGCAGUUUUAUAAACAUCAUCAUCAUACAUAUUUAUAAGAAAUAUACAGGAUGUAUGAAAGACUCACAUAUCCCAAAAAAAUCAUCAUAAUCAUGAGAGGAUGAAAUAAGUACAAUAACACAUGUGACUCAACAUAUAAUUUGUCAAUCACUUUCAUUUCAUCAAUAAUAUCAAUUCUCAUAAUGUAAAUAUCAUUUUAAUCUUUCGAAAGAAUAACUUUCACAAUUCCACUUUCAAAUCACUUCACCAUUCACCAUAGACACAAGGAAACACACACAUACUGGGAGAUCCUAUAAUCAACAUAAACCAUGUGAGCUACAUGGAGUCCACCAUACAAUUCACGUUGGGGAGAGCCGUCCUAUCCUUUCUAUCAGAGUAGGACUAUCGAUAUUAAAUCCACACAAACUAGUGAUCACUAUAUAAAUUAGCCUUAGGCUCUCUCCUAUGGGGGCACGUAGUUCUAGGAAAGUAAGGUCGCUUUAUACCUCCCACUAGGUGCUAAAGAUUUCUUCCAAACUUAGCUCAGAUCAUUUCAAAGACAAUCCACAACAAAAUAAUUUCAGUAAAACAACGUUGUGAAUUUCUUUCACACUCGAGUUCAAAACAACUUCAUUAAUACCAAAAGUUCAAAUCAUUCAAAAUAUCUUAAAUAUUCAACAUCAACGUGCUUAUAACACACACUUUCUCAAAAAAAUAUAAUUUCCAAUGGGGAUUCACGACCCAAAUAUCAAAAUCAUGAUAAAUAUCGUUCGAGAUUCAUGCUUUAUAUCUCCACACAUGUAAAUUCAUCUUUCAAAAUCAUAAACAUCAGUAUUUCAUAAUAAUCAUCAUAAGAUAUGGGUUCAUGCUUCAAAUUCGUAAAAAAAUAAAAUAAAAAUCAUGCCAUUGUAAAGAAAAUUACUUUUGGGCACAAGAACGAAAGAGAGUUCUUGUUGAAAAACCCCACAUACCUUGAAUGGUGAACUUUAGAUCGAUACUCAUUUUUGAGAUAUUAAUCGUGCCUAUGAAUGAUGGUUCUUGAAGUUCUUGAACUAGGAACUUGAAAUCUUGAAUAAAUUUGCAGAGUUAAUGGUGAACUUUGGAGGUUCUUGAAGUUGGAUGUAGGUUCUUAGGUUUUUUUUUUUGAGGGAAUUUGAUGAAAUAUAACAUAUAAUGCUUCUAAUAUGCUUUAAUAUAGGGUUUGGAUGGAUUUUGGGUGAGGGGGAAUGAUCAAAACGCCCCUAAAAGAUCAAAUAAUUCUCGAAUCUGUCCUUUGGUGGACUAUUUUGAUAGUCUGAAGUAGAUCAACGAUAAUGUUUUACUCUGAUAUCCAAAUUGGAUUAAACAAAUUUCAUUAGAAAGAGGACUCUCAUAUAUUUCCGUUGAUAUAUAGUAUCUCACCCAGAUCAUUGUGUAUGAGGAGUUAUGAUCAUUUGAAGUUGACCCAAAAAUUCACUUUUGAUAGGCUGAAGUAAAUCGAUCAUAACUUUUUGCUCCGAUAAACAAAUUGGAUGAAACCAAUUUCAUUGGAAAGAGGACUCGCAGAGAUUUCCAUUGAUAUAUAGUAGAUCACCCAGAUCAUUAUGUACAAGGAGUUAUGAUGGUUUGAAGUUGGAGCAAAAAUACGCCAGCCUCAGUACUUUUUCCUGCAGGUUUUACUGUUCACUACUAUUCAUGGUUCGAUCAGAAUGUUGAUAACUCGUCGCUCGGGUGUCCGUUUUUGAUGAUCCACAUAUCGUUGGAAAUAUUAUUUGAUACUCUACGUCAUGAUGGGUCAUAAUCUAAGACAUUCCACAUAGAAAAUUUAUAAUUCAUUCUAGAAGAUAGAACCCAACACGUUUACACACAGAAUUUCAACAAAAAAAUUCCCUGGGUAUUACAUCAUCCCCCCCUUGGAAACAUCCAUCCUCAAAUGACGCUAGACAUGCCAAUAUUAGAUAGGGAAUGGAGCAUACAGCUGAAACCAUUCGUUAGACUCAUCACCACAUCGUUUUUCACUCCGAAUGCAACAUAGAAUGCAUAAAUUCAAGAAACUACAGCUGAACACAUAAUAAAUGACAGCUGAACUGCUGCAACUUUUAUCAAAAGUGAAUGAUUUAGGAAAGAACGAUACCUUCGGCUUGAUCGGAGUGGAGUUCGCAGAAAAGAGGUGCGGGUACUUGGAUCGCAUAUCCGCCUUAGCUUCCCAAGUUGCACCCUCAACAGAUUGGUUUCGCCACAACACCUUGACCAAGGGAACUUCUUUGUUCCUUGGUCUUCGGACACUGAAAUCAAGAAUCUCUAUGGGAAUCUCAUCAAAAGAAAGAUUUUCUUGCAUGUCAGCAAUCGCAGAGGAAUCCACUACCACAACAUCACUAAUAUGCUUUCUAAGCAAGGAGACAUGGAAUAUUGGAUGAACAGAGGACAACUUGGAAGGCAACUCGACCUCAUAAGCUACCUUACCAACACGGCUAAGAAUUUUGUAAGGAACAACAUAACGGGGACUAAGCUUCCCCUUCUUUCCGAAUCUCUUCACCCCCUUAUGGGUGAAACUUUUAGAUACACUAGGUCACCAACUUCAAACUCAAGGUCUCUCCUUCUAACAUCCGCAUAUGACUUCUGACGACUCUGCGCAGUUUUUAACCUUUUCCUAAUCAACUUAACUUUUUCCAUAGCCUCAAAUACCGAAUCUGAACCACUCACAACCGCUUCACCCACCUCGAACCAACCUAAGGGUGAUCUACACUUCCUUCCAUAUAAGGCUUCAAACAGAGCUAUGCCAAUACUAGAGUGGAACCUGUUAUUGUGAGCAAACUCUAUCAACGGUAAGUGAUCAUUCCAACUUCCCUUAAAGUCAAGUGUACAAGCUCUCAACAUAUCAUCUAAGGUCUGGAUGGUCCGCUCAGCCUGAGGUCUGCGGAUAAAAAGUAGAACUCAAAAGCACUUAGGUACCAAGACCCUUCUGAAAAGCUUUCCAAAAUUGUAAAGUGAACUGAGUAGCCCUAUCCGAAAUGAUAGACAAGGGAACUCCAUGCAGUUUGACUAGCUCUCGGAUAUACAAUCUACCAUAAUCCUCAGAAGUAUAUGAAGUAUGAACAGGAAAGAAAUGGGAAGACUUAGUCAACCUAUCAACCAUAACCCAAAUGGAAUCAUGAUGGUGUCGGGAAGGAGGUAAACCAAUCACGAAGUCCAUAUUUAUCUCUUCCCACUUCCAGGUGGGAAUACUAAACUCUUGCAUCAUACCNNNNNNNNNNNNNNNNNNNNNNNNNNNNNNNNNNNNNNNNNNNNNNNNNNNNNNNNNNNNNNNNNNNNNNNNNNNNNNNNNNNNNNNNNNNNNNNNNNNNNNNNNNNNNNNNNNNNNNNNNNNNNNNNNNNNNNNNNNNNNNNNNNNNNNNNNNNNNNNNNNNNNNNNNNNNNNNNNNNNNNNNNNNNNNNNNNNNNNNNNNNNNNNNNNNNNNNNNNNNNNNNNNNNNNNNNNNNNNNNNNNNNNNNNNNNNNNNNNNNNNNNNNNNNNNNNNNNNNNNNNNNNNNNNNNNNNNNNNNNNNNNNNNNNNNNNNNNNNNNNNNNNNNNNNNNNNNNNNNNNNNNNNNNNNNNNNNNNNNNNNNNNNNNNNNNNNNNNNNNNNNNNNNNNNNNNNNNNNNNNNNNNNNNNNNNNNNNNNNNNNNNNNNNNNNNNNNNNNNNNNNNNNNNNNNNNNNNNNNNNNNNNNNNNNNNNNNNNNNNNNNNNNNNNNNNNNNNNNNNNNNNNNNNNNNNNNNNNNNNNNNNNNNNNNNNNNNNNNNNNNNNNNNNNNNNNNNNNNNNNNNNNNNNNNNNNNNNNNNNNNNNNNNNNNNNNNNNNNNNNNNNNNNNNNNNNNNNNNNNNNNNNNNNNNNNNNNNNNNNNNNNNNNNNNNNNNNNNNNNNNNNNNNNNNNNNNNNNNNNNNNNNNNNNNNNACACUCAUAUCAUAGUCCUUUAACAAUUCUAACCAUCGUCUCUGCCUAAGAUUCAAUUCUCUCUGGGUAAACACAUACUGCAGACUCUUAUGAUCAGUGAAAAUAUCACCAUGGACACCAUACAAAUAGUGUCUCCAGAUUUUCAAAGCAAACACAACAUAGCAACCAACAAGGUCAUGGGUGGGGUAAUUUUUCUCAUGGGGUUUCAACUGUCUAGAAGCAUAAGCUAUCACCUUACCCUUCUGCAUCAAUACGCAACCCAACCCAACUCUCAAAGCAUCACAGUACAGCACAAAACCAUUAACACCAUCAGGCAAAGUCAAAAACCGGGGCUGAAGUGAGUCGAGUCUUCAACUCCUGAAAACUCUUCUCACAAGAUUUGGACCACAAGAACUUUACUUUCUUUUGGGUCAACCGAGCCAUAGGAGACUCUAUAGAGGAGAAACCCUCAACAAAACUGCGGUAAUAGCCAGCUAAACCCAAGAAACUUCAGAUAUUAGUCGGAGAAAUAGGUCUAGGCCAAUUUCUAACAGCUUUGAUCUUUUGGGGAUCAACUUUAAUACCCUCGGAAGAAAUGAUAUGACCCAGAAAAGCAACUGACCUUAGCCAAAACUCACACUUACUGAACUUGGCAAACAACUUAUGAUCUCUAAGGGUUUGCAAGAUAGUUCGGAGAUCAGAAUGUUCAUCCUCACUACGAGAGUACACCAGUAUAUCAUUGAUGAACACUAUGACAAAUAUAUCUAGAUAUGGUCUGAACACUCGAUUCAUGAGGUCCAUGAAAGCUGCUGGGGCAUUAGUUAACCUGAAAGACACAACAAGAAACUUAAAAUGGCCAUAACGAGUUUGGAAGCGGUUUUUGGGAUGUCACACUCCCUAACUUUAAGUUGAUGAUAGACGAAACGAAGGUCUAUCUUUGAGAAAUAACUUGCACCUUGCAAUUGGUCAAACAAAUCAUCUAUUCUCGGAAGGGGGUACUUAUUUUUGACGGUGUCUUUAUUUAGUUGGCGGUAAUCAAUGCCCAUACGUAAAGAGCCAUCUCACAAACAACACAGGAGCACCCCAAGGAGAAACACUAGGCCUUAUGAAACCCUUAUCUAGUAGAUCUUUGUGUUGUUCUUUCAACUCCUUAAGUUCUGCAGGGUCCAUACAGUAAGGUGGAAUAGAAAUAGGCUGAGUAUCGGGAAGAAGACAAUCCCGAACUCUAUCUCUCUAUUAGGAGGUAUCCCUAGGAGAUCAUCCGAAAAGAAAUCAGAAAACUCAUUGACGACGUUAACAGACUGGAGAGUUGGAGUCUCAGGCUUAGUGUCUUUGACUUUAACCAAAUGGUAAAUACACCCCUUGGAAAUAAGCUUNNNNNNNNNNNNNNNNNNNNNNNNNNNNNNNNNNNNNNNNNNNNNNNNNNNNNNNNNNNNNNNNNNNNNNNNNNNNNNNNNNNNNNNNNNNNNNNNNNNNNNNNNNNNNNNNNNNNNNNNNNNNNNNNNNNNNNNNNNNNNNNNNNNNGAGGCAUAAGAAGAAUACAACCAGUCCAUACCCAGAAUCACAUCAAAAUCUACCAUGUCUAACUCAAUCAGAUCAGCCAACAAGACUCUAUGAAGAACGGUAACAGGACACUUUUUAUACACUUUCUGGGCAAUAAUCGAAUCACCCACUGGGGUAGAAACUAGGAUAGGCUUAGGAAUAAUCUCAGGACUCAUUUCAAAAUUCACAGCAAUCAAAGGUGUAACAUAUGAGAAACUGGAUCCAGGAUCCAACAAAGCAUACACAUCAAACUAAAAUAUACUAAGCAUAGCAGUAACAACAUCGAGAGAGUCCUCCUAUUCCUAGAGGGACAGUAAAGCAUAGAAUCUAUUCUGGCGCUGCCCGCCAGCAUUGCUAGAAGAGGCGCCCUGAUUUGGGGAUGGGUGAGUCGCUAGAAUUGGAGCACUAACAGUCUGAGUCUAGGUCUGAGGGCAAAAACGCUCUUGUCCAUCCUGUGGACAAUCUCUAACUCUGUGACCCAUGUCACCACACCAGAAAUAACCCUUCUUCUCAUCUCAACACUCACCCAAAUAAACCCUACAUCACUUAGGACAUAAGGGAUGAUUUGGAUUACUGGCAGCACUGUAUUAGGACCUGGAUGCAUAUUACCUACUACCUUGCUGCUUCCUACCUCUAGGCAUAGGAGCACUAGAAGAUAACGGUGUUUGCAUAGAUGAACGAUCCUGAUACUAAGGGCGACUCCCUUCCUGUGAUCUAGUCUGACCCUGUUUGUGCUGCUCAGACCUAGCUCUCUUAUUCCUUCUUAUUUUAUCUCUCUCUUUAAUCUUGUCUGCCUCAUCUAUUAGGCAUGAUUCAUCUGCCUAGAAAGAUUUAUCUCACUAUUUAGCAUAGCAAACCUACACUCCUUAACCACAUAACUAGACACUCCAAUCACAAACUUACUCAUACUAUCCCGAUUAUCAGCCACUAAGUCAGGAUCAUACUUGGCCAACUGAUUGAACUUUAGACAGUACUCCCUAACAGUUAUAGAGCCUUAUUGCAGGUUCAUAAACUCUUCCACCUUCGUCUCUCUCAUCUCCAAAGGGAAAAACUUAUCCAAGAAUACAUCCUAGAAGGGACAGCUCCCUCACCUCUACCUUUCCUCCAAGCAACAACCCAGUCAUAAGCAAGGUCUUUCAACCUAUACGCAGCCAACUCUACACUAUGUUCCUUAGAUAAAUGCAUCAACUAAGUAAUCUUCCACACUUUCUCUAAAAACAACCAUGGAUCCUCAUCAGACUUGGACCUAUAGAAUUCCAGCGGAUUCAUCCGUAUGAAAUCACGGAUCCUGGCAGCAGCUGAAUCACCCCCUACUGCUGUGGAGCCAGGGAUGGAUUGGCCUAAACAUUUGCAGUAAUAGCUUGGGCCCAUGCUUGAAAGGUUGCCUGAAAUUUAGUAUGAGACACGUUUUCAUUCAAUGGGUCAGCGGAUUGAGGUUGCUGGCCAUCAUUAUUUCUUCUCGCUCGAUGAGGAGGCAUACUUCUGAAAGAGGAGAGCACGAAUGAAUAGCAGAGAGAGAUACUUUAAGCACGAUAGGCUUCUGAAAGAAAGAAUCACACUUUUUCCUAAAAUGUCUUGUAGCCUUUUGCUCAUAGAUGUGGCAUGCUACACACCGAUGAUCAAGACUCUACUUAACACGGUUUGUCAGACUCCUUAGGAUACCUUAAAACCUUAGGCUCUGAUACCAAGUUUGUAACGCCCUAGAAAAUGGGUCCCGGAGCAUCACACGGUGCUUGAGGCUAUGAGUAGUCUCAAGCUAACCCUUUGAGCCAUUUUCAUUCAGUUCAACACAAAUCAAUGGGGUUUCAUAAAUAACCCUCAAAUAUCAACAGAUUAAUCAUCAUCCAUGAAUAAAAGAAUUUCAGAAAGACAAUAAAAUACAACUUAUUAGUCAACUCAAAACAUCUAUACUAGUCUGACAAGCCUCUAAGAAAAUCAAUAAAACCAGCGAACCAUUGAGACAUUCCCUAACUGACUCAUACUCAGUUAUCAAAUGUAAACAAUUUUGUGAAACCAAUAUCAGACAUUACAUCCUCAAAACAUGAGAACUCACCACAACAGAGGAUGUAGAAUAGCGUGCUCGAAGAAUCACUAUCGAACCUGGAACUGAGCACCUGAACCUAUAUUCCGAGAAAAUGCAGCCCAUAGACGAAGAUGUGGGUCAGUACCAUGGAAAGAAACCGAGUAUAUAGGGGUGUAUGCAGUUGUAUAAACAUCAUCAUCAUAAAUAUUUAUAAGAAAUAUGCAGGAUGUAUGAAAGACUCACGUAGUCUGAAGAAAAUCAUCAUAAUCAUGAGAGGAUGAAAUAAGUACAAUAACACAUGCGAGUCAUCAUAUAAUUUGUCAAUCACUUUCAAUUCAUCAAGAAUAUCAAUUCUCAUAAUGUAAAUAUCAUUUUAAUCUUUUGAAAGAAUAACUUUCACAAUUCUACUUUCAAAUCACUUCACCAUUCACCAUAGACACAAGGAAACACACACACACUGGGAGAUCCUAUAACCGACAUAAAACAUGUGAGCUACAUGGAGUCCAACGUACAACCCACGUUGGGGAGAGCCAUCCUAUNNNNNNNNNNNNNNNNNNNNNNNNNNNNNNNNNNNNNNNNNNNNNNNNNNNNNNNNNNNNNNNNNNNNNNNNNNNNNNNNNNNNNNNNNNNNNNNNNNNNNNNNNNNNNNNNNNNNNNNNNNNNNNNNNNNNNNNNNNNNNNNNNNNNNNNNNNNNNNNNNNNNNNNNNNNNNNNNNNNNNNNNNNNNNNNNNNNNNNNNNNNNNNNNNNNNNNNNNNNNNNNNNNNNNNNNNNNNNNNNNNNNNNNNNNNNNNNNNNNNNNNNNNNNNNNNNNNNNNNNNNNNNNNNNNNNNNNNNNNNNNNNNNNNNNNNNNNNNNNNNNNNNNNNNNNNNNNNNNNNNNNNNNNNNNNNNNNNNNNNNNNNNNNNNNNNNNNNNNNNNNNNNNNNNNNNNNNNNNNNNNNNNNNNNNNNNNNNNNNNNNNNNNNNNNNNNNNNNNNNNNNNNNNNNNNNNNNNNNNNNNNNNNNNNNNNNNNNNNNNNNNNNNNNNNNNNNNNNNNNNNNNNNNNNNNNNNNNNNNNNAACUAGGAACUUGGAAUCUUGAAUAAAUUUGCAGAAUUAAUGGUGAACUUUGGAGGUUCUUGAAGUUGGAUGCAGGAGCUUAGGGUUUUCUUUUUGAGGGAAUUUGAUGAAAUAUAAUAUAUAAUGAUUCUAAUAGGCUUUAAUAUAGGGUUUGGAUGGAUUUUGGGUGAGGGGGAAUGACCAAAACGUCCCUAAAAAUCAAAUAAUUCUCAAAUCUGUACUUUGGUAGAUUGUUUUGAUAGUCUGAAGUAGAUCAACCAUAAUGUUUUACUCCGAUAUCCAAAUUGGAUGAAACUAACUUCAUUAGAAAGAGAAGUCUCAUAUCUUUCCAUUUAUAUAUAGUAUCUCACCCAUAUUAUUGUGUACGAGGAGUUAUGAUCAUUUGAAGUUGACUCAAAAAUUCGUUUUUGAUAGGCUGAAGUAGAUCGACCAUAACUUUUGCUCUGAUAGACAAAUUGGAUGAAACCAAUUUCAUUGGAAAGAGGACUCACAGAUAUUUCCAUUGAUUUAUAGUAUAUCACCCAGAUCAUUACGCACAAGGAGUUAUGAUCAUUUAAAGUUGGAGAAAAAAUAUGCCAGGCCUCAGUACUUUUUCCUGCACGUUUUACUGUUUACUACUAUUCACAGUUCGAUGGGAAUGUUCAUAACUCGUCGUUCGGGUGUCUGUUUUGAUGAUCCAAAUAUCGUUCAAAAGAUUAUUCGAUACUCUACGCAAUGGUGGGUCUUAAUCUAAGACAUUCUGCACAGAAAAUUUAUAAUUCAUUAUAGAAGAUAGAACCCAACACGUUUUUGCACAAAAUUUUCACAAAAAAUUUCCCGAGGUAUUACACUGCCCUGAUUGGAAGGGUGUCAAUACCGCACCACUGGUAAGGAGAAGCUGUGAGUGACCCUCAUCUGGUAGGUACUCAAAUGAGAACGGUGAGAACCUUCAUCUGACAGGUUAAGCCACCUCAUCUACCCUCAACUGACAGGUAUUGAUGUCUCAACCUAUGCUGGCUACAUAGUUUUGGAAUGCUAGGACUGCUUCUAAGAAUCACACCCUCUAUUUGCAGGUGAGUUCCCAUCCUUGGGUUCGUUCAGUGCUAAAUCCUGUUUUGCAGAGAAAUUUUGACUUUUUGAGAGUCGCCACUUAAUUUUGAAAAGGAAUUAAGAAACCUUAGAGAGUUACUUAAAACGAUUCAAAAUAGAAAAAUUGUUUUGAGUUAGAAAUCCCGGGUAUGUGGUUCCUAUUAACAUUUUAGGAAGGUGUUAGACACCUAAAACAUCCGCUAAUUUGCGGUUAUCCGGACUAUUUGAAAAUUGUCUUUUGAUUAACUUCGAAAUGAUUUAUUUUGAAAAGUGUUUGCUUUUUUGGAAAGAAAGCAAUUUUAGAAAUAUUUUGAUGUUUAUGCAAAACUAGUUUUUUAGCGACUUAACUAGGAAUUUGGCUAGGUUCGCAAAGCACAUAAGGAAAACAAACAUAAAGAACAGGGAAAGGGGAGAAAUUAAGGGAUUUAGGCCAUUAGGCCCAAAUCGAUAAGAGCUGUCCUAAUCUACUUGGGCUUUCGACCCUUAACCUGUUCUAAUCUAGUUUUCAAACCUUUAGCUCGAGUCUCGCUUCACCUGUAUUAAAUACAACUUUGGCUUCGAGGCCCGAAUGAAUGGAUAAAGAAAUAAUUACAUAAAUAAAUAAUUAAAGGAAACAAUGAAAAAUAACAGGACUUUAAAGCCCCCUUUGCCGCUUAGAAGAUGAGACUUUAACCCGCUUCUUCUUAUUCCGACUCCAUCCAUGUUUAUACUAUAUAAUGGACAUUCAAUGCUUUCUAAAGAGGUGGGCCUCAAUGGCCCCAUUUCCUAAUGCGAGAGUAAAGAGCCCAAUUGGCCUCCCGAGUAAAUUCAUACAAAGAAAAGAUGAGUGAAUUAAUGCCUAUUCUGAAUUUUCAACUGACAUGCAAAAUAUUAAAUGAUUUAAAGAAACAUCUACCAACCAGAGGAUUUAAAAUUGAUAGGAAAUAAAUUAGCAUCAAUCCAUGAUUGGUGACCCUAACUAACCACUAAAGCACUUGAGCAAUCAACAAAAUAAUGUGCCAUUGGAUAUUAACCAGUAUAUUCCUGCUAUAAUCAUACAUUAUGACAAGAGUCCUUCAUUUUAACAAGUUGUCAAUGGCAUCCGCCCAGGAAAACUCAUACAUACACUUAGGACAAUAAGACAUAUUCGAAAGAAACAUGCAAAGAUUUGACGCUUAGUUUAACACUAGGAGAAAGGAAUCUCGGGACUUGAUUUUUAGAGCAUUUUAACCAUCCGGGAUGAUAUCAUCAGUAGGUGUCAAAUUCAUAAAUAAAUUGAAGGGAUAAAGAUCAUUCCUAAUUCAAAAAGUUUAACAUGGAGCAGGCAUGACUCAUUUUUAGGCGUGACUUAUGAAAUUCAUCCAAAUAAUGCACAACUUAAAUUAUCGUAGAUAAAAUAUUGUUGCAAGCUCAUAGAUUAGCCUCAUAGAUUAGCCACGUGAAUGGACGAGUAAUACUCUAUAUUUGUCAUUCGAAUUAAUGGACUAAAAAAAAGAAAUCUGAACUACAUGCUUUAAUAACGUCUUUUAUUAUCAAAUGCUCAAGUAUCAGUGAUUUGAUUUUCUUAACAUCAUGCAUGUUGUUGAAGGAAAAAAGAAACAUUUGAACUACGAUUUUCCAGAGAAGACUUCAUUAAUUAGUCUAUUUCCAUAACCCAAAACAUCAGAAAUUACAUUGAUUCGAGUAAAGUUACAAGAGAGCAGUCCUUAAACUGGUUCAAACUAUUCAAUUAGCUCACAAUUUUGAACAAGUAGUUCCUCAUUUUUGUCAAAUAAAGUACAAGAACAAAAUAUAGGACCGAAGAUCCUUGGGAAUGGUAUUGUGCAGACUGACAGGCCCCUUUAGAUUUCUUGAAUCUAAAGGACCACUCAAGUUGCGGAUAAAUCAUACAAACAAACAGUAAGCAUAAAAACUCAAAGAUAACACAAAUUCUCAGAAUCCCCCCAUCUGAAUCCCCAACUAAAAAAUUGAAUUACACGGCCAUGAUGCCAACUUUGGUAGUGUGUAUUCUUUUCUUCCCUCCUUCCCUUUCGACAAACUCAGAAAUGAGUACUUAAUAGUCAAAUGGUCAUCGAAGAAUCAAAGGAUUUUUACUAACUUUUGUUUAGACGCAUGCUUGUUAUCCUUUGUCACUUGAGAAGCCACAGAAUUCAAGAGAAAAUCCCAACAAACAAACAAUGUCAAAUACUAACAACACAGUGAAGACACCCUCAUUCGAAACUAUCGGAUGAGAUUAGAGUAAAGAACUUUAACAGUGAGACCAGCUAUAACCAAAUACCACCAAGCCAAAAUGAUUAAAGCAUGAAAUUUCAAUGCGAAGUCAACUAUAACGAACUACCAUCAAUCCAAAAAUGAAAUAAAGCAUGAAGAUUUUCUCCAUCAAAUAAGCCACGACAGACCACCAUCAAAUCAAAAUUAGCUAAACAUGAAACUUUAACAAAGUCGGCCGCGUAGAUCAGUGGUAUAGACCGUAAACAGUAUACCAAAAAUGAGAGUAUUUAAAUUGAAAACUCCAUCAACAAUGUCUUUUGGACUACAUAACAUACCAUGAAUGAAACCUAUGGCUACCACAGCCAUCUACAAGCAAACAAUCCAGCAUACAAUCACACGAAAAAUUUAGUCACGACUAUAGAAGAUAUAGAUGAAGCAGAAGCACUCGAGAGCUUAGAGGAAGGAUGUUACCUUUUGGGGAGCAGCAAAACAGGACAUACGAGCUAUCAGCAUGGCUAUCACCAUUGUGAGCUUGAUGUUCUCGACUCGGGUACUCCUAAUUGGUCGACUAGCUUACCAGAAGUAAUGGAUGAGAAAGUUUUAGCACGAUGAACUCUUUGCUUUCAGAGUUUCCAACCCAAAAUUCGAACCAACCAUUUGAACCAGCCUAAAAAAAAAUUUCCUUCUUUCGUUUCUCUCAAAAAGACCUUAGAAAGAAAGAAAAAAUUCUACAAAAUUUCUCAGAAAGAAACCCUAACUUCCCCCUUUUGAAAAAUCCCCCCCAAACAGAGAUCCCAAAUCCUCUUAUAUAGAAGAAGGAAAAAUAAUGGGGGGAAUAUCUUUUUCGCUUCAACUUUUUAAAUUUCCAAAUCCCCCUUUCGUUUUUGAAAUCAUCAACAAAUGCACCCCUUUUUGGAAUAUCCCUUGGAUGAUUCCAAAAUAGGUGGACCAAUCACCAUUGGAAAAAAUGAAUCCCCCCUUCCAACCACUAAAAAAUGCCCAAAUAUGUACCAGAUUCGUACUCCUAUCCCAAAAAUUCACGGAAUUGAACGUUGGAGGACACCUCGACACUGUUCUAGAAGGUUCGAAUUUCCUCAACGUACGCAUUCACAUGGGGGUAAUGCAAUCCAUAUGAACUGAUGGUGAAAGGAUGUAUUUGGGUUUUUUUGGGUUGAAAACAGGUCGAUGGGUUUGGGUUUUACGGAAUAUGGGUUUUUGGGGCUAUAUGGUUGUUGGCUCAGGUUGUGGAUGGGUUAUCAUCACCUAACUGGGUGAAAACGUUAAUACUAAAGGCCAUCGAUGUUGAAAUUGUUGGUGUUAUCGAGGUUUCAAGUUGUUGAAUUAUUGAUGAGGUUGUGCGCAUGGUUAGUCUAUGUUCUUUCCCUUGGUUUGAAGAGAAGAAGAUAAGGGUUAAAGGAAUUGGGCCGUACCGGGUCAUAGGGGAUUGGUGUAGGCCAAUUUGAGAAUAAGGAUAAAAAAAAAUAGGCUGAUGGGGAUGCUGAGAUUGGGCCUUAAUUCAUUGGGUUAGGAGAGAUUUAGGCAGAUUUUAAUGGGUUGCUAAGUUGCUGAUUUGGGCCUGGUAAAUAAUAGAGGUGUUGGGCUGGUAGAAAAAGAUAGGGAUGGCUAGUUGCUUUUUAAAUUGGGCCGUUUUUUUGGGGUAGAUUUAGGAUUUUAAUGAUGUGGAGAUUUAGGCUAUUUAUUAAAUAGCCGAAGGGUGAAAAUUUAGACAACCAAAUUAAAAUUUUAGCCUAAUUCAAAUUAAAUUGACCCAUUACCUUGCCAUUAUGGUCAAAUUAAUUCCAAUUAAGGUAUAAUUUAAUAAAUUGACUAAAUUUAAACACCCUUUGAAAUGACCCAACAACCAAUUUGAAUCCGAAGUUCCUUGAUUCAAUAAAAUCAAACUCAUAUUUAUCUAAAUACAUUAUUUAAAUUGAGAUCUUAAUCAUUUUAAAUUAUUUUCCACACAAGCCUAGAUUAAGACCCGAUAUUUUGUAACAUAAAUAUUUAAGUAUCAAAAUUAUAUAAUUCCGUAUGAUAUCGCUACUCAAAAUGCCAAAAUUAUGUACAGAAAAUAUUUUAAAAAUCCUUAUUCAAAUGGGAUAAAUGUUGUAAUUUUAUUUGAAAAAUGAAGAAACUCUGAAUUAAACUUAGUUAUGGAGGGCAAAAAAUUAGGUGUCACAAUUCCUACUCACAACUGAGUGACACUGAACUGAUUAUACUGAACUAAUUUCCUAGUUCAUACUAGAAUUAACUGAACUGUUACUUAUUGUUCUGUUUAACUGAACUGAACAUGGACUGAGUUUAUGGAGUUCCGAUGACUAGCGGAACACUACUGAAUUCUGUUAACUGACUAAAUUUUAUUGAGUUCUGUUAACUGACUGAGUUUACUGAUGUCUGAACUGAAUACUGAACAAAAUUGUACUUAAAAUGAGAUUUACUAAAUUCCAUAGACUGACAGAAUAUUACUGAGAUUACGUAGAUUACUGAGUAAUGAGUAAAAAUGAACUGAUACUGCCUUUACAUGAGUUUUCCUGAGUCAUGAGACUGACUGAAGUCUACUGAACAUGGCUUGAUUGAUAGUAUUAUGAAAACAUGACAUGGCUCUAGGCAUCCAGCUAUAUUUUUUGGGUACAACUACCCCCAGGACUCGAUGGAAGGAAACUGAUACAUCAUGAAAAUUCUUGAUCAUAGGACUAAAGUCCGCAAUUCAUAAUACCAUAAGUUGAGGAUUUCCUGAAAGCACUUGUAAUCAUAAUCUUGUACAUGAUAGGAAUGUAUCCUACCAUAUCAUAAUUUCACAAUUUUAAUUUCACUUGCAUGACAUGAACUUGUAUACAUGCUAACAUAAUGUAGUUUCAUUACUUAACUUUCAUGAACCAUUUGUCAAACACUUGCAAGACAUAGCAUCAACAUGGAAAUCAUUUAGAUCAUGUAGUAUUAACAUGAAUUCAUUACUUAGAUCACCAAUGGAUCACAAGGCACAAUUCAUUCACUUGAAUAUUUUCACAAACACAUGAAAGGCAUGAUUUUAUACUUAGGCAUAUAUAACAUGCUCCCAAUUCAUGACCAUAACCACCAAUUCACAUCUCAAGGUUUUCAACAUAUGAUGGUUAUGAUUCAACACACAUGGAAAACAUGGAUAUUUCAUUCAUCAAUUAACAUAUAUCAAUAUUAUGGGUAUAACAUCCAACUUCCAAAUCCAAAGAACUCAACAUAAAUCUCAUAUGAAUAAUAGAACAAAUAAAUUAGUUUUCAUGAUUCUUGAUAUAACUCAUGGAAUUAAAACUCAAUUUAACAUCAACAACAUGAUUAUAAACAUACCACAAUAAAAUAUUCAUGAUACAUAACUUAAAACUUGAUCCUUGAGCUCCAUGGAUGAAAAGAAAGAAUCCAUGAAUUAACACUAUGCAUGACUUAGGUUGAUUAUCCGUGAAAGUUAACGGUGAAAUUGGCUUGAAUGUUGAAACCCCCAAUUGAACCCUUACUUGUUCUUGAAAUUUUUUUAGAGAAUUUGAGAAAAAGUGAGUAUAUUCUGCUCUAAAUUAGGCUUAAUGCCGUGUUUGAGCAGAUAUAUAGGAUGGGAUAAAUAUUAAAAUACCCCUGGAGAAAGAGAGAAAGACACAGCUUUCCUAUGUUGUUUUUAGGCUGAUAGGGUGAAGUAAAUUGAUAAUAACUCUUUGCUCCGAUGUUUAAAUUGGAUAAAACCAGCUUUUUAGAAAGAGGAGUCAAAUAUAUUUUCAUCACUAUGUAGUAGCUCUCACAGUUCAAAAUAUUCAAGAAGUUAUGAUCUUUUGAAGUUGACCCUAAAAUGCUAAAAAUUUCUGAAGCAUGCUAUAGAGCAUGCGACGCAUGCAAAUUGCUUGGUGCUUCUGUUUUGAAAUCCAAACAUGCCCUAAACGAACUCCAAAAAUUUUGAAACUCACUCGAGAUGUACUGUUGACUUCCCCGAUCACAACACAACUUGAAAAUCCAAAAACAGAUGUAUGAAAGGUCGUCAAAUAAAUCCCCGAAGUUCGGAGGUAUAAAUGAAACUAAGUCUUUCUAACACAUAGAAAAAUUCUUCUAAGUGUUAGAUUUCCUUAUCAAUCCUUAAGGAGCUGAAUUUGACUUAGAAUUUUUAUGGGAUCUUACAAUAUCUCCCCCUUGGGAACAUUUAUCCUCGAAUGAGACUUACUAAGAUUUGAUGAAGAGACCAACUGAGGCAUAAACUGAACAUGAAUGACUGAAAUAUGAUUUCAUGACUUACAUGACUAAUAAGCUGAAUUUGUAUCAAACUAAACAUACAUAUCUGAUGCAUGUGUAACUAAUUUAUGAAUGAAGGACUGAGUGUUCUGAUGAACUAAGUUUCUAAAAAUAAGAAUACAUAUCUGGUGCAUAAAUGAUAAGCUGAAUCCAUGCAUAUCUGAUGCAUGAUUAUAUGACUGAACUGGCUCGUGAACAUGCGACUGAAUAUGCAAUAGUAAAAGAUGCCAUGUUUAACUAAAAACUAGGCAUGAAACUAAAUACCAAGUUUGGUACUGAAAUCUGAAUAUGAAAAUGAGUAAUUUUAAGGAAGACUGUUACAUUGAACUUAAAAUACCGAUAAGUUUGAGAUUAAUUACUCAAUAUGCAUCAGCAGAAACAUGAGGACAUAACUGAGUCUAAAACGUGAUACAUGAACUGAAUAUCAUGAUAUGAACUGAACAUGAUACAUGAACUGAAUAUCAUGAUAUGAACUGAACAUGAUACAUGAACUGAAUAUCAUGAUAUGAACUGAGUCUGUAAUGCAUGACAUGGAUAGAGUAUCGUGAACUAAACUGAGCCAUUGAGUACAUGGCUUACGAUUGAGAUUUGGAGUUACAAGGCCAUCUUGUAAGUAACCCUUCUUCUAAGCUGGAUUCAUGAUGUGAAGAGAGACCGGUAUGUUCAUGUCAUAAAAGUUUGAAGGAUUAGAGUGUAUCUCUCCCUCGGGACACUAUCCCAUGAAGAAUGUUGGACUGCCUUUGCUGAAAUAUUGAGGAAAACUAAGGCGAUGCACAAGGCAUGUAGGAAUUGAAUAGUGACAUAAUUAUCUGAUAUCUGGAACUAAGGCAUGAUGCGUGAACUGGGUUAUACUCGCAUCUACUAGGAUACUCUAUCUUGGAAUAGUUACAUUCAACCGUAUCAUUAAUACUACACCCUUGUAUAAAAUAAGCAUACAUCAAUCUUCUCUUAACAUAAAAUAUUUUCUCUCUUCUAUUUAAGCAACCGUUCAUCACUACACUGUUUUCAUAAAGAGAGCUGACUGAAGGGUUAAAUCAGGAGGACCUGAAGCAUGAAUCGAUACAAACUGAACUUGACACAUGACUGAAACCUGAGGAAUAGAAUGUCAACAACAUGAAUUUACCAAAGAGGUAUGAACUGAGGAUAUACAUGACGUAGUCUAAAUUUAUCUAAUCUGUAGGGGCAUAGCAUGAGUCAUGAAAGCUGAGUAUACUGUAAAGCAUGAUACGUGUACAUGAGUCAUGAGCUGCAUGACCUAAUAUUUGAAUUUUUGUAUUCGUGAGACAUGAUUCGAGACACUGAGUGAUUUAGAUCUGACUGCCUAUGCUGGGAACUGAAAGCGCACACGAUUCUAUGGAAAACAUGUGAACAUAAGUCGUGUUCAUGGAGUUGAUUCAUACUGUUGGGUAAACUAAGAUCUUUUAUAUUGGGAACUAAAAUCAUACAUGAUUUAUGAAAAAGUGAAUGAUUGUGGUUCAUGACAUUAGAGUUGAUAUGUAAGACCUUAGUGGAUUUCGUGAUAGCUGAAGUACAAAUCUUUGUACUGAGAAGAGGAUGGGUUGGGAAUCGUCUUCCCUUACUGCUUUUCUAUACAUACUGGCACUAUUACUGGAAUCUGAGAAUCUUACUUGGUCACUUAAUCUAUCAUCACAUACUUAUACUCUGUUCAACACCUGCCCAUCCUACUAAACACAUCACUUGCUUCUGUUUCCUCAUAUACUACUAAUAUCUCAUCUACAGCUUCAUUCUUAAUUUCAAGUAAAUAAACUUAAAUUCUAGCUUACACUGUUCAAGCCUCCUAGUUUACCUUGGUACAACUAUCCCCAUGAAUAAAUAAUCUAAUCAAACUGUAUAAUACUAUCCCAACUCUUCUACUACUAAACUCUUGGGUCCAUGCUUAAAAUUCUAGGUAUAUACUAUCAUAGGAUUCUGAGAAGGGAUCUAAUGGCAUAUCAAAAAUUGGAUUUGAGUUACAAAGGAGUUCUCAUGAUCAUAAAUGAAAUCUGUACAACUUUGGAACAUGACUGAACUGAGGGGAUAUUGUCUGAGUAUGUGGCAAAUCACAGAACUAUCUCCAGGGACUGCAUAGGAAAGCCCUAUCUUUAGGAUUUAAGCUUCACUGUUUUUGUUACCUUGAAAGUAAGGUAAGGUUGACAUGAGGGGAGCCUAAUGUGAAUCUACAUGGGUUCCUUAUAGAACCUUGCUAUAGCACGAUCUUGAGACAUGAAAAAAGGGAAACUAUUCCUAAAACAUCUCAUAGCCUCCUACACAUAGGUGUGAUGCACAACACGCCCAUGUACAAGACUCUACUUGAUGCAGCUUUCAAACUUCCUAGGACACUGCUGCACCUUAGGCUCCAAUACCACCUUNNNNNNNNNNNNNNNNNNNNNNNNNNNNNNNNNNNNNNNNNNNNNNNNNNNCUGAAACGUUACACGGUGCCCAUGACUUUGAAGGACCACAAGCUAAUACAUGACUUAUAUCUGUACCUGAGCACUGAAUAACCAUACUGUAAAAUAUGCAAAAACAUAAUACUGUAAGGCCAUAAGGUUUAAAUCUGAAUAAAUAUCUGAUAAAAUAAUAUCUAAAAAUUGUAUAAUAAUGCCAACAUAAAUUUGAAAUAAUUGUCUGAUAUACUGUAGUCUGAAAACCUCUAAACUGAAUUGAAUAAGGAGUUGAGGGGAAAAAUUCCCAACAAACUUUAUCUACUGAAAUAAACUGAUAACUAAAAUAGUGAUAUGAAUAAUAACAUAAUUUUCCUCUAAGGAUGAGGACACACUAUUAAUUACUGCUGCUGGCUGACUCUGAAAUUGCUAAGGGAGCUCUGGAUCUUGUGCAUCCAAACCUAUGGUAUAACACACCAUAGCGCGAGAAAAGUAUGCGUCAGUACUUUGAAUCUACUGGUAUACAAGUGAGGUAGGUUGAAUGCAUAGGGUUCAUAUGUAUGUACAAUACUGACUAACAUGAACGUGAGAAUACAUGCAUGAAUACAUAAUAACUGUAACUGAAACUGUACUAGUACUGGAUACUGAAUUGUGUGUACUGAUUUACUAACAUUUGAGUUUACUGAAUAAAGUGGAAUUGAUGUUAUAUUACUGAUAAAGAAAAUGGUUGUUUUUGAUAGUUCUGAUUAUGAAGAUUUGAUCUGAUUGACCAUAUAUAACGGUUUUGAAAUUGAAUUCAUGAUAACAUGACUACUGAGUAUGAAUACUGAUGACAUGUAUUUACUGAUAAGAUAUAUCUAAUAACAAGAGUUCUAAUAACUGAUAGCAUGAAUGACUGUAUCUGACAGUCCUAAAUCUGAUGGAACUAGCUAAUUUUCAUACUAUAUCUGAGUUGACUGUAUCUGUUAGUCCUGAUAUCCUGAAGAACUAUCUGAGUUCUUUUACUGCGACUGAUAUUGAAACUGUUGGAAGUAGUUAUCUAACCGAUAUGCCCCAAAUACGGUAUAAUAGCUAAGCUGGGGUCUAAUCUCUGCCCUGAUUGGAAGGGUGUCAAUACCGCGCCACUGGUAAGGACAAAUUAUGAGUGAUCCUCAUCUGGAAGGUACUCUAAUGAGAAUGGUGGGAACCCUAAUCUGACAGGUUAAGCCACCUCAUUUACCGUCAACUAACAGGUAUUGAUGCCUCAACGUAUGCUGGCUACAUAGUUCUAGAACACAAGGACUACUUCUAAGAAUCACACCCUCUACUAGCAAGUGAUUUCCCAUCCUUGGGUUUGCUCGGUGCUGAAUCCUACUCCCAACUGAAUGACACUGAACUAAUUAUACUUAACUGAUUUCCUAGUUCAUACUAGUAUUAACUAAACUAUUACUAAUUGUUCUGUUAAACUUAACUGAACAUGGACUGAGUUUAUUGAGAUCCGAUGACUAGUGGAACACUACUGAAUUCUGUUAACUGAUUAAAUGGUACUGAGUUCUAUUAGCUAACUGAGUUUACUGAUGUCUGAACUGAAUACUAAAUUAAACUGUACUGAUAUUGAGAUUUAUUAAAUUCCAUAGACUAAUGAAAUAUUAUUGACAUUAUGUAGAUUACUAAGUACUGAGUAAAACUUAACUGAUAUUGCCUUUACAUGAGUUUUCCUGAGUCAUGAGACUGACUGAAUUCUACUGAACAUGUCUUAACUGAGAGUAUCAUGAAAACAUGACAUGGCUCUAGGCACCCAGCUAUAUUUUUCGGGUACAAGUACCCCAGGACUCGAUGGAAGGAAACUAACGCAUCAUGAAAAUUCUUGAUCAUAGAACUAAAGUCCACAAUUCAUAAUACCAUAAGUUAGGGAUUUCAUGAAAGCACUCGAUAAUCAUAAUCUUGUACAUGAAUAUGAAUGUAUCGUAACAUAUCAUAAGUUCAUAAUUUUAAUUUCACUUGCAUGACAUAAACUUGUAUACAUGCUAACAUAAUGUAGUUUCAUUACUUAUCUUUCAUGAACUAUUUGUCAAACACUUGCAAGACAUAGCAUCAACAUGGAAAUCAGUUAGAUCAUGUAGUAUUAACAUGAAUUCAUUACUUAGAUCACCAAUGGAUCACAAGGCACAAUUCAUUCACUUGAACAUUUUCAUAAACACAUGAAAGGCAUGAUUUUAUACUUAGGCAUAUAUAACAUGCUCCCAAGUCAUGACCAUAACCACCAAUUCACAUACCAAGGUUUUCAACAUAUGAUGGUCAUGAUUCAACACACAUGGGGAACAUGGAUAUUUCAUUCAUCAAUUAACAUAUAUCAAUAUUAUGGGUAUAACAUCCAACUUUCAAAUCCAAAGAACUCAACAUAAAUCUCAUAUGAAUAAUACCACAAAUAAAUUAGUUUUCAUGAUUCUUGAAAUAACUCAUGGAAUUGAAACUCAAUUUAACAUCAACAACAUGAUUAUAAACAUCCCACAACAAAAUAUUCAUGAUACAUAACUUAAAACUUGAUUCUUGAGCUUCAUGGAUGGAAAGAAUCCAUGAAUUAACACUAUGCAUACCUUAGAUUGAUUAUCCGUGAAAGUUAACAAUGAAAUUGGCUUGAAUCUUGAAACCCCCAAUUGAACCUUUACUUGUUCUUGAUAAUUUUUGAGAGAAUUUGAGUAGAAGGGAGUAUAUUCUGCUCUAAAUAAGGCUUAAUGUUGUGUUUGAGCAGAUAUAUAUGAUGAGCGAAACACUAAAAUACCCCUGGAGAAAGAGAGAAAGACUUAGCUAUCCUAUGUUGUUUUCAGGCUGAUAGGCUGAAGUAAAUGGAUCAUAACUCUUUGGUCCAAUGGUUUAAUUGGAUGAAACUAAUUGCAUGGAAAGAUGACUCAAAGAUCUUUUCAUCAAUAUAUAGCAGUUCUCACAGUUCAAAAUAUUCAAGAAGUUAUGAUCAUUUGAAGUGGACCCUAAAAUGCUGAAAAUUCUUGGAGCAUGCUAUAGAGCGUGCGACACAGGCAAAUCGCAUGGUGCUUCUAUUUUGAAAUCCAAACACGCCCUAAACGGAUUCCAAAAAUUCCAAAACUCACUCGAGAUGUACUCUUGACUUUCCCGAUCACAACGUAACUUGAAAAUCCAAAAAUGGAGGUCGGGAAGGUCGUCAAAUAAAUCCCCAAAGUUCGGAGGUAUAAGAUGAAACUAAGUGUUUCUAACACUUAGAAAAAUUCUUCUAAGUGUUGGAUAUCCUUAUCAAGCCUUAAGGAGCUGAAUUUGACGUAGGAUUUUUACGGGGUCUUACAAUAUCUCCCCCUUAGGAACAUUCGUCCUCGAAUGAGACUUACUAAGAAGGGGAGAAGAGACCAACUGAGGCAUAUACUGAACAUGAAUGACUGAAACAUGAUUUCAUGACUUACAUGACUGAUAAGCUGAAUUUGUAUCAAACUAAACAUACAUAUCUGAUGCAUGUGUAACUGAUUUAUGAAUGAAGGAUUGACUGUUCUGAUGAUCUGAGUUUCUCAAAAUGAGAAUACAUAUCUGGUGCAUAACUGAUAAGCUGAAUCCAUGCAUAUCUGAUGCAUGAUUAUAUGACUGAAUUGGCUCGUGAACAUGCGACUAAAUAGUCAAUAAUAAAAGAUGCCAAGUUUAACUAAAAACUGGGAAUGAAACUAAAUACCAAGUUUGGUACUGAAAUCUCAACAUAAGAACAAGUAAGUUUAAGGAAGACUAUUACAUUGAACUUAAAAUAUCGAUGAGUCCAAGAUUAAUUACUCAAUAUGCAUGAGCAGAAACAUGAGGACAUAACUGAGUCUGAAACGUGAUACAUGAACUGAAUAUCAUGAUAUGUACUAAGUCUGUAAUGUGUGACAUGGAUAGAGUAUCGUGAACUAGACUGAGCCAUUGAUUACAUGGCUUAUGACUGAGAUUAGGAGUUAGAAAGCCAUCUUAUAAGUAACCCUUCCUCUAAGCUUGAUUCAUGACGUGAAGAGAGACCGGUAUGUUUAUGUCAUAACAGUUUGAGGGAUUAGAGUGUAUCUCCCCCUUGGGACACUAUGUCCCUUGAAGAAUGUUGGACUGCCUUUGCUGAAUUAUUGAGGAAAACUAAGGCGAUGCACAAGGCAUGUAGGAACUGAAUCGUGACAUAAUUAUCUGAUAUCUGGAACUGAGGCAUGAUACUUGAACUGGGUUAUAUUUGCAACUACUAGGAUACUCUAUCAUGGAAUAUUUACAUUCAAUCCUAUCAUUAAUACAACACCCUUGUAUAAAAUAAGCAUACAACAAUCUUAUCUUAACAUGAAACAUUUUCUCUCUCCUAUCUAAGAAACCGCUUAUCACUACAUUGUUUUCAUAAAGAGUGCUGAAUAAAGGGUUAAAUUAGGACGACCUGAAGCAUGAAUCGAUACAAACUAAACCUUACACAUGACUGAAACCUAAGGAAUAGAAUAUGAACAACAUGAAUUUAACGAAAAGGUAUGAACUGAGGAUAUACAUAACGUAGUCUAAAUUUAUCUGAUCUAUAGGGGCAUAACAUAAGUCAUGAAAGCUGAGUAUACUAUAAAGCAUGAUACAUGUACAUGAGUCAUGGGCUGCAUGACCUAAGUUUUGAAUUUUUGUAUUCGUGAGACAUGAUUCGUGACACUGAGUGAUUUAGAUCUGAUUCCCUAUGCUGGGUACUAAAAGCGCACACAAUUCUAUGGAAAACGUGUGAACAUAAUCCAUGUUCAUGGAAUUUAUUUAUACUGUGGGGUAAACUGAGAUCUUUUUUACUGGGAAUUGAAAUCGUACAUGAUUUAUGGAAAAGUUCAUGAUCGUGGUUCAUGACCUUAGAGUUGAUAUGUAAGACCUGAGUGGAUUUCAUGAUUGCUGAAGUACAAAUCUUUGUACUGAGAAGAGGAUGGGUUGGGAAUCGUCUUCCCUUACUGCUUUUCUAUACAUAUUGGCACUACUACUGGAAUUUGAGAGUCUGACUUGGUCACUUGAUCUAUCAUCACAUACUUAUACUCUGUUCGACACCUGCCCAUCCUACUAAACACAUCAGCUGCUUCUAUUUCCUCAUAUACUACUAAUAUCACUUCCACACCUUCAUUCUUAAUUUCAAGUAAAUAAACUUAAAUUCUAGCUUACACUGUUCAAGCCUCCUAGUUUACCUUGGUACAACUAUCCCCAUGAAUAAAUAAUCUAACCAAACUGUAUAAUACUAUCCCAACUCUUCUACUGCUAAACUCUUGGGUCCAUGCUUAAAAUUCUAGGUCUAUACUAUCAUAGGAUUCUGAGAAGGGAUCUAAUGGCAUAUCAAAAAUUGGAUUUGAGUUUACAAAGGAGUUCUCAUGAUCAUAAAUGAAAUCUGUACAACUUUGGAACAUGAUUGAACUGAGGGGAUAUUGUUUGGGUAUGUGGCGAAUCACAGAACUAUCUCCAGGGACUGCAUAGGAAAGCCCUAUCUUUAGGAUUUAAGCUUCACUGUUUUUGUUACCUUGAAAGUAAGGUAAGGUUGACAUGAGGGGAGCCUAAUGUGAAUCUACAUGGGUUCCUUAUAGAACCUUGCUAUAGCACGAUCUUGAGACAUGUCAUAGCCUCCUGCACAUAAGUGUGGUGCACAACACGCCCAUGUACAAGACUCUAUUUGAUGCAGCUUUCAGACUUCCUAGGACACUGUUGAACCUUAGGCUCUGAUACCAAGUUUGCAAUGCCCCAAUUUUCUGAACCGAAAUGCUACACGGUGCCCAUGACCUCGAAGGACCAAAAGCUUACCCAUGACUUAUAUCUGUACCUGAGCACUGAAUAACCAUACUGUAAAAUAUUCAAAAAAACAUAGUACUGUAAGGCCAUAAGGUUCAAAUAUGAAUAAACAUCUGAUAACAUAAUAUCUAAAAAUGGUAUAACAAUACCAACAUAAAUCUGAAAUAAUUGUCUGACAUGCUGUAGUCUGAAAACCUCUAAACUGAACUGAAUAAGAAGUUGAGGGGACAUGUUCCCAACUAACUCCGUCUACUGAAAUAAACUGAACACUGAAAUAGUGAUAUGAAUAAUAUCAUAAUUGUCCUUGAAGGAUAAGGACUCACUGUUAAUUACUACUGCUGGUUGACUCUAAAAUUGCUAAGGGAGCUCUGGAUCCCAUGCAUCCAAACCUAUGGUAUAAGAUACGACAGUACUUUGAAUGUACUGGUAUGCAAGUGAGGUAGGCUGAAUGCAUGGUAUUCAUAUGUAUGAACAAUACUGACUAACAUGAAUGUGAGAAUACAUGCAUGAAUACAUAAUAACUGUAAAUAAAACUGUACUAGUACUGGAUACUGAAUUAUAUAUAUUGAUUUACUGACAUCUGAGUUUACUGAAUAAAGAAGAACUGAUGUUAUAUUACUGAUAAAGAAAAUUACUAUUUCUGAUAGUUCUGAUUAUGAAGAACUAAGUCGAUUGACCAUAUAUAACAGUCCUGAAAUUGAGUUCGUGAUAACAUAACUACUGAGUAUGAAUACUGAUGACACAUAUUUACUGAUAACAUAUCAUGACUAAUAACUAAAUUCGGAUAACUAAUAUAUCUGAUAACAUGAGUUUUGAUAACUGAUAGCAUGAAUGAUUGUAAUUGAUAGUCCUAAAUCUGAUGGAACUAGCUGAGUUCUGUACUGUAUCUUAGUUGACUGUAUCUGUCAGUCCUGAUAUCCUGAAGAACUAUCUGAGUUAUUUUACUGACAGGUAUUGAUGUCUCAACCUAUGUUGGCUACAUAGAUCUAGAAUGCAAGGACUGGUUCUAAGAACCACACCCUCUACUGAUAGGUGAGUUCCCAUCCUUGGGUUUACUCGGUGCUGAAUCCUACUCCCAAUUGAAUGACACUGAAUUAAUUAUAUACUGAACUGAUUUCCUAGUUCAUACUAGAAUUAACUAAACUGUUACUGAUUGUUCUAUUAAACUGAACUGAACAUAGACUGAGUUUAUUGAGUUCCGAUGACAAGUGGAACACUACUGAUCCUGUUAACUGACUAAAUACUACUGAGUUCUGUUAGCUGACUGAGUUUACUGAUGUCUGAACUAAAUACUGAACUAAACUAUACUGAUACUGAGAUUUACUAAAUUCCAUAGACUGAAAAAAUAUUACUGAGAUUACAUAGAUUACUGAGUACUGAGUAAAACUAAACAGUUACUACCUUUACAUGAUUUUUCCUAAGUCAUGUGACUUACUGAAGUCUACUGAACAUGGCUUGACUGAGAGUAUCGUGAAAACAUGACAUGGCUCUAGUCCCCUAGCUAUAUUUUUCGAGUACAAGUACCCCGGGACUCGAUGGAAGAAAACUGACACAUCAUGAAAAUUCUUGAUCAUAGGACUAAAGUCCGCAAUUCAUAAUACCAUAAGUUGGGAUUUCAUGAAAGCACUUGAUAAUCAUAAUCUUGUACAUGAAUAGGAAUGUAUCCUAACAUAUCAUAAUUUCACAAUUUUAAUUUCACUUGAAUGACAUAAACUUGUAUACAUGCUAACAUAAUGUAGUUUCAUUACUUAACUUUCAUGAACCAUUUGUCAAACACUUGUAAGACAUAGCAUCAACAUGGAAAUCAUUUACAUCAUGUAGUAUUAACAGGAAUUCAUUACUUAGAUCACCAAUGGAUCACAAGGCACAAUUCAUUCACUUGAACAUUUUCACAUACACAUGAAAGGCACAAUUUUAUACUUAGGCAUAUAUAAUAUGUUCCCAAUUCAUGACCAUAACCACCAAUUCACAUCUUAAGGUUUUCAACAUAUGAUGGUCAUGAUUCAAAACACAUGGAAAACAUGGAUAUUUCAUUCAUCAAUUAACAUAUAUCAAUUUUAUGGGUAUAACAGCCAACUUGCAAAUCCAAAGAACUCAAGAUAAAUCUCAUAUUAAUAAUACCACAAAUAAACUAGUUUUCAUGAUUCUUAAAAUAACUCAUGGAAUUAAAACUCAAUUUAACAUCAACAACAUGAUUAUAAACAUCCCACAACAAAAUAUUCAUGAUACAUAACUUAAAACUUGAUUCUUGAGCUCCAUGGAUGAAAAGAAUCCAUGAAUGAACACUAUGCAUACGUUAUAUUAAUUAUCCGUGAAAGUUAACGACGAAAUUGGCUUGAAUCUUGAAACCCCCAAUUGAACCCUUACUUGUUCUUGAGAAUUUUUGAGGGAAUUUGAGAAAAAAGGAGUAUAUUCUGCUCUAAAUUAGGCUUAAUGCCGUGUUUGAGCAGAUAUAUAGGAUGGUCCAAAGAUGAAAAUACCCUGGAGAAAGAGAGAAAGACACAACUGUCCUAUGUUGUUUACAGGCUGAUAGGAUGAAGUAAAUUGAUCGUAACUCUUUUCUAUGAUAUUUAAAUUGGAUGAAACUAAUUUCAUUGGAAAGUGAACUCAAAGAUAUUUUCAUCGAUAUAUAGUGUCUCUAACAAUUCAAAAUAUUCAAGAAGUUAUGAUUGUUUGAAGUUGACCCUGAAAUGCUGAAAAUUUUUGGAGCAUGCUAUAGAGCAUGAGCAGUAACGCCCCGGAAAAUGGGUCUCGAACAGUUACACGGUGCUUGAGGUUACGAGUAGCCCCAAGCUAACCAUUUGAGCCAUUUUCAUUUAGUUGAACACAAAUCAACCGGGUUUCCAUAAAUAACCCUCAAAUAUCAACAGAAUAAUCAUCAUCCAAGAAUAAAAGAAUUUCAGAAAGAUAACAAAAUAUGACUUACUAGUCAACUCCUAACAUCUAUACUAGUCUAACAAGCCUCUAAGAAAAUCAAUAAAACCAGCGAGGCAUUGAGACAUGCCCCAACUGACUCAUACUUAGUUAUAAAAUGUAAACAGUUCUAUGAAACCAACAUCAGACAUCACGUCCUCGGAAUAUGAGGACUCACCACGACAGAGAAUGUAGAACAGCGUGCCCAAAGAAUCAUUGUCGAACCUGGAACUGAGCACUUAAACCAACAUUCUGAGAAAAUGCAGCCCACAUCCGAAGAUGUGGGUCAGUACCAUGGAAAGAAACUGAGUAUAUAGGGGUGUAUGCAGUUUUAUAAAGAUCAUCAUCAUAAAUAUUUAUAAGAAAUAUGCAGGAUGUAUGAAAAACUCACAUAGCCCGAAGAAAAUCAUCAUAAUCAUGAGAGGAUGAAAUAAGUACAAUAACACAUGUAAGUCAUCAUGUAAUUUGUCAAUCACUUUUUGUUCAUCAAGAAUAUCAAUUCUUAUAAUGUAAAUAUCAUUUAAAUCUUUCGUUCUCAAUUCCACUUUCAAAUCACUUCACCAUUCACCAUAGACACAAGGAAACACACACACACUGGGAGAUUCAAAAACCGACAUAAACCAUGUGAGCUACAUGGAUCCAACGUACAACCCACGUUGGGGAGAGCUAUUCUAUCCUUGCCAUCGAAGUAGGACUAUUGAUAUCAAAUCCACACAAAAUAGUGACCACUAUAUAAAUCAGCCUCAGGCUCACACCUACGGGGGAACGUAGUUCUAGGAAAUUAAGGUCUCUUUAUACCUCCCACUCGGUGCUAAAUAUUUCUCUCGAACUUAGCUUAGAUCAUUUCAAAGACAAUCCAUAACAAAACAAUUUCAGUAAUAUAUAAAAAUACAUCGGGAGCCAUCAUGCUUCCCAUCUAUCAAAAUCAACCACGUUGUGAAUUUCUUUCACACUCGAGUUCAAAACAACUCCAUUAAGACCAAAAGGUCAAAUCAUUCAANNNNNNNNNNNNNNNNNNNNNNNNNNNNNNNNNNNNNNNNNNNNNNNNNNNNNNNNNNNNNNNNNNNNNNNNNNNNNNNNNNNNNNNNNNNNNNNNNNNNNNNNNNNNNNNNNNNNNNNNNNNNNNNNNNNNNNNNNNNNNNNNNNNNNNNNNNNNNNNNNNNNNNNNNNNNNNNNNNNNNNNNNNNNNNNNNNNNNNNNNNNNNNNNNNNNNNNNNNNNNNNNNNNNNNNNNNNNNNNNNNNNNNNNNNNNNNNNNNNNNNNNNNNNNNNNNNNNNNNNNNNNNNNNNNNNNNNNNNNNNNNNNNNNNNNNNNNNNNNNNNNNNNNNNNCCGAUACUCAUUUUUGAGUUGUUAUCGUGCCUUUGAAUGAUGGUUCUUGGAGUUCUUGAACUAGAAACUUGGAAUCUUGAAUAAAUUUGCAGAAUUAAUAGUGACCUUUGGAGGUUCUUGAAGUUCUUGAACUAGAAACUUGGAAUCUUGAAUAAAUUUGCAGAAUUAAUGGUUUACUUUGGAGGUUCUUGAAGUUGGAUGUAGGAGCUGAGGAUUUUAUUUUUGAUGGAAUUUGAUGAAAUAUAACAUAUAAUGCUUCUAAUAGGGUUUAAUAUAGGGUUUGGACGGAUUUUGGAUGAGUAGGAAUGACCAAAACACCCCUAAAAAUCAAAUAAUUCUCGAAUCUGUCCUUUGGUGGACUGUUUUGAUAGUCUGAAGUAGAUCAACCAUAACGUUUUACUCCGAUAUCCAAUUUGGAUGAAACCAAUUUCAUUAGAAAGAGGACUCUCAUAUAUUUCCAUUGACAUAUAGUAUCUCACCCAGAUGAUUGUGUACAAGGAGUUAUGAUUUGAAUUUGAGCCAAAAAUUCACUUUUGAUAGGCUGAAGUAGAUCGACUAUAACUUUUUACUCCGAUAGAAAAAUUGGAUGAAACCAAUUUCAUUGGAAAGAGGACUCGCGGAUCUUUCCGUUGAUAUAUAGUAGAUCACCUAGAUCAAUAUAUACAAGGAUUUAUGAUCGUUUAAAGUUGGAGAAAAAAUACGCCAGGCCUCAGUACUUUUUCCUGCAUGUUUUACUGUUCACGACUAUUCACGGUUCGAUCGGAAUGUUCAUAACUCGUCACUCGGGUGUCCGUUUUGGAUGAUCCAUAUAUCGUUGGAAAUAUUAUUCAAUACUAUACGCAAUGGUGGGUCAUAAUCUAAGAGAUUCCAUACGAAAAAAUUUAUAAUUCAUUCUAGAAGAUAGAACCCAACAUGUUUACGCACAAAAUUUCAACAAAAAAUUUCUCAGGGUAUUAUAUCAUCCCCCCUUGGAAAAAGUCGUCCUCGAAUGAUGAUAGACAUGCCAAGAUUAGAUAGGGAAUAGGGCAUACAGCUGAAACCAUUCGUUAGACUCAUCACCACAUCGUUUCUCACUCCAAAUGCAAAAUAGAAUGCAUAAAUUCAAGAAACUAUAGUUGAACACAUAAUGAAUGACAGCUGAACUGCUGCAACUUUUAUCAAAAGUGCAUGGUUUAGGAAAGAACGGUACGUUUGGCUUGAUCAGAGCUCGUGGAAAAUAGGUGCGGGUACUUGGUUUGCAUAUCCGCCUCAGCUUCCCAAGUUGCACCCUCAAUAGAUUGGUUUCGCCACAACACCUUGACUAAGGGAACUUCUUUGUUCCUUAGUCUUCGAACACUGAAAUCAAGAAUCUCAACAGGAAUCUCAUCAAAAGAAAGAUUUUCUUGAAUGUCAGCACUCACAGAGGAAUCCACUACCACAACAUCGCUAAUAUGCUUUCUAAGCAUGGAGACAUGGAAUAUUGAAUGAACAGAGGACAACUCGGAAGGUAACUCGACCUCAUAAGCUACCUUACCAACACGGCUAAGAAUUUUGUAAGGAUCAACAUAACGGGGACUAAGCUUCCCCUUCUUUCCGAAUAUCUUCACCCCCCUCAUGGGUGAAAUUUUCAGAUACAUUAAGUCACCAACUUCAAACUCAAGGUCUCUCCUUUUAACAUCCGCAUUUGACUUCUGAUGACUCUGCGCAAUUUUCAACCUUUCCCUAAUCAACUUAACUUUUUCCAUAGCCUCAAAUACCGAAUCAGGACCACUCACAGCCGCUUCACCCACCUCGAACCAACCUAUGGGUGAUCUACACUUCCUCCCAUAUAAGGCUUCAAAUAGAGCCAUGCCAAUACUAGAGUGGAAACUGUUAUUGUAAGCAAACUCUAUCAACGGUAAGUGAUCAUCCCAACUUCCCUUAAAGUCAAAUGUACAAGCUCUCAACAUAUCCUCUAAGGUUUGGAUGGUUCGCUUGGACUGACCAUCGGUCUACGGAUGAAAAGAAGAACUCAAAAGCACUUGGGUACCAAGACCCUUCUGAAAAGCUUUCCAAAAUUGUGAAGUGAACUGAGUACCCCUAUCCGAAAUGAUAGACAAGGGAACUCCAUGCAGUCUGACUAGCUCUCGGAUAUACAAUCUAGCGUAAUCCUCAGUAGUAUAUGAAGUAUGAAUAGGCAAGAAAUAAGCAGACUUAGUCAAUCUAUCAACCANNNNNNNNNNNNNNNNNNNNNNNNNNNNNNNNNNNNNNNNNNNNNNNNNNNNNNNNNNNNNNNNNNNNNNNNNNNNNNNNNNNNNNNNNNNNNNNNNNNNNNNNNNNNNNNNNNNNNNNNNNNNNNNNNNNNNNNNNNNNNNNNNNNNNNNNNNNNNNNNNNNNNNNNNNNNNNNNNNNNNNNNNNNNNNNNNNNNNNNNNNNNNNNNNNNNNNNNNNNNNNNNNNNNNNNNNNNNNNNNNNNNNNNNNNNNNNNNNNNNNNNNNNNNNNNNNNNNNNNNNNNNNNNNNNNNNNNNNNNNNNNNNNNNNNNNNNNNNNNNNNNNNNNNNNNNNNNNNNNNNNNNNNNNNNNNNNNNNNNNNNNNNNNNNNNNNNNNNNNNNNNNNNNNNNNNNNNNNNNNNNNNNNNNNNNNNNNNNNNNNNNNNNNNNNNNNNNNNNNNNNNNNNNNNNNNNNNNNNNNNNNNNNNNNNNNNNNNNNNNNNNNNNNNNNNNNNNNNNNNNNNNNNNNNNNNNNNNNNNNNNNNNNNNNNNNNNNNNNNNNNNNNNNNNNNNNNNNNNNNNNNNNNNNNNNNNNNNNNNNNNNNNNNNNNNNNNNNNNNNNNNNNNNNNNNNNNNNNNNNNNNNNNNNNNNNNNNNNNNNNNNNNNNNNNNNNNNNNNNNNNNNNNNNNNNNNNNNNNNNNNNNNNNNNNNNNNNNNNNNNNNNNNNNNNNNNNNNNNNNNNNNNNNNNNNNNNNNNNNNNNNNNNNNNNNNNNNNNNNNNNNNNNNNNNNNNNNNNNNNNNNNNNNNNNNNNNNNNNNNNNNNNNNNNNNNNNNNNNNNNNNNNNNNNNNNNNNNNNNNNNNNNNNNNNNNNNNNNNNNNNNNNNNNNNNNNNNNNNNNNNNNNNNNNNNNNNNNNNNNNNNNNNNNNNNNNNNNNNNNNNNNNNNNNNNNNNNNNNNNNNNNNNNNNNNNNNNNNNNNNNNNNNNNNNNNNNNNNNNNNNNNNNNNNNNNNNNNNNNNNNNNNNNNNNNNNNNNNNNNNNNNNNNNNNNNNNNNNNNNNNNNNNNNNNNNNNNNNNNNNNNNNNNNNNNNNNNNNNNNNNNNNNNNNNNNNNGAGUCUUCAACUCCUGAAAACUCUUCUUACAAGAUUCGGACCACAAGAACUUCACUUUCUUUUGGGUCAACCGAGUCAUAGGAGACGCUAUAGAGGAGAAACCCUCAACAAAACGACAGUAAUAGCUAGCUAAACCCAAGAAACUUUGGAUAUCAGUCGAAGAAAUAGGUUUAGGCUAAUUUCUAAUAGGUUCGGUCUUUUGGGGAUCAACUCUAAUACUCUCGAAAGAAAUGAUAUGACCCAGAAAAGCAAUUGACCUUAUCCAAAACUCACACUUACUGAACUUGGCAACAACUUGUGAUGUCUAAGGGUUUGCAAGACAGUUUGGAGAUGAUCAAAAUGUUCAUCCUCACUACGGGAGUACACCAGUAUAUCAUCGAUGAACACUAUGACAAACAUAUCCAAAUAUGGUCUGAACACUCGAUUCAUAAGGUCCAUGAAAGUUGCUAGGGCAUUAGUUAAUCUAAAAGACAUAACAAGAAACUAAAAAUGGCCAUAACAAGUUUGGAAAGCAGUUUUUGGGAUGUCACACUCCCUGAAUUUGAGUUGAUGAUAGCCGGAACGAAGGUCUAUCUUUGAUAAAUAACUUGCACCUUGCAAUUGGUCAAACAAAUCAUCUAUUCUCGGAAGGAGGUACUUAUUUUUUAUGGUAACUUUAUUCAUUUGGCGCUAAUCAAUACACAUACGCAAAGAGCCAUCUUUCUUUCUCACAAACAACAUAGGAGCACCCCAAGGAGAAAUACUAGGCCUUAUGAAACCCUUAUCUAGUAGAUCUUUGAGUUGUUCUUUCAACUCCUUAAGGUAUGCAGGGGCCAUACAGUAAGGAGGAAUAUAAAUAGGCUGAGUAUUAGGAAGAAGAUCAAUCCCAAACUCUAUCUCUCUAUCAGGAGGUAUCUUUGGGAGAUCAUCUGGAAAGACAUCAGAAAACUCAUUGACGACGUUAAUAGACUGGAGAGUUGGAAUCUCAGACUUAGUGUCUUUGACUCUAACCAAAUGGUAAAUACACCCCUUGGAAAUAAGCUUUCUAGCGGAGGCAUAUUUCUAAAAGAGGAGAGAAUGAAUCAAUAGCAGAGAGAGACACUUUAAGCACGAUAGACUUCUGAAAGAAAGAAUCACACUUUUCCCUAAAACGUCUUGUAGCCUCUUGCUCAUAGAUGUGGCGCGCUACACACCGAUGAUCAAGACUCUACUUAAUGUGGCUUGUCAGACUCCCUAGGAAACCUUAAAACCUUAGGCUCUGAUACUAAGUUUGUAAUGCCCCAGAAAAUAAUUCCUGGAGAGUCACAUGGGGCUUGAGGCUACGAGUAGCCCCAAGCUAACCCUUUGAGCAAUUUUCAUUCAGUUCAACACAAAUCAAUGGGGUUUCCAUAAAUAACCCUCAAAUAUCAACAGACUAAUCAUCAUCUAAGAAUAAAAGAAUUUUAGAAAGAUAACAAAAUAUGACUUAUUAGUCAACUCCCAACAUCUAUACUAGUCUGACAAGCCUCUAAGAAAGUCAAUAAAACCAGUGAGCCAUUGAGACAUGCCCAACUAACUCAUACUCAGUUAUCAAAUGCAAACAAUUCCGUGAAACCAACAUUAGACAUCACAUCCUCGGAACGUGAGGACUCACCACGACAGAGUAUGUAGAACAGCGUGCCCGAAAAAUCACUAUCGAACUUGGAACUGAGCACCUGAACCUACAUUCUGAGAAAAUGCAGCCCACAUCCGAAGAUGUGAGCCAGUACCAUGGAAAUGAACCAAGUACAUGGGGGUGUAUGCAGUUUUAUAAACAUCACCAUCAUAAAUAUUUAUAAGAAAUAUGUAGGAUGUAUGAAAGACUCACAUAGCCCGAAGAAAAUCAUCAUAAUCAUAAGAGGAUGAUAUAAGUUCAAUAACACAUGUGAGUCAUCAUAUAAUUUGUCAAUCACUUUCAAUUCAUCGAGAAUAUCAAUUCUCAUAAUGUAAAUAUCAUUUUAAUCUUUUGAAAGAAUAACUUUCACAAUUCCACUUUCAAAUCACUUCACCGUUCACCAUAGACACAAGGAAACAUACACAUACUGGGAGAUCCUAUAAUUGACAUAAACCAUAUGAGCUACAUGGAGUCCAAUGUACAACCUAUGUUGGAGAGAGCUGUCCUAUUAUUGCCAUCGGAGUUGGACUAUCGAUAUCAAAUCCACACAAACUAGUGAUCACUAUAUAAAUUAGGGAAGUAAGGUCGCUUUAUACCUCCUACUCGAUGCUAAAGACUUCUCCCGGACUUACCUCAGAUCAUUUUAAAGACAAUCCACAACAAAAUAAUUUUAGUAAUAUAUAAAUAUACAUCGGGAGCCAUAAUGCUUUUCAUCUAUUAAAAUCAAUCACGUUGUGUAUUUCUUUCACACUCAAGUUCAAAACAACUCCAUUAAGACCAAAAGGUCAAAUCAUUCAAAAUAUCUCAAAUAUUCAACAUCAACGUGCUUAUAACACACACUUUCUCAAAAAAACACAAUUUCCAAUGGGGAUUCACGACCCAAAUAUCAAAAUCAUGAUAAAUAUCAUUCAAGNNNNNNNNNNNNNNNNNNNNNNNNNNNNNNNNNNNNNNNNNNNNNNNNNNNNNNNNNNNNNNNNNNNNNNNNNNNNNNNNNNNNNNNNNNNNNNNNNNNNNNNNNNNNNNNNNNNNNNNNNNNNNNNNNNNNNNNNNNNNNNNNNNNNNNNNNNNNNNNNNNNNNNNNNNNNNNNNNNNNNNNNNNNNNNNNNNNNAGUUCUUGAACUAGGAACUUGGAAUCUUGAAUAAAUUUGCAGAAUUAAUGGUGAACUUUGGAGGUUCUUGAAGUUCUUGAACUAGAAACUUGGAGUCUUGAAUAAAUUUGCAGAAUUAAUGGUUAACUUUGGAGGUUCUUGAAGUUGGAUGUAGGAGCUUAGGGUUUUCUUUUUGAGGGAAUUUUAUGAAAUAUAACAUAUAAUGCUUCUAAUAGGAUUUAAUAUAGGGUUUGGACGGAUUUUGGGUGAGGAAAAUGACCAAAAUGCCCCUAAAAAUCAAAUAAUUCUCGAAUCUAUCCUUUGGUGGACUGUUUUGAUAGUCUGAAGUAGAUCAACCAUAAGGUUUUACUCCGAUAUCAAAAUUGGAUGAAACUAAUUUCAUUAAAAAGAGCACUCUCAUAUAUUUCCGUUGAUAUAUAGUAUCUCACCCUGAUCAUUGUGUACGAGGAGUUAUGGUUGUUUGAAGUUGACCCAAAAAUUUUCUUUUGAUAGGCUGAAGUGGAUCGACCAUAACCUUUUUCUCCGAUAGAAAAAUUGGAUGAAAAUAAUUUCAUUGGAAAGAGGACUCGUAGAUCUUUCUGUUGAUAUAUAGUAGAUCACCCAGAUUAUUAUGUACAAGGAGUUAUGAUCGUUUAAAGUUGGAGUAAAAAUACUCCAGGCCUCAGUACUUUUUUCUGCACGUUUUACUGUUCAUUACUAUUCACGGUUCGAUCGAAAAGUUCAUAACUCGUCGCUCGAGUGUCUGUUUUGGAUGAUACACAUAUCAUUCACUACUAUUCACGGUUUGAUCCGAAUGUUCAUAACUUGUCACUCGAGUGUCUAUUUUAGAUGAUACACAUUUCAUUGGAAUUCUUAUUCGAUACUCUAUGCAACGGUGGGUCAUACUCUAAGACAUUCCACACGAAAAAAAAUUAUAAUUCAUUCUAGAAGAUAGAACCCAACACAUUUUCGCACAAAAUUUCAAUGAAAAAUUUCCUGAGGUAUUACAACGACGCAUGCAAAUCGCAUGGUGCUUCUGUUUUGAAAUCCAAACAUUCUCUAAACUAUUUCCAAAAUUUCUAAAACUCACUUGAGAUGUACUCUUGACUUUCCCGAUCACAACGCAACUUGAAAAUGCAUAAAUGGAGUUUGGGAAGGUUGUCAAAUAAAUUCCCGAAGUUCGGAGGUAUAAGAUGAAACUAAGUGUUUGUCACGACCCAAACCAGGGCCUGGCCAUGACAAGCAUUUCAAACCAUGGAGGCCCAAAAUACCCCUAUCUGUAUGAUAAUCAUGCACAUAAUUCAUAUGAUCAAAAGUAAUGCAGAAGAAACACAAUAUAACGGAAACAUGGUCAAGAAUCAUAUGAAAACGACAAUGGGGAAUAGUGUCCCAUAAUCUAAAUCAAAAUCUCUAAAACUCGUCUACGAAAUCUCUACUACAUGACUGAAACAAUGUCUAUUUGAAAACUGGGACAAGGCCCCAGUAGACCCAAAAACUGAACAUAAGAUAAAAGGACUGCAGGACAUAAGACCUUUCGAAACAUAGAAGGCUCACCACUUGUCUCUACAGCUCUGUCUGAAAGUUCUCCUGAUUCUCUUGACCCCUAGACUGGGCCUCUGAACCUGAGAGGUUCGAGAGGAGAGGGGGUCAGCACAAAAGUACUGGCACGCAGAGAUAUCAAAGCAAAAACAUAAUAUUUUUACAAAAUAUAAUUGAGAGCCAUUAUAAAGCAAUUUUCGUAUCAAAUCAUUUGAAAACACAUGGGUGUAAUGCAAUAGUUUUUCUCAACAAUAAUGAAAUCCAACUGAGCUAGGUGGAAUACCCUACAUAAUUUACACCAACUGUCAAACCUCGGUUGCCACCGAGAUUAGAGUAUAAGUGAGGGAAGACACACAAGACCACAAAGCAUGGUGUUUCGACCCAAAUCAAAUAUGGUAGUGCAAAAGACCACAAAGCAUGCCUCCUAACAAUAAUUCCAAUUUGGGAUAGUAUAAUAUUAGGUACGCAAGACCACAAAGCAUGGUACCGAUAUUCCAUGUCGGCAAACACGUUCUUCCAGUAAUGAGCCAUUUUUUUCUCAAACGCCUUCUUCGGGCAUCCAUCUUUCUCAUGUAAAAUCAAUGCAUUCAAAUUUCACCUUAUUCAAUCGCAUAUCAUAUUUGGUAGGUUAUCGUCACACCCGACUUGCAAGUCAUCAGUAUCACAUCCACAUAUUCAUAAUCAUGUAAAAACCAAGGUGCUUCAUCAUUUACAAGUGGUGAACAAUAUUUAUUUCAAAUUCAUGCUCUCUUUUGUUGAUAAUAAUAUAAUAUAGAGUAUCGAAACAUUAUCAUGGAAAUUUGAAAACAAUUUAUCAUUCAUAUUUAUCAACUUCCAUGAAAAAAUCUCAAAUCACAUAUGCAUGGUUUCAACCAUUGAAGUAUAUAGGCAAACAAUUCCCAUGACUUAAAGAAAAUGACUUAGAAAUCAUAUUGAAAGAAAGAUCUUAGCAUUUGAUAGAAAACCCCCAUUUAAAAGCAUGCAUGUUCAUAAAGACUACACCUAUGAGAUUUUUGGAUAACCCCACGUACCUCUAUUUCCAAAGAGAAUAGCUGUUUCUCGAAGCUUGCGGAUUGGUGAUUCCAAAUAUGUAAUUAUCUUUAAAAACCUAUGGUCAAAUAUUGAACUAUUUGGGUUUUUAUUUUGAAACCCUAAGGAGAAUCUUGUGCACUUUUGAUGAAAGAAUAUGUAUUUUGGGGUCCUUGGAACUAAAUCUCGUGUUUUAGGGCUAAGUAAGGGUGGAAAAGGACCACUUUUUCCUCAACACGGAGUUUUUAAAUUUCUAGAAGUCCUUACAUAGGCACCACCCAUCCCAUCGCCUAUCUUUACAUAGUCGCCUCCUAUGUUCACAUGGCCGCCUAGGCUAUCGCCUAUGCUUUCCAGUGUCCAUGGGCGAUUGUUUAGGCAUCUCUUAUCACUUUGAAAGGUCAUAAUUUCUUGCUUGGGUGUUGGAUUUUAGCCAAAUUAGUAUCAUUGGAAAGCUAAAUCGAAUACCUAUCAUUUGACACAUAGUAGGCUUCCUAUUUCGACAUAUACAAAGAAUUAUGGUCGAUGGAAGCUAACACACUUUACAACGUCCACUAAAACUUAGUUGACCAAAAUAGUUUCAACUCGUUCUUGAGUUGAAGGACCUCUAUGGUCUAAAUUCAAGCUUGAGUGAAUUCACAUGCUACACAAUAAUUAACAUGCCGUAUUGGCAUAGGAUUUUAUGGCUUCGGGAUUAGCAACGCAUCGAAAUCAUGAUUUUUACUCUUGCCCAAAAUGCGGGGCGUUACAGUCUUUCUAAUUAUUUAUAGAUACUGAUGUUGAUUGUCAUCUUCAAUUGUCUAUGGAGGUUGUGUGAUGAAGGAUGAUGUCUUCGAUUGUAUAUGAAGACUUGAUUACAUCUUUAAUUGUCUAUGGAGACUGAGGUUGAUUGUCGUCUCUGAUUGUCUAUGGAGACUGUACGAUGAAGGAUGAUGUCUUUGAUUGUCUAUGAAGACUUGAUAUAUGAAAUCUCUAGUUGUCUAUGGAGACUGAUAUGGAUUGUUGUCUCCGAUUGUCUACGGAGUCUGUGAUGAAUGAUGAUGUCUUCGAUUGUCUAUGAAAACUUGAUGAAAUCUCCAAUUGUAUAUGGAGAUGGAUGCUAAUGAUGAUGAAAUCAUGGGUGAGUUUCAUAAUUUUUGGAGUAGAGUAAAGGCAUAAUUGGGUGCCCAAAAUAGAAGCCCGGGGGAUUAGCCCCCGCAGCCUGCUAACUCCAGUGCUUGCCCAGUUUUUUCAGCAUUUCUGGGUCAACUUCAAAUGAUCAUAACUCCCAAUAUAUAAUGAACUCUGAGAUCUUCUAUAUAUCAAUUGAAAUAUAUUUGAGUCUUCUUUCCAAUGAAAUUAGUUUUAUCCCAUACAGACAUCUAAAUAAAAAGUUACGAUCAAUUUACUUCAACCUAUCAGACAGUCAAUUAGGGACAGAUUUGACCUUAAUUGUUCCUUAGGGGUAUUUUGGUCAUCUUCCACCCCUAUAUAUACCCCAAACAGGGGAUUAAGGCUUAUUUGAAGCAAAAUAUACUUUUCUCAAAAUCCUCUCAAGAACUCAACCUAGGGUUUCAAUUUGAAGACCCAAAUCCCAUCAAUUGAAGAACAUAACUCCUCAUUUAUCUUCAACAUCAAAAGAAGGGUUUCUCUCAAGAUCAUAACCUAUAAAAAGAAUCAAAUCCUUCUUCAAGAAUAUAUGAUAUUCAAGUUUUUCAAAAUCAAGAGCCAAUUUAUUUUCUCUCAAAGGAACAAGAACCCUAGUCAAGGAAUCAAGAACAUGUCUAAAAAUUUCUUCAAGAAUCUUCCACCUAAGGUAUGCAUAGUGUUCAUCCACGGAUUCCUUUCAUCCGUAGGAGUCCAAGAACCAUGUUUNNNNNNNNNNNNNNNNNNNNNNNNNNNNNNNNNNNNNNNNNNNNNNNNNNNNNNNNNNNNNNNNNNNNNNNNNNNNNNNNNNNNNNNNNNNNNNNNNNNNNNNNNNNNNNNNNNNNNNNNNNNNNNNNNNNNNNNNNNNNNNNNNNNNNNNNNNNNNNNNNNNNNNNNNNNNNNNNNNNNNNNNNNNNNNNNNNNNNNNNNNNNNNNNNNNNNNNNNNNNNNNNNNNNNNNNNNNNGUGUGAAUAAAGUUCGAAUCUUUACAUGUUGUUCAUGACACCAUGAUCUUUUGUGGAUUCAAUUGGUGGAAUUGAGUUGAAUUAUGGUGUUAUGGUGUAUAAAAUUGAUCAUUAGGACUAUGCCCUAAAUAAUGCAUGCAAGGUGUUUGUUAAAAUACCAAAGUGAAGAAAAAUUGAGCACUUUGACCUAUUUGUGAUCUAAAUGAUAAUUCCAUGCUAUAUCCAUGUGCUUAAGUUGACUCCCAUGCUAAAGCUAUGCCUACCAUGUGUUUGAUAAUGUGCCUCAACGAACAAAUGAUGAUCAAGUACCUAGUCUUCAUGCUCCAAAAUUUUUCCAUGUCUCUUAAGUUAUGCCAUGUCUACUUGAUCAAGAAGAUUUCUAUGCUAUUAAUGUGCUAUGAAUAUGUUGUUGGCUUGUCAUGAUAUUAGAAUUGACCAUGAUGUUAGCUAUAUGAAAAGGUUAUGAAAACCACAUGAUUUAUUAAUUCCCCGUAGAUGCUAUAUUAUGGAUUAUUAAUGUUGGUCAAGUACACUUGUAUGUCAAGUCAUGUCAGUUUCCUUCCAUCGAGUCCUGGGGGUAUUCGUACCCAAAAUAUAUAGUUGUGUGCCUAGAGCCAUGUCAUGUUUUCACGAUACUCUCAGUCAAGCCAUGUUCAGUAGACUUUAGUUAGCUAACAGAACUCAGUAACAUUUAGUCAGUUAACAGAAUUAAGUAGUAUUCCGCUAGUCAUCGGAACUCAAUAAACUCAGUCAGCUAACAGAACUCAGUAGCAUUUAGUCAGUUAAUAGAAUUCAGUAGUGUUUCGCUAGUCAUCGGAACUCAAUAAACUUAGUCCAUGUUCAAUUCAGUUAAAUAGAACAAUCAAUAACAGUUUAGUUAAUUCUAGCAUGAACUAGGAAAUCAGUUUAGUAUAAUCAGUUCAGUGUCAUUCAGUUGGGAGUAGGAUUCAGCACCGAGCGAACCCAAGGAUGGGAAGUCACUUGCCAGUAGAGGGUGUGAUUCUUAUAAGAAGUUCUUACGUUCUAGAAAUAUGUAGCCAGCAUAGGUUGAGACAUCAAUACCUGUCAGUUGAGGGUAGAUGAGUUGGCUUAACCUGUCAGAUGAGGGUUCCCACCAUUCUCAUUAGAGUAUAGACACCCUCCAAUUAGGGCAGAGAUUGGAUCCAAGCUUAGCUAUUAUAGCGUAUUUGGGGCAUGUUGGUUAGAUAACUACUUCCCACAGUUUUAGUAUCAGUCUCAGUAAAAGAACUCCGAUAGUUCUUCAGGAUAUCAGGACUGUCAGAUACAGUCAACUUAGAUACAGUACGAAACUUAGCUAGUUCCAUCAGAUUUAGGACUGUCAGAUAUAGUCAUUUAUGCUAUCAGUUAUGAGAACUUAUGUUAUUAGAUAUAUCAGUUAUCAGAAUUCAGUUAUCAUUCAUGAUAUGUUAUCAGCAAAUACAAGUCAUCAGCAUUCAUACUCUGCAGUCAUGUUAUCAUAAGCUCAAUUUCAGGACUGUUAUAUACAGUCAAUCAAAUCAGUUCUUCAUAAUCAGAACUAUCAGAAACAAUCAUUCCUUUAUCAUUAAUAUAGUAUCAGUCUCCCAGUAUUCAGUAAUACAGUAUCAGUUCCUCACUUAUUAGUGAAUUACAUAUCAAUAUCAGUAAACUCAGUUAUUCAGUGUUUCAAUAUCUGUAAACUCAGUCAUUCAGUAUCUCAGCAUUAGUAAACUCAUGUUUUCAGUAUUCAGACUCAGUAGUCAGUAUGACCACGAGUUUAGUUGCAGUUACGUAUGUAUGUAUGUAUUCUCACGUUCAUAUCAAUCAUCAUUGUUCAUGCAUAUAAAACCAUUUGCAUUUAUCCUACCUCACUCGUAUACUCAGUACAUUCAGUCGUACUGAUGCAUUCGCAUUGUGGUGUUUUAUUUGAUACCAUAGGUACAGAGGCACGAGUUUUAGAGCAGUAGUAGCAUUGUAGAUUUCAGUAGUCAGUGCUCCUUUUCAUUCGAGGACACUAUUAUUAUUACUUUAUAGCAGUAUUUCAGAUUAGAUUUUUAGUUCAUGGAAUUAGUUGGAGACAUGUUCCUUCAACUCCUUAUUCAGUUCAGUUAGAGGCUUUCGGAAUAGAUGUCAGAUUAGAUGUUCAGACUUCAGUAUUUAUGUUUCUUUCUAGUAUUGUUAUACCAUGUUUUUCAGAUAUGUAUCAGUAUUGAACCUUUUGGCCUUACAGUUUAUGUUUCCACAUAUUUUAUGAGAUUUUAUGCAGUUUACAGGUACAGAUAUCAGUCAUGCAUUAGCUAGUGGUCCUUCGGGGUCAUGAGAACCUGUAGCGUUUUGAUUCAGAAAAUUGGGACGUUACAACCCCCCACCCAUCAAGCUGGAAAUUGGUAGACAUCCAGUAAUCCCACCGCCUUUGGUGAGAAAAUCUGCAAUUUGGGAAUGAGUUGCCAAAUAUUGAGGUUGAAUCAGCAGUUGUUUGAUUUUCUCCCCGACGAAAUGAAAAUCUAUGUCAAUAUGCUUAGCCCUCACAUGCAAAAUAGGAUUAUAGUAUCUUUAUAGAAGCCUUGCUAUCACAGUGUAAUCUCAUUGGAGUAUGAACUGGUACAACUCGACAAUUGAAUAUCCUUCCCCGCAAAUUACUGAGUGAUUUGGUUUUUUUCCCACAAAUCAAAAGAUUAAUAAACCAUUAAACCCAAAUUGAAAAUAGCAUUUCCCAUUUAUUAACUUUUUCUUUUUUUCUUUAUGUGAAAUGUGCAUGAGGCAUUAAGAAAUAAAAUAUAGACAAAUAUCCAUGCAGACAUUUAAAAUAAAAUAUAAUAAUAAUGCCGCAUCACGUGUGGCCUCCACAAUUACAUCAAUCAAGUCAAACUCUCCUUACCUUGACAGUGGUUUUGUUUGCUUCCCCCACCACUGCUCUUCCCCCUAUUCUUUCUCUCAUCCUUGUUACUUCUGAAAAUAACAAUGAAGAAGCAAAAAAAUAAGAAGGGGGCUACGAGGGUAGAGAAUGUGAAUGGAGGAGUUGCGAGGGUAGAGGCUAGGGCGGUGAAAGUGAACAGAAGGUGGAGGAGAAAGUGAAGGGGUUUGUGGAGGAGGUGCAUUACCGAGUACGAAAGAGGCUGUCGGGGAAAUACACGGCUGAGACUAGAGAUCCGAAGAAAAUAUGCAAUGUUUUGUUAGGUACGUUUGAUACAGCAGAGGAGGAGGUGCAACCAUAUGAUACGAUGGAUAUUGAGUUUCGUGGUGUGAAAGUCAAGAUGAAUUUUCUGAAUCUGAUGGACAAAAUGAAUCGGACUUCCAGUAACGUUGGUACUGUUGAGUCAUUGAAUAUGGUGGCUGUGGUGGUAAUUCAACCAUCACCACUGCCUUUGCCUCCACCUCAACCACCGCCAUAGGCACUACAUUCGAUGACUCACCAUUAUUGGUCUGACUGUGACUUCGACAGAGAGGUCAUAAUUGUGUGGCCCAUCCAACUCGUCUAGACUUUAACGGGUCAGGUUCAACUACAAAAUGAUUUUAAUUUGGGCGGAUAAUUGGGUUAAUACACAAACGAAACCCAUUUUGACUCUAUUCAUCCAAACAAUAUUUAGGUUGAUUGGGUUAUGACAUGUUCAUUAACACAGCCCAUUUUGACCUAUAAUUCUCAUGUAUUCAACUUUCGCACACCUAGACUAAUUCCCAGUGAACCUGCCACCUCCCACCAGUGCACUCUAUUUUACAUGCCACUUACAUAAAGAAGUCCGGGGACCCUUAUUUUCCCUUUUCUUUCUUCUAUCCUUUCUGUUCUCAUUUCAAUACAGCAAAUGCCUUACUGUUUAUUGGUUCAAUUUUGAACUUGCCUUAACUGUCCUCUGUUUCUUUUAUUUCUUACACUGUGCACAGGUCAUAAUUGACACUCAUGAAGCAAUUAGUACAAUGUCCAAAGGUUAGAAAUUUUGCUACUGAUGAUGAAUCCCUUUGUGGCAGAAUGAAGAAGGCCCCCUGGAAGCUGUGUAUGGAAAAUAGGAACAUUGGUAAUAAUUUGAAGCUUUCCUGCAUAAGAUAGCUGAUUAGCAUAGGCUGUUUGGAUGUAUUGAUCUUGUGCAUGAUCAUGAGGACAAGUUGAUGAAAAUCAGGUUUAUUCCACUUCUUUGAUAGGAAAUGUACCAACAUCAAAACCAGUCUUUGCAAGCAACGACUCCUUUGUGGGAUCGUCUACUCUGGCCAUGACAAUACUAGACUUCUCCAUGUCUGAACUUAGACCAGUGACUUUACUGAAUUGAUUCAGUGCUUCCAUGACACUGGAAGGAAAUCCAUAAACAAUUCCCAACUGACCGUUUCAUAUGCUUUUCUCAAAUGUGUCUUCAUUAAACAGCUGGGAGAAGUUUUCCACUUAUAGUGUUCGAGUAUAACAAAUCAAGAUAUUGUGCAUCAUAGACCUUCCUUGAACAAUUUCAGCUUGAUUUCCUGCUACUAUAUGCUUUAAAGUCCUUUAAGCCUAUUACACAUAAUCUUAGAGAUGCAUUUAUAUAAAACAUUACAACACGAUAUAGGCCUGCAUUGGAUCGUAAAGUUAUGGGCAUUUACCUUAGGUAGGAAAGCAAUCCACGUGAGUCAACAGCUUACCGUUAGGAAAGAAGUCCAUCACUGCAUUUGUGACAUCUUUACCCACUAUAUCCCAUGAUGCUUUGAAGAAGCCACUUCCAAAACCAUCGGGGCCCGGGCCCUUAUUGCUUUCAAUCUGAAAAAUUUCAUCAUAAGGAUGCAACAACUCAAUUUGUUGUUCAAUUCUAAGCAACGGACCAAAAAUCUUUGAUUCUGUCCUCCAUUUUCCUCCCCAAUAAAUCUUGAUAAUAGUUCACAAAAAUUCCAUAGGAUAAGACUUCCACUCCUCCCUUUCAUCCUUCAGUUGUGUUGUGGCAUGAUGCAAUCAGUUGUACUUAAUAACAAAGAAGAAAUAGUUAGUGUUAUAUUCUCCUAGUCUUGUCCAAUUUACUUUACUUCUUUGUUGCAGAUACACCUCAGCCAUAUAGAAUGAACUUCUAAAUUUUUGAAACUUCUCCCUUUCAUAAGCUUGUAACGCUAAGUUUUGAGGGUCAGACUGUAAUUGUUUUUGGGCUUGAAACAGCGUGUCUCUAUCUUCAUUUUCUUCCUUAAGUGACUUUUUCAUGAGUUUUAAUAUUGUGUGUGUGAGAGAAAGAUCGUCAUUUAACUAGAUUUAGCUUAACAGUUUACUUGUUUUAUAUUUUCAUGUGUAAUUUGUAAAUCAAGGGAAUUUUAGCUAAGAAAACUUUCUUGUUGCCACAAGAUAAUUGCAAUAGACUAAAUGUCUAUGUCGCUCGGACUUUCAAAAAUGUCGAUGGGUGCCUGUCUGAUCCUCCAAAAGUAGUGUAUUUUUGAAGGAUUCGACACGAGUGCAACAACUUUUUUGGAUAGUCCAAGCAACAUAGCUCAAUCACAAUAAGUUGCAGUUUGCUUCACCAACGAAAACAAGAAUUGGAGGCAUUUUUUUCUGGAUGAACAAAAAAAUGCAUUCUCUUUCUUUAUCUUCUUCAGCAUUAAAUAGGACGAUGCUAUGCUCGAAACAAAUCCACAAGUGUUCUUUUUUGGGUGAGUAGGAACCUAUGUUGCUCAAAAUUAAUGUCGAGUUUAUGUUGGAUACUUCAAAAAGAAAUACAGUUUUGCAAGCGUGGGGCGACAUUUUUGAAAUGCUCGAGUAACAUAGCUAGGAAUUUGAAACAGGUAAUAAGAGGUCUUGGAUAAAAACACAGAUUAGUUCAACUAACUUUACUACAACAUACCCAGUAAAAUCUAACAAGUGAGGUCUGGGGAGGUAGAGCGUAUGCAAACCUUACCACUGCGACGUGAGGUAGGAAGGCUACCGCGAAGGGUGUAAUGACCUGUACGGUCAUUUUACUGUAUUUUUAUAUAAUUUUAGUAUUAUCUAAACGUUUUGUGGUUUAUUUAAUUUAAUUUGGCUUUUGAUAGGAAUAUAAUUUAGUACCCUUAUAGAAUAUUUUCGAUAUUAAUAAAAUUCUUUAAGUGACGAUAUAUUCAUAUCACUUUAUAAUGGACUUUUAUGAUUUAUUAAUAUUUUAGGUGGAGAUAGUAAUUUUAGAUAUGUUUAAAUAUUAUUAUUAUAUAAUAGAGGUUUUAUUUAGAAAUAAUUUUCUAUCAAUUAUGGUAUAUUCUAAAUAUUAUAAUUAUUUUACCAAGAAUUUAUACAAUAUCUGAAUAUCUACGCGGAGUAGAAAAUUAUUACUUGUGGCUAAUUACCACCACUCGUGUGGGAAGGAUGUGGACAACAACAUGUUGUUAUUUGGCAACCGUACACAUGUCCCUUGACCAUUUGAAUAUGUCUUUUUCUUCUUUCAUAUAUAUCGACUCUUAUGUAUAUAUAUAUAUACACAUACUUAGUAGUAGUGCUAUUCAAUAAAAAUUUUCUUUGAACAAAAAGGCUAAUCAAGUGCUCUUAUACAUGCAUGUUUAUUUAUAUUUUGUAGCAAAGUUUUUGGGUGAAAAUAUUUUGCAUCAUUUCACCAUCAAAUUAAAAUUUAUUAUUUAAGUUCGGAUCUUAGUAGCGCUAUUUAGAGACUUCGCGGACAGAUAUUAUAGCUUUGGCAUCCAGUUAGACUAGGUUUACCCUUUUUUUUAGAUUGAGCUUACUUACCCAAAAUGUUAACUAUUAUGUUAGCUUUGGAUAAGUGCUUGUAGAUACAUAUUAUUUGUUAUGUCUAAACUGUCUUAUUUAUGCGGAUUGGGACCCCGUUGUAGUAGAUUUUGGUAUUUUACCUUUCGAUAUAAUAUAGCACCUAUCACUUUGGGUCAUAAAAUUUAAUUGCAAAAUCUUUAAUUUAGCCCUUUUUAAAAUUGGUGGAUGAUUAUUUAGACGUUGACAUUGUUAUAAUAUAGAAUGGAUUUUAAUAUUAUCGGUGGGUUAUGGUUACUGUAAAUUCCGGUUCGAGUCUGGCAAUUGAUUAUUAUGAUUACUAUGAGUCCCGGUUUGAGUCCGGCAAUUGACUAUGAAUGUUAUUAUGAGUUCCGGUUUGAGUCCGGGAAUCGACUAUUAUUGUUACUAUGAGUUCCGGUUCGAGUCCGGCAAUUGACUAUUAUUGUUACUAUGAGUUUCGAUUCGAGUCCGACAUUUGACUAUUAUUAUUACUAUGAGUUCCAGUUCGAGUCCGGCAUCUGAUUAUAGUUGGGGUUACUCUGAGUUCUGGUUCGAGUCCGGCAUCUGAUUAUUUAUGUUUACUUUCAUCACUUGUGUGUCCCACAGGCUUAUGGGGGUAUGGUUGGGUUAAUGGUCUUCUUCAGUGUGCAUAGCAGGCUUAUGGGAGCUCAGUUAGGUUAUGUUUGAUUUAAUUAUUAUUACUGGAUUAUUAUUUUUCUGUACCGUACACGUUUAUUCCUUUAUAGUCGUUGCAUAGCUUGGUAGUUGUUUACCUUUCCAUCCUAUUUACUAAUAACUCAAAUUACGUCCUUGCAUUGUUGUUACACCUUUUCUAUAUUAAGCUCAGUCGGCCGAUGAUGCCUACUCAGUACCCGUGGUUUUUGGUACUCAUACUACACUUCAGCAUCUUUUUCCUAAUGCAGAUCUAGGUACUAGCAGUCUGCAUUAAUGUGGUUCCUACCUUUCAGUAUUGGUUUAGAGCGGGGUGAGCUUACUGUUGUCCGAGGCUGAUCCUCCUCUAUCUACUCUAGUUAGUUUUUUUCACUCUAGACUACUUGUGUAUAUUCUAGAUUUUUCGUCUAGUACUCUGGGUACCUGUUAGUAGUGGCUCUAGUACUAACCUUAUCAGGUCUUGGGAGGGAUUCAUUUGUAUAGUUGGUCCUUUUUCCUCCUCUCGUUUUGAUAUAAUACAUAUGCUUUCUUCUUAGUUUUAACUUAUUAUUGUGGUUGUUAUUAUCUUACACGAUCUUUUAUUUUGUCUCUGCCUAUUAUCCCAUUACCUAUCAUUCCAGGCUAUAGGCGGUGGGAUAAGGUACGCGCCAUUACAACUUGAGAAAUCGGGUUGUGACAAGUUGGUAUCAGAGCAUAUGUCACACUGGUAGUACUGGAGCCGAUGUUUAGUAGAGUCCUGCGGAUCGGUACAGAGACGUCUAUAUCCUAUCCUUGGGAGGCUAUAGAGCAUUUCUAGGAAAAAAAAUUCUCAUUUUCUUGAUCUAUUUUGUGUUUUGAGUCUAGGUUGGUUGUAAUCUUUUUAUUGGUUCACUCUUUACGAAGAUAGCUAGGACACGAGGUUCGAGAGCAGGGGUCGGGACCGUUGGUCCACUUAUAGAGUUCUAUCUUAUGGUAGAGGUCGACGAAGAUAUCAGGGGCAGGGUAGAGCAGUAGCCUCUAUUCGAGAUCAGGUCGGGGAUCCAACACCUAAUCCUAUUAUACCUUCGGGGAUUGAGAUAGCUCCAGGUAUUCUGUCACAUCAGCAGGUGGGCCAAGGGGCUGCCUAGGCUCCACCCAGCUUUAUAUCUUCUUCGGUUAUUCAGGAUACAUUAGUUUGGUUCUUUGGGUUAGUUAGCGGUCUACCAGUCAUGGGAGCUCAGCCAGCAUCACAAGGUGGUGUAGAUUUAGGAGUACAGCCUGCGGCAGCGGCGCCUAGGGUAGAGGUUCCACCAGCACCAGUAGUCCUACAACCGGUAGUAGCUCAACCACUUAUAUCUGCAGAGGAGCAGAAGAUGUUGGAUUGAUUUUUGAGAUUGACUCCACCCAUGUUUGUCGGGACCCCGAGAAAGGAUGCUUAUGAGUUCCUAUCCAGUUGCGAGGAGCGGUUGCAGAAUUUAGGGCUGGUUGAGGCGGGAGGAGUAGACUUUGUUUCUUAUCUUUUUGACAUAGAAGCAAGGAGGUGGGGGAGAGGUUAUCUUGAUUCUAGGCCAGCUGGAUCUCCACCAGUGCCUUGGACUUAGUUCUCCGAGGCUUUCUUAGGGAAGUAUAUGCCGCGUAGCGUGCGUGAGCGUCUCCAGGAUGAGUUUACCGCAUUGAGUUAGGGUUCUAUGAUUGUGGCAGAAUAUGAGGUGAGGUUUCAUGAGUUAGCCCGACACGCCACUAUGAUUCUGGAUACAGAGUACGAGCAGAUUCGAUGCUUUAUUAAGGGAUUGAGAUUAUCACUCCGUAGGGCUACUCAGAGUUUGGUGACUUUAGGAAAGUCUUCUUCUGAGAUAGCCGAGCAUGUUUAUUCCAUAGAGGAGAUGGAUCGUGAGGCCUAAAGGUGCAGCGAUAAGAGACCACGCUACCAGGGUAGUUACAGUGGUUCACAAUCCUCAGGCAGAGGAUUUCACGAUCGGUACCCUCAUCAGCAGCCUUCUCAGUAUCAGGGUCAACCUAGUCGGCCAGUUUAGGCAUCAAUUCAAUUAUCUAAUAGGGGUCAGCUCAUCUAUUCUAGUUCCAAUGGUCAGAGUAGCAGCCAGCCGCAGAGGGUUGUUCAGUCAGGAUCGUCAAGUAGGGGUGGUCAUUCUGGAUUCGCUGGACUUUCUAGUCAGAGAAGGUGCCCUGGACAUGUUAUGACUGUAGAGUUGUUGGUCACUUUACCAAUGAGUGUCCUCCGCGUACGAUGAUUUAGCCUCCAGUUCUCGCUGUGUAGCCGAUCAAAUGAGUGCCUUCGUUAGGUAGGGGUGGUAUACAGGGUCGUAAAGGUAGUUCCUAGGAUUCUAAAGGUGGUCCACAGGGAGGUAGGGUAGGCGGUUGGGCAGGUACCCAGUCUAGUAGUGGACAGGGUAAUUUGUAUGUUGUUCCAGGUAGAUCAGGGGCUGAGGCUACGAAUACUGUAAUUACAGGUACGAUUUCCGUGUUCCAUCAGCCAACUUCUGCUUUAUUUGAUCCCAGUUCCAGCUUUUCAUAUAUUUCUACUUAUUUUGCAUUGUGAUUGGGUUUAUGUUCAGAGUCUUUAUCUGUGUUGUUAUGUGUGGCUACCCCAGUGGGUGACUCUUUAGUAGUGGAUCAGGUAUAUAGAUUUUGUUUGGUCACUAUUCGGGAGUUUGAUACUCAUAUUGACCUUAUUGUAGUAGAUAUGGUUGAUUUUGAUGUGAUUCUAGGUAUGGAUUGGUUGUCUUCUUACAAUGUGGUCUUGGAUUGUUUUGUUAAGACCGUUACUUUAGCUUUUCCUGGCAUACCCCUAGUUGUGUGGCAGGGUUCUGUUAGCCACGCACCAAUGGGGAUUAUUUUGUACAUCCAGGCUAGAAGACUGAUACCGAGAGGUUAUGAGUCAUUUCUUGCAUAUAUUUGGGAUGUUAGUGCUGAGAGUCCCCCACUUGACUCCGUCCCUAUUGUUCCCAAGUUUUCUGAUAUAUUUUUGACUGACCUACCUAGCCUUCCUCCUAAGUGUGAUAUAGAGUUUAUUAUUGACCUCGAGCCUGGCACCCGACCUAUUUCUAUGGUUCCGUAUCGUAUGGUUCCUGCUAAGUUGAAGGAGCUAAAUAGUCAGCUUCAGGAUCUUCUGGGUAUAGGAUUUAUCAGACCGAGUGUAUCUCCUUGGGGUGAUCUAGUUUUAUUUGUGAAGAAGAAAGAUGGCUCCUUGCGUAUGUGUAUCGAUUAUAGGUAGUUGAAUGAGAUUAUUAUGAAGAAUAAGUAUCCUAUGCCUCCCAUCAAUGAUUUGUUUGAUCAACUUCAGGGUGCGGCUUUGUUUUCUAAGAUUGAUUUAAGGUUCGGUUACCAUCAGUUGAGAGUUAGGGCUGUGGACAUCCCUAAGACAAGCUUCAGGACUCCUUAUGGUCAUUAUGAGUUCCUGGUGAUGUCUUUUGGGUUAACCAAUACUCCAGCAGCUUUUAUGGAUCUGAUAAAUUACGUGUUUAGGACAUAUUUGGAGUUCUUCGUGAUAGUAUUUCUUGAUGACAUUUUGGUACAUUCGAGGAGUAAGGAGGAGUAAGAGCAGCAAUUGAGGACUAUACUUUGCACUUUGAGAAACCACAGGCUUUAUGCCAAGUUUUUAAAAUAUGAGUUUUGGCUUGAGUCUGUAGCUUUCUUGGGGCACGUAGUGUCCAAGGACGGUAUUAUGGUGGUCCUAGCCAAGAUUGAAGCUAUUCGUAGUUGGGCUAGGCGUACGUCACCUUCUGAGGUUCGCAGCUAUAUUGGGUUGGCAGGUUACUACAGGCGGUUCAUUGAGGGAUUUUCUUCUAUUGCAUCCCCUAUUACUAGAUUGACCAGGAAGGAGGCUCCGUUUCAGUGGUCUAUGAUUUGUGAGGCGAGCUUUAUGAAGCUCAAGGAUUUACUUACUUCAACUCCUAUUCUGAUUCUUCCUGUUGAGGGCGAGGGUUUUACUGUUUAUUAUGAUGCAUCUAGUGUUGGUUUGGGGUGUGUUCUGCAUGUCCGAAUUAUUGGAUAUGCAUCUAGGCAGUUGAAGGUGCAUGAGCGCAACUACCCUACUCAUGACUUAGAGUUGGCAGCGGUAGUAUUUGCACUUAGGAUUUGAAGGCAUUAUUUGUAUGGGGUUCGCUGUGAGAUAUUUACUGAUUACCUCAAUCUUCCGUAUAUUAUGACCUAGAAGGAGCUUAAUUUGAGGCAGCACAGAUGGAUUGAGUUGCUGAAAGACUAUGAUAUCUCUAUUCUCUACCAUUCUGGUAAGGCGAAUGUGGUAGCGGAUUCCUUGAGUCGAAAGUUAGUAAGUAUGGGUAGCUUAGCUUUCAUUUCAGUUUCUUAAUGGUCGUUUGCUUUGGACAUUCAGUUCUUAGCUAACAUGAUGGUUCGUUUGGAUAUUUCUGACCCUCGGACAAUUAUUGCUAGUGUUAAGGAUAGAUCCACCUUGUUGGAGCAGAUUCGAAGUCGUCAAUAGGCUUCGCAGCCUUACUCGAUUUGAUCCAAUUGAUUCUUUGUAAGGCUUAUAGCUCCAGAUACUCUAUUCCCCUGGAAGACCUCUUAUGUAUAGGGAUCUGAGGUAGCAUUACUGGUGGAGUGGUAUGCGGAGAGAUAUAGUAGGGUUUUUGGCUCGAUGUCUUUGUUGUCAGCAGGUAAAGGCCGAGCAUCAGAGGCCUGGUGGAUUAUUGCAGCAGCUACCUAUUCCCGAGUAGAAAUGGGAGUGAAUUACUAUGGAUUUCGUAGGUGGAAUGCCUCGUAUGUCGCAUGGUUUUGAUAGCAUUUGGGUCAUCGUGGAUAGAUUGACCAAGUCUGCACAUUUUAUCCCCGUUCAAGUUUCCAACAGUGCCGAGAAGUUAGCUCGUGUUUACAUUCAGGAGGUGGUUCGCCUAUAUGGGGUCCCUAUGUCCAUUAUUUCCGAUCGAAGCUCUCAGUUUAGUUCUAGAUUUUGGAGGGCAUUUCAGGAGGUGUUGGGGACCCAGGCUGACCUUAGUACAGCCUUUCAUCCCCAGAAGGAUGGGCAGUCAGAGGGGACUAUCUAGGUCUUAGAGGAUAUGCUACGCGCUUAUGUGUUGGUUUUGGAGGUCAGUGGGACCAAUUUCUACCUUUGGAAGAGUUUGCUUAUAAUAACAGCUUUCACUCGAGUAUUCAGAUAGCCCCAUUUGAGGCAUUGAGAGUUCUGAGGCUACACCUCGUGGAACAGAUUUGCUUUGUGAUUCGUUGGAUCAGGUUCAAGUGAUUCAGGAUAGGCUACGAGCAGCUCAGAGCAGACAGAGGAGUUAUGUUGAUCAUAGACGUCGUCCAUUGAGUUUCAGAGUUGGUGAUAGGGUCUUCCUGUGAGUAUCACCCAUGAAGGGCAUGAUGAGGUUCAGGAGGGGGGGGGGGCAAGCUUAGCCCUAGAUAUAUUGGACCUUUUGAGGUCCUACAGAGAGUUGGGGAGGUAUAUUAUGUGUUGGCAUUGCCACCUGCCUUCUCAGCCAUUUACCCUGUAUGUCAUGUAUCUAUUUUGCGGGAGUAUAUGCCAGAUGAGUCACACGUACUUCGGUGGGACUCAGUUUAGUUGGACGAGGGAUUGACGUUUGUAGAGGAGCCAACGUCUAUUUUGGCGAGGGAUGUCAGGCGGUUGCGCUCCAGGGAUAUUCUGAUAGUUAAGAUUCAAUGGCGUCACCGUCCAGUUGAGGAGGCUAGUUGGGAGAUCGAGCAUGAUAUACGAGCCCAUUAUCCCUAUCUGUUUGAGGCUUCAGUUAUUUAUUCAUCUUUUACUUUCGCGGACGAAAGUCCUUUUAGUAGUGGAUGUUGUAAUGACCUAUACGGUCAUUUUACUGUAUUUUUAUAUAAUUUUAGUAAUAUCUAAACGUUUCGUGGUUUAUUUAAUUUAAUUUGGCAUUUGAUAGAAAUAUAAUUUAGUACCCUUAUAGAAUAUUUCGAUAUUGAUAAAAUUCUUUUAAGUGAUGAUAUAUUUAUAUCAGUUUAUAAUGGACUUUUAUGAUUUAUUAAUAUUUUAGGCGGAGAUAGUAAUUUUAGAAAUGUUAAAAUAUUAUUGUUAUAUAAUAGAGGUUUUGUUAGAAAUAAUUUUCUAUCAACUAUGGUAUAUUCCAAAUAUUAUAAUUAUUUUACCAAGAAUUUAAUAUCUUAAUAUGUACGCGGAGUAGAAAAUUAUUACUUGUGGCUAAUUACCACCACACGUGUGGGAAGGAUGUGGACAACAACACGUUGUUAUUUCGCAACCGUACACAUGUCCCUUGACCAUUUGAAUGUGUCUUUUUCUUCUUUCAUAUAUAUCGACUCUUAUGUGUAUAUAUACACACACUUAGUAGUAGUGCUAUUCAAUAAAAAUUUUCUUUUUUGUCUCUUAUGUGUAUAUAUAUAUACACACUAAGUAGUAGUGCUAUUCAAUAAAAAAUUUCUUUUAAAAAAAAGGCUAAUCAAGUGCUCUUAUAUAUGCAUGUUUAUAUAUAUUCUAUAGCAAAGUUUCUGGGUGAAAAUAUUUUGCAUUAUUUCAUCAUCAAAUUAAAAUUUAUUAUUUAAGCUCGGAUCUUAGUAGCGUUAUUCACAGGCUUCGCGGACAGAUAUUAUAGCUUUGGCGUCCAGGUAGACUAGGUUUACCCUAUUUUUAGAUUGAGCUUACUGACCGAAAAUGUUAACUAUUAUGUUAGCUUUGGAUAAGUGCUUGUAGAUACGUAUUAUUUUAUAUGUAUAAGUUGUCUUAUUUAUUCAGAUUGGGACCUCGUUGUAGUAGAUUUUGGUAUUUUACCUUUCGAUAUAAUAUAGCACCUAUCACUUUGGGACAUAAAAUUUAAUUGCAAAAUCUUUAAUUUAGCCCUUUUUAAAAUUGGUGGAUGAUUAUUUAGACGUUGACAUUGUUAUAAUAUGGAAUGUAUUUUAAUAUUAUUAGUGGUUUAUGGUUACUGUAAAUUCAGGUUCGAGUCCGGCAAAUGAUUAUAAUGAUUACUAUCAGUCCCGAUUCGAGUCCGGCAAUUGACUAUUAUAGUUACUAUGAAUUUCGAUUUGAGUCCGACAAUUGACUAUUAUUGUUACUAUGAGUGCCGGUUCGAGUCCGGCAAUUGACUAUUAUUGUUACUAGAGUUUCGGUUCGAGUCCGGCAUUUGACUAUUAUUGUUACAAUGAGUUCUAGUUAGAGUCCGGCAUGUGAUUAUAGUUGGGGUUACUCUGAGUUUCGGUUCAAGUUCGGCAUCUGAUUAUUUAUGUUUACUUUCAUCACUUGUGUGUCCCACCGGCUUAUGGGGGUACGGUUGGGUUAAUGGUCUUCUUCAGUGUGCCUAGCGGGCUUAUGGGGGCUCAGUUAGGUUAUGUUUGAUUUAAUUAUUGUUACUGCAUUAUUAUUUUUUUGUAUCGUACAAGUUUAUUCCUUUACAGUCGUUGCAUAGCUUAGUAGUUGUUUACCUUCCAUCCUUAUUUACUAAUAACUCAGAUUACGUCCUUGCAUUGUAGUUACACCUUUACUGUAUUAAGCUCAGUCGGUCGAUGAUGCCUACUGAGUACCCGUGAUUUUUGGUACUCAUACUAUACUUGAGCAUCUUUUUCCUGAUGCUGAUCUAGGUACUAGCUGUCGGCGUUGACGUGGUUCCUACCUUUCAGUGCUAGUUUAGAGUGAGGUGAGCUUACUGUCGUCCGAGGAUGACCCUCCUCUAUCUACUCUAGUUAGUUUUUUUCACUUGAGACUACUUGUGUACAUUUUAGAUUUUUUUUUUAGUACUCUGGGUACCCGUUAGUAGUGGCUCUAGUACUGACCUUAUCAGGUCUUGGGAGGGAUUCAUUUGAAUAAUUGGUCCUUUUUCCUCCUCUCGUUUUGAUAUAAUACAUAUGCUUUCUUCUUAGUUUUCACUUAUUAUUGUGGUUUUUAUUAUCAUACGUGAUCUUUUAUUUUGUCUCUUCCUAUUAGCCCAUUACCUAUCAUUCCGGGCUAUAGUUUGUCUUGCAUACUGGUGGGAUAAGGUAGGCACCAUCACGACUUGAGAUAUCGGGUCGUGACAAAGGGGUGGCUUUUGGGGAUACAGUGCAGGAUUAAACAAAGGGCAGAAGCAAUUUUCAAGUUCCACCCUUAUGCAAUAUUCAUAUCAAAAGGAAACAGUCAGAUUUAUUGCAACCAGCUAGAAUUUCUGAAGACAGAAUCAUACACAAAUCAAGUGCUAAAAGAGAAAAGAGAACCAUUAUAAAAAUGUUCAAUGUUCAAGAAGUUGAAUCUUGAUCUUCUGCAGCAUCGCUACAACAUCUUUCAUGUUAGUCCUUCUUACCGGAGAUUCAGCACAACAAUCUAAUGCUACUGUGAGGAUUGAUGCCACAACAUCUAGCUCCUUCUGUAAGCCUUUACCUAUUGCUGCUACCAAGUUGGCAUCUACGACAUCCAUUACUGCCUUUGGGAGUGAGUAACUCACCCAUUGUUUCAAGCUAAGAUCUCCCUCAAACUCAUUAGGCUUUCUCCUAGUAAACGUUUCCAGCAACAUGAUCCCGUAACUGUAUACGUCGCACUUUCUUGACACUAGUCCAUCCAUUCCAUACUCUACAGUCAAACAAUUAAUUUAAAGGUGCAAUAGACUUUCUAGCUGGAAAAAAAAAAAGGAAAAUCAACAAAAAUAAGAGACGUACCCGGUGCAAUAUAACCUAGUGUUGCUAAGGUUUUAGUGUACAAAUCACCCUGAUCUUCACCAAGCAGUUUUGAAAUGCCAAAGUUGCUAAGGUGGGCAACCAUAUCCUCAUCCAGCAAGAUGUUACUAGGCUUCAGAUCACAGUGGAUCAUAGGCGACGAGCACCCAUGGUGAAGAUAUUCCAAAGCACACGCCACAUCUAUCAUUAUGCUUAGUCUCUGCUUGGUAUCGAGGAAGUAGUUGUGUGAAUACAAAUAUUUCUCAAGACUCCCAUUAGGCAUAUACUCGAGAACUAAAGCCUUGAAAUCAAGAUUGGAACAACUAGUAAUGACUUUUACGAGAUACCUAUGGUGAAGGCUAUGCAAAACUUCACAUUCCGUAUCAAACUCUUGAAUGCCGCAUCCAGUUGCAUAUUGAACACUUUAACUGCAAUGGUAGUUCCACUUUAGAGUAUGCCUUUGUAAACAGAGCAAAAACUUCCAGAACCAAUCAAAUUACUCUCACUAAGACCAUCCAUUGCUUGGAGCAGUUCAUAGUAUGAAAUUCUUUCUCGUUUCUUUGUAGCCAAUGAAUUUGCUUGUUGAGUAGCUCUUUUACCUCUUCUAUACCUUAUCCAUACAAACACAAAUAUGACAGGAACAAAUAAAAAGAUAUAGAACUAACAAUUUUUUUCCUGUUCGAUUUGUGCUUUGAUGAAGAUGGGCAUGAUGGGACACUAAAUCUUGAAGAACCACACAAUGCUUCAUUGUAGAUGAAAAAUUGACUCGAGAGGUUCUUGAAAGGACUCCCCAAGGGUAUUUUACCAUACAAUUGGUUUUCUGAAACAUUGAAAUACUUGAGGUAUUGAAGUUUCUCCAAAGACAUGGGAAUCAUUCCCGAAAUAUUAUUGUGAGAAAGGUCUAGGAAUUCUAAACCAACCAUGUUGCUCAUUGAGUCAGGUAUAGAUCCUUGAAACUUGUUGUGUCUCAAAGAAAGGAGUGCCAGAUUUUGCAAUCUUCCAAUUUAUCUAGGAAUUUCAUUUGAGAAUUGGUUCAUUGAUUGAUCGAUCUCUAUUACAGCCUUCUGAUUUCCAAUUUCUGGAGGCAAAGAACCUACCAUGUUGUUUGAUGAUAAGUCAAGAACCACUAGAUCCUGAAGGUUCCCUAUGCUUGGUGGUAUAGUGGAACUCAAUUCAUUGGAACCCAGAUGUAUCUCCCUAAGGAAGUAAUAUUUCCUAAACAAUUAGGAAUAGAUCCUGAAAGCUGAUUUUGACCCAAGUAAAUUUCACCCAAAUGCUGCAAUUUACAUAUAUGAUCACCAAUAAAUACUGUAAGUUUGUUGUUACUCAAUUUGAAGCACUAAAUGUUUCUCAAGUUUCCAAUUGUCGUGGGAAUCGAUCCAGCCAAGAUGUUCUCAGAAAGAUCAAGGUCUAAUAAACUGCUUAAGUUCCCAACUUCCUUUGGAAUUUGCCCAUUGAUUUUACAACUUCUGGCAUUAAAUUUUAUUAGAGAUGUGGAAAAGUUCCCGACAGAGACUGGAAGCAUGUUGUUUAGAGGGUUGAAAGAUAGAUGUAGAGUUGUUAAAUUUUUGCAAUUGGGUAAGGAAGUAAGGAAGCUUCACGAAGAGUCCCUGGUUAAAUUAUUUUCUCUCAUGUUUAGGAACCGUAGAUGAGUCAAAUAUCCAAGAGAGAUAGGAAUCAAGCCAGUGAGUUUGUUGUAUGAAAGAUCUAGAAUAGUAAGUUCUGAACAAUUGGAGAUAGAAUAAGGAAUAGUUCCAACAAGAUUGUCGAAUGAAAUACAAAUCUCUUCAAUGUUGGGUAAGUGUAACGCCUCGAUUUUCUGAACUGAAAUGCUACACGGUGCUCAUGACCCCGAAGGACCACAAGCUCCCAUGACUAAUAUCUGUACCUAUAAACUGCAUAAUAUCUCAUAAAAUAUACGAAAACAUGAACUGUAAGGCCAUAAGGUUCAAUACUGAUACAUAUAUGAAAAACAUGGUAUAACAAUACCAAAAAGAAACAUAAAUACUGAAUUCUGAACAUCUAAUCUGAAAUCUAGUCCAAAAGCGUCUAACUGAACUGAAUAAAGAGUUGAAGGAACAUAUCUCCAACUAACUCCAUGAACUGAAAAACUAGUCUGAAAUACUGUAAUAAAGUAAUAAUAAUAUUGUCAUCGAAUGAAGAGGAGCACUGACUGCUGAAAUCUGCAAUGCUACUACUGCUCUGAAACUCGUACCUCUGUACCUAUGGAGUCAAAUAAAACACCAUAGCGCGAAUGCAUCAGUACGACUGAAUGUACUGAGUAUACGAGUGAGGAAGGCUAAGUGCAAAGGGUUUUAUAUGCAUGAGCAAUGCUGACUAUAUAAAUGUGAGAAUACAUACAUACAUAUGUAACUACAACUAAAAUUGUGGUGAUACUAACUACUGAGUCUGAAUACUGAAAACAUGAGUUUACUGAUGCUGAGAUACUGAAUGACUAAGUUUACUGAUAUUGGUAUGUAAUUCACUAAUAAGUGAGGAACUGAUACUGUAUUACUAAAACUGGGAGACUGAUACUAUAUUACUGAUAAAGGAAUGAUUGUUUCUGAUAGUUUUGAUUAUGAGAACUGAUUUAAUUGACCGUAUAUAACAGUUCUGAAACUGAGUUCGUGAUAACACGACUACUGAGUAUGAAUACUGAUGACAUGUAUUUACUGAUAACAUAUCAUGAAUGAUAACUGAAUUCUGAUAACUGAUAUAUCUGAUAACAUGAGUUCUAAUAACUGAUAGCAUGAAUGACUGUAUCUGAUAGUCCUAAAUCGAUGGAACUAGAUGAGUUCCGCACUGUAUCUGAGUUGACUGUAUCUGACAGUCCUGAUAUCCUAAAGAACUAUUUCAGUUCUUUUACUGAGACUAAUAUUGAAACUAUGGGAAGUAGUUAUCUAACCGACAUGCCCCAAAUACGCUAUAAUAGCUAAGCUGGGGUCCAAUUUUUGCCCUGAUUAGAAGGGUGUCAAUAUCACACCAUUGGUAAGGACAAGCUGUGAGUGACCCUUAUCUGGCAGGUACUCUAAUGAGAACGGUGAGAACCCUCAUCUGACAGGUUAAGCCACCUCAUCUAACCUCAACUGACAGGUACUGAUGUCUCAACCUAUGCUGGCUACAUAGUUCUGAAAUGCAAGGACUACUUCUAAGAAUCACAACCUCUACUAGCAGGUGAGUUCCCAUCCUUGAGUUCGCUCGGUGUUGAAUCCUACUCCCAAAUGAGUGACACUGAACUGAUUAUAACUUUUUGAAUAUUUUAAACUUUGAGAGAUGCUAUAUGUUAAUGGAAAGAUCUUUUAGUCUUCUUUCUAAUGAAAUUGGUUUCAUCCAAAUCCAACAUUUGAGUAAAAAUAUAUGAUCAAUUUACUACAUCCUAUAAAAACUGUCAAUAGAGGGACAACUUCGUCUUUUUUUUCAUAAGGGUAAUUUGGUCAUCCUCCACCCCUAUAAACACCCCAAACACGGGAUUAAGGCUCAUUUGAAGCAAAAUAUACUCUUUUCUUCCAUUUUCUCUCAAGAACUCAAGAUAGGGUUUCCAUAGAAGAUCCAAGUUCAAGCAAUUCUCUCCGUCAAUCUUCCUAAAAUCAAGAACUAAGGUAUGCAUAGUGUUCAUCCAUGCAUUCCUUUCAUAAAUCAAGAACUAAGGUAUGCAUAGUGUUCAUCCAUGCAUUCCUUUCAUCCAUGGAGCUCAAGAAUCAAGUUUUAAAUCAUGUAUUGUGAAUACUUUGUUCUGUUAUGAUUAUGUUAAUGUUUAUAGUUGUUGUAUGGUUUCAAGUUAGGAUCUUUAUGUAUUUCCAUGAAACUAUGUUAGCCUAUAAAUUGAAAUAUAUGAAUUAUGUUGUUUAUGUUGUGGAUUGUUGAUGAUCAUGUUGUUGAUGUUGAAUGAUUCCCAAGUUGAAAUCUUUUUGUGUUAUUAUGAAUCUAUGACAUCAUAUGAGUUGGAAAUAUAUAAAUUUGGUUGUCUAUAAUGUAUAAUUUAAUGAUUUCACCUAUGCCUAAGAUGUGCAUGUAAGGUGUUUGAUAAAAUGCCUAAGCAACUAGAAAUCAUGCAAUAUAGCUAACUUGUGACUAAGUGAAAGAAUUCAUGAUAUGCCCUUAUAUUCCAAUGACUUCCAUGUUGAUACUAUGUCUUGUAAAUGUUGUUGGAUUUCUCAUGAACUAGUCUUAUGAGAUUAUGCUAUGCUUACUUGCAAAUACUACUUAUGCACAAGAUGUAUGAUAAAUAUGUAUUCCAUGAAAUCCCCCAAGUUAUGGUAUUAUAGAUUGUUAAUGUUGAUUAUGUACUCAAGAAUGUUAAGUCAUGUCAGUUUCCUUCCAUCGAGUCCUGGGGGUACUUGUACCCGAAAAAUAUAGUUGUGUGCCUAGAGCCAUGUCAUGUUUUCAUGAUACUCUCAGUCAAGCCAUGUUCAGUAGACUUCAGUCAGUCUCAUGACUCAGGAAAACUCAUGUAAAGGCAGUACCAAUUCAGUUUUACUCAGUACUCAGUAAUCUACAUAAUCUCAGUAAUAUUUCGUAAGUUUAUGGAAUUUAGUAAAUCUCAGUAUCAGUACAGUAUAGUUUAGUAUUCAGUUCAGACAUCAGUAAACUCAGUCAGCUAACAGAACUCAGUAGCAUUUAGUCAGUUAACAGAAUUCUGUAGUGUUCUGCUAGUCAUCGGAACUCAAUAAACUCAGUCCAUGUUCAGUUCAGUCAAACAGAACAAUCAGUAAUAGUUUAGUUAAGUCUAGUAUAAACUAGGAAAUCAGUUCAGUAUAAUCAGUUCAGUGUCAUUCAGUUGGGAGUAGGAUUCAACACCGAGCGAACCCAAGGAUACGAACUCACCUGCCAGUAGAGGGUAUGAUUCUUAGAAGCAGUCCUUGCAUUCCAGAACUAUGUAGCCAGCAUGGGUUGAGACAUCAAUACCUAUCAGUUGAGGGUAGAUGAGGUGGCUUAACCUGUCAGAUGAGGGUUCCCACUAUUCUUAUUAGAGUACCUGCCAGAUGAGGGUUACUCACAGCUUAUCCUUACCAGUGGUGCGGUAUUGACACCCUUCUAAUCAGGGCAGAGAAUAGACCCCAGCUUAGCUAUUAUAGCUUAUUUGGGGCAUGUCGGUUAGAUAAAUACUUCCCACAGUUUCAGUAUCAGUCUCAAUAAAAGAACUCAGAUAGUUCUUCAGGAUAUAUGGACUGUCAGAUACAGUCAACUCAGAUAGAGUUCGGAACUCAGCUAGUUCCAUCAGAUUUAAGACUGUCAGAUACAGUCAUUCAUGCUAUCAGUUAUCAAAACUCAUGUUAUCAGAUAUAUCAGUUAUCAGAAUUUAGUUAGCAUUCAUGAUAUGUUAUCAGUAAAUACAUAUCAUGAGUAUUCAUACUCAGUAGUCAUGUUAUCAUGAGCUCAGUUUUAAGACUAUUAUAUACGGUCAAUCAAAUUAGUUCUUCAUAAUCAGAGCUAUCAGAAACAAUCAUUCCUUUAUCAGUAAUAUAGUAUCAGUCUCCCAGUAUUUAGUAAUACAGUAUCAGUUCCUUACUUAUUAGUGAAUUACAUAUCAAUAUCAGUAAACUCAGGCAUUCAAUAUCUCAAUAUCAGUAAACUCAGUCAUUCAGUAUCUCAGCAUCAGUAAACUCAUGUUGUCAGUAUUCAAACUCAUUAUUCAGUAUCAACACGAGUUUAGCUGCAGUUACAUAUGUAUGUAUGUAUUCUCACGUUCAUAUCAGUCAGCAUUGUUCAUGCAUAUAAAACCAUUUGAUUUAGUCUACCUCACUCGUAUACUCAGUACAUUCAGUCGUACUAAUGCAUUCGUGCUAUGGUGUUUUAUUUGACGCCAUAGGUACAGAGGUAUGAGUUUCAAAGCAGCAGUAGCAUUACAGAUUUCAGCAGUCAGUGCUCCUCUUCAUUCGAGGACAAUAUUAUUAUUACUUUAUUACAGUAUUUCAGAUUAGUUUUUUAGUUCAUGGAGUUAGUUGGAGACAUGUACAUUCAACUCCUUAUUCAGUUCAGUUAGAGGCUUUCGGACUAGAUGUCAGAUUAGAUGUUCAGACUUCAGUAUUUAUGUUUUUUUUGGUAUUUUUAUACCAUGUUUUUCAUAUAGGUAUCAGUAUUGAACCUUAUGGCCUUACAGUUCAUGUUUCCAUAUAUUUUAUGUGAUAUUAUGCAAUUUACAGGUACAGAUAUCAGUCAUAGGUUAGCUUGUGGUCCUUCGGGGUCAUGAGCACCGUGUAGCGUUUCAGUUCAGAAAAUCGGGGCGUUACAAUAUGAAGUGGGGUGGGGUGGUUUAGGAAGAUGAUACAAGGUGGGGGGGGGUUUAUUAAUAUUUUUUAUUUAAAUUAAUCAUAUAAAAAUUAUUUUUAUAAAAAUGACAAGUGUCUUUUUAUAAUUGGUCCUUUUUUAUAUGUUUUAGUGUUUUUUCAAAAAAAAAAUUAUAGGUGGAUAUAUUGAUGUGGCAAUUUAAAUAAGUUGACACAAAUUAAUUGGUCGUUUGUUCACGUUGGCAGCGAGUGAGACACACUUACUGGUGCUGGUAUCGAAAGGUGUCAAAGUGACACGCUUUAUAGCUUCUUGAGGUGCAAAAAGUGAACAACGUCCAUUUGAGGUGUCUAAGUGAAAGUUCGUGCCAAGUUUAGAGGGUCACCGAUGGGUUUGGCCUAAAAAAUAACUCACUUCUACCCUUAAUUAUCCGAUUUCUCUCUAAAAGAAAUUAUAUUUCUCAGUUUUCUUCUACUCCAAAGUAGUGAAAGGUUGAAUUUUCGUCGAUCAAGUAAGCUAUUAUCUAAAAAAAUUUAUUUUUUGGUGUAUGUUAAAAAUAUGAAAUUAUUUUUUUCUAGUUAGUGUUUCAUAGUAGUUUUCGAUUAAGGUUUUGAGGAGACUUACAUGCACAACUACGUUUCUUAUUAUAAUUAACGAGGUAAGAAAUUACAAUUUAGGUUAGGGGCGUGCAAAAAUCAAACCGAUAAAAAUGUUAUUGAUUUAUCGUUAUAGGGUUAAUGAUUUUUUAAUGAUUUUAUAAAAAAAAAAUUAUUGGAUCAUUGAUUCUAUUUUGAUUUUUAUUAUUGGAUUAUCGAUUAAACCGAUAAUCCAAUAAGUUUAUGCUAAAUUAUUAUUAUUUUAUAUAUAUAUAUAUAUAUAUAUAUAUUACACCCAAUAAGUAGGAUUUUGGUUGCGACUAAGAUUCGAUUUCUUUUAAUGUUAGUUACUACUUUUUCUAUUUUUUUAUUUUAUGAGUAUUUUUUUAUCGGUUAAAUCAAAAAUUAAAUCUUUAGAGACUAAAAAUCGAUAAUCAAUAUAACUACAUUCUCUUUAUUAUAAGUAUGAGUCUUAAUUUCUUUAGUAUUUAUUAAAAUAUCUGCGUUGAUAUUUAGUACAGUUUUUUAGUUACAAUAACUCAUAUGAUAUGUAUAAUUAAGAUUACAAAAUUGAAAGAGUUUCAUAUGAAUGGAAACUGAAGUUUUAGAUUGGAUUAAUAAACAGAUGAAUUUUCUUUUUAGAUUAAUAAAUGGAAUUUUUACAAAAUUAAUAAAUGGAUGAAAUUUCUAUUUCAUAAUGUAAUUAAUAAACUGGAGUUUUAAAAAACUAAUAAAUGGAUGAAUUUUUUUUUAGAUUGAAAGUAAUGGAGGAAGAGGGAUAGUUAAAUUUUUUGAAAAAAUUAAAGAAAAAUGAUUGUUUUUCUAUUUUUAAUCAUGAAAAAUGUUGAUUUGGCCCAAAAAUACUCCAUCACGCGCGUGAUGGAUUUGGCCCAAAAAAUACUCCAUCACGCGCGUGAUGGAGUGUGACUACAAAUAUUUUGCCACAUCAGCAAAAAACGGCCACACGACCUACUAAAACAACAAGUUCAGAAGGGUACUUAGAACAAGUCAAAGUUGAGGUGUAACAUGAAUAAAACUUGACAAGUUCAAGGGUAAUAGAUUCUUCUCUCUAUAUUAAAUAUACAUGCUUGGUAUGGCCGGGAAAAGGUCUCGGUUUCUGGGGACGUUAAGUCAUAUAAUAAUCAUAGUGAGUCAGCACAAUACAUAAAUAAAAUUGCACCAGAGAGACAACAGUUGUAAACAAGAGCAUUUCAAACUGCAAUGUUUUACCAUUCUAAUCAUUUGAUGGUCUGCUCCCAAUAUAACAGAACCGGAGCAGGUCUCAUGUUCCAAACACUCCAUUCUUUCGUUAUCUUUCCUCCAGUCUAACUAAAUAACACUUGUUCUAACUUCAUGUUCUCUGAGGCCUCUGGUUUGAAAGCAAAUGUAGAUAAGAGUCGAGUCUAUUCUGGUGGGGUAAAUGACCAUACCAAAAGAAGUAUCCUAGCUCUGCUUGGCUAUGAGGGUAGUGAGCUUCCUUUCAAGUAUAUAGGUAUUUCAUUAUCCAUUAAAAUACUCACCGUUCUGCAACGCAAACCCCUACUGUCAAAGAUUACUGCCAAGAUCAAUACAUAGAUGGUCAAAUUCUUAUGAUGCCAAAGAAAGCAAUCAAGUUGAUAGAGGCUAUCCUGGGGAAGCUACAAUAACAAGGAAUUCUGUUUGGCCCGAUCACCCUACGGGAAUGACUCUCCUUUUCCUAAUAUGAACCUUGAGUCAUCAAAGCCUUUCUGACCAGCCUGGCCCGAUCACCCUACGUGAUUGGUGCUUCAAAAGACGAAACUCUCAAUCGUAGUUUGGUAGGCCACUCUAUGCGACUGGAACUUCAAAAGACGAAACUUUCGAUCGUAGUUUGGCGACCUAUCUUUAGUAGGGCCUUUAGUCUUUUGAUUAGAGUAGGGGUUGCAAAAAAGCAGAGCGUGCCACUUAGCCAUAGUCACUCAAAAAAUAAAUGAAAUGCCUAGUAACUGAACUAUCAGCUCCAGCAUGUCAUAAAUGACUUGAGGUAGCUAUGAGAAAGAUAUAAAUGGCCAAAUAGUGCAAAAUUUAGAAAAUAAGCUGGAGUGUCAUUAAAACCUUCAACAUGGAGCCUUCCUCUUUUGAACGGUCUUAGAAUGAGAUAAGACAUAGAAAUAUAGAAUUUGCUAAAACUUACAAAUAUAGAAUCUAUACGUUAAAAGGAAGCUAAUGAUACCCAUAUCAUUUAUAUUUAAGAUGGGUCGAAAAUGAGUUAAAAAAAACAGUCUAAAAUGAAAGGACUAAAAUCAGAAUUUUAUUUUAGAAAUAUGUUACCAAGAUUAUAGGAGUCUAAGUUGAAAAUUCAAGUGAAAACGAGUAAAAAAUGAGGCUUAAAUUGAAGGGGAAAAAACCAUUUUAAAGCUUUACUGAUAAAAGUUCUCGUAUUCUAGUUUGAAAUCAUGAUUAAAAGGCAUUUUCAAAGAUAUAAUCAAUAGAAAAUGAAAGAACAAUGAAUUAGAAUCUUACCCAAGCAAGAAUAGUGAGGAAAAAUCCUAGAAAUCGCCUAUUCCUGAAGCUCCAAGUUCAAAAAAUGUUGGAAAUCGCGAAAAAAAAAGAAGCAUUUAUACUGUUCAGUGAAUAAUACUUUGUGAUCGCAAUUCCCACCUCGCGAUCGCGAAGGUGAACAUUCACUAGAACUUAAGUUGGCCACCGUAGAGAGAGACUUUACGACCGCGAUGGUCAAACCCGACUCGGUCCAUCAAUUUACCUAUUGCGAUUGCGGCACCACCACCACGCAAUCACAAUGAAGGAGAUCAUCGAUGUUUGCGGUCAUGACAUGUGUUCAUGCAAUCAGGAUGAAGAACCUGAUGCACCAGAAAAUGCAACAUCAUCAGAUUUUCCAAGUAAAAGAAAUCACUUCGAACGGUCCCUCUCGGGACCCCACAGAAACAAAUCAUAACUGUAAAAGAUUCUGAAUAUUAACCAACCCCUCUACUCACCCAAAAUUGAUGUUCUGUAUCUAAUGAAAAUGUCCAAAUCGCCGUUAGAUACUCAAAUCAUAAAAUAUUGAUUGAAGUCAAAUUCAUGGCUUUCAAAGACUCUAAAAGUCUCCAACUCUGAAAUCAUUUCAGAAUGCAUGGGAGAUUGUGCUAACCAUCCCCACACCUCACAAUCUGCUUGUAACGACUGUGAGAAAAGCCACAAUAAUCAAAACGUACACAUAAAAAUUGAAAAUUUUACAUAGCAGGUUGUUACAAGUAGCAGGGUUAGUAAUUCUAGGACUGCGUCCACAGGUAGGAGACUCUAGCAGGAGAAUUUGGGUGGGGUGGGUGUCUUUAGGCUUGUGAUUGUAUGUUACUACUAGGUGGGUGUCCUAUUUCUUAUUUCUUACUUCCUAUUUCGUAUUUAGUAUUGCUCGUAUUUCUCUUAUUUAGUAUUGCUCGAUCAGGAGGUAACGGGUUCGAGCCUCUGAAACAGUCUCGUACAGAUAUGCAAGGUAUGGUUAUGUACGAGCUAGAACUUUGUUGACCAGGCUGCCCUUCUAUUGGCUUCAACAACAAUUACUUUCCUCAUAAAUCUGUUAUAGUUCUCUGAGUUUACGCCCCUUGUACAGUCAAACAGUGAGAUUUAUUGUAACCAUCUAGCAUACCUGAAAGCAAUUAAUUUAUAUAAUAUUAAGAGGAAUUAACACCUUGCAAACAAUAAUACUAAGAGGAAACAGUGAGAUUUAUUGCAACCAUCUAGCAUUUCUGAAACAAAUCAAGUGCUAAAACAAAACAAAACAACAAUCAUGUGAUUUGGAACAACAGAUUCCAAAUACAUGCUCAACAUGCAAGGAGUUGAAUCUCGAUCUUCUGCAGCAUCCCUACAACAUCUUUCAUGUUUGUCCUUCUUGCCGGAGAUUCAGCGCAACAAUCUAAUGCUACUUUCAUGAUCGAAGCCACAACAUCUAGCUCCUUCUGUAAGUGAUUACCCAUUGGUGUUACCAAGUUGACAUCUACAACGUCCAUUACUGCCUCUGGGAGUGAANNNNNNNNNNNNNNNNNNNNNNNNNNNNNNNNNNNNNNNNNNNNNNNNNNNNNNNNNNNNNNNNNNNNNNNNNNNNNNNNNNNNNNNNNNNNNNNNNNNNNNNNNNNNNNNNNNNNNNNNNNNNNNNNNNNNNNNNNNNNNNNNNNNNNNNNNNNNNNNNNNNNNNNNNNNNNNNNNNNNNNNNNNNNNNNNNNNNNNNNNNNNNNNNNNNNNNNNNNNNNNNNNNNNNNNNNNNNNNNNNNNNNNNNNNNNNNNNNNNGAGAACACCUUUGUAAACAGAGCCAAAACAUCCAAAACCAAUCAGAUUACACUCACUAAGGUCAUCCGUUGCUUGGAGCAGUUCAUAGUAUGAAAUUCUUUCUCGUGUUACCGUAGAAAAUGACUCAGCUUGUUGAAGAGCACUUUUACCUCUUCCAUACCUUGUCCAUAGGAGCACAAAGGCCAUAGUAACAAAUACAACUGCAAUUACGAGCAAAAGAAAAAGAACUAGCAAUUUUUUCCUAUUUGAUCUGUUCUUUGAUGAAGUGGGGCAUGGCAGGACACUAAAUCUUGAAGAACCACACAAUGCUUCAUUGUAGAUGAAAAACAGACUCAAGAGGUUCUUCAAAGGACCUCCCAAGGGUAUUUCAUCAUACAAUUUGUUGACAGAAACAUUGAAAUACUACAAGUUUUGAAGUUUCUCCAAAGACUUAGGAAUGAUUCCAGAUAUAUUGUUAUGAGAAAGGUCUAGGAAUUCCAAUCCUACCAUGUUGCUCAUUGAGUCAGCUAUAGCUCCUUCUAACUUGUUGUGUCUCAAAGAAAGAUACGCCAAAGUUUGCAAGCCUCCAAUUUCUCUAGGAAUUUCAUUUGAGAAUUGAUUCACUGAUAGAUCUAUCAGUGUCGCAACCUUUAGAUUUCCAAUUUUUGGAGGUAAAGAACCUACCAUAUUGUUUGACGAUAAGUCAAGAACCACUAGAUCUUGAAGGUUCCCUAAGCUUGGUGGUAUAUUGGAGCUCAAUUUAUUGGAACCCAGAUGUAUCUCCCUGAGGGAAGUAAUAUUCCCUAAACAAUUAGGAAGAGAUCCUAAAAGUUAAUUUUGACCCAAGUAAAUAUCACCCAGAUGCUGCAAUUUACAUACAUGAUCUCCAAUAAGUCCUGUUAAUUUGUUGUCACUCAAGUUGAAGCGCUGAAGGUUUCUCAAGUUGCCAAUUGAUGUUGGAAUCGAUCCGACCAAGUUAUUUCCAGAAAGAUGAAGGUCUAAUAAACUGCUAAAGUUCCCAACUUCAUUUGGAAUUCGCCCUUUGAUUUUGCAAUUUUUGGCGUAAAAUUUUCUGAGAGAGGUGGAAAGAUUCCCCGUGGCGGCUGGAAGCAUUCCAUUUAGAGUGUUUAAAGAUAGAAAAAGAAGUUUUAAAUUUCUGCAAUAGGUUAAGGAAGUCAGGAAGCUUAAUGAUGAAUCGCUGGUCAAAUUGUUUCCCUCUAAAUUUACUAAUUGUAGAUGAGUCAAAUAUCCAAGUGAGUUGGGAAUCAAGCCAGUGAGUUUGUUGCCUGAAAGUUCUAGAAUAGUAAGUUUUGAACAAUUGGAGAUGGAAUGAGGAAUAGUCCCAACAAGAUUGGUUAAGUUCCUCAGAUAAAGCUCUUCAAUGUUGGGUAUGACAGAACACAUGUUUGGUGGGAGGGUUCCUGAUAGACUGUUGACUGAAAGAGAAAUCACUGUCAGCCUUGAUAUGUUGAAGAUCUCCAUAUCAAGUGAACCACUAAAUCUAUUAUACGGAAGAUAAAGUUCCUCCAACUCAAUGAGAUUGCUUAUCUCUUUGGGUAUUUCACCUGGAAACACACAUAGUGGAUUACUAGUGAGUUGGUUCAAUCUAUUUUUGCAAAGAUAUAAGAGUUGCAUCUUGUUUAAGUUGUCAAUUUCCCAUGGUAGAGUCCACUAAGAUUUUAACAUUUAUAUUGUUGACCAUACGAAAGUAUUAAAAGAAAAAAGAAAAAAAAUAAGUAUAGAAGAUAAAAACAUACCUGUGAAAUCAUUUUUCGAUAAAAACAAUUCUGGAAGUUGUGAACAAUUUGAUAAGCUUGUAGGAAUAUGACCAUGAAGCUUGUUUCUCACUAAAGAAAGCCCUUUGAGUAUUGGGAGACCAUUUCAUAUAAGUUUCAAUGUCUAUUUGUGCACAUCUAAAGUUGGAGGUCAUAGAUGUGAUAUGAAGACAAGUUAAGGAUAUGUUUAUUGUCUAUAUUUUACAAGAAAUUUUAAGAGUAGUUUCGUAUGAACUUUCUUCUAAUAAAAGAAUAUAUAAAAUUGUAAAAGAUCAAAAAUGUACCAAGCCUUGCAACUGUAAAUGUGGUGUCAAAUUUAUUCCUCUAAUCAGUCCAAAAGACUUCCAAGUUGCAUUCUACAAAAGUAAUGUAUAUUAACUAUAUAGAGAAUUUUAUGUGAUAGUAUAAUUAAUUAAUUCUAUUUUCUUUUUAGGUAAUAUAAAACACUGUCAAUUUUAUUUUUAUAAAAAAUUAAAGUCAUAAUACAUAAACAGAACCUUUAAUUUGACACCAAAUUAUAACUAUACCCUUUAACUUUGCUAGUGUAUAAGUAAGCCCUAUAACUAUAUAAAAGUUGAACAAAAAAACACUACAAUUUUGCAACUUACAAUCGUGAAACUCAAUCGCUCCUGUGUGGAUUAGUAAUCCACUCAGCUGCCACCUAAUGAAAAUGACACAUUAUAACUAUGACCUUUAACUUUUCCUGCACAAGUAGGUCUUUUAACUAUACAAAAGCUGAAAAAAAAACACUUCAAUUCUAACUCUGACGCACGUGGUUUUGAGUGUACACAGGCAAUCUUUCAAGGAUUUUUAUCUCCAGAAUUUGAAGAACUAGUAGGUGAUAUUUAAUUUCCAUAAAAUGGGCAAAGAAUGCAAUUUUAGACUUGACUCGCCUUUUCCUUGUUCUGUAGCAAUCUUAUAAUUAUUAUUGUCCUGUAGAUACUGAUUACUUAUAUAUUUAUAAUAUACGCUAAGCUCAAUAUGCUAAAUUGUGCUAAAGUAUUAAUUUCUUGCUAAUGGAGUUUGACGCUUUAAGAACAAAACAAUGCAGUUGGAAAGGAGAGAGGAGAAAAUUUUUGAUGAUGAAUUAUGUAUGAAUCUUGAACUGAAUUUGAAAAAUGAUUUUUGUUUUUAUCGCACUAAAACAAUUUCGCGUAAACUCUUGAUUACUUAUAAUGUUCCUCUCAGCACUAGUGCUAAAUGGUCCAUCUUACACAACUUUAACGCCCUGCAAUUCAGGCUACAAUAUAGACCAUGAUUUCGAUGCGUUGCUAAUCCCAAAGCCAUAAAUCCUAUGCCAAUAUAGCAUGUUAAUUAUUGUGUAGUAGGUGAAUCCGCUCAAGCUUGAAUUUAGACCAUAGAGGUCCUUCAACUCAAGGACGAGUUGAAACUAUUUCGAUCGACUAAGUUUUAGUCGACGUUGUAAAGUGUGUCAGCUUCCAUAGACCAUAACUCUCUUUAUAUAUUGAAUUAGGAAGCCUACUAUGUGUCAAAUGAUAGGUAUUCGAGUUAUCUUUCCAACGAUACCAAUUUGGCUAAAAUCCGACACCCGAGCAAAAAGUUAUGGCCUUUCAAAUUGAUAAGCGUCGCCUAACAAAUCGCCCAUGGCCACUGGAAAGCAUAGGCAAUAGACUAGGCGGCGCCUAUGUAAACAUAGGCAAUAGACUAGGAAGCGCCUAUGCACACAUCUGUGAACAUAGGCGAUAUCCUAGGCGGCGCCUAUGUGAACAUAGGCAACGGGAUGGGCGGCGCCUAUGUAAGGAAUUCUAGUGAUUUAAACACUCCGUGUUGAGGACAAAGUGGUCCUUUUCCACCCUUACUUAGCCCUAAAACACGAGAUUUAGUUCCAAGGACCCCAAAAUACAUAUUAUUUCAUCAAAAGUGCUCAAGAUUAUUCUUAGGGUUUCAAAAUAAAAAACCCAAAUAGAUCAAGAUUUCACCGUAGGUUUUCAAAGAUAAUUACAUAUUUGGAAUCAACAAUCCGCAAGCUUCAAGAAACACCUAAUAUCCUUGGAAAUAGAGGUAUGUGGGGUUAUUCAAAAAUCUCAUGGGUGUAAUUUUUAUUAACAUGCAUGCUUUUAAAUGGGGGUUUUCAAUCAAAUGCUAAUAUCUUGCUUUUAAUACGAUUUCUAAGUCGUUUUCUUUAUGUCAUGGGAAUUGUUUGCCUAUAUACUUCAAUGGUUGAAACCAUGCAUAUGUGAUUUGAAAUUUUCCAUGGAAGUUUGAUAAAUAUGAAUGAUAAAUUGUUUUCAAAUUCCCAUGAUAAUGUUUCGAUACUCCAUAUUAUAUUGUGAUCAACAAAAGAGAGCAUGAAUUUGAAAUUACUAUUGCUCACCACUUGUAAAUGAUGAAGCACCUUGGUUUUUACAUUAUUAUGCAUUUGUGUAUUUGAUAUUGAUGACUUGCAAGUUGGGUAUGACGAUACCCUACACAAUAUGACAUGUGAUUGAAUAAGAUGAAAUUUGAAUGCAUUGAUUUCACAUGAGAAAGGUGGAUGCCCGAAGAAGGCAUUUGAUACACAAGGGCUCAUCGCUGGAAAAACGGUUUUGCCGACACAGAAUAUUGGUACCAGGCUAAGUGAUCUUGUGUACUUGACUUCAUGUCAUUCCCAAAUUGGGACUAUAGGUAGGAGCAGGAGCCAAGUGAUCUUUGGCACUACCAUUGGGUCGAUACACCAUGCUGUGUGAUCUUGUGUGUCUCUCCCUCACUUAUACUCUAAUCUCGGUGGCAACCAAGGUUUGCAAGUUGGUGUAAAUUAUGUAGGGUAUUCCACCUAGCUCAGUUGUAUUUCAUUACUGUUGGGAAAAACUAUUGCAUUACACCCAUGUGCUUUCAAAUGAUUUGAUACAAAAUUGCUUUAUAAUGGCUCUCAACUAUAUUUUGUAAAAAUAUUAUGUUUUGCUUUGAUAUCUCUGCGUGCCAGUACUUUUGUACUGACCCCCUCCCCUCUCCAACCUCUCAUGUACAGAGGCCCAGUCUAGGGGUCAAGAGAACUAGUAGAUCAUUCAGAAAGAGUUGCAGAGACAAGUGGUGAGCCUUCGAUAUUUCGAAAGGUUUUAUUUCCUGCAGUCCUAUCAUCAUAUUCAGUUUUAGGGUCUGCUGGGGGCCUUGUCCCAGUUUUCAGAUAGACAUUGUUUCAGUCAUGUAGUAGAGAUUUCGCAGACGAUUUUUGAGAUGUUGAUUGAGAUUAUGGGACAUUAUUCCCCAUUAUUGUUUUCAUAUGAUUCUUGACCAUGUUUCCGUUAUAUUGUGUUUCUUCUGCAUUACUUCGAUCAUAUGAAUUAGGUGCAUGAUUACCAGAUAGAUAGGGGUGUUUUGGGCCUCCAUGGUUCGAAAUGCUCAUCACGGCCAGUCCUUGGUUCAGGUCGUGACAAACUUUAUAUCAAAACAUGGUUCAUGGUCCCAGGGUGUCUGCGAAAUUGCGUUAGGUAGAGUCUUGUUUAUAGGUGUUUAGCGCGCCAUACUUAUAAGUAGGACGCUGCUAGGCAUUUAGGAAAUAUUUCCCUUCUUUGUGAUUUAGUUCAUGCUUCAGAAUCUGAACUGUCCACUUAUCAAUGAUCACUUAUAUUUCAGAAACACAGUUAUGCCUCCAUGUCGUAUCAUCGAUCAGAAUGCUCAGGCUGAUGAGGUCCAUCCCACCCAUGGGAUGCGGACCCGUAAUAGGGCUCACACUUUUGAAUUUUUCCCUACUCCGAGAGUCCCUCCAGUCCCGACCAGUCCACCUCAGGCUCCGCGGACUAAUUCCAACCAUCCCCCAACUACUCAGGGACAUAUUUCAAAUGCAGAAUUCAGACGGUCUAUUCAUAUGGUGACACAGUUGGUAGCUAACCAGGCUCAAUGAUCGAAAGAUAUUGGUUCUGCAUCUGUUACAUCUGAGGCUAUUAGAGUCAGACAUUUCAUGAAGAUGAACCCACCUAAGUUCACUGUCACCAAGGUGGAGAAAGAUCCACAGGAGUUCGUGGAUGAGAUGGAAAAGAUCUUUAAGGUGAUGCAUAUGGAUGAGGUUGAAGGUGUGGAGCUAGCAACCUAUCAGCUCAAGGAUGUUGCAAAUCAGUGGUAUGCCGACUGGGAAGAUGAAAAAGGUGAAAGUGCUGAGCCCACAGUUUGGGGCAAAUUUGUGGAAGGUUUCCUUGAUCGAUUCUUUCCUCUGGAGUUGAGGGAGGCCAAAGCGGACGAGUUUAUGAAUCUGAAGUAGGGCAGUAUAAGUGUCCAGGAGUACACUUUGAAGUUUAAUAAACUAGCCCACUAUGCACUAGAGUUGAGUAGUAAUAUGAGGGCCCGGAUGAGGAAAUUUGCAUUUGGCCUUACUGAUGACCUUGUACUUGAGUUCCAGGGGGCUAUGUUGAAUAAAGAGUUAGACUUUGCACGACUGACCGUUCAUUUACAUCAAGUAGAAGUGAAGAAGAAAAGGAUUGCAGAAUCUAGAGAGAAAGACAGAUAGGCUAAGAGUUCUAGAUGUGUAGACUAGCACCAGAGUCAGUCGCAGAGUGGUAACUGGGGUAAUAAGUGGUCAAAGAAGAAGAAGUUUUGGAAUAAUGCAUAGUCAGAAGCCAGCGCCCCAGCACCCUGACCAGCGACAGACAGACAAACUCAGAGUUUUCAGACUCUUCAUGGGUCCAAAGCUCUAGGUACACAGUCUCAGGGCAGUGUGGCCCAACAGCAUUGUACUAGUCUGCUGUGUGAGGUUUGUGGAAGGAAUUAUCUAGAGAAGUGAUAGUUUGAGGGAAGAAACUGCUAUACUAGUGGCAAAGUGGGUCACCUUCAAAGAGAUUUUCCAUCUGCUGGAGUAACUGCGGGGGAGGGGGGGACUAAGUCCCAAGCCGCCUCCACAGCUCCUUUUCCUAAGGGUUCCCCUUCAACUGCCGAAAGCAGUCGCAACCGAUUAUACUGUUUGACUAAUCAACAGGAGGUGGAAUCUUCACCAGAUAUUGUCACCGGUAUCUUAUGAAUCUUUUCUCGUGAUGUUUAUGUAUUGCUUCAUCCCGGGUCUACUUUAUCUUAUGUGACCUCUUAUAUGGCUGUUGGUUUCGGGUUUGAGCCCUAAGUUAUUAUAGAACCCUUCUCUAUUUCUACUCCUGUAGGUGAUUAUGCUGUUGCUAGAAGGGUAUAUAGAAAUUAUGUCAUGUAUAUUCAUAGUAGGGAAACUGUGGCAGAACUUAUAGAAUUGGAUAUGAUAGACUUUGAUGCCAUCCUUGGGAUGGACUGGCUCCAUUCGUGUUAUGCCACACUUGAUUGUAGAACCCAAAAGAUCAAGUUUUGUUUUCCGAACAAGACACCAGUUGUAUGGGCAGGGAGUUUUAUGGAACCUAGAGGUCACUUUAUCUCUUAUCUUAGAGCCCGAAAGCUUAUCUCUAAAGGCUAUAUGUAUCAUCUAAUCCGAGUAAAAGAUUCAAAAGUUGGAAACCUUCCUCUGCAGUCAGUCCCUGUAGUGAAUGAAUUCCCAGAACUCUUUCCCGAAGAUCUCCCAGGGAUUCCCCCGAUAGGGAGAUAGAUUUUGGCAUUUAUGUGUUGCCAGACACUCAUCCUAUUUCUAUUCCGCCAUAUAGAAUGGCUCUCGUAGAACUAAAGGAGUUAAAGGAACAGCUUGUAGACCUCCUAGACAAAGGUUUUAUUCGUCCAAGUGUUUCCCCAUGGGGUACACCCGUGCUUUUCGUGCGAAAAAAGGAUGGGUCCCUUCGGAUGUGCAUAGACUACCGUCAGUUGAAUAAGGUCACAAUUAAAAAUCGACAUCCUUUUCCUACGAUUGACGACCUUUUUGACCAGCUUCAAGGUGCCAAGUUCUUUUCAAAAAUAGACCUUCGUUCGGGUUAUCAUCAGUUGGCAGUUAGGGAGUCAGACAUAGCCAAGACAGCCUUCCGAACCCGAUAUGAUCACUACAAAUUUCUAGCCAUGUCCUUCAGGUUGACUAACGCCCCAACAGCCUUUAUAGAUCUUAUGAAUACAAUGUUCUGUCAGUUUCUUGACUUGUUAUUCAUUGUAUUUAUUGAUGAUAUUCUGAUCUAUUCUAAGAGUAAAGAGGAUCACGCCAAUGUAACUCCCCGAAAAAUGGGUCCCGAAGCGUCACACGGUGCAUGAGGCUAUGAGUAGCCCCAAGCCAACCCUUUGAGCCAUUUUCAUUCAAUUCAACACAAAUCAACGGUGUUUCUAUAAGUAACCCUCAAAUAUAAAAAGAGUAAUCAUCAUUCAAGAAUAAAAGAAUUUCAGAAAGAUAACAGAAUAUGAAUUAUUAGUCAACUCCCAACAACUAUUCUAGUCUGACAAGCCUCUAAGAAAAUCAAUAAAGCCAGCGAGCCAUUGAGACAUGCCCCAACUGACUCAUACUCAGUUAUCAAAUGUAAAAAAUUUCGUGAAACCAACAUCAAACAUCACGUCCUCUGAACAUGAGGACUCACCACAACAUAGGAUGUAGAACAGCGUGCCCGAAGAAUCACUGUCGAAUCUGGAACUGAGCACCUGAACCUACAUUCCGAGAAAAUGCAGCCCAUAUCUGAAGAUGUAGGUCAGUACUAGGAAAAGGAACCGAGUAUAUGGGGGUGUAUGCAGUUGUAUAAACAUCAUCAUCAUAAAUAUUUAUAAGAAAUAUGCAGGAUGUAUGAAAGACUCGCAUAGCCUGAAGAAAAUCAUCCUAAUCAUUAGAGGAUGAAAUAAGUACAAUAACACAUGUGAGUCAUCAUAUAAUUUGUCAAUCAUUUUCAGUUCAUCAAGAAUAUCAAUUAUCAUAAUGUAAAUAUCAUUUAAAUCUUUCAAAAGAAUAACUUUCACAAUUCCACUUUCAAAUCGCUUCACCAUUCACCAUAGACACAAGGAAACACACACACACUGGGAGAUCCUAUAACCGACAUAAACCAUGUGAGCUACAUGGAGCCCAACGUACAACCCACGUUGGGGAGAGCCGUCCUAUCCUUNNNNNNNNNNNNNNNNNNNNNNNNNNNNNNNNNNNNNNNNNNNNNNNNNNNNNNNNNNNNNNNNNNNNNNNNNNNNNNNNNNNNNNNNNNNNNNNNNNNNNNNNNNNNNNNNNNNNNNNNNNNNNNNNNNNNNNNNNNNNNNNNNNNNNNNNNNNNNNNNNNNNNNNNNNNNNNNNNNNNNNNNNNNNNNNNNNNNNNNNNNNNNNNNNNNNNNNNNNNNNNNNNNNNNNNNNNNNNNNNNNNNNNNNNNNNNNNNNNNNNNNNNNNNNNNNNNNNNNNNNNNNNNNNNNNNNNNNNNNNNNNNNNNNNNNNNNNNNNNNNNNNNNNNNNNNNNNNNNNNNNNNNNNNNNNNNNNNNNNNNNNNNNNNNNNNNNNNNNNNNNNNNNNNNNNNNNNNNNNNNNNNNNNNNNNNNNNNNNNNNNNNNNNNNNNNNNNNNNNNNNNNNNNNNNNNNNNNNNNNNNNNNNNNNNNNNNNNNNNNNNNNNNNNNNNNNNNNNNNNNNNNNNNNNNNNNNNNNNNNNNNNNNNNNNNNNNNNNNNNNNNNNNNNNNNNNNNNNNNNNNNNNNNNNNNNNNNNNNNNNNNNNNNNNNNNNNNNNNNNNNNNNNNNNNNNNNNNNNNNNNNNNNNNNNNNNNNNNNNNNNNNNNUUUAAUAUAGGGUUUGGAUGGAUUUUGGGUGAGGGGGAAUGACCAAAAUGCCCCUAAAAAUUAAAAAAAUUCUCGAAUCUGUUCUUUGGUGGACUAUUUUGAUAGUCUAAAGUAGAUCAACCAUAACGUUUUACUCCGAUAUCCAAUUUGGAUGAAGCCAAUUUCAUUAGAAAGAGGAAUCUCAUAUAUUUCCAUUGAUAUAUAGUAUCUCACCCAGAUCAUUGUGUACGAGGAGUUAUGAUCGUUUGAAGUUGACCCAAAAAUUCACUUUUGAUAGGUUGAAGUAGAUUGACCAUAACUUUUUUCUCCGAUAGACAAAUUUGAUGAAACCAAUUUCAUUGGAAAGAGGACUCACAGAGAUUUAUGUUGAUAUAUAGUAGAUUACCCUGAUCAUUAUGUACAAGGAGUUAUGAUCAUUUAAAGUUGGAGCAAAAAUACGCCAUGCCUCAGUACUUUUUCCACGUUCUACUGUUCACUACUAUUCACGGUUCGAUCGGAAUUUUCAUAAUUCGUCGCUCGAGUGUCUGUUUUGGAUGAUCCAUAUAUCGUUGGAAAUCUUAUUCGAUACUCUACGCAAUGCUGGUUUAUAAUAUAAGACAUUCCAUAUGGAAAAUUUAUAAUUCAUUCUAGAAGAUAUAACCCAACACGUUUACGCAUAAAAUUUCAACGAAAAAUUUCCUGGGGUAUUACAUCAUCCCCCCUGGAAACUUUCAUCCUCGAAUGACGCUAGACAUGCUAAGAUUAGAUAGGGAAUAGAGUAUACAGCUGAAACCAUUCAUUAGACUCAUCACCAUAUCGUUUCUCACUCCGAAUGCAACAUAGAAAGCAUAAAUUCAAGAAACUACAGCUGAACACAUAAUAAAUGACAGCUGAAUUGCUGCAAAUUUUAUCAAAAGUGCAUGAUUUAGGAAAUAACGGUACCUUCGGUUUGAUCGGAGUUCGUGGAGAAUAGGUGCGGGUACUUGGAUCGUAUAUCCGCCUCAACUUUCCAAGUUGCACCCUCAACAGAUUGGUUUCGCCGCAACACCUUGACCAAGGAAACUUCUUUGUUCCUUAGUCUUCGGACAGUGAAAUCAAGAAUCUCAACAGGAAUCUUAUCAAAAGAAAGAUUUUCUUGAAUGUCAGCACUCAUAGAGGAAUCCACUACCACAGCAUCGCUAAUAUGCUUUCUAAGUAUGGAGACAUGGAAUAUUGGAUGAGCAGGGGACAACUCGGAAGGCAACUCGACCUCAUAAGCUACCUUACAAACACGGCUAAGAAUUUUGUAAGGACCAACAUAACGGGGACUAAGCUUCCCCUUCUUUUCGAAUCUCUUCACCCCUCUCAUGGGUGAAAUUUUUAGAUACACUAGGUCACCAACUUCAAAUUCAAGGUCUCUCUUUCUAACAUCCGCAUAUGACUUCUGACGACUCUGCGCAGUUUUCAACCUUUCCCUAAUCAACUUAACUUUUUCCAUAGCUCAAAUACCGAAUCAGGACCAUUCACAGCCGCUUCACUCACCUUGAACCAACCUAUGGGUGAUCUACAUUUCCUCCCAUAUAAGGCUUCAAAUGGAGCCAUGCCAAUACUAGAGUGGAAACUGUUAUUGUAAGCAAACUCUAUCAACGGUAAGUGGUCAUCCCAACCUCCCUUAAAGUCAAGUGCAAAAGCUCUCAACAUAUCCUCUAAGGUCUGGAUGGUCCGCUCAGCCUGACCAUCGGUCUGCGGAUGAAAAGCAGAACUCAAAAGCACUUGGGUACCAAGACCCUUCUGAAAAGCUUUCCAAAAUUGCGAAGUGAACUGAGCACCCCUAUCCGAAAUGAUAGACAAGGGAACUCCAUGCAGUCUGACUAACUCUCAGAUAUACAAUCUAGCGANNNNNNNNNNNNNNNNNNNNNNNNNNNNNNNNNNNNNNNNNNNNNNNNNNNNNNNCAAAUGGAAUCAUGAUGACGUCGGGAAGGAGGUAAACCAAUCACGAAGUCCAUAUUUAUCUCUUCCCACUUCCAGGUGGGAAUACUAAACUCUUGCAUCAUACCACCAGGUCUUUGGUGUUCAACCUUAACCUGUUGGCAUGUUGUACGCUUACCUACAAACGCUGCUAUAUCUUUCUUCAUGUCACUCUACCAAUAGAUUUCCCGCAAGUCUCGGUACAUCUUGUUAGGACCAGGAUGAAUAGAAUAUCGUGCCCCGUGCGCUUCAGCCAUAAUCCUCUGUCUCAUAUUAUUAACAUUUGGGACAAACAAUCUACCCUGCAAUUUCAACACACCAUCUCCCCCUUGGGAGAAAAUCUCUACUUUUUGGUCCUUGACUGACUCCUUCAGUCUGACCAAACUAGCAACUAAGUAUUGUUUUUCCUUCACUUCCGAAACCAAGGAGGAUUCAGAACUACUCUGAACCCCUAUACUACCUUCAGCAGAGUCAAACAACCUAACCCCCAAUCUAAGCAAAUGAUGUACAUCACGAGUCAGCUCUUUCUUACCUUCUAUCACAUAUGAAACACUAUCCAUGGACACUCUACUUAGGGCAUCCGCCACAACAUUGGCCUUGCCCGGAUGGUACAACACACUCAUAUCAUAGUCCUUUAACAAUUCUAACCAUCAUCUCUUUCUAAGAUUUAAUUUUCUCUGGGUAAACACAUACUGCAGACUCUUAUGAUCAGUGUAAACAUCAACAUGGACACCAUACAAAUAGUGUCUCCAGAUUUUCAAAGCAAACACAAUAGCAGCCAACUCAAGGUCAUGGGUGGGGUAAUUUUUCUCAUGGGGUUUCAACUGUCUAGAAGAAUAAGCUAUCACCUUACCCUUCUGCAUCAAUAGGCAACUCAACCCAACUCUCGAAGAAUCACAGUACACCACAAAACCAUCAACAGCAUUAGGCAAAGUUAAAACAAGGGCUGAAGUGAGUCGAGUCUUCAACUCCUAAAAACUCUUCUCACAAGAUUUGGACCACAAGAACUUUACUUUCUUUUGGGUCAACUGAGUCAUAAGAGACGAUAUAGAGGACAAACCCUCAACAAAAUGGUUGUAAUAUCUAGCUAAACCCAAGAAACUUUGGAUAUCAGUCGGAGAAAUAGGUCCAGGCUAAUUUCUAAUAGCUUUGGUCUUUUGGGGAUCAACUCUAAUACCCUCUAAAGAAAUGAUAUGACCCAGAAAACCAACUGACCUUAGCCAAAACUCACACUUACUAAAUUUGGCAAAAAACUUGUGAUCUCUAAGAAUUUGUAAGACAGUUCAGAAUGAUCAGAAUGUUCAUCCUCACUACGGGAGUACACCAGUAUAUCAUCGAUGAACACUAUGACAAACAUAUCCAGAUAUGGUCUGAACACUCGAUUCAUGAGGUCCAUGAAAGCUGCUGGGGCAUUAGUUAACCCGAAAGACAUAACAAGAAACUCAAAAUGGCCAUAACGAGUUCAGAAAGUGGUUUUUGGGAUGUUACACUCCCUAACUUUGAGUUGAUGAUAGCCGAAACGAAGGUCUGUCUUUGAGAAAUAACUUGCACCUUGCAAUUGGUCAAACAAAUCAUCUAUUCUUGGAAGAGGGUACUUAUUUUUAUGAUGAUUGUAUUCAGUUAGCGGUAAUCAAUGCACAUGUGCAAAGAGCCAUCUUUCUUUCUCACAAACAAUAUAGGAGCACCCCAAGGAGAAACAUUGGGACUUAUAAAACCCUUAUCUAGUAGAUCUUUGACUUACUCUUUCAACUCCUUAAGUUCUGUAGGGGCCAUACGGUAAGGAGAAAUAGAAAUGGGCUGAGUAUUAGGAACAAGAUCAAUCCUGAACUCUAUCUCUCUAUCAGGAGGUAUCCCUGGAAGAUUAUUCAAAAAGAUAUUAGAAAACUCAUUAACGAUAUUAACAGACUGGAGAGUUGGAGUCUUAGACUUAAUGUCUUUGAAUCUAACCAAAUGGUAAAUACACCCCUUGGAAAUAAGCUUUCUACCUUUGAGGUAAGAGAUAAAAUGAAUCUUAGGUGACACAGAAUUCCCAGACCACUUAAACACGGAUGCACCCAGAAACUGAAACUUUACCACUCAGGUCCGACAAUCAAUAGAGGCAUGAGAAGAAUAUAGCCAGUCCAUACCCAGAAUCACAUCAAAAUAUACCAUGUAUAACUCAUUCAGAUCAGCUAACAAGACUCUAUGAAGAAUAGUAACAGGACAUUUUUUAUACACUUUCUGGGAAACAAUCGAAUCACCCACUGGGGUAGAAACUAGGAUAGGCUCAGGAAUAAUCUCAGGACUCAUUUCAAAAUUCACAGCAAUCAAAGGUGUAACAUAUAAGAAACUGGAUCCAGGAUUCAACAAAGCAUACACAUCAAACUGAAAUAUAUAAAGCAUAUCAGUAAUAACAUAAGGAGAGUCCUCAUAUUCCUGGCGGGAUGGUAAAGCAUAGAAUCUAUUUUGGUGCUUCCCGCCAGAAUUGCUAGAAGAGGCGCCCUGAGCUAGGACUGGGUGAGUCAUUAGAACUGGAGCACUAACAGUCUGAGUCUGGGUCUGAGGGCGAUAGUCACGACGACCUUGUCCAUCCUGUGGACAAUCUCUAAAUCUAUAACCCAUGUCACCACACCAGAAACAACCCCUCUUAUUACCCCAACACUCACUCUAAUGAUCCCUACCACACUUAGAACACAGGGGACGAUUUAGCUUACUGCCAGUACUAUAUUGGGACCUGGAUGCAUAUGACCAGCUACCUUGCUCCUGCCUACCUCUAAGUAUGGAAGCACUAGCAGAUGACGGUGCUGGCAUAGACGAAUAAUCCUGAUACUGUGGGUGACUCCCUCCCUGUGAUAUACUCUGACCAUGUCCGUGCUGCUCGAACCUAGCUCUCUUAUUCCCUCUCAUUCUAACUUUAUUCUUAAUCUUGUCUACCUCAAUUUGUUGGGCAUGAGUCAUCAACCUAGAAAGAUUCAUCUCACUAUACAGCAUAGCAGACCUACACUUCUUAACCACAUAACUAGACACUCUAGUCACAAACUUACUCAUACUAGACCAAUUAUCAACCACUAAGUCAGGAGCAUACUUGGCAACCUAAUUGAACUUUAGAAAGUACUCCCUAAAAGUCAUAGAGCCCUAUCGCAGGUUCAUAAACUCUUCCACCUUCGUCUCCCUCAUCUCCAAAUGGAAAAACUUAUCCAGGAAUGCAUCCUUGAACUCUUGCCAAGUUGUAGGGACAGCUCCUUCACCUCUACCUUUCCUCCAAGAAACAACCCAGUCAUAAACAAGGUCUUUUAACCUAUACGCAACCAACUCCACGCUAUAUUCAUUAGAUACAUGCAUCACCUGAGUAAUCUUCUGCACCUCCUCUAAAAACAACCGUGGAUCCUCAUCAGACUUGGACGUAUAGAAUUCCAGUGGAUUCAUCCGCGUAAAAUCAUAGAUCCUGGAAGUAGCUGAAUCACCUCCCUGCUGCUGUAGAGCCGAGGCCGAGUUGGCCUAAACAUUUGCAGUAACAGCUUAGGCCAGCGCCAGAAACGCUGCCCAAAAUUUAGUAUGAGACACGUUUUCAUUCCAUGGGUCAGCGGGUUGAGGUUGCUGACCAUCAUUAUUUCUUCUCACUCGACGUGGAGGCAUAUUUCUAAAAGAAGAGAGUGCAAAUCAAUAGCAGAGAGAGACACUUAAAGCACGAUAGACUUCUAAAAGAAAGAAUUAAACUUUUUCCUAAAACAUCUUGUAACCUCUUGCUCAUAGAUGUGGCGCGGUACCCACCAAUGAUCAAGACUCUACUUAACGCGGCUUGUUAGACUCCCUAGGAUACCUUAAAACCUUAGGCUCUGAUACCAAGUUUGUAACGCCCCAGAAAAUGGGUCCCGGAGCGUCACACGGCGCUUGAGGCUACGAGUGGCCCCAAGCCAACCCUUUGAGCCAUUUUCAUUCAGCUCCACACAAAUCAAUGGGGUUUCAUAAGUAACCCUCAAAUAUCAAUAGAGUAAUCAUCAUCCAAGAAUAAAAGAAUUUCAGAAAGAUAACAAAAUAUGACUUAUUAGUCAACUCCCAACAUCUAUACUAGUCUGACAAGCCUCUAAGAAAAUCAAUAAAACCAGCAAGCCAUUGAGACAUGCCCCAACUGACUCAUACUCAGUUAUCAAAUGUAAAAAAUUCCAUGAAACCAACAUCAGACAACACAUCCUUGGAACAUGAGGACUUACCACAAUAUAGGAUGUAGAACAGCGUGCCCGAAGAAUUACUGUCGAAUCUGGAACUGAGCACAUGAACCUAUAUUUCGAGAAAAUGCAGCCCACAUUUGAAGAUGUGGGUCAGUACUACGGAAAGGAAUCGAGUAUAUGGGGGUGUAUGCAGUUGUAUAAACAUCAUCAUCAUAAAUAUUUAUAAGAAAUAUGCAGGAUAUAUGAAGGGCUCACACAGCCUAAAGAAAAUCAUCAUAAUCAUGAGAGGAUGAAAUAAGUACAAUAACACAUGUGAGUCAUCAUAUGAUUUGUCAAUCACUUUCAGUUCAUCAAGAAUAUCAAUUCUCAUAGCGUAAAUAUCAUUUAAAUCUUUCAAAAGAAUAACUUUCACAAUUCCACUUUUAAAUCACUUCACCAUUCACCAUAGACAUAAGGAAACACACACACACUGGGAGAUCCUAUAACCGACAUAAACCAUGUGAGCUACAUGGAGUCCAACGUACAACCCACGUUGGGGAGAGCCGUCCUAUCCUUGCCAUCGGAGUAGGACUAUCGAUAUCAAAUCCACACAAACUAGUGAGCCGUCCUAUCCUUGCCAUCGGAGUAGGCUCACUCCUACGGGGGGGCAUGUAGUUCUAGGGAAGUAAGGUUGCUUUUUACCUCCCACCCAGUGCUAAAGAUUUCUCCCGGACUUAGCUCAGAUCAUUUCAAAGACAAUCCACAACAAAACAAUUUCAAUAAUAUAUAAAUAUACAUCGGGAGCCAUCAUGCUUCUCAUCUAUCAAAAUCAACCACGUUGUGGAUUUCUUUCACACUCGAGUUCAAAACAACUCCAUUAAGACCAAAAGGUCAAAUCAUUCAAAAUAUCUCAAAUAUGCAACAUCAACGUGCUUAUAACACACACUUUCUAAAAAAAAACACAAUUUUCAAUGGGGAUUCACGACCCAAAUAUCAAAUCAUGAUAACAUAUAAUGCUUCUAAUAGGCUUUAAUAUAGGGUUUGUAUGGAUUUUGGUUGAGAGGAAAUGACCAAAACGCCCCUAAAAAUCAAAAAAAUUCUUGAAUCUGUCCUUUGGUGGACUAUUUUGAUAGUCUGAAGUAGAUCAACCAUAACGUUCUACUCCGACAUUCAAAUUGGAUGAAACCAAUUUCAUUAGAUGAGGACUCUCAUAUAUUUCUGUUGAUAUUUAGUAUCUCACCCAGAUCAUUGUGUACGAGGAGUUAUGAUCGUUCGAAUUUGAUCCAAAAAUUGACUUUUGAUAGGCUGAAGUAGAUCGACCAUAACUUUUUUCUCCAAUAAAAAAAUUUGAUGAAACCAAUUUCAUUGGAAAGAGGACUUGCAAAGCUUUCCGUUGAUAUAUAAUAGAUCACCCAGAUCAUUAUGUACAAGGAUUUAUGAUCAUUUAAAGUUGGAGUAAAAAUACGCCAGGCCUCAGUACUUUUUCCUGCACGUUUUACUGUUCACUACUAUUCAUAGUUCGAUCAGAAUGUUCAUAACUCGUCGCUCGGGUGUUCGUCUUGGAUGAUCCACAUAUCGUUGAAAAGCUUAUUCAAUACUCUACGCAAUGGUGGGUCAUAAUCUAAGAUAUUCCUCACAGAAAAUUUAUAAUUCAUUCUAUAAAAUAUAACCCAACACGUUUACGCAUAAAAUUUCAACGAAAAAUUUUCUGGGGUAUUACAGCCAAUCACCUCCUAAUUAUCCUUUAGACCCUUAAGGAUCAUCAGUUGUAUGCAAAAUUUUCUAAGUAUGAAUUUUGGUUAGACGGGAUUGCCUUCCUGGGGCAUAUUGUGUCCAGUGACGGGAUAAGAGUGGAUCCCCAGAAAGUUGAAACAGUGAGAAAAUGGCCCAGGCCCACGACUCCAACCGAUAUUCAAAGCUUCUUGUGUUUUCCGGUGUAUUACAGAAGGUUCGUAGAGAGUUUUUCUUCCAUAGCUGCUCCGCUUACUAAACUGACUCAGAAAAAGGUGAAGUUUGUGUGGUCUGACUUGUGUGAAAAUAGUUUUGAGAAAUCGAAGGACAAGAUGACUACUGCUCCUGUUUUGACCCUUCUCGAGGGUGUAGAUGAUUUUGUCGUUUCUUGUGAUGCGUCCCGUGUAGGACUUGAUUGUGUAUUGAUAUAACGUGGUAAGGUGAUAGCUUAUUCAUCUAGGCAGUUAAAGGUGCAUGAGUGGAAUUACCCCACUCAUGAAUUGGAGUUAGCAGCCGUGUUGUUUGUACUUAGAAUCUACAGAAAUUAUCUCUAUGGAGUGCAUGUUGAUAUUUAUACUGACCAUAAGAGUUUACGGUAUGUUUUCUCACCGAAAGAAUUGAACCUCAGGCAGAUUCGUUGGAUGGAGCUUUUGAAAGACUACGAUAUGAGUAUGCAUUACCAUCCGAGCAAGGCAAAUGUUAUAGCCGACGCCCUUAGCAGGUUGUCUAUGGGCAGCCUUUCUCAUGUAAAAGAAGGAAAGAAAGAGAUGGUGAAGGAUAUUCACCGCCUUGCAAAUCUGGGAGUGCGACUCUUAGAUUCCGAAGAUGGAGGGGUGAUUUUUCAUGAGUUAGCUAAGUCAUCUCUUUGUGCUAAAGUUAAGGAGAAGAAGGUUGAAGAUCCUAUCUUGAUGCAAAUCAAGAAAGAUGUGGGUCAAUAAAAGGUUAUGUCAUUUGAAAUUGGUGGCGAUGGUAUUCUAAAAUUUCAGGGUAGGUUGUGCGUUCCGAAUGUCGAUGGGCUACGGGAUAGAAUCCUUAAUGAGGUGCACACUUCGAGGUAUGUCAUUUACCCAGGCUCUACUAAGAUGUACCAUGAUCUGAAAACCUUGUAUUGGUGGAAUAAGAUGAAACGUGAUGUAGCUUAUUUUGUGUCCAAGUGUUUGAACUGUCAGCAAGUAAAGGUUGAACACAUGAGGCCGGGUGGUACUUCCCAAGAGAUAUCCCUUCCUUUAUGGAAGUUGGAGAUGAUAAAUAUGGACUGCAUUAUAGGACUUCUGAGAUCCCGAAACCAGUAUGAUUCUAUAUGAAUGAUUCUAGAUCGGUUGACCAAGUCAGCACACUUUUUGCCUGUGAGGACUAAUUAUUCGAGAGAGGUUUAUGCUAAGAUUUACAUUGAGGAGAUAGUUCGAUUGCAUGAGGCACCAGUGUCCAUUAUAUCCGAUAGAGGUACACAGUUUUCAUCUCAGUUUUAGAGAUCCUUUCAGAAGUGUUUAGGUAUAUAAGUGAAUUUGAGCACAGCUUUCCACCCUCAGACGGAUAGGCAAGUUGAGCAUCCCAUUCAGACCCUUGAAGAUAUGUUGAGGGCAUGCAUCAUUGAUUUCCAAGGUAGUUGGGUAGAUCACCUGCCACUGGUUGAAUUCGCUUACAAUAAUAGCUACCAUGCGAGCAUCAAGAUGGCUCCUUUUGAGGCUUUGUAUGGGAGGAGAUGUAGGUCUCCGAUAGGAUGGUAUGAAGUGGGUGAGACUCAGUUGUAUGGGCCUGAUCUUGUUCAUCAGGCGAUGGAGAAAGUGAAAAUCAUUAGAGAAUGACUCAAGACUACUCAGAGUCGUCAGAAGUCCUAUGCCGAUGUUUGGAGAAGAGAACUAGAGUUUGAAAUUGGUGAUUGGGUAUUUGUCAAGGUUUCUCCUAUGAAAGGGGUUAUGCGAUUUGUAAAAAGUGGUAAAUUGAUCCCUCGUUAUGUAGGGACAUAUUAGAUUUUGAAAAAAAAUUGGUACAGUUGCAUAUGAGUUAGAAUUGCCUGCAAGUUUGGGUUUCGUUCAUCCGGUAUUCCAUGUGUCCAUGUUGAAGAAAUGCAUUGGAGACCAUUCUAUGGUAUUGCCAGUAGAGGGUAUCAAAGUGAUACACUCCUUGUCUUAUGAAGAAGAGCCCGCUGAGGAGAAAAGAGAUAGCCUAGUAAAGGUACUGUGGAGGAAUCAGAAAGUCGAAGAAGCAACUUGGAAGUCAGAAGAUGACAUAAGAAUUAGAUAUCCCAAUUUGUUUGCUUCGAUGGAGGAGGUGACAGAAGGUACUAUUCCUAUUUUAUAUUUCCUAGUCCUUUAUUAUGCUUGAAAUCGUGUCUAUCUGUGUCCCGCAUCAUCAUUCGGGUACGAAUGAUCCUAAGGGGGAUAAUGUAAAGCCCCGCAAUUCGGGCUACAAUGUAGACCAUGAUUUCGAUGCGUUGCUAAUCCCGAAGCCAUAAAAUCCUAUGUCAACACAGCAUGUUAAUUAUUGUGUAGCAUGUGAAACUGCUCAAGCUUGAAUUUAGACCAUAAAGGUCCUUCAACUCAAGGACGAGUUGAAACUAUUUCGAUCGACUAAGUUUUAGUAGACGUUGUAAAGUGUGUUUGAUUCCAUCGACCAUAACCGUCUGUAUAUAUUGAAUUAGGAAGCCUACUAUGUUUCAAAUGAUAGGUAUUCGAGUUAGCUUUCCAACGAUACCAAUUUGGCUAAAAUCCGACACCCGAGCAAGAAGUUAUGGCCCUUCAAAGUGAUAAGCAUCGCCUAACAAAUCGCCCAUGGCCACUGGAACGCAAAGUCAAUAGCCUAGGCGGCGGCUAUGCAAACAUAGGCGAUAGCCUAGGCGGCGCCUAUGCAAACAUAGGCAAUAGACUAGCAGCGCCUAUGUGAACAUAGGCAACGGGAUGGGCGGCGCCUAUGUAAGGAAUUCUAGUGAUUUAAACACUCCAUGUUGAGGACAAAGUGGUCCUUUUCCACUCUUACUUAGCCCUAAAACACGAGAUUUAGUUCCAAGGACCCCAAAAUACAUAUUCUUUCAUCAAAAGUGCUCAAGAUUCUCCUUAGGGUUUCACAAUAAAAAACCCAAAUAGUUCAAGAUUUGACCAUAGGUUUUCAAAGAUAAUUACAUAUUUCGAAUCACCAAUCCGCAAGCUUCGAGAAACAUCUAUUAUCUUUGGAAAUAGAGGUACGUGGGGUUAUCCAAAAAUCUCAUGGGUGUAAUUUUAAUGAACAUGCAUGAUUUUAAUUUGUCUUUCGUGAUUAAGUACGUGCUUGGUACUAGAACGUCAAGACAACAUUAAAAAAAUAAUAGUCAUGACUUAAGACAUCGACAAGCACUUUAAGUUAUCUUGAAAAUUCACUUAGACCCCUCAACUUAAACUUGUACCUAUUGAAUACCUUUACUGCUGGUCUUGUACCCAUUGAAUACUUUUACUACUUGAAUUUAAACCAUUUAAACACAUUUUUAACAAUAACCUAUAAAUGUAAAGUAUGUGUAGUGCAAUUGUGACGUCGCAAUACAAAAAAUUAAAUGAUGCCAUUUGGCAUGUGAAUCCAAAAACAUAUUAAAAAAAUAACAAUGGUGACAAUUUACAUUUUUUAUUAAAAAAGAAAAAGAAAAUCAAGUUUUUCCCCUACUUUCUCCAAUUCUGUAAAAAAAUUCCAAAUUUUUUUAGCAAUCCAAUUCAUAUUUAUUGCUAUUUUUCUUCUCGUGUUGUGGGUUCCUUAGAAUUUGAAUUCUUUAACAAUAUCAAUAAAGUAAUCUCAAAUUCACAUCAAGUUAGCCGAAAAAAAUGGAGUUUCCCAGUUCAAGAAUCAAAUUUACUGCUGCUGCUUUUUUUUUUCUUUUUCUGUUACAUAAAUUCGUGAUUACAUAAAUGGCUCAGAGAUGGUUUGAUCUAUAAGCGGUCUUUAAUUGACGAAUAAAUAAUAUAUUGCAUAUAUUUUCAGCAAUGACCGAUUAAAGAAAAGAAUUGACGAAUUUAAAAAACUUACAAGAUUGUUAAGAAUUUAAAAAAUAAAAAAAAUACAAAUGAAAGAGGCUGAAGAAGAUGGCUAGGGGGGCGGGGGGCGAAGCAGAGGGGAUGAUUUUAUUUUUAUUUUUUAAUUAAAAUUUGUUAUUAUUAGAAAUUAUUAAUGAAAUAAAUUGAAGUGUGCUUUUUUUUUUUAACAAAAAUUUUAAAAAUACCAUUUGGUAGUUGGUACUCUAUUCACGCUCCUAAUCCAAAGGAGAGUAAAUAACACUUUUCUUGGCACAUCAGCACUUUGUGCCUGAUAGGUAUAGAAUUGAAUGGGUUAGGGUCCUGAUAGGUAUAUACCUUAGUUGAGGGGUCUAAGUGAAUUUUUGGGACAACUUAAAUUGGCUGGCGAUGAUUUAAGCUUAAUAGUCAUCAUAGAUUUAGUUCCUGAUCAUCAGGCUACACCGGAUUCUUCCCUCCAUACUUAAAUUGUGCUGCUAAGGAGGUCUCGUUGAGGUAAAAUGUCAUUCUUAAUGUGGUAUAGUUGUUAGUUUAGCAUUGUAGGCCUAUUGGGUACAUGUGCUUUCGACACUCAUGCAUUCCACGCACGAGUGGACCGUGAUGGUUGAUUGAGUCAGAAGCUCUACUUCCUGUUGGCUAUGUUGUUUCGUGAAGAAAUAUUUAUGUACUCUUUAUCGCUAUUAAGACAAACUCUAACUGUUGAUGUUGUCACUAAUUGAUUAUCUAAUCCACAUAAAGUUGGUGUCGAUAAGCAUCAGAUAUUCUGCAUAUAAUCCUUAGAGUUAUCACAUUUCAACAACGGAAAAGGGACAAAUAUUCCCUCGAACCAUGAUAAAUGGUACGCAUAUGUUAUCCGUCAUACUUUGGGUACACAUAUGCCCCUACCAUUAAUGAAAUGGUACAUAUAUGCCCCUCACACUAACGGUAGGGACAUAUGUGUACUCAAAGUAUGACGAAGGGUAUAUACUUAUCAUUUCAACAAUGCCACUUUUGCAUUACCAUUGUACAAAUAUUGAAUGUGGCGACGCAAAAUGAAUUUUGGGGAUUUGAUGAAAUCAAUAAUUCCAGUAUAACAACAUCAUUGGGGCGGGUAAUCAUCUUGAGACCUCGUUGUAUCAAGCCUACAUUCAAAAAUCGUGCAAGCUAAGUAACAGGAACAAUCAAUUAAUGUUUGUAUUUUCCAGGAACAAGUUUUUUCUUUCCAUAGAGCUCUUUCACUAAAGGGUUUGCUGCCCAUUGAUUUUCAGCAACGCGAUUUGUAGGCUGGAAUUCAAAAAUUUUACCAUCCCGAGAUAAAACAACCUGAUUGGCAAUAUAAGCACAUCAACUAUGAUAAACGCAUAAAUAGUUACUAGUAAACGUUCACGACAAAUCUAUAGCCAUGCUCAACUGGCAACUAUAGUAGAGUUGAAAUCCAGGUGGGAAGAAUAAGUAUAAAAGGGUAGAUAAAGGCAUUAGGUGCUAUGGAGAAAAAAAGUAGCAAUAAUAAUAGAAUAUUCAACGCUUAAAUUUUAUAAUGCAGAAAUCUCGUGAACAUUUAUCAAUCCUAGGGUAAAAUGAUAAUCAACUAAAAGAGCGUAAAAAACAAUAAAAGUGGUCAAUAAUGCAAAGCAUGUGUCAUCCAUUUCAUGGUAACUUCUAAACACAAGAUACUUAUCUCCCCUCAUAUGAAGCAGCCAAUGAAGUAGGUGUCACGUCCCAAAAACCUCAUGCGCGUGACUGGCUCCCGCUAACAACACUUGUCGGGAGAACCAACUUUCCAUGCAUUCUCAAUGUAUACAAUACUAUGGGAUAAAAAUGUGUACAACUUCAAAUGCAAGAAAUAAUCAUUAAACUCAAAGUAAUGAUCCAGCAAGAUAUCGCGAAACGAUUUACGAAAACAACAGUAGUUUAGGUAACAAAUCUCAAACCCAAAACCCACACUAGACCAUGGAGAAUCUAAAUAAAGUUACAUGAGUUCAGCUUUCGGGCAUGCAACCCAACAAAAAGAAAUAUAAGCUAAAAAUAACUAAAGCUGGAUGACAGCCUCCACGAACAAUGAGAAGGUUCAGCUUAGCAACAAAAUCCACAUGUAAAGAUCGUCAGCCACAAGUCUCUCUCUCUCUCUGCAACCAUAUCAGCAAGUAUGCAAGUAAGGAGUGAGCUAUAUAACUAUAACCCAGUAAGAUCCUCGGCUUGCUACUUUAAGUACUCCUGGGACAAGUAUUAGAAAAUACAACAACACCAAGAACACAUAGUUAUUACACACAAGAAGUAUAUCAUAAUAAGAUGUCCAACGAUACCAACAAUCAUUCCUCGAAAAUUAUAUAUCUCAACCCAAUUUAUACCAAGUACUUAUCACCAUUUGAAAUCAAAGUAAUUACCCAACUCUAGAAGUUCUGGGCCACAUACACAAUGUGCCAAAUAUCAAGAGUAUACACAAUACUCGGGAAACAUACAUAAUGUCCCGUAUCAAAUCAAAAAGCAUACAAAAUGCUAAGUAAGGCAUACACAAUGCUUAAAGAAAGCUUACACAAUGCCCCAACAAAAUUAGAAAGCAUACACAAUGCCCCAAUCUCACAGUACACAAUCAUAUCACAUCACAAAAUAAUUUAUAAAAGGAGUAUUGGUAUUCUUAAGCAUGAAGUAUAUGUGUCUGGCCUUGAAGACCGUCAAUUCUGCCAAGCAUACACUCGUCCCAACACAUGAACCGGGCAAAUAUAAAUAUAUCUUAUAAACAAAUUUGUAAAGAAAGCACCUAUGUGUCUGGCCUUGAAGACCGUCAAUUCUGCCAAGCAUACGCUCGUCCCAACACAUGAACCGGGCAAAUAUAAAUAUAUCUUAUAAACAAAUUUGUAAAGAAAGCACCCAAAGUUUAAAGUCUCACUUACCUCACGAAUGACAAGUUCCUCAAUCUUGCAAUGCAUAGUACACCAAACAAACAGCAUCCAAUGAUUUCAAUUUAAUAAAAAUAUUACUUAACGAUGUCAAUUGUGCUAGCAAAUGUCAAGUCUCAAUACUCCUAACCUUCUAGUUUAAAGUUAAACCUUAGUAUCUCAUACCUUAAGAAAUGGAUUAAAAAUUUUCUCUAUCCAACCUAAUUUCUCCAUAAUAAUUUCAUACAAAUUAGUUACCUAACCAUUUGAUCUCAUUAGCCACAAACAUUAUAAGAAACUCUUAAAUGCAUAUUCAAAACUCCACCAAUGCAAAGAAUUUGCAAAGUUGUAAAGCAAGUACUUUUGUUUUCAUAUUCAGGAAGUUAACAUAUCUAAAAUAAAUUAAUAUCAAUACAAAAUCAGGAGUCCCACAAUAUGAAUAUGAUCCCUUUUCUCUCUCUACUCAUUGCUCAAUCAUUACAUCAUAAAAAACAAUCAUUAACUAAUCAAUAGCUUCCACUCUAUCUCGUUAACUCCAUUAGGACCAAUCUUCCGAAAUAUUCUUUGUGUGCACAGUUUUCAUGCUAAAGAAUUAGGAACAAGAUGAGUACCUUAUAAAUAUGAAGUUUUGUAGGUGAGUGUUACUGGCUAAUGUUAUUCUUGUCACGACCCGAACCAGGGCCCUGGCCAUGACGAGCAUUCUGAACCAUGAAGGCCCGAAACACCCCUAUCUAUCUAGUAAUCAUGCACAUAAUUCAUAUGAUAAUAAGCUAUGCGGAAGAUACACAAUAUUACAGAAAACAUGGUCAUAAAUCAAAUGAAAUCAACAAAGGGGAAAUAAUUUCCCACAACAUCUAUAAACAUCUGAACAACCGUCUGCGAAAUCUCUAAUACAUGACUAAAAUAAAUUACUGUCUGAAAACUGGACAAGGUCCUAAGUAGACCCAAAACUACUAAAUGAUAAUUGAACUGACAGGCAUCAGGCCUUCCGAAAUAUAGAAGGCUCACCACUUGAUUCUGCAAAUCUGUCAAAAGAGAUCUACUGGUUAUCUGGACCCCUAAACUGUGACUCCAAACCUGGGAAGGAAGGGGAUCAAUACAAAAGUACUGGUACGCAGAGAAAUCAAAAACAAAAUAUAAUAUUUUUUUUCAAAUAUUGGUGAGAGCCAUUAUAAAGCAGUUUCAUAUCAAAUCAUUUGAAAACACAUGGGCAUAAUGUAAUNNNNNNNNNNNNNNNNNNNNNNNNNNNNNNNNNNNNNNNNNNNNNNNNNNNNNNNNNNNNNNNNNNNNNNNNNNNNNNNNNNNNNNNNNNNNNNNNNNNNNNNNNNNNNNNNNNNNNNNNNNNNNNNNNNNNNNNNNNNNNNNNNNNNNNNNNNNNNNNNNNNNNNNNNNNNNNNNNNNNNNNNNNNNNNNNNNNNNNNNNNNNNNAUAUCUUAUUCUGUAGGGUAUCAUCAUACCCGACUUGCAAGCCAUCAAUAUCACAUCAUUCUUUCAUGCAACCAUUACAUUCAUCAUAUUUCAACAUAACAACCCUCUUAUUGCAAGUCAAAUCCAUGACCAUUUUCAAAAUAUUUCAUGUGACGCUUGUCAAGAUGAUUUCAAACAUUUCACAUCAUAUGAGAAUUUAAAACAAGAUCAUAUAAAGAGAGGAAUUUCAUAUAAUUCAUGCUCUCAAGUGAACAUCUUUUCGGAAUACAUGCAUAUACAUAUAUCAUAUAUCAAAGCACUUCGGGACUAGGCCUAAAGACCAAAUCAAUAUCAUAAAACAUUUAAAAUGGGAUUAUAUUCAUAAUUUCAAAAACCUCCAUUUUUAAAACAUGAAUUUUUAAGCCCAUGAGAUUUUUGAGAUAACCCCACGUACCUUUAUAUGCGAAGAUGAUAGGUGUUUCUUCAAGCCUAUGUUCUGGGGAUUCCAAAUAUGCAAUUAGUUUCAAAAAUCCACGGUUGAAUCUUGAGUUGCUUUGGUUUUUAUUUUGAAACCCUAAGGAGAGUUCUUGAGCAAUUUUGAUGAAUGAAGGUGUAUUUUGGGGUAUUUGGGGACUGAAUUUCGUGUGUAUGGCUAAUUAAGGGUAGGAAAAGGACCAUUUUGCCCCAAAAAUGGAGUGUUUAAGUCACUUGAGUAAUAAUACAUGCGGCGCACACCUUAUCACAUAAUAUAGGUUGUGCGGCGUACUCUUAAUCGCACACAUUAGGUUGUGCGUCGCACACCUUAUGGCAUAAGUUAGAGUGUGCGUCGCACACCUUUUGCUGUACGACACACUCCACUUUGCAAAGACACAACUUCUUCCUCGUGUGUCAGAUUUUUACAAAAUUGGUAUCGUUGGAAAGAUAAUUCGAAUACCUUGCAUUUGAUAUAUAGUAGCUACUAUAAUUCAAUAUAUACAAAUAGUAAUGGUCGAUUGAAGUUGUCCUAAGUCUCAACGCUCACUAAAAUUCAAACGAUAGGAAAACUUUCAACUUGUCCUUGAGCUUGGGGACCUCUAUAAUCUCAAUUCAUGCUCAAAUAGGUUUCCACACUACAUAAUUUAUUAACACACUAAACUUGCAUUACAUUUUUGGAUUUUGGAACCUUUACGUGAAGGAAAUGAUGAUUUUCGUUCUCGUCCAAAAUGCGGGGUGUUACAUUAUCUCCCCCUUGGGAUCAUUCGUCCCCGAAUGAUGGGUAGGAACUUGUUGAAGUUUAAAAGUAUGAAAUAAUGCGGACAUGAUGUGCCUUCUAAGAAAGGACAUAACUGAUCUGAAAUAUUUAAACUUCUAUCAUGAAACUGAAUUCUGAGCUGACUUGGCUUUUCUUGCUUCAAGAAGUUGAUUCGUUCUGAAAAUUUAGGAUUCCCUUUAUAUAUUCAUGAUCCAAUAAUACAUAUUAAAAUUAGGAAUUGAUAACUUAUGCAAGUACGAAUCAUAAAACAUCAAGACUUAGAUCGUACAAGGUUAUUACACUAUCUGAGCUGAAAUAGUUGAAAAUUUUUAAGAUUAUACGCUGAACUCUUAUGCACCAAGUCAUGAAUAGAUAGAUGAAUCUGAAACAUGAUGCUUGGAAUGAACUGAACUCAUAAUUUAUAUGGAUGGAAUAGAUUAUCUCUUGGGAAUGGCCAUACGCAUGAGACUUCGGAUAGUAGUACUAGGUGAAAAGGUGGAAAAACCAUAGUAACUUAUCUGCCCGAUUGUUAAACUGAAUUAUAGACUGAAUUAUACUAGACACUUAUACUUAACUGGAGUAUCUCUUCAACACUCUCUAUAAAGAAGUUCUAGCAGUAAUAGGAAGCCAUGAAUCUUGGGAAUUGAAUACAUAAGACAUCCAACUGAGGGAAAUCACAACAUUUACACUACUCUGCAGUCUGGAAUAUAGACAUAUAACUCAUACACUCUGAAGUAAUAAAGGACUCUUCUCAAGUCCUUACACAAUUUUAAGAUGUUAUAUAACGCGAUCCGAAAGGACCAUACCAUUUAGACUCUAAACUUCUUCACUUGAAUCACCCCAGUAAUGUCAUGGGUCUGAGAACAUCAGAGUAAGAAAAGAAUUUCGGAUGAUUUUACUUUCAUAUGGACGUUACCAUAGCACAAAUUAGAUUAUGAAGGAGGAACAUUCUGACUCUAUUGCACGAACUAGAACAUGAAGAAAAAGAGACAUUCCUAAAUGCCUAGUAGCCUCCUGCUUAUAAGUGUGGCGCGCUACACACCCAUAAACAAAACUCUACCUAACGCGAUUUCGCAGACACCCUGGGACUAUAAACCUUGCUCUAAUAUGAAGUUUUUCACGACCCGAACUGGGGCCCUGACCGUGACGAGCAUUCCGAACCAUAAAGUCCUGAAAUACCCCUAUCUGUUUGGUAAUUCAUACAAAUAAUUCGUAUGAUAAUAGAAAUGCGGAAGAUUAAAUAUAUUGUGGAAACAUGGUCAAGAAUCAUAUGAAAUCAAUAAUGGGGAAUAGUGCCCCCAAAUCUCUAUCAACAUCUAAAAAAUCGUCCGCAAAAUCUCUACUACAUAAUUGAAGCAAAUAACUAUCUGAAAACUAGGACAAGGCCCCUAGUAGACCCAAAACUAAUAAAUAAUAAACAAACUGGCAGACAUCAGGCCUUCUGAAAUAUAGAAGGCUCACCACUUGAUUCUACAAACUUGUCGGAAGAGAUCUACUAGUUAUCUAGACCCCUAGACUAUUCCUCCAAACCUGAGAGGGAAGGGGGUCAAUACAAAAGUACUGGUACGCUGAGAAAUCAAAACAAAAUAUAAUAUUUUUUUAACCAAAUAUAGGUGAGAGCCAUUAUAAAGCAAUUUCAUAUCAAAUCAUUUGAAAACACAUGGGCAUAAUACAAUAGUUUUUCAACAACGAUGCUAUGCGGCUAAGCUAGGUGGAAUACCCUACAUAAUUUACACCAACUGUCAAACCUCGGUUCCCACCGAGAUUAGAGUAUAAGUAAGGGAAAGACACACAAGAUCACACAGCAGGGUGUCCCAACCUAAUAAAGUAUAGUAGUGCCCAAGAUCACUUAACCUGGACUCCUAACCAUAGUGCCAAUUAGGGAAUGACAUAAAGUCAGGUACACAAGAUCACUUAGCCAGGUACCAAGUUCCUGUGUCGGCAAACACGGUUUCCAGUGAUGAUCCCUUACACUCAAACACCUUCUUCGGAUAUCCACCUAUCUCGUAUAAAAUGAAUGCAUUCAACUCCCUUUAAUUCAACCACAUAUCUUAUUCAAUAGGGUAUCGUGAUACCCGACUUGCAAGCCAUCAAUAUCAUAUCAUUCUUUCAUGCAACCAUUAUAUUCAUCAUAUAUCAACAUAUACAACUCUCUCAUGGCAAGUCAAAAUCAUGCCCAAAUCAUAACAAUGUUCAAAACAUUUCAUGUCAUGAUUGACAAUAUGCUUUCAAACAGUUCACAUCAUAUGAAAAUAUAAAAUAAAAUCACAUCAAGAGAGGAAUUUCGUAUAAUUCAUGCUCUCAAGUUCACAUCCUUUCAAAAUACAUGCAUAUACAUAUAUCAUAUAUCAAAUCACUUCGGAAAUAGGCCUAAAGACCAAAUCAAUAUUAUAGAAACGUUUAAAACGUGAUUAUAUACAUAAUUUUCAAAACCCCCAUUUUUAAACAUGAAUUUUAAAGCCCAUGAGAUUUUUGAAAUAACCCGACGUACCUCUAUAUGCGAAGAUGAUAGGUGUUUCUUCAAGCCUACGUUCUGGGGAUUCCAAAUAUGCAAUUAGUUUUAAAAAUCCACGGUUGAAUCUUGAGUUGCUUGGGUUUUUAUUUUGAAACCCCAAGGAGAGUUCUUGAGCAAUUUGGAUGAAUGAAGGUGUAUUUUGGGGUAUUUGGGGACUGAAUUUCGUGUUUAUGGCUAAAUAAUGGUGCGAAAAGGACCAUUUUGCCCCAAAAAUGGAGUGUUUAAGUCACUUGAGUAGUAAUGUAUACGGAGCACACCUUAUCGCAUAAUAUAGUUUGUGAGACGCACUCUUUAUCUCACACAUUAGUUUGUGCGUCGCACACCUUAUGCUGCGCAACACACUCCACUUUGCAAAGCCAUAACUUCUUCCUCGGGUGUUGGAUUUUUUUAAAUUAGUAUCGUUGGAAAGAUAAUUCGAAGACCUUUCAUUUGAUAUAUAUUAGGCACUCUAAUUCAAUAUAUACAAAUAUUAAUUGUCAAUUGAAAUUGACUUAAUUUUCAACGCUCUCUAAAAUCCAAACGAUAGUAAAACUUUCAACUUUUCCUUGAACUUGGGAACCUUUUUGACCUCAAUUCAUACUCAAAUAGGUUUUCACACUACAUAAUUUAUUAACACACUAAACUUGCAUUGGAUUUAUGGCUUUUGGAACCUUUACGUGAAGGAAAUGACGAUUUUCGUUCUCGUCCGAAAUGCGGGGUGUUACAAUCAUCAAUGCCAUUUCUAGUUUCAUCAUCACGGUGCUGCUGUAUACAUGGUUCUAUUUGGGGUUUCGUUGUUUUGCAAAUUUUGAUCUUUCCAUAAAAUGGUUAGCCACCCUUCUGCUACCAAUGGAUUUCCCAUAUAGGGGUAGAGGGUAAAACUAACUAUCGACAACAUUCUGAACUUGAGCGCACCUAAAAAGAAAUUGAACGAAUUGGAUGUACUAAAACUAUAGUUCGACAGAUCCACAGUCUAAGGGUGUUAAGUGGGCCAGCCCGACCCGGCCCGAUCCGGCCCUUGUAACUAACCCGGCCCGGUAAGCCCUAGGGCUUUAGGGUUUCGAGUCCCGGGUCGGUUAUUAUUUUAAAAUGGGCUCAGCUAACCCGGCCCGAAUCAAGCCCAGUUCAAGCUCACCGAUUAACCGGCCAGGCCCGGAUACCUGUUUUUAAAAUAAAAAAUUGGGAUUUUGGGUCAAACUAGCCGUUGGCCCAAUGGUUAUAUAGCCGUUUUUGGAUCCAAACGGCUAGUUUGGGCCCAUUUAUUAAAAAAAAAUAUUUUACUUUAAAAAAUAUUUUUUAACCCUGAAAAAAAUUCUAUAAAUACCCUACAACUUCAAAUCAUUUUUCACAUAAUUUUUCACUCUCUCAAAUCUCAAUUCUCAAUUCUCAAAUAUUCAAUAUAUUUAAUUUCUUCACUUUAAUUUUUUAAUUUUUCGUUUACAAAGUACGAGCGGAAGUUUUUAAAGUCGCAACCUUCUGAUACUUCAAAAAUUUGGUAUAGUCGUUCCAUCUCUUACGUUUAAUUUUUAUUUAUUGUAUUAAUUAUUUAAUAUUUAAUUUUAUUAUAUUUGCGUAUUUUGAAUAUUUUUAAUUUAAUUAAUUUAUAUUAUGGAUAAAUUAAGAAACCUCGCUACUAAAGGUGUUAAAAUAUUUUGUCCUAGAAGCUGUAGUGGUAGUAAGAAGCGAAUUACUAGCGGUAGAGGUAGUUCAAGUAGUAGCUAUUCCCGUGUGCCUUCACCUCCUGUACCACUUGGUACACCUUUUGAGGAAGAGAUAGGUGUAGGAGCUCACGAUAUGGAUUAUGUAGAAGCUCAGAAAAAUUAUGGUAUAGAAGAAGAAAAUGAAGUAGAUGCAGUUAAUUUAGACGAAGAUAAUGAAAAUAUUGCUGAGACACCCGCAGUAGGAGAUGCUAACUUUAGAUCUGAAUCGGUUAAUCUCCCUUCCCGUCCUCCCAGUGCCCCAAGACCUCGUAAAAGAACUAGUGUUGCAGGAAAAUUUUUUGAACGUAUAGCAGAUAUUGAGGUGCAAUGCAAUAUUUGUCAACAAAUAUAUAAGCAUAGAAGUGGAGGCAAGCAAGGGGUACGAGUACGUUAAUGAUACAUAUAGCUGAAGACCACAAAAGAGAGUUAAAUAUUUCACAAGGUGGUGGAGAUGUUGGUGGGCCAACGCAAACUAGAAUGGACCCAGCAACCGGUCAUGUAGCGAAAAAGUAUAAUAAAUUGAGGGACUGGGAAGAAAUAGCUAAAAUGGUAGCUGUGGGUUGUAUGCCUUUUAGUUUUCCUUCUUCUGAUGCCCUUAUUCGUUAUAUACAAGCAAUUUAUAGUCCUAUGUUUAACGGUAUUCCUUGAACUACUUGUCGGUCUAAUAUUUUUAGACUUCAUUCACAAUAUUAUUUUUAUUUAUCAACAUUGUUAAAAAAUAUUCAAUGUAGAUUGUCCCUAACUUCUGAUCUUGGUUGUGCUAUAAAUAAAAAUGAUUAUUUAACCGUUACUUGUCAUUGGAUNNNNNNNNNNNNNNNNNNNNNNNNNNNNNNNNNNNNNNNNNNNNNNNNNNNNNAAACAUACUGGACAAUUUAUUGUUGAUUCUAUUGUUAAAAUUGCUGGAUAUUAUGGUAUCGAAAAUAAAAUUUUAUAUAUUACUUUUGAUAAUGCUUCUAACAACAAAAAUGCUAUAAAAAAAAUUAAAAUCUACACUAUCUCCACCCUUGCCUGAAAUUUUUCAUAUUAAGUGUGCAUGUCAUAUAUAUAAUUUAAUUGUAAAAGAUGGUCUUGAGUUUUUUGAGCUUUAUAUUGAAAAAAUUCGUCUUGCCGUUGGUUUUAUUCAAGGAAAUAAUCGUAGAUCGAGAAUUAAAGAAUUUAAAGUUAAAUGUCAAGAAAAUGGACUUACACCGAUUUUGAUGCCUGAGGAAAUUGAUACUAGAUGGAAUUCUACGUAUGAAUUUUUAAAAACUUAUUAUAAAUAUAUAAUUCCUAUUACACUACCUUNNNNNNNNNNNNNNNNNNNNNNNNNNNNNNNNNNNNNNNNNNNNNNNNNNNNNNNNNNNNNNNNNNNNNNNNNNNNNNNNNNNNNNNNNNNNNNNNNNNNNNNNNNNNNNNNNNNNNNNNNNNNNNNNNNNNNNNNNNNNNNNNNNNNNNNNNNNNNNNNNNNNNNNNNNNNNNNNNNNNNNNNNNNNNNNNNNNNNNNNNNNNNNNNNNNNNNNNNNNNNNNNNNNNNNNNNNNNNNNNNNNNNNNNNNNNNNNNNNNNNNNNNNNNNNNNNNNNNNNNNNNNNNNNNNNNNNNNNNNNNNNNNNNNNNNNNNNNNNNNNNNNNNNNNNNNNNNNNNNNNNNNNNNNNNNNNNNNNNNNNNNNNNNNNNNNNNNNNNNNNNNNNNNNNNNNNNNNNNNNNNNNNNNNNNNNNNNNNNNNNNNNNNNNNNNNNNNNNNNNNNNNNNNNNNNNNNNNNNNNNNNNNNNNNNNNNNNNNNNNNNNNNNNNNNNNNNNNNNNNNNNNNNNNNNNNNNNNNNNNNNNNNNNNNNNNNNNNNNNNNNNNNNNNNNNNNNNNNNNNNNNNNNNNNNNNNNNNNNNNNNNNNNNNNNNNNNNNNNNNNNNNNNNNNNNNNNNNNNNNNNNNNNNNNNNNNNNNNNNNNNNNNNNNNNNNNNNNNNNNNNNNNNNNNNNNNNNNNNNNNNNNNNNNNNNNNNNNNNNNNNNNNNNNNNNNNNNNNNNNNNNNNNNNNNNNNNNNNNNNNNNNNNNNNNNNNNNNNNNNNNNNNNNNNNNNNNNNNNNNNNNNNNNNNNNNNNNNNNNNNNNNNNNNNNNNNNNNNNNNNNNNNNNNNNNNNNNNNNNNNNNNNNNNNNNNNNNNNNNNNNNNNNNNNNNNNNNNNNNNNNNNNNNNNNNNNNNNNNNNNNNNNNNNNNNNNNNNNNNNNNNNNNNNNNNNNNNNNNNNNNNNNNNNNNNNNNNNNNNNNNNNNNNNNNNNNNNNNNNNNNNNNNNNNNNNNNNNNNNNNNNNNNNNNNNNNNNNNNNNNNNNNNNNNNNNNNNNNNNNNNNNNNNNNNNNNNNNNNNNNNNNNNNNNNNNNNNNNNNNNNNNNNNNNNNNNNNNNNNNNNNNNNNNNNNNNNNNNNNNNNNNNNNNNNNNNNNNNNNNNNNNNNNNNNNNNNNNNNNNNNNNNNNNNNNNNNNNNNNNNNNNNNNNNNNNNNNNNNNNNNNNNNAAAUUGAAUUUCUAGUUUUCUACUUUAAAUUAAAAACUUAAUGCUAAUACAUUAUUAAUUUACUACCAAAUAUUAUUAAUUUAUUAUAUUAAGUAGCCUAUGUUUUGUAUAUUUGUGCAUAGAUCUUCUAUAGAAGUGUAUAUUUAACGUUUACAUGUGUAUAUGUUUUAUAAACUAGUAUAUAAGUAUAUCUAUAUAUAUUGUAAUGUAUAUAUAAUGAAGUAUAUUUUAUAAGUAGUAGUAUAUAUACAUUGAAUGGUGCAUAUACACGUGUAUAUAUCUUCUAUAGAAGUGUAUAUUUAACGUAUACAUGUGUAUAUGUUUUAUAAAUUGGAUAUCUUCUACAGAAGUGUAUAUUUAAUGUAUACAUGUGUAUAUAUUUUAUAAAUAAGUGUAUAAGUAUAUCUAUAUAUAUAUUGUAAUGUAUAUAUAAUGUAGUAUAUUUUAUAAGUAGUAGUAUAUAUACAUUGAAUGGUGUGUAUACACUUGUAUAUAUCUCCUAUAGAAGUGUAUAUUUAACAUAUACAUGUGUAUAUGUUUUAUAAAUUAGUAUAUAAGUAUAUCUAUAUAUAUUGUAAUGUAUAUAUAUUGCAGUAUAUUUUUUAAGUAGUAGUAUAUAUACAUCGAAUGGUGCAUAUACACAUGUAUAUAUCUUCUAUAGAAGUAUAUAUUUAACGUAUACAUGUGUAUAUGUUUUAUAAAUUAGUAUAUAAGUAUAUCUAUAUAUAUUGUAAUGUAUAUAUAUUGUAGUAUAUUUUAUAAGUAGUAGUAUAUAUACAUUGAAUAGUGCGUAUACANNNNNNNNNNNNNNNNNNNNNNNNNNNNNNNNNNNNNNNNNNNNNNNNNNNNNNNNNNNNNNNNNNNNNNNNNNNNNNNNNNNNNNNNNNNNNNNNNNNNNNNNNNNNNNNNNNNNNNNNNNNNNNNNNNNNNNNNNNNNNNNNNNNNNNNNNNNNNNNNNNNNNNNNNNNNNNNNNNNNNNNNNNNNNNNNNNNNNNNNNNNNNNNNNNNNNNNNNNNNNNNNNNNNNNNNNNNNNNNNNNNNNNNUUUGUGUAUAUAUUUUUUAAAUUCUAAUGUAGUAUAUACUAUAUAUAUAGUGUAUAUAUAUUAUUUAACAUAUUUAUAAUGUAUAUAGGUGGGUAUAUGUAAUGUAUAUUGAAAGAAAGUUUUUUUCUUAUAUUUUUUACCGGGUUUGACCGAUUUUUUAAUCGGGUUUGACCGAAUUUUUAUGGGUUUGACUGGGUUGGGUUAAGUGGGCCGGGUUAGGGUGGGUUUUAAUUUUUUUACUGUUUGGCCCAGCCCGACCCGUAUAGCGCCAAAACCGGCCCUCAACCUGGUUAAAAUAGAAGGGUCAGUUCCUGGUUGGCCCGACCCGGCCCGUUUGACACCCAUAAUCCACACUGGCGGAGCCACCUUGAAUCUAGGGGGUUCAUACCCCUUUCGACGAAAAAUUAUACUAUUUUGAUACAUCCUUUUUAUACAAGAAAGACAAGGAACAUACUAAAACACACUCCAAAAACAGUCCACUAGUUCAAGAACCGAGGACCCUUUUGAAGACCCCUCUCGGAUUCAAAAAACACCAAUAAGAACACAUUGUAUUGUGGUGUUUAACACCUAAAAACAACCAACCAACAAACUAACAAGAUGGAAGAACAACAAGAUGAACAACAACAAGAAGUUAUGGGUUCACUAGAAACAAGAGGAACGAUUACAAGUUACAAGCACUAACAAGUUUACAAUAAAAGAAAAAAGGGAUAGAUAGAUAGAUAGACUACACGAAGAUGUAAUCUUAAAAAUCCAAGAGCCUAUUCCACUCUUGACCUUUAACACUACAUACAAUGAUUUACCUAUCUCUUACGUGACAAGAGAUCGGAUUCCACCCCUCAAGCACAAACGUUUCCAUACAAAAAAUUUUAAGGGAAAAAGUUCAAAUAUGUCAUCAAACUUUGAGAAAAAAAUCAUUUAUACUAUCCGCUUAAAGUUUGGCUUAUUCAUGCCAUUGACGUUACAAAAAAACUUAUUUAUGCCAUUUUUUAAAACUGUCUAGUUUGAUGAUUUUUGGCAAAAUCAUUUUGUACACGUGGCCAAUAAAUUUUUUUCACGUCUUUUACAAGUCAAAAAAAAAAUUAAGGGAAAAGACUCAAAUAUGUCACUAAACUAUCUGAAAUGACUCAUUUAUGCCAUUAAAAGUUCGGCUCAUUCAUGCCAUCAUUAUUGCAAAAUCAGCUCAUUCAUGUAUUUACUUUUUAACAGUGCGUGUUCAAAAACAUCUUUUCCACGUGGCCUUUUAUUAGAGGUCCACAUCAUUAAUUAAAAAAAAUCAAUAUUAAUUUCAAAAUAUCUUAGAACCAUGAAAAAGAGCCGAUCUAUUUUAAGAUAACCCGACCCGUACCGAUUCUACAACAACAAUAAUUUUUUCGGUCAGAAAAAACAGUGAUUAAUGUAUAUCCUUUGGUUGUUUCUUGUUGAUUCCAAAUUAUUAUAAAUUUUAUGCUUAACACAGCAAGAAUGAAUUGAAUUAAUAUUAGAGAUAAGCAUCCAGUACCUCCGACACACUUCAACUUCACAGGGGUCCUAUUAACCCUGAACUCAAUUUUAGCUUAUUUUUGUCACCCUUUUGUGCUGCCAUAGUACCUUUAUUAUAUAAAAUGAGGAUCACAUCAAAGGUGUCAUAUAAGAUAAAAAGGCUAACAAAAGGUGCCACGUCAGCUAAAAUGAUUGAUUAAAAUAAGCUAAAAUUUAGUUCACGAGGAUAAUAGGACCCCGUGAAGUUGGAGUGUGUCGCAAAUUUGUUCAUAGUUUAGUAGAUGCUUUACUCAUAAUAUUACAAUGAAUUUAUAAGAAAGAUGUUUAUGUUUAAAAUGUCACUUCCUUGCAUAAAGUUACCAAUAAUUUCAAUAUUACAAUUAUUUGUUAAGAAAGAUGCUCACGUUUAAAAUGUUUCUUUCUUUCAUUAAGUGCCAAUAAUUUCCCUCGUAGACCUUUAUAGGGAACAGGAAACUAAGUUGUGGGCUCCAAAAAAAUAAUUACAAAAAAGGAAACUUAAGGGACAACUUAAUAUUAAUAUGCUAUUUUAAUCUCACACGUAUUAACUGUCACGAUCCGAACCGGGACCCUAGCCGUGACGAGCAUUCCCGAACCAUGAAGGUCCAGGAUGCCAAUCUAAAUCUGGUUAUCAUGCAGAACAUCCAUAUAAUAAGGAAAAUGCAGAAAUGAAACUGAACUUUACGGAAACAUGGUCAAUCUAAAUAAAUCAGUUUAAGGGUACGAAAAAUAAGCCCAACAACAACUGGCAAAUGUCGACCAUAGUUUGUGAAAUCUCUACUACAUAAUCCAAUCUGACAUAAUAUCUGAACAACUGGGACAAGGCCCCCAGUAGACCAAAACCAUACUGAAAUAGUAAUUCUCCAAGGAGAUUAGGCCUUCCGAAGCCAAGAAGGAUCACCCACUGACUCUGCGAACUCUGUCUGUCUGUAAAAUCUACUGAGUUACUGGACCCCUAGACUGUGCCUCAGAACCAGAGAGGUUGGAGGGAGGAGGGGGUCAAUACGAAUGUACUGGUGUGCAGAGCAAAUCAAAAUAAUCAUUUAUAAUAAACAUAUGUGAGAGCAGUUUAAAACAAUUCAUAAACAAUCGUGUAGUAAGAAAUCUCAUGGGCAUUUUUAAAGGACUCUGUGACAACAUCUGAAACCUGAGACACUCUUUGUACUACUUCUGCGUUAGGUGGUAUACCCUACAAUUCUGAAAAUUCCACGGGCUGUGUGGAAACUACCAUUAACUCGAUAGCUAAGCCCCCAACCCAAGUGUGCCGCAAGGGUUGGAGUCUCUGAAUCUACUACGCCACACGGCCGUAGCCAGCGUACAAUAAUAAUCUACCUAUAUCGAAAAAUACAGUUUCAGGCUAAGAGUUACUUGAACUCACUCCCUCUUCGGGUAACAACCUAACCCUCUUUUAGGCCUUUUUUAAAACUCUAUCAAAACAUGCAGUAUCUGAAAACAUGAUCUGAAAACAUACUCUGAAAACAUAAUCUGAAAACAUAAAUUUGUCAUGGCAUAAAUACAUAUGGUAUCGUCAAACCAUUGACUUGCAAGUCACAUCUUUGAGCCAUUAUUAGUCCAUCAUAAAUCUCUGUAUUCAAGACACAAGUUUUGAAUCUCACAUUUCAAUAAUUCAAUGCAAUAAAUCUUUUUUCCCAAAUCUCAUGUGAGCACAUACAAUUCUUUCUCCUGAUCACAAGGUUACAUUUAUAUCAAGAAAACCUUCUCAAAAUUCCAAAUCAUGUUCAAAUACCACAGUAUUGUAACAAAAACAUCUUUCAAAAUCACAAACCACAAUCUUUAAUUCAAUGCAAGAGAGGGAGUUCAUAAUUCAUGCUCUCAACAAUCUUUAAUCUAAAAUUCGUACAUAUAUAUAUAUAUAUAUAAAAUCAAUCUUAGGAGUAAAGGCCACAAGACCAAAGCAAUAGUAGUAUUAAAACUUUUAGAAAUGCAUAUCAAUGAUAUAAUUUUCAAAACACCCAUAAAAUACAUGCUUUAACAAUUUCAAAGCCCAUGUAAUUUUUAGGAUAAACCUCACGCACCUCUGUUUCAGAAGAUAAUGGAUGCUUAUUGAAGCCCGCGUUCUGGGGAUUCUGAGUAUGCAAUCAAUUUCGGAAACCCACAGUCGAAUCUUGAUCUACUUGGAUUUUUAUUUUGAAACCCUUAUGAGGGUUCUUGAGAAAUUUUGGUGAAAAUAUGAAUGAUAUGGGUUUUUGGGAGCUUAAUCCCAUGUUUAAUUUGAUAGGGAAAUGGAAAAUUACCAAAACGCCAUUAAAAUCUCGAAGGGAAAACUGAAAAUGGCCUGGGGUGAUCCACCAGGCAUCGCGCGCCUUAGAGCAUCGCUCUAGGCCAAGCGUCGCCUGCUAUAUCGCGGGGGGCCUUCCAGGAAUGGGCGAUUUGCCAAGCGACGCUUGCAGAUCGCGGGGUCUCACUGGAAUGGGACCCCAAAAAUGCCCUUAUGCUCAUCUACAAAUCCCAAAACUCACCCAAGACGUACCCUUAACUCUCCCGAUCACAAUACAAUAAGAAAAUCUGGAAUCGAAGGUCGGGAAGACUGAAAUGUUUUAUCCUGAAGGUCGUCAGCUAAAAGUGAGUCUAAGUCUUUCAAUACUUAGAAAAAUUUUCAUACUUUUCAAUACUAAGUGUACUCUACUAGAGGCUAACACAUGCACGACUUUCUACGGGGUGUUACAUUAUCCCCUUUGGGAUCAUUCGUCCCCGAAUGAUGAUGCAGAAAAACAGUCAUGCAUGAUUUUUGAACAAUUAAAGGCAUAGAAGGUAAUGACAAGGAUUGUACCUUCCAUUACUUUAUUCACCGGAUCAAAUAAACUUGGGUAUUUGUUUCUCAUGUCAUCUUUUGAUUCCCAAGUUCCUUCUUCAACCUUCUGAUUCCUCCACAAUACCUUUACCGAGGCUAUCUUUUUGCUUCUUAAUUUUCUAACUUAGCGAUCAAAGAUUGCUACAGGAUCUUCUUCAUAAGAUAAGGAAUCCGUCACUUUGAUCUCUUCAAUAGGUACUACUAACGAAUGAUCUCCCAUGCACUUUUUCAGCAUGGAUACAUGAAAUACCGGGUGGACAGAACCCAAACUUAUUGGUAACUCUAAUCCAUAUGCAACACCACCUACUCUUCUCAUAAUCUGAUAUGGUCCUAUAAAGUGAGGAAUCGGCUUACCUUUAUUCCUAAAACGCAUAACUCCCUUUAUGGGAGAAACUUUGAGAAAUACCCAAUCUCCAACCUCAAACUCUAAAUCUCUUCUCCUAACAUCGGCGUAGGAUUUCUGACGAAUCUGAGCUGUCUAAAGUCAUUCUACAAUAAGAUUCACAUCUUCCAUUGCCUGAUGAACAAGAUCAGGACCAAACAUCUGCAUCUCACCUACUUCAUACCACCCUAACGGAGAUCUGCAUCUCCUACCAUACAGUGCUUAAAAAGGUGCCAUCUUAAUAUUGGAAUGGAAACUAUUAUUGUAAGAAAAUCCUAUUAAUGGCAAGUGAUCUACCCAACUACCUUUGAAAUCUAUUACACAAGCCCUCAACAUAUCCUCAAGGGUCUGGAUGGUGCGCUCAGCUUGCCCAUCAGUCUGAGGGUGGAAUGCAAUGCUCAAAUUCACUUGGGUACCUAAACCCCUCUGAAAUUGUCUCCAAAACUGUGAAGAAAAUUGUGUACCAUGGUUGAAUAUGAUAGAGACAGGUGUCCCAUGCUAAUAAACGAUUUCAGCAAUGAACAACUUAGCAUAAUCUUCUCCUGAAUAGUUAGUCUUGACAGGCAGAAAGUGAGCUGACUUGGUCAUUCUAUCUACAAUUACCCAUAUGAAAUCAUACUGGUUUCGGGACUUCAGAAGUCCUGUAAUGAAGUCCAUAUUGAUCAUCUCCCAUUUCCAUAAAGGCAAUGCUAUCUCUUGGGAACUACCUCCUAGCCUCAAAUGUUCCACCUUCACUUGUUGGUAGUUCAAACACUUGGAAACAAAAUCAGCUACAUCACGCUUCAUAUUAUUCCACUAAUAUAUAGAUUUCAGGUCAUGGUACAUCUUAGUAGAGCCUGGGUGAAAAACAUACCUCGAAGUGUGAGCUUUACCAAGGAUUUUCUCCCGUAACCCAUCUACAUUCAGGACACACAAUCUAACCUGAUAUCUUAAAAUACCAUCACCACCAAUCUCAAAAGACAUGACUUUCUGCUGACCCAAAUCUUUCUUGAUUUGCAUCAAGAUGAGAUCUUCAAUUUGCUUCUCCUUAACCUCUACACAAAGGGAUGACUUAGCUAUCUCAUGGAUAGUCACUCCUCCUUCUUCGAAAUCCACAAGUCGCACUCCUAGAUUUGCAAGUUGGUGAAUAUCCUUCACCAUUUCCCUCUUAUCCUUCUCAACAUGAGAAAGACUACCCAUAGAUAACCUGUUGAGGGAGUCGGCUACCACAUUCGCUUUGCUGGGAUGAUAGUGCAAGCUCAUGUCAUAAUCUUUCAAAAGCUCCAACCAUCGCCUCUGCCUGAGAUUUAAUUCUUUCUGCAAGAAAGCAUACUACAGACUCUUGUGGUCAGUAAAUAUAUCAACAUGCACACCGUAUAAAUAAUGUCGCCAGAUCUUAAGCGCAAAUACCACAGCCUCUAACUCCAAGUCAUGAGUUGGGUAUUCCGCUCGUGCACCUUCAACUGCCUAGAUGCAUAAGCUACUACCUUCCCAUGCUUCAUAAGUACACAACCAAGUCCCACACGAGACGCAUCAUAGUAUAACAAAAAACCCUCUACACCUUCGAGAAGGGUCAAAACAGGUGCAGUAGUCAUCUUAUCUUCCAACUUCUCAAAGCUAUUAUCACACGAAUCGGACUAAGAAAACUUUACCUUUUUCUGAGUCAAUCUAGUGAGCGGAGUAGCUAUGGAGGAAAACCUCUCUACCAAUCUUCGAUUAUAACCUGCCAAACCCAAGAAGCUCCGAAUAUCGAUUGGAGUCGUGGGUCUGGGCCAUUUUCUCACUGUCUCUUCUUUCUAAGGAUCCACUCUAAUCCCAUCACUGGACAUAAUAUGUCCCAAGAAGGCAAUAGCAUUCAACCAGAAUUCACACUUAGAAAAUUUGGCAUACAGCUGAUGAUCCUUAAGGGUCUGAAGGAUGAUUCGAAGGUGAUUGUCAUGAUCCUCCCCACUCUUAUAAUAAAUCAAAAUAUUAUCAAUAAAUACAAUGACAAACAAGUUAAGAAACUGAUGGAAAACUCUGUUCAUAAGGUCCAUGAAGGCUGCAGGGGCAUUAGUCAACCCGAAGGACAUGACUAGAAUCUCAUAGUGACCGUAUCGGGUUCAAAAAGCCGUUUGUGGAAUGUAUGACUCUCUAACCUUUAACUGAUGGUAGCCCGAAUGAAGGUCUAUUUUUGAUAGUGACCUUAUUUAACUGACAGUAGUCUAUGCACAUACGAAAGGACCCAUCUUUCUUUCGCACGAAAAGUACAGGUGCACCCCAGGGGGAAACACUAGGAAGUAUAAAACCUUUAUCUAGGAGUUUUGCUAACUGCUCUUUCAAUUCUUUUAACUCUACAGGAGCCAUUCUAUAUGGCAGAAUAGAAAUUGGAUGAGUGUCUGGCAACACGUUGAUGCCAAAAUCUAUCUCCCUAUCAGGUGGUAUCCCUGGGAGAUCUUCGAGAAAGACUUCUAGGAACUCAUUCACUACUAGGACUGACUGAAGAGGUAGACUUUCAACAUUAGAGUCUUUUACUCGGACUAGAUGAUAUAGAAAACCUCUAGAAAUAAGUCUUCGAUCUCUAAGAUAAUAGAUGAAGUGCCUUCUAGGAGCUAAGGAAUGUCUCGCCCAUUCUAUUACUGGCUCAUUCGGAAAUAAAAAAGUGACUCUUAGGGUUCUACAGUUUAAUAUUACAUAACAUGAUUAGAGCUAGUCCAUCCCUAAGAUAGAAUCAAAGUCAACCAUAUUGAGUUUUAUAAGGUCUGCCACAGUAUCCCGGCCAAGAAUAGACACCACAUAAUUUCUAUACACCCUCCUAGCCAUAAUAGAAUCACCUACAGGAGUGGAAAUAGAGAAGGGUUCGGCAAUAUCUUCGGGUUCAAACCCAAAACCAACAGCCACAUACGGGGUCACAUAAGAUAAGGUAGACCCGUAAUCAAAAACACAUAAACAUCACAGACAAAGAUUCACAACGUACUGGUGACAACAUUUGGAGAGACUUCAGCCUCCUGACGGUUGGUCAAAGCAUACAACCGAUUUCGACCAGUUCCCAUAGCUGAAGUGGUAUCCUUCUAAGAGGGUGGUGCAAAUGAAUUUGCCUGUUACUUGGCUCCUCCAACAUUACCCUUUGCUGCCGGACAGUCUCUCUAAAUAUGGCCUAGUUGGCCGCAUGAAUAACAUACCAAAGCUCCAAACUGACAUCUCCCAAGAUGAUUCCUCUCGUAUCUCCCACAGCGAGGGUAUGACCGAGGGUUCUGAGCUACACUUCCCUAGGAUUGCAUACCCUGUACUCUCGGCCCUUGGCUAAACUGAAAAUUCUGGGGCCACUGAUCCACUGGAGGUCUGGGCGCUGGGGCACUGGCGACUGAUUAUGCAUUACCCCAAUUCUUCUUCUUCUGCCAUUUACUUUCCCACUUACCACUUUACGGCUGACUGUGAUGUUGUUCUACAGUUCUGUUUCUCUUUGCCUGUCUGUCUCUUUCCUUAGCUUCAGAAAAUUUCUUCUUCUUCUCCUCUACCUGCUGCAUAUAGACUGACAGUCUAGCGAAAUCCAUAUCCCGAUUCAACAUCACUCCCUGAAAGUUAAGUGCCAAGUCAUCUGAAAGGCCAGAUGCAAAUUUCCUCAUCCGGGCUCCCAUAUUACUAGUCAACUCUGGUGCAUAGUGGGCUAGUUUAUUAAACUUCAAAGUGUACUCCUGGACACUCAUACUGCCCUGCUUUAGAUUCAUAAACUCUUCUGCCUUGGCCUCCCUCAACUCCAGAGGAAAGAACCGAUCAAGAAAAUUUUCCACAAAUUUUUACCAAACUGUGGGCUCAGCACUCUCACCUUUUGAAUCCUCCCACUCGGCAUACCAUUGAUUCGCAACAUCAUUAAGCUGAUAAGUCGCUAAUUCCACCCCUUAUACCUCAUCCACAUGCAUUACCUUGAAGAUAUUUUCCAUCCCAUCCACAAACUCAUAUGGAUCUUCCUCCACCUUGGUGCCAGUGAACUUAGGUGGGUUUAUUUUCAUGAAAUAACUGACCUUAGUAGCCUCAGACAUAAUAGAUGCAGACCUAAAAUCUUCUAAUCAUUGAUCCUGGUUAGCUACCAACUGUGUCAGCAUAUGAAUAGACUGUCUGAAUUCUGCAUUCGAAAUAUCUCUCUGACCAGUCGAGGGACGGUUGACAUCACCGUUGAGCCCGAGGUGGACUAGUCGGGACUAGAGGGAUUCCCGGAGUAGGGACAGGUUCUGGAGUGUGAGCUCUAUUACGGGUCCGCAUCCCAUGGGGGGGACGGACCUCAUCUGCCUGAGCAUUCUGAUCGAUGAUACGACAUAGAGACAUAACUAUGUUUCUAAAAUACAAGAGAUCAUUGAUUAGGGGAUAGUUUAGACUCUGAAGCAUGAACUAAAUCACAAAGAAGGGAAACAUUCCUAAACGCCUAGUAGCCCCCUGCUUAUAAGUGUGGCGCGCUACACACCCAUAAAUAAGACUCUCCCCGACACGAUUUCGUAGAUACCCUGGGACCAUGAACCGUGCUUUGAUACUAAGUUUUUCAUGACCCGAACCGGGGCCCUAGCGGUGACGAGCAUUCCCAAACUAUGAAGGUCCAGGAUGCCCAUCUAAAUCUGGUAAUCAUGCACAACAUUCAUAUAAUAAGGAAAAUGCAAAAAUAUAACUGAACUUCACGGAAACAUUGUCAAUCUAAACAAAUCAGUUUAAGGGUACAAAAAAUAAGCCCAACAACAACUGACAAAUGUCUACCAUAAUCUGCAAAAUCUUUACUACAUAAUCCAAUCUGACAUAAUAUCUGAACAACUGGGACAAGGUCCCAAGUAGACCAAGACCAUACUGAAAUAGUAAUUCUCCAAGGAGAUUACACCUUCCGAAGCAAAGAAGGCUCACCAACUGACUCUGCGAACUCUGUCUAUAGAAUCUACUGAGUAACUGGACCCCUAGACUGUGCCUCAGAACCUGAGAGGUUGGGAGGGGGGAGGAGGUCAAUACGAAUGUAUAGGUGGGUAGAGCAAAUCAAAAUAAUCAUUUAUAAUAAAUAUAUGUGAGAGCAGUUUAAAACAAUUCAUAAACAAUCGUGUAGUAAGAAAUUUCAUGGGCAUUUUUAAAGGACUCUGUGACAACAUCUGAAACCUGAGACACUCUUUGUACUACUUUUGCGUUAGGUGGUAUACCCUAUAAUUCUAAAAAUUCCACGGGCUAUCUAGAAACUACCAUUAACUCGACAGCUAAGCCCCCAACCCAAGUGUGCCUCGAUGGUCAGAGUCUCUGAAUCUACUACGCCACACGGCCGUAGCCAGCGUACAAUAACAAUCUACCCGUAUCGGCAAAUACAGUUUCAGGCUAAGAGUUACUUAAACUCACGCCCUCUUUUGGUAACACCUAACCCUAAUUUUAGCCCCUUUUUAAAACUCAAUCAAAACAUGCAGUAUCUGAAAACAUGAUCUAAAAACAUACUCUGAAAACAUAAUCUGAAAACAUAAAUUUGUCAUGGCAUAAAUACAUAUGGUAUCAUCAUACCAUUGACUUGCAAGUCACAUCUCUGAGCCAUUAUUAGUCUGUCAUAAAUCUCUGUAUUCAAGACACAAGUUUUGAAACUCGCAUUUCAAUAAUUCAAUGCAAUAAAUCUUUUUCUCAAAUCUCAUAUGAGCACAUACAAUUCUUUCUCAUGAUCACAAGGACACAUUUAUAUCAAGAAAACCCUGUCACAAUUCCAAAUCAUGUUCAAAUGCCAGAGUACUGCAACAAAAACAUCUUUCAAAAUCACAAACCACAAUCUUUAAUUCAAUGCAAGAGAGGGAGUUCAUAAUUCAUGCUCUCAACAAUCUUUAAUCUAAAAUUCAUACAUAUAUGUGUUUAUAUAUAUAAAUCAAUCUUAGGAGUAAAGGCCACAAGACCAAAGCAAUAGUAGUAUUAAAACUUUUUGAAAUGCAUAUCAAUGAUAUAAUUUUCAAAACCCCAUAAAAUACAUGCUUUAACAAUUUCAAAGCCCAUGUAGUUUUUAGGAUAAACCCCACGCACCUCUGUUUCGGAAGAUAAUGGAUGCUUAUUAAAGCCCGCGUUCUGGGGAUUCUGAAUAUGCAAUCAAUUUUGGAAACCCACAGUCGAAUCUUGAUCUGCUUGUAUUUUUAUUUUGAAACCCUUAUGAGGGUUCUUGAGAAAUUUUGGUGAAAAUAUGAAUGAUAUGGGUUUUUGGGAGCUUAAUCCCAUGUUUAAGUUUAUAGUGAAAUGGAAAAUUACCAAAACGCCAUUAAAAUCUCGGAGGGAAAACUGAAAAUGGCCUGGGGUGAUCCACCAGGCGCCGCCCGCCUUAGAGCAACGCUCUAGGCCAGGUGUCGCCUGCUAUAUCGCGGGGGCCCUUCCAGUAACGCCAGGCGACGCCUGCAGAUCGCGGGGUCUCACUGGAAUUGGACCCCAAACAUGCCCUUAUGCUUGUCUACAAAUCCCGAAACUCACCCGAGACGUACCCUUAACUCCCCCGAUCACAACGCAACAAGAAAAUCUGGAAUCAAGGGUCAGGAAGACUGAAAUGUUGUAUGCCGAAGGUCGUCAGCUGAAAGUGAGUCUAAGUCUUUUAAUACUUAGAAAAAUUUUCAUACUUUUCAAGACUAAGUGCACUCUACUAGAGGCUAACAUACGCACGACUUUCUACGGGGUGUUACAUUAAGGGACAACGUUAUACAUCGUAACAAAUAGGUACUUAGUUUUGGCAAACCAAAAUGUAACUAGUGUCAGAUAUGGGUUCUCCAGGAUUUGUAACUUUUGAUACAAUAUAUAUAGAGAUAGAUAGAUAGAUAUCGAAAAUGCUACUGCCAUAUCAACAACUAUUAUAUUUAUUUAUGAUUUCACAUAUAUAAAUCAUAGAAUAUAUAUAAAUUGACUUCUCACCAUUUCCCCUAUCAUAUGUUUCGACAGCUUUAGUGAAGAAAAAGUUGUGUACCCUAAUAGAUAGAAAAAUUAUCAAUUUAAAGUAAUUAUUACUUAAUCUGGAACGUUCAUCAGGAGACCAUUCUACGAACGAGAUUUAUUCUUCGUUAAAUAUUAGUGAUGAGCUUCACAUUAAUUUGGCUUAUGAUUAUAAUGAUGUUUCUUUGAGACUUAUCCUGUAUAUAAUAUCUCAAAAAGAAAUGUAUAUACACACAUUCUUACGAUAAAUAGACAUCCAUUUAUGUAUAUUAUUAACACAUCAUUGAGGUUUGGUCCUCAAAACAUCAUAAGCAAUAUUCGCGCAGAAGGUAAAGUCGUGAAAGAGUUCUUUAGCAAGGGUUUCUUCUUUCAUUGUCUCUCACGACGUUUUUGCUUCGGUUUCUUUUUCCUUUUCUCUUUUCGGGAAGGUGUGGGUGAUGAUGGUGGGAGUUUGCAUGUUCUUAUGCUUGUAGAAAAUUGUGGAUUCUGGAUGUAGCAGUUGAGUUGUGUAUAUUGAAUUCGUGUAAACAUAUAAGGGGUAUUCACUGUGAUUCUAGUUUUUAAUUUUAUGGCUUGUUUCCCUGUGUGUGAACCCUACAUGAAGAUUUAACAGUCCUGUUUAUGCUUAUGGUCGUGUAAUUGUCCACGUUUCAUCAAAGGUAAUUGUUGUAUUUUUCUUAGUCUUCUUGCUAUUAUAGGUACAUGAUAGUUCUCAUCUUAUAAGUAGGAGAUUGACGUCAAUAACUGAAAAGAAAGCAAUUAACGUUUUUUGUUCCUUCAUUAGCAAGGAGUAAAAUACUGAAGUGCUUCAUCGAAAACCAAUCUGAUGCAUUGUUAUUUACAUCUUUUAAAGAUUGGUUUGACUUUUGAAUCUCCGUUCUAAAAAAAUCAUGUUAUCAUGGUUUAGAUUUGUUUCUUGUGGUUGUGGGAGUAUAUAUUACUGUGUGUUGGUGAUCGUAUAUUUGAGAUUUGAGUUAUAAUUUGUGGAAUCCUAUUUCAAUUGGCAACGACGCAUACAUCUUAGUGUAAGAAUUUGGCAUCACUCUUCAAACCUAUUAAAACUGGACCGUUGAUUUGCUAACAAAUGGGUUUGAUUAGUUUUGUGACCUGAUAUGAAUAAAAAGUUAUAUUUAAGGUUAACUGAAGAUAUGAACUGGGAAGUUUUCUGACCAAGUUUAGGUGAGUAGUAACUAGGGAUAGAUGUACAUGAUGUUAAAUGAAAGACACUGAGGUGCAACUGCAGAAAUUCAGUAAACUUAUGUUGGUAAGGCUAAGUUUAUAUAAUUUGUUUGAAACUAAUAUUAUUUUCCUAUAUUUGUUGAGCAUAAUUUUACUUCUAAUUGGUUGUUUUAUUUUGAAUGUGUAGAAACAAUGCGUGGGAUCAAAUUUGAAUGGUGGGCGCCACAACUCAACUUUAUCUAUUCAAGCGAAUGAUGAAGAAUUUUUAAAAUAUUUUGAUAUACGUUUAUAUACAUUUGAUUUUUUGUCGAACUUGGUACAAAUUUUUAUUAUGUUGUUUUUCUAAUUAGUAUGUAAAAGACAUGGUUUUUUGAAUUUCAUUACAAAUCUCUGCGCUUCAAUUAUUUUUUAGCUAAUUGAUGCAUGUGAUUAUAUAUAAAUAUGUAUUUUUAUGUAAUGUGCUUAGUGAUGUAUAUAUUUCCAUCAAAAUAAUUAUUUUUCAAUUAGAAAUUAGGUACUAACACUUUAUAUGCCUAAUGCCAUUUCUGUAAAUUAUGGUUUGAACUAUUAAAUUUUAGACAAUAUUACAACACUUUAAAAGUGUGGCUAAAACAUGCUUAUACUUUACAAAUGUUGUUAUAGAGGAUGUAUAAAAGGCUACGAUUUUGAAGUGUGGCUAGUAAUAAAGAAAAGGCCAUAUUUUUUAAGUGUAGUUAUAGAGGUGCUACAAAAGGCUACGCUUGUGAAGCGUGCACAAUAGCAAAAUAAAGGCAAUGUUUUUUAAGUGUUGUUGUAGAAGUGCUACAAAAGGCUAUGCUUGUGAAGCGUGCCCAAUAGAAAAACAAAGGCAAUACUUGUAAGUGUAGCUUUAUCAAAUAAAAGUGUUGCCAAUGACAAGCUGCAAAGUGAGGCCUUUAUAUCUUAAUGGCCACACUUAUUAAAUGUAGUUGAUACGACAAUACUUGAAAAGCGUGGUGUUUGAUCAAAGGUUAUGCCUUUUUAGGCCACCCUCCUAAAAGUGUUGCCUAAAAUCCGAAAGUGUAGCCUUUGAUCAAAGGGCAUAUUUCCGCUAUUCUAGACCACACUUUACAAGAGUGGCAAUAGGACUAAAAUCUUACGCAAAUUGACCUAUUUAGUAAACGCGAUUACAAAAUAGUCAAGGAGUACUAUCCCUUCACCUUGUAAAUAUCCCUCUUGGUAAUUAAUAAAAUUCCUUUACUUGCCAAAAAGAUUCAUUCUUCACAUCAAUAAAUUAAUUUAACAAACAUUUGAAACAGAACAAGUUAUUUGGAACAAGAGUCUCCAAGAGCAUGUUCAACAUGCAAGAAGUUGAUUCCUGAUCUUCUCUAGUAUCCCUACAACAUCUUUCAUGGUUGUCCGUCUAGCUGGAAAUUCAACACAACAAUCUAGCGCCACUUUCAUGAUUGAUGCUACACAAACUAGCUUCUUCUUCAAGUGAUUAUCCAUUGGUGGAACCAAGUUGGAAUCCACAAAAUCCAUUACUGCAUCAGGAAGUAAAUAACUCACCCAUUGUUUCAAGCUAAUAUCUCCCUCAAACUCACUAGGCUUUCUCCUAGUAAACGUUUCCAGCAACAUGAUUCCAUAACUAUACACGUCACAUUUAGUAGACACCAAUCCAUCUUGUCCAUACUCUACAAUCAAAAAAUUAUUUAAAGAUGUAACAUAAUAACUUGGUGGAAAACGAGGAAGGGAAAAGAAAUGUUCAAAGCAAAAUCAAAAGACGUACCUGGUGCAAUAUAACCCAAUGUUGCUAAUGUUUUUGUGUAUAAAUCACUCUCAUCUUCACCAAGAAGUUUUGAAAUGCCAAAGUCGCUUAGAUGUGCAACCAUAUCCUCAUCCAGCAAGACGUUACUAGGCUUUACGUCACUGUGAAUCACAGGCGAUGAGCACCCAUGGUGAAGAUAUUCCAAAGCACAUGCCACAUCCAUCAUUAUGCUUAGUCUCUGCUUGAUGUCGAGGAAGUAGCUGUGAGAAUACAAAUACUUCUCAAGACUCCCAUUAGGCAUAUAAUCGAGAACUAAAGCCUUGAAAUCAAGAUUGGAACAACUAGUAAUGACUUUUACGAGAUUCCUAUGGCGAAGGCUACGCAAAACUUCACAUUCCGUGUCAAAACCCUUGAAUGCUGCAUCCAGUUGCAGAUUGAACACUUUAACUGCAAUGGCAGUUCCACUNNNNNNNNNNNNNNNNNNNNNNNNNNNNNNNNNNNNNNNNNNNNNNNNNNNNNNNNNNNNNNNNNNNNNNNNNNNNNNNNNNNNNNNNNNNNNNNNNNNNNNNNNNNNNNNNNNNNNNNNNNNNNNNNNNNNNNNNNNNNNNNNNNNNNNNNNNNNNNNNNNNNNNNNNNNNNNNNNNNNNNNNNNNNNNNNNNNNNNNNNNNNNNNNNNNNNNNNNNNNNNNNNNNNNNNNNNNNNNNNNNNNNNNNNNNNNNNNNNNNNNNNNNNNNNNNNNNNNNNNNNNNNNNNNNNNNNNNGAUAUAUUAUUAUGAGAAAGGUCUAGGAAUUCCAAACCUACCAUGUUGCUAAUUGAGUCAGGUAUAGAUCCUUGCAACUUGUUGUGUCUCAAAGAAAGGUGCACCAGAUUUUGCAAGCCUCCAAUUUCUCUUGGAAUUCCAUUUGAGAAUUGAUUCAUUGAUAGAUCCAUCCUGGUUACCGCCUUUAGAUUUCCAAUUUCUGGAGGUAAAGAACCAACCAUGUUGUUUGACGAUAAGUCAAGAACCACUAGAUCUUGAAGGUUCCCUAAGCUUGGUGGUAUAUUGGAACUCAAUUUAUUGGAACCCAGAUGUAUCUCCCUAAGGGAAGUAAUAUUCCCUAAACAAUUAGGAAGAGAUCCUGAAAGUUGAUUUUGACCCAAGUAAAUAUCACCCAAAUGCUUCAAGUUACAUAUAUGAUCUCCAAUAAAUCCUGUUAAUUUAUUGUUAGCCAAGUCGAAGCGCUGGAGCUUUCUCAAGUUUCCAAUUGAUGUGGGAAUCGAUCCAACCAUGUUGUUUCCGGAAAGAUAAAGGAAUAAUAAGCUGCCUUAGCACCCAAUCUCAUUAGGAAUUUGCCCUUGGAUUUUACAACUGUUGGCGACAAAUGUUCUAAGAGAUGUGGAAAGGUUCCCCGUGGAGGCAGGAAGCACGCCGUUUAGAGGAUUCAAAUAUAGAGCUAGAAAUGUUAAAUUUCUACAAUUGGUUAAGGAAGUCAGGAAGCUUAAUGAUGAGUCACUGGUUAAAUUGUUUUCUCCUAAAUUUAGUAACUGUAGAUGAGUCAAAUAUCCAAGAGAAUUAGGAAUCAAGCCAGUGAGUUUGUUGCUGGCAAGCUCAAGAAUAGUAUGUUUUGAAAAAUUGGAGAUGGAAUGAGGAAUAGUCCCAAAAAGAUUGGUUAAGUUGCCCAGAUAAAGCUCUUCAAUGUUGGGUAAGAUAGAAUCUAUGUUUGGUGGGAGGCUUCCUGAUAGAUUGUUGAAUGAAAUAUCAGUUGCUCUCAAUCCUGAUAUGUUGAAGAUCUUCAUAUCAAGAGAAUCACUAAAACUAUUAGCCGAAAGAUCAAGUUUCUCCAACUCAACGAGAUUCCUUAUCUCUUUGGGUAUUUCACCUGUCAACACAUGAAGAAAGAAUGAAUACAAGUGAGAUGAACUAGUUAGGUCAGUGCUUAUCUAUGUGAUUCAUGCUUUUGUUUGACUUGAUGGAGAAGAAUUUUGAAUUGUAAUUGGCAAUGGGAUAAGGUGUCGACAAGAACUCAUAAAAUUAUGUUCUAACUCUAUACUUCUGUUUCCUUCAUUUAUAUUGUUAUUGAUCAAAGAUUUGAGAAGGAUGUACAUAUUGGACUUCUUAAUUUAACUUUCUAUGGAUUUCUAUUGUGUAGUUUUGUAUUUUAUAUGGACUCAAAUAUAUAAAAUGAUACUUUAUUGGAAGUGUGCUAACUACUAUCAGAUCGUGUCUAUUUCAAAGAAUCAGUUUGGUUUUAUGCCUGGUCGCUCGAUGACAGAAGCAAUCCUCCUGGUAAGGGGAUUGGUGGAGCAAUAUAGGGAAAGGAAAUGGGAUUUUCACAUGGUGUUCAUCCACUUAGAGAAGGCUUAUGACAAAGUCCCGAGGGAGGUUCUGUGGAGAUGCUUAGAGGCUAGAGGGGUCCCGAUGCGUACAUCAUAGCUAUUAAGGACAUGUACGAUGGAGGGAAGACUCGGGUGAGAACGGAGGGAGGGGACUCAGAGCCUUUUUUGGUCGAGACGGGAUUGCAUCAGGGUUUGACUCUUAGUCCAUUCCUGUUUGCGUUGGUGAUAGACGUAUUGACACGGAGUAUUCAAGGGGAGGUGCCUUGGUGUAUGUUGUUUGUGGACGAUGUAGUGCAGAUUGAUGAGACACGGGAGGGUGUGAAUGAAAAAUUGGAGGUUCGGAGGCAAACCCUUGAAUCUAAAGGGUUCGGGUUGAGUAGGUUUAAGACAGAGUAUAUGGAAUGGAAGUUAAGUGAAUUGAGGCAGGAGGACGAUAAAGUGGUAAGGUUGGAUUCCCAGGAUGUUCGUAAGAGGGAUAGUUUUAAGGAUAUCUCUAACCAUAUCGGAGCAGGUUGGAUGAAGUGGAGACUCGCCUCGAGAGUGUUGUGUGACAAGAAUGUGCCACUAAAGCUUAAAGACAAAUUCUACAGAGUAGCAGUCUAUCCUUCUAUGCUAUAUGGAGCAGAGUGUUGGCCAAUCAAGAACUGCACAUUCAAAAUAUGAAUGUGGCGGAAAUGGGAAUGUUGUGUUGAAUGUGUGGCCUUAAUAGAGGGGAUAGAGUUAGGAAUGAGACUGUCCGGGAGAAGGUUGGAUUGGCGUCAGUGGAGGAUAAGAUGCGGGAAGGAAGACCGAUAUGGUAUGUGCAUAUGAUAAGAAGGGGCACGAAUGCCCCAGUUAGUUCGUAGGUGUGAGAGGCUAGCGUUGGAUGACUUCAGGGGAAGGAGCGGUAGGCCGAAGAAGUACUGGAGAGAAGUGAUUAGACAUGUUAUGGAGCAGCUUCUGCUUACUGAGGACAUGACCCUAUAUAGGAAGGUGUGGAGGUCGCGGAUAAGGGUAGAAGGCUAGGAUGUGUGCGUGGGUUAGUAAGUAGCUAGAAGAGCUCAGAUUUAGUUGGGUUAGUAACCCUAGGACUGUGCCCAUAGGUAGGGUCCAGGAUCAGGCAGGUUUGGGUCUCUUAUUUCUUAUUGCGCUUAUUUCAUAUUGCUAUGAGUUGUAUUUUAGUGUGUCUUACUUCUUUUUAUGUUAUGCCAUUCAUCAUGCUUCAUAUUUCAUUACGCUCUUGUCUAAUUUUCUCUAUCUUGAGGGAAGUAGCGGUAUGGACUGCAUACAUUCUAUCCUCCCCAGACCUCACUUUAUGGGAAUACAAUGGGUUUGUUGUUGUUGUUGUUGCUAACUACUACCAGAAGUUCAAAUUUACUGUUUAAAAAUUAAAAUACGCUCCUCAUUUGCUUUUUCUUGUCACACUUUUGAAGAUUUAUCUGUAAUUCUUACAUUUUUAUUACUCAUUACAUGCAUGUAUUCAUAAAAUUUUAAUAGUUCUAAUGGAUCUGUAAAAAUUAACAUGAGACACAUGUGCAAUGCACGUGUAUAUAUUGAGAGACACCAUUUGAAUAUAUAUGUACCUAUAAGCUUAUUUCCACUAAUCUGUAGACCUUGCACGUUGGUUAAGUUGCCAAUCUCCCGUGGUAAGAAUCCACUAAGAUUGUUCUGCGCCAGUGACAAAAGUUGCAGAGAUGAGAUAUUGAAUAUGGAGAUCGGGACAGAGCCGGUAAUCUGUUUUUUCUCCAUGUCCAACUCUACCAAAUUAACAAGAUUUCCAAUUUGUUGUGGAAUUAUCCCUGCAAUUAAUGUGAAAUAAAAUAAAAUUCUGAAGUAAUAAGAUACAAUAAUGCUAUUAUUCAUGAGAUAUGUAACGUACCAGUGAAAAGGUUAGUUCCGAGAGCCAAGAUCUGCAGAUUAGUUAAACUUCCAAUUUCACUAUGUAUUGGUCCAUCAAACUCAUUUUCCAAUAAACACAAAAUUUGAAGUUGUGAACAAUUUGAUAAGCUUGUAGGCAUAUGACCGCGAAGCUUGUUAUAAGACAGAUAAAGCCCUUUGAGUAUUGGGAGACCAUUGCAUAAACCAUUGGGAAGAUAUCCUGAUAAGCUAUUGCCUGUAAAUGCAAUGACUUCAAUUCUUGAGAUAUUGAAAAUUGUGAAUGGUAUAGAACCCGUUAGCAGAUUAUACUGUAUGCCCAAAAACUUCAUGUUGUGAAGAUUGCCAAUCCCUUCUGGAAUGUUUCCUUUAAGUGAAUUAAAAGUUAUAUCUAAAGUCUCCAACCUCGAGGCAUUCGAGAGUGACAGAGGAAUGGAACCUAUGAGCUUGUUACCCCUUAAGUGUAAUUCUCUAAGGUUUAUAAGACUUCCAAUUACUUUUGGGAUUUGACCCUCUAUGGAAUUGAAGUUCAGAUUUAAAGUCUCAAGUGUGGAAAUAUUAGAAAAUGAAGACGGGAUGGAACCAGUGAAACUAUUAUUCCCAAGAUUUAGCAAUUGAAGCCGGUGUAAAAACCCAAACCAAGAAGGUACCUCGCCUCUGAAGUUGUUGACACUUAACCUAAGAAACUUAAGCCGACGCAAGCGUGCCAUUUCUUGAGGCAAAUUUCCAUGGAAAUUGUUGCUUCCCAAGUCGAUAUAAACAAGAAAUGAGAGGUUUCCAAAUUCACGGGGAAUCUUGCCUGUAAGAGACAUGUUAGAAAGAUUCAAGGAAUUUACUCGUUGGCGACGAGAACCACAAGUGACCCCAACCCAUUGGCAAACGGACCAAACAGGAGACCAACUUUCAUCCAAGAAGCGAAAGGGGUCGGAAAUGAUUUGGGAUUUUAAAGACAGAAGAGCAAAUUGAUCUGUAGUAAUGUUGGUUUGGGUCAUGACUUAACUAGCCAUAAGCAAGAAGAGUGUUGAGAGAAAAAAUGUGAAGGCUUUCUCCAUUAUUGCAAAACUUAGUAGGUAUACUCUAUAACACGUGGUUUUGAGACUUUAAAUAGAAAUGAGGUCUCCCUUUUGGUCAUAUCAAUACUAAUACCACCAAAUCAACCAAGUCUUUCACAUCUCAAUCAGAAUUAUAAAUAUGGUUGCAGAAAAGUCCUCUAUUGAGCAAAGACUUGGCAAGUCAACCAAGUCUUGCUUUAGUUUUUUGUGUGCUUAAUUCUUAGGAAAUAGUCUUGCUUUCAUAAUUUGUAGAACUGUGUGGUGAAGAGUAGUUCCAAUAAUAUUCAAAUCUUGUUAUUUGGUUGCUCCAAACACUAAUGUCUAAUGCUGAUAGAAUUGAAGAAUUAAACCAACUCAUUGGUGUAACUGGUGAAGUUUUUGUGAUGUGAGCAGAAGGUCAUUAGUUCUAGCAGUGGAAACGACCUCUAACAAAAAAUGCAGGAUAUGGCUACGUACGAUAGAUCCUUAUGGUGAUACCCUUUCCUAGAUCCGAUGCAUAGCAGGAGCUUAGUGCACCGGGCUGCCCUUUUACUGGCAAUAAAACAAGAAGUUGCAUUGAAAUUAAUAAAGUUCCGUGGAGUCCAUAAUUGCAUAAAAGGAAUCAAAGUAAUGGUUACAGAGUGUUGAGGCACUUCUUCGAUGGUCCUUAUACGACUACCAGAGCGCUAUGAAGAAUUCAUUAUUUAUAUAUAUUUUAGGAUGGUGAGAGGAAGUGCAAAAUAAGGAUUGAUUUCGCAUAAGGGAAAGGUGCGAUAAAUACAUCUAAUGAAAGUUAUUAGCAGCAAUAAAUAUCCAUUUUAACAAAGAGUUCUAAAACUUUUACUUACAUUAAUUGAUUGACAUUGGAUCUAAUGUCGCUAUAGACUUUAGGACAUUUAUAAAGAGUGCUAACCUGCAAUCGUCUGCAAUAAUAUUGCCUCUAAAACAGUAUUAAGGGUUAAUUAAGCUAUUGCCUUAAAUAUCUUUUUUGUACUGAAAAGGAUAUUUGUUACUAUUUAUUUUGUAUGAUAAUUAUAUUUAUUGUAAUGCCUCGAAAUCUAAUCUAAUUAUAUUUAUUGUAACGCCUCGAAAUCUAAUCCUGAAACGUCACACGGUGCGGUAUGAACUGCGUACAUCUUACUCUCUCCAAACCCCACUUUGUGGAAAUACACUGAAUUUGUUGUCGUUGUAGGUUGUUACAAGUAUCCUGACAUUUCAUAUUGCAAGAAGUGGUUGAAACAUAAUUGCAUAUGGAGCCACUUCUAACUAAAAGUUGUUGUAACAUAAUUGCAUAGUACCACUUGUUGAAGUGCAUGAAAAAUUAAUUUUAUGUCCCUUUUCUCAAACGAUUAUAAUAGAAUUUUGUGUUCCCACAAAUUGGAGUCUGGAAGAGGUAAAUUAUACGCAGUCCAUACUGCUAUCUCCAAAGAAGUAGAAAGGUUGUUUCCGAUAGACCCUUGGCUCAAGAUAAAGGACAGUAAAUAAGGUUGUAAUGAAAUAAGAAGCAGGAUGAAUGACAUAACACAAAUAUGGAAUAAAAAUAACAAACAUAGAAAUAUGAAAUAAGAGAAAUUAGAGCACUACGAAAUAAGGACUAAGAAAUAGGGCAUCCAUCAAGUAGGAACAUACACACAGACCAAAGAUUACUAACACGGCUACACAAGAUCUCACCUAACCACUUGCUACAACCCACACACUCACACUAGCCUUCUACUCUUAUCCGCGCCCUCCACACCUUCCUAUCUAGGGUCAUGUCCUUAGUAAGCUGUAGCUGCUUCAUGUCAUACUAGCUGCUUCCCUCCAGUAUCGCUUUGGCCUAUCUCUACUCCUCCUGAAACCAUCCAAAGCUAGCCUCUCACACCUAUGAACUGGGGCUUCUGUGCCCCUCCUCAUCACAUGCCCAAACCAUCUCAAACUUCCUUCCCGCAUCUUAUCCUCCACCAAAGUCACUCCCACCUUCUCUCGGAUAAUCUCAUUCCUAAAUCGAUCCCCUCUAGUAAGUCCACACAUCCAAUGCAGCAUUCUCAUUUCCGCCAUCUUCAAUUUUUUAAUGUAAAAGUUCUUAACUGGCCAACACUCCGCUCUAUACAACAUAGUCAGAUGUGUUUCAUACAACGAAUGUUGCUUUAUAAUUAAUUGAAAAAAAAAAAAACCAGUAAGGGACAUGAUUAUGAUGUUCUACCAGCUUUGAUUAAAAAAAGGAAAAAAUAAACACUCACCUUUUUCACUUCUAAUCUGUAUAUAUUGUUGAAUAAACAUUGUAAAGUAUCAACACUUGUCCUCUUCAAUAAAUUUUCUUUUCAAGGUGUUCUGUAAAAUGGGUCUAAAGUCUGUGUUGUGUGCCCAAAUAGAAGUGAAAGCUAAUAAGGAUGCUUUUCAUGAUGUUUUUACACAUAAGCCACACCACAUCUCUACUAUGUGCCCUUUGCAUAUACAAGGUUGUGAGCUUAUUGAUGGUGUCUUUGGAACUGUUGGCUCCAAACUUUUUUGGACCUAUAACCUUGGUAAGCCAAAAAUAUUUUAAAAAUCCCUAAAAAAAAAAAAAAUCGUUCAAGUGGGGUCUUACUGUUUAUGAAAUCAUUUCCUUUAAACUAUGUUAAGCUUCACACUACGGGAAAAUUUGGCUAUUAAGCCUUUUUUAGUUUGCUGUUAGAUUUCUGUAUUACUUGAGCUAAGAAUAAGAGAAAAGGAAGAAAAGGAAGGAUCUAGAAGAAGAAUCUGAUUUUUACUAACUGAAAUCUGUUACAUUGAGUCUCUAUAGGCUUGCAUUUAUAGUGUUGUUUGUUAGCUUCAUGUGUCAACUUUUAAUUAUCAAAAUAACCUACUUUUAUUUUCUUAUUUGUCGGACAUAUAAUAGAUCUGUCGGACAGAUAAUAGAGUUCUUGUUUUUAAACUUGAACUAGCUGAAAUGAUUGUUUCUAGUAUACAGAUUCUUGUACCCGAAUACAUACAAGAUAACAACAAAUAGCAACAAGUAAAUCCGAACGAAAGGGAGUAGUUCCUCCGUCUCACACUAUGAUUCCUAACAUUUCUCUCUCCUCACUUUCCUUUCACUGCUAUCAAUUCAAUCAGGAAAUACUUUCCUCCAUUCUACCCAGAAAUGAGUAAACAGAGCAAGUAUUGACAGUUGAGUGUAAUUACACAGUUUGACCUAAAACUAGGCCUUCAGCUAGGAUUUAGAAUGUGAUCACAGUUAGCUGGGGAAAUAAUUAUCCGAAACCAUUUAUACUCCAAAUUAUCCACAAAAUUCCAGUGUCACAUAUACACCACACUAAUACAUGAAAGUUAAACAGAUGAGCAAGCAAACACAGAUAACAUUCAGAUAUAAAAUAUGUUUCAGUUUCCAAAUUAGGAGGGUUAAUGAGAAUUUUCAGUACUAAUCCGUUAUCUUUAGUUACAUAACAUUUGUCGGGAAUCCUAAGACAGACGAAAUUUACUUUGGCGCUGCAAAACGUAGUUUCAUGAUUUUAUCCAAAUCAACAAACGGAAUGCUACUUUUGAAGUGGAGGACAAAAUGUCAAUAUCAGGAUGUUUCUCGAAUUCAGCCAUAACAUUCCCCAAUGUCUUAUUACCCUCAUGAACCCAGUUUUAGCGUAUUUUUGUCACCCUUUUGUACUGACAAUGGCACCUUUAUUACAUAAAAUGGGGCCCACAACAAAGGUGUCACGUUAGAUAAACAGGUGACACAUCAGCUAAAAAAGAUGACCAAAAUACAUUAAAAUUGAGUCUAGAGGGUAAUAAAACCCCCGUGAAUUAGAGUGUGUUGUAAAAAAUUUGGCCAUAGUUCGGGGGUAGAGUAUUCAUUUGUUCCAAUUUAUUAGACACACUUUAACGUUCACGGGGUCUUAGACUCUUAGUUGACAUGACACCUUUGACGUGGAUCCCAUUUUUAUGUAAAAAAGGUGUCAUGUCAACACAAAAAAGUGACAAAAAUAUGCUAAAAUUGAGUUCAAGGAGUAAUAGAUUUCAUGUGAAGUUGGAGUGUGUCGUAGCAAUUUUGGUCAUAGUUGGAGGGGUAUUUUUAAGAUACGAAUAUAAAGUAAUUAUAUUUCAUAUAAUGUAGUAAUAUUUUAUCUAUAUAUGGAGUAUGCCUUCAUUCCUAUUUAUUUUGGCACAUAUUUUCUUUCUAGUCUAUUCCAAAACAAUAACACUAUUUUUAUAUAUUAAAACGAUUUAGCUUUAAAAUCCACAUUUUAUCCAUAGUAAGAUAAUUAUUUCGACAUAAACGUUUACAUCUUGAUGUUUUAGAUUAUAAUUUCGAAAGUCACUUUUUUUUUCUUUAGCUUUGUAUCUAAUUAAAAUAAUGUCAUAUAAAUUGAGACGAAGCUACAUUGCCUCCCUUUUUCGAAAAUUUCAUACUAUAUAUGGUCUAUGUAUAUCCAUCAAAUAUUAUGUAUAUUAACUCAUAAACACUUCUAGCGAAAUUUCUGACUUUUUCACUGUACGAAAAAAAAUAUAAUUUUCUGAGUAGUCUUCACCGAGUGUAGCACCCCACCCCCACCCCCACCCCAUUUUAGAAUAAUUAAAAUUAUCGAUCUCUUUAUCAUUUAGAAAAUCAAAGCAUGACACUCGCAAAUCACGAUUACGAGAGUUGCUACCUUGGCUAGGGCUAUCUAGAGACUAUGGUUGUCUAGAGUAGAGUCUCGGUAUCGGAAAAUCAAUAGUAUACAACCGAUCCCGUUGAUCAUCUAACUGGUAGGGCACGUGUCACAUCAGAGGCGAAUGAUCAGAGGUGUCCUCUAAUCACCACGACGAGGCUGGUGGUAAGCGAGGGAGGAUUUAGUAAAGGGAUAUAAUGUCACUUUAUACUUUUUUAGUCCCGAGUUGAUAAUUAGAGUUAGAAACUUCACAACUUCCUCCACUCACCUCCACGGGUGCUGACUAACCUCGAUUUUUCUUCCAUAUUCAGCUGAACUCUUAAGGUUUGAUGGUUUCAUUCCUCCAUAUUCAACUGCAACAGAGAAUGAAAUCCUUAGAGGAGUCAAUUAUGGAUCUGGUGUUGCCGGAAUUCGCGAUGAAACCGGUUAUCGAUUGGUAAAAAAACUCGUUAAUAUUUGACCUAUAUACAUAAUAUACAUUUUUUGACGAAUGAUAUACAGUUAAAUUCGUCCCACUUAUGAAAUCCACCCAUGUCACACCCGUUCGACACAUUAAAAAAUUAUACAAGGGUCAUGACAAGUAGAUGCGUCAGAAGUUCCAUCUAGAUUACUUCGCAAUAUAAUGUAGUUUCUUUCAAAUUCAUUGAAAUUUUAUGUACCUAUUCUUGAAUGCUCGUUAUGUAUAGAGGAAUAUGAUCAUGCAUGUGUAACUUUCUAAGAUUUUACACAUAUAAAACUCGUUAAUAUUUGACCUAUAUACAUAAUAUAUAAUUUUUUGACGAAUGAUAUUCAGUUAAAUUCCUCCCACUUAUUAAAUCCACCCAUGUCACACUCGUUUGACACAUGAAAAAAUUAUACAAGGGUCAUGACAAGUAGACGCGUCAGAAGUUCCAUGUAGAUUACUUCGCAAUAUAAUGUAGUUUCUUUCAAAUUCGUUGAAAUUUUAUGUACCUAUUCUUGAAUGCUCGUUAUGUAUAGUGGAAUAUGAUCAUGCAUGUGCGACUUUCUAAGAUUUUACACAUAUAAAAAUCGUAAAUAUUUGACCUAUAUACGUAAUAUAUAAUUUUUUGACGAAUGAUAGUCAGUUAAAUUCCUCCCACUUAUUAAAUCCACCCAUGUCAUACUCGUUCGACACAUAAAAAGUUAUACAAGGGUCAUGACAAGUAGACGCGUCAGAAGUUCCAUCUAGAUUACUUUUUAAUAUAAUAUAGUUUCUUUCAAAUUUGUUGAAAUUCCGUACCUAUGCUUGAGUGCUCGAUAUAUAUAUAUAUAUUUACAUAUAUAUAUAAAUUACUAGAAUAUAAAAUUAUUUUAAUCUUUAACGAAUGAUAUACAGUUAAAUUUGUCCGACUUAUUAAAUCCACCCAUGUCACAUUGACACAUGAUUUAAUUGAAUAUUCUUCGUGGAAAUUCGUACUGCAAAAAUAGUUUUUUAAAAAAUUAUACAAGGCUCACAAGUAGACGAGUCAGAAGUUCCAUCUAGAUUACUUUUUAAUAUAAUAUAAUUUCUUUCAAAUUUCAUGUACUAUUCUUGAAUGCUCGUUAUAUAUAUAUAUAUAGUGGAAUAUGAUCAUUCAUAUGUGACUUUUUACACAUAUAAUACAUGUUAAUUCCUUCUAUUUUUUCAAGUGAAUCUCUUUAUGUAUAUCGCGAUGCCUAUUGUAUCGACUUGGCCUUUCAUAAGUUGUAAACGUUCAUAAUAAAUACGAUUAUUAUAUGUUGUUGAUUCAACACACUUUUUAGUUACAUUCUCUUGUAACAUACGAGAAAUGCAGGUUCAAAAUUCAGGUAUGAUAUUUUUCGAUUUUUGUAUCUCCUUAUCAAAAUGCUGACUCCGCCAUUACUUUCAUUUAUUGUUAAUGUUAUAUUAAUUCAAUUGAAAUACCAUAUUGUGUACAUUUUCAUUUCAAUUGACACUCCUUUCGUGGAAAAAUUACACUGUCCAUCUUGAUUAAAAAAGAUAUUUUCUUUAAUGUGUAUAGAGUAAAGCAUCUAGUACCCCCUUUUGAACUAGCUAUGACCAAAUUUGCAACGACACACUUCAACUUCACAGAGGUCCUAUUACCCCCAUGAACUAAGUUUUUGCGUCUUUUUGUCAAUAUUUUUAGCUGACGUGACACCUUUGACGUGAGUCUCAUUUUAUGUAAUAAAGGUGCCACAUAAACAGCAAAAAAAGCAACAAAAAUACGUUAAAAUUGAGUUCAGGAGGGUAAUAGGACCUCUGCGAAGUUGGAGCGUAUUGUAACACCUAUAUAUAUAUGGCUAUAGUUCGGAGGGGUACCCGAUACUUAUCUCAUGUGUAUAUAUAAACUACAUAUUGAUCAACAUAACACCCCUUGCAAGGCUCCUUCUGGGUUUACUUUUUUAUAUUCUGACACCUCGAUCUCCGUGAAAAUUCUGAUUCCACUAUUAUUAUACUUAUUUUUAUAUUGACAUGCCACUCCUUGCAAGGCUCUUUCGAGCUUACCUUUUUAUAUUUUGACACCCCCUUGCAAGACUCUUCUGAGUUUACUUUUUCAUAUUUUGGCACCUCGAUCUUCGCGAAACUUCUGACUUCACUAUUAUUAUACUAAUUUUUAUAUUGACAUGACACCCCUUGCAUGGCUCUUCUGAGUUUACUCUUUUAUAUUUUGACACUUCGAUCUUCGCGAAGCUUUUGACUCCACUAUUACUAUACUAAUUUUUAUAUUGACAUUACACCCCUUGCAAGGCUCUUCUGAGUUUACCUUUUUUAUAUUUUAACAGUUCAAUCUUCGUGAAAAUUCUGAUUCGACUAUUAUUAUACUAAUUUUUAUAUUGACAUGACACCCCUUGCAAGCUCUUUUGAGUUUGCUUUUUUAUAUUUUGACACCUCGAUCUUCGUGAAAAUUCUGACUCGCCUAUUAUUAUACCAAUUUUUGUAUUGACAUGACACCCCGUGCUAGGCUCUUCUGAAUUUACUCUUUUGUAUUUUGGCCCCUUAAUCUUCGUGAAACUUUUGAGACAUACUCGAACUUUAGAAGGGUCCUAUUACCCAUCUGGACUAAUUAAAAUAAUAUUUUUUGCAACCGUAGUGCCUACGUGGACCUUCAGUGUAUUGAUUCACUGAUAUGCCACGUAUGUGUCACGUAGGCACUAAGGUUGCCAAAAAUAAGGUUUUAAUUAGUACAGGGGUAAUAGAACCCUCCUAAAGUUCGGGUGUGUCUCUACAAUUUCGUAUAUAGUUCAGGGUGGAAACAGAGCAUUUUUUCAUUAUUAUACUAAUUUUUAUAUUGAGGUGACACCCCUUGCAAGACUCUUUUAAGUUUAUUUUUGUAUAUUUUGACACCUCGAUCUCUGUGAAAAUUCUGAUUCCGUCACUAUUACACUAAUUUUCAUGGAAAAUGACUUAUGUUACAGGGUGAUAGAAUCAGCUUGAACAAACAACUAUUCAACCAUCAAGUCACAAUGCUAAGAAUUACUACCAUACUUAGAAAUAGUACUGCAACAAGAAGUCUAUUUAAAAAUUGUCUAUACACUAUUGAUAUUGGCAACAAUGAUAUCUCAACAAUUUUUGCAACGAACAAUACUUUAUCCAUCAAGUUUGUUGUAUACACCAGAUAGAUUUGCAACCUUCCUUGUUCAACAAUUUGGAAGACAACUAAGGGUAAUUUUUACUACUUAUUUACUAAGUUUUAUUCGUAGAGGUCGAAAAAUUAGACCAUGAAAAUACGAUCGCACUGUCCGUUGAAGUUUGGACAGUUGCGCUACGCAUAUUUUGAAUAGACUCUGUGAGAACUUUUGAACCCUGCUUGCUUUAUCAGAAAAACUUUAGAGAAAAUGCACUGUUUCCACCCUAAACUAUACAUGAAAUUGCUGAGACACACCCAAACUUUAGGAGGGUCCUAUUACCCCGGACUAAUUAAAACCGUAUUUUCGGCAACCUUAGUACCUACAUGGCACAUACGUGUCCCUACGUAGACCUUCAGUGUGUUGAUUCACUGGUAUGUCACGUAUGUGCCACAUAGACACUAAGGUUGCCAAAAAUACGGUUUUAAUUAGUCCAGGACGGUAAUAAGACCCUCCUAAAGUUCGGGUGUGUCUCAACAAUUUCAUGGAUAGUUCAGGGUGGACUUUAAGAUGAAAAAUCAAAACUUGUUGAACUUGAAGUUUUUGUCCAUAGUGCAUGCAUGCAAGCCAGGUCAAAAGUUCAAAAUCGACCAGCCACCUCCAAGGUCAGUUUUGUAAAUCACCCGGCGCAAUAGAGUUUGUUCAUCUAAAUUUGUGAUGAAAUUGAAAUAUAACUAGAAAAAUUGUCAAAGAAAUCGACCAUUUUUUUCAGAUAAGCAUCCAGUAUACCCUUGAAUUAUGACCAAAGUUGCUAUGAUAUAAUCCAACUUCACAGGGGUCCUAUUACCCCCCUAAAGUCAAUUUUCGUGUAUUUUUGUCACCCUUUUGUGCUGACGUGACAUCUUUAUUACAUAAAAAUAGGGUCCACGUCAAAGGUAUCACGUCAGCUAAAAAGAUUGACAAAAAUAUGUUAAAAUUUAGUUCGGAAGGCAAUAGGACCCCAUGAAAUUGAAGUAUGUUGUAACAAAUUCGAUCAUAGUUCAGAAGGUACUAAAUGCUUUACCUUUUUUUCAAUAUGUUGGAUAAAGCAAUAGUAAAGGGAAAAGGGUUUUAUUAGUUGUAAUUGAUAAUUAAAUAAAUUAUUGAAAAAAAGACUUGGUUAGAGUUGGAUUUAUUAGACUACAACUCAAUAUUUAGGUAAAAAAACAAACAAACAGUGUUAACUGAUCACUUUUCGACUCUAUCUUUGAAAAAUAGUCACUAUAGCACGGAGUUUCAAACUCCACGUCAUUAUUUGAAUAUACCAAUUUAUUCUAUUCCGUCAAAUUUAGUUCAACGUGUUCAUUUCACACCACUAUUUCUAAUUACAUUAUCUUGAAUUUAUUAAAAAAAAAAUUUGUAUAUUUUUUUUUUUAGAUAUUGCAUGGCUUUGGAGCAAGGAAAGUGGCAGUAUCAAAUAUUGGUUUUUUAGGUUGUUUGCCAGAGAUUACCAGUGUAUUUGGAAGAAAUGCAUCUGGAUGUGCUGAUUUUGUUAAUAAUAAUGUUGAAUUAUAUAAUCAGAAAUUAAAGGUUUUAAUUGAUAAUUUAAACACUAAUCUUCCUGGUGCAAGGUUUAUUAUUUUAAAUCAGACUAGCAUUUCAACAGGGGGUCCACCUACUGGUAGGUUAAAAUAUUCUCUCACUCAUUAAGUUCUUCUGUUCAAUUUAUGUGACAUAAUUUUUGUAAAAUUAUUGGCAUAGCUCAUAAAAUUAAGAAAAAAAGGUUCGAAAUAUGCCUAAAUUUUGACAAAUUUCGUAGUAAUACGCCUCAAGCCCUCAACUUUACAAGGGUUUGAUGACCUCCCUAAAUUAUUUUUUAUAGUAUUUUUGUGGCAUAUAUUUGUCAGCUGGACCACUGCAUAAAUACACACGCACUGAGCGCGUGAGGGUGUGAAGUAGUUCAGCUAAACAAAUAUAUGACAUAGAAAUACGGUAAUAAAUAGUCUAGGAGGGUCAUAGGACCCCCGUAAAGUUGAGGCGUGUUACAAUAAAUUUCGCCAAAGUUUAGGUAUAUUUCAAAUUUUUUUUUUCUAAAAUUAAUGUUAUCUAGUUAGGAAGUCACGAGUUUGAGCUAUGAAACAACCUCCUGCGUAAAUACAGGAAGGAUUGUCUAUAAUUGCGCCUUGUGGCCCGGUUUUUUCCGAACCACCUAUAUAGCAGGAGCGCUUACACCAACCCUAAAGUCUAACCUAACCAUAUUGCCAACCCUAACCCUAGAACACUCUAAAAUAGAACCACAUUUGAUUGAAUUCUUCAUUUUGGUAUACACAAUUUUAGAAUCAUUUUAUACUAUAAUUGUGAGAUUUUUUUUUGUACCUCAUUGAUUAAGGUUAUAUAUAUAUAUAUAUAUAUAUAUAUAUGUUAAGAUUUAUGAUGUUCUUAAAACAUGUCAUAAUAUUUGCGUAACUGUAUGUUACUAUAUAUUAUCAUUGGAUAUUAAAAAUCCAAAUUCCAUCGCGAUAGGUCGAUAACGACCCAAACGAACUGGUUGUCAUUUGUUAGUCGCUAAAAGCUCGGCCGUUAAAAGUUGACGAGCGGAUUUUAGUUUAACCGUUAAAGAUCCAUUAGCGACGACAAAAAAUCAGGUUAUCAUGGUAAAGUUGUUGCCAUGUGAUUAGGAAGUCACGGGUUGAAGCCUUGGAAACAGCCUCUGACCUAAAUGUAAGGUAAGGCUGCGUACAAUACACCCUUGUGAUGGGCCCUUCAUCGAACCCUGCGCAUAUAUAGCCCUGAGCUGCUCUUUUAUGAAAUUGGAAUGCCAUCAGAUAAAUUGAAAUAGAGAGCGUAUCUCUUUUUUUUAUUCAGGUAAUUUAAUUAAUACUAUCAUUUAUUUUUUUUAAUUAAUUUCAGGUUUGACAAUUUUUGACCGACCAUGCUGCAAAGUAUUACCAAACACAACAGCGAAAGGACAAUGCAUUCGAGGCCAAAUUCCAUGCAACAAUAGGAAUGAAUUUGUGUUCUUUGAUAAUUUUCAUCCAACAGAAGCUGCAAAUUUGGCCAUUGCUAGUCGCUAGAAGAUCAUACACUGUUUUUGUACCGACCGACGCGUAUCUGGUAGACAUUAGGCGCCUCGUCGUACAAUCCUGAUACUGCCAGACAUCUCUACAACGUAACAUUGUUUAGUCGAAAAAAGAACUUGAAUACUAUAGUGAAAUGUUGUAAUAGUAAUAAAUCCUCUACAACAAGACCAGUUUGGUUACAUAAAUAAAGAUUGCCAACUGGUGUUAAUGUAGUUAGUGGGGGAAAAUUGGAUACAAAAUAAGGAAAUUUAAUGAAAUAAAUUUUCACUUGUUUUUUAUAUCUAUGCUCAUAAUUUACUUAUGCCAAGUCUUUUCUAUGACUCACUCAACUUUUCCUAAUAUGAACCUUGAGGCAUCAGAGCCUCUCUGACUCAGCCUGGCCCGGUCACCCUACGUGACUGGCUCUCCUUUCCAUAAUAUGAACCUUGAGUCAUCAGAGCCUUUCUGACUCGGUCUCGCUCGAUCACCCUACGCGACUGGCUCUCCUUUCCCUAUUAUGAACCUUGAGUCAUCAAGGCCUUUCUGAUUCUGCCUGGCCCGGCCACCCUACGUGACUGUCUUUCCUUUCCCUAAUAUGAACCUUGAGUCAUCAAACCCUUUCUAAAUCGGCUUGGCUCGGUCUCCCUACACAGCUGGUUCUCUUUUCCCUAAUAUGAACCUUGAGUCAUCAAAGCCUUUCUGACUCUGUUUGGCCCAAUCACCUACUCGAAUGACUCUCCUUUUCCUAAUAUGAACCUUGAGUCAUCAAAGCCUUUCUGACUCGGCUUGGCUCGAUCACCCUACGUGACUGGCGCUUCAAAAGACGAAACUCUCAAUCGUAGUUUGGUAGGCCACCCUAUGCAACUGGAGCUUCAAAAGACGAAACUCUCGAUUGUAGUUUGGCGACCUAUCUUUAGUAGGGCCUUUAGUCUUUUGAUUAGAGUAGGGGUUGCAAAAAAGGAGAGCAUACCACUCAGCCAUAGUCACUCAAAAAAUAAAUGAAAUGCCUAGUAACCGAACUACCAAGAUGUCAUAAAUGACUUGAGGUAGCUAUGAGAAAGAUAUAAAUGGCCAAAUAGUGCAAAAUUUAGAAAAUAAGCUGGAGUGUCAUUAAAACCUUCAACAUGGAGCCUUCCUCUUUUGAACGGUCUUAGAAUGAGAUAAGACAUAGAAAUAUAGAGUUUGCUAAAACUUACAAAUAUAGAAUCUAUACGUUAAAAGGAAGCUAAUGAUACCCAUAUCAUUUAUAUUUAAGAUGGGUCGAAAAUGAGUUAAAAAAAAUAGUCUAAAUGGAAGGACUAAAAUCAGAAUUUUAUUUUAGAAAUAUGUUACCAAGAUUAUAGGAGUCUAUAGUUGAAAAUUCAAGUGAAAACGAGUUAAAAAUGAGGCUUAAAUUGAAGGGGAAAAAACCAUUUUAAAGCUUUACUGAUAAAAGUUCUCGUAUUCUAGUUUGAAAUCAUUAUUAAAAGGCAUUUUCAAAGAUAUAAUCAAUACAAAAUGAUAGAACGAUGAAUUAGAAUCUUACCCAAGCAAGAAUAGUGAGGAAAAAUCGUAGAAAUCGUCUAUUCCUGAAGCUCCAAGGUCAAAAAAUGUUGGAAAUUGCGAAAAAAAAAAUCAUUUAUACUGUUCAGUGAAUAAUACUUUGUGAUCGCAAUUCCCAACUCGUGAUCGUGAAGGUCAACAUUCAUUAGAACUUAAGUUGGUCACCGUAGAGAAACACUUUGCGACCGCGAUGGUCAAACCCGACUCGGUCCAUCAAUUUACCUAUUGCGAUUGCGGUACCACCACCAUGCAAUCACAAUGAAGGAGAUCAUCGAGGUCUGCGAGAUCGUGGCAUGUGUUCAUGCAAUCAGGAUGAAGAACCUGAUGCACCAGAAAAUGCAACAUCAGCAGAUUUUCCAAGUAAAAGAAAUCCCUUCGAACGGUCCCUCUCGGGACCCUACAGAAACAAAUCAUACUUGCUACUAGGCUAUUUUUGACAUUUCAGACUCAAUAAUAAUGUCAGAUUUUAAAAAAGAAUUCAUUUUCAAUAACUUAACCCCCAGGAUCACAUUUAGAUAUUUUUCCUAGUUUUCGAAAUAAUGAUCGAACUGUAAAAUAAAGAUUCUGAAUAUUAACCAACCCCUCUACUCACCCAAAAUUGAUGUUCUGUAUCUAAUGAAAAUGCCCAAAUCACCGUCAGAUAAUCAAAUCAUAAAAUAUUGAUUGAAGUCAAAUUCAUGGCUUUCAAAGACUCUAAAAGUCUCCAACUCUGAAAUCAUUUCAUAAUGCAUGGGAGAUUGUGCUAACCAUCCCCACACCUCACAAUCUGCUUGUAACGACUGUGAGAAAAGCCACAAUAAUCAAAACGUACACAUAAAAAAUGAACAUUUUACAUAGCAGGUUGUUACAAGUAGCAGGGUUAGUAAUUUUAGGACUGCGUCCAUAGGUAGGAGACUCUAGCCAGGAGAAUUUGGGUGGGGUGGGUGUCUUUAGGCUUGUGAUUGUAUGUUACUACUAGGUGGCUGUCCUAUUUCUUAUUUCUUACUUCCUAUUUCGUAUUUAGUAUUGCUCAAUCAGGAGGUAACGGGUUCGAGCCUCUGAAACAGUCUCGUACAGAUAUGCAAGGUAUGGUUAUGUACGAGCUAGAACUUUGUUGACCAGGCUGCCCUUCUAUUGGCUUCAACAACAAUUACUUUCCUCAUAAAUCUGUUAUAGUUUUCUCAGUUUAUGCCCCUUGUACAGUCAAACAGUGAGAUUUAUUGUAACCAUCUAGCAUACCUGAAAGCAAUUAAUUUAUAUAAUAUUAAGAGGAAUUAACACCUUGCAAACAAUAAUACUAAGAGGAAACAGUGAGAGUUAUUGCAACCAUUUAGCAUUUCUGAAACAAAUCAAGUGCUAAAACAAAACAAAACAACAAUCAUGUGAUUUGGAACAACAGAUUCCAAAUACAUGCUCAACAUGCAAGGAGUUGAAUCUCGAUCUUCUGCAGCAUCCCUACAACAUCUUUCAUGUUUGUCCUUCUUGCCGGAGAUUCAGCGCAACAAUCUAAUGCUACUUUCAUGAUCGAAGCCACAACAUCUAGCUCCUUCUGUAAGUGAUUACCCAUUGGUGUUACCAAGUUGACAUCUACAACGUCCAUUACUGCCUCUGGGAGUGAAGCACAUGCCACAUCUAUCAUUAUUCUUAGUCUCUGCUUGGUGUCAAGGAAGUAGUUGUGGGAAUACAAAUACUUCUCAAGACUUCCAUUAGGCAUAUACUCGAGCACUAAAGCCUUGAAAUGAAGAUUAGAACAACUAGUAAUGACUUUAACGAGAUUCCUAUGGCGAAGGCUGCACAAAACUUCACAUUCCGUUUCAAAACUCUUGAAUGCCACAUCCAGUUGCAGGUUGAACACUUUAACUGCAAUGGCAGUUCCACUUCUGAGAACACCUUUGUAAACAGAGCCAAAACUUCC
rnacentral:lncRNA from 1 species